rnacentral:lncRNA from 1 species
AUUCGGAGCCGAUUCAUAUAAUGCUAUAAGUUCGGGGUGCCGCACUUGUGAAAGUGUUCGGACUUUAUCACACCAUAAUGUGGGGAACAGAAGCCCCCGGCGUAUUCGGCCGUACCAAAAUAUACGGGUGCAAGAUGUCAUAUAAUGAACAUAUAUAUAAAAGAUAAUGCAUUUGCAAAAAAGAGGUGCUGCAUUAUUUAUGAAAGAAAGUCUGCUAGUAGGGCGGACUGAUACAAAUAGUGCGGUAAGCAAGGGAUUUGGACUAAAUAAACAUGUCCCCCUCCAGGGAUGAGCUGCAGACUUGGUGUAUAUAAUCGAAUUUAAUGCUCGUAAUUGAGACCACCUGAAUGUUCGUGGCGGCCUUCUUUAGUCCCUGACUGUUGCAUCAUGAGUUCGGCGAGUUUGCCACCGGACAGGGCUUCUGGUUAACAGAGUCCUGUGUACAUAAAAGUAGAAGGAAAAUAAAAAAGAAGGGGGGGCACACUUGUGAGCCCCUGGUGUGGUCAAGCCGCACUCUAGGUUCGAGUUUAUACUCUUCGGCCGCGAGGACCUCGGUCCAUCGAUCGGCUAGCAGGUCCUGGUCAGCUUGAAGCUGCUGCUGCUUUUUCUUUAGGCUGUUUGCUGUGGCGAUAAGCCUGCGCCUGAAGCGCUCUUGUUCGGCGGGAUCCUCAGGUACGACGAAUUCGUCAUUGUUGAGGCUUGCUUCGUCUUCGGAGGGAGGCAUAUAGUUAUCAUCCUCAACCCCUUCGUCUGCCGCCCUCUCAUGGGGGCUUGCUUCUGCAUCCUUCUGCGCUGAAUCUUGCUGGAGGGGAUUGUCUUCGGCGCUCUCCGGAGUAUUAUUGUCUCCUGUGCCGGAAUCUCCAUUCUUGCUGUGGCGGGAUUUAGAGCGGCGCCGCUGACGCCGGCGUUUGGGCUGCUUCUUUAAAGAGUCUGCCUCCGCUGCUUCUUUGCCAUCCCCUUCUUUUGGGGUAUCCACCAUGUAUACGUCAUAUGACGAGGUGGCUUUCCAGUGCCCUGUAGGCGCUGGUUCCUGUUUGUCUCCGGCGUCGUCGUCCAUAGCGUUGAUGUCGUCGGAGUCGAAGUUUAGCAUGUCGGUUAAAUCCUCGACAGUGGCUACAAAGUGGGUGGUGGGUGGGCUCUGAAUUUCUUCGUCAUCCGUACCCCAACCAUCCUGGCCAUAAUCCGGCCAGGACUCUCCUGAUAGCGAGAGAUGCUUUAGUGAAUUCAGGAUAUCGCCAAAAGGCGAGUGUUGGAAGAUGUCCGCGGCGGUGAAUUCCAUAACUGGCGCCCAAUCCGGAUCGAUUGGUAGGGGCGCAGGAGGUUCGGAGUCCGGCGAGGAGUCCGGCGCCUCGGAAUCACAAGUUUCGCGGGGGACAAGACUGGUGUUCGGCUCCAUCACCAUGGAUAUUGAAGCCCCUAGGGCGGCGUCUAUCCACCGGCCCUCGAUCUGAGCGAUCGGCUCCGGGCUUAUGGCCGAGGCCGAUUCGUGUGCGGCCACCAAGGCACUGUUCGGCGGCAGAGCUAGAUCAUGCCCAUCGUCACAGUGCGGCGCACUUGGCUGUGGCUCGAGUCCGUCGAAGAUCAAGUCUCCGCGGACAUCGGCCGUGAAGUCUAAGCUUCCAAAUCUGACCUGACGGCCAGGGGCGUAGCUUUCGAUCUGCUCCAGAUGGCCAAGAGAAUUGGCCCGCAGUGCAAAGCCGCCGAAUACGAAGAUCUGUCCGGGGAGAAAAGUCUCACCCUGGACAGCGUUGAUGGUUGAAGAUGCCAUCGAGCCUAUCUUUGACGACACAGAGAAACUCUCAAUGAAAGCACCAAUGUCGGUGUCAAAACCGACGGAUCUCGGGUAGGGGGUCCCGAACUGUGCGUCUAGGCGGAUGGUAACAAGAGACGAGGGACACAAUGUUUUUACCCAGGUUCGGGCCCUCUCGAUGGAGGUAAAACCCUACGUCCUGCUUGAUUAAUAUUGAUGAUAUGGGUAGUACAAGAGUAGAUCUACCACGAGAUCAAGGAGGCUAACCCUAGAAGCUAGCCUACGGUAUGAUUGUUGUAAUGUAAUGUCGUGUAUCUUUAUCGACUAGCCUGGCCUCAGUUUAUAUAAUGCGCCGGAGGCCUAGGAUAACAAGAGUCCUAGCUGAAUACGCCGGUGGGGGAGGAGUCCUUGUCUUGAUCGCCAAGUCUUGUAGAAUCUUCCUUGUAUGCGGCAACUGUCCGGACUGGCCCAUGAGUAUACGGCCGUGGGGGUCCUCGGCCCAAUCUAAUAGAUCGGGAGAUGACGUGGUGAGUACCCCCUAGUCCAGGACACCGUCAAUUUGCAUGAGGGAUAAAAAGGGGCCGCGGCAGGCGGGAAAUGAUAAUCAUGGGCAGGUUAAGCAUGAAGGCAAAUUGGCUUAGAUAACUGCAGGAAGGAUACAUGCCACUGGGUCAGGCCCGAGCGGCUUGGGGAUGAUGCAGCCCGAGGGGCGCCCCCCAGCAAGCUAAACUAAAGACAUAAGCAAAAGGGAUACAUGCCGCAGGGACAGACCCACGCGACCAGGGAAUAAUGCUGCCCUGAGGGCGCUCCCAGCUGAAAUGAAACUCGAAAGAUGUCACCUGAUACCAUUGUAGAGCGGGCGUUGAAGUAGCUAAUGAUGCGCGGUGAAGAGGCCGAUCCUCACGAGCCACUAGAGCUCUGAGCCUCGGGAGGCUCUGGGGGUCUGGGCGGCUCCUCGAGGACCAUCUCCAUCUCAGCCAGGACCGCGCGGUGCCUGGCCUCCUGAGCUGCCAUACUGCUUCGCAUAAGACUCUGGUGAGCAGCAGCCGCGUUUGGCAGGCCGAAGGGCAUGCGAACAUAGCUGUGUGGCGGACCCUCGCAACAUCCCAUGCGCGAAGGCCAGAGGCGCUCCUGAGACGCGACUCGGCUGAGCCCUGGGUAGUCGAUGCAGACACGCAGCCCGCCGUCCUCGCCUGGAUGGGGAGCUACUCCAGGUAGGCGGCGACCGCGUAUGACUCUCGAUUCUUGGAGCUCCUGAGUGGCCUUGGUGAUGAACUCCUGAGGGUUGGGCCUUCCAUGCCCCAUGCCUUCUUGAGGGAAACGUGCCGCAAAGCAUGCCUCCAAGUGGUGCCCGAGCGCCUCCCUCAUGAUCUUGGCAAAGUCUGAGGCCCUCUAGGAGAGAGCCCCCGAGCCUUGACCGAGGAGGGCACUGGGCGUGCCUUCCUAUGCGAUGGAGGGAGGCGCCUCUUGGACGGGCGCAGAUCCUGAAGUGGUGCCUCCCGAGAUGCCUACCUCCUGAGGCCUUGAGUUGGGUGAUGUCUUCUUCUUCUUAGGGACUGCCUCGGGUGGGUUCUCCCUCUUGUUGUCUGGGUCCUCAACUGAUGCAGCUUGGAAGGCACGCUCGAGAGAGCACACUGCAUCCUUUUCUUCACAGGGGACUGUGAUGAUUCCACCGCUUCCCGUCAUCUUGAGGACGUUGUAACCAUGGUGAGUCACCGCCAUGAACUUGGCCAGGGCUAGAUACCCGAGGAUGACAUUGUAUGGCAGGCGAAUGUGGGCAACGUCGAAGUCGAUGAGCUCAGUACGGUAGUUCUUGCGAUGCCCGAAGGUGACAGGGAGGCGAACCUGCUCCAUCGGAGUGGUGGAGCCGUCAGUGACUCCUGAGAAAGGCUUGGUUGGCUGGAGUUGAUCAUAUGGCACUUGGAGGUUGUUGAACGUCUUGAAGGACAGAACGUUGAGUCCUGCACUGCCAUCGAUGAGGGUCCUAGUGACUUGCACAUUGCUGAUGACUGGGCAACAAAGCAUUGGGAGGACGACGGCUGUAGCCGCACAUUUGAGCUGAACGUGAUGGCGCAUGUGGACCACCUAAGAGGGCGCGUGGCCUCGAGCUUGGGGAGGAUUGCGUUCACCUCGCGAGAAAACUGCUUGAAGAUGCGCUGAGAGGCUGGGGCCUGGGCACCAUCCAGGAUGCAAGCGAUAGCACAUGGCUCCUGGAAGCCCCCAGCCCCCUCGUCCUGGUGGUGGUCGUCAUUCCUUCUUUGCGCUGGUGGCAGAGGAGGAAGGCCCGCGUUGCCCUGAGGGCAGUCCUCACGAGGCUGAUCCCUCCAAGCCCCCUCGCGAGGCUGGUCCUGCCAGCGAUCCUCAUGAGGCGGUCACGCCACUCCUAGCAAGGGCCUUGGUCGUCCCAUCGUCCUCCACCUCUUCCUCCUCCUCGGCCGUAGCCCCGGUCGUUGCACUUGGGGCGUCGACCGAUGCGUCCUUCUCGAAUGGCCCUGAGCUCCUGGCAUUCGUUGGUGUUGUGGGUGUAGAGGUUGUGGUAGGCGCAGAAUCGGUUGCCCUUGGACGACUCCGGCUGGUCCCUGCCAUGCUUCAUGUCUGGUUCUGCUGCGAGAACUGCUGCCCAUUUGCGCUUCACAUCCUUGACCUUGGCUUUCUUCUCUUCUGGGUCAGCAGCUGGAAGCUCGAGAAGGGAGAGGUGCCCCUCCUCAGCUCUUGUGCACUUGGUCGCCGGGUUGAACAGCUCCAAUGAUGUGCACAGAUCCUUGUGGAUAGCGAUCUCCUCCUUCAUCUUGACGUCGCGGACACCGUCAGAGAAUGCUAAGAUGAUGGCCUCCUCAGUCACCUUGGGAAUCUUGAGGCGAGCGUUGUUGAAGCGCUGGAUGUACUUUUGCAAGGUCUCUUCAGGUUGCUGCUUGAUGCGGCGCAGGUCACUCAUGACUGGAGGGCGGUCACGAGUGCCAUGGAAGUUGGUGAUGAAGCGGGUGCACAUCUUGUCCCAGGAGGAGAUCGACCCGGGAGGCAGGUUUAGGAUCCAGGUGCGGGUACCAUCCUUGAGCGCCAUGGGAAACCAGUUCGCCAUGACCUUUUCAUCUCCGUUGGCCGCCUCGAUGCCUAGCUCAUAGAGCUGCAGGAACUCCGCAGGGUCGGCAGUGCCAUCGUAGCGAGGAGGCAGAUCCGGCUUGAACUUGCCCGGCCAGGCGACACUGAAUAGCUCGGUGGUGAAGGCACGACAACCUGCAGUGGCCACCGGAGCCCUUUGUAGACGUGGGGCUUGCUCUUGGAGAUUCAUGCGCACCGCCGCCAGGGGCAGCGCAGGGUCUUGACGUAUUGGCGUAGGGAUGCGAUCUUGACGUGCCGGAGCAAGGAGCACAUGAGCGCCUUGUUGAGGCCGAGGAAUCUCUUGGUAGCUCAUUUCUUGUCGCGCGGGCGCUGGACACAGCGGGUCUCGUCCAGGGGCCGCGCGCCUUGGAGCCAGGGCACCUUCGUGGGGAGGAUGUGGAGGAGGCACCUCCUGAGCUGCAUCACCCACGCAGGAUGGAGGGCGAGGCAGCGAGAGGGACGGCGCAAGAGAGCCCCCUGCGGCGCUGACGAGCUCGGUGAUGUGAGAGAGCCACUCCUCAUAGAGGUCGUCAACGGGGCGGUAGUGUAGGAGCUCACGUGCCAGGAGCAAUGCGGCCUGCGCGUCCAUGGGAGCGCGACAGGAGUUAGACGAUGAACUAGCUGGAGUUAGCGACGGAGUGGCACUGCGGCCUUCCCGCUGCACCGAGGGAUGCAGCAACGACGCUUGCUGCUCGUUCCCCACCGGGCCGGUGGCGACGUUGGCGACAGGUGACAGGGAACGACGAGGAGGCCCACCGACGGGAGCCGUCUGGGCAAUGCGGGCGGCGAGAGCAGCCCGACGCUCGGCGCGAGCUUGGCGAGCGUCCGCCAUGGAUGCGAUGAACGAUGGAACGCGGGACAUCGGAAGAAAGAUUCUGGCACACCCCUACCUGGCGCGCCAAAUGUCGGAUAUCGGGUUCCGGCAAAACCCUUAAGGUUCAAAUUCUGGGGUGCACAUGAAGAUCUACUUCCUACCGAUCCACAUCCCAACGCCUUGCCGUGAAUCUAAGCUACACGAUAAACAACACAAGGGACACAAGGUUUAUACUAGUUUGGGCCACCGUUGUGGUGUAAUACCCUACUCUAGUGUGUGGUGUGGUGGAUUGCCUCUGGGGCUGAUGAUGAACAGUACAGAGGAAGAACAGCCUCGCGAGGGGUGUUCUUGAGCUGGUGCGGUGUUCUACUUGGGUGGAUCCUCUGAGGUCCCGAUGAGAUGCCUCUCUACUAUGGUGGCUAUCUCUAUAUAUAGAGGCCCUGGUCCUCUUCCCAAAUAUUGAGCGGGAAGGGAGCCAACAAUGUCCAUUUUGAAGGGGAACAACCAGUACAAGUUAUCCUGACUAAAGUUGGUCUUCGACUGCCAAAGGCACUGGCGAUGACACCGUCUUGGGCUCCACGGUGACCUUCGUCCUGCCGCUCUGCUGGUCUUGGUCUCGUUGGACCGAUAUGGUAACCUUUGCUUGAUGCCUCGGUACUCCGCGCCUGUGCUUGCCCCCUUUGCACCAAAGAGGAAGCGAGGACACUGCACCGCUUGGCGCCCAUCUGGUCUUGAUCGUCAUGGCUUGCAUCACGAGCACCUCGCGAGGUACUCCUGCCUUGAUCUCUCCACCUCCUCGCGAGCCUGCCUGGUAAGGCCGCUCCUGAGGAAGCCUUGCAUCGUCCACCCCGCGUGGCUUGGCCCCCGCGAGGGUCUUGAGCUUGGGUCGAUGUAGACGGGUCGUACUGGGCCACUGCUUGAGCCACGCCGCAGGCCGCAGGCAGGCAAAUCUGGGGACCCCCGUUCCCAGAACGCCGACAGCAUGGUAUAAAUGCUUGACCAAGUUUCUUAUUGAAAAAGGCUUUGAGGUUGGAAAAAUUCAUUCUACUCUCUUCACUAAAAGGGUUAAUGGAGAAUUAUUUGUGUGCCAAAUUUAUGUUGAUGAUAUUAUAUUUGGUUCGACUAACCCUCAUUUUAGUGAGUACUCUGGAAAGCUAAUGUCGGAGAAGUUUGAGAUGUCCAUGAUGAGUGAACUCAAAUUCUUUCUUGGUUUGCAAAUCAAGCAAACUAAGGAAGGUACCUUUGUCUCUCAAACAAAGUACACCAAGGACUUAUUCAAGAAGUUUAAUAUGCAAGAAUGCAAAGGUAUGAAUACACCCAUGCCUACUAGUGGACAUCUUGACUUGACUAAAGAUGGUGAACCCGUUGAUCAAAAAGUUUACUGCUCUAUGAUUGGUUCAUUGUUAUAUUUAUGUGCCUCCCGUCCCGAUAUUAUGUUGAGUGUGUGCAUGUGCGCACGAUAUCAAGCGGCCCCUAAAGAAUGUCAUCUUAAGGUUAUGAAAAGGAUAGUGAGAUACUUAAUACAUACACCAAAUUUUGGCAUUUGGUAUCCAAAGAGGUCUUCCUUUGAUCUUGUUGGCUACUCUGAUUCGAACUAUGCCGGAGACAAGGUCGAUAGAAAGUCCACUUCGCGUACUUGUCAAUUUCUUGGCAGAUCUCUUGUGUCUUGGUCCUCCAAGAAACAAAACUCGGUAUCCUUAUCCACCGCCGAAGCGGAAUACAUUGCCGCUGGUUCAUGUUGUGCUAAGUUACUUUGGAUGACCCAAACUCUUAAAGAUUAUGGGAUAUAAGUGAAACAUGUCCAUUGCUUUGUGACAAUGAAAGUGCUAUUAAGAUUGCUCACAAUUCCAUGCAACAUUCUUGAACUAAGCAUAUUGAGGUUCGUCAUCAUUUCAUUCGAGAUCAUGUUGCUAAAGGAGACACCGACCUUAAGCAUGUUCGCACCGAUAAGAAUUGGCGGAUAUAUUCACAAAACCACUUGAUGAAAAAGUAUUUUGCCAAUUGAGAGGUGAAUUGAACAUCAUUGAUGCUUCAAACUUGGAGUAGGAACUCCAUUUGGAUACAUGCAAGGCAUGAGCCUUUGACUAAUCCUUGAUAUUUCUCUGAUGAUGAUAAUCAUAUAUCUUGGAUAUAUUUGCACCCUUGCAUGUUAUCUAACCCUUGUAGGUACUUGGAUGAAUCUAAAUCUAUGAGAUUGCAACUCACUCACAUUUUGAGCAAUCUCUACAUCACCAAGUCUCUACAAUACGGUGGUUGAAGACAAGGAAGCAUGAAACCCUUCAAACAUAUCCUUUGACAAUUUAUAUAUAUAUCAAAUUUCUUUUGGUAUCAUAUUUCAUGAUUGACACUUUGAAUACACAAGUGCUCCUCCUUGCAAAGAUAACUCAUGUAGGUAGAUGAACUCCAAUUACAAGUGGUGCUCCCAAUGAACUACAUCAACCUUGAGCAUCCCACACAAGUUCAACUACAUGAUCAAGAUCAACACCACCACCCAAGGUAUGCUAUUCCAUCUUAGAGAAGCUUUAUCCCAAGUCAUGGGUCAAAGCAGCUCAACAAGAUGUGAAUACAUCAAAAUGCUUAAACAAAAAAUGGCAACUCCAUUUUGAGCUUAAACGAUGAGUAUGACCUAUGAUCAAGUGUCUUCACUUGACUCCUAUGUCAAUAUACUCUAAUAUAGUGACUUUGUCACCGACCAAUUCUAGAUGAAGUUCUCUACACUACAAAAAAAAGACACAUCCGUGACAUUUUGGGCCGAACGAAAUUUUUUUUGUCAUACUUAUGACACUUCUAUUACGAUAAUUGUGACAAAACCCGGUAUCAUCAUAGAUGUGGUGGGCUCCUACUUCUAUCACAAAAAAUCAUGACAAAAAAUGGGCUUUUCGUAUUGGGCGGGCCGGAGAUAUAGCUGCAUGACAUUGUUUGGGCCAUCCAUGACGGAAAAAAUCAUGGUAGAAGCGAGGGCGAGGAAAAUAUCGGGGUGUUCCCGGUUACGGUGGGUGGUCGGGGCCGAGCGAUGCAUGGAGGAAAAUAUCGGAGUGUUCCCGGUUACGGUGGGUGGUCGGGGCCAAGCGAUGCAUGGAGGCCACGCGAGUGGGUGCGAGGAGUUGGGCUCUAAAUGAACCCGAGUGAGGCGUUCGCCUACUGAACUCGAGCGAUUGCACUGCAGGCUACGCGUUACUGAACCCGAGUGAUCGAUCGAUGACUGUUAACUGAACCCGAUCGAGCGAUUCCUUCGCUACUGCUGCUAACUGAAGCCGAUCAAUGGUGCCUCUAGAUGAACAGUGAGGGUUGCUGGGGGUGUGGAUGAACAGUUCCUUGUGGGGGUGGAUGAACAGGACCCCGUGGUGUUGCCUCUGGAUGAACAGGACCCCGAUUGAUCGAGCCGGUUGGGGCUGGAUGAACAGGACAUUGUGGAGGGCUGGAUGAACAGGACAACCCCGUGGAGGGCUGGAUGAAUAGUAUGUGGUGGAGGGCUAGAUGAACAGUAACCUGUGGAGGGGUGGUAGAACAGGAGUCCUUGGAGAGGGCUGGUUGAACAGUAGCCGGUGGAGUAUCGCACGGUGGAGGCUGGAUGAACCGGAGCUCGUGGAUGAACAGUCGCAUGUGGAGGCUGGAGGAGGUCGACGGUGGAUGAACAAUAGCCCUUGGAGGCAGGAGGAGGUCGACGGUGGAGAUGAACAGUAUCCCAUGGAGUCCCGUUUCGCGGUACGCCACACCCCUCCCGAUGAACAGGACCCUCGUUUCGGCCGUAGCGCUCCAACACAAGUCCGUUUCCUCUGUUUUGCGGUACGCCACACCCCUCCCGAUCAACAGGACCCCGUUUCGAUUGUAGGAGGUCCAACAGAAGUCCAUUUCCUCCGUUUUGCAGUACGCCUGACCCCUCCCGAUGAACAGGAUCCCGUUUCGAACGUGGCCGGUCGAACACAAGGCCGUUUCCUCCGUUGUACGGUACGCCAGGCCUCGUUUCCAUUGGCUGUUCCGUCCAAGCCCUCCCGAUGAACACGAUGAUGCAUUCUGUUUCGACCCAGCCGGUUGGCUCCCCAUGAACACAACGACGAUGUUGUUUCUCCGUUCCAACCCAGCCAAGUACACGAGCCCUGGCCGUACGUAUGCGCGAGUAGGUGUUCGAGACCCCGCCCGUAUGUACGUACAUGGCCGUAUUUUCUUUCUUGCAAUCUGGCCGCUGUAUGUAUGUGUACAUGCUACAUGCGCGCCUCUACUACGACACGUGCACACCUCUACAUCGAGCAGUAUGUACGUACAUGUUCGUGACCAGAAUGGCUACGUACGAUUCGACCAGGUGGGUCCCAACUAUUAGGCACUUCCUUCCGUGUGAAGAUGUAGCUAGUGGGUCCCAGCAGUCAGGGGGCGAAUCGUUUUUUUUUGCCCGGACGCACUUCCUUGCGUGCGAAGAUGUAGCUGGUGGGUCCCAGCAAUCAGGGGGAAAUGUUUUUUUCGCGAAAUACGAUGGCCCGUCCGGUGGGUCCCUGCUGUCAGGUGGAGGAAUAAUUAUUUUGCGCGUAAUAAGGAGGCACUUCCUUGCGGCUGCCAUGGACCCAGCUGUCAGCCUCUCCAUGUACAUUACUCUUCCCAUAGAAGUCAUUCCUUGACCAUGUUGACCACGCCGCGCCGAGAGCACCAGGGCGGUGGACGACGGCGAGGCCUAGGAAGGGGACGACGUGGAGCUGGGGAAGACGCGACAGUGGAAGCCCGUGCGGAGAGGAGUACGAGGGUUCACUGGUUCGGCUGUGGUGUGAGGCUGCCGUCGCCGCAGGGCCUGGCCAACAGUGGGAGUAGUAGGGGACGGUGAGGUCUCCACGGCAGCACAGCCGGCCAUGGGAGGCAGUAGCAGGCGGCACGACCGACGCUGCUUUGGGCGACUGGGGCAAGAAGACCAGAGGUUGAAGAAGCACUACGGCCGUUGGAUGAAUAUUGUACGGUAACUAGAGCUAGAAUCGUUCAUAUUGACUAAGUUGACAAAGCCCUCCGUCCCCGUCAACUUAGUAGGCCCACAAGUCAGCAUCCCACUAUGCUGGGUCCCAGCUAGCAGGGGAGUAUUCAUUUUUUGUGCGUAAUAAGGAGGCACUUCCUUGCGUGCAAAGAUAUAGCUGGUGAGUGUGACCUGUCGGCGGGGGAAUGUUUUUUUGCAAAAUACAGAGGCCCUUCCAGUGGGUCCCAGAUGUCAGCUGGAGGAAUCAUUAUUUUGUGCGUAAUAAGGAGGCAUUUCCUUGUGUGCGGCCGUGGACCCAGCUGUCAGCCUCUCCACGUACAGUCCACGUCCGAUGGAAGUCGUUCCAUGACCACGUUGACCACGCCGCGCCGAGAGCACCAGGGAGGUGGACGACGACGAGGCCUAGGAAGGGGAAGACACGAAGCUGGGGAAGACACGGCAGUGGAUGCCCACUUGGAGAGGAGUACGAGGGUUCACUAGUUUGGCUGUGGUGUAAGGCUGUCGUCGCCGCAGGGCUUGGCUAGCGGUGGGAGUAGUAGGGGGCGGUGAGGCCUCAAUGGCAGUACAGCCGGCCACUGGAGGCAGGAGCAGGUGGUCUUGCCAGCGCUGGUUUGGGCGGCUGAUGCAAGAAGAGCAGCGAUUGAAGAAGCAGCAUGACCGUUCGAUUCAAAUCCAACGGUUACUGCUGCUAGAAUCAUUUGUUGACUAAGUUGACAAGCCCUGCGUACGCGUCAACUUAGUAGGCCAACGGGCCAGCCUCCCAACCGGUGCGCCGCAGAUGUCAGUGGGAGGAAUCAUUUUUGUUGCGUAAUAAGGAGGCAGUUGAUUGCGUGCGGCCAGGCCAGCGGAGGGAGUAGGGUGGGCCGGGUAAGCCUGCACGGCAUCAUAGCGGUCCACAAGAGGAGGAGCAGGCAGUCCCGCUGACGCUAGUUUAGGCGGCCGGAGCAGGAAGACCAGAGAUUGAAGAAGCACGUCGGCCUUUGGAUGGUCAUCCAACAAUAACUGCUGCUAGAAUCGUGUGUUGACUGACAAAGCCUUUCGUAAACAAGUCAGCCUCGAAAUCUGUGGCGUGUAUAGCCCAUUUGCUAUUAUUUUAUAAGUUUUACUCAUUUUCUAAUUCAUAUGGAACUUAUAGUAGCCCAUUUUCCAUUUUUAGAAUUGCUGCCCAUUUUCUGGUUAGUACCAGGGUUAAAAAAAUAACUAAAUAUGUGCAAAAUUUUGAAAAUUCGCAAAUUUUUGCUGGGGAACAAAAUAUUCUUAAUCCAAAAAUUAGUAGCCAUACUAAAACAAAUUUUAAUAUAAAUUAGUACUAUGUCAUGUUAAAUCCAAUGAAAUACGGUAUACAAUAUCAGUGAAGAACAGAAACAAAAAAAGAAACUAAUAUCCCAUUUGCUAUAUUUUUUUCGGAAUUUUGAACUUUGAUAUUACUUUUAACAGACACUGACCAUACUCUUUGGCCAGGCCAGAAUGCAUCCCUCCUCGUCUUGAAAGAUUUGCAGCCUAGUAAGUCGGAGAAAACAAAUAGGCCUAGCUUGGGUAUUUUUCAAAAAGAAAUACUGGGCUACCUAUUUUCCCAAAGAAAAAACUGCUGGGCUAGUCAUGUUGUUAGACGGGCCACAGAGACCACACAACCCAGUUUAUAGCUUGCUCCUCCGAAUUACUACUCAAAAAAAAGUUGUGCAAUUCUGUUGUUAAUUGACUAUACGUUGAAAAUGAUGUGGGUCCCAGAUAUCAGCAGGGAGGAUUAGAGUAAAAAAACGAGGGGUGCAUUUGAGUAGUAAAAGAGGCACUUGCUUGUGUUCAGGAGUGGACCUGAUGGGUCCAUAAUCUCAUACUCACAACUACAGUCCUCUCCUGAUUCACUAUGUUGACAGGGACCAUUUAAAAAAAACUAUGUUGACAGGGCCGGACAGCGGCGCCGCGGCGAGCGCACCAAGGCGGAGGAUAAAGUGUUGUCGCCAAUGUGCUGGGUUGGGUUGGGCAUUCUUAUUGAAAAAUAAAAAAUGGACCGGAACUAUUUACGAUGUUGACUACGAUUUGCACGGGUCCGCUGGUUGCAGGAAGAAAAUGCUGGGACAAAGAAGACUGGUCAGUAUCUUUGCCUAAGAAUAAUAUCGACUGGAUGUAACGACACUAUCAUAGGAAAUAAUAUCCUCCUGUUAAAUCAUGAAUUUAAAGAAUUGGUGCAUGAGCAUUUAGCUUUAUUUAUUUAUUUACUUAUUUAUGUUUAGGGGACCAUGAGCAUGUACCUAGGCCGGAUUCAUGUGAGAGCCUCCCUUCCAGUUAAUUAUAGGCUCCUCUAUUGGGCCUUACAUCUGUGGGCUGCAUGUUAUCAACAAGUGGAAAAUGUGUUCCGUACGAAAAAUAGUAUGUGCUACGUACGGUACGGGGCACUAAAGGAUCGAACCGUGCAAUGACUUCCAAAACAUUAUGUUUGUGGUUCUAACAACACAUUUAUUCAACCAACAGACGAAAUAUACUACUGAUUGUACAUUCAAAACAGCAGCAGCAGCAACCAGGGCUGGGGGGGGGGGCAGCAGAAGUAGUAAGCAGGCCAGAAGAGUGAAGAUGCAGCUCUCUCUUCCAAACCAAACAUCAGCCAUCAUUACAAAAGGGCUACCAAAAAAGAAUAAGUGUAUGCAUCAAACUAAAUAAAGAUCCUACUACACCAAGUGUACGCAUCUAACUAACUGGCUCAGUUAGACGUUACUAUUUAUUAAACUAUGGACAUUGGCUAACGGCUUGAACCAGAUGGGUGCCUGACGCGGGAAACUCCAGCCAGCAGGUCGAAGUGUGAUACUUGCGACCCUCUCUCCUACUUCGGGCUGCAGAGCGUUGCGGCACAUAUCAGGGUAUGGUGCAUGCAGAGACGCAUGGUACGCUGUGUACACACAGUUUUGCCUGAUGAACGAACUCGCACUGCCAUCAUGAUACUUGCCGUCGGUUAUCUACUGGUUAAUCGGAUAAUUCAGUCCGACAAAUAGAGAGCAUGUACCAAGGCUACUUACCAGCCUCUAGUCAAAAAUUCAUGAUGGCCCAAAGAAGCUAGGAUCUUGCUCAAAGACCUUGAAGUGACUGUGAUUGUAUUCCGCGAAACAACACGUCCGGUACGUGCGAAUGAUCAUCAAUCGUUCGCCGUCGUCUGAUCGAGCCAGGAACCACCUGCAGCUGCCAUGCCGCUUUUCUUUGAAAGGUUCUGGGAUAAGGAAGGGUAGGGACACCAGGCGGCCUACAACAUCAUAUCAAGUUGGAGUCAAAUAAAAAAGGGCUCUUGAUGUAGUCAAUCUUAAGAACAACAUGUUAUGGGCAUGAAUAUUUUUUCAGUAAAUGUUGAUAGUAAUAUAAGCAAGCCAUCAUGAUAUGAUAGGAAAGUAACAUACUGCUGUAACAGCCGUUUGUAGCAUUGACCGGAGUAGGCCAGCAAUACGUCCAACCAUAGAAGAAGUCAACAGCGGAAAUGAAGCCCUUGUGUUCAAGGGCAUCAGAGAACCAUGGAGGAUGUAUGAUCCUGCGAUGGACGUGCAGAUUUAUCUACUUACCACAGUGACCUGUCAGAUAGCGAGACCACGUGAGGGAGUCCUGGAUUAGGGGGUGUCCGGACAGCCAGACUAUCAUCGUCCGCCGGACUCCAAGACUACGAAGAUACAAGAUUGAAGACUUCGUCCCGUAUCCGGAUGGGACUUUCCUUGGCGUGGAAGGCAAGCUUGGCAAUACGGAUAUGUAGAUCUCCUACCAUUGUAACCGACUCUGUGUAACCCUAGCCUCCUCCGGUGUCUAUAUAAACCGGAGGGCUUUAGUCCGUAGGACACAACAUACAUUACAACAAUCAUACCAUAGGCUAGCUUUAGGGUUUAGCCUCCUUGAUCUCGUGGUAGAUCCACUCUUGUACUACCCAUAUCAUAAAUAUUAAUCAAGCAGGACGUAGGGUUUUACCUCCAUCGAGAGGGCCCGAACCUGGGUAAAACAUCGUGUCCCUUGUCUCCUGUUACCAUCCGCCUAGACGCACAGUUCGGGACCCCCUACCCGAGAUCCGCCGGUUUUGACACCGACAUUGGUGCUUUCAUUGAGAGUUCCUCUGUGUCGUCACCGAUAGGCUCGAUGGCAUCUUCAAUCAACAGCGCUGUCCAGGGUGAGACUUUUCUCCCUGGACAGACCUUCGUAUUCGGCGGCUUCGCACUGCGGGCUAAUUCACUUGGCCAUCUGGAGCAGAUCCAAAGCUACGCCCCUGGCCAUCAGGUCAGAUUUGGAAGCCUAAACUUCACAGCCGACAUCCGCGGGGACUGGAUCUUCGACGGGCUCGAGCCAAAGCCAAGCGCGCCGCACUGUUGCGAUGGGCAUGAUCUAGCUCUGCCGCCGAACGGUGCCCUGGUGGCCGCACACGAAUCCGCUUCGGCCCUUAGUCCGGAGCCGAUCGCCUAGAUCGAGGACCGGUGGAUGGACACCACCUCGGGGGCUUCAACUUCCACGGUGAUGGAGCCGAACACUAACCUUGUCCCUCGCGAAACUCGUGAUUCCGAGGUGCCGGACUCCUUGCCGGACUCCGGACCUCCCACGCCCCUACCAAUCGAAUCGGAUUGGGCGCCGGUUAUGGAAUUCACCGCCGCGGACAUCUUCCAAUACUCACCCUUUGGCGACAUCCUAAAUUCGCUAAAACAUCUCUCGCUAUCGGGAGAGUCCUGGCCGGAUUAUGGCCAGGAUGGUUGGGAUACGGACGACGAAGAAAUUCAGAGCCCACCCACCACCCACUUUGUAGCCAUUGUCGACGAUCUUAUCGACAUGCUAGACUACGACUCUGAAGACAUCGACGCUAUGGACGACGAUGCCGGAGACGAACAGGAACCAGCGCCUAUAGGGCACUGGAAGACCACCUCUUUAUACGACAUAUACAUGGUGGACACCCCAAAGGACGGGGACGGCGAAGAAGUAGCGGAGGCAGAUUCCUUAACGAAACAGCCCAAGCGCCGGCGUCAGCAGCGCCGCUCUAAAUCCCGCCACAGCAAGAAUGGAGAUUCCGGCACAUGAGAUAAUAAUACCCCAGAGAGUGCCGAAGAUAACCCCCUCCAGCAAGAUUCAGCGCAGGAGGACGCAGAAGCAAGCCCCCACGAGAGGGCGGCAGACGAAGAGGUCGAGGAUUAUAACUAUAUACCUCCCUCCGAAGACAAAGCAAGCCUCAACGACGACGAAUUCGUCGUGCCCGAGGAUCCCGUCGAACAAGAGCGUUUUAAACGCAGGCUUAUCGCCACAGCAAAUAGCCUAAAGAAAAAGCAGCAACAGCUUCAAGCUGAUCAGGACCUGCUGGCCGAUCGAUGGACCGAGGUCCUCGCGGCCGAAGAGUUUAAACUCGAACGCCCCUCCAAAAGCUACCCCAAACGCAAGUUGCUCCCCCGAUUAGAGGAGGAAGCAUACAUACCUUCAUCACCAGUGCACGAUACGGCCGACCGACCACCCCGUGGUCGCGACAGAGAGGCAUCCAGACCCUCCACAAAGACCAUACCCCGGCAUCGCUCCAAAAGUACGAAGCCAAGAGGGAACGCGCCGGACUUGCGAGAUGUAUUGGAGGACAAAGCAAGGCAAUCCAGAUCCAUCUACGGAUCACGAGGGCGCCCCACGACCCGCGACGAAUACUGUCGCGCCGGAUACAAUAACCCCGGCCAGGCCGAACACAGCAGACAACGCUCUCUCGAGCUGCGUCGUGAUAUUGCUCAAUACAGAGGCACCGCACACCCGCUAUGCUUCACUAACAAAGUAAUGGAUCAUCAAAUCCCUGAAGGGUUUAAACCCGUAAACAUCGAAUCCUACGACGGCACAACAGACCCUGCGGUUUGGAUUGAAGAUUAUCUCCUCCACAUCCAUAUGGCCCGCGGCGACGAUCUCCAUGCCAUCAAGUACCUCCCACUCAAGCUUAAAGGACCAGCUCGGCAUUGGCUUAACAGCUUGCCCGCAGAGUCAAUCGGGUGUUGGGAAGACCUGGAAGCCGCAUUCCUCGACAAUUUCCAGGGCACGUAUGUGCGGCCACCAGACGCCGAUGACCUAAGCCACAUAAUUCAGCAGCCAGAGGAAUCGGCCAGACAAUUCUGGACACGGUUCUUGACAAAGAAAAACCAAAUCGUCGACUGUCCGGAUGCAGAGGCCCUCGCAGCCUUCAAACAUAACAUCCGCGACGAGUGGCUAGCCCGACACCUGGGACAGGAAAAGCCGAAAUCUACGGCAGCACUCACAUCAUUAAUGACCCGCUUUUGCGCGGGAGAGGAUAGCUAGCUAGCUCGCAGCAACAACCUCAAUAAAAAUUCUGGCAGUCUGGAUACUAAGGACCACAACGCAGGUCAUGUCAAAACAAAAACAAACGCCGCAUUAACGGCGAUGAUAAGGAGGAUACGGCAGUCAACGCCGGAUUCCGAGGCUCUAAACCCAGUCAGCGGAAGAAGCCAUUCAAAUGAACCACUCCGGGUCCGUCCAACUUGGUCCGAAUACUCGACCGCUUAUGCCAGAUACAUGGCACCCCUGAAAAGCCAGCCAGUCACACCAACAGAGAUUGCUGGGUGUUCAAGCAGGCAGGCAAGUUAAUUGCCGAAAACAAUGACAAGGGGCUAAACAGCGACGACGAGGAGGAGACCCGACCGCCGAACAAUAGAGGACAGAAGGGUUUCCCCCCGCAAGUGCGGACGGUGAACAUGAUUUACGCAACCCAUAUACCCAAGAGGGAGAGGAAGCGCGCACUAAGGGACGUCUAUGCGAUGGAGCCAGUCGCCCCGAAAUUCAAUCCAUGGUCCUCUUGCCCAAUCACUUUCGAUCGAAGAGACCAUCCGACUAGCAUACGCCAUGGUGGAUUCACCGCAUUGGUUUUAGACCCAAUCAUCGAUGGAUUUCACCUCACGAGAGUCCUGAUGGACGGCGGUAGUAGCCUGAACCUGCUUUACCAGGAUACAGUGCGCAAGAUGGGCAUAGAUCCCUCAAGGAUUAAACCUACAAAGACAACCUUUAAAGGUGUCAUACCAGGUGUGGAAGCCAAUUGUACGGGCUCAGUCACACUGGAAGUGGUCUUCGGAUCCCCGGAUAAUUUCCGGAGCGAAGAGUUAAUCUUCGACAUAGUCCCAUUUCGCAGCGGCUAUCACGCUCUGCUCGGACGAACCGCGUUUGCAAAGUUCAAUGCGGUGCCGCAUUAUGCAUACCUCAAGCUCAAGAUGCCAGGCCCUCGUGGAGUCAUCACGGUCAACGGAAAUACGGAACGCUCCCUCCGAAUGGAGGAACAUACAGCGGCUCUCGCGGCAGAAGUAUAGAGCAGCCUUUUAAGGCAAUUUUCGAGUCCGGCCAUUAAACGGCCAGAUACAGCAAAACACGCCCGAAGCAAUACCAACCAAGACAACCUGGCACGAUCAGAGCACGCGUAGCAAUGCGGCCCUAACCCCCGCCCUCGCAUGAUUGCAAGAACAACCCUCCGCGUACAUAAUUACGCUCUGGAGAUACCAUGGACACAGGGGAAGGGGCACAAUCACAAUGGACCCAGAGUGCGGCUCGACCACACCAGGGGCUCGCAACCCUUUUUUAUUAUUAUUUUCCUUCUUUGUAUACACAGGACUCCGUUAACCAGAGGCCCUGUCCGGCGGUGAACCUACCGAACUCUCGAUGCAACAGCCAGGGAAGAAAGAAGGCUGCGACGAACACUCAGGUGGUCUCAAUUACGAGCAUUAAAUUCGAUUAUAUACACCAAGCACGCAGCUCAUCCCUGGAGGGGGACAUGUUUAAUUAGUCCAAAUCCCUUGCUUACCGCACUAUUCGUAUCAGUCCGCACUCAUAGCAGACUUCAUUUAAUAAAUAAUGCAUCACUUUUCGACUGCAAUUACAUUAUUUUCUAUACAUAUAUGUUCAUUACAGGACAUCUUGCACCCGUAUAUUUUGGUGCAGUUUAAUACACCAGGAGCUUAUGUUCCCCAAAUUAUGGUGUGAUAAGUCCGAACACUUUCAUAAGUGCGGCACCCCGAACUUAUAGCAUUAUAUGAAUCGGCUCCGAAUCAUGUCUUGGGUCAAUAGUUGGGUUUGCCCGGCUCCCAUGUUUUGGUGCAUUACGUUCCGUUCUGUCGGCUAAGGUGGCACUGGGAGAACCACUGCGAUUGCGCCCCGGUUGAGCCGGGCGAGCGCCUCAGUGGAGAAAGCUAAAACGGACUGGCAUGAUAAGGCGAGAGACUGGUCGCUGUUCGAGAGGUCCUUUCGGGUCCUUCAAGACUCACGCCGCUUCGAGCGAAGUUCCGGAUAAAUGUCCGACGAAGGCGUGGAUAGCGCCCCGGAUUCGGUCUUCCGAAUACCAGGGGCUUCGCCGAAAUUUAUAAUUAUAGAAUUCUAUGGCUAAGUGAGAGUGUUCAAGCAUUAUAAGUCCGGUUGCCCUUGUUCGUUGUGUUGAGCGCCUCCCUAGAUGGACCCAAAAACGGGAACAAGAGUGCUCAAGUUUAUCCCGAACACCCCAGCACUCGCGGCUCGGGGGCUGAAGCCAACGACUUGCCAUCUCUCAGAUUUUAUAAACGGCCGCACAGAAGGUAAUAUUUUAAAUUAAACAAGCGUUGCUUAAUGCGCAUAUGAACAAAGUUUUCAGCACAUAGGAUAAUACAUAGCGAGUUUACUCAAAAAUUACAUCUCUGGGGCAUUCAUCUGCAAUAUCGCGGGCUCCCUUCAGGACAAUUUUAUAAUACAUUUCGGGCGUGCGAUACUCCUUGCCCGGUGGCGGCGGGUCAGUGAGAAGCUUCUCCGCAUCCAGCCUGCCCCAGUGCACCUUUAUGCGGGCAAGGGCCCAACGGGCACCUUCAAUACAGGCGGAGCGCUUGAUGACCUCCACCCAGGGGCACGCAUCCACCAGCCGCCGCACGAGGCCGAAGUAGCUCCCAGGCAUGGCCUGUCCAGGCCAUAGCCGGACUAUAAGGCCCUUCAUGGCCUCCUCAGCUACCUUGUGGAGUUCGACCAGCUGCUUCAGCUGGUCGCUUGGGGGCACCGGAUGGCCAGCCUCAGCGUACUGAGACCAGAAGACCUUCUCCGUCGAGCUCCCCUCCUCGCCAUGAUAGAAUGCGGUGGCAUCGGACACACUACACGGCAGAUCUGCAAACGCCCCUGGAGAGCUCCGAAUGCGGGUAAGUGUCAGGUAGUUUACAUUAACAUGCUUGGUUUGCAUGAAAAAUGCCUUACCCACCGCUAUCUUCUUUACAUCUUCAACCUCCUGAAGGGCCUUACGGGCCUCGGCCUUGGCGGACUUGGCACUUUCUAGAGCCGAGGCAAGCUCGGACUCUCGAGUCUUGGAGUCAUGCUCCAAGCUCUCAUGCUUCUCCAUGAGAGCCUGGAGCGCUUGCCGUACUUCCGCCACCUGCGCCUCCUGCUUUUCUCGCUCUGCCCGUUCCGCGGCCGCACUGCGUUCGGCCGCGGACACAGCCUCCUUCAGGGAUGCCACCUCGUUCGUGGCCCCUGCAAUACCCAUAUUAUCCUCGUCAAUUUUAUUGCAACCAAAAUCCUUUUCUGUAAGGUAAUUAUUCGAAGUGGUGUUACUCACCUUCUUUGUCCUCGAGCUGCUUCUUGGCAUGGCCGAGCUCUUGCUCGGACCGCUCGAGAUCCUGCUUCAACGCACCGACCUCCGCAGUCAGUGCGGCAGAGGUCAGCAGCGCAGCCUGCAAACCCAUAUUGACAUAUUUUAAGCAACCCUGCGUAUAUCUUCUUGGAUCCUCAGUCCCGCUUUUCUUUCCGAACACCGAACUGAGCAUCAGGGGCUCCUGUCUAUGCGGUAUUACAUUACACAAUUAUAACUUCUUACCUCAAAGCCUGUUAGAAGGCUGCUGCAGGCUUCGGUCAGCCCGCUCUUGGCGAGCUAAACCUUCUGAAUCACCGCACUCAUAAUAGUGCGGUGUUCUUCCUCGAUGGAAGCGCCUUUAAGCUCCUCCAACAAGUUGUCCGGCGCCUCCAGUUGGACGGAGGCCGCCGGUGUCACAGUCUUGCCCUUCUUUCAAAGGGGCCGCCUGCCGGACUCUGGAACCGCCGCAGGUUCCGAUGUAGAGUCCAGCGCAAAGUCCGGGAGGCUGCCUGGCGGCGCCUCCGGAGCCUCCUCCUGAUGGGUCCCUCUCUGGGAUCCCACCUCGGCGUCCUCAUCAGCGCGAGGGGUAGAGGCAGUCGGAAGUGAAUCCACAUCCGACGGGGCCAAUGACCCGCUCGAUGAAGCGGGGAGAUCAUCAUCGGCCGGACUGCGGGCAGAAUGCGGCAUUAGUAGGACACUAGGUGACGCGAAAAAAUUGCAUAUCAGGGAUCCGGAUACUUACGAUCUCGCCGGAGGCCUGGCCCUUGAAGGCCACUCCUCCUCGCCAACGAUGGUGUUGGCAGAACUGUCCGGGGGAAUAGUUCUCCCCCUCUUGGACCCUUCGGCCUCCCCUAUUGGGGAAGCCUUCCUCUUCCUCUCUCCCUCCUCCGGGAGAGAGUCUUCUUCCUCCUCCUCGUCUUCGGGGGAGGAGUCCGCCUCGUCAUCGGACGCUUGAUUACGGGAACUCUUUCGAGUCCCCGUGGCCACCUUCUUUGCCUUCUUCUCCGGCACCACGUGCGGUGCCGGAACCAGCAGCCCUGCUAGACGGGCGUUCACUGGGUUUUCUGGCAUGGGAGCCGGACAGAUGAGCUGCCCGGCCUUCUCCAUCCAUUCCUGUCAAAAGGAAAAGAGAGAUUGAAACCCUCUUAGAAUCAAUUUGUUUACUACAAGUGUCCCGUAAAGGGGUUGAAUCACUUACCUCAUCAGCUGGAUGCUGCGAGCAAAAUCCGCGAUCUUCCGUCGCGGAUGCGGGGGCUUCGGCGCCCUUAAACAGCACUCUCCAGGCGCCUUCAUACGUCGUGUCGAAGAUCCCGCUUAGCGCCUGGUGCUGUUCCGGAUUAAACUCCCAUAGAUUGAAUGCCCGUUCUUGGCAUGGAAAAUCCGGCGGAUGAGCAUGACUUGGACCACGUCGACGAGCCUGAGCUUAUUGUUCACCAGCUUCUGGAUAUAGGCUCGGAGUCCCAUCAGCUCCUUCGGAUUGCCCCACAACAAGCCCUUCUCUUUCCAGGAGGUGAGCUGCGUGGGGAUGCCAGAUCUGAAAUCGGGGGCCGCCGCCCACGUGGGUUUGCGCGGCUCGGUGAUGUAGAACCACCCCGAUUGCCACCCCUUAACGGAGUCCACGCAGGCCCCUUCGAGCCAAAGGACGUUGGGCAACUUGCCCAACAUGGCGCCUCCGCAUUCCACUUGCGUGCCCUUCACAACCUUCGGCUUGACGUUGAAGGUCUUGAGCCACAGGCCGAAGUGGGGCUGGAUGCAGAGGAAGGCCUCGCACACAACGAUAAACGCCGAGAUGUUGAGGAUGAAGUUCGGCGCCAGAUCAUGGAAAUCCAGGCCGUAAUAGAACAUGAGCCCUCGGACGAAAGGGUGCAGUGGAAAGCCCAGUCCGCGGAGGAAGUGGGGAAGGAAGACGACCCUCUCAUGGGGCCCAGGGGUAGGGAUGAGCUGUCCCUCGUCGGGCAGCCAGUGCGCAAUAUCGCUGGAAAGGUAUCCGGCAUUGCGCAACUUGGUGAUGUGCUCCUCCUUGACGGUGGAAGCCAACCACUUGCCUCCCCCUCCGGACAUGGUCGGGGAAGGUUAAAACGAGAUGCGCGAGCUUGGGCGUUGGAGCUUGAGUGGGCGGAGGUGGAUGAGCAAAGGAGGAAGAAGGCGUGGGUGAAAAGGUGAAUCCUUAUCCCUUAUAUAGGCAGGGCGAAAACUAUGCGCUCCCCACCAGCCUGGUAAAACUCGCCUAUCUCCCAAGUGCCACCAUCAAUGGCGCGGUUGGGUUACCCACGUCCGUAUUGAUGAGAAUCCCGGAAUAAGGGGAGCACGAUCUCUACUUCGACAAGACGUGCCAAGGAAACCGCUUCGCUAAACGUGUUGAGGUGGUAUAAUAAAAAAUGAUUCAAUUAAAGGCCUGGUAGCGGUGUGAUCUCAUGCCGCAUAAUACGUCAGCAGAUUGGACUUGUGUACAUUUUAUUCUCUCUACGGUGGAAUGUGGAAUUUAUUUUGCAGAGCCGGACAUUAUCCUGGUGUUCAUGAUCUUCUCUAGAUUAUUCAAGGGAGGAACCCGCCUUGCAAUGCCAAACAUUAUGCGCGCCGGACUUAUUGUCAUUGAAGCCUGGUUUAGGGGCUACUGAGGGAGUCCUGGAUUAGGGGGUGUCCGGACAACCGGACUAUCAUCGUCCGCUGGACUCCAAGACUACGAAGAUACAAGAUUGAAGACUUCGUCCCGUAUCCGGAUGGGACUUUCCUUGGCGUGGAAGGCAAGCUUGGCAAUACGGAUAUGUAGAUCUCCUACCAUUGUAACCAACUCUGUGUAACCCUAGCCUCCUCCGGUGUCUAUAUAAACCGGAGGGCUUUAGUCCGUAGGACACAACAUACAUUACAACAAUCAUACCAUAGGCUAGCUUUAGGGUUUAGCCUCCUUGAUCUCGUGGUAGAUCCACUCUUGUACUACCCAUAUCAUCAAUAUUAAUCAAGCAUGACGUAGGGUUUUACCUCCAUCGUGAGGGCCCGAACCUGGGUAAAACAUCGUGUCCCUUGUCUCCUGUUACCAUCCGCCUAGAUGCACAGUUCGGGACCCCCUACCCGAGAUCCGCCGGUUUUGACACCGACACCACGGUUGAAGAUCGCAGUUAGCCUGAAGUCUUUAUAAUUCGCAGAUCUUGUGGGCACUUGGCAGAUUACACCCUUGAGCAAAUCAAACUUGGUAUCAUGUUGGAUACUGUAAGAUUCUGAGUAUUCUAGGCUGCGAUGCCAAAGCAAUGUAGUGUUAAUCGAAGGAAGGGGGAUCAAUCGCCGGGUGUAGACCUCCACGAGCAUCCAGUUGCCGCGACCGUCGACGAGCACCAUCCAAGACGUGUUCAUGCUGACCGAGUACAUACCGUCAAUGUAGUUGAGGGUGACGGUGAUCGGAUCGCAGUCAAGGGGGUUGAUGCUCGCCACCCUACGAUUGUUAUGCUGCGUGACACGCCGUUUCUGAAGAUCAGGCGGCAUCAGCAAGCAAGGAGCUAGCUUAAAAAUCUCUGGCCUGAGGUCUUUGAGUAAAAGGUACAGCCCCGACAAGCACGCAGCGAGCGGCAUGGUACUGAGAUUGUCCACAUGCGAAAAAAUGAGCUUGAUUACCUCUAUGGGGAGUGAAUUCUAGCCACUCUUUCGGCGUACGCUGCUUGGUUCUGCCAUUGUUAGUGCUUGGGUUUCAGACGAGGGGGGAGGCGCCUUAGCGGGGAUGGAAGAUUGGACAAGAUUAUGUGCGGACAAAGAUGGAGAAGCGAAUAUGUUCUACGGGAAGUGGACAUGUGAUGAUGACUAUGAUGACCCACAAGUAUAGGGGAUCUAUCGUAGUCCUUUCGUUAAGUAAGAGUGUCGAAACCAAUGAGGAGCAGAAGGAAAUGACAAGCGGUUUUCAGUAAGGUAUUCUCUGCAAGCACUGAAAUUAUAGGUAACAGAUAGUUUUGUAAUAAGAUAAUGUGUAAUGGGUAACAAGCAAUGAAAGUAAAUAAAGUGCAGCAAGGUGGCCCAAUCCUUUUUGUAGCAAAGGACAAGCCUGGACAAUUUCUUAUAAUGAGAAAAGCGCUCCCGAGGACACAUGGGAAUUAUCGUCAAGCUAGUUUUCAUCAUGCUCAUAUGAUUCGCGUUUGGUACUUUGAUAAUUUGAUAUGUGGGUGGCCGGUGCUUGGGUACUGCCCUUACUUGGACAAGCAUCACACUUAUGAUUAACCCCUAUUGCAAGCAUCCGCAACUACAAAAGAAGUAUUAAGGUAAACCUAACCAUAGCAUGAAACUAAUGGAUCCAAAUCAGCCCCUUACGAAGCAACGCAUAAACUACGGUUUAAUAUUCCGCCACUCUAGCAACCCAUCAUCUACUUAUUACUUCCCAAUGCCUUCCUCAAGGCCCAAAUAAUGGUGAAGUGUCAUGUAGUCGACGUUCACACAACACCACUAGAGGAGAGACAACAUACAUCUCAUCAAAAUAUCGAACGAAUACCAAAUUCACAUGACUACUAAUAGCAAGACUUCACCCAUGUCCUCAGAAACAAACAUAACUACUCACAAAGCAUAUUCAUGUUCAUGAUCAAAGGAGUAUUAAUAUGCAUUAAGGAUCUGAACAUAUGAUCUUCCACCAAGUAAACCAAUUAGCAUCAACUACAAGGAGUAAUCAACACUACUAGCAACCCACAGGUACCAAUUUGUGGUUUUGAUACAAGAUUGGAUACAAGAGAUGAACUAGGGUUUUGAGAGGAGAUGGUGCUGGUGAAGAUGUUGAUGGAGAUUGACCCCCUCCCGAUGAGAGGAUCGUUGGUGAUGAUGAUGGUGAAGAUUUCCCCCUCCCGGAGGGAAGUUUCCCCGGUAGAACAGCUCUGUUGGAGCCCUAGAUUGGUUCUGCCAAGGUUCCGCCUCGUGGCGGCGGAGUUUCGUCCCGUAAGCUUGCUUAUGAUUUUUUCCAGGGUAAAAGCCUUCAUAUAGAAGAAUAUGGGCACCAGAGGGCCACUAGGGGGCCCAGGAGACAGGGGUGCGCCUAGUAGGGGUGGGCGCACCCCCACCCUCCUAGCCAGGGUGUGGGCCCCCCUGGUAAUUUCUUUGCUCAAUAAUUCUUAUUAAUUCCAAAAGUGACUUCCGUGGAGUUUCAGCAUUUUUGGAGCUAUGCAGAAUAGGUUUCCAAUAUUUGCUCCUUUUCCAGCCAGAAUUCCAGCUGCCGGCUUUCCCCCUCUUCAUGGUAAACCUUGUAAAAUAAGAGAGAAUAGCCAUAAGUAUUGUGACAUAACAUGUAAUAACAACCCAUAAUGCAAUAAAUAUUGAUAUAAAAGCAUGAUGCAAAAUGGACGUAUCAACUCCCCCAAUCUUAGACCUCGCUUGUCCUCAAGCGGAAGCCACAAUCGAAAAAUAUGUCCACCUGUUUAGAGAUAGAGGUGUCGAUAAAAAUAGAAUACGGACAUGAGGGCAUCAUGAUCAUUCUUAUAACAACAACAUAUAUAGAUUUUGUCAUAUGAUUUCUUAUGCUCAAGUAACAAUCAAUUCACUAUGUCAAGUAUGGUUCAGAAACUUCAUUGAGAACUAACAAACUAUAAUCUCAGUCAUUGAAGCAAUUGCAAUUUAUCAUAACAUUGGAAAGAGUCAAGAAUAGAGCUUUUCAGCAAGUCCACAUACUCAACUAUCAUAUAGUCUUCUACAAUUGCUAACACUCAUGCAAUACUUGUGGUUAUGGAGUUUUAAUCGGACACUGAGAAAGAUAGGGGCUUAUAAGGUUGCCUCCCAACGUAUUCACCUUUGGGUGAUGUCAACAAUAAUACUUCAUGCUAACUUACAUCCAAUUGGAUAUAUGUAUCAGGAUCUUUCCAACACGAGGUGCUUGCCAAAGGAUAAAAUGAAAAAGGGAAAGGUGAAGAUCACCUUGACUCUUGCAUAAUGUAAAGACAUAAAGUAAAAGAUAGGCCCUUCGUAGAGGGAAGCAGAGGUUGUCAGGUGCUUUUAGGGUUGGAUGCACAAAAUCUUAAUGCAAAAGAACGUCACUUUAUAUUGCCACUUGUGAUAUGAACCUUUAUUAUGCAGCCCGUCGCUUUUAUUACUUCCAUAUCACAUGAUCGUAUAAAGCUUAUUUUCUCCGCACUAAUAAGUCACACAUAUUUAGAGAGCAAUUUUUAUUGCUUGCAACAUGACAACUUACUUGAGGGAUCUUACUCAAUCCAUAGGUAGGUAUGGUGGACUCUCAUGGCAAAAUUGGGUUUAAGGAUAUUUGGAAGCGCAAGUAGUAUCUCUACUUGGUGCAAGGAAUUUUGGCUAGCAUGAGGGGGAAAGGCAAGCUCAACAUGUUGGGAAGAUCAAUGACAAUAUACUUUAGCUGAGAUGUGAGAAAACAUAAACCAUUAUGUUCUCUUCCUUGUCCAACAUCAACUCUUUAGCAUGUCAAACUUAAUGAGUGCUCAUAAUCAUAAAAGAUGUCCAAGAUAGUAUAUUUAUAUGUGAAAACCUCUCUUUCCUUAUUACUUCCUAUUAAUUGCAAUGAUGACAAAAACUAUGUUUGUCAACUCUCAACAACUUUUAUGCCUCAUACUUUCUAUAUGUGAAGUCAUUACUAUCCAUAAGAUCAAUAUGAACUCGUUUAUUCUUUUUAUUCUUUCUAUUUUCUCAAGAUCAAAGCAAGAUAGCAAAGCCCUUGACUCAACACUAAUCUUUAUUAUAGAUAGCUCACAGACUCGAUUACAUAAAGAGAUCACAAAGCAAAACCCAAAACUAAUUCAUACCAAAACUUCAGUCUACUAGAUCAAGAUAUUACUAAAAGGAUCGAACUAAGUAAAACGGUAAAGAUAGGAGUGUGAUGGUGAUACGAUACCGGGGCACCUCCCCCAAGCUUGGCAGUUGCCAAGGGGAGUGCCCAUACCCAUGUGAUUAUGUCCUCGGAGGUGAUGGAGGUGGUGAAGAUGAUGGUGGAUAAUCGCACAUCGAGCGUAAAAGCUCCUCCAACUUGUGGAUGAUGCCCUUGAGUCCGACAAUAUGAUCCUUCAACAAAAUAUUUUCCUGCGUGAGAUACUUGUUUUGUAUGCGAGCUAACUCAAUCAUCUUGAAAGCUUCAAUCUCAGUUGGAGUAAAGAGGUUAGGUAGAGGUUGAGGGAUGUCUUCUUCUUCCAUCGCCGGAGCUUGAUCCUCCAUGGCCUUCUUGAUCUCUUCAUCCUUGUUGAUCUCCUCCGGUUCUUCUCUUUUCAGCUCUAUCUUCAAUAUCCAAGCAUCCUUGUCUUCAUUGUUGAAGGAGGGUGACAUCAUGAUGCUCUAGAUCUGUCAGAAAAACAACUCGAAACAAAAACAGAGGAUAUUUGCAUGAUACGGUGGUCAAAACCUUCGGGAGAUUAUAUAAUGAAUUUUUACCAACCAAAAUACCUAACAUGCAAUAAAACGGAGUCUGGGAGGCACACGAGGUGGCCACGAGACAGGGGGCGCGCCCUCCACCCUCGUGGAGGCCUCAUGUCCUUCCCGGAUUACUUCUUUCUUCCCGAAAUUCUUAAAUAUUCCAAAACGGAAGAAAAUUGCCAUUAGAGUUGUUUUGGAGUUGGUUUACUUACCGUACCACAUACCUAUUCCUUUUCGGAGUCUGAAACAUUCUGGAAAGUGUCCCUUAUGUAUUCCUCCGGGGUUACGGUCUCAAUAAUAACUUCAAGAGGAAACACCGGUUGAAAUCAUUGAGGAAAGAAAGCAAAGACUUCACACGAGUAGGAAGGAUACUCCGGCUCCGAGAAGGAAAUGGGUGGGCGGGUGGGAAAAACAAAGACAACUUCGGAUAGGGAAAACAACGAUGUCAGAGGAAGAGCUGAGGAUUGAUCUCGCGAAAUACAAAGAGUUUCGAGUCGACUUGACGAGAGAUGCACCGGACAAAAGAGGAUGGACAACUCACGAAACUAAGCGCGUGAUCCUAAAGAAAAAUUUGAAGGGAAGAGGAGUAGUUCAAAACACCUACGUCAAGAUUCCUCACCAGAGCGACGAAGGGGGCUGAGGAGUAAAAAUAAUUCCUACUCUCCGGUAUAACUAAACUCCGAAAAUGGUUUUCUUCUCGACUCGACAACGGCCAAACUACACGAUCAAUCAAGGGGGGCUCCUAAGGUUGGUCGAGGCUCUGAUACCAACUUGUCACGCCCAAUAUGCGAUACUAUCCUAAAGAGACUCGAAGGUCCCACCAAAGAUAGAACCGCAUAUUGAAACACUUUUGCAAGGUGGAUAUCAUUACAUCAACAUUACAUAAUAGAUGGGGAUACAUACAAGAGGCAUACAAUGCCACACGAAUACAACAUCACAAUACAUGAGACCAUCAUUCGACUACGGAUGAAAACACAAACAGAAAAUCAAUGACAUCCACCCUGCUAGCCCAGGCUGCCGACCUUGAACCUAUCCCCUGAUCGAAGAAGAAGCAGAAGAAGAAACUCCAAAACAAGCAACAUCGCUCUCGCAUCAAGAUCAUCGCAUAACCUGUACCUGCAACUAUUGUUGUAGUAAUCUAUGAGCCACAAGGACUCAGCAAUCCCAUUACCAUGGGUAUCAAGACUAGCAAAGCUUAAUGGGAAAGGAAGGGGUAAAGUGGUGAGGUUGCAGCAGCAACUAAGCAAGUAUGGUGGCUAACAUACGCAAAUAAGAGCGAGAAGAGAACAAACGGAACGGUCGUGAAGCUAGUAAUGAUCAAGAGGUGAUCCUGAACUCCUACUUACGUCAAACAUAACCCAAAACCGUGUUCACUUCCCGGACUCCGCCGAGAAGAGACCAUCACGGCUACACACGCAGUUGAUGCGUUUUAAUUCAGAUCUGGUGUCAAGUUAUCUACAAUCGUACAUUAACAAAUUCCCAUCUGCCACAUAACCGCGGGCACGGCUCUCGAAAGUUUAUACCCUGCAGGGGUGUCCCAACUUAGCCCAUGAUAAGCUCUUGCGAUCAACGAAGGAUAUUCCUUCUCCCAGGAAGACCCGAUCAGUCUCGGAAUCCCGGUUUACAAGACAUUUCGACAAUGGUAAAACAAGACCAGCAAAGCCGCCCGAUGCGCCGACAAUCCCGAUAGGAGCUGCACAUAUCUCGUUCUCAGGGAAACACCGGAUAAGUCAAGCUACGAGUAAAACCAGACCUCGAGUUUCCCCGAGGGGGCCCCGCAGGCUGCUCGGUUCGGACCAGCACUUAGAGAAGCACUGGCCCGGGGGGGGCUAAAAUAAAGAUGACCCUUGGGUUAAUUACUCCCAAGGGAAAGGUAUAGGUGGUAGGCAAAUGGUAAAACCAAUGUUGGGCCUGCUGGAGGAGUUUUAUUCAAGGCGAACUGUCGAGGGGGUCCCAUAAAUCACCCAACCGCGUUAGGGACGCAAAAUCCGGGAACAUAAUACCGAUAUGACGAAAACUAGGGCGGCAAGAGUGGAACAAAACACCAGGCAUAAGGCCGAGCCUUCCACCCUUUACCAAAUAUAUAGAUGCAUUAAUAAUAUAAGAGAUAUUGUGAUAUCCAAACAUAAUCCUGUCCACCAUGGAGCAAUCUUCAACUUCACCUACAACUAACACGCUAUAAGAGGGGCUGAGCAAAGCGGUAACAUAGCCAAACAACGGUUUUCUAGGAAGGGUGAAAAAGGUUAGAGGAUGACAUGGAAAAUUGGGAGGCUUGAAGAACAGGUGAUAGGAAGCGCAGCAUAGCGAUAGAACGAAGCAACUAGCAUAGCAAUGAUAGUAAUGAGAUCCAAGGUGACGGUCAUCUUGCCUGAAAUCCCGCAAGGAAGAAGAACGAGUCCAUGAAGAAGACGAACGGAUGAAGACGAACCAAGCGUAGACGAAUGAAUCCUCACGACCGCAACGAAGCGGGAACUAUCGAGAAGAAGCACACAACAUAGUAAACACACCACACAUGAACAAGGCAUGAUGCUGAACCAAGUAUGAUGCAUGACAAGGCUACAUGAAGCUACUCAUGGCAAGAGAUGAUGCAUACAGGAGCAACACAUCAAGGCAAGUUUAAAUGAGGCCGGAAGCAACAUAUAACAAUUCCGGUAAGUCCUCAUAUGCAAAUUUAGAAAUUGGUCCGGAACUAAAUAAACCUUAAGUUGAAGUUGUUAAACAGCAAGUUAAGAUGCACCAAGAUGAUCUAGACGAGAUUCUAGUCAAGUUACAUAUAAAGUUCAUUUAAUUCGGAGCUACGACCUAGAAGAUACGAGCAAAACAAGUUAAACAUGGCAUUGAUGCAAAAUGCAUACAAACAUCAAGCAAACACCUCAAAACGAGGAUGCAACAAGAUAAUAUGAAACUACAUGCAAUUCUAAGCAAGUUUCAUAUAGAGCUCACUCAAAACGGAGCAACGGUUCAACACUUACACUCUAUAUAAGUUCAAAGGACAAGCUGUCCAAAACAGCAACUAGGCUUCUAGUAAGCAUCAAAACAAUAUGCUACAGCACCUUAACAUAAGAACAAAAGGCAUGGACACGAAUUACAGGUAAAGCAUGAAAAAACAUGAACACUGAGCUAUCUCCAGAAAACACAAUAACAUGCUCAAAAGGACAUGGCAAGAUUGCAAAUAAUAAUAGUUUCAGACUUAGCAGAAAAUAACAUCAGGUUGCAAUAUUUAGAGCUAUCAAACAACAUGUUAUAGGAACUUAACAUGGCAAAAAAAGCACGGCAUGCUAGUACUAAAGUCAAAGAACAAAACUCCCUUACUGAACUAAUUCCAAAGAUCAACAGAAAAGAUGGAAUCAUCCAUGCAAACAUGGCAAAUGAUAUGACAGAUUCAUACAUGGCAGAAACAACAAUAAGUAGGCAUGUUGGUGAGCUUGUACCACUCACCACAGAGCAACACAUGACAUGAAAAGGUGACCAACAGUAAUAAGACAAGUUUUGAAAGCUAAGCAUGGCAAGAUCAAGUUCAUAGGGUGCAUGGAUCACUAGCAAAACACAUGGCAAAACUGAACUUAAUGUUAACAGGCUGACAGCAACAUUAUUUAUCAAUUUGAGAGCAAGAUUACAACAAGCUACAGCAGGCUAUAAAUGCAACCAAUGGCAUGGAUGGAUAUAGAAUGACAUGUAUAACAAAACAUCCUUAGUGAACAUCUCCAGAUAAUGCAUAGAAUGACUUGUAGCAGCAGGUUUACAUAGCAUCAUGUUAUAGCAGAUUCAGACUAGCAAAACAGUAACAACAAGUACCCUACUUCACGAGCUCGAUGCACUCACUAAAAGACUCAAACAAAUACAUGGAUGGCACCACUGUAAGGAUGGCAUGAUUUAGCACAAAACACAUGUAGAGCUCAUGCUCAUAGGAUGCACACACAAAAUGCAACGAAAAAGACAAAACAACAAGUUAUAACAGUUUCAGCAGGUUAACAUCAUAUAGCACUCUUGCAACGAUGAUUAGGGCAUCAAGAUGGACUCAAAUGAACAUGACACAAUGGAAUGAAAUAUAGAGCAUCUCAUAAUGCACAUUUUGACAUAUCAUAUGCAUGAAACGGGGCAGCACACAUGAAGUUAUAGCACAAUGAAUAUGGCAUUAGAAUGCAAAAAAACUUCAGGACAGGAAUUUUCGGGGUCAACCUUGUUCAGAUCUGGAUCGGGCACGGUUCUCGAGGUUCGCCAGAGAUGUUGGGGAAGAAGAAGGAGGCGGACGGAGGAGAAGGGGCCGGCGGGGUCGAGGAGGAGGCCGGCCGGCGGAAGAGCGAGGGCGAGGCGCCGUGGCGGGGCGGCACCGGCGCCGGCGCUCGGCGGCGGAGCGGAUCAGGGCGGCGAAGAGGAUCAGGGCGGCGACGCGCACCGGCACGGACGCCGAGGCAGCGGCGCCGGCCGGCGAGGUCCAAGGGGCGGCGCGAGGAGGCGUCGAUGGCGGCGAUGGCGGAGGGAGGCGCGGCGGCGGCGACCAUGGUGAAGGCGGUNNNNNNNNNNNNNNNNNNNNNNNNNNNNNNNNNNNNNNNNNNNNNNNNNNNNNNNNNNNNNNNNNNNNNNNNNNNNNNNNNNNNNNNNNNNNNNNNNNNNNNNNNNNNNNNNNNNNNNNNNNNNNNNNNNNNNNNNNNNNNNNNNNNNNNNNNNNNNNNNNNNNNNNNNNNNNNNNNNNNNNNNNNNNNNNNNNNNNNNNNNNNNNNNNNNNNNNNNNNNNNNNNNNNNNNNNNNNNNNNNNNNNNNNNNNNNNNNNNNNNNNNNNNNNNNNNNNNNNNNNNNNNNNNNNNNNNNNNNNNNNNNNNNNNNNNNNNNNNNNNNNNNNNCCUCGGGCUCGGCGGGCCCGCGCGGGGCUGGCACGGUGGAGACGGCGGCGGCGGACAGGUGUCAUGCACGGGUUGGCCGGACGGUGGUGGCAGACAUGUCCGUCGGUGGCGGGGGAAACGUCCGGCGGCGCGAGGGGAAGGGGGCUAGGGUUUGGACUGCGCGAAAAAUCGGGGGGAUGCACAUAUAUAUAGGUAGAGGGAGCUAGGAGACUCCAAAUGAGGUUAUUGGGCGGGUUUGGAUGGGUUAUUGGGCCACUUUGGAGGGGUGUUGGGCUGCAACAAAAGAGGCUUUUACGGCUACCCUGUUAACCUUUGGAGCAUCAAACGACCUCCAAAUGGAACGAAACUUGACAGGCGGUCUACCGGUGGUGUACUAAGGCCGCUUGGCAAACCUCGGUCCAUUCCGAGAAUGUUUAACACCCGCUCACAACAGGAGACAAAAGGGAAACGUCGGAGGGCAUAGGAGUGUCGGAUUGCAAAACGGACAACAGGGAAAAUGCUCGGAUGCAUGAGAGAACACGUAUGCAAAAUGAGAUGCACAUGAUGACAUGAUAAAAUGCAACACGCAAGCAAAUGACAUGGCAAUGACGGCGAAUAACUGGAAGACACCUGGCGCACCGAAUCCGGGGUGUUACAUUACCGUACCACAUACCUAUUCCUUUUCGGAGUCUGAAACAUUCUGGAAAGUGUCCCUUAUGUAUUCCUCCAGGGUUACGGUCUCAAUAAUAUUAGUUUCAACAUUGAUAGGAUUACCUGAGAUAUAAUGUUUGAUUCUUUGACCGCUCACCACCCUCGGACUUGUGCCUUCAAACUUGUUGAUUUUUAUGGCACCGGAACAAUAGACCUCCUCAAUAACAUAAGGACCUUCCCAUUUAGAGAGAAGGUUUCUGCAAAAAAUCUUAAACGAGAGUUGAAUAGUAACACAUAAUCACCUACGUUAAACUCACGCUUUUGUAUCCUUUUGUCAUGCCAUCGUUUAACUUUUUCUUUGAACAGCUUGGCAUUCUCAUAGGCUUGAGUUCUCCAUUCAUCAAGUGAGCUAAUAUCAAAUAACCUCUUCUCACCGGCAAGUUUGAAGUCAUAGUUGAGCUCUUUAAUAGCCCAAUAUGCUUUAUGUUCAAGUUCAAGAGGUCUCCCAAACGCAUAAACUAGGGUUUAAGCUUCCGUCACUCUAUCAACCCAUCAUCUACUUAUAACUUCCCAAUGCCUUCCUCUAGGCCCAAAUAAUGGUGAAUUGUCAUGUAGUCGACGUUCACACAACACCACUAAAGGAGAGACAACAUACAUCUCAUCAAAAUAUCGAACGAAUACCAAAUUCACAUGACUACUAAUAGCAAGACUUCACCCAUGUCCUCGGGAACAAACGUAACUACUCACAAAGCAUAUUCAUGUUCAUGAUCAGAGGAGUAUUAAUAUGCAUUAAGGAUCUAAACAUAUGAUCUUCCACCAAGUAAACCAAUUAGCAUCAACUACAAGGAGUAAUCAACGCUACUAGCAACCCACAUGUACCAAUUUGUGGUUUUGAUACAAGAUUGGAUACAAGAGAUGAACUAGGGUUUUGAGAGGAGAUGGUGCUGGUGAAGAUGUUGAUGGAGAUUGACCCCCUCUCGAUGAGAGGAUCGUUGGUGAUGAUGAUGGUGAUGAUUUCCCCCUCCCGGAGGGAAGUUUCCCCGGCAGAACAGCUCUGCCGGAGCCCUAGAUUGGUUGCGCCAAGGUUCCGCCUCGUGGCGGUGGAGUUUCGUCGCAUAAGCUUGCUUAUGAUUUUUUCCAGGGUAAAAGCCUUCAUAUAGCAGAAGAUGGGCACCGGAGGGCCACCAUGGGGCCCAGGAGAUAGGGGGCGCACCUAGUAGGGGUGGGCGCGCCCCCCACCCUCCUGGCUAGGGUGUGGGCCCCCUAUGGUAAUUUCUUCGCUCAGUAAUUCUUAUUAAUUCCAAAAGUGACUUCCGUGGAGUUUCAGGAUUUUUGGAGCUGUGUAGAAUAGGUUUCCAAUAUUUGCUCCUUUUCCAGCCAGAAUUCCAGCUGCCGGCAUUCCCCCUCUUCAUGGUAAACCUUGUAAAAUAAGAGAGAAUAGUCAUAAGUAUUGUGACAUAACGUGUAAUAACAGCCCAUAAUGCAAUAAAUAUUGAUAUAAAAGCAUGAUGCCAAAUGGACGUAUCAGACUGUAGCACGCUGCUUGACUUACGAGACACAUACCAGCAGCGUAGGGUCAUAUCAAUGCCAGACAACUUGCUUGAGUGAUCACAGUACUGGUACUCCCUACAGUACCUACUAUUAUGCCCUAACUUGCUUGAGUAGAGUAGUAGUGGGUAGAACUCUGCUCUACUACUAGCACCGGAGGAGUAGUAUAUUCUAAUCUAAAAUAGUUACAAACUUCAAUGCCCGAGCAUGGUUCUACGUCUUGAGCUUGCGUUGGUUUUCCUCGAAGAGGAGAGGGUGAUGCAUCAAUAGUAGUGUAAGUAUUUCCCUCACUUUUUGAGAACCAAGGUAUCAAUCCAGUAGGAGGCUCCUCAAAAGUCCCACACACCUACACAAACAAACAAAGAACUCGCAACCAAUGCAAUAAAGGGGUUGUCAAUCCCUUCAUGGCCACUUGCGAAACUGAGAUCUAAUAAAGAUAGUAAGAUAAGAUAAAUAUAUUUUUGCUAUUUUAUAAUAUAGAUGCAAAAAGUAAAGAUGCACAUAAAAGUAGAUUGGAAGCAAAUAUGAUAAGAGAUAGACCCGGGGGCCAUAGGUUUCACUAGUGGCUUCUCCCAAGAUAGCAUAGGUAUUAUGGUGGGUGAACAAAUUACUGUCGAGCAAUUGAUAGAAAAGUGAAUAAUUAUGAGAUUAUCUAGGCAUGAUCAUGUAUAUAGGCAUCACGUCCGUGACAAGUAGACCGACUCCUGCCUGCAUCUACUACUAUUACUCCACACAUCGACCGACUCCUACCUGCAUCUAGAGUAUUAAGUUCAUAAGAACAGAGUAACGCCUUAAGCAAGAUGACAUGAUGUAGAGGGAUAAACUCAUGGAAUAUGAUAUAAACCCCAUCUUGUUAUCCUUGAUGGCAACAAUGCAAUACGUGCCUUGCAACCCUUUCUGUCACUGGGUAAGGACACCGCAAGAUUGAACUCAAAGCUAAGCACUUCUCCCGUGGCAAGAAAGAUCAAUCUAGUAGGUCAAACCAAACUGAUAAUUCGAAGAGACUUGCAAAGAUAACUCAAUCAUACAUAAAAGAAUUCAGAGAAGAUUCAAAUAUUAUUCAUAGAUAAACUUGAUCAUAAACCCACAAUUCAUCGGAUCUCGACAAACACACCGCAAAAAGAGUUUACAUCGAAUAGAUCCACAAGAGAGGGGGAGAACAUUGUAUUGAGAUCCAAAAAGAGAGAAGAAGCCAUCUAGCUAAUAACUAUGGACCCGUGGGUCUGUGGUAAACUACUCACAACUCAUCGGAGGGGCAAGGAUGUUGAUGUAGAGGCCCUCCAUGGUCGAUUCCCCCUCCGGCAGAACACCGGUGAAGGCUCCAAGAUGGGAUCUCACGGAUACAGAAGGUUAUGAUGGUGGAAAUUGUGUUUCAUCUGCUCCCUGGAUGUUUUUGGGGUACGUAGGCUUAUAUAGGAGGAAGAAGUACAUCGGUGGACGCCCGAGGGGCCCACGAGACAGGGGGCGCGCCCUAUAGGGGGGCCCUCCUAUCUCGUGGGAGCCUCGGCUGCUUCUUAACUUGCACUCCAAGUCCUCUGGAUCACGUUCGUUACAAAAAUCACGCUCCCGAAGGUUUCAUUCCGUUUGGACUCCGUUUGAUAUUCCUUUUCUUCGAAAUACUGAAAUAGGCAAAAAAACAGCAAUAUGGGCUGGGCCUCCGGUUAGUAGGUUAGUCCCAAAAAUGAUAUUAAUGUGUAAAAUAAAGCCCAUAAACAUCCAAAAGGGGUAAUAUAAUAGCAUGGAACAAUCAAAAAUUAUAGAUACGUUGGAGAUGUAUCACAUGGAACGACUACGAACCGCCAUCGGUGAUAACUCCAAUCCCCAGCAAAAGUUCGCUAGGAGACAUGGCAGUUGCAAAUGCCCGCGAUGCAGUUACAGUACGUGUGUAAGGGUGGCGGUUUUGUAAAAUACUAUGGCUUAAAAACAGGCCACCGUCGGAUGGAAAUCUGACGGUUAUGUGGGAUUCUCCAGGAUUGAGCUCGUGCCGAACAAUCGCCAGAUAUCAUUACUAAAAAAAAGGUUAAAACACCCGGGGCUAUAACUUGCUCCGGCUGACCACUAACAAUGAUACUAACAUAGUUGUAAAAUGGUCAAAGACCAUGUCUACGUGGUGUUUGGAAUUAUAUGCAAAAAAAUUAGCAAGCUGUCCGUGCAUUGCACGGCACACCAUCACCACCAACUUGGUUUUUUCUCUAGUCCUACUCCUAUAAAAGACUCAGUUGGUGAUGAUGGAGGCGAGGAGGCGUGUUCAGCCGGGCAUGCAGCGGACAACGCAGUACUAUUUGAUUUGUUAUAAGAAAACAAAGAAGAGUAGUAGAGAUAGAGAUAAGAGUAGAGAUAGAGACUUAGGAAGGAGCACCAUCUACUGCUUCGUGCGCUACUCCUGCGCUUCAUUAGGCGGCAACAACGUCCCCUACAACCACUCCCUCCUGCGCUCCAUUUGGCGGGCGCUGUUGAAAUUUGGGGAGCGCACUCUCGUGACUGCUGGCAGCCACGACUUCACCGACAAAGACUUCUUCCCCGACCUCGGCAAACUCUUCCUCAACUACAUGGGCGACAACCUCAACGCCAACAGUGCUCCUCCCGUUGCACCAUAUGUGUUUUUGUCCUUCUUGUUCGAAAUCAUGGUAGAAUUCAUGUUUCUACUCUGUAUCCCACUAGAUUCUAUCUGUUCAUCUACUAUGCUAGUCCACAUGAUUAGUUUAAUCUCUGUUAUAGCCGUCAUAAUUUAUUUUGUGCUUAUUUGGAUUAAAUCUCGUAGUAACUUGCUCAUAUAUUCAACUGGCGCAACAUCCCCUAUAGCCACUCCCAUUUCAUGGAUGGCCUAGUCGAUGCCUCCAAGGAGCCCUUCGUCUACUUCUAUGAGUGCCCGAUGCCGUUUUGGGGCUCGCCGGGGGACAUCGUGCAUCACCUCACGGAUGCGUGCAACAUUCACUACUGGCCCUUGGCGGAGAACAUCAAGUAUAGACGUGCUACCCGUUCACCAUGCCGGGGUCGCUGGAGGAUCACUGCGGCCUGCUAGUCUCGGAGGAGGACGACAACGUCUUCCUCUUGAUCAUGGGCACCGGUGAGGCCCGCGCAGGCCGCCGCCCCGUCUUUGUAGUGUGUGUCAGGGGCGACGCCGCUGAUGCUGACACUAACACGAGGAUGAUGUAUGGGUGCGUGCUCAUUGUUACUACCCCUCCGAGGUACGUGGGCAGUGACACCGGCUCCAUCAUGCUGACUAGGACUGUGUAGAGCUGGAACUUCCCACCGAUGUGGACAUGGAAGACGCAUGGUAUGAUUUACCCCCCAAUGCGGUGCACAGGGACUCCAAUGAGGUUCACCUGGGAAUACUCAUUAUCAAGUUAAAUGUUGAUCAUUAGUCUUCGCUCUGUGUAAUCCGCUGUCUAAGCAUGUGAAGACUUCCAUGCAUGAUCUUGCUCUAUUGGAGUAUCGCGCAUGAAUAAAAGUGUAUCCAUUUAUAGUUUAGUCUAGAAUCUUCCUUGUAUGAAUUUUUACUACAGUACUGGUGAAAGACUUACUAUGAAACAUUUCUUACAUCUCCUCUGCCCCUUCCAAGUCAUCCUGAUUUAAUCCCUCCGUCUAGGUGUAUAAGGGCAUGGUUAAUACUUAAUAGUAUAGCCAACUAUUGACUAUAAGAAAGUGCCAUGUCAUCUGUAGCCAACAUGUAUAACAAUUGAUACUCAAAAACUAAUUCUUAAAGAUCAUUUCUCGCAAAGCACAAUAAGUGUUAUUUAUUCACAAGUUUUGGAUGCAGGUUGAACAGUUGAAUGCUUUUGUUUUCAAAAGAUACCUUUUUAUCUAUUUUACCCGGAUGUUUGUGAGCUCUAGAGAUGAAAUAAUAUCCGAAGAAACCUAUCGAUACCCAUUACACAUGAGAUGACCCCAACAUCCUUUGUCAAAAUAAACAACUCCCCGGUCAAUGCAUUUCACUCUUCCGUGCAACGCACGGGCACCUUACUAGUAUAGAUUAGUACGACCAAAAAUUGAACUAUCAUUAUAUAUAGUACAAUAAAUUCUUAUGCAUGUCACCUAAAGUUAUAUCAUUGAAAACUAUGUUCAAAUACGAAUCCAAUGAUAUAGUUUUUGUUGACAUGCAGGAACAUUUUGUGAGUUAAAUCUUCAGUCAAAUUCAAUGGGGGACUAAUAAACCAUGAACGAUGUAGACAAGUGUAGAGGGCGGCGCAGCACGGGAGUCUCACCCCGCUCGUGGCACGGCAGUAAAGCUGUCAUAUCACAAAACCCAACCACUGCCAGUAAUAAGUGGCUGGUAAAAUAAACGGACAAGCAACCAUCAAAUCCCUCCAUCUUUUUUGCAUUUCAUCUCUCUGCAUUUACUUUCUCCGGUUCAUCUCGCACACUCGAUCCCGAGCUACUACUCCUAGUAUCCCUAGCUACUACUCCUAGGGCCAGUUAUUUUGGCGGCUUAAAAAAUAAGCCAUCUAUUCCCCAGCUUUUCCCAUAAGACUAGUCACAGUGGAGAGUAACAUUAAGGCGCCCCUCCUUUAUUUGGGCUUCUAAACUACUACCAGUACCUCCGUCCUUGUUUAUUCAUCACCAUUGUAAUUUGUGCUAAAUUUUGACCAAAGAUUUAACUGAUAAAAUGUUAGUGCAUGUGACAUGCACAAACAUUUCAUUAGUUAAAUUUAUGAUCAAAAUUUGACACAAAUUACAAUGGGAACCAAUAAACCAGGACAAAGCUAGUAGUAACGGGAUUACUACUAAUCUAGAAUCCUAAACAAACUGGCCCCUGGUACUCCUAAUAGUAGUACUAGUGCUCAAGUUGGAAUUCCAAUUGCACGGAACAACUUGUUAAGCAAAAAAUUUGAUACAGGGUGUAGGAAGCGGUUUGGGAAUUUGCAUGCCUUUCUGACCAGUGAGAUACUCCGUAAGUACGACAGAUAAAUAACCACAGAGAAGGAAGCUAAAAGUAAACAAUCAAACGAGCAUUUUUGCAUUUGUUUUGUAUUGAAUCGUUUCACAAGCUUGACUAGUGUUGUUUUUCUACUUUUACAAAAACCGCAUCGUAAUGUUAAAACGUGCAUUUGCACGUACAUAAGUAAUAGUAGUACUCCCUCCGUCUAGGUGUAUAAAGUCUUCCCUCCUUCUUGGUCACGGUGCACAACCAAAGAUGACUUAUUCACCUGGACGGAGGGAGUAGCACAGUCUGCAAGCAUAUAUAGAGAGAGACGUGUAGUGCGAUAGUAUAUAGUAAAGUUUGUGCUAUAUGCACCUACUUACAAAAUGCGUACAGGUACACAAGGUUUCCAAACUUCCUCUCUUACAUACUUAAUUAAGGAUGCUAAUAAUUCCCGAACGUUCAGGAUUUAUCAUUUGCGUCCCAAAACUAACGAGAUCACCUUACAAAACUAAAUUAUACUCCUACUAAAAGCCACAGCGCUCACAGGAGCGCUUGCGGCGCGCCACAAGUGCCCUCGUGAGCGGCCGUUUACCAGCGCGCCGACACAAUGCCUCUUCCUCAGCCUCGCAACUCGUGAGGUGCUAAUUGGCGGCUUGCCGGCAGGCGAGCACGAUCUCACUGGUGUAGUGAUCCGGCGCCAAUAGGUACUCCUCCUUGCUGGAAGCGUGCACCCGGUCCACAUACCGCCAAGUGUAGAUGAGGCACUUGGGCCCGACUGCACUCAGGGCUUCGGCACGGGCUUCCUCCGCCACCCUCACGGCCCUUGCACGAGCCUUCUGCCAAAGAGCUAGUUGCCUGACUCUCUCAGACGCGACAUAGACCUGCCAGGAAGCUUGCCCCGUGGCACGCUUCUCUUUCUCGGCCUUCUUCUCCGCCUCUAUUUUGGCGUGCUCUGCCGGCGGCAAAGCCUCCCACAUGGAGAUAUCCAUUUCUUUCCAAAGCUCCUCAAUGCCGGGGGGCUCAGCGGGCGGCGCGAUGUUCUCCUCGUAGCGGGGAGCUGAUGCGUCCUCCGACGUGCGUGUUGAUGAGAUUGGGAACGCCAAUGUGUCCACCUCGACCCGUCGCAGCAAGGAUUGGAACACCGACACAUCCUCCUCGACUAGUGGCGGCGAGGAACGGAACGGCAAUGCGUGACCGUCCGGGCGGUGCAGCGAGGGCGCCUAGGGCUUGGGAGGGGCGAUGCCAUGGUGGUCGACAUGAGAGGGAGGGGGAGAUAGCGAUGAACGUGAGCGUUCUUCCGAAUGCCGUGGGAGGCGCAGUAUUUAUAGCGAGCAAUGGCACACCUACGUAAGAUAUGGACUGAGCUGCACUGACUUAACUGCAGGUACAGUUGCGUCACUAACAUGUGGGCCUGACCCCUGUUGGGCCCAUAUGUCAGUGACCAAAUGCACCUGCAGUUAAGUAACUAAAGCAGCGUCCCGGAAGAUAUGUUGCUUGAUUAACGUAACAGCUAUGUGGGCAUAUUUGUUGGAGUAAAUUACGGGGGAGGGAAGGGGUGGAAAUAUUGAUGGUCACAACGGAUUGGACGAGCGCGCGAGGAGGAGAGUCAUGCAUGCAGAUUUUUUUCCACACGGGGUGGAGUGGUGGGACCACCGGAGGGAGAAGGAGAGUCUGGCAGGCAUAUUGUUUCCACACAUGCAGAGGAAAAGAUUUUGAGAUGAUCGGGCUUCCUACAGGUAUGGGGAACGGUGCAUAAUAAGUCAUCUUGCAUGCCGGUCUAGGUAUAGUCUCAAGUCAUUAAAAACAUACAUGCCCCACACAUGUUCAUAUUUCAAGGUGCACUAAAUUAUUGCAUGCCAUGAUUAAGGCUGGCCAUAAUGGUGGUAUCUUAGCUGGUAUCAUGCACACGGGAAGAGCAAACAUGCUGAUGUGGCAAAGAAUUAAAGAAGAGAGGGGGGUUAGAGUAACUAGUGUUCAUGCAUGCAUUGGUAAACACAUUUUUUUGUGAAGAACGACAACAUUAGUUGAGUACUUUUGCAGACUACAAAAACUAUUCCACCGCAUCUAUCUUGCUAAGAGUAGGUGAAUUUUUUUGAAUCGAGCCCUUUAAACUAGAAGGGAGGUAGUAGUACUCUAAUAGCUAACCUUGUUGUGAUGACAAGAUAGGACAUGGCACACACCUAGACGGAGGAACUAGUCGGCAUUGUGCAUUUAAGUUUGGUCUGAAGUCAAUGUACCUCUACUUUGACCAAACUUAUAGAAAAAUGUAUCAAUAUUCACAAUGUCCAAUCAAUAUUUUUAUACUCAUUAUAAAACGUAGUUCUUAUACUCAUUAUAAUCAGUAUUGUAGAUAUUGAUAUUUUAGUAUAAAUUUGGUCAAACACUUUGCAAAUGGUUGACGGAAGUAAAAAGGACUAGAGGGAGUAUCAUGCAUGCAGAGUAGGCAAAAAAAUUGCUCAUUUAUAUCCGGUCGAAGUCUCAAAGGGUGCGGCCGCGCGAGGGAGGUGAAGGUCGUGGGAGGCGUGACGGUUGACGGAAUUAAGCGAAGUUACAUCCAUGCGUCGGCAUGGCGUGCGAACAGGCAGAAGCUAUACCAUCAGGCCUACAAUAUGGGUCUAGUAGACAUGACAUCUAGUGGGUCCCGCAUAGUUCUGGAUAACUCUUUGGGGGCUUGCAGCCGUUUAUCCACUGGGCAAGCCAGCAACCCCACGCCGUUCGCACGCCCUACUCAUCCCCAUCUUCUACUAGUACAGUACCUUACAAUAGUUCGCUCCCAGUCGUCCCGUCCUUUCACAUUACACCAGUUCAACUUCUCCUAAACCUCCUCCAAAAUCCAUGGCCUCACAAAUCUCCAUGGUCGCUGCUGAGUACCAAGUUAGAGCCAUCACCGGCGAUGAGUUCAUCGUAAUCUACACACGUGGAUCCGCGACAGUGCAAGCAUGCCUUACUCGCUUCCUAUGCAUGUUGAACAGUUCAACGGAUGAGUGGGUCGCUGGGCUAGAUGUUGAGUACACCACCGUCCUGGAAAGAGAGAAGAUUCUAAAGGAGGCAGAGAAGAAGAAGCCCUCCGUGAUCCAGGUUUGCAUACAUAACGUGUGCUUGGUCUACCACAUAUGCCAUGCCGACGUUGAGUGUCAGGAUUUUAAGAACUUCCUCAAGGACGAAAGAGUGAAAUUUGUUACUUUAUACUUUAGGAAUGACAUGGAUGUCCUCGGUCGGAUAGGCCUCAUUGUAGGCCAGCCCUUCGAUCUCCAGAAGGCAAGCCUGGUGUCCUCCUCUUAGCCUUCAAUGCUGACCCUGGCAGCAGCCAUGAUUGAUCCUUCGUAUGCUAAACUGAAGAAACCUCACCACGAGUUUCAUCAUGCAUGGGAGUCGAAGACAUUAGAUGAAGAUCACAUCUUGUACGCAGCAAUGGAUGCCUACCUUUGUUUAAAUAUCUACAAGGGUUGGCUGAAGAAGCAUAGCCUAGUGUCCGGUUCAAGCAAAGAAGCGUCAGCGAAGAGGAAGAGGAAGAGGGACGAGGACAAAGUCGAGGACGUGGACUCGGACUUCGAGUAGGUGGCAGUGCCGUCGCUCAUGCUGGUUCUACUGCAGUGUCAAGCUGACUAGUUGCUUAGUUUAUUUUCAAGGGUGUGUUGUGCUGAGGCCCCUGCAGAACUAUGUUUAUGUUCUUUCUUGUUAUUUGAACUCUUUAGUAAGUACAGUAGUACUAGUACUAUGUCUUACAGUUGGUCCUACUGCUCGUAUCUUCGUGUUCCUACUGUACUUAAUACGUUCAUACGAGUAGUAUAAUUUGGGUCAGUCGAUUUGUGAAAGAAGUUCGACGGAGCAAAGGAAGAAGACGGCAGACAAGCUACCUCAGUAUCUAUAUUAGGGUGGCAGGGUGCCCAUGAUCUAUCUUAUUAGUGUUGGGUGUGGAAUGCAGUUCGCCGGAAAAAAUGGAUCGUGCCCGGGGUGAAAUAGAUGGCGUGGGUGGGGGAGCAUGGCGGUGGCAGGCGGUUCAGGGGAGGGCGGGGCAGCGGCGGCAGGCGGUUAGGCGUGUGGCGGGGUGAGAAGAUGAAUCGUGCAUCAAUUUCGGAGGUUGAAGAAGCCCUUCUAGCCAUCCAUGUUGCAUCAAACGGCUCACAAGAGUCGACUGACCCAAAUUGCUCCUUCAGAUUGCAGGAUCCACGUGGCAUUCAAGGUCUCGAAGGUAGAUUCCGCAUCCGCACCCGGUUUGCAGGCUCGACACGCGCGUGACCUGCUUCCGCCGUGACAGCCACCAUGUGCGCCUCCUCCGCGCAGGCGAAGACGACAAUGACACGGUAGUUCCUCCUCACCGGCGUGCUUGAGCACGCGUUCGUCCUCCUCUUCGUACGCUGUGUGCAUAGACGCGGCUCCACCAGCUGCUCGUGUGCUUGGCAGCGCGGCGGCAUCAUGAGGAGGGACUGCAGAUGACGUGAGCGGGCGAGCCUUCGGCUUCAUGCCACAGGGAUGGCAGCGACACGACAGUGAUUGGCAAGAAAUUGUUGGCUGGAGCAGGCGGGCGCCGGCAUGCGCAAUGGCGGCAGCGGCAUAUUGAUGAGUGCGCGUAUGGGAGCUUAGUUUAGUUUUAUAUAGGGUUGGUCAAACUUAAAAGAAAAACGUACUAGUACACGUAAACGUUAGACUUAGGCAGCACUUUUAUUAGUUACCCCAGCCACGAUACGGAAUCCUGUGCAAGCGCUGAACCGCGGCUGCGCGGUCGAUCGAACGGUGCGUCACCGUGUUGUGCUCGAAGGACAUCCACCGAACCUUUUUUUGUUUGUGGAAACAAUCCCCGAAUAUUACCCAACUUUUUUCCCUGGAAAAGUUCUUAACGCUACAAUAUUACCAUAUAUUUGAAUUUAGCUCCAGUUCGUGUUUAUUUGGAUUUGGAUAUUUUAGGUGCGCCCUAGUUUUUUUUAAUGCUGAUUUUGUGUGUGUGACUGAGAGAGAACGUGUGUAUGUGUCCAUAUGUGUGUUGUGGAGGAAGGGCAAUGUGGAGAUGGUGUGCGUGUGAUAGGGACAUAGAGAGGUGUGAAUGUGCAAAUGAUCAUGCAUGAGUGAGGCAUAGACAGAUGCUGAUAUGUUGUGUAUAAAUGAGAGAACGGUCUUCUAUUUUACUUGUGUGUGUGUGUGUGUGUGUCUGUGUGUGUGUGUGUGAGAGAGAGAGAGAGAGGAGCAUCCAUAACACAACAACCAUCUCUCUCGAUUCGUCCAUCCCUCGCAUGAUCGCAUGUAACACAUGCAUCAACGCACACAUUUUGACACCCUCACCCGGCCCCUGCCCACCUCAAGGCCCGCACAUCGCUCUCUAUCUCGCACGCACAAUCUCUUCGUGAAUACCCUGUUUAGCAUGUAGCUUUCCAUCACAUACACACACAUUUAUCUCCUUAGGUUUGUUUUCUCUCAUAUCUGACACACACACACACACUCCCUCGAGCACACAAUUCAUCCCCAUCCAAGGACUCUCGCUUGUGCUUCUCUGCACCCCAGCAUGCACAACACCUCAAUCUUCAAAGAGGGCAUCGAGGAGAUCGAAGACGGCGACCACACUGCGCUAGAGAAUGCGGGGCCAUUUGGAAGUAGGAUGAUGUGACGAUGGCUGACUGACUCCUCCCCCCACCCUCUCUCGCUCGCACAAAAUUACCAAUCCCUAUCCCCUCCCGCACAAAAUUAUCAAUCCCUCAACCCACGAGAUCCUUCCCCUCUCGUCCAUGUUUUUCCAGCUCUCUCAUCAAACCUAUUGUCUCUUCUCCUUCCACGUGUACAGAAUCCGGAUGCACACGCAUCUCACGUAUAUUAUAUGUCUCCAUCUUUCUCACAGACCUAACUUCUUCCUCUCUCUCUCUCUCUCUCUCUCUCUCUGUCUCGUUAGGUUUGUCUCCUACUCUCUCGUCCACAUACAUACAAUCUUUCUGCCCUAUCUGCUCCAUCUUCGCAAGCUCUCUCUGCACAUUUCAUUCACACAUUGGGAUAUGUUCAAAAUGUUGCUUUUAUAAUAGCUGAUGUAGAGUUAUGGUUGGUUUUGUUGCAUCCUAGAAAGUAAUAACUAUGAAAUGUAUUUAGAUUCUCAUUUGACUGGGAUUAUGUGAGUUUGAGCAUGUUGUGAAGUACUAUAGACCUCGUAUACAUCUUGGAAUUCGACAAUGAUUGUGACUAUUGAAUUGUAUAGACCAUUACAUUCGAAGUCAGUAGCCUAAUAUAUUUAUUUCACAAUUUCAACAACUGAUUAAUUCACUACAAACUAAGAAAACAAAUGUGUACUCCCUCCGUUUUUAUUUAAGUCCGCGUAUUAGCAUUGGUCAAAGUCAAGUUUUGUAAACUCUCAGAAAGUUUAUAACAAAAUAUAUUAACAUAUGCAAUAACAAAUAAAUACCGUAAGAUUCAUUAUUGAAUGUACUUUCACAUCAUACAUAUUUGUUAUGGUAAAUGUUUAUAUUUUUCUAUAAACUUGGUCAAACUUUAGGAAGUUUCACUUCGGUCAAACCUAAUAUGCAGAGUUUACUAGUACUACUCGCUAGUUGCUUAGCUGAAUCACCCAACACGCCACACGGGGAGUUUAGUGUCACAAAAUUUCGAAGUCCUCGGGAAAAUCUCCCGCGACCCUGAUUCGAGCUGUGGGAAGUUACCAUCAUAGCCUUCGGAACAGGCCUACGGAUGACGCUUGGUAGGGGCUGUUUUCAUAACUUCAGGUUCACCCUACCCAGCCAACCCCACCCCGGCACCCAAAGUAGUACACCUGAAUACUCCCCAUUUUCUAUCCCCACCGCAAAAUAGAAUUAUCAACGGCACCACAGUGAUGACCCACAAGUAUAGGGGAUCUAUCAUAGUCCUUUCGAUAAGUAAGAGUGUCGAACCCAACGAGGGGUAGAAGGAAAUGACAAUUGGUUUUCAAAAAGGUAUUCUUUGCAAGCACUAAAAUUAUAGGUAACAGAUAGUUUUGUAAUAAGAUAAUGUGUAACGGGUAACGAGCAAUGAAAGUAAAUAAAGUGCAGCAAGGUGGCCCAAUCCUUUUUGUAGCAAAGGACAAGCCUGGACAAUUUCUUAUAAUGAUAAAAGCUCUCCCAAGGACACAUGGGAAUUAUCGUCAAGCUAGUUUUCAUCACGCUCAUAUGAUUCGCGUUUGGUACUUUGAUAAUUUGAUAUGUGGGUGGACGGGUGCUUGGGUACUGCUCUUACUUGGACAAGUAUCCCACUUAUGAUUAACCCCUAUUGCAAGCAUCCGCAACUACAAAAGAAGUACUAAGGUAAACCUAACAAUAGCAUGAAACUAAUGGAUCCAAAUCAACCCCUUAGGAAGCAACGCAUAAACUAGGGUUUAAGCUUCUGUCAAUCUAGCAACCCAUCAUCUACUUAUUACUUCCCAAUGCCUUCCUCUAGGCCCAAAUAACGGUGAAGUGUCAUGUAGUCGAUGUUGUGACGCCCGGAUAAUUAGGCUACAGUAAAACUCUGCUAAUGAUGCCACGUCACCACUCUUACUGUUGUAAACCUCACGAUGAUUCAAUCCCGUCUGAAUUCAUAAAUUCAAAAUCAAGGCAAAUAAUAAAAGUUUUCAAACAUUAAAACUAAAAUGUUCUAUAUGUGCCAAAUAUUGCAUAAAUAAUUAUGGUGGAGAAUCCACAUUUUUAUAAAGUAUUUAAUGGCACUGAAAUAAAUAAAACAGUAAUAAAAACUAAUAAUUAAAUGCCUUUACUAAUUAGUAAAUUAUCAAACUAAAUUAAUUGGGGACUAGACAUUUUGUGACGGUGGACUAAACUGAGAUACUAAAUUAGAUGCUAUGUAUAUAUUUUACAGAAACUAAAAUAAAAGGUGACUAAAGUAAAAUAGGAAAGAAUAAAGAAAAAACAGAAAAGAAAAUAAAUAAAAAAGAACAAAAAAAACAGAAAACAAACACACAAAAAAAGGAAAUAAAAGCCCCCCCCCCUCGCUGGGCCUCGGCCCAGCAGGCCAUCGGGCCGCCAGGCCGGCCCAGCCGCGCCCCAUACCCUCCCCCUUAUCCACCCCACUGGGGGAAAACCCUAACCACCCACCCCACUUUCCCCACUCCUCCCUCUGCUUCCCCCGAUCCAGAUCGGAUCGGGCGUCGACGCCCCUUGCUGCUCGCCCGACGCCACGCCUCGGCGGACCGCCUUCGCCGGAGCCGCCCACCGGGCCGCCCCGUCCUCAUCCCCCUCCCCGAUCCAGAAAUGGUUCGGGGCACGACCUCGACGCCGCACCGAACCGCGAUGCCCGCCGCUCGACCCCGGACCGCUCCCUCGCCGGACCUCCUCCUCUACGUCGCCGUCGUCCCCGUCCUCCUCCCCAAAGGCUCCACCGAGCCUCGCCGACCCUCUUCUCUUCAACGCCGGUGAGGGCCUUGCCCUCCCCUUCCCUUCCUCUGCUCCGUGCCGGCUGCGCCGCUUGCUGCACCCGUCGCCCGACUCCGGCCACUACACCGCGGCGCCGCUCGGAGGCCCUGGCCACCGCAUGCACGCGCGCGCGCCGCCCUGCUCCUCCCUCUCCCCUAUCCAUCGACGGCGACCGCGCGAGCCCCGCCGUGGCCGCGCACCGCUGCUGCUGCUGCGCCUCCCGCGCCCGCCUCCGCCUGGAGUUGUGCCCCCUUGCUCCGCGGUCUGCUCUGCUGCUGCUCAUCGGUGAUGCCGCGGCCCUCCUCCGCCUCCCUGCCGCCGGCCCCUCCUCGGGCUGCCGUGCCCACUGUCGCCCAGGCCCGGCCUUCGCUCGGGCGCCCGCACGCCCCAGCCACCGAGCGGGCUGGUGCCCGCACCCGUUUGCCAGCGCCCGUUUGGCCCCUUUCGGUCAAUGACAGGAGGGCCCCCCCCCUCCAAAACGUUUUAAAAUAAAUAAAUAAUAAAAAAAUAAUAAUAAAAUAAAUAAAUAAACAAAUAAAAAUAGUAAAUAUGAUUAAUAAAAAUAAAAAUGAUUUAUUAAAAUUAAUUAUUAAUUAAUUAAUUGAUUAAGUAAUUAAUUAAGUUAAUUAAUCCUGAUUAGAUUAACAUAAUCACUACUUAAUUUAACCAAUCUAUAAUUAAACUAAACAGAGAAUGACAGGUGGGUCCCACUGGACCCACAGGUCAGGUUGACCAGUCAACUCUGUUGACUGCUGAUGUCAGCAUGACAUCAUGCUGACGUCAUUAAUACAUUUUUCGAAUUAAUUAAAUAAAUAAUUAAAUUUCAGAAAUUAAUAAAAUCUUUAGAAAAUCAUAUCUUUUAAUCCGUAACUCGGAUUAAAAUGUUUUCAACAUGAAAGUUGCUCAGAACGACGUGACGAUUCCGGAUACGCAGUCCGUUCGUCCGCCACACCCCCCUAACCUAUCGAACCCGCAACUUUCCCCCUCCGGCUCCUCUGCCCGAAAACACGAAACACCGGGAAUACUUUCCCGGAUGUUUUCCCCCUUCACCGGUAUCACCUACUACCGCGUUAGGGCACACCGAACACCGCGUAUUGCCUUGUUAUAUUUUGUGAUGCUUUGUUUGCUCUGUAUUCAUUAUUUCUUCCCCCUCUUCUCUCCGGUAGACUACGAGACCGACGCUGCUGUUGACCAGUUCGACUACGGAGCUGACGACUCCUCUCUCUUGCCAGAGCAACCAGGCAAGCCCCCCCUUUGAUCACCAGAUAUCGCCUACUCUUCUCUAUACUGCUUGCAUUAGAGUAGUGUAGCAUGUUACUGCUUUCCGUUAAGCCUAUUCUGAUGCAUAGCCUGUCAUUGCUGCUACAGUCAUUGAUACCUUACCUGCAAUCCUAAAUGCUUAGUAUAGGAUGCUAGUUAUCAUCAUUGGCCCUACAUUCUUGUCAGUCUGCCUUGCUAUACUAUCGGGCCGUGAUCACUUGGGAGGUGAUCACAGGUAUAUACUAUACAUACAUACAUACUAUACAGAUGGUGACUAAAGUCGGGUCAGCUCAUUGAGUACCCGCAAGUGAUUCUGACGAGGGGGCUGAAAGGACAGGUGGCUCCAUCCCGGUAGAGGUGGGCCUGGGUUCCCGACGGCCCUCGACUGUUACUUUGUGGCGGAGCGGCAGGGCAGGUUGAGACCACCUAGGAGACAGGUGGGCCUGGCCCUGUUCGGCGUUCGCGGAUACUUAACACGCUUAACGAGAUCUUGGUAUUUGAUCUGAGUCUGGCUACGAGCCUAUACGCACUAACCAUCUACGUGGGAGUAGUUAUGGGUAUCCCGACGUCGUGGUAUCAGCCGAAGCACUUCAGACGUCAGCGACGGAGCGGCGCGCGCCGGAUUGGACUGGAACGCCUACUAGGCUAGGUCUGCUUCCGGCCGCCCUCGCAACGUGCAGGUGUGCUCAGGGCGAUGGGCCCAGACCCCUGCGCGCUUAGGUUUAGACCGGCGUGCUGGCCUCUCUGUUUUGCCUAGGUGGGGCUGCGACGUGUUGAUCUUCCGAGGCCGGGCAUGACCCAGGAAAGUGUGUCCGGCCAAAUGGGAUCGAGCGUGUUGGGCUAUGUGGUGCACCCCUGCAGGGAAGUUAAUCUAUUCGAAUAGCCGUGAUCUUCGGUAACAGGACGACUUGGAGUUGUACCUUAACCUUAUGACAACUAGAACCGGAUACUUAAUAAAACACACCCUUCCAAGUUCCACAGACAACCCGGUGAUCGCUUUUCCGCAGGGCGACGAGGAGAGGAUUGCCGGGUAGGGUUAUGCUAUGCGAUGCUACUUGGAGAUGCUGCUUGGAUAUGCUACUUGAAGAUGCUACUUGGAGGACUUCAAUCUACUCUCUCCUACAUGCUGCAAGACGGAGGCUGCCAGAAGCGUAGUCUUCGACAGGAUUAGCUAUCCCCCUUUUAUUCUGGCAUUCUGCAGUUCAGUCCACUGAUAUGGCCUCCUUACACAUAUACCCAUGCAUAUGUAGUUUAGUUCCUUGCUUGCGAGUACUUUGGAUGAGUACUCACGGUUGCUUUCUCCCCCCUUUUUCCCCCUUUCCUUUCUUUCUGGUUGUUGCAACCAGAUGCUGGAGUCCAGGAGCCAGACGCCACCGUCGACGACGACCCCUACUACACCGGAGGUGCCCCUACUACGUGCAGUUCGUUGACGACGUCCAGGAGUAGUUAGGAGGAUCCCAGGCAGGAGGCCUGCGCCUCUUUCGAUCUGUAUCCCAGUUUGUGCUAACCAUCUUAUGGCAACUUGUUUAACUUAUGACUGUACUCAGAUAUUGCUGCUUCCGCUGACUCGUCUAUGAUCGAGCACUUGUAUUCGAGCCCUCGAGGCCCCUGGCUUGUAUUAUGAUGCUUGUAUGACUUAUUUUAUUUGUAGAGUUGUGUUGUGAUAUCUUCCCGUGAGUCCCUGAUCUUGAUCGUACACAUUUGCGUGCAUGAUUAGUGUACGAUUAAAUCGGGGGCGUCACAGAUGUUCACAUAACACCACUAGAGGAGAGACAACUUACAUCUCAUCAAAAUAUUGAACGAAUACCAAAUUCACAUGACUACGAAUAGCAAGACUUCACCCAUGUCCUCGGGAACAAACGUAACUACUCACAAAGCAUAUUCAUGUUCAUGAUCAGAGGAGUAUUAAUAUGAAUUAAGGAUCUGAGCAUAUGAUCUUCCACCAAGUAAACCAAUUAGCAUCAACUACAAGGAGUAAUCAACACUACUAGCAACCCACAGGUACCAAUUUGUGGUUUUGAUACAAGAUUGGAUACAAGAGAUGAACUAGGGUUUUGAGAGGAGAUGGUGCUGGUGCAGAUGUUGAUGGAGAUUAACCCCCUCCCAACGAGAGGAUCGUUGGUGAUGACGAUGGUGAUGAUCCCCCCCCCCGGAGGGAAGUUUCCCCGGCAGAACAGCUCCGCCGGAGCCCUAGAUUGGUUCCGCCAAGGUUCCGCCUCGUGUCGGUGGAGUUUCGUCCCGUAAGUUUUCUUAUGAUUUUUUCCAGGGUAAAAGCCUUCAUAUAGCAGAAGAUGGGCACCGAAGGGCCACCAUGGGGCCCAGGAGAUAGGGGGCGCACCCAGUAGGGGUGGGCACACCCCCACCCUCCUGGCUAGGGUGUGGGCCCCCUCUGGUAAUUUCUUCGCUCAGUAAUUCUUAUUAAUUCCAAAAGUGACUUCCCUGGAGUUUCAGGAUUUUUGAAGCUUUGUAGAAUAGGUUUCCAAUGUUUGCUCCUUUUCCAGCCAGAAUUCCAGCUGCCGGCAUUCCCCCUCUUCAUGGUAAACCUUGUAAAAUAAGAGAGAAUAGCCAUAAGUAUUGUGACAUAACGUGUAAUAACAGCCCAUAAUGCAAUAAAUAUUGAUAUUAAAGCAUGAUGCAAAAUGGAUGUAUCACACAGCCUUCAUGCUCCUCCCCUUCUACAUCGGCGCACUCGUUCACCGUAGCGCAUCUGCCUCAUCGACGACCUCAUAUGCCGCACUGGAGCCGGUCCACCGCCAUCGUCGUACACGGAGCCUCUUCUUCGGCACCGUCUUCCACGGUCUCGGAUCUACUUCUCGGAAGCCGACGCCAAGCGCAGAAGCACCACCGUCAUGGACAAUAAACUGACUCCCGUUGCCGACCAUGACUCAUAGAGGCCGCCGCGACCAUCGUUCUCCUCCUUGAUUGGUAAUGUGUGUAUUGAAUCACUUAGCAGUACAUGUGAAGUUCCAAUUUUGUUCAUACCUGCCCUUCAAAUUUCCUAGGUGCUAUUGUUCCCGUAAAAGUAAUUGGUUAUAGCCUCCAUUGUCCAACAGAAUAUUAGCUUGUAAUUGUGCAUCGCUCCUGUAUCCCGUUGUGCUUGGGUAGGUUUUCCAUCUGCAACCAGUAGUAUGGCAAAUGAUGGAAGGUUUUUUAGAACUAGCAAGAUGCCCAUGCGUUGCACGCAUCAAGAUGCAUUUGUAUGAGUAGUUUAUCUUGUGGGAGAAAAGGAUGAAUGAGGCAAGGCCUUUUUGCAAAUCUGGAGAGGGGUGUGGGUAUCUUUUUACAAAAUUGCCAUUGUUUCCUUCCUAUCUGUUAGAUAUAAAUCGGACGGCCUAUAUUGCAGGAUGGCAGGCACACCAUCAUCACCAACCCUGCUUUUUUAUAAGAGUAGAGAAAAAAAGUAGAGAGUAGAGAAGUAGAUAUAAAUAUAAAAUAUAAAAUAAAUAUAACAAUAGAGAAGAGAGUAGAGGUAGCAGAGACGUCGAGAAAGGAUCGCGCGCGCGGGAAAAAGUGGUCGGGCGUGCGCUAGUUUUGGCGCGCGGCGUCCGGUGCGGUUUGUAAAAUCCAAUGCCCUCUCACCGCUCUGUGCUUUGCCACCGCUCUCUCCCCGCUCUAUGCCUCGCCACCACUCUCUCCCUGCUCUUUCUCACCUCGCCGCCGCCGUAUCACCAUGCCGCUGCGUCGCUGACAAACUUGGGGAUACCACGGCGUUCGCGCGCGCCCCUCCGGCAGCUUCUCUGCCGAGAUCUGGUUCCUCGGGAUGCGCCUCAGCCUCGGCAAUUUUGACACCGCCAAUGAGGCCGCCAGCACGUACGACGCGGCGGCGUGGCUCCUCCGGUGGCCUCAUAGAACAUUGAACUUCCCCAACGUGCCGACAGGGGAGAGGGCACAGGAGCUCGCGCCUCUGCCGCGGCUUAUCACCGACGAGGAUCGUCACGACAACCGGAGGCAGGAGCACCGUCUCAGCAUCACCGAGAUGGACGAGGAAUCCAUGGCGCUGUGGCACCAAUGCUUUCCGCAGGACAUCAUCAACGAGCGCGGGUUCUAUGCGCAAAGGAGGGCAGAGAGGGAUAAGUGGAGGGCGGAGCGAGCCGCCUAUCGCGAGGACAAGCGUAGACAAAAAGCAGGCGCUCAAUUCAACAUGAGGCUAGGAGCAGCAUCGCCCUAGGAAUCUGACGAUGAUCGAUAUCUUCACGCCUACAGUCAGACGUCGGAGGAGGACAUCACCGAGGAGGAGUCGGACGACGAGGAGUAGUUGAAUUAUCUUUUUUUUAUCUAUCUAUGCUGAGAACUAUCCUCUACUCUCUAGUCUCUACUCUCUAUCUCUACUUCUCAAUCUCAGCACUAUAAAUGCUUUUUUAAAGCGUCACGCAUUGCGAUUCUGUUGGAGAUGCUCUAACAUGGCAGACGAGUGCUUUAAUGUUGCCCACAAGAUGCGCGAGUAUUACUAGUAGUAUAUUUUUCUGUCCAUGUUGAGAUUUUAAAACCACGAGUGCGAACAUGCAGAGGAGCAAUGAAGACCAUGCAAACACAGGAUAUUGGGGACAUCUUCAAGGAGCAUGGCAAGUUAAAGAGGAGCUGCACCGAACCUGUAAAAUGAGCUUUGCUAAGUAACACCCUUUCAAUUACUUUCGUUUAGCCUCAUGUUCCUUGAUUUUGUAUAUGGUGUAGUUUCUGUUUCUCUUAAGCCUCGUGUUCUUUGAUGUGCAAUAAGAAGAGUCUUAAUCGUCCUAAUGCUUUCAUUUUUUAGCUUGAUGUAGGAAGUGGGUGUUCUCACCUUGUAGUCUUUUUUAUAUUUUUUUCCUUUUGAAUUCACUUCUCCGAGUUAUGUUUAUCUGGCUUCUACUAAAUGGAUCUGGUUGCUCUGAGUAUUGAUCUAAAAAAGAAGUAACUUCAUGUCAGGAUGUAGUUCCUGCGACGAGGGAAGUAUGGUCAACCUCGAGAUCAUGUUACCAAAAUGAGGCUAGAUUACACACAAGGUGCCAGUUCCCUAAUGAUGUUGGAUUACACACAAGGUGCAAAUUCCUGGAUGAUGUCGGAUUAUACACAAGCCAGGUGGAGUCGUCAGCUGUUCGUGUCCUCGUGGCUCUAGUAGAGGCCGAAAGAAAGCGUGCAGCAGCCCUUGAAAAUGUACCUGAGUUCCUGAAGAAGCGAAAAGAGCAAUCAAAUGCUCUCUUCACCCAAGCCAAAGAAGAGAUGGAAGAAGCCAGAAAUAAGCUACUAGAGGCAAAGCAGGCAAGGCAUCUCCUGCUAUCUAAAACUGUUGUCAAUACAUAAUUUCCUUCAUAAUAGCUAGGUUCAAAUGUUUAUCCAGUCAACAUGCAUGUUGUGAUGUCCAUGCAUCUGCUAAUGUGGCACAAUUUUUUUUGGUCAUGUAAUAACAACAAUUACUUUCCAAACAUUAACAGACUAAGCAUUGGACAUGGUAUAGUUCACGCACAAGCCCGACAUUCCAAGUUCAACUUACACAUCAAACUCAUGUUCACAGAUAUCGGCACAUUCAUACAUAAUGUCCACAACCAUGAUUCACUUCACAGCCAAAAAAAUGUGAGGAGAGUUAUAAAUAAAGAAAAACCUCUAGUUCCUGCUACUAGUGCGAGCACAACAAGUCAAGACCUGCGUAAUUAAUUAUAUUUUGCUCAUUCUUUGUGUUCUAAAAUGCCGGCCGGCUCGCGGAAGGACGUGUUGCCGGCACACACGCGGAUUCAAUGAAGGCAGGCGGGGCAGUCUGAGGCCGGUUGCAUGCGGCGAGGAGGCGUGUUCAGCAGGGCCUGCAGCGAGUGGGGCCCUCUUGGCCGGCGCGUCGGUCAAUGCCUGCACUAUGAGAGGUCGCGUCCGUGUUAGUGCAAUCACUCCCUCCAGUCCUUUUUUGUUUGGGUAUAACAAAAUCUCGUUUUCCACUCACAUUUUACAAGUAAAAUUCUUGGACAAACUUUGACCCAAAAUACGAUGGGGACUAGUAAACCAGAACGGAGGUAGUAGUUUUUUUAAAUCAAAGAAGGGUCUCCCCCUUCUGAUUUUCAUUACUGAAAACCAACAUCUAAAUCUAAACCAUAGUAUUUGCCCUAGAACUACCAGGUUCAACAUCUUGCAACAUAAACCCAUACAAGCAUAUGCCAAGGAGGUACGUAGUACUAUGAAUUCCAUUUUCGCUCCAUACCAAUCGUUCUAAAAACUACUUAGUACUUAUAACGCGCCAUUGAAAAUCGGAACUCUUAACCCUGCUGAAAAAAUGAAUUUUAAACAUGGCUACUCGAUCUGUGGCAACUGACGAGCCACCGCCUCCAAGUCGUUCACCUGUGGUCCCGACCAUCAACUCCUACGGAUCAAAUUAUCAUGCGAGCUGACUAUUCCUACAAAGCUGCGCUCCACCACGUACCCGGUACCCGCGAAGGCAACAAUCGUGCACCUAGGGUUUUAGGGUUUAUUUGUUAAUGUUGCCUUUACGUAACACUCAUGUGUGCGAGACAGCGAGAGACCGACUGCGUGCGUGCGCCUCUUCUCUUCGUAUAUGUACUUCACCGUUUGUCUGGUGUCCAAAAAAUUAUAAUAACUACUAGCAAUGUGCCAAUGCGUUGCCAUACGAUCAAAGUAGAUUAAUAUAUUUUCACCGAUUUGAUAGAAAAAAAGUCUAGUUUUGAAAUACGUAUAUCACUAAAACUAUGUUAUGUUUCACUCAAAAUAUAUUCCUUUGGCGGUUUUGAUGAGAUAAGGGAGGAAUGUUGUUGGUUUCAAGAUUCGAGAAGUGGUAUAUGUCUAAUUUCUACUCUUACUAGCAAUAUGCUCAUGCAUGCGUUGCACAGAACAUCAAGAUCUUGUGGGAGAAAAGGAUGAACAAGGGAAUGCCUUAUCUACAAAUGUGGAGAGGAGUGCGGGUAAACUGCCAUAGUUUCCUUCCUAUCGUCAGAUAUAAAUCGAACAGCCUAUAUGGCAGGAUGGCAGGCCCACCAUGACAGAAAUCAUGGCAAGGAGGGAGGAGGAGAUGCUGCUGAUUGCAGGGGGAUGUGGAGAAGCUCGGUCAUCUGCGAGAGGUCAGUAGGUGGUUUCCGCUGACCAAGGUCCUCAACGAUGAGGUGUUCACUAGAAGGGUUGCUAUGGAUGGAGAGGAGCUGACAAGGUGUUGAUGUCUACUACGCAACUUUAUUUUGUAGACUCGUGUUUGGCCUCCAAGCGCAGAGUUUUGUAGGACAGUAGCAAUUUUCCCUCAAGUGGAUGACCUAAGGUUUAUCAAUCUGUGGGAGGCGUAGGAUGAAGAUAGUCUCUCUCAAACAACCCUGCACCCAAAUAAUAAAAUCUCAAUUGUGUCCCCAACACACCAAGUACAAUGGUAAAUUGCAUAGGUGCACUAGUUCGGCGAAGAGAUGGUGAUACAAGUGUAGUAACGAUAGUAGAUAUCGUUUUUUGUAAUAGGAACAAUAAAAAACAACAAGGUAGCAAAUAACAAAAGUGAGCACAAGCGGUAUUGCAAUGCUUGAAAAUGAGGCCUAGGGUCCGUACUUUCACUAGUGCAAUCAAUCAACAAUGCUAAUCUAAUUAGAUCAUAUAACCAUCCUUCAAAGUGCGAUUAAGAAUCACUCCAAUGUUCCUAUCUAGUGGAGAACACAAGAAGAAAUUGUUUGUAGCUAUUAUUUUUGAUCGAUCUAUCAAAGAGUUUGUACUAAAAUAAUACCAAGUUAUUCUUUCCAAUCGAUCAAUCAAGAGUUUGUACUAAAAUAACACCAAGUUAUUCUUUCCGAUCGAUCUAUCAAGAGUUCGUAGUAAAAUAACACCAAAGCAAAUUCAGAUUCAUAAUACUCAAUCCAACACAAAGAACCUCAAAGAGUUCCCCAAGAGCUCUACCGGAGAAAGUAGGAUGAUAACGUGCAUCAACCCCUAUGCAUAGAAUACCCCAAUGUCACCUUGGGAAUCCGCGAGUUGAGUGCCAAAACAUAUAUCAAGGGAAUCAAUAUAACCCCAUUGUCACCACGGGUAUUCAUAUGCAAGACAUAUAUCAAGUGCUCUCAAAUCCAUAAAAAUAUUCAAUCCGAUAAGAACGGAAUCUCAAAGGGAAAACUCAAUUCAUCACAACAAGAUAGAGAGGGAGAAACACCAUAUGAUCCAACUAUAUUAACAAAGCCCGUGAUACAUCAAGAUCGUGCCAUCUCAAGAGAGAGAGAGAGGGAGAGAGAGAUUAAACACAUAGCUACUGGUACAAACCCUCAGCCCAGAGGGUGGACUACUCCCUCCUCAUCAUGGUGCCCGCCGAGAUGAUGAAGAUGGCCUCUGGUGAUGAUUCCACCCUCCGGCAGGGUCCAGAUUGGUUUUUCAUGAAUACGGAGGCUUGCGGUGGCAGAGUUUCUGAUCUAUCAACUUCUCUAGGGUUUUUGGAAUAUUUGGGAAUUUAUAGGGCGAAGAUGCGGUGCAGGGGGGCUCUGAGGUGGGCAACACCCAGCUGGGCGCGCCUGGGCCUCCUGGCGUGCCCAGGUGUCUUGUACUCACCUUGGGGCCUCCCCUCUGGUACUUCUUUGGCCCACUGGGUGUCUUAUGGUCUAGAAAAAAUCUCCAAAAAGUUUCGCUACGUUUGGACUCUGUUUGGUACUGAUAUUCUGCGAAGUAAAAGACAAGCAAAAACAACAACUAGCACUGGGCACUAGGUCAAUAGGUUAGUCCCAAAAAUGAUAUAAAGUUACUAUAAAAUGAUUGUAAAACAUCCAAGAAUGAUAAUACAACAACAUGGAACAAGCAAAAUUUAUAGGUACGUUCGAGACAUAUCAGCAUCCCCAAGCUUAAUUCCUACUCGUCCUCGAGUAUGUUAAUGAUAAAAACAGAAUUUUUGAUGUGGAAUGUUGCCUAACAUGUUCAUCACAUAUUCUUUUCUUUUGUAGCAUGAACAUUUGGAAUUUUAUAUGGUUCAAAGCAAUAGUCUAGUUUUGACUUGAAGAUUCCAAUACUCAAGCAUAUCAAUAAGCAACCAUGUCUUUCAAAAUAUCAACACUAAAGAAAGUUAUCCCUAGCCCAUCAUGCUCAAUCAUUGAUCCAUUCAUGAAAGGCACUCCCUGGUGGGUUGUUCCCCCCUGGAGGCACCCCCAAGGUGCUGCUCUGGCUCAUUGGUAGUCUUCUGGUCCAUAAAAAAUCCACAAAAGUUUUGUGGUGUUUGGAGAACUUUCAUUUCUGCACAAAAAACAACACCACGGUAGUUCUGCUGAAAACAGCGUUAGUCCGGGUUAGUUCCAUGCAAAUCAUACCAAAACCAUAUAAAAUCAUUGUAAACAUGGCAUGAAUACAUCAUAAAUUAUAGAUACAUUGGAGACGUAUCAGCAUCCCCAAGCUUAAUUCCUACUCGUCCUCGAGUAGGUAAAUGGUAAAAGAAAUAAUUUAUGAAGUGUGAAUGCUAGCAAAGUGCAUAAGUUUGAUCAAUGAUAAUGUCAAUAACUUUCACUAGCAUCAUAACAGCAAUUCUUUCUUAUAAAACUUAUCACAACCAAGUAGCUACCAAUUUACAUGUUAAGGUUCAAACAAUGAAUUCUCUUGAAACCCAACAACCUAUAUUCUUAGUCACCAAACAAUUGCAAUUCAACUUAUUCGACAGAGUCUAAGUAAGAGCUCCACAUAUUCAACAAUCAUAUAGUCUUCUAUGAUUUCUAACACUCAUCUCAUACACACGAGCAAAAUGUUUCAACUGGACACAUAGAAAGGUAGGGGCUUAUAAUUUCGCCUCCCAACAUAUUCACCUCGAGGGUGAUGUCAACAAUAAUAACUCAUGCUGCCCAUAUCCAACUGGAUAUAUGUGCAUAGAUCUUUCCUCACCACAUGAUGCUUGCCAAAGGAGAAAAAUAAAAAGGAAUAAAGAGAAAAACUUUGACUCUUGCAUGAAAGUAAAUACAUAAAAGUAAAAGAUAGGCCCUUCGCAGAGGGAAGCAGAGGUUCCCUUGCACUUAUUUGUUUGUAUGCUCGACCCCUUAGUGCAAAAGAACGCCACGUUAUGUUGCCGCUUAUGAUAGCAACCUUUAUUAUGCAGUCUGUCGCUUUUAUUCUUUGCCAUCACAAGUUUGUACAACGCUCAAUUUUCUCUUACACUAAAUGAUCUAACACUUUUAGAAGCAAUUUUUAUUGCCUUAUUGCACCGAUGACAACUUACUUGAAGGAUCUUGCUCAAUCCUUAGGUAGGUAUGGUGGACUCUCAAAACAAGAUUUGGGUUUAAGGGUUUUUGGAUGCACAAGUAGUAUCUCUACUUGGUGCGGAAUUUUGGCUAGCAAAGAUAGGGAGCAAGCACCACAUGUUGAAGGAUCUAUGACAAUAUAACUUCUAUGUGAAUAUGAACUAACAUAAAUCAUUACAUUGUCUUCCUUGUCCGAUGUCAACAAUUUUGGCAUAUAAUAUUUUGAUGGGGGCUCACAAUCACAAAAGAUUUCCAAGAUAGUGUAUUUUCAUGUGAAAGUUCUCUUCCUUAUAGUAAUCAAUUAGGAAUUGCUUGUACGACCAAUAUUGUGAUUGUCAAGCUUCAAAAGCUUUCACUUUCUAAACCCAAUGUGAAGCCACUACUAGCCAUGAUAUGAACAUGUAGUUUCAAAUUCAUGAUAUUCAAUUCAUUCAAUAAUUUACUCAUAUGAUAUAAGUGAAGCACAAGAGUAAAUGACAAGCUACUACAAAAAGAUAUAAGUGAAGAUCAAGCGAGUAGUUAUGUAAAUGGGUAGCUAUUUGAGGACUCUCUCUUAUUUAGAAAACUUUCAGAUCUAAGUAUUUUAUUAAAACAGCAAGCAAAAUAAAAUAAAAUGACAUUCUAAGAAUAGCACACAUCAUGUGAAGAAGCAAAAACUUAGUCUCAACCGAUACUAACCGGUAAUUGUUGAAGAAGAGAGGUGGGAUGCCUACCGGGGCAUCCCCAAGCUUAGAUGCUUGAGACUUAUUGAAAUAUAAAUUUGGGAUGCCUUGGGCAUCCCCAAGCUUGAGCUUUUGUGUCUCCUUAAUUCCUCUCACACCACGGUUUCCCUAAAUCUCAAAAACUCCAUCCACACAAAACUUAACAAGAACUUGUGAGAUAAGUUAGUAUAAAUCAGUGCAAAACCUUAUCAUUCUCUACUGUAGCAAAUUUCUAAAAUUAUUAUUAAACAUUGCAUACUAAACGCCUCUGCAUAUUUAAUACUCCUAUCCUCAAAUACAAUCAUUAAACAAGCAAACAUAUGCAAACAAUGCAGACAUAACAACAAUCUACCAAAAUAGUACAGUCUGUAAAGAAUGCAAGAGUAUCGAUACUUCUUAAACACCAAAGAUUAUGAAAGUCUACCACCCUGUAGAAAAUUUAUCAGAGAUUAUUUUGCAAAAAGUUUCAACAUUUUAUCGCAUUAUGACUUUUCUAGGGAAUUUUUGCAACAGUGGUAAACUUUCCGUUUUCAAACAGCAACAAGUAUACUUACGAAAUAAGCAUGGCAAAGGCUAUCAUUGCCACUUUUAUUGAAAUAAAAGAUGCAAAACAUUAUUCUAAAUAACAUCAAGCAAAUCCUAACAAAAUAAAUUGAUGCUCCAAGCAAAACACAUAUCAUGUGACGAAUGAAAACAUAGGUCCGAGUGAGGUUACCGAUAAUGUUGGAGACGGAAGAGGGGAUGCCUUCCGGGGCAUCCCCAAGCUUAGUUGCUUGGAUCUUCCUUGAAUAUUUACUUGGGGGUUCCUUGGGCAUCCCCAAUAUUAUGGUCUGGUCACUCCAUAUUCUCCCAUAUUGACAUCUCACCCAAAACUUGAAAACUUCAAUCACACAAAACUUAACGGAACUUCAUGAGAUAGGUUAGUAUGAUAAAGAGCAAACCAUUUCACUUUGGUAUUGUCAAAGACAAUAUUCAUAAUUGUUUCCAAACAAUGCCUACUGUAUCAUAUAAUUUCCACAAUUUAUAUUGAGCAAUAUAAGCCAUAGAAACAAGGAAACAAGCAAACUAUGCAUUGAAAACAGAAUCUGUCAAAAACAGAAUAGUCUGUAGUAAUCUGUACUCAAACCAUACUUUUGCUACUCCAAAAAUUAUGAAAAAAUUAGGACCACGUGAUAAAUUUGUAUAUUAAUCUUCUUCAAAAAUAAUCAACUCAAAAACACUCUUCUGUAAAAAAAUGAGAGUUAUUUUUGUGAGCGCAAAAGUUUCUAUUUUUCAGCAAGAUCAAAUCAACUAUCACCCAACAUGAUCCCAAAUGCUUUACUUGGCACUUUAUUGAAACAAAAACAAUAAAAAAUGAUUAGUACAGUAGCGUGAUCAUGUGAACACACAAAAACAGUAGGGGUAAAUGUUUGGUUGUCUCCCAACAAGCGCUUUUCUUUAAUGCAUUUUAUGCUAGGCAUGAUGAUUUCAAUGAUGCUCACAUAAAAGUAAAGAAUUGAAACACAAAGAGACCAUCAUGAAGAAUAUGACUAGCACAUUUAAUCCUAAACCACUUCCUACUCAUAGGGAUUUUGUGAGCAAACAACUUAUGGGAGCAAUAAUCAACUAGCAUAGGAACGCAAAACAAGUGCAACUUCAAAACUUUCAACACAUAGAGAGGAAACUUGAUAUUACAGCAAUAUGUAAAUGCAUAUGUUCCUCUCACAUAAUAAUUCUCGGUAGCAUCAUGAAUGAAUUCAACCAUAUAACUAUCACAUAAAGAAUUCUUUCCAUGAUACACAAGCAUAGAAAUUUUAUUACUCUCCACGUAAGCAAAUUUAUUUUCAUGAAUAGUAGUGGGAGCAAAGUCAACAAAAUAACUAUCAUGGGAUUGAAAAUUAAAGUCAUGAUUACAAGUUUCAUGGUUAUCAUUAUUAUUUAUAGCAUACAUGUCAUUACCAUAAUCAUCAUAGAUAGCAACUUUGUUGUCAUAAUCAAUUGAAACCUCUUCCAACAUAGUGGAUUCAUCAUUAAAUAAAUUCAUGAAUUCUCCAAAUCAACUUUCAUCAAUAUAAUCAUCAUAAAUGGGAGGCAUGCAAUCAUCAUAGUAAAUUUUCUCAUCAAAAAUUGGGGGACUAAAAAUAUCUUUUUCAUCAAACAUAGCAUCCCCAAGCUUAUGGCUUUGCAUAUUGUUAGCAUGAUAGAUAUUCAAAGAGUUCAUACCAACAACAUUGCAAUCAAGCUCAUCAUUUAUACCAAACAUCCUAUUGAAUUCUUCUUCUAUCAAUUGAGCACAAUUUUCCUUUCCAUCAUUUUCAUGAAAAACAUUAUAAAGACGAAUAAUAUGAUGCAACCUCAAUUCCAUUUUUUGUAGUUUUCUUUUAUGAACCANNNNNNNNNNNNNNNNNNNNNNNNNNNNNNNNNNNNNNNNNNNNNNNNNNNNNNNNNNNNNNNNNNNNNNNNNNNNNNNNNNNNNNNNNNNNNNNNNNNNNNNNNNNNNNNNNNNNNNNNNNNNNNNNNNNNNNNNNNNNNNNNNNNNNNNNNNNNNNNNNNNNNNNNNNNNNNNNNNNNNNNNNNNNNNNNNNNNNNNNNNNNNNNNNNNNNNNNNNNNNNNNNNNNNNNNNNNNNNNNNNNNNNNNNNNNNNNNNNNNNNNNNNNNNNNNNNNNNNNNNNNNNNNNNNNNNNNNNNNNNNNNNNNNNNNNNNNNNNNNNNNNNNNNNNNNNNNNNNNNNNNNNNNNNNNNNNNNNNNNNNNNNNNNNNNCGCCAGAAAAGAGCUUCGUUAACGGGAUGUGAGUGCCUCUUACCUAGCCUCCCCUGCAACGGCGCCAGAAAAGAGCUUGAUGUCUACUAUGCAACUUUAUUCUUGUAGACAUAUGUUAAGCCUCCAAGCGCAGAGUUUUGUAGGACAGUAGCAAUUUUUUCCCUCAGGUGGAUGACCUAAGGUUUAUCAAUCCGUGGGAGGCGUAGGAUGAAGAUAGUCUCUCUCAAGCAACCAUACAAUCAAAUACAAGAAAUCUCUUGUGUCCCCAACACACCAGAUACAAUGGAAAAUUGUAUAGGUGCACUAGUUCAGCAAAGAGAUGGUGAUAAAAGUGUAGUAUGGAUUGUAGAUAUGAGUUUUUGUAGUGCGAACAACAAAAAAUAGCAAGGUAGUAAAUAUUAAAUCGGAGCACAAACGGCAUUGCAAUGAUGGAAAAUUAGGCCUAGGGUGCCUACUUUCACUAGUGCAAUCUCUCAACAAUGCUAACAUAGUUGGAUCAUAUGAUUAUCCCAGAAAGUGCAAUAAAGAAUCACUCCAGAGUUCCUAUUAACGGAGAACAAAAGAUAGAAAUUGUUUGUAGGGUACGAAACCACCUCAAAGCUAUUCUUUCCGAUCAAUCUAUCCUAGAGUUUGUACUAAAAUAACAACAAGCUAUUCUUUCCGAUCGAUCUAAUCAAGAGUUUGUACUAAAAUAACACCAUAUGAUACAUAUCAACCAACUCUAAUGUCACCUAGAUACCCCAAUGUCACCGCGAGUACCUGUGAGUUAAUUAUAUGAUAUGUAUCAAAAAAGUUCAGAUUCAUAAUACUCAAUCCACACAAAGAACUACAAGGAGACCCCAAAGUUUCUAUCAGAGAAAAGAUAAUAAAAACGUGCAUCAACCCCUAUGCAUAGAUUACCCCAAAGUCACCUCGGGAAUCCGCAAGUUGAGUGCCAUAACAUAUAUCAAGUGAAUCAAAAUAAUACCCCAUUGUCACCACAGGUAUUCAUAUGCAAGACAUGUAUCAUGUGUUCUCAAAUCUGAACAUUCAAUCUGACAUGACAAAUCUUCAAAGGGUAAAGAUUCAAUUCAUAACAACAAGAGUAGAGAGGGUGGAAACAUCAUAUGAUUCGUCUAUGUUAACAAAGCCCAUGAUAUAUCAAGAUCGUGACAUCUCAAUAUCACGAGAGAGAGAGAGAGAUUAAACACAUAGCUACUGGUACAAACCCUCAGCCCCAAGGGUGGACUACGCCCUCCUCAUCAUGCUGGCCGCUGGGAUGGUGAAGAUGGCCACCGGUGAUGAUCUCUCCCUCUGGCAAGGUGCCGGAACAGGCUCCCGAUUGAUUUUUUAUGGCUACAGAGGCAUGUGGCGGCGGAACUUCUGAUCUAGGGUCUCCGUGAGGGUUUUUGGAAUAUUUGGGAAUUUAUAGAGUGGAGAGGGGGUGCGGGAGGCCACCUAGGUGGGCACAACCCACCGGGGCACGCCUAGGGUCCCAGGCGCACCCUGGUGGGUUGUGCCCCCCUCGAGGCACCCCUAGGUGCUGCUCUGGCCCAUUGGUAGUCUUCUAGUCCAUAACAAAUCCACAAAAAAAAUCGCGGUGUUUGGAGAACUUUCAUUUCUGCACAAAAAAGAACACCACGGUAGUUCUGCUGAAAACAACAUCAGGCCGGGUUAGUUCCAUGCAAAUCAUACCAAAACCAUAUAAAAUUAUUGUAAACAUAGCAUGAAUACUUCAUAAAUUAUAGGUAUGUUGGAGACGUAUCAGCUCUUUCAACUUAGUUUGACCCUUAAGGUACUUAAGCGUUUCAUGGUCGGUAUGAAUAACAAAUUCAUGGGGGCGAAGAUAAUGUUCCCACUCAUGCAAAACUCGUACUAAAGCAUAUAGCUCUUUGUCAUAGAUGGGAUAAUUGAGUUGUGCUUCGGAAAGUUUUUCACUAAAAUAAGCAAUUGGGUGCUUCUCUUGCAUUAACACACCUCCUAUACCAUUGCCACUAGCAUUGCAAUGCACUUCAAAAGUUUUGUCAAAAUUGGGAAAAGCAUGCAUGGGAGCAUGUGUAAGCAAAUUUUUAAGUUCAUUAAAUGCGGUAUCUUGUAAUGGUCCCCAAACAAAAGGUGCUUUCUUCUUACUCAAUUCAUGUAAAGGUGAAGCAGUGGUGCUAAAAUCCUUCACAAAUCUACAAUAGAAGCCGGCUAAGCCUAGGAAACUUCACACUUGUUGCAAGUUGGUUGGUUGUGGCCAAGUUUUAAUAGAGUUGAUUUUAGAUUCAUCUACAUGCAGACCCUUAGAAGAUACUAUAAAACCCAAGAAAACGAGCUUGUCUACACCAAAUUUGCAUUUCUCCAUGUUAGCAUAAAGACGCUCUUUAUGAAGAGUUUGCAAAACGGUUCUAAGAUGGGUGACAUGAUCUUUGAGAGAUUUGCUAAAUACAAGAAUAUCAUCGAAAUAGACCACAACAAAUAUGCCAAUGUAUGGGCAAAGAACAAAAUGCAUGACUAGCAUGAAUGUACCGGGUGCUUCAGAUAAGCCCAUUGGCAUAACAAGCCAUUCAUAUAAGCCAAACUUGGUCUUAAAUGCAGUUUUCCAUUCGUCACCUUCUUGUAUGUGGAUUUGGUAAUAGCCACUUUUAAGAUCAAUUUUAGAGAAAAUAGUGGCUCUGCUAAGCUCAUCUAACAUAUCAUCUAGGCGUGGAAUAGGAUAUCGGUAACGAACGGUGAUAGCAUUGAUGGGUCUACAAUCGGAACACAUGCGAAAAUACCGUCUUUCUUAGGCACUAGUAUGACUGGGACGGCACAAGGACUUAAGCUUUCACACACAUGCCCAUUUUCAAUGAGUUGUUGUACUUGCCUUUGUAUUUCCUUGGUUUUUUCGGGAUUGACGUGGUAGGGUGCUUUGUUAGGAAGAGGGGCUCCGGGUAUGAGGUCGAUGCGGUGUUCGAUGCCUCGUAGUGGAGGUAGUCACGAAGGUAGCUCAUCGGGGAAAACAUCUUGGAAUUCCUGCAAUAAAGAAGACAACACUAAAGGUAGAGUGUGAGAGGUGUUAGUUUUUGUUGCCUCGUGCUUGCACAAAAGGACAUUGUGCAUACACUUGAUGGGUUCUCACAGACUUCUCUCAUCUCACUUUUGGUGGCAAAAAGGACUAGAUUUUUCUUGUCGCUCAUCGUGGAGGCACUCAAUUUUGGCUUGUGGCGCUCACUCUCUUUUGGGUGGUUCACUCUCUCGCUUUUCUCUCCAUGAUGGGUGGUUGCUUGCUUGUCGGUGAUUACUUGACUUGGUGACAUAGGUCGUAGCACGUACUCCUUUCCCUUCACCUUGAAGCUAUAGUGAUUGGUUCUCUCGUUGUGGAUGACGUCGUGGUCGAAUUGCCAAGGUCGUCCAAGUAGGAGGUGGCAAACGAACAUAGGAACCACAUCACACUCCAAAGUGUCUUCAUAUGCACCGAUCUUGAAGGGAACUUGCACGGUGUGCGCCACUUGAAUUGUGCUGAAGUCGCUUAGCCAUUGGACCUUAUAGGGGCGAGGAUGCUUCAUGUUGACCAAUUGGAGAUUGUUGCAUAGUUGUUCACUUGCCAAGUUGUGGAAACUUCCUCCGUCGAUGAUGACCUUCACGGACUUUCCGUUGAUGCCCGCCUUGGUGUGGAAGAUAUGGCAUCGUUGGUCUUCCUCUUGUUGAUGUUGAAGUGCUUGACCUUGGAGACAACAAGAACGAAGCUCGAAUAUUCGUCACAAAAUGGAGUCAUAGGUCCCGUCGUCGGUGCUUGGCCACUUCCUCAAGGGCUUCCAUUUCCUCUUCACUCAUGGAGUCAUAGGUCCCGUCGUCGUUGAGGAUCAUGGUGCGCUUGUUGGUACACUCGAAGGACUUGUGGCCUCGGCCGCCGCAUGUGAAGCAUUUGAUGGAGCUCAUCUUGACGGUUUUAUCGGUUGGAGUAGAUGAUGAAGCUCUCGGCUUAAAGUUGCUUGUCGUAGGAGGGCGACUUGAAGUUGUUAAAGUUUUCUUGGAAUGUGACGUGUUGACGUUGCUUGGGGGCGCAUGCAAGACCGCGGUCGUGGGGUAGCACGUGUCCAUGGACAUGCCCGAAACAUCCCAUCGUAUAAAGAGGGGCAACCACCUCCAUCGCCCCUACCAUUUCCCCCCAAAUCCCCUCCCUGCUGCAUCGUCUUCCUCUCCCCCAUCGGCGUCCUCUCGCUCUCCUCCACUGCCUCCACCGCACCUUCUCGCUCUCCCCCACCGCAUCCUAUUCCUCACCUUCAUCGCCUCCAUCUAUCAGAUGGCCGAAGCUCAUGGCGACGCUGGCACAGCGGCCGGAGAUGUGGUGGAGCUACAUGGCGUGGUGACUGCGGAUGUCGACGGAGUCCACAGUGGUACGUGGAAACUCGCAACCGUUGUGCUGCAGAAGGUGAUGACGCCGAGCAGCGCAGUCCAUCCUGAUACCCCCGAUGUGCCGCCUGCCAUGGAGCAGCAGGUAUUUGCACUUGGUUAGCUUGUAGAGUUAGUUGAUCCCUAGUUGCAUUGGUUAGAUUGUGAUUCAUACAGUAGUCCAGAUGGUUAGAGUAGUUGGUUUUACGGAUGGGCCAGGGUUUUUUGUAUUGGGGGAUGGGGGUUUUUGGACUAGGGUUUGUUGGAUAAAUUCAUUGCAAAAAUGCUAGAUAGAUCUGUAUGAGAGCUAGGGAUCUUUGUGCUUCAAUGCUACACAAAUGUAUGCUUAUUAGAUUUGUUUUUAAUGCUCACAGAUUGGGGUUUUUAAUGCUACUCAUAUUCGUUGCCUUAGAUUGGGUCCCUAUUAGAUUUUUUGAAUGCUAAUCAGAUUGGGGUUUUGAAUGUCAUAUGCCGAAAUGGAAUCCAUUGAUUAAGAAGUUAUUUGAUUCAUUAGUAUAUAAAUUUGUCCACAAUAUGUACUUAUAUUAGCUCUGUUGUUCAAUUUGUGUGCAUGACAAUGGAAAAUGCAAAACAAUGAUCAUAGUAUAUUGGGAGUAUAUUAGCCCUAUGAUCAAUGUGUCAUGUGUGCAUAUCUAAAUUUUCAAUUGGCUUCCGUAUUUACUAAUGAUGGAUGUAGUUGUAUAUUCCGGAGAUGAUGGUUGGGGGGUAGAAAGAGGAAGAUGGCCCAGUACGACCCGUAUGAUCCAGAGGAAAGUGAUGAUGAAGAAUAUGAGGUAAGCCUACUUGAAAUUUAGAUUGUUCAUUUAGUUCCUUUGACAUGGUGUAUCCAUGAAUCUAUAAUGUAUUAAUGUAACUCAUUCAUGUGUGCAGUACGAUUCUGGAGAAGAAGUGUACAAGGGCAACGUCGCGUCCUUCACAUCCAAGGAGGUGGUGAAGAUCAAGGCCAAGGGAGUUGCUUCCUUCUAAAACCGCAAGAUCAAGAAGUGGCACCGCCCCUACUGCACCACCAAGCCGAAGCGAAGGGUUGACCGCUUCGAUCACCUUCUGUCUCAUGCAGAGGAUGUAGCGAUUCGCGGGGAGGACUACAUGAUCAGGGGGCAGCAUGCCGUCCUCAUAAAGGCCCUAACUCUGGCGUGAUGUUAUGAUGUGAUGUUGUGAUGAACAAACUGAAUCUUUAUCUUUAUCUGUUGGGUUACUUUUAUUUUGUUGAACUGAAUUUGGUUGGUUAUGGUUUGUUGAACUAAAUCUAUGGUGAUGCUAGUAAUCUGGUUGCUAUCUAUAUUUGUCUGUCCUUAAAUUUGCCUGUGAUGUAUGAUUAGUUAUGUUUAGAUCUUGUGAACUAUGAUUUUAGGUGCUGCAAUGAUCACACAUGUUGUUUCAGUGUUGCUUCACUGAUCACACUUGUUGUUUCAGUGUUGCUUCACUGAUCACACAUGUUGUUUCAGUGUUGCUUCACUGAUAACACAUGCUGCUUUUUUACUGAUCAUAAAGGAGUUUUAUCCUAAUUAUUUGUCUCAUGUUUAUUAAUCAAAUCAAAUGCAUGCUUUUUCCCACCAGCAUGUUUCAUUAUCUGAUGUUUUGAAUUGACAUUCGACUGGACAGUAUAAAUUCAAGAAAAUGCAAAAACACAUAAACCUUGGCAAACUAUCUAUGUUUGUGUAGGAGAUCAUGUGUGCAAAAUUUGAAGUGAUUUAGAGGAGGUCAAAUAAAUUUGAAUUUGAGAAAUGUGCUCCAAAUGAGCUCCUAGGCUAGGGUAAAUAGCCCAUUUGUAAUCAAGUUUUUUUGGACCUACUCUAAUUGAGCCAAAUGUUUUUUAUUAACACAUAUUCACUUUCCAUAGUGUAGAUUUGAAGUCUCACUAUUUUUUGAAUUAAUCUUCAUAUUUUUACAUUUUCUUUUGAAAACAUAUGCUUUAAUAUAAGAACUAUUAAAAACACGUUUGAAAUAUGAAAAUGGAAAACUAAGUUCAGAUCCUUCUUAUUCACUUUGAAAUAAAGCUUUGGUGAUUUUUUUGAUUUUUUUAAUUUUUCAAAAACAGAAGGUAACCCUACCCCCUCUCCUUGAACUCUAUGAAAUCAUGUAUGUGAUAGCUCAUAUUUGUGAAGGUUUUCUCAUGAAAAUGACCAUAGACCAAGUUUAUGAUUUUUGAUUGGUAACAUGUCACAUAAGAUGACAUUGUGCACAGGUUUUAUAUUUUUUUGAUUUUUUCAAAACUAAUGGUGCUCAUUUGACCUUGAUCGUGCCAGCUAGGGUUUUUUCAUGAAAAUGAGCAUAGACCAAGUUUAGUAUUUUUCCUCGUUAGUUUGUCUGAUAAAACAACGUAUGGCGAAGGUUUCAUAUUUUUAGUUAUGCUCAGUCAAAGCCUUCGAAACCCCGUUGACCAGCUCAAAACCCCUCUAAACCCCGCGGGGUUUCACCUAACCCUAGCUCCCAACGUCAGCCGUCCGAUCAUACCCUCGCGCCAAGCGACAGCCCUCAGAUCUGGUCCUCUGGAAGGAAUUAGGUGGGUAGGCUGCAUGCAGGCUCCACGCCAUUGGAUCACAAGGACGGCUCCACAUCAUUGGAUCGUGGAGCGAUCCGCGAGAGGCGAUCCUAUUGGUUGUGCUCGGCUGCUCGCCCACCACUGACUCCACGAAAAAAACGUUGUUAUUGGGCCCAAAAGGAAACCAAGCUCUGGUUGGGCCGUCGAAUUGCGUUUUUUUUGCAUCGUUUGCUCUGUUUUUUGUGAACGUGCUGGCUUUGUUUUUUUUUUGCAUCGUUUGAAAUCAAUUGACAUUGCGUAGCAAAAUUUAGUUCUUUUUGUUCUAUACAAAUGCAAAAUGACCAAUUUUUAAGGGCCAAAUUAAGUUUUAUCAUGCAAAAUGGCCACAAACUAUUCAAAAAUUGUCUCUUUUUGUUCACAUAAUAUAUAUGACCACGGAUUCCCACGCGUGCAAUUAGCUUCUUUUUCUUCUUCUUUUCAAACCACCGUUUCCCAAGCGUGUACACUCCCGAUGCCGUGGUGGGUUUGAAAACGGGCUACUUCACAUUGGACCCCGUUAUUGCCACGGCCAAAUAACACGUAGCACUACGGCUAUUUAAGCCACCCUCUGCCUCUGCCAUCCCUCAUCCAUCUCCCAUCCUCUUCGCCAUCUGCCAUCCCUCAUCUAUCUCCCAUCCUCUUCGACCACUUCUCCUUCUUCUAGAACAUCCUCAGCCAUGUAGUACACCGGACCAACCUACCACUUCCCACCCAUCAUGCCUGGGAGGCUCUACCCUCUUGGCUUUACGUUGAGUGCACACUACAUGUGUGGGCAAUAUCAACGUGGAGGACCGCAAGGAACUUCAACGAGUUCUUCCUCACGUACGGCUACCACCACCUCCCGUGGGGAUCUCCAAAGAUGUUCCGUGUCGAGGAGGUCAUCCAAAACAGGAUGGUGGUUGCUCUCCUUGCCCACUUCACCAACACAUUCAACACCUUCUACCUCCUCGGCCGGGUGUUUUGGUGUGGUUGCGAGUUCAUCGCUUUCACCACCCACAACAUGUUCACGGAGUACACCAACAUCUUCCCCACCACGUCGCGCAUGCACACUCUUUCGUAGCCAUUGACAACGCCUCGGAGGAGCAGUGAAGGUUGCCCGGAGGAGGAGCAAGGCGGAGAAGGCGGCGUCUAGGGUUCUAAACCCUCUAUCUUUUUUCUUUCUUUUAUGAGUCUAUGUUAUGUUAAGUUGUAAUUGAACUAUGUUGGAGAUCCUAUGGGCUUGUUGGCCCUUUUAUUAAGUUCUAUUAUUAAGUUUUCUAUCUUUUCUAUUAUGAAGUUCUUCCUAUUUUCAACUAUCUGAUCGUGCUAUGGGCUUGUUGGCCCUAUCUACAUAUUUGUUGAUUGUUUUCUCAGAGAGCUAGCUUUGUUAGUAACAACCUAGUGCAUGCAGCCACAACGAACCCUUCUUUUUAUACACAAGCCACAAAUAUGUAGCCACCUAGCUAGUGCAUGCAACCACAAAAAUAUAAAACAUAUCUGUUCAAUUUAUUUGUCGUAGCAAAACAGGUGCAGAUGCGAGUGGAUCGAAAAGGCUGCAACUGAUCAUAAAAAUGAUGCUCUAAAUCGAGGAGACAAGCGUGCGAGAAGAGAGGAACCAGUGGCAGCGACCGUAGCUGCAUCCGUGGCGGCUGGCAUGCACGAAAGCGGCUCGGUCAAUGCAUCAUGGUGGCAUGCAUCGGUGCAUGCAAGCUCGGUCGGCGGAUCAUGGUGGCGCGCAUCGACGCAUGCAGGUAGGCUUGCUGGGUGCAUGCAUAGCAGGCUUCUGCCAUGGCGAUGCACGCGGGCUCUUAAUGCAAGGGACGGCCCAACGAAACCUUGGCCCAACGGUCUAACAACGACACUGCCCAAUGCGGCCCCACUCGUCAGAGUUAACGGUCAAAGCACUGACCUGACGACGACGUCCGUUGUGACCUAUUAUGAGGUCUUCGGGCAAGGGAUUGGGGAAAACUGAGCAAAAGUUAAGAGCGUGGGGAUGAAUGAGUAGAGCUAAGGAAUCAGGGGCACAGAUGUAAAAAAAACCUUUCAAAAUUGAGUAAGAACACAACAAAAUUAGGCUAGAAAACAAAGAGGGCAGGUUCCAAAAUCGUGAUCAACGUGGCUCAUGAUACCAAGAUGGUGUAGGGUAGAACCCUAGAUGCCCGAUCUUUCAUGAUUGGAGCGGAUCUCGCAAAGUACACGAAGAGCAUGAGGGGAAACACGAGAGGAUUCACUCAAACCAAUGAGAUUCAAUUACACAUGUGCUGGAUCCGAACACAAAAACAGAUACACAAUCCAAAGUCAACGACGGGCGAUACAAGUAGCAAGUUCUUCUCCAUGAGGAGGUCUUGAGGGGGUCUUCUCAUGAGGGGUCUUGAAUCCGCUUGGGGGAUCUUCUCUGUAUAGGUCGUGAACUCCGAUGGAUAAGGUAACAUAUAGAUGAGCAAAGCUCUAUCUCACAAAUGAGCUAAGCCUUUGCUAACCCUAGAAAGAGGGAGGAGGAGGAGUGUAUAUAGUCUAAGUGGGCGAAUGGGUACAUGGGCCUCGUCCCUUUACUGUGCGCAGACAGGGGAGCCGGACGUCUGGGCGUCGGGCCAGAUGUCCAGGCCUUCACGAAGUGCCGGACGUCUGGGCUGGCGCCGGAUGUCCGGGUGGUUGGGGCCGGUCUCGGUGCUCUCUGGAUAGGCGGGGUCCAGAUUUCCGGGCUGGAGGCCGGAUGUCCAGGGCCUGGGCCGGAUGUCCGGGCUGGCUUGGCCAAUUUGGUUGCUCUCUGGAUAGGAGGAGCCGGAUUUUCGGGUCUCGGGUCGGAUGUCCUGGAUUGGGCCGGAUGUCCGGGCCCUGUAGCCUUGAUUGGAGGGAGGAGGCUAUGGAUGUUGCGCCAAGGGCCGGAAGUCUGGGGCUUGUGGUCCGAUGUCCGGGUCCUGGGGACUUCUUUGGUUCCUUCCGUCAUUCCUCUUCAUCCUUGUACUUGGGAUCUUGUCUGCCUUCGCGUGCAUCUUCGAUGGGGGCCUUCUUGGUACCUGAUGAUGCACAACAUUCCGGAGUUAGGUAGUAACCAUGUCUUGAGUGGAUCAUAUGGAAUAUCACUAAAGAAAGAUGUCACCUCGGUCUCGAGGGCUCUAGCUCGUGCUCGUGUCAUUGGUCCUCUUGGCACUUUAUGAGAUGAUGGUAGGUCCAUGGGGAUGACCAUAGGAUGCUUCGCAUCACUACCUCUACUUUGUCACUGGGUGAGGACACCGCAAGAUUGAACCCAAAACUAAGCACCUCUCCCAUUGCAAGAAGAACCAAUCUAGUUGGCCAAACCAAAGUGAUAAAUUCGAAGAGAAAUACAAAGAUAUCAAAUCAUGCAUAUAAGAAUUCAGAGAAGAUUCAAAUAAUGUUCAUAGAUAAUCUGAUCAUAAAUCCACAAUUCAUCAGAACUCGACAAACACACCGCAAAAGAAUAUUACAUCGGAUAGAUCUCCAAGAACAUCGAGGAGAACAUUGUAUUGAAGAUCAAAGAGAGAGAAGAAGCCAUCUAACUACUAGCUAUGGACCCGUAGGUCUAUGGUAAACUACCCACGCUUCAUCGGAAGGGCAAUAGAGUUGAUGUUGAAGCCCUCAUGAUCGAAUCCCCCUCCGGCAGGGUGCCGCAAAAGGCCCCAAGAUGGGAUCUCACGGGUACAGAAGGUUACGGCGGUGGAAAAGUAUUUUGGUGGAUGCUUCUGGUCAUUUCGGGAUAUUUGGGAAUUUAUUGGCCAAAGAUUAGGGUUGGAGGAGCUCCGAGGGGCCAACAAGCCCUCAGGGAGGCCCCCCUAGGGCGCGCCCCUGAGUCUUAUCGCCGCCUCGGGACUCCUCUAACUUCAUCUCCAAGUCCUACGGGUGUCUUCUGGUCCAAGAAAAAUCAUCGCGAAAGUUUUAUUCCGUUUGGACUCCGUUUGUUAUUCCUUUUCUAUAAACUCAAAAACAAGUAAAAACAUAAACUGGCAUUGGGCUCUAGGUCAAUAAGUUAGUCCCAAAAAUAAUGAAAAAUAGCAUACUAAUGCAUAUAAAACAUCCCAAAAAGAUAAUAUAAUAACAUGGAACGAUCAAAAAUUAUAGAUACGUUGGAGACGUAUCAAGCAUCCCCAAGCUUAAUUCAUGCUUGUCCUCGAGUAGGUAAAUGAUAAAAACAGAAUUUUUGAUGUGGAAUGCUACCUAACAUAUUUAUCCAUGUAAUUUUCUUUAUUGAGGCAUGAAUAUUCAGAUCCAUAAGAUUCAAAACAAAAGUUUAAUGUUGACAUAAAAACAAUAAUACUUCAAGCAUACUAAUAAAGCAAUCAUGUCUUCUCAAAAUAGCAUGGCCAUAGAAAGUUAUCCCUACAAAGUUAUAUAGUCUAGCUAUGCUCCAUCUUCAUCACACAAAGUAUUAAACCAUGCACAACCCCGAUGUCAAGAAAUUGUUUCAUACUUUAGUGUUCUCAAACUUUCUCAACUUUCACGCAAUACAUGAGCGUGAGCUAUGGAUAUAGCACUAUAGGUGGAAUAGAAUAUGGUGGUUGUGGAGAAGACAAAAAGAAGGAGAUAGUCUCACAUCAACUAGGCGUAUUAACGGGCUAUGGAGAUGCCCAUCAGUAGAUAUCAAUGUGAGUGAGUAGGGAUUGCCAUGCAAUGGAUGCACUAGAGCUAUAAGUGUAUGAAAGUUCAAAAAGAAACUAAGUGGGUGUGCAUCCAACUGCUUGGUCACGAAGACCUAGGGCAACUUGAGGAAGCCCAUCAUUGGAAUAUACAAGCUAAGUUAUAUAAUAAAAAAAUUCUCACUAGUAUAUGAAAGUGACAACAUAGGAGACUCUCAAUCAUCAAGAUAAUGGUGCUACUAUGAAGUACAAGUGUGGUAAAAUGAUAGUAGCAUUGCCCCUUCUCUCUUUUCUCUCAUUUUUUCUUUUUUUGUGGGCUUCUUUGGUCUCUUUUUUUAUUUGGGCUUCUUUGGCCUAUUUUUUUUGUAAAGUCUGGAGACUCAUCCCAACUUGUGAGGGAAUCAUAGCUUCCAUCAUCCUUUCCUCACAUGGGAGUAUGGGACAAUGCUCUAAUAAUGAUGAUCAUCACACUUCUAUUUACUUACAACUCAAGAAUUACAACUCAAUUCUAGAAAAAAAUAUGACUCUAUAGGAAUGCCUUAUGCAUAUGAGAACAAUAUGCAAUGAUGGUGCGUGACAUAAUAAACGGAAAGGCGGAAGUUGCAUAGCAAUAUAUCUCGGAAUGGCUAUGGAAAUGUCAUAAUAGGUAGGUACGGUGGCUGUUUUGAGGAAGUUAUAUGGUGGGUGCAAUGCACCGGCGAGAAUUGCACGGUACUAGAGAGGCUAGCAAUGGUGGAAGGGUGAGAGUGCGUAUAAUCCAUGGACUCAACAUUAGUCAUAAAGAACUCACAUACUUAUUGCAAACGUUUAUUAGCUAUCGAAACAAAGUACUACACGCAUGCUCCUAGGGGAAGGGUUGGUAGGAGUUAACCAUCGCGUGAUCCCGACCUCCACACAAAGGAAGAAAAUAAAAUAAAUAAGUCAUGCUCCGACUUCAUAACAUAACGGUUCACCAUACGUCCAUGCUACGGGAAUCACAAACUUUAACACAAGUAUUUCUACCAAUCCACAAUUACUCACUGGCAUGACUCUAAUAUCACCAUCUUUAUAUCUCAAAACAAAUGCAAGGAAUCAAACUUCUCAUAGUAUUCAAUGUUCUUUAUAUGAAAGAUUUUAUUAUAUCCCUCUUGGAUGUCCAUCAUAUUAGGACGAAAUUCAUAAAGUAAGCAAAUUACCAUGUUGUUUAGAGACUCUCAAAAUAAUAUAAGUGAAGCAUGAGAGUUCAACAAUUUCUAUAAAAUAAAGCCACCACUGUGCUCUAAAAAGAUAUAAGUGAAGUACUAGAGCAUAUUGUCUAGCUCAAAAGAUAUAAGUGAAGCACUAGAGCAAAUUUCCUAGCUCAAGAGAUAUAAGUGAAGCACAUAGAGUAUUCUAAUAAAUUCACGAUUCAUGUGUGUCCCUCUCAAAAGGUGUGUACAGCAAGGAUGAUUGUGGCAAACUAAAAAGCAAAUAUUCAUAUCAUACAAUAUGCUCCAAGCAAAACACAUAUCAUGUGGCGAACAAAAAUAUAACCUCAAGUAAAUUUACCGAUGGAUUAAAGACGAAAGAGGGGAUGCCAUCCGGGGCAUCCCCAAGCUUAGAUGCUUGGUUGUCCUUGAUUAUUACCUUGGGGUGCCUUGGGCAUCCCCAAGCUUAGGCUCUUGUCACUCCUUAUUCCAUAGUCUAUCAAAUCUUUACCCAAAAAUUGAAAACUUCACAACACAAAACUCAAUAGAAAACUCAUGAGAUCCGUUAGUAUAAGAAAAUAAAUCACCACUUUUUGGUACUGUUGUAAAUUCAUUCUUUAUUUAUAUUGGUAUAGUAUCUAUUGUAUUCCAACUUUUCCAUGGUUCAUACCCCCCCNNNNNNNNNNNNNNNNNNNNNNNNNNNNNNNNNNNNNNNNNNNNNNNNNNNNNNNNNNNNNNNNNNNNNNNNNNNNNNNNNNNNNNNNNNNNNNNNNNNNNNNNNNNNNNNNNNNNNNNNNNNNNNNNNNNNNNNNNNNNNNNNNNNNNNNNNNNNNNNNNNNNNNNNNNNNNNNNNNNNNNNNNNNNNNNNNNNNNNNNNNNNNNNNNNNNNNNNNNNNNNNNNNNNNNNNNNNNNNNNNNNNNAAAACAAAAUCUGUCAAAAAUGGAACAAUCUGUAGUAAUCAGGAAACUUAGUAUACUUAUGUAACUCCAAAAAUUCUGAAAAUUUAGGAAAACCUGGGUAAUUUGUAUACAAUCUUGUGUAAAAAUUUAAAUCAAAAUCACGCUUCUGUGAUUUUUGAAAAUUGUUUUACUGGGCACAAAAGUUUCUAUAUUUCUGCAAGAUCAAAUGAACAAUGUUCCAAACUAUCCCAAAGGUCUUACUUGGCACAAACACUAAAUUAAAACAUAAAAACACAUCUAAUCAUAGGCUAGAUGAUAAAAUUAUUGGAAAACAGGAACAAAAAAAGUAGAAACAAAAAAUAAAAUUGGGUUGCCUCCCAACAAGCGCUAUCGUUUAACGCCCCUAGCUAGGCAUAAAACAUAGAUCUAGGUAUUGUCAUAUUUGGUAUGCAAUCCAUAAGUAGCCUCAUAAUAGAUUCAUAUGGCAAUUUAAUUUUCCUUCUUGGAAAGUGUUCCCUUCCUUAACGGAAUUGAAAUCUAAUGUUUCCUUCUUUCAUAUCAAUAAUUGCACCAAUCGUUCUAAGGAAAGGUCUACCAAGAAUAAUAGGACAUGUAGGAUUGCAAUCUAUAUCAAGCACAAUGAAAUCUAUGGGCACAUAAUUCCUAUUUGCAACAAUAAGAAUAUCAUUAAUCCUUCCCAUAGGUUUCUUAAUAGUGGAAUCCGCAAGAUGCAAAUUUAAAGAACAAUCAUCAAAUUCAUGGAAACCUAGCACAUCACAUAAAGUUUUUGGAAUCGUGGAAACGCUAGCACCAAAAUCACACAAAGCAUGGCACUCAUAAUCUUUAAUUUUAAUCUUAAUAGUAGGUUCCCACUCAUCAUAAAGCUUACUAGGGAUUAUAACUUCCAACUCAAGUUUUUCUUCAAAGGAUUUCAUCGUAGCAUCAACCAAGUGUUUAAUAAAAGCUUUAUUUUGAUUAUAAGCAUGAGGAGAAUUCAACAUGGAUUGCAACAAGGAAAUACAAUCUAUCAACGAACAAUUACCAUAAUUAAAGUCCUUGAAAUUCAAAAGAGUGGGUUCAUCGCUACUUAAAGUUUUCACCUCUCCAGUCCCACUUUUAUCAAAAAAUUCAUAAGAUUGAAUAUUCUCCAAAUAUGUGGGUUCUAAAGUUGACACUCGUCCAAACCCUCUUUCAAUACUAUUGCGGACAUUAUUAUCUAUCUUAUAUUCAUCAUGGGGCUUAAAUAAAUUAUCAAGAUCAUAAGAAGAAUCACCCCAAUAAUGAUUAUUGCAACAAGUGGUGGACAUAGGAAAACUAGCAUCCCCAAUCUUAGGGUUUUGCAUAUCAUUAACACAAUUGACAUUAAUAGAAUUUAUAAUAACAUCAUUGCAAUCAUGCUUUUCAUUCAAGGAGCUAUCGUGAAUCACUUUAUAAAGUUCUUCUUUUAAAACCUCACCACAAAUUUCAGAUUCAUGAAUUUUAAGCAAAACUUCAUAAAGAUAAUCUAGUGCACUCAAGUCACUAGCAAUUGGUUCGUCAUAUUUGGAUCUUAUAAAAAGAUUAGCAAGUGGGUGAGGAUCCAUAAAUCUCUUUUCUUCUGAAUUGCAAUAAACACAAUUAUGCCAAGGAAACGAGCAAACAAACCAAGUAAGACAUAAAGGCAAACGAAAGAAGGCGAAUAAAAGGGCAAAUAUCUUUGUGUUUUUUUGAAAACGUUUUAGAAGUGGGGGGAGAGGAAAACGAGAGGUAGGUGGCAAAUAAUGUAAUGCAAGAGAUGAGAGUUUAUGAUGGGUACUUGGUAGGCUUGAUGUAGAACCUCCCCGACACUGGCGCCAGAAAUUCUUCCUGCUACUUCUUGAGAUUGCAUUGGUUUUUCCCUUAAAGAGGAAAGGGUGAUGCAGCAAAGUAGAGAUAAGUAUUUCCCUUAGUUUGAUAACCAACCUAUCAAUCCAGUAGGAGGUAGACGCAUGUAUCCAAUCUAUGCACCUGCACAAACAGUCAAACACUUGCACCCAAAGUGAUAAAGGGGUUGUCAAUCCCUUCACGGUCACUUGCAAGGAUGAGAUCUGAUAGAGAUAGAUAAUAAAUAUUGCUAAAACAUAAACACAAAAUAAAGCAAAUAAAACUAAGCGAGGUAUUUUUGGGUUUUUUGGUUUAUAGAUCUGAAAAUAUAUGAUGGAAAAUAGACCCGGGGGCCAUAUGUUUCACUAGAGGCUUCUCUCUUGAAAGAAAACAUACGAUGGGUGAACAAAUUACUGUCGAGCAAUUGAUAGAAAAGCGAAAAGUUAUGACAAUAUACAAGGCAAUGAUUAUGAAUAUAGGCAUCACGUUUGUGCCAAUUAGACCGACUCCUGCCUGCAUCAACUACUAUUACUCCACACAUCAACCGGUAUCCAGCAUGCAUCUAGAGUAUUAAGUUCAUAAGAGCGGAAUAACGCCUUAAGUACAAUGACAUGAUGUAGAGGGAUAAACUCAAGCAAUAUGAUGAAAACCCCAUAUUUUUACCCUUGAUGGAAACAAUACAAUACGUGUCUCGCUACCCCUACUUUGUCACUGGGUGAGGACACCGCAAGAUCGAACCCAAAACUAAGCACCUCUACAAUUGCAAGAAGAACCAAUCUAGUUGGCCAAACCGAACCGAUAAUUCAAAGAGAAAUACAAAGAUAUCAAAUCAUGCAUAUAAGAAUUCAGAGAAGAUUCAAAUAAUAUUCAUAGAUAAUCCGAUCAUGAAUCCACAAUUUUUUGGAUCUCGACAAACACACCGCAAAAGAAUAUUACAUCGGAAAGAUCUUCAAGAACAUCAAGGAGAACAUUGUAUUGAAUAUCAAAGAGAGAUAAGAAGCCAUCCAGCUACUAGUUAUGGACCCAUAGGUCUGUGGCAAGAUACUCACGCUUCAUAGAAAGGGUAAUAGAGUUGAUUUAGAAGCCCUCCAUGAUCGACUCCCCCUCCGGCAGGGUGCCGGAAAAGGCCCCAAGAUGGGAUCUCAUGGGUACAGAAGGUUACGGCGGCGGAAAAGUAUUUUGGUGGACGCUUCUGGUUGUUUGGGAAUAUUUGGGAAUUUAAAGGCCAAAGAUUAGGGUUGGAGGAGCUCCGAGGGGCACACAAGUCCUCAGGGCACGCCCCUGAGGCUUGUCGCCGCCUCGGGGCUCCUCUAACUUCAUCUCCAAGUCCUACGGGUGUCUUCUGGUCGAAGAAAAAUCAUCGCAGAAGUUUUAUUCCAUUUGGACUCCGUUUGAUAUUCCUUUUCUGUAAAACUCAAAAACAAGGAAAAAGCAUAAACUGGCACUAGGCUCUAGGUCAAUAAGUUAGUCCCAAAAAUAAUAUAAAAUAGCAUAUUAAUGCAUAUAAAACAUCCAAAACAGAUAAUAUAAUAGGAUCAAACAAUAAAAAAUUAUAGAUACGUUGGAGAUGUAUCACAUCCCUAAGCUUAUGGCUUUGCAUAGCAUUAGCAUCAUGGAUAUUCAAAGCAUUCAUACUAGCAACAUUGCAAUCAUGCUCAUCAUUCAUGGAUUUUGUGCCAAACAUUUUAUUGAAUUCUUAUUCUAUCAAUUGAGCAUAAUUUUCUAAUCCAUUAUUUUCAAGAAAGACAUUAUAAAGAUGAACAAUAUGAGACCACCUCAAUUCCAUUUUUUUGUAAUUUUAUUUUUAUAAACCAAACUAGUGAUAAAACAAGAAACUAAAAUAUUCAAUUGCAAGAUCUAAAUACCUUCAAGCACUCACCUCCAUGGCAACGACGCUAGAAAAGAGCUUGAUGGCUGGUACGUCUCCAACGUAUCUAUAAUUUUUGGUUGUUCCAUGCUGUUAUAUUAUCAUUCUUGGAUGUUCUACAAUUAUUGUAUAGUCAUUUUAUAUCAUUUUCUGUACUAACCUAUUGACAUAGUGCCCUGUGCCAGUUGUUGUUUUCUGCAUGUUUUUUACAUCGCAGGAAAUCAAUAUCAAACGGAGUCCAAACGCAACGCAACUAGUGGAUGAUUUUUUUUGGGCCAAAAGAAAGCCAGUGGGCCAAGGAAGCACCUGGGGGGCUACUCGAGGGGAGCAGCACCCACCAGGGCGCACCAGAAGGCCAGGCGCGCCCAGGUGGGUGCUGCAACCUCAGGUGCCCCCCGAACCUCCUCUUUGCUCUAUAAAUACCCAAAUAUUCCAGAAACUUUAGGGGAGUCGACGAAAUAUUGAUCCAGCCGCCGCAGAGUCCAGAACCACCAAGAUCCAAUCUAGACACUGUCAUGGAGAGGUUCACCACUUCCAUUGGUGCCUCUCCUGUGAUGCAUGAGUAGUUCGUUGUAGACCUACGGGUCCGUAUUUAGUAGCUAGAUGGCUUCCUCUCUCUCUCUCUUGUUUAUCAAUACAAUGGUCUCUUGGAGAUCCAUAUGAUGUAAGUCUUUUGGCGAUGUGUUUGUUGGGAUCCGAUGAACUUUGAGUUUAUGAUCAGAUCUAUAUUUUAUCCAUGAAAGUUAUUUGAGUCUUCUUUGAUCUCUUAUAUGCAUGAUUGCUUAUAGCCUCGUAUUUCUUCUCCGAUAUUUUGGUUUUGUUUGGCCAACUUGAUCUAUUUAUCUUGCAAUGGGAAGAGGUGCUUUGUAGUGGGUUCGACCUUACGGUGCUUGAUCCUAGUGACCGAAAGGGAACCGACACGUAUGUAUCAUUGCUACUAAGGAUAACAAGAUGAGAUCUAUAUCUGCCGCAAUAGAUAAAUGGAUCUUGUCUACAUCAUGUCAUCGUUCUUAUUGCAUUACUCCAUUUUCUCAUGAACUUAAUACACUAGAUGCAUGAUGGAUAGCGAUCGAUGUGUGGAGUAAUAGUAGUAGAUGCAGGAAGGAGUCGGUCUACUAAUCUUAGACGUGAUGCCUAUACAAUGAUCAUUGCCUUAUUUGAAGUUCUAUCAAUUGCCCAACAGUAAUUGUUUUUCCACCAUUUGCUAUUUUUCUCGAGAGGGGCCACUAGUGAAACUUACGGCCCUCGGGUCUCUUUUCAUCAUAUUUGCCUAUGCGAUCAAUUUUCUCUUGCAUUUAUUUUUAGAUCUAUUAAACCAAAAAUAAAAAAAUACCUUGCUACAAUUUAUUUAUUCGGCGAUCUAUUUAUCCUAUCUGCCACUUUUUACCUCACAUUUUUUCCUAUCUUGAGGCGUCGUACCCGAAAGGGAUUGAGAACCCCUUUAACACGUCGGGUUGCAAGUAUUUGUUAUUUGUGUGCAGGUGUUGUUUACAUGGUGUGAGGAGGUUCUCCUACUGGUUCGAUAACCUUGGUCUCAUCACUGAGGGAAAUAUCUAUCGUUGCUAUACUGCAUCAUCCCUUCCUCUUUGGGGAAAUACCGACGUAGUUCUAGCAGACAUCGAUGUCUACUACGCAACUUUAUUCUUGUAGACUCAUGUUGGGCCUCCAAGGGUAGAGUUCCGUAGGACAGUAGAAAUUUUACCUCAACUGGAUGACCUAAGGUUUAUCAAUUCGUGGGAGGCAUAGGAUGAAGAUGGUCUCUCUCAAACAACCCUGCAACCAAAUAAUAAAAAGUCCCUUGUGUCCCCAAAACACCAAAUACAAUGCUAAAUUGUAUAGGUGCACUAGUUCGGCGAAGAGAUCGUGACGCAAGUGUAGUAACGAUAGUAGAUAUUGAUUUUUGUAAUAGGAACAAUAAAAAACAGCAAGGUAGCAAAUAACAAACGUGAGCACAAGCGGUAUUGCGAUGCUUGAAAAUGAGGCCUAGGGUCCGUACUUUCACUAGUGCAAUCUCUCAACAAUGCUAAUCUAAUUGGAUCAUAUAACCAUCCCUCAAAGUGCGACGAAGAAUCACUCCAAAGUUCCUAUCUAGCAGAGAACAUAAGAAGAAAUUGUAUGUAGCUAUUCUUUCCGAUAGAUCUAUCCAAGAGUUCAUACUAAAAUAACACCAAGUUAUUCUUUUCGAUUGAUCUAUCAAGAGUUCAUAGUAAAAUGACAGCAAGUUAUUCUUUCCGAUCGAUCUAUCAAAAGUUCAUACUAAAAUAACACCAAAGCAAAUUCAGAUUCAUAAUACUCAAUCCAACACAAAGAACCUCAAAGAGUGCCCCAAGAUCUCUACCGGAGAAAGUAGGAUGAAAAUGUGCAUCAACCCCUAUGCAUAGAAUACUGCAAUGUCACCUCGGGAAUCCGCGAGUUGAGUGCCAAAACAUAUAUCAAGUGAAUCAAUAUAAUACCCCAUUGUCAUCAUGGUUAUUCAUACGCAAUACAUAUAUCAAGUGCUCUCAAAUCCAUAAAAGUAUUCAAUCCGAUAAGAUCGAAAUCUCAAAGGGAAAAUUCAAUUCAUCACAACAGGAUAGAGAAGGAGAAACACCAUAUGAUCCAACUAUAUUAACAAAGCCCGUGAUACAUCAAGAUCGUGCCAUCUCGAGAACACGACAGAGAGAGAGAGAUUAAACACAUAGCUACUAGUACAAAUCCUCAGCCCCAAGGGUGGACUACUCCCUCCUCAUCAUGGUGGCUGCCGGGAUGAUGAAGAUGGCCUCCGAUGAUGAUUCCCCCCUCUGGCAAGGUGCCGAAAUAGGGUCCAGAUUGGUUUUUUGUGGAUACAGACCCUUGCGGCGGUGGAACUUCUGGUCGAUCGACUCAUCUAGGGUUUUGGAAUAUUUGGGAAUUUAUAGGCGAAGAGGCGGUGCAGGGGGGCUCCGAGGUGGGCACAACCCACCUGGGCACGCCUGGGCCUCCUGGCGCGCCCAGGUGCCUUGUGCUCACCUCGGGCCUCCCCUCUGGUACUUAUUUUGCCCAAUGGGUAUCUUCUGGUCCAGAAAAAAUCUCCAAAAAGUUUUGCUGCGUUUGGACUCCGUUUGGUACUGAUACUCUAGGUAGUAAAAAACAAGCAAAAACAGCAACUGGCAUUAGGCACUAUAUCAAUAGGUUAGUCCCAAAAUGAUAUAAAGUUGCUAUAAAAUGAUUGUAUAUCAUCCAAGAAUGAUAAUAUAACAACAUAGAACAUGAAAAAAUUAUAGAUACAUUGGAGACGUAUCAGGUGCUUCCCUGACUUUUGGUCGCAGCGUGCCAUGGCGGUGCUCCUGUGGACAAUAAUGGAAGCGGAGUCGCCGAAUCUAGUCAACCGCAACAAGUGGGUGGGCUUGAAGGAUCGUCCCGCCAUAUGGAGGAGAGGUGGAAGUGGUGUUGGGGAUGUCGAUGGUGGGGACAAGUGCUCUUCCGAUGGUGAUCUCCGACGAGGAGGGGGAGGUGUCAUGGAGGAGGCAGAAGAAGAUGAUGGCGGUGGCACUCCCUCAUCACUCGCCGUGUUUCCCACGCUACUCCUGUCGGUGUCAAAACCGGCGGAUCUCGGGUAGGGGGUCCCAAUCUGUGCGUCUUAGGCUGAUGGUAACAGGAAGCAAGGGACACAAUGUUUACCCAGGUUCGGGCCCUCUCGAUGGAGGUAAAACUCUACUUCCUGCUUGAUUAAUAUUGACGAUAUGAGUAGUACAAGAGUAGAUCUACCACGAGAUCAUAGAGGCUAAACCCUAGAAGCUAGCCUAUGAUGAUUAUGACUAUAAUUGUGAUCGGCCUUCUAAGGACCAACCUCUCCGGUUUAUAUAGACACCGGAGAGGGGUUUACAUGGAGUCGGUUACAAGGAAGGAAACACAAUAUCUGGAUCGCCAAGCUUGUCUUCCACUCAAAGGAGAGUCCCAUCCAGACACGGGACGGAGUCCUGAGUCUUGCAUCUUCACGCUUCAAUAGUCCGGACGAUGUAUAUAGUCUGGCUGUUCGGAUACCCCCUAAUCGAGGACUCCCUCAGUAGCCCUUGAACCAGGCUUCAAUGACGAUGAGUCCGGUGCGCAGUCUUGUCUUCGGCAUUUUAAGGCGGGUUCCUCCUCCGAAUACUCCAAAGUAAUUGUCGAACACAUGGACCAUGUCUGGAUCUGCAAAAUGAUUUUCACAUACCACAGUGGAGAAAAUGAUAUUUCACAAACGCAAUCUGCCAACCACGUGACAUGUCAUUGCGGUCGGGUCAUUAUUCAAAUUGUUCUCCCAGAACCAGCCAUAGCGCAUAUUGCGAGGCGGUUUCUUCUGCACGUUUCGCCAUAGCAGAGAUCAUGUCCCCUUAUUAUGGGAUUCUCAUUAAUACGGGUAUGGAUAAUCCAACCGCACCGCUAAUCGCGGCGAGUGGGGAGCGAGCGGGAUCCACCAGGCUAGUGGGAAGGCGCAAAAAGCUUUUACCGUCUCUAUAAAGAGAUAAGGUCUCUUCCUCUUUACCCACGCCUUCUCCUUCCGCUAGCCCAUUCCCCUCUGUUCGAGCCCUAACACCCAGGCGCUCUCCUUUUCCAUCGAAGAGAGGUUCUCCAAAGAUGUCUAGAUCCAGAGCAGCAGGCAUAUGGAUGGCCUCUACUGUCCAGGAGAAGGAUAUCAAGAAGCUCCGGGAGGCCGGGUAUCUGGCCAAGAAGAUCGGCCACCGUCUCCCACCGGCGGGACAUGUCGUCCCUACUCUGGAGCCUCACGAGAGAGUCAUGGUCCUUCCCCAUUUUGUCGCGGGCUCGGGUUUCCCCUUCACCCAUUUGUUCGUGGAGUCAUGUAUUACUACGGGAUUGAUUUUCAUGAUCUUUCCCCCCAAUUCUUUCCUCAAUAUCUCGAUGUUCAUCGUCGUGUGCAAGGCUUUUCUCCGGAUUUCGCCUCACUUCGGCCUGUGGCUGAAGAUUUUCCAUGUGAAGCCCAAGGUGGUGAGUGGCGAGCACGCCGAGUGCGGCGGCACCAUGGUGAGCAAGAUGCCCAAGGCCGUUUGGCCGAAGGGUGCCUUCAACGACUCCGUCAAGGAGUGGCAGCAGCAAUGGUUCUAUACCACCAAACCACGCGGCAAAAAGUGGGCUGCAGUUCCUGAGUUCAGAUCCGGAGCCCCACAGCGACUCACGUCCUGGCCCAAGAAGGGCCCGAACUGGUCCUUGUCCGAUGAGUUGUCACUGCUCCAGACGCGCGUUCAGAGUGUGGUCGACAAGGACGUCAAACUCGUCGACGUAGUCCAGGUGAUGCUAGUUCUCCUGGUUCUCCCUUGCCAGCACCGAGCCUGCAAUUUGUGGGAGUUCGACCCAACCGAGCACCAAACCCUUCGGGAGCUCUAUGAUUCCUCCCACAAGGAUAUCUGGAAGGUGCUCUUUAAAUCCGGCAAAUUGUGGCUGGGCUCCGCCGAGGACCGUGGGUAUCAAUUAUCCCAUUCUGCAAGCCCGGUAAGUUACAGCCACACUCAGUCCAUCCAUGCUUCAGUUGGCAUGUCCUGAGGGAGACAUUUUCAUCGUGUUUCAUCGUGACCCCAGGGAUGGAUAAAGAAGGUGGAGCGGAUACAUUGUCCGGCCCCACUGCCGGAGGAACCGGCCGGAGCUCUUCUGACGAAGAUGUUGGUCCCUGCGCCUUACGAGGCGCCAAAGAAAGAGGCCUCCGAAAAGGUCAAAAAGACUCGGAGUGGCCUCCGUCGCUGCGAGGCUUCGGACGCAAAAUCUGAAGACUCCAAUGACGCUCCUUCUUCCGAAGACGAAGAGGAGGAAGCAGAGGAGGACGAGCCUCACUUUGAAGGUGGGAAGAAGAGGGCGGCUUCCCCGUCCCUGGAGGCCGAAUCGCCCAAGAGGGGGAGAGGUUCCCACCCAGAAGCAUCCACCACGGCUGCAGAUAACAGCCCGGAGUGGGAUCCCAGGGCCCAGCCCCUGGAAAAAUCGUAAGUAUCCGAAAUCCGAACGCGCAUAUGCAUCCAGGAUCAUUUGCGUACAGUAGUUUUAACUGUCACCAUAUUUCGUACAGCCCGGCGAGGUCUCGUGCCGGACAAUCCUCAUCGGAGGAUUCGCUGAGCUCAGAUUUUGUGGCAAGCGAGACGCCUCCGGAGGCUCCUUCCCCGAAGUCUAGGCGCGACACCGAGGUGUCGUCUCAAAGAGACCCGGACAAGGGGAGGCAUGUCUCUGGAGCCGGACACAUGGGGGCGGCGGCCCCACGGCGUGUCGGUGUUGGGGGCGAUCUCGGGUUCGAACCACAGCCGGAUAAGGUCCUAGAGACCUCUAAGGCUCCAGGAUCAGGCGAGCAGCCACCUUCGAUGGUGGGAGGCUUGCUUAAUCCGCCGGCAACCUCUGUCCACGCAGAGCUGCCAGGCGGUCUAUCGACAGCGUUAAAGAGCGCGUCUAUCGUUGAUGAACAUCGGACCCUCAUGGGUGCGGUGGUUGAAAAGAUUCAGUCUGUCGAAAGCGGGCUGAAUGAGUCCUGCCUUGGCCUUAUAAAGGCUUUUGAGGUAUGUUUUCUAAGAAACCUUUGAGGAAUCAUCAUAAUAUGAGUAGUAGCCCCUGAUACACUGUCGGGCGAAAGAGAGAGCCGGGCAGGGGAUCAAAUCCUCUGCCUUCGAGGGAACCUUGUUAAUGACGUAUACCCCUUUGUGUGAAAACAGGCGUCUGCGGAGAAGACGGGUGCUCAUAAUGCGGAAGUGUCCGAACUAAAGCAGAGCCUGGAACGGGCCGAGGAGGAACUUGGCCGUGUGAAGAAGCAAUUGGAGGACAAGCAAGGUAUGUUGAAACAUUGUCUUGCAUUAGGCACGAAUGAAUAAUUGUGCCUACUGAAAAGUAUUUGUGUUGUAUGCCCUAGGAUUGAGUGACGAAUAUGAGGCACUGAAGAAGGUUGUGGCUGAUGCCAACAAGAAGGCUGCCGCCAAACAGGUGCUUCAUGAAACACGAGGCCAUGGUCAUCACAGCUGAGCGAGAGCUCCAGGAGGCUAUGAAGAAAAGCGAGGGCUUGGAGCAGAGUCUAGUAGGGAAAGAAUCCGAACUCGCCCAAGCUCUCCAAGCCGCGGAAGAUGCUCGGGAAGAAGCCCGAGGUGCUGUACGGGACAUUCAGGAGGCCCGGAAAGUUGCGGCUGGUAAGGCCUUUUGUAUUCAUGGCCAUUUUUACAUGAUAGUGGGGAGAACUCUAAGCGACAAGCUGAAUUCUUGUUUUUACAAGGGUGUUUGCGGAUCUGCCUCGCAGCAUAUCAGAUGCCGCUCAAUUCUACCGGACCGAGGAGAAGAAGUCUGAAGAGAGGAAAUUCUGGUCGCAGUAUUUGGCGUCGAACUAUCCGGUGCCUUUUAUCGAUCAGCUGAAGCAGCUGGUCGAACUGCACCAGGCGGCCGAACUAGCCAUGAAGGACUUGGUUGUCCGGCUAUGGCCCGCGGAGCCAAUUCCAAGCAGUUACUUCGGACUCAUGAAGCGGAUUGUGGGCGCCUGUCCUCGGCUUGAUGCUAUCAAGUGAUCAGUCUGUAUAGAAGGUGCGCGCAUGGCUUUCGCUCAUGCAAAAGUGCAUUGGGGGAAGCUUGACGCGUAGAAGCUGAUGAUUGAGGGGCCGCCGGAGGGUAAGGAGCACCGCAAGCCCGAGAUGUACUAUGAAGGUGUACUGAAGGGGGCCCGCCUUGUGGCGGAUAAGUGUACCAAAGACAUUAUAUUUCCCUGAGGGCAUUCGUGUCGUUCUUUGUAAUAAGGGAUAAUGGCACUUUUAUUAUUUAUUGCCUGUUUUGUUUGAACAUAUAUUCUUCCUUUACGGUUGUUUAGUGUAUGUAAAUCCUGAGAGUUGGCCAGUCGUCGGCUUCUGCCCCCACGAAAGAAAUACGGGGGUGUUCGAGGCAUAUCUGAACUCUCUGUAUCCCAUAGCUGGGUCCUUUUAAGGAGGUGUUCCUCACCACGAACUAGGCAAUCAGACUAUAGGGCUUUACCACUCUCACUUAGCCAUAGGAAUUCGAGUAUGGUCGGCACAACCCCUAGUGUUUGGAAGGCUGAACUAGGGGCUCCAUUGGCGCCUAAUCGGACGACUGAUCCGUCGCACUCUGCAUUUAUAAUGGCGUUAUGUGGAAUAAAUCUUGAAGGAUUUUACAACCUCUCGAGCAGCUGACCAGCUCUCGCUGUAUCAUGACAGUCAGUUUUUGGCUUUCUUUACUGAGGUGCUCGUCCAGCAGAACCGGGACACAAUCGCAGUAGUUCUCCCAGCGCUACCUUAGCCGAUGGAACUGAAUGUAAGGUACCAAAACAUGGGAGCCGGGCAAACCCAACCAAUGACCCAAGACAUGAUUCGAAGCUGAUGCAUAUAGUGCGAUAAGUUCGGGGUGCCGAGCAACCGAAAAGGUGGUCAGACUUUAUUGACGUACUGUGAAGCCCCGGCAUAAUCUGACAUAAUACGAGGCGUGGCUGCCAUUUUUGGCAAAGAGGCGUCGAUGAUAAACGACGGCUGGUAAGUGUUAUUUGAGUCUACGCAUUGUAGUAGGAUGAUAUGUCUAUGCAUGUGAGUACGAUUUAUGAUUAUGAAAAGAGGUGUUUUUGGCGGAACCUGUGAUGGCCGGACUGGAGGGGGCUUUGAGUGGAUCUGAAGUGAAUCCGGACUGCCUUCUUUGUGGGGGUUCACAUGCAUGUUUCUGCCCUUGUGUGUGCGGGCCGAUUCCACGUCGCCAAUCCUGUUCUGCGUCAAAGUUAGUUUGUAAAGGCAGAUGCCUGGAGGCAGCUGAACGUCCUCUUGUGGCUGAUCCGAGGGUUCCUGAUCGGACCCUGGUUAACCCAGUCGUUAUACCUUGAAAUAGCGCAGACUCCUCAAUGGGUGUCCGGAUAGUUGGCUGUCAUAUCGAAAUUUUGAUAGGCAUGCACGACUCGCUGCUCCGACAGCUGUAUGAUUUCCGCUCUAAGGGCGGGGUUCGACCUUGCCCAUAAGUGUGAUUAUAUCACAUGGUGUUGGCCUAAUGGUUUACCACGUGGAAUCUAGUCAACAUGGUUCAUCCCGUUAGCAUACGGUAAAUUACUGUAUGAGGGGAAGGUGCCGAAGAAUUAUUCUUUGGCGUGGCAUUUUUUGGUGAUCCGAAAACACCCUUUAGAUUGGUGGGCCAAUAAAACUUGGCCUUUGCACCUGGCAUCUUUUAGAAGAUGUUAUUUGUGGUUUCAUACCCGCGGGGGCUUUAUGUGUUAUGUAGCCCCCGGACUACUAGGUCUAGAGGUACUGCAAUUGAAUUGCUGUGGUUGGUGUGAUCGGGGGCGAUCGGUCGUACUUUUAUGCUCUAGGGGGUCUCUUGACUAGACGCCUCCCCUCAUUGUUUUUAGCACACGACCGGCCGCUUUGUUUUGAGGAUCCGGCAUUCUCUAUUGGUAUGCUUUGCCGUCCUUCUAGGAGUAUCGUGAAUUUCGCAUGGUUGAUCGAGUAUGUGGAUCGGGCCGGAUAGGCUUGAGCUGUUCUUUGUCCGUUGACCGGACUGGGAGUUGCUGGACUUGGCACCAGCUUCCCUGACUUGACAUUUAUGACCAUUGCGCCGAGGCUUGAGGAUUCCUCUUCGUGUAUCCCUCUUAUUGUCUUGGACCGUAGUGAUGUGUCGACGUCGGGGUGUGUGCCUUGGGUUCUCCUGCUUAGGUUGAGGUAGCCAGUUGUGCCGUGUGUGCCCUUUGUCGGGGCGGUCGAGUCCAUAUUUUUCGGUGGCCAGGAUCUUGGUCCACCUAUCCACGAGCAAAUCUUGGUCAGCAUUAAGCUGCUCUUGCUUCCUUUGCAGGCUCCUUGCCGUGGCCAUGAGCCGUCGCUUGAAGCGAACUUGUUCCACUGGAUCUUCAGGCACGCCGAAUUUGUCAUUGCCGAGGCUUACCUCAUCCUCGGAGGGGGUGUGUAGUUGCCCCUCUCCAAGUAUCCCACCAUGGCCAGUCCAGCCUGCUUGAAGGUAGGCUGAUCAGGGUUGUAUUCAUCUUUAGCGCCAUUCAGAUUGUUUUCGUCUCCUCGGCCGGUAUUGCUGUGGCGGGUCUUGGAGCGGCGCUGACAACGCCCAUGCUUUGUUUUUCUCCCUGAGGGGUUAUUCUCUGUUGCCUCAUCGCCAUUGGCUUCCUUCGGAGUGUCCACCAUAUAUAUAUAUCGUAUGAGGAGGUGGUUGUCCACCGCCCUGUGAGUGGUGGUUCCUGUACUUCUCCUGCAUCAUCGACUGUACCGUUGAUGCCUUCGGAGUCAAAGUCAAGCACGUCGGUUAAAUCAUCGACCAUGGCAAUGAAGUGGGUGGUGGGUGGGCAACGAAUUCGUUCGUCGCCUGCUUCCCACUCGAGCCAGACAUAGUUCGGCUAAGAGCCUCCUGACAAAGAGAGAGACUUUAAUGAGUCCAGCAUAUCACCAAAGGGCAAGUGCUGGAAGAUAUCCGCAGCGGUAAACUCCAUUACCGGAGCCCAACCAGGCUCGACGGGCUCGGCAGCGCGCAGAUUGGAACCUACAAUCGGGUAUGAGUCCGGGGGUCCGGAGUCACAGGCUUCCUUAGAAGUGGGGCCUGUGUUCGGCUCUACCGCCGAUGAGUGCGAGGCCUGCAGGGCGGGGUCCAUCCGUCCGUCCUUAGGCAAUGCAGCCUGCCCCGGAUUUAGGUCCGGGGCUACUGCAGGGGUGAUAUCUCGAGCAUUGUCCGACAGCAGGUCUAAGCCGUGCUCAUCGUGACUGUCCGGUGCUCCUGGCACAGGCUCGAAUCUGUCGAAGAUCAAGUCUCCGCAAAUGUCCGCCGUGUAGUUCAGGCUUCCGAACCUGAUCUGGUGGCCAGGGGCGUAGCUAUCGAUCUGCUCCAGAUGGCCAAGCGAAUUAGCCCGCAGUGCGAAGCCGCCGAACACAAAGAUCUGUCCGGGGAGAACAGUUUCAUCCUGGACCGUGUCGUUGACGAUGAUUGAAGGAGCCAUCGAGCCUUGCAGCAACGACACAGAGGAACUCUCAUUGAAAGCACCAAUGUCGGUGUCAAAACUGGCGGAUCUCGGGUAGGGGGUCCCGAUCUGUGCGUCUUAGGCUGAUGGUAACAGGAAGCAAGGGACACAAUGUUUACCCAGGUUCGGGCCCUCUCGAUGGAGGUAAAACCCUACUUCCUGCUUGAUUAAUAUUGACGAUAUGAGUAGUAAAAGAGUAGAUCUACCAUGAGAUCGUAGAGGCUAAACCCUAGAAGCUAGCCUAUGAUGAUUAUGACUGUAAUUGUGAUCGGCCUUCUAAGGACCAACCUCUCCGGUUUACAUAGACACCGGAGAGGGCUAGGGUUUACAUAGAGUCGGUUACAAGGAAGGAAACACAAUAUCCGGAUCGCCAAGCUUGUCUUCCACGCAAAGGAGAGUCCCAUCUUGAGUCUUGCAUCUUCACGCUUCAAUAGUCCGUAUGAUGUAUAUAGUCCGGCUGUCCAGAUACCCCCUAAUCCAGGACUCCCUCAACUCCACCAGACUUGUGGCCCUCUCCUUUUUGGAGUAGGGGCUCUCUGACUGGCGAACGCUUUGGGUGCUGGCAGGAGAUGACUCCGGUGACGAUUGUGAGGGCCUGCUAUCGGAUUUAUCAGUUAUCCUUUCGUAUGAGUGAGGAUAUAUGUGCUCUGAAAAUCAGGGAUGUUACAAUGAAUGGGAAAAUGGAUGCAAAAACAAAAUAUCUGUGGUGAAUGAUCCCGUGACUCAUUAUGAACGAAAUCGUAAGAUUAAAUUAGGGAGCUAACUAGAGUAGGUGAUGGCGGUAGGAGAACUACUGUUGAUGUAGAUAAUAGAGAACAUGCAUGACUUUUGUUCUCCAGGACAAUGAACAGAAUCAGAAGAUAGGGCAGGGGAAAUGCCUAGUUGUGAUAAAAUUUAAUAAACGAGAGAUGAUUGUUGUUUUAGAUAGUGAGUUUGUGAUGAAACAAGCUACUAAUAUUUUUUACAAGGAAUCCAUCCCAUAUGGGAGGUGAAUACCAUAGUAGCUGUUGUGCAUCCAAAUUUUGAAUGUCAAUUGACAUCUGUGAAAUUGGGCGGCAUGGUUGAAAUGGGGAAAUGGGAUUGUGGGCUUGAUUUGGGCCCGGUGGAGCAAGGAGUAGAGAGGGUGGACUAGGGGAAGAUCCCAGGAGAUAUGGAUAUGGUGGAGGUGGAAAAGGAAAAUACACCUUCUCAUGCCUUUAGGUUUCGAGACCAUCCUUAUAUUCAUGAGCAGGGUUUUAGAUAUACCCUGAUCUCAAUAAAAUUUGGUUUGGAGGUGUGGUGGCGGUGGAGAUUUUGGGGGGGCUGGUAGAGGAGGUUGGCGGGAGAGAAACACAGAUAUACAUAAUUUUCAAUACCAGAGGAAAUGAUCUGCAGGAGGGGGUCAUGGAAAUUUUGGGAGAGGCUGUGGGAGAGGAAAUUACAAUAACAUGACUCGUGAUUUGUAAGGAGUGAUGUGAAGCAGGGAGAGAAGAGUGUAAAGGAUUGUGAAGAUCCAGAGAUGAAGAAAGCUUCCUAUACUCAGCAUAACUCCAAGACCCGGAAAGGGGAAAGCUCGCAGAGUGACAAUUUGCAGAAGGAAAUUGCCCAGGGAGUGGGGCAGGAGAUGACGCAACAAUGGAUGAUGCUGCUGGGAUCUCUACCAGUGCAGAUUCCUAACAUGGCACUGCAACAACAAUGGUUUGCGCAAAUGCAACAGGUACGAGGAGAGGUGUCCAAUCAAGGGGGGAGGGAUCCCGCAAUAGGGUGUGGGUACAGGAGUGUUACCCCAAUUUGAAGAAAAUAUGCAGUAGAGGAAAUAAUAAAGUUAUUAUUUAUUUCCUUAAUGUAUGAUAAAUAUUUAUUGUUCAUGCUAGAAUUGUACUAACCGGAAACUUAGUACAUGUGUGAAUACAUAGACAAAACAUAUAUUCCCUAGUAUGCCUCUACUUGACUAGCUCGUUAAUCAAAGAUGGUUAUGUUUCCUAACCAUAGACAUGUGUUGUCAUUUGAUGAACGGGAUCACAUCAUUAGGAUAAUGAUGUGAUGGACAUGACCCAUCUGUUAGCUUAGCAUUAUGAUCGUGUCAGUUUCAUUGCUACUGCUUUCUUCAUAACUUAUACAAGUUCCUUAGACUAUGAGAUUAUGCAACUCCCAAAUAUCGGAGGAACACUUUGUGUGCUACCAAACGUCACAACGUAAAUGGGUGAUUAUAAAGGUGCUCUAUAGGUGUCUCCAAAGGUGUUUGUUGGGUUGGCAUAGAUCGAGAUUAGAUUUUGUCACUCUGUGUUUUGGAGAGGUAUCUCUAGGCCCUCUCGGUAAUACUCAUCACUAUAAGCCUUGCAAGCAUUGUGACUAAUGAGUUAGUUGCGGGAUGAAUUAUUACGGAACAAGUAAAGAGACUUGCCGGUAACGAGAUUGAACUAGGUAUGAUGAUACCGACGAUCGAAUCUCGGGCAAGUAACAUACCGAUGACAAAGGGAACAACGUAUGUUGUUAUGCGGUUUGACCGAUAAAGAUCUUCGUAGAAUAUGUAGGAACCAAUAUGAGCAUCCAGGUUCCGCUAUUGGUUAUUGACCGGAGACGUGUCUCGAUCAUGUCUACAUAGUUCUCGAACCCGUAGGGUCCGCACGCUUAACAUUUGAUGACGAUUGGUAUUAUGAGUUUAUGUGAUAUGAUGUACCGAAGGUUGUUCAGAAUCCCGAAUGAGAUCACGGACAUGAUGAGGAGUCUCGAAAUGGUUGAGACAUAAAGAUUGAUAUAUUGGACGGCUAUGUUCGGACACUGGAAGUGUUCCGGAUAAGUUUUGGAUAAAACCGGAGUACCGGGGGUUACCGGAACCCCUCGGGAAGCUAUUGGGCCUCAUGGGCCUUAGUGGAGAAGAGAGAGGGCCGGCCAGGAGGUGGCACGCAGCCCCCUUGCCCUAGUCCGAAUUGGACAAUGGGAGGGGGCGGCGCCCCCCUCUCCUUCCUUCUCUCCACCUCCUCCUUCCCCCUUCUCCUUGUUGGAAUAGGAAAGGGGGGGGGGGCGAAACCUACUUGGAGUAGGAUUUCCCCCCUUGGCGCGCCUCCUCCCCUGGCCGGCCUCCUCCUCCCUCCCUCCUUUAUAUACGGGGAGGGAGGCACCCCAUAGACACACAAGUUGAUUGUUUAGCUGUGUGUGGUGCCCCCUCCACAGAUUUCCACCUCGGUCAUAUCAUCGUAGUGCUUAGGCGAAGCCCUGUGCCGGUAACUUCAUCAUCACCGUCACCAUGUCGUUGUGCUGACGAAACUCUCCCUUGACCUUAGCUGGAUCUAGAGUUCGUGGGAUGUCACCGAGCUGAACAUGUGCAGAUCGCGGAGGUGCCAUACCGUCGAUGCUAGGAUCGAUCGGAUUGUGAAGACGUACGACUACAUCAAGCGCGUUGUCAUAAUGCUUCCGCUUUCGGUCUAUGAGGGUAGGUAGAAAACACUCUCCCCUCUUGUUGCCAUGCAUCACCUAGAGAUAGAUCUUGCGUGUUCGUAGGAAUUUUUUUGAAAUUACUGCGUUCCCCAACAGUGGCAUCCGAGCCAGGUCUAUGCGUAGAUGUUAUAUGCAUGAGUAGAACACAAAGAGUUGUGGGCGAUAAUAGUCAUACUACUUACCAGCAUAUCAUACUUUGAUUCAGCGGUAUUGUUGGAUGAAGCGGCUCAAACCGACAUUACGUGUACGCUUACGCCAGACUGGUUCUACCAACGUGCUUCGCUUUAGGGCUUGCGUGUCUGUUUCUCCAACUUUAGUUGAAUCGAGUGUGGCUACGCCUGGUCCUUGUUGAAGGUUAAAACAGCACACUUGACGAAAAAUCGUUGUGGUUUUGAUGUGUAGGUAAGAACGGUUCUUGCUAGAAGCCCAUAGCGGCCAAGUAAAACUUGCAACAACAAAGUAGAGGACGUCUAACUUGUUUUUGUAGGGUUUGCUGUGAUGUGAUAUGGUCAAGGUAUGAUGUGAUAUAAAUUGUUGUAUGAGAUGAUCAUAUUUUGUAACAAAGUUAUCGGCAACUGGCAGGAGCCAUAUGGUUGUCGCUUUAUUGUAUGCAACGCAAUCGCCAUGUAAUUGUUUAACUUUAUCACUAAGCGGCAGCGAUAGUCAUAGUAACAAAAGUUGGCGAGACGACAAUGAUGCUACUAUGCAGAUCAAGGUGUCGCGCCGGUGAUGUUGGAGAUCAUGACAAUGCUUCGGUGAUGGAGAUCAUGAGCACAAGAUGAUGAUGGCCAUAUCAUGUCACAUAUUUUGAUUGCAUGUGAUGUUUAUCCUUUAUGCAUCUUAUUUUGCUUAGGACGUCGAUAGCAUUAUAAGAUGAUCCCUUACUAAAUUUCAAGGUAUAAGUGUUCUCCCUAAGUAUGCACCGUUGCUACAGUUCAUCAUGCUGAGACGCCACGUGAUGAUCGGGUGUGAUAAGCUCUACAUUCACUUACAACGGGUGCAAGCCAGUUUUGCACACGCAGAAUACUCGGGUUAAACUUAACGAGCCUAGCAUAUGCAGAUAUGGCCUUGGAACACUGAGACCGAAAGGUCGAGCGUGAAUCAUAUAGUAGAUAUGAUCAACAUAGUGAUGUUCACCAUUGAAAACUACUCCAUCUCACGUGAUGAUCAGACAUGGUUUAGUUGAUUUGGAUCAUGUGAUCACUUAGAUGAUUAGAGGGAUGUCUAUCUAAGUGGGAGUUCUUAAGUAAUAUGAUUAAUUGAACUUUAAUUUAUCAUGAACUUAGUACCUGAUAGUAUUUUGCAUGUCUAUGUUGUUGUAGAUCAAUGGCCCAUGCUACCGUUCCUUUGAAUUUUAAUGUGUUCCUAGAGAAAGCUAAGUUGAAAGAUGAUGGCAGCAACUAUACGGACUGGGUCCAUAACUUGAGGAUUAUCCUCAUUGCUGGAUAGAAGAAUUACAUCCUGGAGGCACCGCUGGGUGGCAGGCCUGCUGCAGAUGCUACUGAUGAUGUUAAGAACAUUUGGCAAAGCAAAGCUGAUGACUACUUGAUAGUUUAGUGUGCCAUGCUUUACGGCUUAGAAUUGGUACUUCAACGAUGUUUUGAAUGUCAUGGAGCAUAUGAGAUGUUCCAGGAGUUGAAGUUAAUAUUUCAAGCAAAUGCCCAGAUUGAGAGAUAUGAAGUCUCCAAUAAGUUCUACAGUUGUAAAAUAUAGGAGAAUAGUUCUGUCACUGAACAUAUAGUCAGAAUGUCUGGGUACCACAACCACUUGACUAAAUGGGAGUUAAUUUUCCUGAUGAUAGUGUCAUUGACAGAGUUCUUCAAUCACUGCCACCAAGCUAUAAAGGCUUCGUGAUGAACUAUAAUAAUGCAAGGGAUGAACAAGACUAUUCCCGAGCUCUUCGCAAUGCUAAAGGUUGCGGAGGUAGAAAUAAAAAAGGAGCAUCAAGUGUUGAUGGUAAAUAAGACCACUAGUUUCAACAAAAAGGGCAAAGGGAAGAAGGGGAACUUCAAGAAGAAUGGCAAAAAGGUUGAUGCUCAAGAGAAGAAACCCAAGUCUGGACCUAAGCGUGAAACUGAGUCCUUCUACUGCAAAGGGAAUGGUCACUGGAAGCGGAACUGCCCCAAGUAUUUGGCAGAUAAGAAGGAUGGCAAAGUGAAAGGUAUAUUUGAUAUACAUGUUAUUGAUGUGUACUUAACUAAUGCUCGCAGUAGCGCCUGGGUAUUUGAUACUGGUUCUGUUGCUCAUAUUUGCAACUCAAAACAGGGGCUACAGAAUAAGCGAAGAUUGGCUAAGGACGAGGUGACGAUGCACGUGGGAAAUGGUUCCAAAGUCGAUGUGUUCGCGGUCGGCACGCUACCUCUACAUCUACCAUUGGGAUUAGUUUUAGACCUGAUUUUUUUUAUUUGGUGCCAACGUUGAGCAUGAACAUUAUAUCUGGAUCUUGUUUAAUGUGAGAUGGUUAUUCAUUUAAAUUAGAGAAUAAUGGUUGUUCUAUUUAUAUGAGUAAUGUCGGCGUUCUGGGAACGGGGGUCCCCAGACUUGCUUGCCUGCGGCCUGCGGCGUGGCUCAAUUGGGGGCACAACGGAGCCCAGCUUCAUCAGCUCAAGCUCAACACCCUCGCGAGGGGCCAAGCCUCGCGGGGUGGACGAUGGGAAGCUUCCUCAUGAGCAGCCUCCUCAGGCAGGCUCGCGAGGAGGUGGAGAGAUCCAGGCAGGGUACCUCCCGAGGAGCCCGUGACGCAAGGCAUGACGAUCGAGACCAGGCGGGUGCCAGGCAGGUGCGGGCCUGCGUAGUGUCCUUGUUUCCCUUUCGGUGCAAAGGAGGCAAGCACAGACCAAGGCAUCAGGCAAAGGUUACCGUUUCGGUGCAACAAGACCAAGACCAGAAGAACGGCGGGAUGGAGGUCAUCGUGGAGCCCAGAACGGUGUCAUCGUCAGAGCCUUUGGCAACCGAGGACCAACUUUAGUCGGGAUAAGUGUACUAGAUGUUCCCCUUCAAAAUGGCCAAGUGUUGGCGCCCUUCCCGCUCAUUAUUUGGGAAGAGGCCCAAGGCCUCCAUCUAUAAAUAGGACUAGCCACCCACAGGGUAGAGGCAUCUAGAGAUUGACCAGAGAGAGAGAGAAGCGACUGAACUCACCCUAGCAGUUCAUCGCACCAGCUCAAGAACAGCCCCUCGCAAGGCUGUUCUCCCUUUGUACUGUUCAUCAUCGGCCCCUGAGGCAAUCCAUCACACCACACACUGGAGUAGGGUAUUACACCACAAUGGUGGCCUGAACCAGUAUAAAUCUCGUGUCCCUUGUGUGUUCUUCUUUCUUGCCUAGAUCCUUGCAAGACUUCGACGCGUGAGCUGGUAGGGGAAAGAUCUUCGUGCGCACCCCAGUGUUCGAACCUCAAGGGUCUGCCGGAACCCGAAAUCCGACAUUUGGCGCGCCAGUUAGGGGUGCGCUGGAAUCUCUCCCCCGCUAGUCACGUGAGAUCUCCCGCCGUGUCCAUGGCUGACGCCUGUCGAGCUCACACCGAGCAUCGGGCUGCUCUCGCCACAUGCGUCGCCCAGACGGCGCCCGUCGGUGGUCGCCCCCAUUGUUCCCUGUUGCAUGCCGCCACUGGCUCGGCGGGGAACGAGCAGUAGGCUUCGUCCCUGCACCCUUCGGUGCGGCGCGAUGGCCGCACCGCCACCCGGUCGCUGACUCCAGCCAGUUCGUCGUCCCACGCCCUUUGUGCCCCCGCCGGACGCGCCGGCCGCUCCUACAGCCGAUGCCAGCACUAGAGCCAGGGGGCUCCGAGCCUUGGACCCUGCCUUGUGGCAGGUGCAGUGGCCACUCAAGUUCAAGCCCGAGAUGCCGCUGCGCUACAAUGGCGCGACAGAUCCGCUGGUCUUCCUGCUGGCGUACGAGGAGGCUGUCCUCAAGGCCGGAGGCGACGACAGGGUGAUGGCCAACUGGUUCCCCAUGGCCCUCACCGGUGUCCCGCGCAUGUGGCUGCUCCACCUACUGACGGCCUCCGCGACCUCCUGGAGGGGGGGGGGACUGUGCGACCUCUUCCUCGCCCAUUACGUCGCGCCAGUACCCCCGGUCGUCGCGGCUCUCCUGGGCGACUCUCAAGCGCCACCUUCAGGCCGCCACGUCAAGCCGUUCACCCGCCAGAUCGGCGCCACCUCCAAGCGCCGAGAAGCUCCCUCGGGUUGGGUGGCGCCCGAGGCCGAUCUGACCUUCAACUCGGACGAUCACCCCUCCAACCCCGCCGGUUCGGGUGCGCUCCCAAUGCUGUGCACCCCCACCAUCUGCAAAGUGGCCGUCACCAGGACCCUCAUCGACGGCGGGGCUGGCCUCAAUAUGCUCUCUGUGGAGGCCUUUAGCCUCCUCCACGUGCCGCUAGAGCAGCUCCAGCCCAGCAAGCCUUUCUUGGGCGUCGGAGUCGGUUCCACCGCCUCCUUGGGGCAGAUUCGCCUCCCGGUGACCUUCGACACCUACGACAACUUCUGUACCGAGCUGAUCGACUUCGACAUCGCCCCCAUUGGCCUCCCCUACAAUGCCAUCCUCGGAUACCCGGCCUUGGCCCGGUUCAUGGCAGCGAAUCACCCGGCGUACAACCUCAUGAAGAUGCCCGGGAGCAGCGGCGUCCUCACCGUGUCAGGAGACACAAGAGAUGCACUACAGGCGCUCAAGCUUGCCUUCAAGACGGCCGCGGUGGCGUAGCCCGCCGGCGCUGAUGCCCUCGAGCCCAAGGGGGCUGCGCCGGCUAAGAAGAAGCAGCUAUUCACCCAAGACAAGGCGGAAACCAAGCAGAUACCAGUCGACGAGGACGGGUCCACUAACGCCACCUUCACCAUAGGCGCCAACCUCGGACCCGAGCAGGAGGAGGCCUUGGUGAAGUUCCUACACGCAAACAAGAAGGUGUUCGCGUGGGAACCUGAUCAACUAGCAAGGGUCCCGAGAGGCGUGAUUGAGCAUCACCUCAACAUGUGCCCCAACGUACGCCCCGUGAAGCAGAAGGCGAGGCGGCAGUCUGCUGAGAAGCAAGCUUUCAUCAUCCAAGAGACCCGCAAGCUAGAGGCAGCAGGGAUUAUUCGCGAGGUCCGCUACCCAGAUUGGUUGGCUAACCCGGUUGUCAUGCCGAAAAAGGGAGGAAAGGAACACAUGUGUGUCGACUUCACCAACCUCAACAAGGCCUGCCUGCAGGAUCCAUUUCCGCUUCCUCGCAUCGACCAGAUCGUCGACUCCACCGCUGAGUGUGACUUGUUGUGCUUCCUGGAUGCCUUCUCGGGUUAUCACCAGAUCAAGAUGGCGGUAGAAGACGUGGAAAAAACAGCUUUCCUGACCCCGUGUGGAGUGUACUGCUAUACAUGCAUGCCAUUUGGGUUGCGCAAUGCAGGCGCGACCUUUCAGCGGUUGAUGCACAUCGCCAUGGGCCGGCAGCUCGGGAGGAAUGCCGAGGCUUACGUCGAUGACAUUGUGGUGAAGUCUCGGGAGGCAAAAACCCUGAUACAGGACUUGGAGGAAACCUUCGCGAGCCUCAAUGAAGUGGACCUGCGGCUCAACCCGGAGAAGUGUGCGUUUGGAGUCCCCUCGGGCAAGCUCCUGGGCUUCCUUGUAUCCCACAGGGGCAUUGAGGCCAACCUGGAGAAGGUCAAGGCAGUCGAAGACAUGAGCCCGCCGAAGACCCUCAGAGAAAUGCAGAAGCUCACCGGGCGUGUGACCGCACUAGGACGCUUCAUCUCCAAGCUGGGGGAACGAGCACUGCCCUUCUUCAAGCUGAUGAAGAAGAAGGGCCCCUUUUAAUGGACAGAAGAGGCCGACAAGGGGUUCCAGGAUCUCAAGAGGUACCUAACCAGCCCUCCAGUGAUGGUAGCUCCGCGCCCGUGGCGGUUAGGGAAGAGCGUCGGACCAAGGCCACAGCAACCGCCCGGGUCGAGGCAAAACGAAGCCAAGAAGGCCUCGCGGAGACCGCGACCGCAGCCGAAAAGGAUCAGCCGAAGCUGGGGAGCACCCCAGAGCAGAAGAGGCCCCUCCAAGCAACCGGGCGCUGCGGGCUUCGUCGUCUCAGGAGGCACCCCAACCUUCGGAGGGCGCAGGCAGCGGGAGCACUCUUAACCUCGUCAAGCACCCCGUGUAUUUCGUCAGCACGGUGCUACGGGACGCAAGGGCGCGGUACUCUAUGCCUCAAAAACUCCUCCUCGCGCUACUGGUAGCUUCACGAAAGCUGCGGCACUACUUCCAAGGCCAUCCCAUCAAGGUCAUUUCAGCAUAUGCCUUGGAAAGGGUACUCAGGAGCCCUAACUCGGCUGGAAGAGUCGCUGAGUGGAACAUUGAACUGCAAGCAUUUCAGCUAGAAUUCAGCACAACCAGAGUCAUCAAGGGGCCACACUCACAGAUUUCAUGGUAGAAUGGGCAGACGCGCCAGGCCUCGAGGCUGGCGAGGACCGAUCACUUUCCCCGGGAAGCGAGGCACCGGACGGCUGGGUCAUGUACUUUGACAGGGUGUUCUCCCGACAUGGCGCGGGGGCCGGCGCAGUGCUCGUAUCUCCCACUUAAGUCAAACUCUAUUACGCCGUACAACUUUGUUUCCAGCACGGAGAAAAGGUCUCCAACAACAUAGCGGAGUACGAAGGCCUGAUAGCAGGCCUGAAAGCCGCAGUCGCCUUGGGGGUAAAGCGCCUCAUCAUCAAGGGCGGUUCGCAACUCCUCGUCAACUUCUCCAACAAGGUAUACGAGCCAAAGGACGAGCACAUGGAAGCCUACCUUGCGGAGGUUCGCAGGAUGGAGAAACAAUUCUGGGGGCUGGAGUUGCAGCAUGUGCCUCGCGGCACCAAUCAAGAGGUUGAUGACAUAGCCAAGAGGGCAUCCCGGUGGCUACCUCAAGAGCCUGGCAUCUUCGAGGAGCGAUUCUUCAAGCCCUCGGCGGCACCAUCACUAUCAAGCACGACGCAACUUCAGGAGGAGCUCCCUCAGCCGCCUGCCUCGGGAGCCCCGGUCUGCGGCCCGGCCUCGGGGGCACGCUUGCUCCUGGCGUUGGAGCCUCAGGAAGGAUGCUGGAUCCUAGAGCUCAGGAACUACUUGACGCAAGGGACCCCGCCGGAGAAGGAGGACGAGGCGGAGCGUGUAACGCGGCAGGCCUCGGCCUACUGCAUCAAGGACGGAGAGCUCUACCAGAGGCGACCAAAUGAAGUGUCCCUACGUUGCAUUUCCAGAGAGCAAGGGAAGGAGCUGCUGGCAGACAUACACGAUGGAGACUGUGGGCAUCACUCAUCAUCACGAACCCUCGUCGGCAAGGCAUUCCGCAGCGGGUUUUAUUGGCCCACAGCACUCAGUGACGCCGUUGAGCUGGUGAAGGCUUGUGAGGCCUGCCAAUUCCACGCCAAGCAGAUCCAUCCGCAGGUGGGGGGUUUGUAGACUAUACCCCUCUCAUGGCCGUUCGCAGUUUGGGGACUGGACAUUUUGGGCCCGUUCCCUUGGGCGCCAGGGGGCUAUCGCUACCUCUACGUUGCCGUGGACAAGUUCACCAAGUGGGCUAAGACGGAAGCUGUCCGCACCAUCCCAGCGGGCUCCGCAGUCAAGUUCAUCAAGGGCCCCGUGAGCCGAUUUGGGGUGCCCAACCGCAUCAUCAUCGACAAUGAUUCGCAAUUCACCAGUAACCUCUUCAAAACAUACUAUGCUAACCUUGGAACGUAGAUAUGCUACUCUUUGGUAGCACACCCCCGGAGCAACGGCCAGGCUGAGCGAGCCAACACGGAGUCCUUAGGGGCCUCAAAACCAGGACCUUCAAGAAGAAGCUGGAGGCUUGUGGCAGGGGCUGGUACGACGAGCUCCAGUCUGUGUUGUGGUCUAUCCGCACGACCGCAACAAAGCCGACUGGCGAGACCCCAUUCUUCCUCGUCGACGGAGUUGACGCUGUCCUUCCUCACGAGGUCAGGCGUCGUUCCACACGGAUCCUGGCGUUCAACGAGACGCAGCAGGAUGCCAUGCGGGGGACAGAUCUCGUGCUUGGGGAGGAACGCCGUCGAGAGGCCGCGUUGCAAGCGGCAAGGUAUCAACAGGCGCUGCGACGAUACCACUGCCGCAACAUCCGCCCUAGAACUCUUGAGGUAGGGGACCUCGUGCUCAGACGGGUCCUCUCCAGGGAAGGGUGGCACAAGCUCUCUCCGAUGUGGGAGGGCCCGUUCAAGGUUGUUCAUGUUUCCAGGUCCGACUCCGCACGCUUGGAGACCCAGGAGGGGGUACCCAUUCAGAACGCAUGGAACAUUCAACAUCUCCGAAGAUUAUACCCCUGAGGAGGCCCAGUGCCUAUGGAAAAGGCCCGGUGCCUGUGAAGAAGGCCAAUGCAUGUGAAGCCACUGCAUUUUGGAAAAGGCCCGGUGCCUGUGAAGAAGGCCAAUGCCUCUGAAGCCACCGCAUUUUGGAAAAGGCCCGGUGCCUGUGAAGAAGGCCAAUGCCUAUGAAGCUCGCCGCCCGUGACACUCUCAUGUAAUAAUGAGUGGGGCUGUACACGCCCCGGGGUCUCCAGAGUGCCGCCCUCGGGCCUCGGGGGCUCCCGCCCAUGCCUAGUGGCAGCACUUAGCUCCGCGCUGGUGAGAAGACGUCGAAGACUAGAUUAGGUGCUGGACGCGGCUUUUUCAUUUGCUUUCUGUAGUUGGCUUGUUCUUCCCUAUUUGAAGUUUUAUCGAAGUUGUCGUUGUCUCUGGCUUGUGACCCCUUUGUUUUUCUUGCUCACUUGCCUUGGUUUACCCUCGCGCAAGUCUCGCGAGGGAGGUACGCCUGCACCCUCGCGAGUGUUUUCCUGCCCCGGUCGUUUGAAGCUUUCCUGUCCGAGUCAACUGAGGGAGCACCCCUCCCAGUCCGUGCCCCACGGGCAUCACGACGCGAGCACAGGACCUGGGUCGGUCACCCCCACAACCAAAACCAAAAACUACCCCUUUCGACUAAUCCUUGCAGGACAUGAAGUGCAUGGCGAGGCCUCGGCCUCGGGAGGCGACGAUCACAACAAGCCUCCCCGAGUUAAGCAACUCCCGUGCAUGGGCACACGGCACGAAAGCGUAGCACAGAAAUAGCGGAAACAGCACGAUAAUUAACGGUAAUAGUUCAACAGGCCCCCGCGUGGCCCUACACUACCUUAUCUUUUUGCGUAGGAAAGGAAGAAAAGCAAAACAGGCAUGACUUGCUCGGCACCAGCUCGCGGCGAAGGCUCGUGCUGCCUCCGGAGCUCAGUCAGAUCCCCCCUCUCGCUUCACCUGGGUGUGAUGACGGACUGACCCGCUGCCUUCUCCUAGGCGGACGCGACGACGUGGGGGCUGGUCGCGACCCCCACUAGAGGAGCUGCUGUCUAAAGGAGAGUCGCUGAAGCUUGGCGAGCCCCGAGCACCGCUGCCCGCGCACCUGCCGCCGUCUUCGUCCUGACCAACGCCGGGGCUGAGCGCACGGCCGCGGUCAUCGUCUUCAUGGCAGCACCCAGCACGGCGGUGGUCUUCCCCAAACACCCUCACGUAGAGGGUGGCGUUGCCAUCAAACUUGAAGUGCAGGGUGCACCGCCGGCACAGGCCACACGCGCGGGCAAAAGUUUGCCAACCACGGGUCAGGGCCAAACCCCCGGCGGCGGAGACCUCCAGCGAAGCCCAGGAGCCCUGAUACAGCAACCGUCCACCUGAAGCCAUAGGCCACCCGGAGCGCCAACCGGAAGUUCACCUAUAAAGAAGCAAGGAAGCUGGAGCCAGGAGCUGGUCGGGUCCGCCGACCACACAACGAACUCCGGCAGCACCUCCGCCGAGCGGGAAGCGCAGCCUGGGGGGUCGCGUAGCCACGGCGUGCCUCCCAUCAACGACCAGGCGCCCAUCGCUGCACAGGGAGUCGCCUCAACGACCACGUGAAGCCACCACAGGGGACACAUGAUGCUUGCGGGGGUGGCCACGGCCGCGCUUGGUCGGGGGGGAGUCAGGCCCUUCCUGACGACCCUUUCCCUUCUCCGCGGCCGAGAACCUCUUAGGCGGAGCCAUGGGGAUGGCGAGCAGCAGGGAUGAAGAAGAAGAGGAGUAGCAGGGAGGGAUGGACUGGAAUGGCUCGCGUCGUUCCCUACUUAUAGCCGGAGGAGGCCAACCGCUGGCCUCCAUGAUCGCGGGUAAUCAUGACCCAUUUUUUCAUGCAGGGACUUGUCAAGUCAUGCAGUUGCCAAGGCGUCGUGGGGAAGCGGAGACGCCCACGUCCAAUCAAUCGCCACGCUGCGCCCAAGGCCGCAGGCUGUUGGGGCCCGCGGCACUUCGCACUUACCCCUUCACUUCUCUGCUAAGCCAAGUCCGGGCGCGCCUUGGGCCCGGGGGCUACUGUCGGCGUUCUGGGAAUGGGGGUCACCAGACUUGCCUGCCUGUGGCCUGCGGCGUGGCUCAAGUGGGGGCCUAGCGCAGCCCAGCUCAAGCUCAAGACCCUCGUGAGGGGCCAAGCCUCGCGGGGCAGACGACAGGAAGCUUCCUCAGGAGCAUCCUCCUCACGCAGGCUCGUGAGGAGGCGGAGAGAUCAAGGCAGGGUACCUCCCGAGGAGCCCGUGACGCAAGCCAUGACGACCGAGACCAGGCGGGUGCUAGGCGGGCGCCGGCCUGCGCAGGCAUUAGGCAAAGGUUACCGUUUUGGUGCAAGAAGACCAAGACCAGCAGAACGACAGGAUGGAGGUCAUCGUGGAGCCCAGGACGGUGUCAUCGUCAGAGCCUUUGGCAGCCGAGGACCAACUUUAGUCAGGAUAAGUGUACUAGAUGUUCCCCUUCAAAAUGGCCAAGUGUUGGCGCCCUUCCCGCUCAUUAUUUGGGAAGAGGCCCAGGGCCUCCAUCUAUAAAUAGGAAUAUCCACCCACAAGGUAGAGGCAUCUAGGGAUCGACCAAAGAGAGAGAGAGAGAGAAGCGACUGAACUCACCCUAGCAGUUCAUCGCACUAGCUCAAGAACGGCCCCUCGCGAGGCUGUUCUCCCUUUGUACUGUUCAUCAUCGGCCCCUAAGGCAAUCCACCACACCACACACUGGAGUAGGGUAUUACACCACAAUGGUGGCCUGAACCAGUAUAAAUCUCGUGUCCCUUGUGUGUUCUUCUUUCUAGCCUAGAUCCUUGCGGGACUUCGACGCGUGAGCUGGUAGGGGAAAGAUCUUCGUGCGCACCCCAGUGUUCGAACCUCAAGGGUCUCCCAGAACCCGAAAUCCGACAAGUAAUAUCUUUUAUGGUCAUGCACCCCUGCUGAGUGGUCUAUUUUUGUUGAAUCUCGAUAGUAGUGCUACACAUAUUCAUAGUGUUGAAGCCAAAAGAUUUAAGUUUAAUAAUGAUAGUGCAACUUAUUUGUGGCACUGCCGUUUGGGUCAUAUCGGUGUAAAGCGCAUGAAGAAACUCCAUGCUGUUGGACUUUUCGAAUCACUUGAUUAUGAAUCACUUGGUGCUUGCGAACCGUGCCUUAUGGGCAAGAUGACUAAAACUCCAUUCUUCGGAACAAUGGAACGAGCAACUGACUUGUUGGAAAUAAUACAUAUCGAUGUAUGGGGUCCAAUGAGUAUUGAGGCUCGUGGUGGGUAUCAUUAUUUUCUUACCUUCACAGAUGAUUUGAGCAGAUAUGGUUAUAUCUACUUAAUGAAGCAUAAGUCUGAAACAUUUGAGAAGUUCAAAGAAUUUCAGAGUGAAGUGGAAAAUCAUCGUAACAAGAAAAUAAAGUUUUUACAAUCUGAUCGUGGAGGAGAAUAUUUGAGUUACAAUUUUGGUCUUCAUUUGAAACAACAUGGGAUAGUUUCACAAUUAACGCCACCUGGAACACCACAGUGAAAUGGUGUGUCCGAAUGUCGUAACCGUACUUUAUUGGAUAUGGUGCAAUCUAUGAUGUCUCUUACUGAUUUAACGUUAUCGUUUUGGGGUUAUGCUUUAGAGACAGCUGCAUUCACAUUAAAUAGGGCACUAUCAAAAUCCAUUGAGACGCCGCCUUAUGAACUAUGGUUUGGCAAGAAACCAAAGUCGUCAUUUCUUAAAGUUUGGGGUUGCAAUGCUUAUGUGAAAAGGCUUCAACCUGAUAAGCUCGAACCCAAAUCAGAGAAGUGCAUAUUCAUAGGAUACCCAAAGGAAACUGUUGGGUACACCUUCUAUCACAAAUCAAAAGGCAAAAUCUUUGUUGCUAAGAAUGGAUCGUUUCUAGAGAAGGAGUUUCUCUCGAAAGAAGUGAGUGGGAGGAAAGUAGAACUUGAUGAGGUAGUUGUACCUUCUUCCUUAUUGGAAAGUAGUUCAUCAUAGAAAUCAGUUCCCGUGAUUCCUACACAAAUUAGUGAGGAAGCUAAUGAUGAUGAUCAUGAAGCUUCAGAUCAAGUUACUGCUGAACCUCAUAGGUCUUCCAGAGUAAGAUCCGCACCAGAGUGGUACGGUAAUCCUGUUCUAGAGGUUAUGUUACUAGACCAUGAUGAACCUACGAACUAUGAGGAAGCGAUGAUCAACCCAGAUUCCGCGAAAUGGCUUGAAGCCAUGAAAUCUGAGAUGUGAUCCAUGUAUGAGAACAAAGUGUGGACUUUGGUGGACUUUCCCGAUGAUCUGCAAGCCAUAGAAAAUAAAUGGAUCUUUAAGAAGAAGACCGACACAGACGGUAAUGUCACUAUUUACAAAGCUCGACUUGUUGCGAAAGGUUUUCGACAAGUUCAAGGAGUUGACUACGAUGAGACUUUCUCACCCGUAGCGAUGCCUAAGUCUCUCCGAAUCAUGUUAGCAAUUGUUGCAUUUUAUGAUUAUGAAAUUUGGCAAAUGAAUGUCAAAACUGCAUUCCUAAAUGGAUUUCUGGAAGAAGAGUUGUAUAUGAUGCAACCGGAAGGUUUUGUCGAUCCAAAGGGUGCUAACAAAGUGUGCAAGCUCCAGCGAUCCAUUUAUGGAGUGGUGCAAGCCUCUCGGAGUUGGAAUAAACGCUUUGAUAGUGUGAUCAAAGCAUAUGGUUUUAUACAGACUUUUGGAGAAGCAUGUAUUUACAAGAAAGUGAGUGGGAGCUCUGUAGCAUUUCUAAUAUUAUAUGUGGAUGACCUAUUGUUGAUUGGAAUUGAUAUAGAAUUUCUAGAUAGCAUAAAGGGAUACCUCAAUAAGAGUUUUUCUAUGAAAGACCUCGGGGAAGCUGCUUACAUAUUGGGCAUCAAGAUCUAUAGAGAUAGAUCAAGACGAUUAAUUGGACUUUCACAAAGCUCAUACCUUGAUAAAGUUUUGAAGAAGUUCAAAAUGGAUCAGCCAAAGAAAGGGUUCUUGCCUGUGUUACCAGGUGUAAAAUUGAGUCAAACUCAAUGCCCGACCACUGUAGAAGAUAGAGAGAAAAUGAAAGUCAUUCCCUAUGCUUCGGCCAUAGGUUCUAUCAUGUAUGCAAUGUUGUGUACCAGACCUGAUGUAUGUCUUGCUAUAAGCAUAGCAAGGAGGUACCAAAGUAAUCCCGAAGUGGAGCACUGGACAACGGUCAAGAACAUCCUGAAAUACCUAAAAAGGACUAAGGAUAUGUUUCUCGUUUAUGAAGACAAAAAAGAGCUCGUCGUAAAUGGUUACAUCGAUGCAAACUUUGACACUGAUCUGGAUGACUCUAAGUCACAAGCCGGAUACGUAUUUUUAUUGAAUGGAGGAGCUGUCAGUUGGUGCAGUUCCAAGCAGAGCGUCAUGGCGGGAUCUACGUGUGAAGCGGAAUACAUUGCUGCUUUGGAAGCAGCAAAUGAAGGAGUUUGGAUGAAGGAGUUCAUAUCCGAUCAAGGUGUCAUACCUAGUGCAUCGGGUCCAAUGAAAAUCUUUUGCGACAAUACUGGUGUAAUUUCCUUGGCAAAGGAAUCCAUAUUUCACAAGAGAACCAAGCACAUCAAGAGACGUUUCAAUUCCAUCCGUCAUCAAGUGUCGGAAGGGGACAUAGAGAUUUGCAAGAUACACACGAAUCUGAAUGUUGCACACUCGUUGACUAAGCCUCUGAUGAGCCACAAGUAUACGACAUAGUUGUAGCCUCUUUCGAUAAGUAAGAGUGUCGAACCCAACGAGGAGCUAAAGAUAGAACAAAUAUUCUCUCAAGUCCUAUCUUCCACUGAUACGACUCUACGCACGCUUAGUGUUCGCUUUACCUAGAACAAGUAUGAAACUAGAAGUACUUUGUAGGUGUUGUUGGAUAGGUUUGCAAGAUAAUAAAGAACACGUAAAUAUAAACUAGGGGCUGUUUAGAUAAAGAUGCAAUAAAGUAAACAAAAAGCGAGUGUGUAAAAGUGGUGGUAGGAGUUGUGAAAUUGUCCCUAAGAAAUUGACUACGUUACUAGACCGGUAAUCACUAUUGCAAUUCUAUUUGAGGGAGAGGCAUAAGCUAACAUACUUUCUCUUCUUGGAUCAUAUGCACUUAUGAUUGGAACUCUAAUCCACAACUACUAAAUAUCAUUAAGGUAAAACCCAACCAUAGCAUUAAAGUAUCAAGUCCCCUUUAUCCCAUAUGCAAACAACCUACUUACUCGGGUUUGUGCUUCUGUCACUCACGCCACCCACCAUAAGCAAAUCAUAAACAUAUUGCAAACCCUACAGCGGGAAUCCCUCACGCUUGCGCGACACGGAGGGCACAAUAGGACAGCAAUAAUAAUAAAACAUGCAAUUCAAACCAAUCAUAGCAAUUCAUCAAUCACUGGUAGGACAACGAAAAUCUACUCAGACAUCAUAGGAUGGCAACACAUCAUUGGAUAAUAAUAUGAAGCAUAAAGCACCAUGUUCAAGUAGAGGAUACAGCGGGUUGCGGGAGAGUGGACUGCUGAAUAUAGAUGGGGGAAGGUGAUGGAGAUGUUGGUGAAGAUGGCGGAGGUGUUGGUGAAGAUGCCGGUGAUGAUGAUGGCCCCCGGCAGCGUUCCGGUGCCACCGGAAGCAAGGGGGAGAGAGCCCCCUUCUUCUUCUUCUUCCUUGACCUCCUCCCUAGAUGGGAGAAGGGUUUCCCCUCUGUUCCUUGACUCCCAUGGCGUGGGAGGGGCGAGAGCCCCUCCGAGAUUGGAUCUAUCUCCCUGUCUCUCUCUAUUUCUGCGUUCUCAGAUUCUGCCCUUCCACCGUUUCUUUUAUAUCCGGAGAUCCGUAACUCCGAUUGGGGUGAAUCUUUCGCCCAGAUCUUUCUCAUAAAAUUAGCUUUCUUGCAGCAAAAGAAGAGUGUCAAACACCUUACGGGGUGCUCAGGAGAGUCCAGGGCGCGCCUGCCUCCCUGGGGCGCGCCCCCCUGUCUUGUGGCCCCCUCGGGCACCGUCUCGCGUUGAUUUUACUUCCCAAAAAUCAUAAAUAUUCCAAAAUAAUUCUCCAUCCGUUUUUAUCCCGUUUGGACUCCGUUUGAUAUCGGUUUUCUGUGAAACAUAAAACAUGCAACAAACAGGAACUGGCACUGGGCACUGGAUCGAUAAGUUAGUCCAAAAAAUAGUAUAAAAAGUUGCAAAAGUAUAUGAAAGUUGAAUAAUAUUGGCAUGAAACAAUCAAAAAUUAUAGAUAUGACGGAGACAUAUCAGCCUCUUCCACGAGCAAAACAUGAUCAGCACCAAAGCUCCAUGGGUGUUAGAAUCAUUACUAUGUAAUCUAGAUUAUUGACUCUAGUGCAAGUGGGAGACUGAAGGAAAUAUGACCUAGCGGCAAUAAUAAAGUUAUUAUUUAUUUCCUUAAUUCAUAAUAAAUGUUAUUAUUCAUGAUAUAAUUGUAUUAACCGGAAACUUAGUACAUGUGUGAAUACAUAGACAAAACAUAUAGUCCCUAGUAUGACUCUACUUGACUAGCUCGCUAAUCAAAGAUGGUUAUGUUUCCUAACCAUAGACAUGUGUUGUCAUUUGAUGAACGGGAUCACAUCAUUAGGAGAAUGAUGUGAUGGACAUGACCCAUCUAUCAGCUUAGCAUUAUGAUUGUGUCAGUUUCAUUGCUACUGCUUUCUUCAUAACUUAUACAACUUCCUCAGCUAUGAUAUUAUGCAACUCCCGAAUACCGGAGGAACACUUUGUGUGCUACCAAACGUCACAACGUAAAUGGGUGAUUAUAAAGGUGCUCUACAGGUGUCUCCGAAGGUGUUUGUGGGGUUGGCAUAGAUCGAGAUUAGGAUUUGUCACUCUGUGUUUCGGAGAGGUAUCUCUGGGCCCUCUCGGUAAUACUCAUCACUAUAAGCCUUGCAAGCAUUAUGACUAAUGAGUUAGUUGCGGGAUGAAGUAUUACGGAACAAGUAAAGAGACUUGCCGGUAACGAGAUUGAACUAGGUACGAUGAUACCAACGAUCGAGUCUCAGGCAAGUAACAUGCUGAUGACAAAGGGAACAACGUAUGUUGUUAUGCGGUUUGACUGAUAAAGAUCUUCGUAGAAUAUGUAGGAACCAAUAUGAGCAUCCAGGUUCCACUAUUGGUUAUUGAUCGGAGACGUGUCUCAGUCAUGUCUACGUAGUUCUCGAACUCGUAGGGUCCGCACGCUUAAUGUUCGAUGACGAUUGGUAUUAUGAGUUUAUGUUAUAUGAUGUACCGAAGGUUGCUCGGAAUCCUAAAUGAGAUCACGGACAUAACGAGGAGUCUCGAGAUGGUCGAGACAUAAAGAUUGAUAUAUUGGACGGCUAUGUUCGGACACCGGAAGUGUUCCGGAUAAGUUUCAGAUAAAACCAGAGUACCAGGGGUUACCGGAAUCCCCCGGGAAGCUAUUGGGCCUCAUGGGCCUUAGUGGAGAAGAGAGAGGGCCGGCCAGGAGGUGGCGCGCGCCCCCUUGCCCUAGUCCGAAUUAGACAAGGGGAGGGGGUGGCACCCCCCAUGAGGGUGUCCUAGAUUAGGGGGUAUCCGGACAGCCGGACUAUAUGCAUCGUCCGGACUAUUGGAGCGUGAAGAUACAAGACUCAAGACUCCGUCCCGUGUCCGGAUGGGACUCUCCUUUGCGUGGAAGACAAGCUUGGCGAUCCGGAUAAUGUAUUUCCUUCCUUGUAACCGACUCUAUGUAAACCCUAGCCCUCUCUGGUAUCUAUAUAAACCAGAGAGGAUGGUCCUUAGAAGGCCGAUCACAAUUACAAUCAUAAUCAUCAUAGGCUAGCUUCUAGGGUUUAGCCUCUACGAUCUCGUGGUAGAUCUACUCUUGUACUACUCAUAUCGUCAAUAUUAAUCAAGCAGGAAGUAGGGUUUUACCUCCAUCGAGAGGGCCGAACCUAGGUAAACACCGUGUCCCUUGCUUCCUGUUACCAUCAGCCUAGGACGCACAGAUCGGGACCCCCUACCCGAGAUCCGCCUGUUUUGACACCGACAUUGGUGCUUGCAUUGAGAGUUCCUCUGUGUCGUCGCUGCAAGGCUUGAUGGCGCCUUCAAUCAUCAACAACACGAUCCAGGGUGAGACUUUUCUCCCCAGACAGAUCUUCGUGUUCGGCGGCUUCGCACUGCGGGCCAAUUCGCUUGGCCAUCUAGAGCAGAUCGACAUCUACGCCCCUGGCCACCAGGUCAGGUUCAGAAACUUGGACUACACGGCCGAUAUCCGCGGAGAUUUGAUCUUCGACGGAAUCGGGCCUGUGCCAGGAGUGCCGGGCAAUCAUGAUGAGCAUGGUUUAGACAUGUUGUCGGACAGUGCUCGGGAUAUUAUCCAUGUAGUAGUCUCGGACCUAAAUCCGGAGCAGAGUGCGUGGCUCAAGGACGGGUGGAUGGGCCCCACCCCGCAGGCCGCGCAUUCAUCGGCGGUGGAGCCGAACACAGGCCUCACUUCUAAGGAAGCCCGUGACUCCGGACCCCCGGACUCGUAUCCGGUUGUAGGUCCCAGUCCGCGCCCUCCCGAGCCCACCAAGCCUGGUUGGGCUCCGGUAAUGGAGUUUACCGCCGCGGAUAUCUUCCAGCACUCGCCCUUUGGCGACAUGCUAAACUCAUUAAAGUCUCUCUCUUUGACAGGAGACUCUUGGCCGAACUAUGUCCAGCUUGAGUGGGAAGCAGGCGAUGAAGGAAUUCGUUGCCCACCCACCACCCACUUCAUUGCCAUGGUCGAUGAUUUAACCGACGUGCUUGACUUCGACUCCGAAGGCAUCGACGGUAUGGACGACGAUCCAGGAGAAGAUUCAAAAUCUCUGGGGCGCUGGACUACCACCUUGUCACACGAUAUAUAUAUACCUGGUGGAUACACCCAAGGAGGACGACGGCGACAAUCCGGAAGAUAAAACCUCUGGACAAAAGCCAAAACAACGGCGCAGAUGCCAUUCAAAGUCCAGCAACAGUAAAAAUAGCGACAAGAGCGCCAGAAAGAUCGACAUACCAGUCAACUUCGAAGGCAACAACGACCACAUGGACCAAGCGAUGGAGCAGGAUGAGCCAGGUCAUGCUGAACCCAGUUCAGAGCAGACGACCAAUCAAAAUGAUCCCAAGGGACGAGUUCAUCAAACCGCCCCAGGACAAGAACACAGUCCGGACAGUGAUGCAUUCAUCAUCCCGGAAAAAAACGCGGAACGAGAUAACCUCCAUAGAAGGCUCAUGGCCACAUCGAGAAGUCUAAAGAAGAAGAAGCAACGGCUAAAAGCCGCACAGGAAACGCUCAAUCGCAGAUGGAGUAAGGUGCUAGACACUGAAGAAAGAUACGACGACGGUCGCCAUACAAAGAGCUACCCAAAACGCAAGCUACUGCCAGAAUUCGACGAUGAGGCUGUUCCACCAAAGAAUAACACUACCAAGAGGCCAGACGUACCGCUUCAUAACCGCAACAGAGUGGCUACCGACGCCGCACACGAUCUACGUGAGCACCUGGAUAAGAAAGCCAGCGCGGCCAGAUCCAUCUACGGAUCUAAAGGACACACCCCGGCGAGGGACUAUGGUCACCAAAACGAUCACACCAACAAAAUACCAGUUUGGAAUAAACACCGAACACAACAACAGCCGACAGCACGCCACAACACGCCCAGAUACAGAGGGGCUACUCACCCCCUGUGCUUCACAGAAGAAGUACUGGACCAUGAAUUCCCACAAGGUUUUAAACCUGUGAACAUAGAGGCAUACGACGGAACGAUAGACCCAGGGGUCUGGAUCGAGGAUUUUAUCCUGCAUAUUCACAUGGCUCGUGGGGAUGUCCUCCACGCCAUCAAAUACCUUCCCCUCAAGUUGAAGGGACCAGCUCGACACUAGUUGAAGAGCCUCCCCGAAAAUUCAAUUGGGAGGAACUCGAGGAUCCUUUCAGGGCCAAUUUUCAAGGGACUUAUGUCCGGCCUCUGGAUGCGGACGAUUUAAGUCACAUAAUCCAACAGCCCGGAGAGUCCGCCCGCAAGCUUUGGAACAGAUUCCUCACUAAGAAGAAUCAAAUUGUCGAUUGUCCGUUGCUUAUAGCUCUAGUGCAUACGUUGCUUAUAAACACUAUUCUGAUCACGGGAUCAGAAUAAUAUUCUGAUCACAACAUGAACUGCCUGAGUAACGCGCCUGAACUUCUCUCUGUACGAACCCGACCUUCGGGCUAUCUUCGCAACCGUGCCUUCUACCACGAGUUUUUCUGGUUACUUGUGUUCCAUGUGAUGUAAGUGUAAUCUUCAAACAAUUUUUAGCAACUAAAUACUCGUUUUAGAUAGGAAUCUCGCUCAUAGGCCGAUUUUGCACUCGGGUCGUGAAGAACUCGCGUUUUUUGUGAUUUUACUGCCUGAGUUGUUCGACCUGAACUUCCCUGUGAACUAGGUUGAACUUCCCACAACAUUGCCCAAAUAAGGCUUGCUAUAUACCGUUGGAAAGCUAUGGGCAUGAGUAUCACGACCCAAGUUAAAUUUUUCGCAAAAUGUAAGCGGUUUAAGAGCAGUUUUGAAAACCGUUUUUUCUUCACACACAAAAUGUGAAUUGUAAUUUUGAUCGCAUUUCUAAACCGUUUAUUGGAAUGAGGCAAGUAAUAUGGAUUUGGAAAGCUACUGCAAAACCGCUCCUUCCACAUGUUAAAAGUUUUCUCUAAUUCCCUACGGUUAAAGAGUAAUUUAGAAAAUCGUAAAAUUUCACAAACCGAACAGACGAGUUCGUAUUUUUGAUGUCAUUUCUAAACAGCUAAACCAAUUGAGGCACAUGAUAUGGCGUUGGAAAGUUUAUGAAAAUGCGCUACUUUUUCAUGUAGAAAGUUUUUUCUAAUUUUGAACGGUUUAAAAGUGAUUUAGAAAACGGUAUAAGUUUCACUGAGUUCGUAUUUUCGAUCUAUUGUUUUAACCCUAUGUACGAAUGCAACAAAUGAUAUGGCGUUGGAAAGCUUGAGGAAAUGCGAAACUUUUUGGUAUAUAUUAUUUCUCCCAAUUCCUUACUGUUUUAUGUCAGUUUUCAAAAUGGCUAAAAACGUAUUUUUGCAGUAAUUUCCACAAACUUUAUCGGAAUGGGGCAAAUAAUAUACCGUUGAAAAGCUAACGAAAAUGCAAAACUUUUUUAUUUUGAUGGUUUUCUGUGAUUCCCUGCCGUUUUCAAGUAAUUUGGAAAAUGGUGAGAUCAUUCGUUCUGCCUUUAUCGCGAAACAGAUCCUUCGAAAAUGCACCACGUGAAGAACCUGAACUUCUCGGCAUGUCUACUUGAACUUCACUCUGUUUUUCACGUGCUUUUUUUGCUCGUAGAUCUCCAUCCACUGCUCGUAGCUCUCCAUCCACUCACCGGAAUUGAGCAAGUGAUAUAUCGAUGGAAAGCUGCUGUAAACACGCAACUUUCCCGUGUAGAUCGUUUUUUCAUACCCGCGACGAUUUUUGAUAGUUUUUUCAUCGAAAUUCAUCCAUUGUAGUAAAUGAACUUCUUGAUGUUUUCAUGUUGAACUUCUUGCUGUGUUCACUCUGAAGUAUUUUUAAUGGCGAGGAAAAUCUGAGUUUUUUAUAAUCAUCGAACUUCUCCAUCUUUUUAAUAUGGUCUUCUUGGUUUUAUUUCUUAAUCAUUUUUUAUGAAUAAAAAUAUUUUAAGACACCAAAACAACAUUUUUGUGUAUGUUUUUGCAUUGAUUUGCACAUCAAACCACACGUCAUCUUUAGAAAUUGAACUUCUCCUUUUCUUUUUAUUUUCUUUCAACAUUGUUUAGCACAUCGAACCACGUCAACUUUAGAAAUUGAACUUCUCCUUUCUUUUUGUUUUCUUUCAACAUUAGGUUGCACGUCGAACCGCUUCAUCUUUAGAAAUUGAACUUCUCAUUUUCUUUUUGUUUUCUCCAACAUUGGUUUACACGUUGAACCGCGUCAUCUUAGAGAUUGAACUUCUUCCCUUUUGUUUUCUUGCAUGUUUUACCUUGCAUGUUCAACUUUAUUUUGAACUUGCCAAGAUAACACACUUGACCUUCUCGAACACAACAUUUUGACCUUCGCAAAACAUAAAUUAAAGCCAAACUUUUGUCCUACAGAGCAUGUAUAAUUUUCUCCACUUUUUCAAGAAUAAGCGCUGAAUCGCCCCGUUAGUUUGACUUGAACUUCUGCUGCACAUGAAUAAGCUGCUGUAAACACGCAACUUUUCCGUGUUGAUCAUUUUUUCAUACUCGCGACGGUUUUAAAAGUUUAUUAUCUGAAAUUCAUUCAGUGUAGUAGUUGAACUUCCUGUUGUUUUCACGUUGAACUUCUGACGUAUUUUUGUUUGUAAUUUUCUCAUCCAUUCGUCAGUGUUACACAAAUGAUAUUCCUUUUGUAGAAACCUCUCUCACAGUAAUUUUUUGAACUUUCUCUGACUGAAGACUUAAACUUACACAAAUGAUAUUCUUGUCGUUUUAGAGUAAAUUAGAAAUAUGAUGAGAUCAUGAUUUGAGCCUUCAUCGCGAAUGGAAAUGCACUACGUGAAGUAGCUGAACUUCUCGGGCAUGUCUGUUUGAACUUCACUCUGUUUUUGACGUGCUGUUUUUUGGCCGUAAUUCUCAAACCACUUACCGGAAUUGAGAAAUUAAUAUACUGAUGGAAAGUUGUUGAAAACACGCAACCUUUUCGUGUUGAUUAGUUUUUCAUACUCCCGACGGUUCAAAAUAUUUUUUGAAAGCGUAAAAAUGUAUUUUUAACGGUAUACAGAAAAGUUUUAAACCAUUCAUCGGAAUAUAGCAUAUAGUAUACCGUUGGAAAGCUUAUGAAUAUGAGCAUCUUUUUCAUGUAGACAUACGUUACAAAUUUUUGUCGUUUGAGAGCAGUUUUAAAAAUGGCAAAAACAACGUCGUUUUUUGCUUGUUUUCUACAUGUAAUUGAAGGUCGGACGUCUCGCAUUAGAGAUCUUGAACUUCACCGGGAGGAGCACGUGAACUUCUUGCAAUAAACCUUUUAAGCCUUUUGUUUUCUAUUCUUAUAUUCUUAUCUGAAACGCAUUCCGUGUAGUAGUUGAACUUCCCGCUGUUUUCACCUUGAACUUCUGUCAUGUAUUUUUGUUCAACCUCUCUCACAAGAAUUUUUGAACGUUCUCGGGCCGAACUUAUAGCAACAAAAAAUUUAGCCUUUGCCUUUUUAUUCAUUUUUUCUCAUACGAAAUGCUCACCAUGCAUUACGUGAAAUCAAUUUGAGCUUCUCUCUGUUUGACUUUUUUUAUUUGAACUUCUUUGUGUAUCUUUAGAAAUGUGGAAAUUGGUGUUUUGUUAGAAACAUCGAACUUCUUCGUUAUUUCAAAUUGAACUUAUUGAUUUUAUUCUUUAGUAAUUGUAAAAAUCUGAAUUAUCAAAUAAAUAUCAAACUCCUCCGCUUUUUUCAAUUGAACUUAUUGGUUUUAUUCUCUAGUAACGAGAAAACCUGAUUUUUCUUGGUUUUAAAUUUUUGAAUUUCUUGGUUUAUUCUUUUAAUAAUGAGAAAAUAUUGAUUUUUUUAUAGAUGUCGAACUUCAUCAUUUUUAAAAUUUGAACUUCCUAGUUUUAUUGGUUAAUAACGGGAAAAUCCUCUUUAUUUUAUAAACAUUGAACCGCACCGUUAUUUUAAUUUGAACUUCUAGUUUAUUUAGAAACAAGAAAUUUCUUUUCUAUGGAGUUCUUGAACUGGUAUGUUAAUUUAAUUUGAACUUCUUGGUUUUUAUUGGUUUUUCCGCCAUGAAUUACUCAAGUCUACACCGUGGAUUUUUCUUCUCUGCACAUCCCAUCUCUUGAGUCUCGACUUUUAAACCGCCCCCCCUAAUUAUUAAAGUUUUUAUUACAUGAAAUAAACAAGUUUGCUCUUUUUUGUGCCUACAUAGUUUUUUAUUCUCUGAAUUUCUCUCGUAGCUCCCUCUGAACUUCUAUACGUAUGUCAUGAAUGUUCCCUAGUUUGUUUUAACCUUUUCUUUUUAUUUUUCGAACUCUAGGAUUAGUGAAUUUUUUUGUUGAACUUCGCUAUUUUUCAUUUUUGGACUCGAAGGGGUUGUCAUAUCAACUAAUAUAUUUUUUAUCAUUCCUCUUGAGCAUCUUAUUUUGUGAACUUCUAGUGUUGACGAAUGCACCAGGCUUUUGGAACACCUUGUUCUUUUAUUUUUUUUUGAACUUUUUUUAGCAGUAGUAAUACUUGAACUUCACUCACCUUUUUUGUGGAGCAACCAAAUGUGCAGACCACAUAGGGAAGAGGGCACAUUUUCUUUCGUUGUGCACAUUUUUUAAAUCACAUGGAGAGCACACAAUCACAAAGAGGAAAAUAAAGAAGGAAAAAAUAUGCAUUUUUCUUGUUUUUUUCUCAUACAUAGAAAAUGUGUGUAUCCAUAUUUUUUUCUCAUACAUAGAAGGGGAGCCUUGGCGCAGUGGUAAAGCUGCUGCCUUGUGACCAUGAGGUCAUGGGUUCAAGUCCUGAAAACAGUCUCUUACAGAAAUGUAGGGAAAGGCUGCGUACUAUAUACCCAAAGUGGUCGGACCCUUCCCUGGACCCUGCGCAAGCAGGAGCUACAUGCACCAGGUUGCCCUUUUUUUUUCUAUGUCCUUUCUUUGAUCUACAUGACAGAAAAUAGUAUUUUUCAAUUCAGUGUACUAUGCACACACACACACACAACAAAUCCACAUUUUUUUGGCUGACAUCAAUUCACUUUUUUCUAUUCAGGCAUAAAUACUAACACCUUUUUUGUGCACUAUAGCUUGCCUGCAAGUAUCAUACUUCUUUUAUCGGACUUGAGUUUUCUGCAAUCCUUGAAGCUCCAUUGGGAAGCUAGCAAGCAACACUAGUGCUCUCAGAUGAAAAUCAAUCGACCAAAAAACAGCCUCUCCACCUCCACGGGUUCAUUCACGGUCUACUUCUGAUUGUUUGACUACAUCGACGGGUGGUGCAGCCUGCUGCUGCUAGCAUCCAGAGACAAAUAGCUUUUCCUAGGCAUCCAUACAAAAGCAGCAACUUCUUGCAACAAGUUGGAAGAAAGCAAGAUAUGUGUUUUUGUGAACCGACAGAAGGAGCUGAGUAAUCCCAGGUACUCCCUCCGUUCCAAAAUAGAUGACCCAACUUUGUACUAAAGUUAGUACGAAGUUGAGUCAUCUAUUUUGGAACGGAGGGAGUAACUACUAAACACAUGUGACAGAAGAUUCAUGUUCAUGAAACCUGACAACCUCCCAAGAAACAAAUGCUACAUGUUCAGAAAAUAGGAAUCUUCUGUCAGAUGUGGCAAUAAGGCACGCUAGGUUGAAAAUGAACAGAGAGCUAACACAAAAUUCUACCUCACCACGGUCCUUGAACUUGUAUCCUUAUUUCUUUUGAACUUUUUGUGUAGGGAUCCGGCGAGCUCGCCAUGGCGUCCACCACACGCAGAGGAAGAUGAAGUGAGAUCACAUCCCCAUGUGGAAAUGCACCCCAAAAACAGCACAAAGAUCACAUACAUCAUUCUGAACUCCGACCUUCUUUUCUGCACAUCAUGUGAUAUUCUCCCCUUCCUGAUAGUGACCUUCUUCAUUCCUAUAUUCACGCGGAUAGCAAGCACCGACAGCACAUAGGUCUCUGCAGACACAAUUUAUAAACAUAGGCAAACAAGAAUCCGCCACAAGCAUUCAGGAAGAUAUUCUUUGUUUAUUUUUUUGGUCAAACUUGUGUCAUGAACAAGCAUUCUAAACAGGAGUGAGUGACAAGCAUUCAGGAAGUGCAUAAGUGUCAGAUGCAUAAGCUUCAAGCUUCGAGUCUCUAUCUGAUGUAUAGUCCAUUUGAGAAGAGAAGUGAAAAGCCCAACAACAAUACUACAAUGACGCUUGCCAUUGGAGUUAGUCUGUCAAUUCUUCACGUGGGGCCUAGUUCUGUUCUCACCUUGUUGUAUGAGAUCGUAGCACAAGGAGUUGCAUCUGAGCUCCUGCCAUUUCUACAAUUUUUGAUUAAUGAACACAAUUGGCAUGCUAACCGUCAACACAUUGGACUGCAGCCAUACUUAUUACAGAAGAAAACAGUGGUUUUGCAAAAUCUGCAGGGAAUAGUCACCUUUUUGUGAAGAACAUCAAUGACAUACAGAGCACGACGCCUGCGGGGCUUCAGCAACGAACAUCAGGAUGGCACGACGGUGGUUGGAGAAGAAGUUCGAGCAGAGGAGGGGAAGCCGUCCAUGGUGAGUCAGAGGUGUGCAAACGAGGAACAGAGCGCGGAAUCACGGGCGGAAGGCGGGGACAGUGGCUAGCGGGGUGGAUGGCGGCGGUGCCGGCGGCUGGUGGGGUUAAUGGCGGCUGGCGCGGCACUGGAUCGGGUGGAUCCAGUAGGGACGCGCAUUGGCGUGGCCGGCAACGGGGAUGCGGGAGGAGGUCGCCGACGGGGUUGCGGGAGGAGGCCGCUGGCAGGGUUGCGGCAGGAAGCUCGCGGUGGCGUCAGGUCUGCGGGAUGAACCUCGCGGCGACGGUGGGGUCUGCGGGAGGAGGCCCGCGGCGGCAGCGGGUUCUGCUGGAGGAGGCACGUGGCAGCGGCGGGGUCUGCGGUAGGAGGCCCGUGGUGGCGGCGGGUUCUGCGGGAGGAGGCACGCGGCAGCGGCGGGGUCUGCGGGAGGAGGCCCGCGGCGGCGGGCGGCGGGUCUGCUGGAGGAGGCCAAUGGCGGCGCUGGGUUCCGGUGAUGCGAGGAAUCGAGGUUGGAGAAAGGUCGUGGGUAGAUUAUGCGUCCGUCCAGGAUGUGAUAGUGUGCCGGUUGGGUUGCUCUGUUUUUUUGCUUUCACGGAUCAGGAAAGUUUCAUCGGGCCCUAUAUAGAGCUGAUCGUGAUCCAAAUAGUUAUUCUGAUCCCAGGAUUAGAAUAGUGUUACUUUAUCGAUAAUGUUAACGCCCACACAUGUGGGCGUUCAUCACUCCGUCCACACGCAAGCAUCGCCACUGGUUUCGGUACGCACGAAUCUUGGAGCAAAAGGGCUGGUUUUCGGCGCCACGUAGGACGAUUCUCGUGUGCGGUGUGCGAGUGGGUUCGCCCGCACGGGGGUUGCCAUCCCGCGGUCAGCGGUUGCCACCGAGAGGCGUGCGGUGGAAUUGCCAUGCGCCCGCACGCCACGUUCCAACCACGGUUGACGUCAAACACGUCGCACACCCCUCCACCCUCUCCCUCACGGUUCCAUUCACUCACCCCCGCGUCGCAUUUACUGGCACAACCCACUCGCACUUCAAACCACUGGAGGAGAAGGCGACGGCGGAGGCGGAACAGUCGACGGUGUUCGCGGCCGUCGGUUGUGCUCGCCGGAGCGGAGCGGCGUCGCCGGAACGCGUGCGGUUCGAAGGUAAUGCUCGCUUUAUCUCUCGCAUCCCCUCCCUGUUUUUGUUCCCCUUUUUCCUCCCUGCUCGAUUUCUAGAUCCGAUUCCUAGAGAUUCCGGCGAUUCCGCGGUGCGCCGUAGUUGUGCGCCUGCCGUUGCUUGGUGGGAGUGGGCAGUUUCGUCGUCGCCUAUGCGGCGGCAUCGUCGGCGAGGUUAUGCCUGCUCGUAUGCACGCAUUAGUCUUGCAUUUUGGAUUUGAGAGUUGUUUUGGUGCGCAUUGGAUCGAAAUUUGGGGUUGCAGCCAUUUUCGCGCGAGAAUUGUAAGGGUGAUUUUUGAGGUUGAAGUAGUUGCCAUUGAAACCUAGAUCUAGUUUAGUUUUGGGUUUGAAACUGCAGAAAUGUGGAGAAAUUGACAGUAUGACUGAAACGUGAACAAAUGUGUGGCAAACUAAACUACCUGAAGAAAUGUGGUAGUUGCCACAAACGUGUUCUCCUCUGUGGCAACAGAUUUCCGAAAAUGACUGUCAUAGUUGCCACACUCAAGCUUUUACAUAAGGGCAACUAAUUUCAUUGAACUCCUGUGGCAGUUGCCACACGCAUGCUCUUCCCAUGUGGCAAAUUUUAAUUCUACUGAACUUGUACGAUAAGUAACCAGAGAAAAUAUGCUUUCUGAAUGUGGCAACUAUGGCAGUAUGGCCGAACGUGAAACAGGUGUGUGGCAACUAAACUACAUGAACAAAUAUGGCAGUUGCCACAAAUGUGUUCUCUUCUGCGGCAACAUAUUUUUGUGAAACUGACUGUCAUAGUUGCCACAAAUGUGUUCAAGCUCACACACAAGGGGGGCAACUAAAUUUUACUGAAUGAAUGAGAUAGUUGCCACAUACACGCUCUUUUUAACGAGGCAAACUGAUUUUUUGCUGAAUUUACAUGAUAGUAACCUCAAACAUUCUUUUUCAUUUUGUGAGACUUGUUUUUUUUCUGAAUUAUUUACGACAGUUUCCAUACUUUGAUAGUUGCCACAAUCGGUAGCACUGGAUGGAACUAAUGUGCACAUCGAGUGGGCGUGUUUGCCACUUGGAUUUUUUGUAUAAUCAUGUUUGCAUUACAGUAUGUGAACACAAUGUCUGUUGCCACAACACAGAUAUGACAAUGUGGCAAACUGGCUGCAUAGUAUGGCAACCACAUUUGCAUUCAAAUAGUUAACAUUUUUCUGUUAGGUGGCAACUGCUUACCCAUUGCAUUUACAUUUUCGCCCUUAACAAUUUGGUCUGUUCCUACAUCAGCAGAAUGGCUGGCGGCGAUCAUCAAAGUGAUGAUGACGAUUUCAUGGAUCCACCUCAACGUAACCGGGCAACUGGACGGAGAAAAGAGGGCGAUGAGGUAACUGUCCGCACACCCGCCCCCCUCCUCCUGAUUUAUGUUAUUUGCUGGCACCUAGAUCUUUUUUUUAUAGUCGUCCAUCAUGAACUAAAUUUUCAUAACAUUGCAAAAACAUGGCAACAGCUCAACACUUUUGUGUUUGUUUUUUGCAGAAGAAGAAACGUAUUUGCAACAGAGCCUCCCAGGAACGUCUGACCGUGUUGAUUGAGAAAUUCACUGACGAUCAAAAGGGAGCUGCUGCUGAGAUGGGUAUGCAGGUUCUGAUGGAUGUCCGGUGCACGAACCUUGUCAACCCGGUAUGCGACUGGCUUGGUGAGAUAUACGAUUCCGCCUCCAGGGAAUUCGUGAUCUCGGGACGGGGAAGACUCCCACUGAAUGAGGAAUCCGUGUUCUGCACUUUGGGUGUGCCUCGGGGACAUAUCAAAGUCCCGUACGAGGUUAAUAAUGAGAUCGAGGAAGAGCUGUUCGCCCGUUUGUUUCCUGGGUUGGAGGCAAUGCCGAACACGUCUGUACUGGCAGAUUCUCUGCAGGCCAUGACGACGCACGGAUAAGUUUUCAAGAUGAAGCUACUCAUGUACCUCAUAUCAGCUGUUUUCACGCCGACCACUUCUCUUCGCCCAAGCAACAAAUGUUUCCCCAUCCUGGUGAAUGAUCCAUGCUUGCUACUGCCAGUGUUUUUCGUUGCGUUUCUUCCGUUUUGAUUUUCUGACGCGGCAAACUUUUUUGCCCUGAAAUUUUGUGUGGUGCAGGCGAAUCUGAAAAACGUGAAGAGUAUGAACUGGUGUAAGUUCAUUGCCGACUUUCUCCACGAUGCUUUCAAAAACAAGAUGUACCAGAAGGGUUGUCGCCUGCAUUUAAUGGUAUUUUUUUACCAGGUCUCUGUGUGAACUCUUUGUUUAUAACGCACUUUCAUUCAUGCAUGACAAUCUGGUCACAACAAGAUGGCAACUGCCAUAGCGACAAUGUGGCAACUGCCAUAAUGACAAUGUGGCAACUAUCAUACUGACAAUGUGGCAACUGCCUUCAUAUUAGCAUGGCAACUGCCAUCACAGUAGGAUGGCAACUGCCAUCACACUUUGAUGGCAACUGCCACAUACAUAUUUUAUCGUUGGAUCAUACAUUAUCCUGCUCUUCUUUUUUUUAAACUACAAAUUACCCACGAUGGCAACUGAUAUUUUCUUUUCUCUACAAUUUUUUUUAAAUCAGCUUAUGUAUGUCGACUGUCUUGAUUUGUCCACCGUGGAUUUUACUGGGGUAGGAGGCCCGCCGCCUACACCAGUUUGCUGUUUCUGCGUGGACCAUCAGCGCUGUCAAGGCUAUGCUUGCUGCAGACAGGGCAACUGAUGGCACGUAUGGAAAACUACAGGUUAGUUUUUGUUUAUGUCUUUUUUUUUCACACGGCAUGCUUACAAAUUUGACAUGAUGCAACCGUCCAUGGUUUAUAAGGCAUGCUUACAAUUUCUUUUUUUGUUUUUUCAUAGCUGAUGGCCAAGCAUGCUAUAGACUAUAGUGUGUUUGGGGGCCCUCAAAAAUUUGAAAAGUGGAUGGACGUGCACUCAGCUCCGUCUUGCCCUUCUGAGGUAAUCAAAAUGUCCACAUCCAUGGUUUGCCGUGGAUUACAUGUUGAUGUUGCGGAAGUGACUUCAAUACGGGUUAUUUGUUGAUGCUUCUUGUUUUUCGUGGACAGGCGAGGGCACCAGUUGAGCAUCUAAUUGGGCAGUUUGCUUCCGGAAUGACCGGAUUGCUCGGGAAGUUGGUCGAGGGGUGGACGUCCCUCAGUGCCUCUGACAGCGACGUGGUUGCGAGGCAGUUCACUUCAUUUGUCCCAGAACGUACACACCGGCCAACUGGUUGUCGUGGCCGAUACGACUACAACAGUUCCCAAGAGCCUGGCAACACACAAGAUGAUGUAGACGGAGACGCUGGCCUCAGCAAGGAUGACGACGACGACAUGGACAAUGUGCAUCAGGACACGGAUGACGAUGAACAAGCUGAAGUUCGCAGAGGCAGCAACAGGGGCAAGGAUGCAACAGAUGCCCCACCACCGGAGAAAGUGAAAGAACAGACGGCUGCGAGAGGCCAGGGGGUGUUGCCAUCAAGGAGGGGGAGGGCUCCAGAUGACGUUGGGCAGGGUUCUCAUGGCAAGAAGUCCAAGACGGAUCCCGUAGCUGCCAGGAGGAGGUUCGACUUUCAAUUUUUAGUUUUCCGCCGUGUCUAUUUUGUUGGAAUAAUCUCAUCCAAUUUUCUUUGCACUUUUAUGUUGUCAAGCGCGGCAACGGGUUUGUUGUCUGACAUUUGCCACCUUGCCCCUUUCCCUCCAUCUGUUAUUUUUGCAGCGAGCCGACCGCUGGUGGACGAGCAGUUACGAAGAAACAGGCGCCAACGCCAACCCGUGCUUCUGCUCGCUUGAACAAAGGUGCCCCCAUUGCUGGUGACACCCCUUCCACCAGGUUGUCUCCUCGUACGACGACGACCAACACCGGGGAUCCUGUUGUGUUGCCAGACAUGAGGAAGUCAGUCAAGAAGUAUGUUAAUCAAUGUGCUUUCAUUUUCAUUUUUGUUUUUUUUCCUUCAAUUUUCCAAUGCUUUUUUGUUCAGCUUUGUCACAUGAUCUUCUUUCACCGUCACCCACGCGGCAACCUCUCUUCCCCCAAAUGAUUUCUUCCAUCAAUUCUUUUUUUAGUUUUACGGCAACUCAUAUUUGUUCUUCACAUGGCAACUGGCAUCUAGUGCAACUGGCAUCUAACCCUCUACCUCAUGGGCAACUGCCAUUUUUUACCUAUGGCUUUGUGAGCUCAUCCCAUACACAGUUUUCAAAUUGCAUUCCUGACAGAACAUACAUCAGGUUUUCAUUCUUCAAUUUUUGCUAACAUGGCAACUACUGCUGAAUGGCAACUGCCAACCAGGACACAUGGCAACUCAAGUUCCCAUUACAUGGCAACUACCAACUUUCCACUUGUUCUUCAUUCACUUUAAGGUUUCUACCAUUUUUUUGCAAAACAUAUUUUUUGCUCAUUUUUUUCAAACCUUUCUCAUGUGAUUUUUUUUCUUUUUGCAGGGUUAAGAAGACUAUUACGCGCGGGGCCAAGCAUAGGAUAAAUGAUCCGCUUGAACGACUACAUUCAAAGUUGUCAACUGGGGGCAACUCAGAUGUACAUGAGGCACCCGGCGACAAUACUGCUGCUGCACCGAUGACUGCUUCCACCAACCCUGAUGCGAGUGGCCGACCAUCUCCGCCGGCUGCGGAUGCCCAGGCUAGAACAACAGGCAUCCGUACAUCGAGGAGUGAUGAGUCCAUAUCUGCCAGGACGGCUGAAAUAUUGCCAACUCUUCUGGCAAUGAAGGAAGCCGCAGUGAGCCACGCCACCCCAUCAGCAAGUGUUGAAGUGGAUGCUCCCGAGACGAACAUAGGCAAGGAAGAUUCGCGCUCUUCAGACACUGACUCCAAGGGCGUGCGUGAUGGCACACCUGUGUCCACGACAGAAGCCGCUGAGGCGGCAGUUCAUAAGGAUAUGCCAUCUUCAGGAGAGAGUCAUGGCACAACAGCUCCAGCCCCUGUCGGUGCAGAUACUGCUAAGGUUACCGUGGCGCGUGCUGGUCUUCCACCUAGGCGUCGCCGCCCCCGUAAGCAACCAACAGUCGUACCCAAUGCACCGGCUGUACCUAGCAGCAGGAGAGAUGAGUCUGGGUAUGUUCCUGCAUCCACACUGUUCCCGCCAACCGCCCAAAGCAAUGUGAUGGAGAACCCGCAAGACCGGAGCAAAACUGAGGCAGUUGUCAAGGCUGGCACGAGUGACGCAGGUGAACGGCCGGAGCAGACUGCGCCUUUACCCGCAGUGGAAAUCCCCAACAUAAAUCUGCGCACUUCCAGGCUGCCAGUCAAUGUUGGUGUCCCCUACAGCCCAAACAAGAAGAUUGCCAUGAAAGCUGCUGCUGAUACCGCUGACAAGACGCCCCGCCCUGCAAACAAGCCCGAACAUUCCGGAGCGGCUGAUUCAGAUAUGUUUGUUGAUCUUUCACCAUUGGAUUCUGCCCCGCAAAUCGUUCGUGGUCCGGCCAGUAGGAAUGAGAGGCACCCAAUGGCAUUCCCCCCACCGAGCUUCAGCCUUGGCAUAAGUCAAGACCAAGCGGUGGUGCAUGAUCCUAUUCCAGUUGCCUUUGCUUUUCCUGGAGGCACGGCGGCAAUGAUGGCGCAGCCAAUGGUCGAGAGCAGGAAGGCUGUCAAGUUCGCAGAGCCAAUUGUGCAAGGUACACUUGUCAUGUCCUUACGAUUUUUGUGUGCACAUAUUUAUGUAGUUUGAAUUUUGCCCCAAUCAUAUUCCUUUUGGGGGGUGUUCUCACCUGCGGUGGCAACUGCGGUGUGAUGACAUGGCAAGUUGAUUUUUGAUGCACCAUAGCCUGCAUGUUUUUUGGUUGUUGCCAUGCUGCAUUUUGACAUUUGGGUAAACACAUGGCAACUGAAGUUGAUUCAUCAUGGAAACUGUAUUUUGCUGACACAUGGCAACUAUAGUUUAUUACAUAUGGCAACUGGAUUUGCCACACCAUGUCACCUCCAUUUUGUUUGUUACCAUUCUGCAUUUUUUCUAUACGGUAAUCACAUGGCAAGUGGAGUUGACACAACAUGGCAACUGCAUUUGAUGUGACAUGGCAACCACAGGCCAUCUGAACGGUAAUUCAUCACAACUGCAUGGCAACCGCAGUUGCGAUGGCAUGGCCACCGUAUUUCCCCACUUUUCCCCACUUUUCAUCACAACUGUAGUUGCACCACACAUGGCAAUUUCCCCACUUUUUCCUACCUGCAUCUCACAUCGUACACCCAAUUUCCUCACAAUCCAUAUGUUUUCUGACUUUCUCCUUAACCUAACACACUUUUUUAUUUUUUCUUCUCGAAUCAUUGCAGGCACCCCUGAGGAAAUUUCAUCGUCACUUGACGAAGCUUACCGCAAGAUGGAGGAGGCAGCAUUGCAGAGGAGGACAUCCCGAGGACAAGGGCAAUCAAGUUCCAACUUGACUGCGGAGAUGGCAACUGAGGAUACGAUCAGAAGCGCGACCCCUGGUUCUGUGAGACAGCAGAGGGUAGUUCACGCACCUCCCGCGGAAGACUACGAGCCCGAAUUCAGGGCCACUAAGGAACAGACCCAGCUGUACGACAUCAUCAAGCGGUUCGGAAAUGCGAGGGCCAGCAGCAAGCAUAUGAAGGAGUUGAAAGCGUAAAUGACCACAUCCUACAAUCACUCAUUUUGCUUUGUUCUUUUUUUAGCAUUUUCAUCUUUUUAUUUUUUGAACUCACUAUACAUGAUGCGCUUACGUUUUAGUUCUUUCAUAUAUCUCUUUACUUAGCAGGCAUGAUUCUUCUGUGUUAUGUCGUUUUAUUACAGCUCAUGUUUGGACAGAACCAAAGUCAUUCAAUGCGGAGCGACGUACGUCGACCUGGGUGAUCUCGCCGAGUCUGUGAGGCCAAACGGGAAAAUGUCGACGAAUGUGAUUGCAUGUGGGAUCGACUACAUCAACAAUCACAUCGAUACGUGUGCCGACAAGGUCAUCAUGCAUUACAUCGUGACAUGCAAAAUAUGGGAUGGUGACUUCCACCACAAAAUUCUGAGGAAGAAUUUCACUCAGCACGGUGAAUUCAAGCUAACACUGAAGAAAUAUGUGAGUACUCCUCCCCUGUCUGCACUUUUUUUUACAUGGUGUGGUUUUUUGCCAUCUUCUGCACUUUUGUGAUUGUGUGUCAGAUGUUUUUUUCAUGUGGCAACAGUUGCCAUGCAUUUUUUUUCUUCUUUUUUGUUUUGGGCAUUCCCCGUGCGAACCACGUGGCAAUUUUUGAUUUUGCGAAAUGCACGGCAAAUCUUGUACAUACAUGGAUGGCAACUUUCCCUCAACUACCCCCACCCAUAACCAAAAAAACAUCCUACAUGAUUCUAAUUUUUUUGUCCCUCUGCUGUUUUUUUAUGUGAACUCUGCUUCUCAUUUCUUCACUUUUUAAAUGCAGGUCAUGUUCCCCAUGUUCCAGGAGCUUGCACCACAUGCCCAACAAGACAAGUGUGGUCACCACUACGCGAUCUAUCUGGACCUGAAGAACCAACGCUUCGAGGUGCUUGAUUCAAUCCGUUCGGGAGCUGAUUCAGAGCUUACUACGCAUGCUGAAUUCUUCAUCAACAACCUCAAAGAGACAUGGAACCGUCACUACGAAAAUUCAAAGGUCCAGAUCAGACAUUUCCCGAUUGAGUAUGUGGCGACUGUGAAGCAAGGGAACACGUAAUUUCUUUUUCCCCUCCUUUUUAUGUGCCGUUUACAUCAAUUGCAAACCCUUUUUUUUGCCACAUGUGAAUUGAAGUCUAUGUUUUGCUAUGUCUGUCCUUUUUUUGUGUGUUCAUUUGAGUCUUUUUCUCGUGUAGUACGGACUGCGGCUUUCACGCGCUGGAAUAUUUUGCAAACUGGGAAGGCAGAAUCGUCCCCGCCAUCACAGCUGCAACGAUUGUUGAGCUCCGGAAAAUCCACACGUGGAACUGGUUGACGAACGAAGAUUUCAACAAGUGGUCUGGAGCACGCGAGUUCGUGGAGGAAGCUGUCAAGAAAAUCAACAAGAAGUACAAGUGAUCAUGUGGUGUUAGACGCCGGACGCAUACCUUACAUUCUGUUGCUGAGGAAUGUAAGGUACUUAUCUAUAUUUGUUAUUGUCGAAAACUAUGUUUGUGUGCUAUGUUACGACUGCAGCCCAGCGUAUGCCACUAUGCAGUGGUGGUGUGUGAGCGACAUUUUUUAGUAGUUCUGUAAUAUAUGUGUGGACGUGAACUUUUUUUUUCAGUCGUUAAUGCACAUAUGUUUUUAUGUUUUCAUCAUUAUUACAAUGGUUCCAGUCGCACACAUCACCGGUUUUUGCUGUUUUUGGAUUGCGUCUAUGAUGUUUUAAAACAGAUGGCAAAUGUAGUUCAACAUACUUGGGGUAUCACCGGCUAGCAUGGGGGGGGGCAGGGUUGAUCAUGCAGCCACAACCCUGGCUGCGAUUUAUGCAUGUUCCACCUUUGUCCAACUUGAUUUUCCAUACAUUUUGCGCACAACACAAUAUGUUUCUCUAAACCGUGUGGUAUUUUGUCAUGGAAAUAUACGUCAUGCACAGUCAUUUCAAAUACCAUGUCAUAUUUUAAGCACAGCUUACAUUGCAAUUACAGUUCAAAACAUGGCAGAUCAAGCAUACUUGACAUGGCAGAUACAGUACAACUAACAUGGCAGAUACAGUACAACUAACAUGGCAGAUCCAGUACAACUAACAUGGCAGAUCCAGUACAAAAAGCAUGGCAUAUUUUUAGUAUAAGAUAGCAUGGCAUAUUUUUAGUACACACUACAUGGCAGAUUUAGUACACACUACAUGGCAGAUUUAGUACACACUACAUGGCAGAUUUAAUACACAUAACAUGGCAGAUUUAAUACACAUAACAUGGCAACUGCAUUUCUGCAGUCAAUGAAUUUUUGUCCCUUUUCUUUUCUGAUGUUCCUCAAUAGUUAUUCUCCCAAUUUUAAAAACAAAAAAUCUCAUUGUAUAGGGGUACAAAACAAAAUGUCCACAAGGACCAUGACGCAACGCCCCAAUUUCUGCUCAUGGAUUGCCCGCCGCUUUCUUUGCUUUCUUGUGUUUUGCUUGAAUCUCCAGUCCCGACUUGUACCUUAUCUCUCUCGGACGACCCUUUGUGAUGGAACGUGGUGGGUUCCUAACCUGCGUUUGUGUGCUUGCUGUUCCAGAUCCUAUGUCCGAGUUUUCAGAUGAUGGCCCGGUCGAUGAAGGCACACUUGAUGUGCGGGGGAACCGGUGUAAGGCUUCCUCAGCUUUCCGCUUCUUGAUCUCAUCAAGCUCUCUUUUUAGCGCCUUCCUGUGUUUUUCUGCGACUCUUGCUGUCUCAUCACUUUUGCACGCUUCAUCAAUUAACUCAGCAUAGUUCUUUGUCAGCACUACGUGCCUCACGGCUUCCAUGGUGGACUCUGGUCUCUCGUCAUGCACAGCCAGAACCGCGUGUGUUGUCUGCGGCGCCAAUGCGUCGUCAGCGUCCCAAGUCCAUCGUCGCCUUAUGAAAUGGCGGGGCAUCCAUGUCACAGUGUUCAUGUCCAUCACUUUUAGUAUGUGACAACACACAAUGCCGUCCCGUUCGAACUUGCAGCACUGGCAGUAGUACUCGCCUUCGCCUAUCGAGGCUUUCACGAAGUAGUUCCUUCCUUUGUCUGGGUCUUCAGGUUCUGAAUCCGACAUGCCCAAAAUAGAACACACCUUGAACGUAUGUUCGUCCAUCUAGAAAGCCAUGAACAUGCUGGCACGCUUUAUUUCUUCUUGGAAUCUGCAAGUUUUGUGUGCUUUAUGUUAAUCUAUCAUGCGAUCCUUUUUUGUAGCACGUUAUGCUGUCAAGGGAAUAGAAAUAUAUUUUUGUUUUUGAAUAUGGCAAUCAUAGUAUACUGAACAUGGCAAACAUAGCACACUGAACAUGGCAACUGCAGUACACCAGACAUGGCAACUGCAGUACACCAGACAUGGCAACUGCAGUACACCAGACAUGGCAACUGCAGUACACCAGACAUGGCAACUGUAUUACAUUUUCAACUAGCCAUCGUCGUUUCCACACCAAUGUUUUCUAAAAUGGAAGCACAUUGCAUCAAACAUGGGCAUCUAUAUUUCAGUAAACAUGGGAAUUGCAUUUUCAACAAACAUGGCAGUUGCAUUUUAUUAGACAUUUGCAAAUUUUGUACAUUCAGCAUACGUGUUGACAGUUUGACAUUUUUUCAGUUGACAUUGGCAACCGCAUACGAAAACAUGGCAACUGCAGCUGAGUAAGCAUUGUAAACAGAUAAUUUCAUCAAAACAUGGCAACUGCAGCUGAGUAAGCAUGGCAAACAGUAUUCCAUUAAACAUGGCAACUGCAUAUCAUGGCAACUGCAUUUUGCAAAUCUACAUGGCAACUACUGCCCUAGUGCUUUUUGUGCAAACAAGACACGUAAUGCAACUGACUUACUUGUUAAAGAUCUUGUUUGUGUAUAUCUUGCUCAUUUGCCUCUCCAUUGGUAAGUACGUUAGCAAUUUCGGCUGCUUUAGUGCGGUGGUAGCUUCUUGCUGCAGCUCAGAUCCCAGAAUUUUCUGUUGCAGAGCUGUGUACUGCUUGGCAAACUGUAACAAUGAGUUGCCAGGGCUCACGUAUCGCUUCAACACAGCAUUGAACCCCUCGCUGCGCUGCGUAGUCUGUAGAAAAGGGAAGAAGCACUGCAUGAAGUAGGCGGGCACCCAGUACAUUCGCUUUUCCCACAGAUUAGCAAGCGUCUCGUUGUUUUGGACUUGAUGUGUUUCAACCAUGGCCAUCCAGCUCCUUUCAAACUCCUCGACCGUCAAGCUGUGGUCCACGCACAGCUCGAAUGCCUUGUGCAGCUCUGGACAGUAAGCAAAGAACGGUCCUAGCGUCUCCUCAGCCUUCUUUAUUAUGUGCCAUCUACAGUGCCUGUGCACUGCCAACGGAAAGACCUCCUCUAUGCCUGCAUGCAUGCUGAAAUCCUGGUCUAUUAUUAUGUUCAUCGGAGCAAGUCCAUCCAUGCACUCCAAGAAGGUCUUGAACAACCAGACGUACCCAUCCGUGUCUUUGUUCCGAACGAGCCCGCAACCGAACUGCAACGACUGAUUGUGGUUAUUUAUUCCUAUGAACGGAGCGCAUGGCAUCUUGUACAUAUUGGUGAGGUACGUCGCGUCGAACGAAAUGCAAUCUCGGAAAUGUUUGUAGGCUCUCCUUGCAGCACCAUCCACCCAAUACAUGUUUCUGACACGGUCCUCAUCGUCCAACCUUAUCCUGUAGAAGAAAUCUGGAUCUUCCUUUGCUUUCUCAUCGAAGUAGGCAAUUGUAGCCUCUAUGUCAGCCAGCCUGCUCUCUCUAUGGUAUCUGGCCUGUAGGUUUGUGACGUUAGCCGGUAUGUAGGGCAUGCUACUCAGUUUACCCUUUUUGCUGUGGAUGAGUGAUAGUAUCUGGACCAUUCUGGAUGGACCGACGUUACAGUCAUGUAGCAGCUUUACGAAUUGUCUUUCGACUGGGGUGAAUCCUCUAUGGGCGGUCAGAAAUUUGACCAGGUCGAACUUCUUUAUGAGACUGUGGUUGUACUCGUCAAAAUAUUCAGUGACCACAUAAUGUGUUCCAUCUACGUUUAGCUUACACCGGACAGGGCAUCCUGUCUUGAGAAUGAUUCCUAUUUUUCGUUCUGGAACGACAGGCGCAGCACCUUUCACCUUCUUGUUCCUCCGUGCCUUGUGGCACCUCAUCUCACCUCUGCUGUACUCAUUAGUUUUCUUAAUUUUUCUAUGGUACUCGGUGUUGACCGCAAAUCCAUGGAACUUUGCAUAUGUCUGGUAGUAUUCCUUUGCUUCCUCGAACGAUUCAAAUCUCUGCCCAAUGUACGGUGGCUGAGGUACCACAAUCUCUGAUUGCCCACCAUCUUCAUCAUCUUCUGCCUCGUCGUCACUUUCAUCAUUCACUUCAGUAUCGGCGGCAGUUCCUCCUACUUGAGUGUUGUCAGUGUGUGUGUUCAAAGGGGUGCUUGUCUGUAUUGCUGGAAUGAUUGCCAUUCCCGACUGUGACUCGAAAUUGUCUGCGGCACGAGUGUCUGCUGGCUGGUGGAACGCGUCAUCCGUGCGCUCAGAGCUCCCCGCAGUUGAUGUUGUUGCGCUGCUGCUAACUGUAGUUGUAGGCCCUGCGAUAGGGAAAACAGGUACGAGAUUUAAGUUUUAUGUUUGAAUAACAUGUGUAUCGCAACGGACCACACCAUCUACGAGUGAUUUUGCACGACAUCAUUUUACAAACAGCAAGCCACGAGUAUGUGUGUGGGCAUGCACGACAGCUAUAGCUGUCCAGUGAUGGCAGCCAUUGUUUCAACAAACACGGCAACUAGUUUGUUUUUGCAUGCAAAUAACUUCAAGUAUCAAAGGUACUGUUUUGUUUUAUUGGUUCAGAUUUUUUUUCACUUACCUUGGUGCGUUGCAUUCGACCUUCCCGUGUUGCCUGGGACACCAGAAUGGUUCCCCCACCUGCAAUUAGCGAAGGCUGCCACGAGACGUUUGCCGGGGUACCACCAGCGUAAUAACCUGUGUGCAUAGCAGUGGUUGGUCAAAUUCAUGGCUACUGUAUUUUUUGCGCUAGGACGGCAACUGCAGUUGCCCCUGAUGUGGCAACUACAAUUUUAUUUGGCAAAGCAAAUGUAGUUUGCAUCGGCAUGGCAACCGCAGUUGUUCAUCCAUGGCAGCUGCAGUGCCACGACAUGGCAAAUGUAGUUGCAAUGGCAUGGCAACUGCAGUUGUUCUCCCCUGGCAACUAUAUUCUGUCCAUGGACGGCAACAACAGACGUGCAGGGAUGUCAAAUGUAGUUUGCUAAUACAUGGCAACUAUAGAUGACCAGUCAUGGCAAUUUUUUGCAUUUGCCACCUAUGCUCCUUCUGCCAAUUGAUCAUCCUCAACUUCACCUUAUUUUUAUGGACUGACCUGUGUACGAUGUCGAUGGCAGGUACAUUGGCGGUGCCUGAUGCCACGUGCUGCACGAAGGCUCUGCAUUUUCACACCGCGGUAAGUCGUGAGUCCUUUUGCUAGAUUUUUUUUGCAUGUUCAUUUUUCAUGUCCACCGCAGUAUGCGCUCCUUUUUUUCGUGUUUACAUUACCUUGACUGUCCAUACAAGCUAGUUGAAGUUUGCUGCCCGUACAUUUGUCAGUGAUAGCUCCUUGCGAGUGAACUUGCCACGGGGCCCCGCUAAUUGUGUUUUGGUCAUAAGAACCUGCUAAAAAAUGGCAAUGCGCGACAAAAGUAGAAUGUCAUAUUCAUCGUCGCGAAGAUGGCAACUAUUCUCUUCUUUUUGUUAGCACGCAUCAUACCUACGCCUGCAUAUUGUUCCAGUAGUGGCAACAACGGCCCUGAAGAGAUGAGCUGACUGUACUCUGUUGCAUCCCAAGGGGCUGUUUCUGGCCUUUGAGAACCCCAAUCACCAGCACCACCUUCGUGAUUCAUUCUUACCGUGUCUCCCUUCUUUUCCAAUGUGUUCUCAAUAUCUGCAUGAACAAGAAGGCAUCAACAACCCACAAGAAUAGCAUUUCUUCUGCUGCUUGCACACAGAAGAUAUGGAUGGCAAUCGACGGGUCAUAAUAGGUGGCAGCUAACGACAACAGAAGGUAGCAACUGUCGUUAUACACAAGUGGCAAUUAAUUUCUUCCAACCCUCUCCAUUCCAAAUUUUUGCCCCUGCCGUCCUAUUUUUUCGUACCCAACUACUUGCAUCACUUAAACUAGGAAAUUAAGUCAAUUUCAAACGUUAGUAGACGGCAGGUCUGGUGCACUUUGCCUGGCAAUUGCGACCACACACUGGACCAUGUAGUGUUCUACCCCUACAGCAUAGAUCCAGCACAAGAUCGGGAGAUUUUUCAGCUUUUAAGGGUGAGAAGGUUCAGAUCGGGGGAGAUUAUCACCUGGGUUUUUACAUGAUCGUCUUCGGAUGGCCUGGUUGGAGUUUGGGGCCGGGGUGGGGGAGGGUUUGGGGUGUGGUUUUGAGGUGGGAGUGCCUUACGGAUCUGCUCUGGUUGCCAUGGCAUCCAGAGAUGGCCGGCGACGGAGGUCGGCGUUCGUGAGGUGGGGGACGAUGGCGGCAGACGAGGGAGGGGAUGGAUCGGAGACCGAGGACUGGUUGGUCGUGCGGGCAGCGGAUCGGCUUGCUCGAUAGUGGCAGUGCAGGUGGGGUUGGCACGGAACGGACGUGCGGGCCGCGCGUUUGUGCGCGCGGACGUGGUCGUGCGGGCCUGUUCACGUCCAUGCCACACGAGGCGUGCGGGCGGGGUACCGUCGACGCCACACGUGUGGCAGUUAUUCAGACCCUACUUUAUAUAUCUAUAUCUAUAUCUAUAUAUAUAUAUAUAUAUAUAUAUAUUUGGUGGGCUUCUUUGGCCUCUUUUUUUACUUGGGCUUCUUUGGCCUCUUUUAUUUUUCAUAAAGUCCGGAGUCUCAUCCCGACUUGUGGGGGAAUCAUAGUCUCCAUCAUCCUUUCCUCACUGGGGCAAUGCUCUAAUAAUGAUGAUCAUCACACUUUUAUUUACUUACAACUCAAUAUUACAACUCAAUACUAGAACAAAAAUAUGACUCUAUAUGAAUGCCUCCGACGGUGUACCAGGAUGUGCAAUGAUCUAGCAUAGCAAUGACAUCAAAAAAGGACAAGCCAUGAAAACAUCAUGCUAGCUAUCUUAUGAUCAUGCAAAGCAAUAUGACAAUGAAUGCUCAAGUCAUGUAUAUGAUGAUGAUGGGAGUUGCAUGGCAAUAUAUCUCGGAAUGGCUAUGGAAAGCCAUGAUAGGUAGGUAUGGCGGCUGUUUUGAGGAAGAUAUAAGGAGGCUUAUGUGCGAUAGAGCAUAUCGUAUCACGGGGUUUGGAUGCACCGGCAAAGUUUGCACCAACUCACGAGGUGAAAAAGGGCAAUGCACGGUACCGUAGAGGCUAGCAAAUUGCGGAAAGGUAAGAGUGCGUAUAAUCCAUGGCCUCACAUUAGUCAUAAAGAACUCAUAUACUUAUUGCAAAAGUCUACUUGCCCUCAAAGCAAAUUACUACUACGCAUGCUCCUAGGGGAAGGGUUGGUAGGAGUUAACCAUCACGCGAUCCCGACCUCCACACAUAAGGAAGACAAUUAAAAGAGCACCCCAUGCAACAAAUUUGUCACACAACUUUUACCAUACGUGCAUGCUACGGGAAUCACAAACCUUAACACCAAUAUCCUUACUAAACACAACCAUCUACUAGAACCUCCCACAUAUUAUCAUCUCUAUAUCGCAAAACUAUUGCAAGGAAUCAAACAUAUCAUAUUCAGUGAUCUACAAGUUUUAUGUAGGAUUUUAUGACUAACCAUGUGAAUGACCAAUUCCUGUCAUCUCUCUAAAUAGAUAUAAGUGAAGCAAGAGAGUUUAAUUCUUUCUACAAAAGAUAUGCCCACGCUCUAACAAAUAUAAGUGAAGCAAAAGAGCAUUCUACAAAUGGCGGUUUUCUAUGUGAAGAGAAACAGGCAAUCCAAACUUCAAAUGAUAUAAGUGAAGCACAUGAAGCAUUCUAUAAAGCCAUACUCAAAAGAUUUAAGUGAAGUGCAAUGAGCAUUCUAUAAAUCAACCAAGGAAUAUCUCAUACCAGCAUGGUGCAUAAAAUAAAAAAUUAAAACUAAAUACAAAAUACGCUCCAAGACUUGCACAUAUCGCAUGAACGAAACGAAUACGAAAACAUACCGAUGCUUGUUGAAGAAAGAGGGGAUGCCUUCAGGGGCAUCCCCAAGCUUAGACGCUUGAGUCUCCUUAAAUAUUUACUUGGAGUGCCAUGGGCAUCCCCAAGCUUGAGCUCUUGCCUCUCUUCCUUUUCCUCAUAUCGAGACCUCCUCGAUCAAACACUUCAUCCACACAAAACUUCAACAGAAAACUCGGUAAGAUCCGUUAGUAUAAUAAAGCAAAUCACUACUCUAGGUACUGUUGCAAACCAAUUCAUAUUUUGUUUUUGCAUUGUGUCUACUGUAAUAUAGCUUUUUCAUGGCUUAAUCCACUAAUAUAAAUUGAUAGAUUCUUCAAAAGAAGCAAACUAUGCAUCAAAAACAGAAUCUGUCAAAAACAGGACAGAUUGUAGCAAUCUGAACAUUCACCAUACUUCUAUUACCCCAAAUAUUCUACCAAAAUUAGGAGAAAUAAAGAAUUUGUACAGCAAGACAGUGCAAAAGGAAUCAGAACCAUUUGACGUUCCAGUAAAAAAAAUGUAAAAUCGCGCACUACAGCCAAAGUUUCUGUGCUGCACCAUACAAACCAACAAGCAUUGUAAACAUCCUAAAGGCAAACCUUGGCACAUUAUUUUUAUAAUACAAUGGAAUUGUACAAGGGGAUAAUUAUUUUUGAUGAAAAGUUUCUGUAAUUAAAAUUCACAAAGUUUCCGUGAGCAUGAACAAAGUUCAAGGAGCUCUCCCACUUCAACAAUGCUUGUCUUUCUCACUUUCACUUUCCUUUUUGAAAAGUUUUUGGGUUCCCCUCUUUAUUUUUUUUGUUUUCAAACUAUAUAAAAGCACUCAACAGAAAUAAAUGACUCUCCAAAACUUCCGGGUUGUCUCCCUGGCAGCGCUUUCUUUAAAGCCAUUAAGCUAGGCAUAUAGUGCUCAAGUAAUGGAUCCACCCGGAUCCCAAGGUAUAUCAAAGCCAAUUUUAAUUAACAAUGAUUUGUGAUUUAGUAGUGAGCACAAAGUAACAUAUAUCAUGCAACAACGAAGUCUAACUCUCUUCCUAUGCAUCGGCAUGCCAUAAAAGAACAAUUCAUGCACACCAAGUAAAGGCCAAUGCAUAGUAUAAGCAGUUUCUUGCAAUUUUAUCAUAUUGGAAACAUAGAGAGGUGGAGAUGCAGUUCCUCUCUCAUUAUAAUUGCAAGUAGGAGCAGCAAUCACAUGCAUAUUAUAUCUAUCAAAAUCAUCAUGUGUAGUAGUAAAAGGCAACCCAUCAAUAUAAUCCUUAAUAAGCACAAACUUCUCCGAUAUAGUGUAGUUUGGAGAAUUCAAAAAGAUAAUAGGACUAUCAUGUGUGGGUGCAAUAGCAACAAUUUCAUGUUUAACAUAAGGAACUAUAGCAAGUUCUUCUCCAUAAGCAUAAUUCAUAUUGGCAUCUUGGCCACAAGCAUAGCAAGUAUCAUCAAAAAGGGAUAUUUCAAGAGAAUCAAUGGGAUCAUAGCAAUCAUCAUAGCAAUCAUCCUUCGGUAAGCACGAAGGGGAAUUAAACAAUGUAUGAGUUGAAGAGUCACUCUCAUUAGAAGGUGGGCAUGGGUAGCUAAUACGCUCUUCCUCCUUUUGUUCUUCGCUCUCCUCAUCAUCUUUUUCAUCCAAUGGGCUCACAGUUUCAUCAAUUUCUUCCUUGAUAGACUCCUGCAAAAUAUUAAUCUCUUCUUGGACAGCGGGGGAGUCCUCAAUAUAUGGUUUAACAUAGGCAUUAGAAGCAUAAUUAUCAUAACAAUAUUCAAGUAUGGCAAAAUUUUCAGAUUUGUAGAGAGUAGCAUCAUACUUUUAAUCAAAGAAGCAAUUCCAUAAGCACCCUUAAAAGCAACAAAUUCUUCAAUUUGUUGAACAUCAAAGUAAUUAUAAACACCCUUAGCGUACGAAGAUACGAUUCCAUUAUCAAUAAACUCACAUUGGUAGGGAAGGUGUUUCUUAGGGUUUUCAGAACAAUAAGUAACAUCAUAUAUUUUGCAUAAAUUCCAAGCAUAGCAUUGCAAACGAUGAAUUUGAUCCAAUAAAGGUUUACACUUGUCAGAUAUACUGUGUCACACAUAACAAGCAUGCUCAUCUAAAGAUUUGCCCUCAACUAAGCUAGUGGGGGUUUCAGCACGAGCACAAAGGGAUCGAAGAUGAUCCAAGUAAAAACCUUCAGGAGUGUCAUAGAUUUUGAGUGGUUCUUCAACCAUUUGUUUAGUAGGUACAACUAGUUUUUUGGUAUUUUGCGUUUCCCACCCAUAACUAAAGAUAGAGAACAACUAAGAAUAGCAAAUAAAAAUUACUUAGUGAUAAAGCAAACAAGCACACACGAGAAUAUUCACCCCAUGCUAUGGCUCCCCGGCAACGGCGCCAGAAAAAGGUCUUGAUGACCCGCAAGUAUAUGGGAUAGUUGUAGCCUCUUUCGAUAAGUAAGAGUGUCGAACCCGACGAGGAGCUAAAGGUAGAACAAAUAUUCUCUCAAGUCCUAUCUGCCACUGAUACGACUCUACGCACGCUUAGUGUUUGCUUUACCUAGAACAAGUAUGAAACUAGAAGUACCUUGUAGGUGUUGUUGGAUAGGUUUGCAAGAUAAUAAAGAACACGUAAAUAUAAACUAGGGGCUGUUUAGAUAAAGAUGCAAUAAAGUAAACAAAAAACGAGUGUGGAGAAGUGGUGGUAGGAGUUGUGAAAAUGUCCCGAAGCAAUUGACUACGUUACUAGACUGGUAAUCACUAUUGCAAUUCUAUUUGAGGGAGAGGCAUAAGCUAACAUACUUUCUCUUCUUCGAUCUAUGCACUUAUGAUUGGAACUCUAGCAAGCAUCCGCAACUACUAAAGAUCAUUAAGGUAAAACCCAACCAUAGCAUUAAAGUAUCAAGUCCCCUUUAUCCCAUACGCAAACAACCUACUUACUCGGGUCUGUGCUUCUGUCACUCAUGCCACCCACCAUAAGCAAAUCAUGAACAUAUUGCAAACCCUACAGCGGGAAUCCCUCACGCUUGCGCGACACGGAGGGCACAAUAGGACAGCACCAAUAAUAAAACAUGCAAUUCAAACCAAUCAUAGCAAUUCAUCAAUCACUGCUAGGACAACGAAAAUCUACUCAGACAUCAUAGGAUGGCAACACAUCAUUGGAUAAUAAUAUGAAGCAUAAAGCACCAUGUUCAAGUAGAGGGUACAAUGGGUUGCGGGAGAGUGGACCGCUGAAUAUAGAUGGGGGAAGGUGAUGGAGAUGUUGGUGAAGAUGGUGGAGGUGUUGGUGAAGAUGGCGGUGAUGAUGACGGCCCCCGGCAGCGUUCCGACGCCACCGGAAGCAAGUGGGAGAGAGCCCCCCUUCUUAUUAUUCUUCCUUGACCUCCUCCCUAGAUGGGAGAAGGGUUUCCCCUCUGGUCCUUGACUCCCAUGGCGUGGGAGGGGCGAGAGCCCCUCCGAGAUUGGAUCUAUCUCUCUGUCUCUCUCUGUUUCUGCGUUCUCAGAUUCUGCCCUUCCACCGUUUCUUUUAUAUCCGUAGAUCCGUAACUCCGAUUGGGGUGAAUCUUUUGCCCAGAUCUUUCUCAUAAAAUUAGCUUUCUUGCGGCAAAAGAAGAGUGUCAACCGCCUUACGGGGGUGCUCAGGAGAGUCCAGGGCGCGCCUGCCUCCCUGGGGCGCGCCCCCUGUCUCGUGGCCCCCUCGGGCACCGUCUCGCGUUGAUUUUACUUCCCAAAAAUCAUAAAUAUUCCAAAAUAAUUAUUCGUCCAUUUUUAUCCCGUUUGGACUCCGUUAUAUGGGUUUUCUGCGAAACAUAAAACAUGCAACAAACAGGAACUGGCACUGGGCACUCGAUCGAUAAGUUAGUCCAAAAAAUAGUAUAAAAAGUUGCAAAAGUAUAUGAAAGUUGAAUAAUAUUGGCAUGAAACAAUCAAAAAAUAUAGAUACGACGGAGACAUAUCAGCCUCUUCCACGAGCAAAACAUGAUCAUCACCAAAGCUCCAUGGGUGUUAGAAUCAUUACUAUGUAAUCUAGAUUAUUGACUCUAGUGCAAGUGGGAGACUGAAGGAAAUAUGCCCUAGCGGCAAUAAUAAAGUUAUUAUUUAUUUCCUUAAUUCAUAAUAAAUGUUAUUAUUCAUGAUAUAAUUGUAUUAACCAGAAACUUAGUACAUGUGUGAAUACAUAGACAAAACAUAUAGUCCCUAGUAUGACUCUACUUGACUAGCUCGCUAAUCAAAGAUGGUUAUGUUUCCUAACCAUAGACAUGUGUUGUCAUUUGAUGAACGGGAUCACAACAUUAGGAGAAUGAUGUGAUGGACAUGACCCAUCUAUUAGCUUAGCAUUAUGAUUUUGUCAGUUUCAUUGCUACUGCUUUCUUCAUAACUUAUACAACUUCCUCAGACUAUGAGAUUAUGCAACUCCCGAAUACCGGAGGAACACUUUGUGUGCUACCAAACGUCACAACGUAAAUGGGUGAUUAUAAAGGUGCUCUACAGGUGUCUCCAAAUGUGUUUGUGGGGUUGGCAUAGAUCGAGAUUAGGAUUUGUCACUCUGUGUUUCGGAGAGGUAUCUUUGGGCCCUCUUGGUAAUACUCAUCACUAUAAGCCUUGCAAGCAUUAUGACUAAUGAGUUAGUAGCGGGAUGAAGUAUUACGAAACAAGUAAAGAGACUUGCCGGUAACGAGAUUGAACUAGGUAUGAUGAUACCAACGAUCGAGUCUCGGGCAAGUAACAUGCCGAUGACAAAGGGAACAACGUAUGUUGUUAUGCGGUUUGACUGAUAAAGAUCUUCGUAGAAUAUGUAGGAACCAAUAUGAGCAUCCAGGUUCCACUAUUGGUAAUUGAUCGGAGACGUGUCUCAGUCAUGUCUACGUAGUUCUCGAACUCGUAGGGUCCGCACGCUUAAUGUUCGAUGACGAUUGGUAUUAUGAGUUUAUGUUAUAUGAUGUACCGAAGGUUGCUCGGAAUCCUGAAUGAGAUCACGGACAUAACGAGGAGUCUCGAGAUGGUUGAGACAUAAAUAUUGAUAUAUUGGAUGGCUAUGUUCGGACACCGGAAGUGUUCCGGAUAAGUUUCAGAUAAAACCAGAGUACCGGGGGUUACCGGAAUCCCCCGGGAAGCUAUUGGGCCUCAUGUGCCUUAGUGGAGAAGAGAGAGGGCCGGCCAGGAGGUGGCACGCGCCCCCAUUGCCCUAGUCCUAAUUGGACAAGGGGAGGGGUGGUGCCCCCUUGAGGGAGUCCUGGAUUAGGGGGUAUCCGGACAGCUAGACUAUAUGCAUCGUUCGGACUAUUGGAGCGUGAAGAUACAAGACUCAAGACUCCGUCCCGUGUCCGGAUGGGACUCUCCUUUGCGUGGAAGACAAGCUUGGUGAUCCGGAUAUUGUAUUUCCUUCCUUGUAACCGACUCUGUGUAAACCCUAGCCCUCUCCGGUAUCUAUAUAAACCGGAGAGGAUGGUCCUUAGAAGGACGAUCACAAUUACAAUCAUAAUCAUCAUAGGCUAGCUUCUAGGGUUUAGCCUCUACGAUCUUGUGGUGGAUCUACUCUUGUACUACUCAUAUCGUCAAUAUUAAUCAAGCAGCAAGUAGGGUUUUACCUCCAUCGAGAGGGCCAAACCUGGGUAAACACUGUGUCCCUUGCUUCCUGUUACCAUCAGCCUAAGACGCACAGAUCGGGACCCCCUACCCGAGAUCCGCCGGUUUGGACACCGACAUUGGUGCUUUCAUUGAGAGUUCCUCUGUGUGGUCUCUGCAAGGCUUGAUGGCGCCUUCAAUCGUCAACAACAUGGUCCAGGGUGAGACUUUUCUCCCCGGACAGAUCUUCGUGUUCAGCGGCUUCGCACUGCGGGCCAAUUCGCUUGGCCAUCUAGAGCAGAUCGACAGCUACGCCCCUGGCCACCAGGUCAGGUUCGAAAACUUGAACUACACGGACGAUAUCCGCGGAGACUUGAUCUUCGACGGAAUCGGGCCUGUGCCAGGAGUGCCGGGCAAUCACGAUGAGCACGGUUUAGACCUAUUGUCGGACAGUGCUCGGGAUAUUACCCUUGCAGUAGUCCCAGACCUAAAUCCGGAGCAGACUAUGUGGCUCAAGGACGGGUGGAUGGGCCCCACCCCGCAGGCCGCGCAUUCAUCGGCGGUGGAGCCGAACACAUGCCUCACUUCUAAGGAAGCCCAUGACUCCGGACCCCCGGACUCGUAUCCGGUUGUAGGUCCCAGUCCACGUGCUCCCGAGCCCAUUGAGCCUGGUUGGGCUCCGGUAAUGGAGUUUACCGCCGCGGAUAUCUUACAGCACUCUCCCUUUGGCGACAUGCUGAACUUAUUAAAGUCUCUCUCUUUGACAGGAGACUCUUGGCCGAACUAUGUCCGGCUCGAGUGGGAAGCAGGCGAUGAAGGAAUUCGUUGCCCACCCACCACCCACUUCAUUGCCAUGGUCGAUGAUUUAACCGACGUGCUUGACUUUGACUCCGAAGGCAUCGACAGUAUGGACGAUGAUGCAGGAGAAGAUUCACAACCUCUGGGGCACUGGACUACCACCUCGUCACAUGAUAUAUAUACGUGGUGGAUACACCCAAGGAGGACGACGACGACAAUCCGGAAGAUAAAACCCCCGGACAAAAGCCAAAACAACGGCACAGAUGCUGUUCAAAGUCCAGCAACAGUAAAAAUAGCGACAAGAGCGCCAGAAAGAUCGACAUACUAGUCAACUCCGAAGGCAACAACGACCACAUGGACCAAGCGAUGGAGCAGGAUGAGCCAGGUGAUGCCGAACCUAGUUCAGAGCAGACGCCCGAUCACAAUGAUCCCGAGGGACGAGUUCAUUAAACUGCCCCAGGACAAGAACACAGUCCGGACGAUGAUGCAUUCAUCAUCCCGGAAAAAAGCGCGGAACGAGAUAACCUCCAUAGUAGGCUCAUGGCCAUAGCGAGAAGUCUAAAGAAGUAGCAGCAACGGCUAAAAGCCGCACAGGAAACGCUCAAUCACAAAUGGAAUAAAGUGCUAGACACUAAAGAAAGAUACAACGACGAUCGCCAUACAAAGAGCUACCAAAACGAAAGCUACUGCCAGAAUUCAAUGAUGAGGCCAUUCCACCAAAGAAUAACACUACCAAGAGGCCAGACGUACCGCUUCAUAACCGCAACAGAGUGGCUACCGAUGUCGCGCACGAUCUACGUGAGCACCUGGAUAAGAAAGCCAGCGCGGCCAGAUCCAUCUACGGAUCUAACACCCCGGCGAGGGACUAUGGUCACCAAAACGAUCACACCAACCAAAUACCAGUUUGGAAUAAACACGGGACACAACAACAGCCGACGGCACGCCACAACAUGCCCAGAUACAGAGGGGCUGCUCACCCCCUGUGCUUCACAAAAGAAGUACUAGACCAUGAAUUCCCACAAGGUUUUAAACCUGUGAACAUAGAGGCAUACGACGGAACGACAGACCAAGGGGUCUGGAUCGAGGAUUUUAUCCUGCAUAUUCACAUGGCUCGUGGGGAUGUACUCCACGCCAUCAAAUACCUUCCCCUCAAGUUGAAGGGACCAGCUCGACACUGGUUGAAGAGCCUCCCCGAAAAUUCAAUUGGAAGGAACUCGAGGAUGCUUUCAGGGCCAAUUUUCAAGGGACUUAUGUCCAGCCUCCGGAUGCGGACGAUUUAAGUCACAUAAUCCAACAGCCCGAAGAGUCCGCCCGCAAGCUUUGGAAUAGAUUCCUCACGAAGAAGAAUCAAAUUGUCGAUUGUCCGGACACCAAAGCGUUAGCGGCAUUCAAACACAGCAUCCGCGACGAGUGGCUCGCCAGACACCUCGGCCAAGAAAAGCCAAGGACAGUGGCAGCCUUAACAAGCCUUAUGACCCGCUGUUGCGCGGGUGAAGAUAGCUGGUUGGCCCGUAAAGGCACCAGUGACCCAAGCACAUCCGAAAUAAGGGAUGGCAACGGGAAGCCACGGCGUAAUAAAAACAAACUCCAAAAUAAGGAAGAGAGCCCGGACAGGGGCUCUCGACCCGAUCAGCAGAAGAAGCCAUUUAAAGGUAGUAAAGAGGGACCGUCCGGUCUGAACAUAGUUCUGGACAGACUGUGCCAAAUUCAUGGCACCCCCGACAAACCUGCGAACCACACGCACAGAGGGUACUGGGUCUUCAAGCAGGCCGGCAAAUUAAAUGCCGAACACAACGGAAGGGAAACACCAACUGAAGACGAGGAUGAACCUCGCCAGCCGAACACUGGGGGACAGAAAAAAUUCCCACCAAAGGUUAAAACAGUAAACAUGAUCCACGCGACUCACACAUCCACGAGAAGGCACGAACGCGCGCUCAGAGACGCGUACGAUAUAGAGCCCAUCGUACCCACACCUAACUACUGGAGGGCUUGUCCGAUCACCUUCGAUCACAUGGACUGCCUAACUAGUAUUAGGCACGGAGGAUCAGAGGCCUUGGUGCUUGACCCAAUAAUUGACGGAUACCAUCUCACCCACAUCCUCAUGGACGGCGGCAGCACUCUCAAUUUAAUAUAUGAGGACACUAUCCGCAGGAUGGGGAUAGACCCAUCCAGAAUUAGCCAAAGCAGCACCACCUUUGAAGGGGUGAUACCAGGCGUUGAAGCCUACGGCAGGGGCUCCGUUGUACUAGAGGUAACAUUCGGCUCCCCAGGCAACUCCAGAAGCGAAGAACUACUCUUCACCAUCGCACCCUUCCAAAGCGGCUAUCAUGCAUUGCUUGUAAGAACGGCCUUCGCCAGCUUCAACGCAUUACCGCACUAUGCCUACCUUACACUCAAGAUGCCCGGUCCACGUAGCGUCAUCACCGUUAACGGAAACAUAAAGCUCUCUUCACGCGUAGAGGAACACGCGACGGCCCUAGCGUCCGAACUAUAAGCGGCCUCCAAUAUCAGAAAACAUGACUGGUCAUUAAGACCACAGACACGGUUAGACGAGUCCAGCAGCCCGGAUAAAAUUGAACCAGGGCACCGUAUAUGUAAUCCCAUAGAGGACACCAGGGGCUCUAAAUACUUAAUAUAGCCCCACAUUUGGCUCAACCUUAUUGGCAGGCCAACAUCUUACACUUUUACUAUCCAUCGCAUACUUACGUUGUACUCUCCUACACGAGUUUUCUUUUUUACAGACAGCAUUCGUGCAAUACCCUUCCAGGAUACGGCACAACGGAGACAAAGGCGCAGACGUGCAGUAGGGCCCCGCUCAAAAGGUUUCUUUUUAGAUUAAGCCCCUGUGUAAACCUUUUCUAUUGCCUCUUGUUGUUCAAACAUCCCAUGGGUUCCAUACCCACAGAGGAUACUGCUGUUAUUGGCAUUUCGCAACAAUAGACUAAUGCAUGUACCUGGAAAUACAAUGUUUAUAAUGAAUGGGCAUUCUUCAGCCCAUUUUCUGCUAUAAAGUCCGAAUACCUUCGGGAGUGUUCGGCGUCACGAGUUUGGCCUUAUAUGCAUCUGCUCUGAAUCAUGUAUUUGGUCAAAUGUUGGGUUUGCCCAGCUCCUGGGUUUGCCGCCUUACGUUCCGCUCUUAUCGGCUAAGGCGGCCAAAGGAGAACUACUGUGAUUGUGCCCUGGUUAUUUCGGAUGAGCACCUCAGUAGAGAAAGCCGAAAACUGACUGUCAUGAUACAGCGCGAGACUGUUCAACCACUCGAAGACUUACCGGAAUCUUUAGGAUUCCUCCGCAUUAACGAAGGGUCGUUUCCCGGCCAUGUACAUAUGCUCCCGUAUUCGGAUGCAUGCAUAAGUACUAGGGGCUACAUGGUAACCCCACUGUUAAAACUCCUAUGGCUAAGUGAAAGUGUUACAGCUAUAUAGUCCGGUUGCCUAGUUCGACGUAUGAUCACCUCCUUAAUGGACCAAGACGUUGGAACAAGUGUGAUUAUGCAUAUUUUUCGCAAACACCCCCGCAUUGUAUGCAUGGGGGCUGAAGCCAACGACUGUUAACUUUUAGAAUUAUACAUAGACAUAAAAACGGCCGCACAGGAGGCACACAUAAUACUUUCGGGCACAAAGUAUAAAUAUAGGCUCAUAAUCAAAAUAACAUUGUUUUACAAUGAUUCGAUUUGUCACUCGAACAACACAUUCUUCGAGCACUGUGCCCCUAUUAAGCGGGCACCUUCUGUUACCUGCUCUAAGUAGUGCUCGGCCGGAUACUGGCCCCCUGCCAGAUUCUGGGUCGCUACAAUGGUGGCGUCCAUAUCUGUCCAAUAGGCUUUAACGCGGGCAAGAGCCAUUCGUGCACCCUCUAUGCACGCCGACCUUCCAUGGUGUCGAUCUGAGGCACGGCCCCAGGAACUGUUGCACCAAACCAAAGUAACAGUCCGGCUUAGGCCCCUUCGGCCAAAGAUGGUCUAUUACAGACCGCAUUGCAAGCCCGGACAACCUAUGAAGCUCUGCUACAGCAGCCAUCUUCUCACUUAACGGCAUCGGGCGUGCGGGAGCAUUGAAUUGCGACCAGAAAAGCUUCUCCAUUUCUUUAUCACCUUGAUCCUCAAAAAACUUGGCUGCAUCAGCUGUACUCUUCGCCAAGUCCGCAUACGCAUCUGCAGGACUCCAACAUCCAUCCAGGGGAGCAUACUUCGAAUCCAAAAACUUCGUGCGCAGUAAGUAGGAGCCCCCAGCCGCGAUCUUACCAGCCUGUUGAAGCUCCUCCUGCACACCCCUGACCUUGGUCCGCAUCUCCUUGGUGGCAGCCGAACUAGCCUUAUUCUCCUUUUCAAGGAGUUCAUACCGGUCGGCGGCAUUUUUCAACUCCACAGCCAUUUCGGCUAUCUUUUCCUCGCUUCGGCGAUGAGCAGCCUGUUCGGCCUCUCAAUUCUUCGGCUGCCUUUAGGGCAGCCGCAUUGCUAACCCGAGCUUGUUCCUUGGCCUGGGCAAGUUCCACGGCAGCAGCACCAUAUGCAGUACAAACACCUUGCAUUAAUAUUAUGCCCCUCUCAUAUUUUCCUAUACAACAUAAUAAGGAAAGCAGAGCACAUACCUUGUGACUCAUUCAACCGCUCGUUCACCAGCGUGAUAUCGGCAUCAAUAGAUCCGAUCUGCCUCCUUAGCUCGGCAACUUCAACGGACUGGUCGGCUGCCGAACCCUUAGAUACCUGCGCAUAAGUACAGUGCAAUCAUUACUAUAUGAUCCCCCGUUUGCCGCCUAGGGCGGGCAACCAGAGUCUCAGGGGCUACUAUCCAUAUAGAGCACACCUAGCGCGUGCCUCACAGCCAAAAAAUAGUGCAUUUUUCACUACAUACCUCAAAGCCUCUGAGCAGGCCCGUAAAUGCUUCAUUCAAACUGCUUGUAGCGGAUGAAAUCUUCUUGAGCACCGCGCUCAUUAAUGAGCGUUGCUCCUCUGAGAGCGCAGCUCACUCCAGAAGGCCUGUCAGUAGGUCCGGCCGGACAUCAAACUGUGCCGGACCCUUCUCAUCACCCCCCGUGGGAGCCAAACGCUCCGGGCUCAGGGCGGCUGACAUAUUAGCUUCCGGCUUCGGCGGAUCCGGACUCCUCCGUGACGACACAUCGGUGUCGCUCGCUUCAUGAGGCGGAGAGGCGGGCGGGGUCUCGCUCUCCAUCUUCUCCGGAGGAAGAUCAACCAAAGAAGAGCUCUGUUGAGAAGAGCUGCUAGCCGGACUGCAAAAGACGGAUCCUGGUUAUUGAUCUCGGAGAAGCGCAGUACCUUCGAAUUAACGAUUAACUUACAGAUCGGUUGAGGGCUGGCCCGUUGGCGGGCAUGACUUGGUGAGGACGCCCGUCGGGGCAGAGCCCCCGGGCGACACUUUCUUCCCCUGUUUGGGCAUCUCCGUCUCCAAGUCUUCGGAGGCGGCCCUUUUCUUCCCGCGCGGGGAGGCGGCCUCGGAUUCCCCUCCCCGACUAUCCUCCCUUGGGGAGGAAGCAAUUCCCUCGGUUUGGAUGCGCAGUGUGUGAAGUUCGGCUUCACUGUCCUUUCCUUCGUCUUUCCCUGAGGGCAUUUUGCUAAGCACCCAGCCAAGCAUAUUGGCAAUGGUUGGACCAGGCGAGCCUUCGGGAAGUGGCGCCGGACACCUGAUUCUCUCCGCCUUGCUGAGCCAUUCCUGGCCACGGAGAGUUUUCAGAAUAAUAACUAUGACAAAUAAAAAAAAGUGUCCAAUUUUAAGGUUACUUACUUGGGCAUCUAGGCGAUUGCAGCUUAGGCUCGCAUCCUCGGUGGUGUCCGGACACUUUACUUGUGGUCCGAAGAAUAAUUUACACAUCCCUUCGAGCUUCAGGCCGAAGAAGUGCUUAAUAGUCCGCGGACCCUCAGGAUUGAACUCCCACAUCCGGAGAGGCCGGCGUUUGCACGGCAACAUCCGUCGGAUUAGCAAUACUUGAAUUAUGCUGACAAGGUUAAUGUCCUUCUCAAUGAGCUCCCGGAUACGACUCUGCAGUAUCGGAACAUCACUGGCGGGCCCCCAAUUCCGUCCUACGUCGGUCCAUGACGCCAAUUGUGACGGAGGGCCCGAGCGGAACUCGGGGGCGGCCACCCACUUUGUGCCUCGGGGAGCCGUGACAUAAAGCCACCUCCGUUGCCAUACAUCGGAUACUUCUAGGAAAGAACCCUCUGGCCAUGGGGCAUCGGCGUUCCUGCUUAUUAUGGCACCUCCGCACUCCACAUGUCGCCCCUCGAUCAUCUUCGGCUUCACAUUGAAGGUCUUGAGCCAUAAGCUGAAGUGUGGAGUGACGUGGAGGAAAGCCUCGCACACAAUGAUGAACAACGAGAUAUGGAGGAUAGCGUCCGGAGUUAGAUCAUGAAAAUCCAACCCGUAAUAGAACAUGAGCCCCCUCACAAAGGGAUCAAGGGAGAGGCCCAAGCCGCGGAGGAAGUGAGCAAUGAACACGAUGCUCUCAUUGGGCUCCGGUGUAGGGAUGACCUGCCCUGGAAUAGGAAGCCUGUGCUGGAUGUCGGUGGUCAGAUAUCCGACCUACCUAAGCCUCGCAAUGUCCUCCUCUUGGAUUGAGGAGGCCACCCACCGGCCUUGAGGGUUGGAUCCGAACAUAUUGGAGGAUCUGGGGUGUUGGAGCUUAGGUCUCGGGUGCUAGAACUCGAGGUGCGGGAAGGCGCAAGAGAGGUGGAAGAGAGGCAUAGGCCUCGGCCCCUUUAUAAAGGGGGUGAAUAUCAAGAGUCCUCAGCGUGGCCGCUUGAGGCUUAUCUAAAAACACAUGGGGUCAUGCCAACGGUCGUCGUGGGGUUACGCACGCCCAUAUUGAUGGAAGAUCCUGUAAUAAGAGGAACACGAUCUUUGCUUUGGCAGGGCGUGCCAAUAAAACCGCCUCGCAACGCGAGUCGAGGUGGUGGAAUAAACGCCGGUUCGUGUUGGACUGGGCCAUGAUGCAAGGGCACGACGUACAAAGAUUGCCAGGAUAUCAGAUUUAUGCUAUGUUCCCUACCAUAGUAUGUGAGGAUCAUCUCGCAGAUCCGGACACGAUCUAACUGUUCGAUAAUUACUUCGGAGUAUUCGAAGGUGGAACCCGCCUUGCAAUGCUGAAAACAAGACUGCGCACCGGACUCAUCAUCAUUGAAACCUGGUUCAGGGGCUACUGAGGGAGUCCUGGAUUAGGGGGUAUCCGGACAGCUGGACUAUAUGCAUCGUCCGGACUAUUGGAGCGUGAAGAUACAAGACUCAAGACUUCGUCCCCUGUCCGGAUGGGACUCUCCUUUGCGUGGAAGACAAGCUUGGCGAUCCGGAUAUUGUAUUUCCUUCCUUGUAACCGACUCCGUGUAAACCCUAGCCCUCUCCGGUGUCUAUAUAAACCGGAGAGGAUGGUCCUUUGAAGGCCGAUCACAAUUACAAUCAUAAUCAUCAUAGGCUAGCUUCUAGGGUUUAGCCUCUACGAUCUCGUGGUAGAUAUACUCUUGUACUACUCAUAUUGUCAAUAUUAAUCAAGCAGGAAGUAGGGUUUUACCUCCAUCGAGAGGGCCCAAACCUGGCUAAACAUUGUGUCCCUUGUUUCCUGUUACCAUCAGCCUAAGACGCACAGAUCAGGACCCCCUACCCGAGAUCCGCCGAUUUUGACACCGACACCCCUCUCCUUCCUUCUCUCCACCUCCUCCUUCCCCCUUCUCCUUGUUGGAAUAGGAAAGGGGGGCGAAACCUAAUUGGAGUAGGAUUGCCCCCUGAGGGAGUCCUGGACUAGGGGGUGUCCGGACAGCCGGACUAUCAAUGUCCGCCGGACUCCAAGACUACGAAGAUACAAGAUUGAAGACUCUGUCCCGUGUCCGGAUGGGACUUUCCUUGGCGUGGAAGGCAAGCUUGGAAAUACGGAUAUGUAGAUCUCCUACCAUUGUAACCGACUCUGUGUAACCCUAGCCCUCUCCGGUGUCUAUAUAAACCGGAGGGCCUUAGUCCGUAGGACAACAUACAUUACAACAAUCAUACCAUAGGCUAGCUUCUAGGGUUUAGCCUCCUUGAUCUCGUGGUAGAUCUACUCUUGUACUACCCAUAUCAUCAAUAUUAAUCAAGCAGGACGUAGGGUUUUACCUCCAUCGAGAGGGCCCGAACCUGGGUAAAAACAUCGUGUCCCUCGUCUCCUGUUACCAUCCGCCUAGACGCACAGUUCGGGACCCCCUACCCGAGAUCCGCCGGUUUUGACACCGACAUUGGUGCUUUCAUUGAGAGUUCCCCUGUGUUGUCAUCGAUAGAGCGGAUGCCUCCACCCGUCUUCAAAGACGCUGUUUUCGCUAGAGGGGCCUUGGCCGCCGGCCAAACUAUCCAGCUUGGUGGUUUUCUCAUGACCGCCUGUCCGGCCGCCGCUUCGGCAAUGACUUCUCAAGUCGUCGAAAGCAAUCUUCGCGUCAGCCCUAAAGCUGUCGAACAGUUAGAUCCAAUAGAGCUCUCGUCUGUUAACAAGCUCUUGGAUCGCAUCGCCGCCCUGGGAGUCGCUGCGGACUACAACCAGAUUGGGCUUAAAACCGAUCUGAGAGAGAUUAACUCUCCCCAGGCCACCCACCACGUCGCAGUGGUAGAGGAGCAAUACGACAACUCUUUGCCAGUGUUGAAAACAAUUCAUGUCCGGAUUCCCGAACCCUCCAUGCCGGAUUCCCGCGGGGGGACGGACCUUGAUCGAGCAUUGAAUUUAAAAUCAUGCAUCGCCCCGGACUCGCUGGAUUGUCCCCAGCAAACCACACUUCCGAAUUCGGAAACCCCUUGGCCUUCGAGCCUCAAGAUGGGCAGGGAUCCGGAUUUUAUUCCACCCACCCGCCCAGACAUAUGCGAUCUAUCUCUAAUACGGCAAGAGCCUACAGAAAUAGUACAUCACUACUGGGCCAGAUUCCUCCUGGUUAUGGACAGGAUAAAGGACUGCCGAGAGGAAAACGCAAUAUCAAUCUUCCGCAAUAACUGCAUGGACAAGGGAAUACUAAACGCCAUUGAUCGUCGCAAAAUUACGCGCUUCACCGAUCUGGCAUCCAUUGUACGAAAGUACUGUGCGAUGGAGAGUUCCCGGAAAACCGAAAAUCAAUUUUGGGAUAAUCCGGCCCCAAACCCAGUCCGCAGUAAAAGGGCGCCUUACACUCAGGCCCCAGAUGCAAAAACGAAAAAACAAAAACCCAAUAAGGGAAACAAAACCGUACUGGAGGGAUGGCUCAAUGGACCCUGUAAGCUUCAUAAUACAGAGGGAGCCGUCCCAACACAUAGCCUUCGAGCAUGUUGGAUAUUACGGCAGGUGGCCAAAAGUGGCGAAGAGCUUCUAGCUCCGGGAAACCACUCCAACAAUACCAGCACGGUAUCAACAGUCUUCGAGACUUUCGCAUCAAAUAAUAUGCGAAAACGAUCAAUCCGCGAACUCGCCGAAGUCUACCAAGUAGCAACAGCAAAUCCAUGGAGCGACACAGCUAUUACCUUCAAUGGCAGCGACGAGCCCACAUUCCGAACAACCAGAGCCCCAGCCGCACUGGUACUUAGUCCCAUAGUGGACGGCUUUCGACUGACAAAAGUCCUCAUGGACGGCGGCAGCGGACUAAACCUCAUUUACGAGGAAACUCUGCAAAAAAUGGAAAUCGAUUGGAGCCGUAUUGAGCAAAGCAACACAACUUUUAGAGGAAUAAUCCCUAGCCGGGAAGCGCGCUGCACCGGAAAAAUCACACUUGAUGUGGUGUUCGGCUCUCCGGACAAUUACAGAUCCGAAGAAGUCACGUUCCAGGUGGCCUCGUUCAGCAGUGGGUAUCGCGCCAUAUUAGGACGAGAGGCAUUCACAAUUUUUCAAGCAAUACCUCAUUACGGGUACAUGAAGCUCAAAAUGCCUGGGCCCAACGGAAUAAUCACUCUCGCUAGUGAUCCGGACAUAGCACUCCGCGCCAAAAACAAGACAGCCGCACUAGCCCUCGAGGCACUAUCCGAAGCCUUAGCGGCAGAGGAACUCACCGCGCUGCGCUCUACAGUGAACAGGGACGAUGUGAUACUCGAUAAAAGAUCCAAGUCCACCUCCUUCAAACUAGCAGACGAGAUAAUAAAAUUCCAAGUCCAUCCAACGGACCCAACAAAGACGGCCUCCAUUGGGGCACAGUUGAACCCCGAAGUAGACGCCACACUGCGCGAAUUCCUUCGGGAAAAUUGGGAUAUCUUCGCCUGGCAUCCUUCAGACAUGCCCGGAAUCCCUCGCAGGUUGGCAGAACACAGCCUCAACAUCCUAAAAGGAUUCAAGCCAGUCAAACAGGCUCUUCGACGAUUUUCCGAGCCCAAAAGACAGGCAAUGGGAGAAGAGCUAGCCAAACUAUUGGAAGCCGGAUUCAUUAGAGAUAUCAAACAUCCGGACUGGCUAGCAAAUUUGGUGAUGGUACCAAAGAAGGAUAAAUCAUGGCGCCUUUGUGUCGAUUUUAAAGACCUCAAUAAAGCUUUCCCAAAGGAUCCCUUCCCUCUCCCCCGCAUCGAUCAAAUUAUCGAUGCCACAGCAGGGCACGAUUCGUUGUGCUUCCUGGACGCAUACUCUGGCUAUCAUCAAAUCAAGAUGGCGGAAGCAGACCAAGCCGCAACGACAUUUAUCACUCCAUAUGGACCAUUCUGCUUCAACACGAUGCCCUUCGGACUCAAAAACGCCGGCGCAACAUAUCAGCGCAUGAUUCAAACAUGUUUGGCCACCCAGAUCGGCAAAACAGUCGAGGCAUACGUAGAUGACGUAGUCGUCAAAACAAACCACGUCGAAACUUUAGUAGACGAUUUGAGGCUCACAUUCGACAACCUCAGAGCAUAUGACAUCAAGCUGAAUCCGGAAAAAUGUGUUUUUGGUGUACCAGCCGGAAAGCUGCUGGGCUUCAUCGUAUCCGGUAGAGGAAUUGAAGCAAAUCCGGCCAAAAUCCGAGCUCUGUCACAGUUGGAUAUUCCAAAAGACCUCAAACAAAUACAAAAAUUAACAGGAUGCGUGGUAGCUUUAAGCCGCUUUAUCUCCCGUUUAGGAGAAAAGGCGCUGCCCCUCUAUCGCCUCCUCAGGCGCACCGAACACUUCGAGUGGACGGAUGCUGCCACUGCCGGACUCGAAGAGAUAAAGGCCAUACUGGCAACAAAUCCGGUCCUGGCUGCGCCCACUCUGGGCGAACCAAUGUUGUUAUACAUCUCAGCAACACAUCAAGUUGUAAGCGCAGUCCUCGUCGUCGAACGAGCGACAGAAGGGCAUAAAUUCCCUCUUCAAAAACCAGUGUACUAUGUAUCCACUGUGUUAACCCCUGCAAAUCCCAUUACCCGCACUAUCAGAAGAUAGCAUAUGUGGUGUUCAUGGCGUCUCGAAAGCUCCGGCACUACUUUCAAGAGUGCUCGAUAACAGUGGCCUCUGAAGUACCACUCAAUGACAUUAUAAAUAACCGUGACGCAACGGGCAGGAUAGCAAAAUGGGCCAUUGAGCUCUUACCAUUCGACAUCACUUACAAACCUCGACGAGCUAUAAAGUCACAAGUUUUGGCUGACUUCGUCGCCGAAUGGACUGAAGCCGAACUCCCUAAAGAGUACGGCGCAUAUUCCAAUUGGACUAUGCAUUUCGACGGCUCCAAAAUGUUGGCCGGACUGGGGGCUGGCGUCGUACUGACGUCCCCCACCGGAGAUACAGUCCAGUAUGUACUUCAAAUAAUGUACACGGACUCCAACAAUGCAGCCGAAUACGAGGCCCUAUUACAUGGUCUUCGGAUGGCGGUCUCCAUGGGCAUUAAAUGCCUAGAGGUGCGCGGGGACUCAAACCUUGCAAUAUCCCAAAUAAAUGGAGACUUCGACACCAAGGAUCCGAAAAUGGCAGCAUAUCGCAACGCUGUCCAAAAAAUGUCAGCUCGGUUUGAAGGACUCGAAUUCCAUCACAUAGCCCGAGAUAAUAACCAAGCGGCCGACGUCCUGGCACGCAUCGGUGCGAAACGUGAUGCUGUCCCUCCAAAUAUCUUCCUGGAACGGCUCUUCAAGCCAUCCGUACUAUGGGAAGAGGAGCCCGAUAGCUACAAACCGGAGAAAACCGCACCAACUGGUGAUUCGGCAGAUGACAUAACACCCUCCGCCCACGUCAUAAUGGCAGUAAUCGCCGCGUGGACAGAACCUUUCCUAGCCUACUUACUUAGGCAGGAACUUCCCGAAGACCAAAAUGAGGCCCGCUGCAUAGUCCGGCGAUCGAAGGCCUACAAGGUCCAUGAGGGAGAACUUUAUAAGAAAAGUACCACCGGAGUCCUUCAAAUGUGUAUCUCCGAAGAAGAAGGGCGAAACCUCCUGGCUGAAAUUCAUGCCGGACUAGGCGGACACCACGCAGCAGCCCGGGCCCUUGUAGGAAAGGCAUUCCGUACAGGAUUUUAUUGGCCGACGGCUCAGGCAGACGCAUAGGACUUGGUCCAGCGAUGCGUUGGUUGUCAGCUCUUUGCUAAUCAGAGCCAUAUGCCACCCACCGCCCUCAAAACCAUACCCAUUACCUGGCCGUUCGCGGUCUGGGGGCUUGACAUGGUUGGACCCCUUAAAGGGGGAACCCACAAGAAAAAAUACCUAUUGGUCAUGGUGGAUAAAUUCACCAAAUGGAUAGAGGCCAAACCGGUCAAAACGGCAGAGUCCGGACCAGUGAUAGACUUUAUAUCAGGGGUGGUACACCGUUACGGAGUCCCUCACAGCAUCAUCACCGACAACGGCACGAACUUCACAGCCGACGAGGUUACGUCAUGGUGCAAAAAUAUGGGCAUCAAGCUCGACUAUGCGUCAGUCUAUCACCCUCAAACCAACGGUCAAGUGGAAAGAGCAAAUGGUCUAAUAAUGAGCGGCAUUAAACCCAGACUAGUGAGGUCACUAACUAAAUCCGACACACAAUGGGUCGAGGAGCUCGACUCCGUACUCUGGGGGCUGCGGACAACGCCUAACCUACUACCGGAUUCACACCAUUUUUUAUGGUAUACGGCGCAGAGGCAGUCUUGCCCUGUGACAUUAUUCAUGACUCACCUCGAGUGCGCAUGUAUGAGGAAAGAGAGGCCGAGCUUGAUCAGCAGGACAACUUGGACACGUUGGAGGAAGAACGUGACGUCGCGAAGGCUCGUUCCGCAUUCUAUCAGCAGCAGGCCCGAAGAUAUCAAAGCAGAGAAGUACGGGCCAAGACUUACAACAUUGGCGAACUAGUUCUACGCCUGCCGGACAAGAAAAAGGACAAGCUCAAGCCCAAAUGGGAGGGCCCCUUCAUUAUCGAUCAAGUACUGACCGGCGGAGCAAACCGUCUACGAAAUGCGUCGGAUCACCGACUCGAGCCGAACCCAUGGAAUGCAGCCCGCCUCCGACGAUUCUAUGCCUAGCGCCGGACUAAGAGUUCGUCCCCUUCCCCCGUCCAAACUUUUACAAUUCGGCUGUCUUUUGUUUCUCUUUUUAUCCUUUUCACUUAAAAGCCCUUCUGGGCCUAUUUUUGCAUUCUUUGCAUACGCAUGACGUGCCAUCCGCACUCAUUAUUCCUGGGGGCUUCUUUUACAGAAGCUCAAUUAUACGCAUGAUGUGCCAUCCGCACUCAUUAUUCCUGGGGGCUUCUUUUACAAAAGCUCAAUUGUACGGGUUUAUACCCAGCACAUGUGUCAAGCUUCCACAUGUACCUUUUACUCGCCAUUAUAUGCAUCGAUAUGACUUAAGUUUUGGCCAAGCUGGGUUGCCUGGCUCCUGUGCUUAUGCCUAUGUUCCCGAUUGUUCGGCUAGGAGGUAAAGGGAGCACCUCUGCGAUUGUUACUGCCGGGUCAGCCGGAUGUGUACCUCAGACUGGGUGAAGCCGAAAGCUAGCGUUCUUAAGGGAAUAUUCGGUCGAUGACUUAAAAGAUGACUUUUUACCUAUUUAUCUAUUUGCCCCCAGAUGUUUUGCUGCUUUCUUUGCAGUCCGGACAUGCACUUUAGGGCAUGCCUCCCAGGGAAAGGAACCCUUAACGGAACUAUUCUCCCUGGAAGAUGUUUCUUACUAACCAUGUAAUAUAACAUAACUAGUUGGGCACUUGUCUGAUAAAGCACUAAUGACCCCUACGCCUGGUCUCCAUGCAUACCACGGUUGUUUCUUAACCAAAAAGGUAUUCGGACACACUCCGGACUCUAGGGUCCCGAGGUCGAAGCGAAAAGGUCGGCAAAGACAAACGAUCUACAAUCCGGCUAGAAGGCAUUUCACAUGUCACUUUAAAGGAUAACAUACAUUGUCAAAUUUACUGAUUGUAUUCCUCCUCAAUCCCGUCUAACAGGCUGUCUAGUUUACAGUCCUGUUGGGAAAAUUUAGCAGCCAACUCUACUUGGCUAUACACUAAACUCACAGGGAUCUCCUUCCCAUCGGGCCCCACCGGUCCAACUUCGGCCAUGUGGUUGGGAUCCGCCUUCUUGUACCGCGUCUUCACCAUGGCCCAAGCCUCCCUGGCACCUUGACGGCAAGCCGAAAUCUUCCACAAACGGAAGCGCUGCCGCACUCCCUGCAGCUUCUCCGCAAGCUCCCUGAGGCCCUCGGGUAGGGUGAGGGCUGGCCAUAAAGCCUGAACGACGCCGCUCAUUGCCUGCCGAACUCGUUCGAGUAGCUGCAACAGUUCGGGAAGUUGAUCACCCAUUGAUAUGGGCAUCUCCUCUGCAGGACGACCCGUGAGUAUACCUACAAGACAUAUCAUGUCAAAAUACUUCCUCGCCGAACUCUUCUUUUCAAAAGAGUUCGCUCAAGCACUUACUAUAAAUGCUGCGACGAAGCCGCUGAUUCUCCUUAACGGAGCCGGACAGCUCGGCCUGAGCGCCUUUCAGCUCUUCUCCGAGCUUGGCGUUGGCAUCCUGGAGCUUGUUCCUUUCCUGCUGAACCCUAUUCAGCACACUCUCGUCGGCCUUUAGAUGGCAUAGCAAUGCUUGCCUGUCCGGAUCUUGUCCGGUGGUACCUGCAAAUGUAAUUAUUAGACUCGCGCGCACGCUGCACAACGCUUAUAUUUAUUAAUAAAAAUGUGUUACUAGGAGGGGUCUUUCCGUCUCCCCCUGCGGCAGCAAGUGCGGCCUCAAGUUGGGCCUUGCAAUCUUGCAGCUCCCGAGACAGCUGGGCGUUCUUCUCGUUAAGUGCCUGAAAUUUUCAAUGAUCCUUAAAUCAGUUAACAUAACUACUUUAAGUCUCGGGGGCUACUGGUAUAUACAACCAUUAAAAUUCCCUUACCCGUAUGUCUUUCACAUACUGCUCCGUGGCUCUGGUAAAACCAUUUUGAGCAGCACGGAGAUGCGCGUCCCCUGCGUUAAAAGCAUUCAAUGCCUCAGGGGGAAAAGCACGCUUCUUGAAAUACUGUCCGGCGGCGCCUAUGGUUCAUGGCGCUCUCCACCUCAGACUUGGUGGCGGACAGUCUGUCGGUAUCCUCCGUUGGAGAAGGAUCCGGCUCGCAUCUUGCGCUUGCCUCCCCCUCCAGACCGGGCGCUGGAGCCUGGCCGGUGUUGGUCGGAUUGGCAAUUCCUGCGCUCGCAGUCCGGCGAGCGCUUUUUCUCCUACAAAGAUCAUGAGCACUCAGAUGUUUCCUCGGAACGUUGCUCUAAAAAUUCAAAUACGAGCUAUACCUUUGCGGCGUUUCCAUUCGCACUGCGCUCCUUUUCCGCCUGCUGGUUCGGACUGACCUCUAUUGGUCGGCCGCCGCGGGCUCGGCUUCCUGCCAUAAAGGCGCUUCCUGCAAAAUACCAUCGUUCACGAAGGUCAGAAAUGGGCAGGGAUGAGAUAAUGGUGUCCGGACUUCGGUCGCGGUCACCUGGGGAGCCGGACUUAGCCCGGGGUAGUCCGCUGUAAUGGAGACCAAAGCAUUGUCUAUGCUGAGUUGGUGAUACACCCCGUCGAUUAGCUCCACCUCGAUAUCCGGGUCCUCUUCGGAGGCCAGACCCAGGGAUCCUUCUGGAUCCUCGGGUUGCGGAGCAGGACUCACCAUGUCCUCCACAGUCCGGCGUAGACCCUGCGCCGAAGACAUAAUGUAAGAAGCUUAAACUUCAAAAGCAUGGGCUGGGCCCUUCAAGGUGUUCACUUACCCAUCCUCUGGGGUUGAUCAUGGAAAACCCAUUCAAAGGGUUCGUUCAAAGGAAAUCCUCCUUCUCCCCCUUGUACAGGCUGGACAGGAUCUUCACCAGAUCCUCGGUCGAAUCCGGCCCUUUGCGGCCAUGCCGGGUAGCAUCGUCUUCCCCGUUGAAAUCCCACAUGGGGUGGCCUCUGUAUUGCAGUGGUUGUACCCCUCGCUUGAUGCAUGUCUCCAUGACUCCGAUCAUGGUCAAGCCGGAAUGAGCCAUUAAUCUUAUCCGGCCCAUCAAGUAGUGGACGCUCUUGUCUUCCUCCAAUAGGGGGCUCCGCGGGCGCCAGCUGAGGCGUUUCUUCAAGGGAGCAGCACUAAACUCCGGGAGGCCGAUCCGAACUGGGUCUGGCAGCGGGGCGUCUUCUAUAUAAAACCACUCCGAGGGCCAGUCUUCGGACGCCUUCUUGGGAGUGCCGGAUAGGUAUCCGGUCCCGGCGAUGCGCCAUAUUUCGGCGCUGCCCACUUGAUAUAUGGACCCCUGGUAAGAACGGGGUACGAGGCAAAACAGCCUCUUCCACAAUGCGAAAUGGGGCUCAAUGCCCAGGAAUAGCUUGCAAAGAGCUACGUAGCCCGCGAUAUGUAGGACAGAGGCGGGCGUGAGGUGGUGGAGCUGGAGUCCGUAGAACUUCAGAAGCCCGCGGAGGAACGGAUGUAUUGGAAAUCCGAGUCCCCUUGUCAGAUAAGGGACAAAACAUACUCGCUCCCCCUUAUUGGGGCUUGGAGCGUCCUCCGCCUGUCUCCCACCUUGAUAAGUAACCAGUCCGGCCCGGACUGGGAUCAUAAAGGCCGGAGGGAGGAAUCCCCCCGUUUGGAGCUUCACGAGCUCGUUGUGCGAAAUAGAGCACCUCCUCCAAUUCCCCGGCGGUGGGCUGGGAGCGCGCGAAGAAGAGCCGUGUUGACAAUCCAUGGUGGAAUGGAUUUCUAGGUCAAAGGCGCUUCGAUGGAGUAUUCGCGGGAGGAAGACGGUGUGGUUUGGAUCUGGAUUCUUGCCUCUUUUAUAGGCGGGCAACUCGCACAAUUGGGGGGUGAAAUGCAAAAGGCACCCUGGCUUUUCGCAUUCGUGCGACGCGUGGAAGAGGGCCAUUAUUUGGCGUAGAAGCCGAGGAACACAGUAUUCAAGAUGAAGCCGGACACUGUUCGGCAGGUACAUGGAAUUUGAAGGGAGAACCCGCCUUGCAACGCCGAAGACUAUAAACGCGCUGGACUUAUCGUCAUUGAAGCCUGGUUCGGGGGCUACUGAGGGAGUCCUGGACUAGGGGGUGUCCGGACAGCCGGACUAUCAAUGUCCGCCGGACUCCAAGACUACGAAGAUACAAGAUUGAAGACUCUGUCCCGUGUCCGGAUGGGACUUUCCUUGGCGUGGAAGGCAAGCUUGGCAAUACGGAUAUGUAGAUCUCCUACCAUUGUAACCAACUCUGUGUAACCCUAGCCCUCUCUGGUGUCUAUAUAAACCGGAGGGCCUUAGUCCGUAGGACAACAUACAUUACAACAAUCAUACCAUAGGCUAGCUUCUAGGGUUUAGCCUCCUUGAUCUCGUGGUAGAUCUACUCUUGUACUACCCAUAUCAUCAAUAUUAAUCAAGCAGGACGUAGGGUUUUACCUCCAUCGAGAGGGCCCGAACCUGGGUAAAAACAUCGUGUCCCUCGUCUCCUGUUACCAUCCGCCUAGACGCACAGUUCGGGACCCCCUACCCGAGAUCUGCCGGUUUUGACACCGACACCCCCCUUGGUGCGCCUCCUCCCCUGGACGGCCUCGUCCUCCCUCCCUCCUUUAUAUACGGGGAGGGGGCACCCCAUAGACACACAAGUUGAUUGUUUAGCCGUGUGCGGUGCCCCCUCCACAGAUUUCCACCUCAGUCAUAUCGUCGUAGUGCUUAGGCGAAGCCCUGCACCGGUAACUUCAUCAUCACCGUCACCAUGCCGUCGUGCUGACGAAACUCUCCCUCGACCUCAGCUGGAUCUAGAGUUCAUGGGACGUCACCGAGCUGAACGUGUGCAGAUCACGGAGGUGCCAUACCUUCGGUGCUAGGAUACGUCGGAUCGUGAAGACCUAUGACUACAUCAACCACGUUAUCAUAACGCUUCCUCUUUCGAUCUACGAGGGUAUGUAGACAACACUCUCCCCUCUCGUUGCUAUGCAUCACCUAGAGAUAGAUCACUACAAAAAACACUUUCGUGAUGAUACGUGUUUGUCACAGUAGGUCACAUUUUUUGUCAUGCAUGUACAUCCAUGACGAUUUUAUAACAGAAUCAAUAUAGUCAUAAAUGUCCUGUCAUAGAAGUGUCCCAUGACAUUACCAAAAUUAUCAUCACGGAAGUGUCCACUUCCAUGACAAUAAAUCGCGCGUCAUGGAAGUGCUUUCGUCGACAGUGACCAACACGUGGCAUCCACCGUAACGAAACGUGUUAAGCUAUCGGGUCGGGUUUUGCAUCCGAUAACCCGUUAACAACCCGGAUCAAUGGGAAAUUUCCACAUGUAAAAUUCAGAUUGGCCGGAUGAAACACGUGUCAGCUCGUCAGUCGGUCAGAUAGGCGCCUAUGAUAUGUCAACACGUGCGACGGCCCACCACUGGCCCAUUUAGCUUACAGAGCCGGCCCGUUUGACUUGUUCAAAAGUUAGCGGGCUGGCCCAUGAAAAGCCUGUUAACGGUCUCUUCGCAAAUAGCCCAUUUUACGGCCCGGUAACUCACGGCCCGUUAGGGCCUAACGGAAAUCGGCCCAACAACGUCAUGUAGACCGUCGAAUAUAACACCAGCCUGUUUCACUUUCGGCCCAUGUAUGGCCCAUGACGUCUUUCGGCCCAUAUGAGGCCUUCGUAUCUUUAGGCCCUUUAGAGGCCCAUGGUGACUCUAGCCCAUGAUGAACAGUAAAUUUCUUUGUACCCGUUUACGGCCCAUGAUUCACAUGGGCUGUUUCCAUCCCGUGUUAGCUUUCGGCCUAUUGAUGGACCAUACGUUCUUGGGCUCCUUUCCGGCCCUCAAUUACUUCCAGCCCAUUACUGGCAUGUUCCCCUAAUGGGUCGAAUUCGGCCCGUAGCAAGAGUCGGCCCAUUUCUGGCCUAUUAACCCAUUGUGCCAUUUCCAGCCCGUCCUAUAUUCCGGCCCAUUAACGACCUGUUAUGCAUGUGACAGAAUUAAGCAUUUGCUGUCCUCCGGCCUGUUAACGGCCUGUUACCAUGCUGGGCCGAUACCAAUUACGCCCAUUUACGGGCCAUGUAGACCCAUUUAUCCGACGGCCCGAGGCCCACCGAUUCUACGGCCCUGUUGGAGGCCCAUUUAUCGAUGGCCCGUAGGAGACCCAUGGAUCCUAUGGCCCGUAGCAGGGUCAAGGUUACCAUGGUCCGUAUAUGGCCCAUGGUUGUUGCGGCCACUAUCAAACCAGGGAAAAGGAAGACUAGGAAAUAAAUAAGCUUGAACUAACGCUAGGCUAUUAAGGCGAUUGCAUAGAUUACAUCCACUCGGCAUCAAAGAUCGCCACCAAUGCAAAUAUAGGAAACACCCUACACUAUACAAAAAUGGCUUGUUGUUUUCUUCAGCCUGUGGCUGCACGUUAAGAACAAAAUUUGUAUCACACCAAAACAAAUUACAACUAUAAAACAAAAAGGAAGGUUGGCAUAAAAUUUAACAGUCUAGCAGAUAAAUGCACCACCAGAAGUUCAGAAGCUCAGUUCAUUUGACCUGACUGUUACGUUUUCAUGCUGUAUUGUCUGAUGGAGCACCAUAACCUUCGCCUUCAUUUCUCCUAUGCUCCUGAACAACAUAGCAAAUGUCUGAUAGUCUGGUUUCAAAACCAUGCAUAUCUUGAUGACAUCGAACAAUGUCUCUCCUUGUUUCACAAAGGGUCUCUGUUAGGGAAUGGACUUGUGUCUGGAGCGCAGAUACAACAUUGUUUUGAGCUUGCAUAUCUUGAUCAUGAGGCAGUUUGGACGAGAUUGCCUUAACAACCAACCCAGUAUUACGCAGGAACGUGUUUUUGGCACUGUUAGUGGAUAGGUACUGACCCACUGCAGGAAGAGCUAACAUUGCGGUUAUAGUUGCCUCGCCACCUUCAGAAGGUGGCGGUUCCACCAUUUUUUCCAUAGCUUGCUAAAAAGUCGAGUUUUUACAUUAGUAGUACCAGAACUGAAGAUAUUAAGGAGGCAGCAAAACCAAACAAAAUAGCUUUGGUCUAUAUACAGAACUUAUUCUAGUGAACCCAUGUAAAAUAUUAGUUGUAUUUUAUUGCAAAGUACAUAAUAAAACUAGGUUCCAAACAUAUGACCAUGUACAAUCGCUAAUGUAUUGUCUAUUUCUUCACAUUGUAUUGAGGGCUAAGGAUAAAGAGACGAAGUUUAUAGUACGGUAAGCAUAGUAUGACAUCAUUCAUAUCACAAAACAACUGAGAACAGACAAACAGGCAAUUGUAACGUUGUGUGGGUAAGUCCAGCAUGGAACUAGAUUACAAGUCAAGAUCAAAGGAACAUUACUCAUCUCUUUUAAACCUUGUAAGGUGCAAUGAUAUGCUAACACAAUUGUGUAUAAAAUUGAAAAGAGUAAUAGACAUUGGCUGCAAACCAUGUAGUUCAAGGCACAAGUCAGAGUAAGUAGUGGUUAAAAGGCAUGAGGAUUAAGGACUUACAACAGCGGCUUUGACUGGUGUAGUCAUGCCCUCCUUCUUGCUGGUGUGACAGUCCUUGAAGAUUUCCACAACAUUUGGUUUAGGUACUUUUUGGUCCUUGCGUGCUUUCCUCUGCAUUUGGAACAAGUCAAUAUAGAUCUAAUAAUAUGGUACAGCAAAAAGAGUGAAACAGCAACUAAUUACAAGAACCUCGUAGUGUGCAAUAUAGCUACGAGAUCUUGUCGUCUGUUGGAAUUUCACUUUCGUGCGAUUGGCCUUGUUGUUUAAACAGUUCACCUACAAGAAGAUAGAUUUGUGUGGCACAUGCGUAAAUAGGACUUCAACAUGUGAUCUGAUCACAUAUAUAUAUAAUGUACCUGAUACUUCGGAUCAGACUAGUGUUUAACGAGGCCUCUCCAGUCAUCAUCUGAUAUAUUUUCCACUGGAGAUGUUUGGGAAAGUUCACUGUUAGCCUUGCCUUCAAAGUGAGUUUUCCUCAAGUUAUACCAAUAUUGUCGCAGAGCAGACUUGAAAAUAUGGGUGCAAGCUUGUCUGGUUGCAUCAUCUUGGUUAUCCAACUUGAACCUCAUCUGUUGAAAAUUAUGGGAGUCUCAUUAUCAGCAACCUAGAAAGUAUGGGACAGAGCAAGAUGAUAUUAAUAGUUUCCAUACAUAACCAUACUUACAGAUAAAUGGUCAAGGAACGUGUUGAACUGGGUUUCGUCUUUGUCAUCCAUGUACUGAAUCCAUGGUGGGAGGAUACAUACAUGACACCUAACGGCAACCGAUGCCUCUGAUACUAACUUGGCUGACUCUGUAGCAUCACGUGGCCUUUUAAAACCUGCCUCAAAACGGAUCUCCAUUCUUCCUCCUCUAGAUUUAGUUAAUCUAUCAAGCAUUAUCCCUGAUGUUUGUUUCCUCUUGCGCCUAGGUUCUAGUCCAACAACGAACAUAGGAAGUGUUAGUGUACAUCAAACUAUGAGACUACAUAUAAAGAAGCAUGCAACUGUAACUUGACUCCAGCAACUACCUUCUUGUUGUUGAAGCUCACAACGUUCAUAUGAUCUUGCCAACUCGUCUUGUGUCAAGAGUGCUUGGGAAGUAGUGUCAGGUGGCAAGGGAGCUUGGGAACGUGCUGCUAGCUCAGUUGACGCACGAGUAACUCAUGUAGCUGGUAGUACUGUGGAAGGUGUUGCAACAACUAGGGUUGUCUCUGCUUCUUUGGUGGCAGCAAUUUGUUUCUGUUUGGCUUGUUCUGCAGCUCAUGUAGCAUGGGAUACCCUGUUUAUAGAAUUUUCCGCUGGACUUUGACCUUCUAUUGCACCACCAGUACCAGCAGAAUCUGCAGGAUUCUUCCGCUUCCCAUUCCCUAUCAUUCUGUGUUUCUUCCCCUUUCUCUGUGCCAUGUUAAGUUAAGCUGACAAGAAAAACGAAUAACAAUUUAGUUCUUCAGAACAAAUUGAUGUGUGAUACAGAUAAACUGAACUUUGAUGUUAGACAACCACAUGAUAGGAGGAUGUAAUAUGUACGAAAAACAGGACGGAAGAGAUAACCAGAACUAUGAUGUGUAAACUAAGCAGAAGACAUUUCACUAAAUUGGAAGCAAUGCAAUGGAAGGUAGACACCAUAUGAAAGAUGCUACAAAUAUCACUCUGCCAAGUUAACAGUGUCUCAUCAUAAAUGGCGUUUAAACAAAUGUGAAGUAGUACAAGAAAUAAAUCAUAUGCAAGAUGCAAACAACAUCACACUACAAAGUUAGAGGUCUCUUGUCAUUAGUGCCAUUGCAUAUUCAUAGCUUAUGAUGUGUAAACUAAGGAGAAGGCAUUUCAACAAAUUAGAAGCAAUGAAAUCUAGACACCAUAUGAAAGAUGCAACGAAUAUCACUCUACCAAGUUAAAACUGUCUCGUCAUAAGUGCCAUUUCAACAAAUUAGUAGUACAAGCUAGAAAAUAAUGUGAGAUGUAACCUAUAUCACAGUCCCAAGUCAAACAUGUCUUAUGAUAAGUGAUUGUUGCAGGUUACACAACAGUAGUAAUUUGAUGUAAGAACAUGGUGUGAUAGAUAGAUAUUUGUAUGUUCUAGAAACAGGAACAGUGUCUUAUUCACAAGUAUAAUGUGUAAAGUAAGCAGAUGGGAUUCAACAAAAUUAGAAGCAAUACAAGCUAGACAUGACACAUAACAUGCAACCACAUAUAACAGUGCCAAGUUAGAGGGAUCACCUGUGAUGGUGCACUAGGGGAGACGUGCUCAUCAUCAACAUAACUAUGUUGAGUGUCUAUGCAUGUGUUGUCUUGCAAAUCAUCUUGGGAGGAUGGAGGAGUAGAAUUUGUAGAGGCCCUCCGUUUGGAAGGAGCACAUUUAUCCGCUGCCUUGCUAACUUCCUUUCGCUUUAUUGAUUUUGAAUUGUCAAGUAAAACCGGCAAGAAAAAGCAAUAAAAUUCACUCUUCAGAACUCAUUCGUGCAUGAUGCUGACAAUCACUACUUUGAUGUAAGGCAAACACAUGAUACCAGGAUGGAAUAUGUACGAAAAACAGGACGGCAUGGCAUGUUCACAACUGUUUGUGUAAACUAAGUAGAAACCAUUCCAACAAAUAAGAAGCAAUUCAAGCUAGACACCACAUGAAAGAUGCAACCAAUAUGACUCCGCCUAGUUAAAAGCGUCCCAUCAUAAAUGGCAUUUCAACAAAUUAGAAGCAGCGCAUGCUAUAAAUCAUAUGAAAGAUGCAACUAAUAUCGCACUGCAUAUACUAAAGGUGUCUUGUCAUUUUGAUUGAUGCGGGAUAAAAAACAAUAGUUUUAUGUAAGGACGUGCUUAAUAGACAGAUGUACUAUGUACUAAAUACAGGAAGGCAUGUCACAUUAACAGGUAUAAUGUAUAAGCUAAGCAGAAUAGCACAUGCAGUUUAACCAGAUUGGAAGAAUUACAAUCUAGACACCAUAUGCAACAUGCAACCACAUAUCACGAUGCCAAAUUAGAGCAAGCACAUGCGAUGCUAGUGUAGGGGAAAUGCGGUAAUCAACUACAAAGCUACAUUCACUAUCUUCAUCUAGCCUUGUUGUUUCUUGAGAAUCAUGUCGGGAGGCUGACGCUGCAUUCUUUAAAUGAGGAUCUUUACUCACAGUAGUCCCCUUGCCUGACUGCCUCAUCAUAAGUGAUUGAUGAGGGAUACACAAGAAUAUUAGUUUGAUGUAAGAACAUGGUUAAUAUACAGAUAUACUAGUAUCUACCAAAAAAACAGAAAGGCAUGUCAUAUUCAAAGGUAUAAUGUGUAAGAUAAGCAGAUGCAAUUUAACCAAAUUGGAAGCAAUACAAGCUAGACAUCCAGCUGGAGUGGUGAGCAUGAUCAUCUAGGACCUGAGAGCCUGGUGGGAGGCGGGCUGCUUCGCCACCAUCGUGGAUUUUUAGUUGGGUUCCAGGUGAUGCCUGUCUGUGAUGGGCUUGUCACUGGCUCGGCCAGUGCCCUGACUAGCUAUUUGUCUUUUGGUGCUCACGGGAUGGUGGUUCAUGUAAAAAAUAUCUUUCCUUAUCUUAAUAAAGACCGACUUUGGCCUUUCGAAUACAAGCUAGACACCAUAUGGAACAUGCAACCACAUAUGACACCGCGAAGUUAAAGCAAGCACCUGGGAUGGUGGUUCAUUGCAAGCGAGGUCAUCAACUCUAGAGCUACAUUUACCGUCUCCAUCUACUAACAUUGCACCCUUUAUAGCAUUGUAACGUGUCUUGCCUACCCGCAUAUGAAGCUGGAGCGACUUCUCUCUUUUCUUUUCUGCUUCUCUCAAGGCAGAGUCUGAAAUACCCUUGCAUAAAAACACAAUAGUGAGAGUAUGGGUGAAGUGUGUGCAGAACUAGUGCACUGUAAAAGUAGCAGAUAGCAGGUGGCUGAAAAAUAAAUGCCAGGAGACAUAUGAUAGCUCUACAACAUUGCAUGGCAAACAAUCUUGGAUUCUACUCCGUAUGAUUUUGUAAUAUAUGAGCACAGGAAAUGCAGGUACUCCUCCAGCACACCACCACAUGUGGUCAUAUCAAGAUAACAAUCGACUGAAAAUAAAUAGGUCCGACUAUUUUUUUUAUGAACCGUCCGAUCUAUAAGGAACGGGGAGAUGGCCUUCGUCUACCUCCCGCCAGUCACUGUUGACAAUCUUUCUCGAACCCCAGACCCCUGCCUCCUGCCUCCGCCGCCCCGCCCUCCCCUCGACCUCACACCACCGCCGUGCUUACAAGCGCCCUCAGGCCAUCCCUUUAAUCCCGUCUGACCUCCAGAUCGGGCGCUAGCAGCCCUAGGCCCCACAUGCCCCUAAGAUAAACAUCGACGCGCUGCUUCCCCGGCGUAAUAGGCAGACUAGCGCCUGUUACGCUGGGGAAUGCUUCUGUUAAUUGGGAAUCAACUGACCAGGAAUUGAAAUCCAGGGGGCGACGGACCUCUAGCUAAGGUGAAAUAGUAUAUGAGGAGUGAGGGAGUCCUGGACUAGGGGGUGUCCGGAUAGCCGGACUAUCAUCAUCGGCCGGACUCCAAGACUACGAAUAUACAAGAUUGAAGACUUCGUCCCGUGUCCGGAUGGGACUUUCCUUGGCGUGGAAGGCAAGCUUGGCAAUACGGAUAUGUAGAUCUCCUACCAUUGUAACCGACUCUGUGUAACCCUAGCCCUCUCCGGUGUCUAUAUAAACCGGAGGGUUUUAGUCCGUAGGACAACACAACCAUCACAACAAUCAUACCAUAGGCUAGCUUCUAGGGUUUAGCCUCCUUGAUCUCGUGGUAGAUCCACUCUUGUACUACCCAUAUCAUCAAUAUCAAUCAAGCAGGAGUAGGGUUUUACCUCCAUCGAGAGGGCCCGAACCUGGGUAAAAACAUCGUGUCCCUUGUCUCCUGUUACCAUCAGCCUAGACGCACAGUCCGGGACCCCCUACCCGAGAUCUGACGGUUUUGACACCGACAUUGGUGCUUUCAUUGAGAGUUCCUCUGUGUCGUCGCCGAUAGGCUUGAUGGCUUCUUCAAUCAACAACUCAGUCCAGGGUGAACUUUUCUCCCCGGGCAGAUCUUCGUAUUCGGCGGCUUCGCACUGCGGGCCAAUUCACUUGGCCAUCUGGAGCAGAUCAAAAGCAACGCACCUGGCCAUCAGGUCAGGUUUGGAAGCCUAAACUUCACGACGGACAUCCGCGGAGACUUGAUCUUUGAUGGAUCCGAGCCACAGCCGAGCGUGCCGCACUGUCACGAUGGGCAUGAUCUAACUCUUCCGCCUGACAGUAUCUUGGAGGCCGCAGACGAAUCCGCUCCGACCCAUAGUUCGGAGCCAAUCGCGCAGAUCGAGGACGGGUGGCUGGACACCGCCUCGGGAACUGCAACCGCUACAGCGAUGGAGCUGAAUACUGACCUUGUCCCUUAUAAAGCUCAUGACUCCGAGGCGCCGGACUCCUUGCCGGACUCCGAACCUCCCGCGCCCCUGCCAAUCGAAUCCGAUUGGGCGCUGAUCAUGAGGUUCACUGCCACGGCCAUCUUUCAACACUCACCCUUUGGCAACAUCCUAAAUUCGCUAAAACAUCUCUCGCUAUCAGGAGAUCCCUGGCCGGAUUGCGGCCAGGAUGGUUGGGAUGCGGACGACGAAGAAAUUCAACGCCCACCCACCACCCACUUUAUAGCCACUAUCGAUGAUUUAACCGACAUGCUAGACUACGACUCCGACGACAUCGACGGUAUGGACGGUGAUGCUAGAGACGACCAAGAACUAGCGCCUACGGGGCACUAGAAGAAAACUUCAACCCAUGAUGUAUAUAUGGUGGACACCCCAAAAGGAAGUGAUAAUGAGGAACACCGGGGAGCGGCAAAGGAUAAUUCCGCUGAAAAACAGCCAAAACGGUGACGGAAACGCCGCCCUAAGUCCCGCCUCGACAACAACAACACUCCUAAGGACCCAGCAACAGAGCAGGGCAAACCAGUGGGCGUCGAGCACGCAACCAAGCAACCAUCUGAACAAGAUGAAUCGGAUAAUCAAUCUAUGCCCGGCGAAAACAACAGUCCAGACGAUCUCAUGCCGGACACACCACCGGAGCAUAAGAACCUUCACAAAAGACUUCUCGCCACUGCAAGAAGUCUGAAGAAGGAAAAGCGAAAGCUCAAAACAGCGGAAGAUACACUCAGAAUGAGGUGGAGCAAGGUACUCAAGACCGCGGACAAAUAUGGCAGUGGCCACCAAACAAAGAGCUACCCGAAGCGCAAGCUGCUGCCAGAAUUCGACGAGGAGGCCAUAGAGCCCCCAUAGUCAAAAAGCAAAGAGGCCGCCUGGCCGAAUAGAAGACCAGAUGACAGGCCGAAAACGACAAGCGGCACCGCACACAAACCGACUCAUGAUCCUUGGAAAGCAGACGGUCCCGUUAGGUCCAUUUAUGGGCCAAAAAAGAGGGGCCCAGGAAGCAACACGGCACAUCAAGUGUUCGAAGACAACGGCACACCCAAAUAUUGGGGCGCCGCAGACCCACUAUGUUUCACCGAUGAGGUGCUGGAUCAUGAAUUUCCAGCAGGGUUCAAACCCGUGAACAUAGAGGCAUACGACGGAACAACAGACCCUGGAGUCUGGAUCGAGGAUUACAUCCUCCACAUACACAUGGCUAGAGGAGAUGAUCUCCACGCCAUUAAAUAUCUACCCCUCAAGCUCAAAGGGCCAGCUCGGCAUUGGCUCAAAAGCCCCCCUGAAAAUACUAUUGGAAGUUGGGAAGAGCUCGAGGACGCAUUUAGAGAAAAUUUUCAAGGGACUUAUGUCCGCCCUCCAGAUGCAGACGAUUUAAGUCACAUAACUCAACAGCCCGGAGAGUCAGCACGCAAAUUCUGGAACAGGUUCCUUACCAAAAAGAACCAAAUAGUCGACUGUCCGGACGCUGAAGCCUUAGCAGCUUUUAAACAUAAUGUCCGAGACGAAUGGCUCGCCAGACACCUCGGCCAAGAAAAGCCGAGAACAAUGGCCACGCUAACAAGCCUCAUGACCCGCUUUUGCGCGGGGGAAGACAGCUGGCUAGCAAGAUGCAGCACCAGCAACCCGAGUACAUCCGAAAUCAGAGAUGGAAACAGAAAAUCACGGUGCAGAAAGGAUUAGCGCCGAAACAAAGAAAAAAGCCCAAAGAACACGGCGGUCAACGCCGGAUUCAAAAGCUCGCGGUCGAACAACAAAACACUGCCCCUUAAAGAUAACAGUGAUGAGCUAUCCAACUUAAACAAAAUUUUGGAUCGGAUAUGUCAAAUCCACAGUACCCCCGGAAGGCCUGCAAACCACACCCACCGAGAUUGUUGGGUUUUCAAACAGUCCGGCCGACUCAACGCCGAACACAAGGGGCUUGACGCACCAAGCGAGGAUGAUGACGAACCCCACCAGCAGAGCACCGGAAAACAAAAGACUUUCCCACAAGAAGUCAAAACAGUAAACUCACUCCAUGUGAUAGUACGGAAAAACAAUGCGGCACCCGCUAAGGUAGGUGUCGCACGGUCCACCCCAGCGGAACCUCGAAAUUGGAUGUCAAAACCAAUCACUUUCGACCACCUGGAUUAUUCCAGAAGUAUCCGAAACGCAGGAUGGACUGCUCUGAUAUUGGAUCCUAUAAUCGACGGACUACAAUUUACGCAAGUCCUGAUGGAUGGCGGCAGCGAUUUAAAUCUGCUAUAUCCGGACACAAUCCGCAAGUUGGGGAUAGACCUUACUAAAAUUUGAUAUAGCCGCACUUCCUUCAAAGGAGUGACGUCAGGCCCUUACGCCAAGUGCACGGGCUCCUUACUACUAGAAGUUGUGUUUGGGUCACCCGACAACUUUCGACGCGAAAGGCUAAUCUUCCAUGUCGCCCCAUUCAAAAGUAGCUAUCAAGCACUAUUGGGACGUGAAGCUUUUGUCCGCUUCAACGCAAUACCACAUUACGCGUCUCUUACACUUAAAAUGCCCGGUCCAUGUGGCAUCAUUUCAUUAAAAGGUCGUUCAGAGACCCCGGACAUGGCUAGACGAGUCCGGCAUAAAUAGGCUAGGGGCUCCCUAGCCGCACACCCCAUCACAAGGGGCUAUGUGUAUAAGCAAUAAUGAGCUAAUAUAGGCUCAGCUUUAUUCAUUCAUUAAUAUUUCAAUUUUUUAUGCACUUUUCGCACGACUUCCUUUCAAACUAAGUUCCUCUCUUUUUACAGAUGAACAACGUGCACACUCGUCCAGGAUACGGCACAACGGAGACACAGGCGCAGACAUGCAGUAGGGACCCGUUGCAAGGAUUCUUUUCAGAUUAAGACCCUGCGUAAACCUUUUUUACUGUCUCUUGUUGGUAUAAUCCCCUGGUUUCUCAUUAUAACCAGAGAGGAGACUGACGUUUUGGCAUCGGCCGCAUCAGAGGACCUUGCCCGUACCUGGACACUAGGGGCUCAGGGCAUUGUUCUGCCCAUUAUUAUAAAGACCGAACACCCUAGGGAGUGUUCGGCGUCUCGAGUUAGGCCUUAUAUGCAUCACCUCCGAAUCAUGUCUUUGGUCAAAUGUUGGGUUUGCCCGGCUCCUGUGUUUUGCUGCCUUACGCUCCGUAUCAUCGGCUAACGCGGCACCAGGAGAACUACUCGAUUGUGCCCCAGUUCGGCUGGGCAAGCACCUCAGUAGAGAAAGCUGAAAACUGACUGUCAUGAUACAGCGAGAGACUGGUCAACCACUCGAUCGACUACUGGAAUGUUCAGAAUUCCUCCGCUUUGACGAAGGGACGUUUCCCGGUAAGGCACACAUGCGCCCCGAAUUCGGAGAGCAUGGUGCCACUAGGGGCUAUAUCAUAGCCCCACCCUCGAACUCCUAUGGCUAAGUUAAAGUGAUAAAGCAUUAUAGUCCGGUUGCCUCGUUUGCUACGCUACCACCUCCUUCACAGGACCGAGACGUCGGAUUAAGUGUGAAAAUGCGCUAUUUUUUGCGAACACCCCCGCACCUUGUGCGUGGGGGCUGAAGCCGACGACUGCAUCUUUCAGGUUAUACAUACGUAUACAUAAACGGCCGCACAGGAGAUAUUUCACUACUUGGACGCACAAGUAUAAAAAGCGCUUACAUCAUAAACAUCGUUUUACAAACCAAAAUGUUCAUUUGAACGUGACAUUUUUUGAGCACUGCGACUCUAUUACACGAGCACCACGCAGAACUUCCCCAAAAUAGUGCUCGGCGGGUAACCGGCUCUUGUCUGAACCCUGGGUCGCAACAGCGGUGGCAUCCAUCUCUGUCCAAUGUGUCUUCACACGGGCGAGGGCCAUCCGUGCACCCUCUAUGCAGGCCGACCGCUUCAUCGCCUUGAUAUGCGGCACCGCCCCAAGAAGUUGCUGCAAUAAGCCAAAAUAGCUCUUCGUCUUGGGCCUAUCCGGCCAGACAUGAGUCACGAUAUCCGUCAUGGCAAGUCCGGACAACCUAUUCAGCUCAGCCCAUUCAGCCAACCGAUCGGUCAGCGGAAGUGAACGAUCCAGACUAUGGAAUUGAGACCGAAACAGCUCUUCCGUCUUGUGAUCCUUCUGACUUCGGAAGUGCACAACGGCAUCCGCCGCACUCGCCGCUAAGUCCAUAUAAGGAUCCUCCAGACCCCACAGCUGGCCGAGCCGAGCAUACUUUGGAUCCGUAAACCUUCGGCGCAGCAGAAAAGGCUUGCCAGCCACAAUGUCCCCGGCUUGGUGCAGCUCCUCCUUUAUAGCCCGCAUUGCAGAACGGGCAUCCUUGGCUUCGGCAGUUGUGUUCCCCAGGUCUUCUUGCUCCGCUAGGCGCUCUUUUUCAAGAACCUCAUUGCGGUCGGUAGCAUCUUUUAACUUCACGGCCAUUUCGGCCAUCUCUUCCCUGCUUCGGCAGUGUGCAGCCCUUUCGGAUUCUAACUCCUCGGCCGCCCUCGAGGCAGCCGCAUCACUCCUUCUGGCCUGCUCCUUGGUUUGAGCAAGUUCUGCCCGAAGGCUCUCCACAGCAGCGGCACCAUCUGCGUCAAGCACACAUAUUGUAAGAGGUGGGCUUCGGCUCUCUUGCUAAGUGACCGCAAAUAAACACUUACCUUGCGACUCGUCAAGUCGCCUGUUGACUAGCGCGAUGUCCGCAUCCGCAACGUCAAGUUCCCGCUUUAGUUCAGCAACUCCAUCAGCCCGGCUGGCCCCCGGAUGAUCCGCCACCUACAUAGGAACGGCGAAAAUUAAAACCUGCGAUUUUGAUCCUCGACACGCUGUCGUUUUCGACAACCUACCGAGUCUCAGGGGCUACUAUCUAUACAGGGCGCACUUUAUGUGUAAAACUUUCAAAAGGUGUCAUUUUUACGUACCUCAAACCCCGCCAGCAAACUCCUGACGGCGUUGCGCAAUCCGCCUUCGGCGAACGAAAUCCUCCCAAUCACCAUACUCAUUAAUGCAUGGUGAUCAUCUGAGAUAGACGCCCUCUCAAGCAGAUCCUUCAGCUGCCCCGGUCGAACACUAGUCGGCGUCGAACUCUUCGGCUUUGCCGGACUCGGGGAUACCCUCCGUGAUGACACUUCAGGCUCGUCCGCCCUAUCCGACAGCACAGCGGACGGAGGCGUCUCGCUCUCCACCAUCUCCGGACGAAGGUCCCCCGAAGACGAGCUCAUCUGCGAAGGACGGAGAUCCGAACUACAAGGUAAAAACUUGAGUUAUCCUCAGAAGCACAAAUAGGGAUGUCCCUUAUUACAAAAAUCCCUUUUUUCUACUUAUGGCUUGCUGGAGGGCUGAUUCUUCAAGGGAGACUGUGCGGCCGGGCCCUCCCCGGACGCAGGACCCUCUGGUGAAGAUUUCUUCCCCCGCUUAGGGGCUUUGGCCCCCAGGUCUUCGGAGGCGGUCCUCUUCUCCCCUUGGAGGGAGGGAUUCUCGAUCCCCCCUCUUUCAAGAGCCUCCUUUGGCGAGGCGGUAGCUCCUCUAUUUUCCCCUUCACCUUCUUCUGAAGGCGCAACCUCCAGCAUCCUGACCAGCACGGGAUCCGGCGCAGUCUCUGGGAGGGGGGCCGGACACCGUAUCAGCUUUGCUUGCGCUAUCCACUCCUGUUAAAGGACAACGGGUUAAAAGGCGAAUUGUAAAAAGGCAAACAAAUGGCAUGUCCGAAUACAGAGCUACUUACUUGAGUAUCCGGGCGAUUGCAGCUUAGGCCGGCAUCCUCGGUCAAUUUCGGACACACCUCCUGUGAUCCGAAGAACAGUUUGUACAUCUCCACGGGUGUCGUACCCAUGAAGUGUUGGAGAAUCCGUGGUCCCUCCGGAUUAAAUUCCCAUAGCCGGAGCGGACGGCGUUUGCAGGGCAGGAGACGCCUAAUCAGCAUAACCUGCAUCACCACGACCAGAUUGAUCUCCCUCGCUUGGAGGUCUCGAAUCCGGCCCUGCAAUAGGGGCACGGCCUUUGAAGGCCCCCAGUUGAGCCCUUGGUUGACCCAUGACAUCGAUCGUCAUGGAGGUCCCGAGCAGAAUACGGGCGGCGGCUUCUGCCUGCUGCCACUGGGAGCGGUAAUAUAAAACCACUCCCGUUGCCACAAACCGAGCUCCUCCUAGAAGGAGCCCUUGGGCCACGGGGCAUCGGCCCUCCUGCUUAUGGCCGCCCCGCUGCACUCUGCUCGACGCCCCUCGAUCAUCUUCGGCUCCACUUUGAAGGUCUUCAACCACAGGCCGAAGUGAGGGGUGAUGCGGAGGAAGGCUUCACAAACGACGAUGAAUGAAGAAAUAUGGAGGAUGGACUCCGGAGCCCAGUCAUGGAAUCCCAGCCCGUAGUAAAACAUGAGCCCUCUCACAAAAGGAUCCGUCGGGAAGCCUAAGCCCCGACGGAGGUGGGAUACAAAAACGACGUACUCGCCGGGCUCAGGGGUGGGGAUGACCUGCCCUUCGGCGGGCAGCCUGUGCGAAAUCUCGUAAGUCAGGUACUUGGCCUCUCGCAGCUUUAGCACGUCCUCCUCCAUGACGGAGGACGGCAUCCACCAGCCCUGUAGGUCGGAGCCGGACAUUGUUGGAGGUCCGAAGCGCUCAAAUCUGGGGCUCUGGGUGUUGGAACCUGGGGCAAGGGGAAGAUUCGAUGGAGGAUUGAAGAAAAGAAACGAGCCUUGGUCCCAUUAUAAAGAGGGAGAAUACCAAGAGCCGUCAACAUGACCGUUCUGGACUCGCCUCCGAUGGAGGAGGCGUGGCAGCGGGCGCGGUUGGGUUACCCACGUCCGUAUUGAUGGGAAUCCCGGAAUAAGGGGAACACGAUCUCUGCUUCGACAAGACGUGCCAAGGAAACCGCUUUGCUAAACGCGCUGAGGUGGUAUAAUAAAAAACGAUUCCAGUAAAAGCUUGGUAGUGGCGUGACGUCAUGCUACAAAAAACGUCAGCAGAUUGAACUUGUGCACAUAUUAUUCUCUCUACGGUGGUAUGUGGAAUUUAUUUUGCAGAGACGGACACUAUCCUGGUGUUCACAAUCUUCUAUGAAUUAUUUGGAGGAGGAACCCGCCUUGCAAUGCCGAACAUUAUGCGCGCCGGACUCAUCGUCAUUGAAGCCUGGUUCAGGGGCUACUGAGGGAGUCCUGGACUAGGGAGUGUCCGGAUAGCCGGACUAUCAUCAUCGGCCGGACUCCAAGACUACGAAGAUACAAGAUUGAAGACUUUGUCCCGUGUCCGGAUGGGACUUUCCUUGGCGUGGAAGGCAAGCUUGGCAAUACGGAUAUGUAGAUCUCCUACCAUUGGAACCGACUCUGUGUAACCCUAGCCCUCUCCGAUGUCUGUAUAAACCGGAGGGUUUUAGUCCGUAGGACAACACAACCAUUACAACAAUCAUACCAUAGGCUAGCUUCUAGGGUUUAGCCUCCUUGAUCUCGUGGUAGAUCCACUCUUGUACUACCCAUAUCAUCAAUAUCAAUCAAGCAGGAGUAGGGUUUUACCUCCAUCGAGAGGGCCCGAACCUGGGUAAAAACAUCAUGUCCCUUGUCUCCUGUUACCAUCCGUCUAGACGCACAGUCCAGGACCCCCUACCCGAGAUCCGCCGGUUUUGACACCGACAAGGAGAAACCUUGUGCAUCUCAAGUUACUAGGAACAUCUAGUAUUAAGAAGAAGCAGUCAACUAGUGUCCUCUAUAGGAUGAAUGCCAUGCAAGCAGACACGUAAGAUUUGCACAAAUAAGGGAAGAGGAGUACCAUUAUUGGUUGCGAGUGUGGUCUCCUCCAUAUGUCGCGGUGAUCUUCUUUUUUCUCCCAGGGUAACCAAUGUUUUGGAGGAUGGUGGGUCCUUGGACAAACCCAUGGCCAAAUUGUUGACUGUGUUGCCGUGGUUGUAUAUCGGCGGAGGGGAAGCAGACCCGAGGAGGCGAAGGACAGUGUAGCAGGAACAGCUCCGGUGCGGUGGACGGUGGCGAAGUUGGAGCGGCAGCGGUGAGGCACAUGAUGGCGUGGUUGAACUAGCUCGGGUACGGACGGCUCGGCCUCGGCUUCAACUACUAGCCGUGGAGGGCAUUGUGGUUGAGGUUGUAGUGGACGACGACGUCAGGGUAUCGGCUCCAGCGUGAUGGAGGAGGGCGGCGGUUGAUGAGUGGGACGGGGUGGCGGAAGAAGGACGCCGGGGUUUCGCGGCUGGUGGAGAGGUAGUUUUUGCGCCCACGGAGUAUGAAUGGGGAAUCGGACGGGUGGGCGGGGGGAGGGGAGCUAAGGGAGAACCAUGUUUCGGUCUGGGACACGCUUAUUUUUGGCUUUUUUUGAACAUAAGAUGGGACGCGCUUGUUUGAAAUUUUGGGAAAGUACAAACUUUUCCCCGCUCAUAAAUUUUGGACCUACUGUAGGAUGCCCCUUAAAGUUAGGUUGGAUGAAUAGUAAUAUCAGAGAUAAGGGGUUACCUCUGUCCGAGAACCUAGGGUUACAAAUCCUAGCCGGCUUUGUCAGUGGACACAGAGUCCUUCACAAUUCUGCUAUCUUUGUCUUGUACGACUAGUCAUCCAUGGGUCUCCCUAAAUGCGUGACGGGCUGACCAAUGUGGCGCAGGACGGAACCGAACGAAGGGCCUCACCUCGACCCACCGGACCUCACGUGGUGACACACCCUCUGCCCCCACGUCUCGUUAUCUUCUCACACCCACACAUACCAACACAAACACCACACAAAAAAAUUCUCCUGGUGCCUCUGUCCCCUCCCCCCUUACAUAUACACACUCUAGGGAAUCUCUCUCCGUGACGUCAUAUUCAUCUCUCUCUCUCUAGACCACUCUCAUUUCUCGUGCUAUCUCUCCCACGCCCCCCCCGCCGGCCCCUCUAUCCAUGCCUCUCUCGAAUACGUAAUACACACACAUACCUCUCUAGGCCCUGCCAAAUGCAUCAACUACACAUUCACACAUGUUACGUCACGUACCCCAUUGAUCUAAAAAUCCCUCUCUUCACGUUUAUUUCGCAUACAACAUUCCUUUUGAAUAAAGUGUGGCCAAAACAUUAUUUUAGAAUUUCUACAUAUAUACAACAUUACAAAGUUAUAUGGAGGAGUAUGAACGCUAAUUUGCAUUGCAUGGUGCCCACAAUGAUAUUUAUUCUGCACUGUGAAUUUGUAUAUUUUUAUACUAUAUACAAACUUAGUCAUAAUAAAGAUAAACGAAGAGCAUCUCUCUCUCCAUCGCAUACCCCCCCCCUCUACACCCCUUUCGUACGCACACAAACUAUCUCCAGGUCCUCUAAAAGUAAGCCACCAGUACAUUCACGCAUGUUUCAUCUUUCUCUCGCGAUAUAUACAGUGACGAUCAUUGUAUUUGAAGCGAAAGCACGAUACAUACAUUGGACUUCAGAAUCCACUCAUUACGGUCACCAUUUAUGUUUUGUGGUUAUUAUACAGUCACGGGCUCACCGUACAGCUAUGUAUUUGCUCAAGACAUGACUAGUUGACCAGUUAAACGCUCCACGUGGCACCUCUAGUGUUGCAUCACAUUAUCUCACUACCAUUGGGCCCACCUAUCGGCUUGUAUCUACUCUACAUCUACACUCUUAUAAAAUACAUAGUUGGUGAUGAUGGUGCGCCUACCAUCCUGCAAUAUAGGUCGUCCGAUUUAUAUCUGACGGAGAGGAAGGAAACUAUGGCAAUUUUGCAAAAAGGUACUCACACACCUCUCCACAUUUGCAAAUAAGGCCUUCCCUCGUUCAUCCUUUUCUCUCACAAGAUAAACUAGUCAUACAAAUGCAUCUUAAUUUUAGGUGCAAUGCACGGGCAUCUUGCUAGUACGAAUGAAACAAACGACAAAAAAAAUAUUGGACGGUGGUUCGAAGUCAUGACCGCGGGCACAGCGGACAAAGUGGCCUUGUAUUGGUAUGCUGAGUCAUCUGUUUUAACACACAGGAGCUGGUGUGGUGAUUAUACACAAACGCACACAUGCACACGAACUACAUGCAUGCAACACUCACACGAACACAUGCAGCCACGCACGCAUGCAACACUCACACGUACACACGCAACCACGCAUGCAUGCAACACUCACACGCACACACGGACGGAUGCAUGCACACACCAGUACACCACACGACCAACACACACUCUCAUGCUCAAGUGCUCAACCUACACGUGCAUGCGCACACAUUAGGCCCUGACAGACACAUACACAACCAGGUGAUUCCCGCACACGGGUUGGGUCUUGUCGCGCCUGCAUAAAUUUGUGUUUAUCUGACCUUUUCCCUAUGCGAGCUGACAGGUGGGACCCACAAGGAACAUGGUCAAUUUAGCUAGUCAACAUGGUGCCACACAGACUAUUUGGUCGGUCAACAGAGUGCAAUCCGAUGCUGAACCAUGAGCAAGUGACCGUAUAAUCACCGCAAAACGUAUAUAGUGACCGUAAUCAGCUUAUCCUGAAGUUCGGUGACCGUAUUACGCUUUUCUCUCUGGAGGCCCUCCAAAACUACAUCUCUACACGUUCUCGCAAGUUACAUCUAACAGCUAUGCAAUAUAGCACUACUAUUACACUGUAACACAAUAAAUCAUAUGUGUUUUUAGUUUUACUAGAUAUCAUAUUAUUACUUAAUUAUUCAGUCUGCAUACAUGAAAAUUGCCUUUGAAAUGUAUGGCCAGUAUCAUCUACCGCGCAGGAAAAAUCCCACCCUUUCCUGUUUAAUCGGGUUUGUAUCGAUGGAUUGUGCGAAACAGCAAAACUAUAGUACUAUAUAGUACAAGUGACAGUUCACUGGGUCGUCGUGUCGUGUACUCCUUUGUCAUAAGAGUGGAGCGCUCGCUUUCAUAAAUCUUCUAGUCCAUUUCGCUGACAUGUGGGACAUCAAGCUACCAGGUCCACAUGCCAUACCGAAAUACAGUGCAGAGCAGCCGGAGUGAAGCACCCUAGUCAUGGCGCCGGCGUAGUAAUGAGCAAUGAGGCGUCAAAUCACAAAGCUGCACCUUUCCCGCAGUUAAGUUGGAGGGACGAAGUAAUAAUGCUAAAAAAAGAAGUUGGAGGGACAAAGCAACCAUCAUUUCACUUGUUGCUGAAUCUGCUUCUCCCUCAUCUUCUUCAAGUUAACAACGUGUUGCUUCUGCCGUUGUUCUGCCUCAUGUGGGACGCGGAUCGGCUUGGUAAAGUACUGACACGUGGGACCGCAUGUUAGCAAACUGCCAGGACAACGUCCUCUAAAAAUAAGAAACCUCCCCCGCCAUCCGCGCGGCAAAAUCACCUCCUUUUACUAAUCUUGAUUCUAUAAUUUUUUAGAUCAAUAUAAUUGAGAUUUGUAUAGAUAGCACACAGGAGCAAAACCAAUUGGUACGGUUAAGGGCAUCCACAAUGUGUAGCCAAAUGUGAAAAUAGCUUUUGGCAUUGUGGGAACCAUUGUGGACGGUGCUGGCAAAGCCAAAAAGAUGGAACCGAAGCUCCCUGAUUGAUUGAUUGAAGGAAUAGAAAAAUGCAACAUCUCUCCUCUUUCUCCCGUGCUUGGACGCAUGUACAGUAUAGAGCACAGAGUCUACUCCCUUGUCCCUUCUAUCACAAAUCCCAAAGCAGUGAGGCGUCAAAUCACAAAGCACGGACGAAGCAACCAUCAUUUCACUCUUCGCUGACUCCGCUUCUCCAUCGUCUUCUUCGAGAAACCACCUCACCGCACUAAGCUGGACGGAUGAUGCUACUGUGUACUAGUAGUACUAGUACAUUUACGCGUCCUUUGGUUCAACGGACUUCCUGGAUGCAAAUAAGGCGGUUGUCUCGGCUUGCAGGCGGCACUUGCGAACGACUUACUGUGGUCUCCCUCAAUGGUGUUCUCCGUCGAACGCACUUCGCCAAACCACAACGUUCGAGAUAUCGUCGAUGUCACCGCAACGGGGAAGGAAGUCAAAUAUAGUUACUACCUCCAUUUUCUAUACACGAGGCCAGUAAUAUCAAAAUUACAAUUCGCAAAAGGCCACUAACACUAAUAGAGGCAAAAUGAUGGGGGUUGCCUCGUACUAGCAACCAAGGAUAUUAAUAUGCCCUGCAUGCAUGCGGAAGUGAGAAGGUUGGCUUGCAUGGCGCUGCAUUAAUCAAGCGAUGAGGAGUGAGAUGGUUAGCUCUUUGGGCUUUGGAGAAAAAAAUAUGCAUUAAUUGACACGUCAAACGAGGAUUUGUAUCGAUUAAUCCCGCGAAGGAAAACCUCGCCUUUCUUUUUUAACACUAGUACUCCUAGUACGUACGUACUUAUCCUGUUUGGGUCUAGGCCUUGCAUUGCCAUACUUUGCCACACAUUUUUGCCAAGCUUGCCUAAUGUUUUCAAAAUGAAAAGGAGGUACACUUGUGCACGGCUAUCGCGGUCGCACCGCACCCCCACACAGUCGCUCCCGCACGCCGCGGUCACACCGCACCCUCACACAGUUGCUCCUGCAUGCUGCAAACCCAACCAAGGGAACGCACCCUCAAUGACACAUGUUGUCGCAUGUGAACAAACCAAACUCAGCCAUCCUACCGCUGACACAUAAUUUUCGUUCAUAGAGUUUGUUUAUCCAACUGCAUGUCGGGGAGGAUCCGUACGCCCCGUGCGGUGGUCUGUUGGGGAAGAAGAAGAGGUGAGGAAGAAGAGUUAGGAGACGUAGGAUAUUCAUCCAACCGCCUGAAAUGGUAGCCUGACCCAAAUGAUGAAAGUCAGGCGACUUGCAUAACAAUAUAUGUUUACACAGCAAAAGAUCCAUAAAAACAACAACAUAAAGAAAAACUAUCACUUCUCGUGGAACGAGACGGCCUUGUUGUCUUUGGCUGCCGGCGCGAACCAUCCGUAGCUGCGGGCGCUCUGCACGGAUGAGAGCACCGCCCGGUUCAAGUCGAGGACGUCCAGUUCCGCCUACAGGAGGGCCUCGAUGGCGGUGGCAUCCGCGCGCUCCGCAUCGAGUUGAGCCUCCGCCGCCCGGUUCAAGUCCAGGACGUCCAGUUCCGCCUGCAGGAGGGCCUCGAUGACAGCGGCAUCCCCGCGCUCCGUGUCGAGUUGAGCCUCUGCCGCCCGGUUCAUGUCUAGGAUGUCCGGUUCCGCCUGCAGGAGGACCUUGAUGGCAGCGGCAUUCGCGUGCUCCGCCUCAAGUUGAGCCUCCAUUGCCCAGUUCACAUCCACGACAUCCGGUUCCGCCUGCAGGAGAGCCUCGAUGGCAGCGGCAUGCGCGUGCUCCGUGUCGAGUUGAGCCUCUGCCUCCCGGUCCUCCUUUAGUAUUUCCAGGUUGAACCACUGGUCCGCCUGCACCAUGGGGGACUCGGACGCCGGCACGAAGUCAAUGUCCAUCAUCUCAUACCCAUCGGGGGCCUUCUGUGCUGCGACCUCCGCCAUGAACAUUGGAUCGACUUCCUCCUCCCUGUAGCUUGGCUCCAGAGAACUCGGGGAUUGGCCCGCUGCAAAGCGAGCUUGGCAACGGAGGUCUGUGGCGCCGACCGCUGCCAUGAUUUCUACGCGGCGCUCCGGCGUCAGCAUCUUGUAGUAUGUGAUCUUGCGGCGCACCAUGGCUUUCCGACGAACUAGGUGACGCUUGAUGCGGGCUAGGGGGUCGAAAGGUGGGAGAAUGGGCUGGAGAUUAGGUGUGGUUUUGGGGCAGUGGCUGGCGUAGGCCGAGCUGCGAAGGUUCUGGUGUGAAUAGUGGUUACAGUGACGACCGGUCAAUCGGUUUUGACUAUACAUCGCUCUUGUCGCGUUCGCGUUGCACCCUAGCACGUUGGACCCUCCACGUCGCUCAUCAAAUGGAACGCGCUUUGUCUUGUGUUUUCUCUCACUUGUGGGACAGCGGUUGAGAGUAAACCGACUUCCCUCCCCCUCCCCCGCCCGCGCCAUUUAUACUACCACUCCCUCUGUUUUAUGCAGAGUAAAUAAAAACAAAGGGAGUAUACUAUGGAUGAGGAUCCCCUGACGUGGCCGAACCCAUUGAGUAACUAACAUGCGGGGCCUAGCAAGCAUGGGGUCCGCCAGUAAGUGACCGAAAGGGGGGUAAGGCAGGGAUACCUAUGUUAGAGGAUCCACUUCCACUACUACUCCCUCCUUCCAUUUACUAUACAGGGCCUAAUGCGUUUUUCGAGGCUAACUUUGACCAAAUGUUGGAGUAAUAAUAUAUGACAUGCAACUUACACAAAGCAUACGGUCAAAUUCGUAUGUGAAAGGAGCUUCCAAUGAUAUAAUUUUCACAUUAUACAUUUCAUGUAGUAUUAAUCUUGUCAAUAGUCAAGUGCGGUUUUGAAAAACGCAUUAGAGCAUGGUUAAUAAUAUAGCCAGCCGAUGGCUAUAAGGAACUGUCAUGUCAUCUAUAGCCAUCAUCUAUAUGCACUCAUACAGUAGUGUGGGCUAUAAGGUUGGCUAUUUCCGCAAAAAAAUUGUAAGGUUGGCUAUUGUAUUAGUACUUUUUUCCAUCUCCUCUCUAUCUAUUUCUUCAUAUUUAUUGUAUUUAACUAGGAAUGCGUAUAUAGCUAGGCUCUUGCAUUAGAGCUCACUCCCCUUACUUUUUCACAUCUCUUUCCUCCACAUAGGCUUUAUAUAAAUGGAAGGAGGGAGUACUACUAUGAGCACUGCAUACUCUAGUAAAGAUGUUGUCAGUACUCCACUAGUACUAUUGGACAGGUAGCUUAAAAAAGUUACUAUUGGACUGGCUAUACGUGGCGAAAUCCUAGUAGGAAGAGCAUGCGCGAGAACAAGCACAUUCACGUGGUUGAAUACAAAUUGGAAACCAUCUCAAGUACAAAUCUAGGAGUACGUACGAAUCUAACAAUAUUGAUUGGGCGUUGUUGAAUGCUGAUACUUUUUUCUGUAAGUUUGAUCAAAGUAGAGAUACUUUGACUACACAUAAAACUUAUAUGUAAACUAGAAAGGAUCGGAGGGAGUAUAUUGUACGUUCAAAAACGAAACGAACAUUCAAUACCAUUUAUAUAUGAUUUGCGGAUGCUAUGAUCACCGGUUAAAAUUUUUGAAUCCGCCUUAGGUAUCACACAUGCCCCCACUCGUUCUCUCUUGAUUUCAUCUCGGGGUCCGAAGAUCGGUUGAAAGAGGACUAGGGUGGGUACAAAACGUUUGUUUCACNNNNNNNNNNNNNNNNNNNNNNNNNNNNNNNNNNNNNNNNNNNNNNNNNNNNNNNNNNNNNNNNNNNNNNNNNNNNNNNNNNNNNNNNNNNNNNNNNNNNNNNNNNNNNNNNNNNNNNNNNNNNNNNNNNNNNNNNNNNNNNNNNNNNNNNNNNNNNNNNNNNNNNNNNNNNNNNNNNNNNNNNNNNNNNNNNNNNNNNNNNNNNNNNNNNNNNNNNNNNNNNNNNNNNNNNNNNNNNNNNNNNNNNNNNNNNNNNNNNNNNNNNNNNNNNNNNNNNNNNNNNNNNNNNNNNNNNNNNNNNNNNNNNNNNNNCAAACCUUUAUCUCCUUGCAUGACACACAAUUGAUCUCUCAACAUCAAUCGAUCUCGUCAACAUGUGUCGGGGCAUGAACCAAAUGGGAUGUCAAAACUAAGACGCGAAGCGACACGUAGUGGAGUCAAAGUAAAACUUUAAACGAACCGUUUAUUUGUAUGCAUGUCAGAAAAAUUACAACAUUGGAAAUACAAGCAUGGUCUAGGCCCACAUGCGAAUGAUACUCGGCGGAAUGUUCAAAUGAGGCAUGCAGGAGGAUGAACUCGACUGGAGGGCGGCAUGACCGAUGGAGAAGAGGGUUGGAGAGGAAUGAGAAAUAAGCAAACGCCACAUGAUUAUACUUGAAUGGCUCAAAUAAACAAUAAGUUGCCUCGCCUAGCCUACAUAGUGAAAGGCUUAAUGUGCAACACGGAGCACUGACGCUCGAAUAUGGCCGGGAAAACAGGGAAUCCGAUGUGGGGCACACCUGUCAGGAUGAAGUAGCACAGACUAGUCCAAUGGAGGAGCUGGCCCACGACCUCCUCGCCACCGGCAACCGUUCAUGUGGGUCGUCGGGGCUAGCAACGUGGUGCAGCUCCAGCACCGCCUCUGGACACGGUGACAGCGGUGAGCGACAUGCUCAUCAUCGCUGGACAUGGUCGGUUUUAGUGUGUCGAGGGUGGCGUUAGCGCUGUGGCACGACCAAUAGUAUGUUUGGUUUGUGCCCAAGGUUGCCGCAUCAAAGCAUUGGCUAGCCAAAAUUUUGGUUGAGGUUUUGGUUGCCUGUGAUUUGGCCGACACUGGCAAGAAAAAUGAACUAGAGUUGGCUAAAGUUCAUUCGCAUGCCAAAAAAUGGCAACCAUCCAAACAAAGAUCAAUCUUUGGGUCAUGACCAAAAUUUUGAUAAGGUGCACUUUGGCCACAAUCCAAACACACCCCAACACCCGGCUCGUCGAGGAUGCACGGGGCACCACGACACAUCCGCGAAGUGGUGUAGCGCGGCCAACUGCAUCCCCAGGACCUGAGACCAUGCCGGGUCGUCUUGCUUUUUCAAUGACAUGCGGGGAUCGCAUGUGAGCAAAGGGCAUCUCCAACGUUGCCACGACCGCAGCUGGAUACCCUGGCACACCAAAAAACCUCGUCCCUCCCGCCGUCACGCGAUGCGUUCCCAGCCGGCGCCAGCUGCCCGCAUUCAUGUCGUCCGUCCGUAUGCCGUCGUUAAGAGGCUCCGUGCCCGAGGAACCAACUCCGGCGACUUAGUGACGCACCUGGACGCUUGGCCUCACCGGAAUGUGCUACUUAAAGUGGCAACACCUAGCUAACCUCCACAUCUUAGCACAUCGUCGUCCUACCUGGCACCACAUCCGCCAUGACCGCAAGCAAGAACGCUCUGCGGGAGAGCUUGUUGAUACGUCCAUUUUGCAUCAUGCUUUGAUAUUGAUAUUUAUUACAUUAUGGGCUGUUAUUACUCAUUAUGUCACAAUACUUAUGCCUUUUCUCUCUUAUUUUACAAGGUUUACACGAAGAGGGAGAAUCCCGAUAGCUGGAAUUCUGGGCUGGAAAAGGAGCAAAUAUUACAGACUUGUUCUGCACAACUCCAAAAGUCCUGAAACUCCAAGAAAGUUAUUUUUGGAAUAAAUAAAAAAUAGUGAGCAAAGAAAAUACCAGAGGGGGGCCACCCACCGUCCACGAGAGAGGGGGGCGUGCCCUACCCCCCUGGGUGCGCCCCUGCCUCGUGGGCCACCUGGCAGGCCUCCGGUGCCCAUCUUUGGCUAUAUGAAGUCUUUUGCCCUGGAAAAAUGAGGAGGAAGCUUUCGGGGUGAAACACCGCCGCCACGAGGCAGAACCAAUCUAGGGCUCUGGCGGAGCUGUUCUGCCGGGGAAACAUCCCUCUGAGAGGGGGAAAUCGUCACCAUCGUCAUCACCAUCGAUCCUCUCAUCGGGGAGGGGGUCAAUCUACAUCAACAUCUUCACCAGCACCAUCUCCUAUCAAACCCUAGUUCAUCUCUUGUAUCCGAUCUUUGUCUGAAAGCCUCAGAUUGGUACCUGUAGGUUGCUAGUAGUGUUGAUUACUCCUUGUAGUUGAUGCUAGUUGGUUCAUUCGAUGGAAGAUCAUAUGUUCAAAUCCUAUAUGCAUAUUAAUACCCCUAUGAUCAUGAACAAGAAUAUGAUUUCUGAGUAGUUACGUUUGUUCCUGAGGACAUGGGAGAAGUCUUGCUAUAAGUAAUCAUGUGAAUUUGGUAUUCGUUCGAUAUUUUGAUAAGAUGUAUGUUGUCUUUCCUCUAGUGGUGUCAUGUGAACAUCGACUACAUGACACUUCACCAUUAUUUGGGCCUAGGGGAAGGCAUUGGGAAGUAAUAAGUAGAUGAAGGUUGCUAGAGUGACAGAAGCUUCAACCCUAGUUUAUGCGUUGCUUCGUAAGGGGCUGAUUUGGAUCCAUAUGUUUCAUGCUAUGGUUAGGUUUACCUUAAUUCUUCUUUUGUAGUUGCGGAUGCUUGCGAGAGUAGUUAAUCAUAAGUGGGAUGCUUGUCCAAGGAAGGGCAGCACCCAAGCACUGGUCCAUCCACAUAUCAAAUUAUCAAAGUAACAAACGCGAAUCAUAUGAGCGUGAUGAAAACUAGCUUGACAAUAAUUCCCAUGUGUCCUCGGGAGCGUGUUCCUUCAUAUAAGAAUUUGUCCAGGCUUUUCCUUUGCUACAAAAAGGAUUGGGACACCUUGCUGCACCUUAUUUACUUUCGUUACUUGUUAUCCAUUACGAGUUACCUUAUUACAAAACUAUCUGUUACCGAUAAUUUUGGUGCUUGCAGAGAAUACCUUACUGAAAACCGCUUGUCAUUUCCUUCUGCCCCUCAUUGGGUUCGACACUCUUACUUAUUGAAAGGACUACGAUAGAUCCCCUACACUUGUGGAUCAUCACUUGUCUUCGAGGAUGAAGCUCGAGGUCGCCGCCCUCACUCAAGUCGCCUCUCGUGACGCAAUAGCGGUGUAGCCAGACGCAGACGCGGCCGCACAAGCGGUGGCCACGCUGGCAGACGCUGAUGGGAGCACCAUCAGCCACGCGUCCUACUUGCCGCUAUCCAACAUCCGGCACCACCGAGGUCGGGGACUCCUCCGAGGAUGAGUAGGGCAUGGGGGGGCAGGGCAUGGUGUGCCAACUGGAUGGUCCAUAUCCCGUGUUCUACUCUUCCUUGCUGGAGACCGCACCUUCACUUCACGGGUAUUGAGCCCCGCCCCCGUACAUAGAGAUCGCAAAUGGAGGACGUUAGUCGCCGCCGUAGAAUAGGUUUAGGGUCGGGUUUCUUUUAUUUUUCUGUCCUAUAAAUGUUCGAAAUGUAAUGAAAAUCUGGCGUGUUUGCAUUAAUCUCGGCCGGUGUAUAUGAACUUUCAUAAUAAUAUAGUAUAUUGUAGGAGUACUAGUAAGAUGCCCGUGCGUUGCAUGGAACAUCAAGAUCUUGUGGGAGAAAAGGAUGAACGAGGGAAGGCCUUAUCUGCAAAUGUGGAGAGGAGUGGGGGUAAAUUGUCAUUGUCGGUGUCAAAACCGGCGGAUCUCGGGUAGGGGGUCCCGAACUAUGCGUCUAGGCAGAUGGUAACAGGAGACAAGGGACACGAUGUUUUUACCCAGGUUCGGGCCCUCUCGAUGGAGGUAAAACCCUACUCCUGCUUGAUUAAUAUUGAUGAUAUGGGUAGUACAAGAGUAGAUCUACCACGAGAUCAAGGAGGCUAAACCCUAGAAGCUAGCCUAUGGUAUGAUUGUUGUUCGUCCUAUGGACUAAAACCUCCGGUUUAUAUAGACAGCGGAGAGGGCUAGGGUUACACAGAGUCGGUUACAAUGGUAGGAGAUCUACAUAUCCGUAUUGCCAAGCUUGCCUUCCACGCCAAGGAAAGUCCCAUCCGGACACGGGACGAAGUCUUCAAUCUUGUAUCUUCAUAGUCUUGGAGUCCGGCCAAUGAUGAUAGUUCGGCUAUCCGGACACCCCCUAGUCCAAGACUCCCUCAGUAGCCCCUGAACCAGGCUUCAAUGACGACGAGUCCGGCGCGCAUAUUGUCUUCGGCAUUGCAAGGCGGGUUCCUCCUUCGAAUAAUUCAUAGAAGAUUGUGAACACGAGGAUAGUGUCCGGCUCUGCAAAAUAAAUUCCACAUACCUCCGUAGAGAGAAUAAUAUUUACACAAGUUUAAUCUGCUGACGUAUUUCGUGGCGUGACGUCACACCACGGCCAAGCCUGUACUCGAAUCGUUUUUAUUAUUCCACCUCAGCAUGUUUAGUGAAGCGGUUUCCUUGGCACGUCUUGUCAAAGCAGAGAUCGUGUCCCCUUAUUCCGGGAUUCUCAUCAAUACGGACGUGGGUAACCCAGCCGUGCCAUUGAUUGUGGCGCUUGGGAGAUAAGAGAGUUUUACCAGGCUGGUGGGGACGCACAGUUUCGUCCGCCCAUAUAUAAGGGGAUAAGGAUCCACCUUUUUACCUACGCCUUCUUCCUCCUUGGCUUAUCCAUCUCCGUGCACUCGAGCUCCAGCGCCCAAGUCCGCACAUCUCACCUCAACCUUCUCCAGCCAUGUCCGGAGCGGGAGGCAAGUGGAUGGCCUCCUCCGUUACGGAGGGGCACAUUAAGAAGCUGCGCAACGUAGGAUAUUUGUCCAGCAAUAUCGCGCAUCGGCUCCUCGACGAGGGGCAGCUCAUCCGCCGGAUUCUCCCCUACCAACAGCGGGACUUCAACUUGUGGGAGUUUGAUCCGGCGCAGCACCAGACCUUGAGCGGGCUCUUCGACACUACGUACGAAGAGGCCUGGAGGGUGCUGUUCAAGGGCGCCGAGACUCCCGCAUCCGCUACCGAAGAUCGCGGAUUCAGCUCACAGCGUCCGGCUGGUGAGGUAAGCUAUGUUAUCCUUUAUGGGACACUUGCUUUUCAUAGUUUGACUCUAUGCGGGAUCUAAACUCCCAAUACCUUUAACAGGCCUGGCAGAAGACGUCCGGACAGGUUAACUGUCCGGCUCCCCUUCCAGAAGACCCAGCGAAUGCCCGUUUGACAGGGCUACUGGUCCCGGUGCCUUACGUGGUGCCGGAGAAGAAGGCCAAGAAGAAGGCCAGGGAACCCGGGGAGUUCCCGGCGUCAGUUGUUAUCGGAUUCAUCGUCCGAUGACUCCGAGGCGGACUCCUCCCACGAGGACGAGGAGGAGAAGAAAGAGGCCUCUCCCCCAGCGGGGGAAGAGAAGAAGAGGAAGGCCUCCCCAAUGGGGGAGGCCGAAGGGUCCAAGAAGGGAAGGACCCUUCCCCCGGACUGUUCUGCCAACGCCGGCGACGUCGACGAGGAGUGGCCCUCAAGGGCCAAGCCCCUGGCGAGAUCGUAAGUAUCCGGACUCCUGAAUAACUCAUAAUUUUCUUUUUGUCGCAUAGCAUCUUUUAACGCCGCAUACAACCCUGUAGUCCGCCCAAGGAUGAUCUUCCCGCUUUGUUGAGCGGGUCCUUGGGUACGUCGGAUGUGAAUAGCACUUCACUUCCGACCGCCUCCUCCCCCCGUGAUGCCGAUGACGCCGAGGUGGGAUCCCGGAAAGGGACCCACCAGGAGGAGGAGGCCCCGGAGGUGCCGCAAGGCAACUUCCCGGACUUUGGACCGGACUCCGCACCGGAACCUUCAGUGGUUCCGGAGUCCGGCGGGCGGCCCCUUCGUAAGAAGGGCAAGACUGUGACGCCGGCGGCCUCCGUCCAACCGGAGGCGCCGGAUAACUUGCUGGAGGCGCUCAACGGCGCUUCCAUCAACGAGGAACACCGCACUGUCAUGAGUGCGGUGAUUCAAAAGGUUCAGCUCGCUAAAAGUGGGCUGACCGAAGCCUGCGGCAGCCUUCUUAACAGGCUUUGAGGUAAGAAUUUUAAGAUAUGUAAUAUAAUACCGCAUAGACAGUAGCCCCUGAUGCUCGGUUCGCUGUUCGGAAAGAAAAGUCGGACUGAGGAUCUAAAAAGAUAUACGCAGGAGUCUUAACAAAAAUAUGUCAAUAUGGGAAUGCAGGCUGCGCUACUGACCUCUACCGCACUGACUUCAGAGGUCAAUGCCUUGAAGCAGAGCCUCGAGCGGUCCGAGAGCGAACUCGGCCGUGCCAAGAAGCAGCUCGAGGACAAGGAAGGUGAGUAACACCUUAUUAAAGUUGUACCUUACAGAAAAGGAUUUGGUUGCAAGAGGAAUGACAAGGAUAACGUGGGUACUCCAGGGGCUACAAACAAGGUGGCGACCCCGAAGGAGGCGGUGUCCGCGGCCGAACGCAAUGCGGCCGCGGAAUGCGCCGGGCGAGAGAAGCAGGAGGCGCGGGUGGCGGAGGUACAGCAAGAGCUCCAGGCUCUCGUGAAAAAACACGAGAGCUUGGAGCGUGACUCGAAGACUCGAGAGUCCGAGCUUGAGUCGGCUCUUGAGAGUGCCAAAGCCGCUAAGGCCGAAGCCCACAAGGCCCUCCAGGAAAUCGAGGCAUUGAAGAAGAUAGCGGUGGGUAAGGCAUUCUUCAUGCAAAGCAAGCAUGUAAAAGUGAAUUACCUGUUACCCAAAUUCGGAGCUCUCCAGGAGCGUUCGCAGAUCUGCCCCGUAGCGUGUCCGAUGCUGCCGCUUUCUACAGAGCCGAGGAGGGGAGCUCGACGGAGAAGGUGUUCUGGUCUCAGUAUGCUGAGGCCGGACAUCCGGUGCCCCUUAGCGACCAGCUGAAGCAGCUGGUCGAGCUCCACAAGGUGGCCGAACAGGCCAUGAAGGGCCUUAUAGUUCGGCUAUGGCCCAAAGAGGCCAUGCCUGGGAGCUACUUCGGCCUGGUGCGGCGGCUGGUGGAUGCGUGUCCCUGGGUUGAAAUCAUCAAGCACUCCCCCUGCAUUGAAGGUGCCCGUCGGGCCCUUGCCCGUGCUAAAGUGCACUGGGGCAGGAUGGACGCUGAGAAGCUUGUGACGGACGUGCCACUGCCGGGCAAGGAGUAUCGCACGCCCGAGAUGUAUUAUAAGGGUGUCCUGAAGGGUGCCCGCCUUAUUGCGGGUGAGUGCUCCAAAGAUGUAAUAUUUGAGUAGACUCGCAUUUUGUUAUCCUGUGCGCUGAAAACUUUGUUCAUAUGUGCUGAGCAACACUUGUUAAUUUAAAAUAUUACCUUCUGUGCGGCCGUUUAUCAAACCUGAGAGAUGGCAAGUCGUCGGCUUCAGCCCCCAUGCCACGAGUGCUGGGGUGUUCGGGAUAAACUUGAGCGCUCUUGUUCCCAUUUUUGGGUCCAUCUAGGGAGGCGCUCAACACAACGAACGAGGCAACCAGACUUAUAAUGCUUGAACACUCUCACUUAGCCAUAGAAUUCUAUAAUUUUAAAUUUUGGCGAAGCCCCUAGUGUUCGGAAGGCCGAAUUCGGGGCGCUAUCCACGCCUGGGCCGGACAAAGCCGGUUCCUCGCUCUAAGCGGCAUAAGUCUUUAGGGACUCGCAAAAACCUCUCGAACAGCGACCGGCUCUCGCCCCAUCAUGACGGUCAGUUUUAGCUUUCUCCACUGAGGUGCUCGCCCAGCUCAACUGGGGCACAAUCGCAGUGGUUCUCCCAGUGCUACCUUAGCCGAUAUAACGGAACGUAAGGUACCAAAACAUGGGAGCCGGGCAAACCCAACUAUUGACCCAAGACAUGAUUCGAAGCCGAUGCAUAUAAUGCUAUAAGUUCGGGGUACCACACUUGUGAAAGUGUUCGGACUUAUCACACCAUAAUGUGGGGAACUUAAGCCCCUAGUGUAUUUAGCCGUACCAAAGUGUACGAAUGCAACAUGUCAUAAAUGAACUUAUGUAUAAGAAAGGAAUGCAAUUAUAGGCAAAAAGUGAUGCAUUGUUUAUUCAAGAAAUACUGCCAUGAAUGCAGAACGAUACAAAUAGUGCGAUAAGCAAGGGGUGGAACUAUUUAGCAUGUCCCCUUCCAGGGGUAGGCUGCGGAAUGGUGUGUAAAACAGGUAUAAUGCUCGUAAUGGAGACCACCUGGAUACUCGUUGUAGCUUUUCUCCUUCCCUGGUUGUUGCAUCGUGAGUUCGGCAGGUCUACUGCCGGACAGGGCCUCUGGUAAAUGGAGUCCUGAGGAUAAGAAGAAAAGAAAAAAAAGGAAAGAAAAAGGAUGACACACUUGGGAGCCCCUGGUGUGGUUGAGCCGCACUCUGGGCCUGCCGUGUUCAUGCCCCUCCCCCUUUGCCCAUGGUAUCUCCAGAGCGUAGUGAUGUACGCGAAGUACUGGUCUUGCAAUUUUGCGAGGGCUGGGGUUGGGGCCGCAUUGCUACGCGUGCUCGGAACGUGCCAGGUGGUCUUGUUGUAGGUUACUCCGUGCGUGCUUGGUGGUGUCCGGUCGCUUAACGGCUGGACUCGAGAAUUGCCUCAAGAGGCUGCUCUGCACUUCUGCCGCGAGAGCCGAUGUAUGCUCCUCCGUUCGGAGAGAGCGUUCAGUGUUUCCGUUGACCGUGAUGACUCCUCGAGGGCUUGGCAUCUUGAGCUUGAGGUAUGCGUAGUGUGGCACCGCAUUGAACUUUGCAAACGCGGUUCGUCCGAGCAGUGCAUGAUAGCCGUUGCGGAACGGAAUGAUGUCGAAGAUUAACUCCUCGCUUCGGAAGUUAUCCGGGGAUCCGAAGACCACUUCCAGUGUAACUGAGCCUGUACAAUUGGCCUCUACACCUGGUAUGACGCCUUUGAAGGUCGUCCUUGUGGGUUUAAUCCUUGAGGGGUCUAUGCCCAUCUUGCGCACUGUAUCCUAGUAAAGCAGGUUCAGGCUGCUGCCGCCAUCCAUCAAGACUCUAGUGAGGUGAAACCCAUCGACGAUUGGGUCUAGAACCAAUGCGGCGAACCCGCCAUGGCGGAUGCUGGUAGGGUUGUCCCUUCGAUCAAAAGUGAUCGGGCAGGAGGACCAUGGAUUGAACUUUGGGGCGACUGGCUCCAUCGCGUAUAUGUCCCUGAGUGCACGCUUCCGCUCCCUUUUGGGUAUGUGGGUUGCGUAUAUCAUGUUCACUGUCCGCACUUGUGGGGGGAAACCCUUCUGUCCUCUGUUGUUCGGCGGCCGGGUCUCUUCCUCGUCAUCGCUAUGCAGCCCCUUGUCAUUGUUUUCGGUGAUUAACUUGCCUGCCUGCUUGAAUACCCAACAAUCCCUGUUGGUGUGAUUAGCUGGCUUUUUGGGGGUGCUGUGUAUCUGGCACGAGCGGUCGAGUAUUCGGUCCAAAUUGGACGGACCCGGAGUAGUUCUUUUGAAUGGCUUUUUCCGCUGACCGGGUUUGGAGCCUCUGAAUCCGGCGUUGGCUGCCGUAUCCUCAGUAUUAUCGCCGUUAAUGCGGCGUUUGUGCUUGCUGCGACGCGACCUGCCAUUGCGGUCCUUGGUAUCCAGACUGCCAGGAUUUUUGUUGAGGUUGUUACUGCGGGCUAGCCAGCUGCCCUCUCCCUCCCAGAAGAGGGUGAUGAGUGACGUGAGGGCUGCCGUGGAUUUCGGCUUUUCCUGUCCUAGGUGCCGGGCAAGCCACUCGUCGCGGAUGUUAUGUUUGAAGGCUGCGAGGGCCUCUGCAUCCGGACAGUUGACGAUUUGAUUUUUCUUGGUUAAGAACCGUGUCCAGAAUUGUCUGGCCGAUUCGUCUAGCUGCUGAAUUAUGUGGCUUAGGUCAUCAGCGUCUGGUGGUCGCACAUAUGUGCCCUGGAAGUUAUCAAGGAAUGCGGCUUCCAGGUCCUCCCAACACCCAAUUGAUUUUGCUGGCAAGCUGUUAAGCCAAUGCCUAGCUGGUCCUUUAAGCUUGAGUGGGAGGUAUUUGAUGGCAUGAAGAUCAUUGCCGCGGGCCAUGUGGAUAUGAAGGAGAUAGUCUUCGAUCCAAACCGCGGGGUCUGUUAUUCCAUCGUAGGAUUCAAUGUUCACGGGUUUGAACCCUUCUGGGAUUUGAUGAUCCAUUACUUCAUCUGUGAAGCAUAGUGGGUGUGUGGCGCCUCUGUAUUGGGCUAUAUCACGAUGUAGCUCAAGCGAGCUUUGUCUACUGUGUUCGGCCCGGCCGGAAUUGCUGUAUCCGGCAUGACGGUUGUCGUCGCGUAUUGUGGGGCGCCCACGCGAUCCGUAGAUCGAUCUUGAUUGUCUUGCCUUAUCCUCCAAUAUGUCUCACAAGUCCGGCGCAUUCCCCCGUGGCUUUGUACUUUUCGAGCGAUGCCGGGGUACGGCUUUAGUGGAAGGCUUAAAGGCCUCUCUAUUGCGGCCACGAGGUGGCCGGUCGGCCGUAUUGUGCGCUGGUGAUGUAGGUUUAUAUGCUUCCUCCUCUAAUCAGGGCAGCAGCUUGCGUUUGGGGUAGCUUUUGGAGGGGCGUUCGAGUUCAUACUCUUCGGCCGCAAGGACCUCGGUCCAUCUGUCGGCUAGCAGAUCUUGAUCAGCUCUAAGCUGUUGCUGCUUUUUCUUGAGGCUGCUUGCCGUGGCCAUAAGCCUGCGUUUGAAACGCUCUUGUUCGAUGGGAUCCUCAGGCACGAUGAAUUCGUCGUCGUCGAGGCUUGCCUCGUCUCCGGAGGGAGGCAUGUAAUUAUCGUCCUCUACCUCUUUGUCUGACACUCUCUCAUGAGGGCUGGCUUCUCCAUCCUCCUAUGCUGAAUCUUGCUGGAGGGGGUUGUCUUCGGCGCUGUCCGGGGUGUUAUUGUCUCCGGUGCCAGAAUCUCCAUUCUUACUGUGGCGGGAUUUAGAGCGGUGCCACUGACGCUGGCGCUUAGGCUGUUUCUUGGAGGGGUCUUCCUCCGUUGUUCCCUCGCCAUUCCCAUCCUUUGGGAUGUCCACCAUGUAUAUGUCGUAUGAUGAGGUGGCUUUCCAGUGCACCAUAGGCGCUGGUUCUUGGUCGUCUCCGGCAUCGUCGUCCAUACCGUCAAUGUCUUUGGAGUCAAAGUCUAGCAUGUCGGUUAGGUCAUCGACAGUGGCUACAAAGUGGGUGGUGGGUGGGCUUUGAAUUUCUUCAUCGUCCGCAUCCCAACCGUCCUGGCCAUAAUCCGGCCAAGGCUCUCCUCACAAAGAGAGACACUUUAGAGAAUUCAGGAUGUCGCCAAAAGGCGAGUGCUGAAAGAUGUCCGCAGCGGUGAACUCCAUGAUCGGCGCCUAAUCGGAUUCUAUUGGUAGGGGCAUAGGAGGUUCGGAGUCCGGCGAGGAGUCCGGCACCUCAGAGUCACGAGCUUCACAAGGGACAGGGUCGGUAUUCGGCUCCGUCGCCGUAGAGGUAGCAGCCCCCAAGGCGGUGUCUAGCCACCCAUCCUCAAUCAGCGCAGUCGGCUCCGAGAUAAGGUCAGAGCGGACUCUUGUGCGGCCUCCAGGGCACCGUCCGGCAGCAGAGCUAGAUCAUGCCCAUCAUGACAGUGCGGCGCGCUCGGCUAUGGCUCGAAUCUGUCAAAGAUCAAGUCUCCGCGGAUGUCGGCCGUGAAGUUCAAACUUCCAUGACCUGAUGGCCAAGGGCGUAGCUUUCAAUCUGCUCCAGAUGGCCAAGCGAAUUGGCCCCGCAGUGCAAAGCCACCGAAUACGAAGAUCUGUCUGGGGAGAAAAGUCUCACCCUGGACCGCGUCGUUGUUGGUGAUCGAAGGAGCCAUCGGGCCUAUGAGCGACGACACAGAGGAACUCUCAAUGAAAGCACCAAUGUCGGUGUCAAAACCGGCAGAUCUCGGGUAGGGGGUCCCGAACUGUGCGUCUAGGCGGAUGGUAACAGGAGACAAGGGACACGAUGUUUUUACCCAGGUUCGAGCCCUCUCGAUGGAGGUAAAACCCUACUCCUGCUUGAUUGAUAUUGAUGAUAUGGGUAGUACAAGAGUAGAUCUACCACGAGAUCAAGGAGUCUAAACCCUAGAAGCUAGCCUAUGGUAUGAUUGUUGUUCGUUCUAUGGACUAAAACCCUCCGGUUUAUAUAGACACUGGAGAGGGCUAGGGUUACACAGAGUCGGUUACAAUGGUAGGAGAUCUACAUAUCCGUAUUGCCAAGCUUGCCUUCCACGCCAAGGAAAGUCCCAUCCGGACACGGGACGAAGUCUUCAAUCUUGUAUCUUCAUAGUCUUGGAGUCCGGCCAAUGAUGGUAGUUCGGCUAUCCGGACACCCCCUAGUCUAGGACUCCCUCAGUCAUAGUUUCCUUCCUAUCCGCUAGAUAUAGAUCGGACGGCCUAUAUUGCAGCAUGACAGGCGCACCAUCAUCACCAACUCUGCUUUUUAUUGAACUGAGACAAAGCUAACAUGCGAAGUAAAUAAACACAUAGGGUCUAUACAUACACAGUUUAUCUUAGGCACUCCAAUAGUACGUCCACUACACAUUCACGCAUUUCACAUCUUUCUACAUCUACGGGAACCUACAAAACGGUUAACAUAAAUUGCCUCUCUCUCCUCCCUUGAUUUUCAUGGUGGUGGGCCCCUCCCUCCCCCCAAUCUACAAUAAACAGCUCACAUGUUUCACAUUACGUUAACUACGUAACUGGGAUUACAUAGGUGUAGCAUUACUCGUCCAAAAAAACCAACUAAGCCAACCUCCCAGGAUAUCACACGGGAAAAGACCCGGCCGCGUCGUUUUAGUCGGGAUUACCGGAUUACUAGUAGUAGUAUCGAUGGAUCGCACGAAGCACCAAGUUUUUUUUGAGGGGGAGAAGCACCUAGUUGAAAAGGAAAAAAGGCGGUACACUCACAGCUCCCCUGUCGCGGUCGCAUUGCACCCCACACACGUUCAGUCCUACACACGGCUCACGCAAACGGAACACGCUUCGGCUUGCCUCUUCACUAACACGUGGGACUGCACUUGGAGAAACUGACCAUGCGCCAAACNNNNNNNNNNNNNNNNNNNNNNNNNNNNNNNNNNNNNNNNNNNNNNNNNNNNNNNNNNNNNNNNNNNNNNNNNNNNNNNNNNNNNNNNNNNNNNNNNNNNNNNNNNNNNNNNNNNNNNNNNNNNNNNNNNNNNNNNNNNNNNNNNNNNNNNNNNNNNNNNNNNNNNNNNNNNNNNNNNNNNNNNNNNNNNNNNNNNNNNNNNNNNNNNNNNNNNNNNNNNNNNNNNNNAAUUCAACCGCCCUUCAGCCAACUAGCCAAUAAUAUUCCCCAACCCCCCGUCCACCUCCACUCCAUUCGCUCCGCCAAAGCCGCCCUCCCCAUCACGCUGAUACGUCGGCGCCGCGGUUCGUCGAGGGGACGCACGGCAAUCCUCUUGCUCCCACAGUACGCUAUCGUAGACUGUCGUCAUCUAGCCGCGCCGCCACCGCUGGCGACGGUCUUGUGGAGGCGCACGGCAGUCAACACCGCCACCGCUAGCGACAUUCGUGUGGAGACGCACGGCGGUCAGCUUCUCCCAUGGUACGCGCAUACUAGACUGAGGCCCCGUGCAUGCCGGUGUAGCGCUGAAUGUUAGCUGAUAGACGUUGUUAAUCUCACAUUUUGUCAAAGUAGUUUACAGUCAAUAUGCUCUGCUUAAGAAGCUUCCUUGCCUUGUUCACUCAAUCUUCUUAGCUGAGAUGGCAUGCCACGCCUGAUUAGUUGCUAUAAUAUCUUGCCAUAUAUUUAUUGUGACGUAGACUACCAUGGUCUAGUAGCCAAUCUGUUAGGUGAAAUAGCUCUACACCGUUUUAUACCUGAUCUUUGUUGCUAAGAUGGCCUUCGAUGGUUGUGUGCUCGGCCUCAAUGACUGUUGAAGCAGCCUGGCAUAAUUUAGCAUUCAAAUAUGUUUGCUGAAUUAGCUUUACAUAUAUUUUGUUACUUAGAUCUACUUGUCCAAAUAUCUUGCCAUAGCUUUAGACAUCGACCUAGGUAUUUUUUUCUGGACUUCAUAAAAAAGCAAAUAUGUUUUUCCUGUAAUAUCUAGAAGAACUAAUUUGUAUGUCUAAUAGAUGGACAGGACUUGGAUAACUUCUGCUCGAAGAUUCUCCGCCGCAUAUGUCGAGGGGGUUGAAAACUUGAUGAACUUUAUCAGAGCUGAGUACGGUGGUCCGAAAUCAGAUGUGCUCUGCCCAUGUAGCAGUUGUCUGAAUUCAGUUACAAGACCCUAGUCAACUAUGCAAAAUCAUCUACACUAGUAUGGGACGUCGGUCACAUAUACUAGGUGGGUUCAUCAUGGUGAAGCUGUGAACGUCAAUGUUACUGACUACGUGGAAGCAGCAGAUCACCAUCUUGAUUUUCCUGAUGCUCGGGUGGAAGAGGAGGAGGAAGUGGUGGUGGCGGAGCCAGUGAGUUUGACCAACUUUGAAAUAGUGCUAUAAAAUGCUCAUGCAUUUCGUGAACAUUCACCUAUAGAAGAAAAACGGUGGGCCUGCAUGUUGGAACAAUGCAAUGUGGUUGUCACCCCAGGAAAUAAGCCAUUAGUACAGUUAUGGUCACCUUUCUUCAGGUGAAGACAUCUGAGCGGAUGACCAACAAAGCAUUCGAUGCUAUUGCUUUCCGCAAAUCUUUCCCAGAAGCGUAUGAGCUGCCACACACCUACAAUAAAAUGAAGAAUUUCCUUCGUGCAGUUGUAAUUGGAUAUGAUAUGAUCCAUGUUUGUAAGAAUAAUUGUGUUUUGUUCCAGAAGGAUUAUGCCAACUUAAGUGAAUGCCCAAAAUGCAAACCAUCAAGAUGGAAAGAUGGCGAUGUUGUGAAGAGGAUUCCUCAUAAUGUUCUGAGACAUUUUCCAAUUAUACCAAGAUUGCAGAGGUUGUUUCAUGAUGCUGAAAAAAGAGAGGAUAUAUUGUGGCAUUCUAGGAACCAUGAGUACAGAUAUCAGAAUGUAAUGAGCCAUCCAUCUCAUGGUAGUGACUGGAAAAGCUUCAAUCAUAAACACAAAAAGUUUGUUGCUGACCCGAGAAACAUUAGACUUGGCUUAGCUUCACAUGGAUUUAACCCAUUUGGCCACCACAAGGCCACAUAUAGCAUGUGGCCAGUGCACCACAGCGCCACAUACAACAUGCCUCCAAAUGUCUGCACCAAAGAAUCAAAUUACAUGAUGGACUUGCUCAUCCCAGGUCCAAAAAGUCCUGGAAAGGAUUUUGAUUUAUUCAUGGAGCCUCUUGUGAAGGAACUUCAACAGCUAUGGAGGGGUGUUCUCACUCGAGACCUAUAUAGAAGCCCACCUACUAAUUUCUUUAUAGGUGCUGUUAUAAUUUGGUGCAUCGAUGAUUAUCCGGCUUUGGGCACUGUGUCAGGGCGAAUGACACAUGGUUACAAUGCAUGUGUUCGCUGUGACAGGAAUCCGCUGUCAUAUGCAAUACUUAGCAAGAUCUGUUACAUUGGACACCGCUGUUUCCUUGCCAAGGACAAGCCGUGUCCUACAAUAUACCAAAGAUAUGUGUUCAAUGCAAAGCAUGAAAACCGUGAUGCGCCAAAGAGGCUCACCGCCGAUGAGUUGCCAGUGAAAUUAGACAAGGUCAGACAUAUUACACCAGGAAAACAUUCUGAUAAUGGUAGCGGGAGAAGGAAGUGUGGCAAGGCAGAAGAGAGAUUAUUGUUUACCCGCAGGUCCACUUUGUGGGACUUGGUGUAUUGGAAAGAUUUGGAUCUGUGGCAUAAUCUUGAUGUGAUGCACAUCGAGAAAAAUAUAUGUGACAUCAUUAUCGGCACUUCUUAAUAUUGAAAGCAAGACGAAAGAUACCUUAAAAACUAGGAUUGAUUUAACACACCUGGGUAUCAUAAAGGAUUUGAGGUGGAAGAUGAAGGUAAACCACGUGAUAUGGCACCAGCUGUGUACGUAUUGGACAAGGUAAAAAGAAAAGAAUUCUGCAAGGUCCUGUCACGUGUGAGAUUCCCACAUGGAUUUGCUUCCAACCCUGAAAGGAGAGUCAGUGCAGAUGGAAACAAGGUACAAGGGUUGAAAACUCAUGACUGCCACAUCCUACUUCAAAGGGUUUUACUGUUAUCCUUAGAGGAUUGGGUCGCCCUGAAUUAUAUAGAGCAGUUGCAGAGUUGGGACAAUUCUUCAGGGAACUCUGCAGUAGAAAUAUCAGGAUAGAUGCUUUGGAGCAUCUUAGAAACAACAUACCAAAUAUCCUAUGUGACCUUGAGAAGAUAAAUCCUCCAGCCUUAUUUGAUGGUGAUGGUGCAUUUGGCUGUUCAUCUACCUGAUGAGGCACUACUUAGAGGUCCAGUACAAUAUGGCUGGAUGUACCCUAUUGAAAGGCGACUAGGCACUUUCAAGGGCUAUGUUAGGAACAGAGCUAGACCCGAGGGUUCCAUUGCAGAGGCCUACAUUGCUAUAGAAGCGUCGACAUUCUGCUCAAAAUACAUUGAAACAGCUGAUCAGCUUAGCAAAGAGGUGGGCGAAGACAAUCCCGGGCUCAAUGUUUUCGAUUGUUCUAUUCGAGUUAUAGGGAAGAGUCGACAAGAGGACAAACCUAAAGAUUUGGACAAAAUGGUUUGGUAUGUGUUGAAUAUCUGUCCUGAGAUACUACCUUAUAUCAAGUAAGUGUUAAGUACUGUAGCUUAUACAUCAUAAUCUACUAAACUUGCAGCACAUUCUUAUAUAUUUAGAUGUUUGACGCGAUCACUAUGUUGUGCAUCAUCUACAAUAAGGAGUUACUGCCACAAAAUCCAAGAAAUAUUGACAAACUGGUUAUGGCAGGAUUUGCGAAAUUGUUCAAGAGCCAUGUAAGCUUAUGAAUUGCACUAUCAGUUUUUUAAUAUAUUGCGUACAUAAGAUGAUCAGCUUGUCUAUUUUCUAACCAUAGGUUAAGAAGAUGCGGGAGGAUGGGCAGGCAGUUGAUGAUGCCCUUUACUCACUAGCAAUGGGUCCUGAUACUCGGGUAAGACAUUAUGAAUCUUGUGUUGUUGGAGAUGUGUGCUACAACACCCUUGCACGCGACGAAGGCAGGAAGACACAAAACAAUGCCAUCAUGAGCACGGAUAUGUACGACAAAGAGACAACUGAAAUGUAUGCUAACAUAGUAGACAUUUUUCAGUUGCAGUAUAUCUCCAGUUUCGAGGAUCAUCGGUGUGUGGUUCUAUUGUGUUGUCGUUGGUAUGACAUGUUUUCUAGGACCGCAAAACCCAGAGCUGAUGAUUAUUUCAAAUCCAUCAAUGUCAAGGCGGCAUACCAGACCAACGAGCCUUUUAUUUUGGCAAAUCAAGCAACACAGAUAUUUUUCUUGGAAGACACAUUUGCACGUAGCAAUGACUGGAGAGUAUUGCAAAGGUAUGAGCAGAGGAAUUCGUUUAAUGAAGUUGCACAACAAGAUGAUGCUUACACUGCUCCUGAUGUACAAGAUAACACAAAUGUUCCUAAUAUCUUUGAGAACCAUCACGUCAAUGACGCCAACGAAAAGAUUGCCUAUCGUGCUGUGGACAUACAAGAGUUGAUCAAGAAGAAGCCAACGUUCGAGGACGCUGAGGAUGAAUAAGAAGAUGACACCGUGGGGAAUUACGAUUCAGGCAGAUACACAUGGCGAAGAUGUUGACGUUGCUAUGGAUGAUGAUUAGAUUGCUUUUGUCGUAUUUGCAUGUCAGAAGAUGUUUUUUUAUCUACUAUGUGAAAUUGUGUUUGCUAUGACAACUGAAACCUGAUGAACUUGUUGUUUAGUAUUUUGCUAUGAGAACAUCACUUGUUAUGUAUGCUGAUUUGUGUCUGGUGAUUGUAUGACGACUAAAACAUUAUUCAUUGUUGUUUAGUUGUACUCAUAUUUGGCUGUAAAACUUGAAUUUGAUGACAUAGUGUGAUGUUGGAUUGCAAUUUGCUCGAUGUCUUCGAAUGAGAACAAAGCUGACCCGACAGGGCCUCUGCUAAUUUAUUUAUUUAUUACCAAAAGGGCCUCUGCUAUUUAUUUAUUUAUGAGACAAAGGGGAUACCCCUGAUUUCCGUUAAUAGAAAUCAUUAGAUGUUCACAACACUAGGCCCAGCCUGCUACACAGGUAUCAUUCAUUACUAGUUUCAGCAAAGUGCUCAUGUCAUAGCCACUGAACACAUCACGAGUGCUGCAUACACUGCAAAUAAAGAGACAAUCAUCCUACAGAGCACAUCGAUUUUGCCCAUUAUCUUCACAAGCUCUUUCAUCUCCUCAUUGCUGUCAAGGCCGUUCAGCAACUGUUGCUUGGCCAUGAUCAGAGGAACUUCAUCUUUAACCUUCUGCUCUACAUCUUCCUCUUCUGCCAUUCCUUCGGUUACUUGUCCAACACCCCAACCUACUAGUAUUGGGAUUCCUCGGCUAACCAAAUAAUCAGUGUAGUUGCAUUCCCCCACAUCAGCAACUUCCCAGAAAUACAAAUCGCACGAAUCUUCCCUUUUCUGCACGAACCAAUUUGGAAGAUCAUCAGCCAAACUAUUAAAAAAAUCAGCAAUUGAAAGCAGCAAAACAUCACUUAAACAUAUUAUUACUCGUGAAGACUCAGCAAAGUGCUCAUGUCAUAGCCACUGAACACACAAGCCAAACUAUUAAAAAAAUCAGCAUUUGUAGAAGACUCGGCCAGGGUUGAGGAUUGUGAUUGAGACGCGAUAGAUGACUCUGCGUGAUUUGCAGCAGUGGCACCACACCAACGGCAGCGGGUUGCGAUGAGCAACCGGCUAUGGUGCGUGUGCCGGCAGGGGUGUGAUGAGACCCACAGGCGAUGAUACGGGUGGCGACUUGGCGCAUAUCUGGUUGUUGCCUGCUGAAGAGCAGGUGGACAAGCAGCCAGCGAACAUGGUUGCUGCGGCUAGAGCUUCUGAUGGUAGGCAGAGUAAGUAGAGAAGAGGAGAAGCGAACGUUGGAUAUGUCAGUUUCAUUACUUGCAGAGUAGCAUAGCACCAUAUAUAGUCAUAGUCUAGGUUUGGAUUCGAACCAGCUACAGGAGCACAUCUCUCUUUUUUCUAAAACUCAGCAACGUCUCUUUACUGGUACACUAGCUUAUUCUGUACGCCUUCCCGAGCCUUUGAUUUUCUUUCUUUUUUUGCGAGGAAGGAACGAGGACAAAAUUGAGAGUUCCUGGGACUCGAACCCAAGACCUCUCGGUUGAAAACCAAGGGUGCUAGUCACUUAUGUGGCGAACAUUCCCUGGAAGGAGGACGGCAGACGAACGCACUUUUCCUUGCAGUUUUAGUUACAACACAAGAUCGAACGGUCGCAGUUUUGGGAAUGUUAUCAGGCGAACGAGCCCAGUUUUUCUUUUCUUCAUAUAUAUAAAAAAAGUAUGCUACUUGGUGUUGGCUUAGUCAACAAACGAUUGUGCCAACCUUGACCGUUGGAUUGACAUUCAAUGUCUAUCGUGUUUCUUCAGUCUCUUCUUCCUCGAGCCGCCAAAGCCAAACCAGCGCCGGCGGGACCGCCUGCUCCCGCCUCCCACGGCUCGCUGUGCUGCCGCGGAUGCAUCAUGGCCACAUCGCACCCUAAAACUCUGCACAUCUUCCCCUACUCCUGUUCGUUCCCGUCCGAGGCCUCACCAUCGUCCUCCGCCUUGGUUCGCUCGCUGCGGCGCCGCCCUCCGGUGUUGUCAACAUGGUCAACAACCGAGAGGAAUAAGGAGAUGAUUGUACAUGGUGAGGAUGACAGUAGGGACCCAGCAGCGCGCGUAGUAAUUUUGUUUUUUCAGGACGGAGAAGGGUAUCAACUGGGUUGUGCGGGAACUAUGGCCCGUCUAGCCCAGGCUUUUAUUUCAUAUGUUUAGCACAUGACCAGCCUAGUUUGUUUUUUCCUUUUUGAAAUGGCUAGCCAGCUAUUUUGUUUUUUGUAGAAUAACCAACGUAGGCCUACUUGCUUUUCUACGCCCUGCUGGGCCGGAAAUCUUUCAAGACGAGGAGGGAUGCAUUUUGCCUAGAAAAUGGGCUAUAAGUAAUAAGAAAUGGGCUAUAAGUAAUAAUAAAUGGCUGUAAAAUGAAAAAAUACAGCAAACAAGCAAUUAGUUCCAAUGUACUUUUUUCUUUCGGAUUUUGAUAUUUCAAAUUUCAUUGUUUUUGUGUUGGUAAAAUUUCAUUGAAUUUAAAUUAAGAUAUAUUUAGUUUUAAAAUUAAUUUGAAUCUGUCUAGAAAUUUCGGGUUGUAUGCUGUUUGGGACAGAUUUGGAGGCUGAGUUGUGGGUCUACUAGGUUGACGUAUACGAAAGGCUUUGUCAACUUAGUCCACAAACGAUUCUAGCAGCGCUGACCGUUGGAUGUUAAUCAAAUGGCCGUGCUGCUUCUUCAAUACCUGAUCUUCUUGCUCCAGCCACCCAAACUACCGUUGGUGGGACUGCCUGUUCCCGCCUCCCGUGGCCAGCUGUGCUGCCGCACAGGCUGCACCGCCCAACCCAACUCCAUUGCUGGCCAGGCCAUUCCUCUACUCACCCACACCUCCUGUUAUUUUCCGGUGACGGUAGCCGGACCAGUAAACCCUCGUACUCCUCACCACUUGGGCAACCAUUGUCGAGUCUUCCUCGGCUCCGUGUCAUUCCCUUCCUAGGCCUCGCCGUUGUCCACCGCCAUGGUGCUCUCAGCGCGGCCUGGUCAACGAACGACAUCCAUCGGACGUGGACUAUACAUGGAGAGGCUAAUAGCUGGGUCCACAGGCUAAUAGCUGGGUCCACAGCCACACACAAGGAAAUGCCUCCUUAUUACGCGCAAAAUAAUGAUUCCUCCACCUGACAUCUGGGACCCACCGGAAGGGCCUAUGUAUUUCGCGAAAAAAGCGUGCCCCCCGCUGACAGGUCGGACCCACCAGCUAUAUCUUCGCACGCAAGGAAGUGCCUCUUUCUUAUGCACAAAAAAAUGAAUACUCCCCCUGCUAGUUGGAACCCAGCAUAGUGGGAGGCUGACUUGUGGGCCUACCAAGUUGACGGGGAUGGAGGGCUUUGUCAACUUAGUCAAUAUGAACGAUUCUAGCUCCAGUUACCGUACAAUGUUCAUCCAACGGCCGUAGUGCUUAUUCAACCUCUGGUCUUCUUGCUCCAGCCGCCCAAACCAGUGCCGGUCGUGCCGCGUGCUCCUGCCUCCCGUGUCGGCUGUGAUGCCACAGAGGCCUCACCGCCCCCUACUACUCCCACCGCUGGCCAGGCCAUCCCUCUACUCACCCACACCCCCGGUUAUUCAACGGCGACGGCAGCCUCACACUGCAGCCGGACCAGUGAACCCUCGUACUCCUCUCCGCGUGGGCAUCCACUGCCAUGUCUUCCCCGGCUCCACGUCAUCCCCUUCCUAGGCCUCGCCGUCGUCCACCGCCUUGGUGCUCUCGGCGCGGCGUGGUCAAUGUGGUCAACGACCGACUUCCAUCGGAAGAGUACUGUACAUGGAGAGGCUGACACAGCAAGGAAGUACCUCCUUAUUACGUGGAAAAUAAUGAUUCCUCCACCUGACAGCAGGGACCCACCAAACGGGCAACCGUAUUUCACAAAAAAAACGUUUCCCCCUGACUGUUGGGACCUACCAGCUACAUCUUCGCAUGCAAGGAACUAAGUCCAUAUUACGGAAAAAAUGAUUUGCCCCUGACUGCUGGGACCCACCGGUUACAUCUUCGCACGCAAGGAAGUGCUUGACAGUCGGGACCCACCUGGUCGAAGCAUACGUAGCGUUGUCAUUCUGGUCGUGAACGUGUACGUACAUACUGGUCGAUGUAGAGGCGCGCACGUGUCAUAGUAGAGGCGUGCACGUAGCAUGUACACAUACGUACAGCAGCCAGGGUGCCAGAAAGUAAAUAUGGCCAAGUACGUACAUAUGGGCGGGGUCUCGAACGCCUGCUCGCGCAUACGUAUGGCCAGGGCUCAUAUACAUGGCUAGGUCGGAAUGGAGAAACUACGUCAUCAUCAUGUUCAUGGGGAGCCAACCGGCUGGGUCGGAACGGAAUGCGUCGUCUUGUUCAUCAGGAGGGCUUGGACGGAACAGCCGAUGGAAACGAGGCUUGGCGUACCGCAGAACGGAGGAAACGGCCUUGUGUUUGACCGGCCACGGUCGAAACGGGAUCUUGUUCAUCGGGAGGGGUCUGGCGUACUGGAGGAAACGGACUUCUGUUGGACCUCCUACGGUCGAAAAGGGGUCCUGUUGAUCGAGAGGGGUGUGGCGUACCGCAAAAUGGAGCAAACGGGCUUGCGUUGGAGCGCUACGGUCGAAACAGGGGUCCUGUUCAUCGGGAGGGGUGUCGGUGUCAAAACUGGCGGAUCUCGGGUAGGGGGUCCCAAACUGUGCGUCUAGGCGGAUGGUAACAGGAGACAAGGGACACGAUGUUUUUCCCCAGGUUCGGGCCCUCUCGAUGGAGGUAAAACCCUACUCCUACUUGAUUAAUAUUGAUGAUAUGGGUAGUACAAGAGUAGAUCUACCACGAGAUCAGAGAGGCUAAACCUAGAAGUUAUCCUAUGGUAUGAUUGUUGUUCGUCCUACGGACUAAAACCCUCCGGUUUAUAUAGGCACCGAAGAGGGUUAGGGUUACACAGAGUCGGUUACAAUGGUAGGAGAUCUACAUAUCCGUAUUGCCAAUUGCCUUCCAUGCCAAGGAAAGUCCCAUCCGGACACGGGACGAAGUCUUCAAUCUUGUAUCUUCAUAGUCCAGGAGUCCGGCCAAAGGCUAUAGUCCGGCCAUCCGGACACCCCCUAAUCCAGGACUUCCUCAGUAGCCCCUGAACCAGGCUUCAAUGACGACGAGUCCGGCGCGCAUAUUGUCUUCGGCAUUGCAAGGCAGGUUCCUCCUCCGAAUACUUCAUAGAAGAUUUUGAACACAAGGAUAGUGUCCGGCUCUGCAAAAUAAGUUCCACAUACCACUAUAGAGAGAAUAAUAUUUACACAAAUUCAAUCUGCUGACGUAUUCCGUGGCGUGACAUCACACCAUGGCCAAGCCUUUAUUCGAAUCGUGUUUACUGUCCCACCUCAGUGCGUUUAGCGAGGCAGUUUCCUUGGCACGUCUUAUCAAAGCAGAGAUCGUGUCCCCUUAUUCCGGGAUUCUCAUUAAUACAGGUGUGGGUAACCCAGUCGUGCCCGUUGGCACGUCUCCUCUAUCGAAGGUGAGUCCCGAACGGUCACGGGGAAGGCUCUUGGUAUUCAACCUCUUUAUAAAGAGACCAAGGCUCCACUCCCUUCUUUCAAUCUCAAUCGAAUCCGCCCCUCGCCUCAAGUUCCAACACCCAAAGCUCCAGAUUCAGGCGCUUCGGACCUUCGAUGACGUCUGGCUCCGACCUGCAAGGCCGGUGGAUGCCUUCCUCCGUUACGGAAGAAGACAUGCUAAAGCUAAGAGAUGUCAGGUAUCUAACCAGCGAAAUUUCGCAUAGGCUGCCUGCCCAAGGGCAGGUUAUUCCCACUCCCAAGCCUGGCGAAAGAGUAGUGUUCGCGCCUCACUUUCUUCAGGGGCUAGGCUUCCCGACGGACCCCUUCGUGAGGGGGCUCAUGUUUUACUAUGCGUUGGAAUUUCAUGACUUGGAUCCAGAGUCCAUUCUCCACAUCUCAUCGUUCAUUGUCCUAUGCGAAGCCUUCCUCCGCAUUACCCCUCACUUAGGAUUGUGGCCCAAGACCUUCAAAGUGGAGCCGAAGAUGAUCAAGGGGCAGCAGGCAGAGUGCGGAGGGGCUGUUAUAAGCAAGAAUGCUGAUGCUCCAUGGCCCGAGGGCUCUUUUCAAGAGAAGCUCAGCCUAUGGCAACAAGAGUGGUUUUAUAUCACAACUCCCAGGGGCACCAAAUGGGUGGCGCCACCUGCCUUUCGCUCGGGUCCUCCACCGCAGCUGGCGUCAUGGGUCAAUAAAGGACUUGACUGGGGGGGCCGUCCAAGGAUGUGCCCUUGUUGCAGGGCCGCAUUCAAGACCUCCUAGAGAGAGAGAUCACCCUGGUCGUAGUAGCGCAGGUCAUGCUGAUUCAUCGCACCCUGCCCUGCAAACGUCGCCCCCUCCGCCUGUGGGAAUUUAACCCGGAGUUACCACGAGCUCUCCAACAUUUUAUGGGUGCGACGCCCGUGGAGAUGUACAAGCUUUUCUUCGGAUCACAAGUGAUGUGUCCAGACUUGACCGAGGACGCAGGUUUGAGCUGCAAUCGCCCGGAUACUCAAGUAAGUAGCCCUGUACCCAGACACGCUGUCCCAUAUUUAUCACGAACUUGCCCUUUAAAAGAGCUGUCCCUUGAAUAGGAGUGGAUAGCGAAAGCAAAGUUAAUCAAGUGUCCGGCCCCCCUCCCUGAGACCACGCCGGAUCCCGUGUUAACCAGGAUGCUGGAGGUUGCGCCUUCAGAAGAAGGUGAAGGGGGGAACAAGGAAGCUACCACCUCCGCGAAGGAGGCUGUCAGGAAAGGAGGGAUCGAGAAUCCCUCCAUCCAAGGGAAGAAGAGGACCGCCUCUGAGGACCCGGAGACCAUGGUCUCAAAGCGGGGGAAGAAAUCUUCGUCAGAGGGUCCUGCACCGAGAGAUGCCUUGGCCGCAUUGUACCCCCAAGGGGAUCAACCCUCCACCGAGCCGUAAGUAAAAAGGGGAGUUUUUUUAAAAAUAAAGGAUAUCCCUGCCCUAUUUCUGAUGAAGAUAACCGACAUUUUACCUUGUAGUUCGGAUCUUAGCCCUUCUUAGCAGAGCUUGUCUUCAGGGGAUCUUCAUCCGGAGAUGAUGGAGAGCGAAACGCCUUCCCCUGCCAUACCGUCUUGUGAGGCGGGUGACCCUGAGGUGUCGUCGCGAAGGGUUUCUCCGAGUCCGGCGGGGUCGGAAGGCAGUCGUAUGUCCCCUCAAAGCCCUCCGCGUCCGGCCUUCGAAAAAGGCCAUCGGACGAGUCCGGCACCACCUGGUGUACGGUCGGAGGAGCUGAAGGAUCUGCUCGGGCGAGCGUCUAUCUCAGAAGAUCACCGUGCGUUAAUGGGUACGGUGAUUGAAAGGAUUUCAUCCGCUGAGAGUGGAUUGCACUAAGCCGUCAGAAGUUUACUGACAGGUUUUGAGGUACACAAAAUGAUGUACCUUCUGACAGUUCCGCAUAUAAAAUGUGCCCUAUGUAGAUAGUAGCCCCUGAGGCUCGGUGUGUUGUCAAAAAUGACAGCGCGCCGAGGAUCAUAAUCCCAGGUAUAAUAUGUCGCCCUUCCUAUGUAGGUGGUGAAGGGUCUAGUGGCUAGCCGGACUGAUGAAUUUGCCGAACAAAAGCGGCAACUUGACGUGGCAGAUGCCGACAUCGCGCUUGUCAAUAAGCGACUUGACGAGUCACAAGGUAUGCAAUUUCUCCGCGGACACCUGGUAAGGGAGCUUGAUGCCCGUGCCUUACAACAUGUAUGCUUGAUGCAGAUGGUGCCGCUGCCAUGGAGAACCUUCGGGCGGAGCUCGCCCGAGCCAAGGAGCAGGCCAGAAAGAGUGAUGCGGCUGCCUUAAAGGCGACCGAAGAGCUAAAAGCCGAACAGGCUACUCACUGCCGAAGCAAGAAGGAAAUGGCCGAGAUGGCCGUGAAGUUGAAGAAUGUUGCCGACCGCUGCAAGCUUCUUGAAAAAGAAGAUUGAGCGGUGCAAGAGGACCUGAAGAAGGCCACUACCGAGGCCAAGGAUGCUUGCUCUGCGAUGAGAGCUAUGAAGGAGGAGUUGCGUCAGGCCGGAGAUAUCGCGGCUGGAAAGCCCUUUCUGCUACGGAGGAAAUUCGUGGAUCCUAAAUAUGCUCAGUUGGACCGGUUGUGGAGUGCGGAGGAUGCUUAUCUGGACUUGGCGGCAAGUGCCGCGGACGCGGCCGAACACUUCCGAGAUCAAAAGGAUCACAAAAUGGAAAAGGUUUUUUGGUCGCAGUUCCAUAAUCCAGAGCGCCCACUUCCAUUAACCAAUCUCUUGGCUGAAUGGGCGGAGCUGAAUAGGUUAUCCGGACUUGCCAUGAAGGAUGUCGUGAGUCUUUUCUGGCCGAAAAGGCCCGAGCCGAAGAGUUAUUUUGGCUUGGUGCAGCAGUUCCUUGGUGCGGUGCCGCAUAUCAAUGCAAUGAGGAGGUCGGCAUGCAUUGAGGGUGCGCGGAUGUCUCUUGCCUGUGUCAAGACAUACUGGGCGGAGAUGAAGGCCACCGAUGUUGCAUCCCAAGAUUCGGACGGAAGCCGAGUACCUGUCAAGCACUAUUUUCAGGAAGUUCUGCAGGGCACUCGUUUAAUAGAGACGCAGUGCUCGAAGGAUAUUAUGUUCGAAUAACAUGUAUUAUUGUGAAACAAUGUACCAAUGUAAUAUAAAAGCUUUUUAUACUUGUGCCUUUCAAGAAUUAAAAUACCUCCUGUGCGGCCGCUAAUGUAUAUGUAUAUAUAACCUGAAAGAUGGCAGUCUUCGGCUUCAGCCCCCACGCAUAUAAUGCGGGGGUGUUUGCAAAAGGCGCAUUUUCACACUUGACCAACGUCUUGGUCCUAUAAAGGAGGUGGUAGCGCGGCAAACUAGGCAACCGGACUAUAAUGCUUUAUCACUUUCACUUAGCCAUAGGAGUUUGACAGUGGGGCUACUAUAUAGCCCCUACAGGCACCGCGCUCACCUGAAUUCGGGGCGCGUAUGUGCCUGACUAGGAAACGGCCCUUCGUCAAGGCGGAGGAAUCCUAAAGAUUACGGCGGGUCAUCGAGUGGUUGACCAGUCUCACGCUAUAUCAUGACAGUUAGUUUUCGGCUUUCUCUACUAAGGUGCUCGCCUGGCCGAACCGGGGCACAAUCGCAGUAGUUCUCCUGGUGCCGCCUUAGCCGAUAGAGCGGAACGUAAGGCAGCAAAACACCGGAGUCGGGCAAACCCAACAUUUGACCAAAGACAUGAUUUGGAGCUGAUGCAUAUAAGGCCUAACUCGAGACGCCGAACACUCCCUAAGGUAUUCGGUCUUUAUGAAAACGGGCCGAACAACGCCCUUGGUAAUAAGCCCCUGGUGUCCAGGUACGCGCAAAAUUCUGACGUGGCCCUUGCCAAAACGCCAGCCUCCUCCUCGGUUAUAGCAAGAAACCAGGGGAAGUGUAUUAACAAGAGACAAUAGAAAAGGUUUACGCAGGGUCUUAACCUAAAAGGAAUCCUUGUCACGGGUCCCUACUGCACGUAUGCGCCUGUGUCUCCGUUGUGCCGUAUCCUGGAUGGGUGUAGCACGGUGUUCAUCUGUAAAAGAGGGGAACUUAGUUGGAAAAGAUCAUGCGAAAAUGUACGUUAUACUAAAUAAACAAAGUACAAUUCAAAAAAUGAAUAAAAUUGAGCUUUAUUGUCUCUUGUUGUACAUGCGCAGAGCCCCUUGUACAGGGGUAUGCGGCUAGUAAGCCCUUGUAUGUUUACGCCGGACUCGUCUAGCUGUGUCCGGGGUCUGAACGACCUGUUUAGGUGCUUUGGUUGGUGAAGCCGGUUUAGUGUGUGGCUGUCAAGGCAGUCACACAAUCUUCCGCGCUCGAGGAACACUUGGUAUUUCCCUUUAAGGAGAUGAUGCAUCAUGGACCGGGCAUUUUAAUUGUAAGGGAUGCAUAAUGCGGUAUUGCGUUAAAGCGGGCGAAAGCUUCGCGUCCCAAUAGUGCUUGGUAGCUACUUGUAAAUGGGGCGAGGUGGAAGGUUAACUUUUCACGGUGGAAGUUGUCGGGUGAGCCGAACACAACUUCUAGCAGUAGAGAGCCCGUACAAUGGGCAUAUGGGCCUGGCAUUACCCCUUGAAAGGAAGUGUUGCUAUGGCGAAUUUUGGUUGGGUCUAUCCCCAUUUUGCGGAUUGUGUCCUGGUAUAGCAGGUUUAGAUCACUGCCGCCGUCCAUUAGGACUUGUGUAAAUUGGAGUCCAUCAAUUAUCAGAUCUAAUAUCAAGGCAGUCCAUCCUGCAUUCUGGAUACUUCUAGAGUAAUCCUGAUGGUCGAAGGUGAUUGGUUUUAACAACCAGUGGCGGGACUCCUUUGUGAUAGGCCGUAUGGCAUGUACCUCUAUGGGCGCCGCUCUAUUUUUCCCUUUUGUCACGUGAAGUGAGUUUACUGUUUUGACUUCUUGUGGGAAAUUCUUUUGUUUUCCGGUGCUCUGCUUGUGGGGUUCGUCAUCGUCCUCGCUUGGUGUGUCGAGCCCCUUAUGUUCGGCGUUGAGUUUGCCGGACUGCUUUAAGACCCAACAAUAUCUGUGGGUAUGGUUUGCAGGCUUCCCGGGAGUACUGUGGAUUUGGCAUAUCUUGUCCAAGAUUUUGUUUAAGUUAGAUAGCUCAUCCCUGUUAUCCUUAAGGGGCAGUUUUUUAUCAUUCUGCCGAGAGCUUUUGAAUCCGGCGUUGACUGUCGUGCUCUUCGGGCUGUUUCUCUUGGUCCGGCACUGGUCCUUGCUGCGUCGCGGUUUCCCGUUUCCAUCCCUGACUUCGGACGUACUUGGGUUGCUGGUACUGCAUCUUGCUAGCCAACUAUCCUCUCCCGCGCAAAAGUGGGUCAUGAGGCUUGUUAAUGCGGCCAUUGUUCUUGGCUUUUCUUGGCCGAGGUGUCUGGCGAGCCAUUCCUCUCGGACGUUGUGUUUGAAAGCUGCUAAGGCUUCGGCGUCCGGACAGUCGACUAUUUGGUUCUUUUCAGUAAGGAAUCUGUUCCAGAAUUUUUGGGCUGACUCUCCGGGUUGUUGAGUUAUGUGACUUAAAUCGUCUGCAUCCGGAGGUCGGACAUAGGUCCCUUGAAAAUUUGCCCGAAAAGCAUCCUCGAGCUCUUCCCAACUUCUAAUGGUGUUUUCGGGGAGGUUUUUGAGCCAAUGCUGGGCUGGCCCUUUGAGCUUGAGGGGUAAGUAUUUUAUGGCGUGGAGGUCAUCUCCUCUAGACAUGUGUAUGUGGAGGAUGUAAUCCUCAAUCCAGACUCCAGGGUCUGUUGUUCCUUCGUAUGCCUCUAUGUUUACGGGCUUGAAUCCCGCUGGAAAUUCAUAAUCCAGAACCUCAUCGGUGAAACAUAGGGGGUGUGCGGCACCCCUAUAUUUAGGUGUACCAUAAUAUUCGGAUACUUGAUGUGUUGCAUUGCUCACUAGAGCUUGUUUUCUUGGCCUGUAGAUAGAUCUAACUGGGCCAUCUUUUUGAUGCGAAUCCGUGUGUGGAUCGCGUGCCGGCUUGUGUGCGGUGCCGUUUGCCGCUCUAUGUUUGCCAUGGGGUCGUCUAUCCUACCGGGUGGUCUCCUUGUUCUUUGAUUGCGGGGGCUCUAUGGCCUCCUCAUCAAAUUCGGGCAGUAGUUUUUGCUUUGGGUAGCGCUUUGUUCGACGAUUAUCGCCGUAUUUGUCUGCGGUGUUGAGUACUUUGCUCCAUCUGAUUCUGAGCGCAUCUUCCACAGUUUUGAGCUUCCGCUUCUGCUUUUUCAGGCUAUGCGCAGUGGUGACGAGCCUUUUGUGGAGGUUCUUCUGCUCCAGCAACUUGUCUGGCGUGAGAUCGUCCGAACUGUUAUCUUCGCCGGGGACGGGUUGUUUAUCCAGAUUGUCAUUUUCGGACGGUUGCUCAAUAGCAUGUUCGUCGUCCACCGGUUCGCCCUGCUCUAUGGCUGGGUCUGUAUGGCUGCUGUCUUUGUCGAGGCGGGACUUUGAGCGGCGCUUACGUCGCCGUUUUGACUGCUUUUCGAGGGAAUGAUCCCUCGUGGCGUCCCGUUGUUCCUCGUUGUCGCUUCCUUUAGGUGUGUCCACCAUGUAUACAUCGUGAGAUGAGGUGGCUGUCCAGUGCCCUAUAGGUGCUGGUUCAUGUUUGUCUCCUACAUCGUCGUCCAUACCGUCGAUGUCUUCGGAGUCAAAGUCGAGCACGUCAUUUAAACUUUCGACAGUGGCUACAAAGUGGGUGGUGGGUGGGAGUCGCAUUUCUUCGUCGUCCGCAUCCCAACCUUGCUGACCAUAGUCCGGCCAGGGCUCUCCUGAUAAAGAGAGAGACUUUAGUGAAUUCAGGAUGUCGCCAAAGGGCGAGUGCUGAAAGAUGUCCGCGGUGGUGAACUCCACGAUCGGCGCCCAAUCGGAUUUGAUUGGCAGGGGCGCGGAAGGUUCGGAGUCCGGAGAGGAGUCCGGCACCUUGGAGUCACGAGCUUCGCAAAGGACAGGGUUGGUGUUUGGCUCAAUCAUCAUAGAGAUCGCAGCCCCAAGGCAGAGUCCAGCCACCCGUCCUCGAUCGGCGCAAUCGGCUCCGAACUAAGGGUCGGAGUGGGAACUGGUGCGGCCCCCAGGGCACUGUUCGGUGGCAGAGCUAGAUCAUGCCCAUCGUGACAGUGCGGCGCGCUUGGCUAUGGCUCGAACCCGUCGAAGAUCAAGUCUCCGCGGACGUCAGUCGUAUAGUUCAAACUUCCAAAUCUGACCUCAUGGCCAGGGGCGUAGCUUUCAAUCUGCUCUAGAUGGCCAAGCGAAUUGGCCCGCAGUGCAAAGCCGCCGAAUACGAAGAUCUGCCAGGGGAAAAAGUCUCAUCCUGGACCGCAUCGUUGUUGAUGAUCGGAGGAGCCAUCGGGCCUAAAGAUGACGACACAGAGGAACUCUCAAUGAAAGCACCAAUGUCGGUGUCAAAACCGGCGGUUCUUGGGUAGGGGGUCCCGAACUGUGCGUCUAGGCGGAUGGUACCAGGAGACAAGGGACACGAUGUUUUUACCCAGGUUCGGGCCCUCUUGAUGGAGAUAAAACCCUACUCCUGCUUGAUUAAUAUUGAUGAUAUGGGUAGUACAAGAGUAGAUCUACCACGAGAUCAGAGAGGCUAAACCCUAGAAGCUAGCCUAUGGUAUGAUUGUUGUUCGUCCUACGGACUAAAACCCUCCGGUUUAUAUAGGCGCCGAAGAGGGUUAGGGUUACACAGAGUCGGUUACAAUGGUAGGAGAUUGUAACGCCCCAGAUAUAAUUUCCAUAUUUGUAUCCAACUCUUGCCGUCUCCGGCGCUAAGUUAUCUUUAUUUCUCGGGUUCGGGUCUUUGUCUCCGUGUGUUGUUUUUCUUUUUCGUGCAUCUCUUAUCAUGUCAUCUCGUGCAUUGCAUUUGCAUACAUGUUCAUCUCAUGCAUUCGAGCAUUUUCCCCGUUGUCCGUUUUGCAUUCCGGCGCUUCGUUCUCCUCCGGUGGUCAUCUCUAGCUUUCUUUCGUGUUUGGGAAUUAAACAUUUCCGGAUUGGACCGAGACUUGCCAUGCGGCCUUGGUUUACUACCGGUAGACCGCCUGUCAAGUUUCGUAUCAUUUGGACUUCGUUUGAUACUCCAACGGUUAACCGAGGGACCGAAAAGGCCUCGUGUGUGUUGCAGCCCAACACCCCCCAAAUUUGUUCCAAAACCCACCAAACUCUGCUCCAUGUCCUAGAGCGUUCGAUCACGAUCGCGUGGGCGAAAACCGCACCUCAUUUGGACUCUCCUAGCUCCACUUAUGCCUAUUUAUACCCCUUCCAUUCGGAUCUCCUCUUCCCCCGUUCAAAACCCUAAAAAAAACAGAUCAACCCCGCCACCGACGGACGUGUCCGGAUCCGACCGGACAACGUCNNNNNNNNNNNNNNNNNNNNNNNNNNNNNNNNNNNNNNNNNNNNNNNNNNNNNNNNNNNNNNNNNNNNNNNNNNNNNNNNNNNNNNNNNNNNNNNNNNNNNNNNNNNNNNNNNNNNNNNNNNNNNNNNNNNNNNNNNNNNNNNNNNNNNNNNNNNNNNNNNNNNNNNNNNNNNNNNNNNNNNNNNNNNNNNNNNNNNNNNNNNNNNNNNNNNNNNNNNNNNNNNNNNNNNNNNNNNNNNNNNNNNNNNNNNNNNNNNNNNNNNNNNNNNNNNNNNNNNNNNNNNNNNNNNNNNNNNNNNNNNNNNNNNNNNNNNNNNNNNNNNNNNNNNNNNNNNNNNNNNNNNNNNNNNNNNNNNNNNNNNNNNNNNNNNNNNNNNNNNNNNNNNNNNNNNNNNNNNNNNNNNNNNNNNNNNNNNNNNNNNNNNNNNNNNNNNNNNNNNNNNNNNNNNNNNNNNNNNNNNNNNNNNNNNNNNNNNNNNNNNNNNNNNNNNNNNNNNNNNNNNNNNNNNNNNNNNNNNNNNNNNNNNNNNNNNNNNNNNNNNNNNNNNNNNNNNNNNNNNNNNNNNNNNNNNNNNNNNNNNNNNNNNNNNNNNNNNNNNCGGCGCCACCCCGGCCUCUCCCCGCCGCCUCGCCGGCCUCCCCUCCUCCACCGGCUCCGGCGACGAGCUCCUCCGGCGACUCGUGCUACAGUGCCCCGGCCGCCUCGUAAUCCGUGCCACUGGAUCUAGAUCUGGGUUGACCUCUCUCCCCCGAAACCCUAAUUUUCGUGCUACCUUUCACUGCUUGCAUCUCCGCAACCGUAGCUCCGUUUUGGGCAUAUGAUAUAUCAAAAUCUUCGCCUCGACAUGUACAUCAUUUCAUUCCAUUGCAUCAUUUGCAUUUGAGGUCAUCUUGAUGCCCAAAAUUCUGUUAGAAGGAGGCUUCGUGAGUUAAAUUGCAGAUCCGUUAGUUCAUCAUGCACUUUUGUCAUUUUUGCCAUGUUUAAUUCGUGCAUGAUAUGCCUGUGCCCCUUUGGGAUGAAUUGUUAAGCAUUUUGUCUUCUUUCCAGAGGUGCCACCCAUGCAUUUUUAGGAUGUGUGUGUUGUCUUGUGCAAGCUUGCGAAGAGAGGUACCUGAGAAUGCAGAUUUCAGAGACUUAGUGAUUUUCACUAAGUCGGGGAUAUUUUAGUUCAUGAUGCUAUAUGUCCAGCUUGAUUCCUAGUGAUCCGUGCCUCUUUUGAGGAUGAUCAGUAAGGGAGUUUUGACAUUUAUGUUAUGCUCUAUCCAUCCAUGUCUUUGUUUGCAUAUGUGGAGUGAUCUAGGUUGACUCAAUCGAGCUCAACUUUUGCUUCGUUGUUAAUCUGGGCAGAUCGUCAACUUGUUUGCGAUUUUGCCGAUGCUACCGUUAGUGUUCCAUGCAUGCUAUGACUUUGUUCUUGCCUUGUGUAGCUAGCAUAUUGUGCCUUCUUGCUGGUUAUAUGCUUUCCUUGCCAUGACUUGCACCGUAGUGAGUGCAUCGAGCUCGUUUACAUGCCUUCGUGAGUUAUAUUUCAGCGUGUCUCAGUUUUCACUAAGUCUGAAAACUGAUUGUGUUCGAGCUAUGUUCGUGAGCUCGGUAGAGUAUUUUGUGAACCCUUUUGGCCCCAGGUCACUUUGGGUGUUUUGUUAAGCUUGUUGAGUAGCUCCAUGCCAUGUUCUUACUUGUCAUGUUCAGGUCAUGUAUCAUGUUGUUUUGCUGCUCCGAAGAGAGCAUCGUGAUCUGAAAUUUCAGGCUAGUGUUAGUUUCACUAAGUCUGGAAUCUGUUUUGCAUAUUCAUUUUUUUCAUGCUUGUUUGAACCUCUUAGUGGAUGAAUUUGCCUAUGGCUCAGUGCUAGUGUUUUGUCAACCAUCUUGUGUAAAUCACUUCCAUGUAUUUUGUUUUCAUGUUUGGUGGCUGUAGCAUGUUCAUUUCGUUGCAUUUAGAUGCCUACUUGCUGUAAAUCGCAGACCGGUGUCAUAUCUUAAAACGCUUGCCAUUUCCAAACCGUAGCUCCGAUUCCAAUGAUCUUUAUAUCGUUUUCAAGCAAUUUCAUCCCCUCUAUCCAGUGGCACACUUGGUUUUCCAAGUUGAUGCCAGUUUCAUGCAUUUCCUGUCAUAUCUUGCAUUUUGCAUCCCGCAUCGCAUCCCGCAUAGCAUAUCGUCAUUUCAUCAUAUUGCUUGGACUUGCCCGUGGUUGAUUGUAUCCUUGUUGCUUGUUUGUCUUGUUGGGUAGAGCCGGGAGACGAGUUCGCUACCGAGGAGCCCGUUGAGUUUGCUUGUGAGGAUCCAGUCAGCUCUGACAACUGUGCAGGCAAGAUGAUCAUACCCUCGAAAUCACUACUAUCUUUGCUAUGCUAGUUUGCUCGCUCUUGCUAUGCCAAUGCUACGAUGCCUACCUUUUGCUUGUCAGCCUCCCAAUUGCAUGAUUGAACCUCUAACCCACCAUUGUCCUAGCAAACCGUUGAUUGGCUAUGUUACCGCUUUGCUCAGCCCUUCUUAUAGCGUUGUUAGUUGCAGGUGAAGAUUGGAGCCGUUCCUUGUUAGAACAUUUAUUUUACUUGUUGGGAUAUCAUUAUAUUGCUAUGUUAUCUUAAUGCAUCUAUAUACUUGGUAAAGGGUGGAAGGCUCGGCCUCUCGCCUAGUGUUUUGUUCCACUCUUGCCACCCUAGUUUCCGUCAUAUCGGUGUUAUGUUCCCGGAUUGUUGCGUCCCUUACACGGUUGGGCUAUAAUGGGAACCCCUUGAUAGUUCGCCUUGAUUAAAGCUUUUCCAGCAAUGCCCAACAUUGGUUUUACCAUUUGUCACCUAGCCUAUUUUUCCCUUGGGUUUCCGGAGCCCGAGGGUCAUCGUAUUUUAGCCCCCCUUGGGCUAGUGCUCCCUCUGAGUGUUGGUCCGAACUGAGCUGCCUGCGGGGCCACCUCGGGGAAACUUGAGGGUUGGUUUUACUCGUAGCUAGUCUCAUCUGAGUGUGCCCUGAGAAAGAGAUAUGUGCAGCUCCUAUCGGGAUUUGUCGGCACAUUCGGGCGGUGUUGCUGGACUUGUUUUAACCUGUCGAAUUGUCUUGUUGUACCGGGUUAUCGAGUCUGAUCGGUGUGUCCCGGGUGGAGGUCUAUUCCUUCGUUGACCGUGAGAGCUUGUCAUGGGCUAAGUUGGGACUCCCCUGCAGGGAUUGAACUUUCGAAAGCCGUGCCCGCGGUUAUGGGCAGAUGGGAAUUUGUUAAUGUCCGGUUGUAGAUUACUUGAACUAAACUUAAUUAAAAUGAAUCAACCGUGUGUGUUACCGUGAUGGCCCCUUCUCGGCGGAGUCCGGGAAGUGGACACGGUGUUGGAGUUAUGCUUGCGCAGGAUGUUCCUUUAGCUUCUCGCUCGUGCUUCGCCUUCUCUUCUCGCUCUCUUUUGCGUAUAAGUUAGCCACCACAUAUGCUAGUCAUUUGCUGCAGCCCCACAUAUAUUUGCCUUAUCCAUUCCUAUGAGCUUAAAUAGUUUUGAUCGCGAGGGUGCGAGAUUGCUGAGUCCCUGUGGCUCACAGAUUCUAUAACUCCAGAUGCAGGUCCAGGUGAUUCCGCUCCAGGUGACGAGUACGAGCUCAAGUGGGAGUUCGACAAGGACUCUCAGCGUUAUUAUGUUUCCUUUCCCGAUGAUCAGUAGUGGUGCCUAGUUCGGGAUCGAUUCAGGGCCUUGUCGCAUGUUGGGUUCUUUUCUAUUUUGGCGCCGUAGUCGGGCCAUGAGUGUUUGUUUGAUGGAUGUUAUUUAUGUACUCUGAUGUGACGUGGCGAGUGUAAGCCAACUAUGUUAUCUCCCCCUUUUAUUAUGUAUUACAUGGGAUGUUGUAAUGAUUGCCUGACUUGCGACAUUGCUUUCAAUGCGGUUAUGUCUCUAAGUCGUGCCAUGACACGUGGGAGCUAUAGCCGCAUCGAGGGCGUUACAAGUUGGUAAUCAGAGCCUUCCCCGACCUUAGGAGCCCCCAUUGCUUGAUCGUUUUUAGCAGCCGAGUUGUGUCUAGAAAAAUGUUUUGAGUCCUUAGGAAUUAUAUAUCGGAGAGCUUAGGAAUUCUUUUUACUUCCCAGUUUCCUCAUCGCUCUGGUAAGGCAUCCUAGCGUAGAGUUUUGACUCUUCUCUUCUCAAAUUUCACAAAAAAAAAAUUUAGGAUCACGCGAGUAUUUUGGUUUUGUUCCGAUGGUUUUGUGACGAGAACAUUGUUCUUGGUGCCUCCUGUCUUUAGGGGUUGUGGCAGUGUCCCGGGGAGUUGAGCUCCGAGGUGUUGUCGUCACAAUUUUAUCGUUGCAAUUCUGGUAUACUUGAGAUAUGUGCGCGACAUCGGAAAUCUCUUUUAUGCAGUUCGUUGGUGAGAUAACCUCGACGCCACCCAGUACUGGGGCGGGAGUUCGGGAGUAUCGCCAUAACUUGUAUAACGGAUGCUUUUCGAAGGUUGAGAUAGAUGGUUUCCGAAGGUUUCUUGGUUAUGUGUUGAAGGAUGGAUACAGCUGGAUGUAGGAUUUGCUAGCUUGGGUGAGAUAUUAUGCUUCCCCUGUAUCCCCAACACCUGAUUGCAUAACCGGAAAGGUUCGGGAGUUUCAUAGGUGGGAAUUCUAGUAGCUCUAGUUCUUCUUCCACGGAUAUUGGUUUGAGAUUGGGAUUUCUUACCGAUUAUUCGUUCUUGAUCCGUACCUUGUUGAAUUGUUUCUCUACCUUAAUGCUACGUGGCUUCUCAAUUUAUGGAUAUGUGACCAUUUGAAGAGGAAUGCAUUCGUUCAUUUUGUUCGGAUGUGAAGGCUAUAUGUUGCAAUUUUCAUUCCGUUGGAUUCAGCUUCUAUAUUGUUGUCUAUCAAUGUGCUAAUGGUGGUCAACCUGUUCAGGAUGGCUCCUCCAACGCGCACGACUCCGAAUCCUGAUCCGCCUCCACCUCCGCCUCCUCCGGAAGCAUGGCAAGCUGUGAUGGCCGCUACUAAUGCAAACACACAGUUGAUCAUGCAAAUUCUCCAAGAGCGCAAUCAAGGCAGUCAAGGGAAUCAAGGCCACAAUCAGCACCACUUUGCUACUCUGAACCAGUUCCUCGCAAAUGGCCCAAAGACGUUCAGCGGUUGUGUUGAGGCUACCGAUGCUGACGAUUGGCUAGUGGAUCUGGGCAAGCAUUUCGAAUGCAGCAACGUCAGGCCUGAAGAUUUCGUCAAGUUCGCUUCUUUCCAGCUCAAAGAUCAGGCUGCAGAGUGGUUCCAGCAGUACAAGGAUUCCAGAGGUGGACGUUUGAUCACUUGGAAUGAUUUUCGUCAAGAUUUCCGCGCUCAUCACAUUCCUCAAAGUGUGGUUGAGAGUAAGCGUCAGGAAUUCCGCAAUCUGAAGCAAGGGUCUUUGUCUGUCUACGACUACAACAAGUUGUUCCAGAAGCUCGCCCGUUUUGCCAAGCAGGAUGUUCCUGAUGAGAAGAGCAUGAUCUAUCAGUUCAGGGGUGGUCUUCGUGAGGAAAUUCAGCUCGCUCUUGUCCUCUUUGAGCCGUUGAGAUACGAUGAGUUCUACAACAUGGCACUGAAGCAAGAGGCUGCUCAGUUGAGGUGUGAUGCUUCCAGGAAGCGUGCCAGAGAUGUUACUCCGUCUUCCUCUACUCAAGUGGCCAAGCAGCAGAAGUUUUGGCUUCCUCCUCCUCCGUUCCGUCAGCCGUAUCAGCAGAAGAGCAAAGGUGGCAGUGGUUCUUCCCACCCACCCAACCCAGGCUUUCAGAACAAAACUUCGUCUCAAGCUCCAAGAUCGAGUGCUCCGUAUCACCAUCCGCUUUCAGAGGUCACGUGCAACAAGUGCCAACAGAAGGGUCACUAUGCCAACAAGUGUACCAACCAGAGGCGUCUUCCUCCUCCUCCUCCUGUCAGAUCGGCAAGUACAGCUGUGGUCAAGCAUAAUCCCAAGCACGCCAAGGUCAAUUUGAUGAAUGCAGCCCAGGCAGAGGACUCGUCAGAUGUGAUCAUGGGUAACCUUCCUGUUAAUGAUAUUCCUGCAAAAUUUCUUUUUGACUCUGGUGCAUCGCAUUCCUUCAUGUCAUUUCCAUUUGCAUCCGAGAAAUUUUUUAGCACUAAGGCAUUACCUAGAGCUAUGCAAGUCGUCUCUCCAGCUAAGCGACUGAGUUCCAGUAUGGAGGUGCCGGAUAUUUCAAUCUUGAUGGGUGAUUUCAAGUUUCUUGCUUCUCCAAUGGUUCUUGGCAACUCGGAUAUCGAUCUUAUUCUCGGGAUGGACUGGCUCUCUAAGCAUAAAGCUCAGCUUGAUUGUGCAGCCAGGCAGAUUCAACUGACUCAUUCGUCUGAGGAUGUCAUUGUCUUUGCCGCUCGGGAUAAUACCAUCCGGUUGUUUUCUCUCAAUGAGAAGGGUGAAUUGGAUGCUAUUUCGCAGAUUCCGGUUGUUUGUGAGUAUCAAGACGUUUUUCCAGAAGAGCUCCCAGGAAUGCCUCCAAACCGGCCGGUUGAAUUCGUUAUUGAACUUGAGCCUGGCACGGAACCUGUGUGCAAACGUCCUUACAAGCUCGGCCCCGAAGAGUUGAAGGAGUUGAAGAAACAACUCGAUGAGCAAGAAAGAUUGGGUCUCAUUCGGCCUAGUACUUCUCCGUGGGGUUGUGGUGUUCUUUUUGUGAAGAAGAAGGAUGGAUCGAGUCGACUUUGUGUUGAUUACCGUCCAGUAAACAAGAAGACCAGAAAGAAUAAAUACCCACUUCCCAACAUCAAUGAGUUGUUCGAACAACUCAAGGGUGCUCAAGUAUUCUCCAAGCUCGAUCUCCGUAUGGGCUAUCAUCAGAUUCGUAUUCGUGAGCAAGAUAUUCCCAAGACGGCGUUCAGAACAAGCUUUGGUUCAUAUGAAUACACCGUCAUGUCUUUUGGCCUCGCCAACGCUCCUCCGACGUUCUCUCGCAUGAUGAACUUCAUCUUCAGCCCCUACACCAAUGACUUCGUUUUGGUCUAUCUCGACGACAUUCUGGUUUUCUCGAAGAACAAGGAAGAUCAUGCCAAGCACUUGCGUUUGGUUCUUGACAAGCUCAGGGAACAUCAGUUCUACGCCAAGUUCUCCAAGUGUGAAUUUUGGCUCGAUGAGGUUCUUUAUCUUGGUCAUAUCAUCUCGGCCAAGGGCAUUUCCGUGAAUCCUGAGAAGGUGUCCGCAAUUGUGAAUUGGGAACCUCCUCAGAACGUGAAGCAACUCCGCAGUUUCCUCGGUCUCGCAAGCUAUUGCAGAAGAUUCGUUGAAAACUUUUCUAAGAUCGCCAAGCCUCUCUCAAAUCUUCUUCAGAAGCACGUCAAGUACGUUUGGUCUCCGGAGUGUGAUAUUGCUUUCAACACUUUGAAAGAGAAAUUGAUCACUGCUCCAGUUCUGACUCCGCCUGAUGAAACCAAGCCGUACGAGGUCUUUUGUGAUGCCUCUCUCCAAGGUCUCGGUGUUGUACUGAUGCAAGAGAAGAAAGUUGUUGCUUAUACCUCUCGCCAGUUGAAACCUAAUGAGAAGAACUACCCCACUCAUGAUCUCGAGUUGGCGGCAGUUGUGCACGCUUUGUUGACUUGGAGACAUCUUCUAUUGGGAAGGAAAGUGGACAUUUUCACUGAUCACAAGAGUCUCAAGUACAUCUUCACUCAGCCUAAUCUCAACCUCAGGCAGACUCGAUGGGUCCAGAUGAUUCAAGAGUACAAUCCGAGUAUCGAGUAUACUCCAGGCAAGGCUAAUGUGAUUGCUGACGCUUUGAGCAGAAAAGCAUAUUGCAACAGUCUGACUCUCAAGCCUUAUCAACCCGAGCUUUGUGAAGCUUUCCGCAAACUUAAUCUGCAAAUUGUUCCUCAAGGUUUCCUCGCCAACCUUCAAGUUUCUCCUACCUUAGAAGACCAGAUUCGCCAAGCCCAACUUCUUGAUGCUAUGGUGAAGAAGGUGAAGAUUGGUAUUGCAAAGAGUCAGUCCAAGUACAAGUGCUACCGACUUGAUGACAAGGACACUCUCUUCUUCGAGGAUCGAAUUGUUGUGCCCAAAGGUGAACUUCGUAAGGUGAUCAUGAACGAGGCUCACAAUUCUCUCCUCUCCAUCCACCCUGGGAGUACGAAGAUGUAUCAGGAUCUCAAGCAAGCUUAUUGGUGGACUCGAAUGAAGCGCGAGAUCGCUCAAUUCGUGAAUGAGUGUGAUGUCUGCAGAAGAGUGAAGGCAGAACACCAAAAGCCAGCAGGUCUCCUCCAACCUCUUGCCAUUCCAGAAUGGAAGUUUGACCACAUUGAAAUGGACUUCGUGACUGGGUUUCCAAAGUCCAAGCGUGGCAAUGAUGCUAUAUUUGUUGUCAUCGACAAGCUCACCAAAGUGGCUCACUUUCUGCCUAUCAAAGAGUCGAUCACUGCAGCUCAAUUGGCGGAACUCUAUACCUCUCGCAUUGUCUCUCUGCACGGUAUUCCUCAAGUGUUAUCUUCAGACCGUGGCAGCAUCUUUACCUCCAAGUUUUGGGAUUCUUUUCAGAAGGCCAUGGGCACCAGCAUCCGCUUCAGCACAGCUUUCCAUCCUCAAACGAGCGGUCAAGUCGAGCGUGUCAAUCAGAUUCUUGAAGAUAUGCUCAGGGCUUGUGUGAUCUCCUUCGGCAUGAAGUGGGAGGAUUGCCUUCCUUAUGCUGAAUUCUCAUACAACAACAGCUUUCAAGCAAGUUCGGGCAAGGCCCCCUUUGAAAUUCUAUAUGGCAGGAAGUGUCGUACCCCUCUCAACUGGUCUGAAACCGGUGAACGUCAGCUGCUGGGUAAUGACUUAAUCACAGAAGCAGAAGAAAUGUGCAAAGUCAUUCGUGAUAACCUCAAAGCAGCCCAGUCCCGCCAGAAGAGCUACUAUGAUAGUAAGCACCGUGAUCUGGCUUUCGAGAUCGGAGAUCAUGUUUACCUCCGCGUCUCUCCCAUGAAAGGUACUCGUCGCUUCGGUAUCAAAGGGAAGCUUGCCCCUAGAUACGUGGGACCUUUCAAGAUUGUCAGCAAGAGAGGCGACCUCGCCUAUCAACUCGAGCUUCCUUCAAACUUUGCAAAUGUUCAUGAUGUGUUCCAUGUCUCUCAGCUUCGAAAGUGCUUCAAGACUCCUGACCGCACCAUCAACUUCGAGGACAUUGAGCUCCAAGAAGAUCUCUCCUAUCGUGAGCACCCAGUUGCUAUUCUUCAAGAGACUGAACGCAAGACUCGCAACAAGUCAAUCAAAUUUCUCAAAGUUAAGUGGUCUCACCAUUCCGACCGUGAAGCCACCUGGGAACGCGAGGAUCACCUCUGUUCUGAGUACCCGGAGUUCUUUCAGUCCUAGAUCUCGGGACGAGAUCUUUUCGUAGUGGUGGAGUGUUGUAACGCCCCAGAUAUAAUUUCCAUAUUUGUAUCCAACUCUUGCCGUCUCCCGCGCUAAGUUAUCUUUAUUUCUCGGGUUCGGGUCUUUGUCUCCGUGUGUUGUUUUUCUUUUUCGUGCAUCUCUUAUCAUGUCAUCUAGUGCAUUGCAUUUGCAUACAUGUUCAUCUCAUGCAUUCGAGCAUUUUCCCCGUUGUCCGUUUUGCAUUCCGGCGCUUCGUUCUCCUCCGGUGGUCAUCUCUAGCUUUCUUUCGUGUUUGGGAAUUAAACAUUUCCGGAUUGGACCGAGACUUGCCAUGCGGCCUUGGUUUACUACCGGUAGACCGCCUGUCAAGUUUUGUAUCAUUUGGACUUCGUUUGAUACUCCAACGGUUAACCGAGGGACCGAAAAGGCCUCGUGUGUGUUGCAGCCCAACACCCCCCAAAUUUGUUCCAAAACCCACCAAACUCUGCUGCAUGUCCUAGAGCGUUCGAUCACGAUCGCGUGGGCGAAAACCGCACCUCAUUUGGACUCCCCUAGCUCCACUUAUGCCUAUUUAUACCCCUUCCAUUCGGAUCUCCUCUUCCCCCGUUCAAAACCCUAAAAAAACAGAUCAACCCCGCCACCGACGGACGUGUCCGGAUCCGACCGGACAACGUCCGCCCGCCGCCGCCAUCCGACCCGCCGCCGCCACGUGUCCCCGCGGGACCAGUUCGCCGCCGUCACCGACGCGAGCCCGAGGCNNNNNNNNNNNNNNNNNNNNNNNNNNNNNNNNNNNNNNNNNNNNNNNNNNNNNNNNNNNNNNNNNNNNNNNNNNNNNNNNNNNNNNNNNNNNNNNNNNNNNNNNNNNNNNNNNNNNNNNNNNNNNNNNNNNNNNNNNNNNNNNNNNNNNNNNNNNNNNNNNNNNNNNNNNNNNNNNNNNNNNNNNNNNNNNNNNNNNNNNNNNNNNNNNNNNNNNNNNNNNNNNNNNNNNNNNNNNNNNNNNNNNNNNNNNNNNNNNNNNNNNNNNNNNNNNNNNNNNNNNNNNNNNNNNNNNNNNNNNNNNNNNNNNNNNNNNNNNNNNNNNNNNNNNNNNNNNNNNNNNNNNNNNNNNNNNNNNNNNNNNNNNNNNNNNNNNNNNNNNNNNNNNNNNNNNNNNNNNNNNNNNNNNNNNNNNNNNNNNNNNNNNNNNNNNNNNNNNNNNNNNNNNNNNNNNNNNNNNNNNNNNNNNNNNNNNNNNNNNNNNNNNNNNNNNNNNNNNNNNNNNNNNNNNNNNNNNNNNCCACCGGCUCCGGCGACGAGCUCCUCCGGCGACUCGUGCUACAGUGCCCCGACCGCCUCGUAAUCCGUGCCGCUGGAUCUAGAUCUGGGUUGACCUCUCUCCCCCGAAACCCUAAUUUUUGUGCUACCUUUGACUGAUUGCAUCUCCGCAACCGUAGCUCGGUUUUGGGCAUAUGAUAUAUCAAAAUCUUCGCCUCGACAUGUACAUCAUUUCAUUCCAUUGCAUCAUUUGCAUUUGAGGUCAUCUUGAUGCCCAAAAUUCUGUUAGAAGGAGGCUUCGUGAGUUAAAUUGCAGAUCCGUUAGUUCAUCAUGCACUUUUGUCAUUUUUGCCAUGUUUAAUUCGUGCAUGAUAUGCCUAUGCCCCUUUGGGAUGAAUUGUUAAGCAUUUUGUCUUCUUUCCAGAGGUGCCACCCAUGCAUUUUUAGGAUGUGUGUGUUGUCUUGUGCAAGCUUGCGAAGAGAGGUACCUGAGAAUGCAGAUUUCAGAGACUUAGUGAUUUUCACUAAGUCGGGGAUAUUUUAGUUCAUGAUGCUAUAUGUCCAGCUUGAUUCCUAGUGAUCCGUGCCUCUUUUGAGGAUGAUCAGUAAGGGAGUUUUGAUAUUUAUGUUAUGCUCUAUCCAUCCAUGUCUUUGUUUGCAUAUGUGGAGUGAUCUAGGUUGACUCAAUCGAGCUCAACUUUUGCUUCGUUGUUAAUCUGGGCAGAUCGUCAACUUGUUUGCGAUUUUGCCGAUGCUACCGUUAGUGUUCCAUGCAUGCUAUGACUUCGUUCUUGCCUUGUGUAGCUAGCAUAUUGUGCCUUCUUGCUGGUUAUAUUCUUUCCUUGCCAUGACUUGCACCGUAGUGAGUGCAUCGAGCUCGUUUACAUGCCUUCGUGAGUUAUAUUUCAGCGUGUCUCAGUUUUCACUAAGUCUGAAAACUGAUUGUGUUCGAGCUAUGUUCGUGAGCUCGGUAGAGUAUUUUGUGAACCCUUUUGGCCCCAGGUCACUUUGGGUGUUUUGUUAAGCUUGUUGAGUAGCUCCAUGCCAUGUUCUUACUUGUCAUGUUCAGGUCAUGUAUCAUGUUGUUUUGCUGCUCCGAAGAGAGCAUCGUGAUCUGAAAUUUCAGGCUAGUGUUAGUUUCACCAAGUCUGGAAUCUGUUUUGCAUAUUCAUUUUUUUCAUGCUUGUUUGAACCUCUUAGUGGAUGAAUUUGCCUAUGGCUCAGUGCUAGUGUUUUGUCAACCAUCUUGUGUAAAUCACUUCCAUGUAUUUUGUUUUCAUGUUUGGUGGCUGUAGCAUGUUCAUUUCGUUGCAUUUAGAUGCCUACUUGCUGUAAAUCGCAGACCGGUGUCAUAUCUUAAAACGCUUGCCAUUUCCAAACCGUAGCUCCGAUUCCAAUGAUCUUUAUAUCGUUUUCAAGCAAUUUCAUCCCCUCUAUCCAGUGGCACACUUGGUUUUCCAAGUUGAUGCCAGGUUCAUGCAUUUCCUGUCAUAUCUUGCAUUUUGCAUCCCGCAUCGCAUCCCGCAUAGCAUAUCGUCAUUUCAUCAUAUUGCUUGGACUUGCCCGUGGUUGAUUGUAUCCUUGUUGCUUGUUUGUCUUGUUGGGUAGAGCCGGGAGACGAGUUCUCUACCGAGGAGCCCGUUGAGUUUGCUUGUGAGGAUCCAGUCAGCUCUGACAACUGUGCAGGCAAGAUGAUCAUACCCUCGAAAUCACUACUAUCUUUGCUAUGCUAGUUUGCUCGCUCUUGCUAUGCCAAUGCUACGAUGCCUACCUUUUGCUUGUCAGCCUCCCAAUUGCAUGAUUGAACCUCUAACCCACCAUUGUCCUAGCAAACCGUUGAUUGGCUAUGUUACCGCUUUGCUCAGCCCUUCUUAUAGCGUUGUUAGUUGCAGGUGAAGAUUGGAGCCGUUCCUUGUUAGAACAUUUAUUUUACUUGUUGGGAUAUCAUUAUAUUGCUAUGUUAUCUUAAUGUAUCUAUAUACUUGGUAAAGGGUGGAAGGCUCGGCCUCUCGCCUAGUGUUUUGUUCCACUCUUGCCGCCCUAGUUUCCGUCAUAUCGAUGUUAUGUUCCCGGAUUGUUGCGUCCCUUACACGGUUGGGCUAUAAUGGGAACCCCUUGAUAGUUCGCCUUGAUUAAAGCUUUUCCAGCAAUGCCCAACAUUGGUUUUACCAUUUGUCACCUAGCCUAUUUUUCCCUUGGGUUUCCGGAGCCCGAGGGUCAUCGUAUUUUAGCCCCCCUUGGGCUAGUGCUCCCUCUGAGUGUUGGUCCGAACUGAGCUGCCUGCGGGGCCACCUCGGGGAAACUUGAGGGUUGGUUUUACUCGUAGCUAGUCUCAUCUGAGUGUGCCCUGAGAAAGAGAUAUGUGCAGCUCCUAUCGGGAUUUGUCGGCACAUUCGGGCGGUGUUGCUGGACUUGUUUUAACCUGUCGAAUUGUCUUGUUGUACCGGGUUACCGAGUCUGAUCGGUGUGUCCCGGGUGGAGGUCUAUUCCUUCGUUGACCGUGAGAGCUUGUCAUGGGCUAAGUUGGGACUCCCCUGCAGGGAUUGAACUUUUGAAAGCCGUGCCCGCGGUUAUGGGCAGAUGGGAAUUUGUUAAUGUCCGGUUGUAGAUUACUUGAACUAAACUUAAUUAAAAUGAAUCAACCGUGUGUGUUACCGUGAUGGCCCCUUCUCGGCGGAGUCCGGGAAGUGGACACGGUGUUGGAGUUAUGCUUGCGCAGGAUGUUCCUUUAGUUUCUCGCUCGUGCUUCGCCUUCUCUUCUCGCUCUCUUUUGCGUAUAAGUUAGCCACCACAUAUGCUAGUCGCUUGCUGCAGCCCCACAUAUAUUUGCCUUAUCCAUUCCUAUGAGCUUAAAUAGUUUUGAUCGCGAGGGUGCGAGAUUGCUGAGUCCCUGUGGCUCACAGAUUCUAUAACUCCAGAUGCAGGUCCAGGUGAUUCCGCUCCAGGUGACGAGUACGAGCUCAAGUGGGAGUUCGACAAGGACUCUCAGCGUUAUUAUGUUUCCUUUCCCGAUGAUCAGUAGUGGUGCCUAGUUCGGGAUCGAUUCAGGGCCUUGUCGCAUGUUGGGUUCUUUUCUAUUUUGGCGCCGUAGUCGGGCCAUGAGUGUUUGUUUGAUGGAUGUUAUUUAUGUACUCUGAUGUGACGUGGCGAGUGUAAGCCAACUAUGUUAUCUCCCCCUUUUAUUAUGUAUUACAUGGGAUGUUGUAAUGAUUGCCUGACUUGCGACAUUGCUUUCAAUGCGGUUAUGUCUCUAAGUCGUGCCACGACACGUGGGAGCUAUAGCCGCAUCGAGGGCGUUACAGAGAUCUACAUAUCCGUAUCGCCAAUUGCCUUCCACGCCAAGGAAAGUCCCAUCCGGACACGGGACGAAGUCUUCAAUCUUGUAUCUUCAUAGUCCAGGAGUCCGGCCAAAGGCUAUAGUCCGGCCAUCCGGACACCCCCUAAUCCAGGACUCCCUCAAGGGGUGUGGCGUACCGCAAAAUGGGACUCCACGGGAUACUGUUCAUCUCCACCGUUGACCUCCUCCAGCCUUCACGGGCUACUGUUCAUCCACCGUCGACCUCCUCCAGCCUCCACCUACGACUGUUCAUCCACGGGCUCCUGUUCAUCCAGCCUCCACCGCGUGCUACUCCACCGGCUACCAUUCAACCAGCCCUAUCCACGGGGUCCUGUUCAACCACCCCUCCAUGGGCUACUAUUCAUCCAGCCCUCCACCGGCUACUGUUCAACCAGCCCUCCACGGGGUCGUCCUAUUCAUCCAACCCUCCACGGGGUCCUGUUCAUCCAGCCCCAACCGACUCAAUCGGGAUCAUGUUCAUCCAGAGGCAACACCAUGGGGUCCUGUUCAUCCACCCCCACCGGGAACUGUUCAUCCAAACCCCCCAACAACGCUCAUUGUUCAUCAAGGGAAGGAGGCAGCAGGGUUCGAUCGGCUUCAGUUAGCAGCAGUAGCGAAGGAAUCACUCGGGUUCAGUAACAUAGCUAGUGUAAUCUCUCGGGUUCAGUUAGAGGCUUAGAUCCCAACGUCUCGCUCGUCUUCAGUUAGAUCCCAACGCCUCGCACACACACGCAUAUGUGUACGAGAGAAACGCGCAUCACUUGGCCCCCGACCACCCACCGUAACCGGGAACUCCCCAAAAUUUUCCUCGCCCUCGCUUAUACCACGGUCUUUUCCGUCAUGGACGGCCCAAAGAAUGUCAUGCAGCUGCGUCUCUGGCCCGUCCAGGACGAAAAGCCCAUUUUUUGUCAUGAUUUUUUGUCAUAGAAGUAGGAGCCCACCACAUCUAUGAUGAUACCGGGUUUUGUCACAAUUAUCGUCAUAGAAGUUUCAUAAGUAAGACAGAAAAAAAAUUCGUUCGGCCCAAAAUGUCACAGAUGUGUCUUUUUUUGUAGUGGAUCUUGCAUGUUCGUAGGAUUUAUUUUAAAAUUACUGCGUUCCCCAACACAAUUUAUACCUUACUCUAAAGGAGUAGAUGCUAAGACCAAUAACUCAACAUGAUGAUGCAACCACAAAUUUAAAAUGAAGCAAGCAGACCGAACAAAAAAUUGCAAAAGGCUCAGAUUGGUUCGCAUAUGAUGAUCUAACCCCCAAAAGUUUUGUUGCUUUUUCAUGGACAGUAGAUAUGGAGAACAUAUGCGAUCUAGACUACAAGAAACUAGAAAAUCUAUCUGAGCAACUUGGAAAUUUGGUACCACUUGAUAGAAGCGAAGGUGUCACAUCUUUCGAUGAGAACUAUGAUUUUUUGUGGAAGUUGACUUUGACGAUCCGACUAGGAAAGAUGUCGCGCCUUAGAAUUCGUUAAACCAACUAGAGGUUAUUGAUCACGGGGGCACGAUCAACCUAACCACAAGGGUCUAUUUCUUGUAGGCAAAUGAAGAACAAGUAAGAAACUAAUAUUGCAAUCCGGAUAUUGUGAAUUUAGAAGGAAAAAAAUAUUGAUCAAAGUGGGGUUCUGGAAUGUCUUGGCCUGAUCAUUGGACACAAACAAAGCACGUGUGUUGCACUAUGGCAAACUUUAAUCUGAACAAAACCUAAAUCUAAUCGAUGCCUUGAGGGCUAUAUUUAUAGGGGAAAAGAGAGGGGAUUUCGUUGACCCUUGCAAGGUCGGACUAAAACACCUCCUGAGCCGUUUCACCUACAAUAUGGACUAUAAAAACAACUUAUCAAGUAUUAUUUCAAAAUUACAUGGGCCUGGCCCAAAAUAAGGUGGCGCAACACCUAUAUUAAGCUAUCGACGAAAUUUAUGAAAGACCAUCUCGUAUAUUUUGUUCAUGUCCUUGUAUGUAAUCAUGGUGGCUUCAAAGUGCUGAAAACUCCACUCAAAACUCCGUUCUUAUUCCCCUUGGGCGUGUCAUCAUCUCCAUGCUUGAUCAUGCUCCCAUAUUCAUCCUUUUUGUCCAUGCUAGGCCCUUCAUUCGUAAGCAAAACAAAUGUAUCCAAUUUAGGCAACAUCAUAUUCUUGUGAACAUUAGAAUCAUUACCUAGAAACUAAAGUACCUGGUAAUUUAAUUUGCAUGCGCAAGCUCUAGUAAUUGGUCCAAUAGGUGUAGCAGCAGGGGCUGUGGGUGUAACUGUAUUAAUGACGUCCUCACCAAUUGGCAUAUCAAAUUACUCACACAUAAUGGGCGAAUCGCAAGAGGAAACCAUCAAAGAAGACAUAAAGUUGAAUGCUUUAUUGAUAAUAUGUCAUACAAUGGUUGUCGGAUGUGUUACACGAUUACAAAGUGUGAAAACUUGGAGGGAAUAUGUUGUAGUGAUGGUGGCGGCUAUGACGAUGAGAUGGAGAAGGCGACUAGGGUUGAAAGAUGCCUUUUUCUCUCUCUUUUUGACACUCUCCUUGUUCUCUCCGUUGUGAGUCUGAUGCUGACCCCUUUAUAAUUGCUCGGAGGUUGGACCUUAUGGAGCCACCAACAAUUGGUACGAGCGCUGGUAUGAGUGUGUGCGCUCGUACCAGACGUCGUCUUAUAUUCUGGAUAGGUCGUCGCUCCUCCAAUUUCCUUCAUCCCUUCUAUGUCUUCCUUAUUUAAUUCUAAGUGAUAGUUAUCUUCAUAUUUGGCCUCUUUUCUUGAGGAAACAAACUAAAAAAUUAUUUCGCGAUCUCUCGCAUUCAUUAGUCAAAGAAGUGAUUUUCUCGGGAUUUCCAGGACUAUCCUGUUUAAGCAAUGGUAUGAUGAGCAUAAAUAUAUCACUCAUCAGUAAUGCAAACGCUUUUUAAUUAUUGCACAAUGGAGGUUAAAUUAUUGAAUAUUUUGCGAGCACAAACAUGUUCUAAGUUAAUCACCGAGACUCUAAAGGGAAUACUUAAUUAGCAAGAUUUUUCAAAAUUUAACAUAAUCUAAUUGGCACCCUAUAUUUGCAUGAUCCUCUAGUUGGUAAAGAUUUUAGCAUGAGAAAGAUAGACCGUCUACCCCUCACAAUGUGCAUGCAUAUAAAUGUAUGAUAUUGUAAGUAAAGCACCUAAGUAAACCAUAAAUAAGUGUUAAGUAAGAUGAUCAUACGAGCUUUACCGUCAUAGUCACUUAUCAUAUUUCAUCAUUAUCACCCAGUUGCUCGAGUGAAUAAUUUCCCAAAAUAAUAAGCAAGUGUAACGAGGACCAUGUACAAGGAGUUAUAUUCUGCAAGGAAAAACAACAAUACAAAUAAGAAGGAUUUUUUUUGGAUUCUCUGGUUAACAAAAAUAAAACAAUUUAUAUACAAGAGAGAAGAAAGCGAGUAAAAAGCACCUAAAAAGAAGAACAAAAGAUAACAACCGAUAAACCAAAUAACCAAGAGAAACCUUUUUGGAUUUUGUUUUUGUUUUUACACCUGAUAAAAUGCAAAGAAACAACACAAGACUCAAAAAGAACCAAAGAAAGAUCAAGAAGAACUAACAAGAAAAGCAAGCGAGAAAAAGAGCAAAGCAAUUCUUUUUGAAUUUUUGAAAGGCCUAAGAAAGAAGAAAACAAUUAUAGUAAGUUCUUUUUAUUUUCUUAAACAUUUAGAACAACAAGAACAACCAAAAAACAUAAGGAACAUAAAUAUUUUUCUUAUUUUCAAAUAAUCACAAGUCAAACCAAAAGGAACAAGAGAAGAAUGAAUGUAAUGUUUUUGGACUUUUCUUUGUAAAUAAGCAUAAGAAGCAACUAAGAACCAAAUAAAAACAACAAAAUCAAGCAAAGACAAAAGCAAAGAAAUAAUGAAAUAUUCUCGGUAAUUUGUAAGUUCAAGAAUGAAAAGAAAGAAAGCAAAAUCUACAGCAAUAUAAAUCAUUUUUACAAUGAAACAUGUAGGCUGAAAAAUGAUUAGACCAACAAACUAUGAGACAUUUAAGAAAGGCAUUUUGGGUUCAUUGAAUACAUUUUUUUAGGGUUUUAGCCCUUUAUUUAUUUUGGAGGCUUUUAAAUUCCUCAAUUCAAAAUUCUUUGAACUUAGACAUGGUGCAUGGAUGCUUCUAAAUGCAACUAUCUACACUUCAAAGCACACUUGCUCCCUUGGUGGUUUUGGUAAUUAAUGACAACAUACAUAUUGUUGGACUAAUAUUUUACCUAGAAUAUAUCAGAUAAGUUCAAUAGCGGCAUGGCAAUGACAUGAGGAUGCAGACCCCUUCAAAAUGCUAAGGACAAGGAUUGGCAAAAGCUCAAGACUCUACAUUUUUGGUUGAGUGAUCCAAGAUCACAUUGAGUCCAUAGGAAAGCCAAUACUAUUAAAAGCGGAUGAGGUUUUGAUGAUGAUCUCGUUGCUCAAGUGCUUAGUGAUAUUGCUCCAAAACCCCUAGCCACUUUCUCUAUCCAAACUUGUUUAAAACCCUAAAAGCCAAUUCGGUCCCACCAAAACCUAUCUAUUCGGACCCACCGAGUUCAUCUAGACAGUGCCACAGCCAAACCCUAACAAAUUGGAUCCAUUGAUAUGGAUCUUGGCCCCACCGAGAUGGCCUUGCCAACUCUCUGUCAUCUGUUGCAAUUAUUUCGGUCUAACCAAGUUUUGCAAUCGGUGCCACCAAGAUGGCUUACCAACUUUCUGUUGCCUUAUUGCUUCACCUUGGUCUUUAAGAUGAUGUAAUCCGUGCCACCAAAAUGAGGUUUUCCCUACCAUAGCACAUCGGUUGCUCCAAGUUGUUUUCCAUUCGGUCCCACCGAAACCUCAAACAUUCACAUCUUUUACACAAGUCGCUCUCACCGAGAAUUCCAAUUGGUGCCACUGAGUUUGGUCAAAAGGGUGUAACAGUUGGAUUUCGUGUGGAAGCUAUUUAUACCCUCCCACCCCCUCUUACACAGUAAGAGAGCCAUCAGAACGAAGCUACACUUCCGCCAUUCAUUUUCUGAGAGAGAACCACCUGCUCAUGUGUUGAGUUCGGGAUAUUCCAAUCCAACCAUUUGAACCUUGAUUUCUAGCCUUCCCCAAGUUGUUUUCCACUCAAAUCCUUCUUCCACCAUAGCCAAAUCUAUGAGAGAGAGUGUUGGGGAGACUAUCAUUUGAAGCACAAGAGCAAGGAGUUCAUCAUUUACACACCAUCUAUUACCUUUUGGAGAGUGGUGUCUCAUAGAUUGGUUAGGUGUCACUUGGGAGCCUCUAACAUGAUGUGAAGUUGAACCAAGAAGUUUGUAAGGGCAAGGAGAUCGCCUACUUGAUGAAGAUCAACCCGAGUGAGGCUAGUCCUUCCUGGACCGAAGCCAUGGUGGAAUAAACAAGGUUGUUCGUGGACCCUUCAUGGGUGGAGCCCUCCGUGGACUCGUGCAGCCGUAACCCUCCGUGGGUUGAAGUCUCCAUCAACGUGGACAUACGAUAGAACCACCUAUUGGAACCACGCCAAAAAUCUUUGUCUCCAUUGCGUUUGCACUCUCCAACUCUCAUCCCUUUUUACUUUCUUGCACUUGCGUGCUUUACUCAUUUCACUACUCAUACUCUUGGUAUGCUUGUGUAAAUUGCCUCUCAUUCACCUUAAUUUGUGUUAAACUCAACUUGAACUUGGAGAAAAUUAAAAACUACAACUUUGACUUGUGUAGGGUAUAAUCACCCCCCUCUAGACCCCUCUUCUCGAUCCUACAAUUGGUAUCGGAGCAAAGGUCUCCAUUUCUUUGGUUUAACUACCUUUGGAGGAAGAUGGAUGAGUCUACGUUUGGGAGUAUUAGAUAUAGAGUGCCUAUCCUUGAUGGGGAGUUUUAUGGUGCUUGGAAAACUGAAAUGCUUGGUAUUUUCAUUGAAUAUAAUUUGAGUAUAUUCUUAGCCCUUAUGUGCCUCCUAUUGAUCCUUUGCAUCCAACCCUCGAUGAAGAACUUGACAUGCUACAUGAUCUUAGAACUGUCAGCCUCAUUGUUAUAGGAUUACCUAGAAAUGUGCUAAGACUUACGCGGAACUUUGAGUGUGCAUACACUAUGUGGAGUGACCUUGAAAAAUGCUAUCCCAAUUACUCCUUAAAGAAUCUCAAUGAAGUUCUUCAUAAGUCCAUUGCCUUUCAUAAGAUGAAGCCCAGUGAUCCUAAGUCUGAUGAACGUCUAGUUGAGCUUCGUGAUCUUAUGCGUGCUAAGGGUAAUGUUGGAACUGUUAGCAACAUUAUCAUGGAAACCAGUAGAAUUCACAAACUUGCAUAUUGUCAUGAUCAAAAAUCUAACAAAUCACUUGACCUGGGUGAUGAUCAUAUGCAUGAUGAUGAUGAUGAUGUAGAGCAUGGCUAUUAUGAUGAAGAUGAAGAACUCGACAUCGAAUAUGAGAAGACUAUGAGAAAUCUUAGUCUCAUGGCCAAUCUUCAGAACUACAUGGCCGGAGGAAAAGAGUGGACUCUCGAUAGUGGUUAUACCGACCACAUGACUGUAGAUAGAGACAUGUUUUGUGAGCUUGCACAAAAGGAUGGUCCACGCAAGUAUGUGACUUUUGGAGACAACUUCAAGGGUAAGGUGGUCAUAUCCAAUGAUUUCUCUAUUGAAAAUGUUAUGCUCGUUGAGUCUCUUGGUUACAAUCUUCUUUACGUAUCUAGACUAGCCGACUUUGAUUUCAAUAUUCUAUAUACCGAAAUAGAUUGCCAAGUGUUUUGUCGAGAUAAUCAUAAUAUGGUCUUUACCGGUAUCCGUAGAGGUGAUCUAUACAUUGUUGAUUUCACUAAAAGAGCCCAACCUCAUACUUGUCUUAUUGCAAGAUCUUCGAAAGGUUUUCUAUGGCAUGGAAGACUAGGACAUGUUGGCAUGCAAAAUCUUGAUAGACUUGUUAAAGGAGAUCAUGUCAUUGGUGUUAAAGAUGUUAUAUUUGACAAGGAUAGACUUUGUAGUGCUUGCCAAGUAGGAAAACAAGGUGGAGGAAGUCAUCUUGUGAAGAACAUCAUGACCACAAGGAGACCACUUGAGCUACUUCAUAUGGAUCUCUUCGGUCCCAAUGCUUACAAGAGCCUUGGUGGUAACUCUUUUGGUUUGGCCAUUGUUGAUGAUUUUUCAAGAUUUACGUGGGUGUUCUUUCUUGAUGACAAGUCACAGGUACAAAACAUCUUCAAGAACUUCGCUAGGAAGGCCCAAAACCAAUUUGAAGUGAAGAUCAAGAAGGUUUGAAGCAACAAUAGAACGGAGUUCAAGAACACUAAUGUAUAUACCUUGCUCGACAAAGAAGGCAUCUCACAUGAGUUCUCAGCUACGACACGCCUCAACAAAAAUGGAGUUGUUGGGAGGAAGAAUCGUACCCUUAUUGAGAUGGCAAGAACGAUGCUAGAUGAAUACGAGACACCAAAACACUUUUGGGCGGAAGCGGUUGAGACAGCUGGUCAUGCUACACAUAGACUUUAUAUUCACAAGCUUUUCGGCAAGACAAAUACGAGCUACUCACCGGUAACAACCCCAAGUUGGAUACUUUUGAGUAUUUGGCUCAAAGUUUUACAUUCUUGAUAAGCAUCGGCAUUCAAAAUUUGCUCCUAAAUCUCAUGAAGGUUCCCUACUCGAUUAUAGAUUGGACUCUCACACUCACCAUGUCUACAACAACUUCACUCGAAAAGUUGAAGAGACGGUAGAUGUGAAGUUUAAUGAAUAUAAUGGCUCGCAAGUAGAACAAUUGCCAAUUGAUGUAGGAGACAAAGAUCCUUUGGAAGCAAUUCAAGAUUUGUCUAUUGGCAAGAUCCAUCCAACAAACAUGAAGAAGAGCACUUUGUUCGUUCAAGUGGAAGCCUCAACUUCACAUCAAGGUGAACCGCAAGUUGACAUGGAGACAUCCACAAGUGGAACACGUCAAGACGAAGGAAAUGAGGAAGUGCAACAAGAUGAUCCACCUCAACCUCCUUCUCCACCUCCACAAGUGAACAACGACACCAACAACAAUGAAGAAGAAGAUGAUUGCGAGGAUGCUUCACCACGACCCAAGCAAAAGCUACCUCGAGUUAGAGCAAGGAUUGACAAGCAUCAUCCUGUCGAACAAAUUCUUGGUGAUAUCGAAUCUGGGAGAAGCACUCACUCUAAAUCUCGUUUAGCUAACUUUUGUGAGCAUUACUCAUUCAUCUCUAGUAUUGAGCCUAUGAAGGUUGAUGAAGUCAUCAAAGAGCCCGAUUGGGUGAAUGCUAUGCAUGAAGAACUACACAACUUCAAGAGGAAUCAAGUGUGGACACUGGUUGAGAAGCCCAAAUAUGAACAAAACGUCAUCAGAACCAAAUGUGUGUUCCGGAACAAGCAAGAUGUGGAUGGACAAGUCAUACGCAACAAGGCUUGUCUCAUUACACAAGGCUACACUCAGGUCGAAUGUAUGGACUAUGGUGAGACGUACGCCCCCGUUGCUAGACUUGAGUAUAUUAGCAUCUUACUUGCUUAUGCUAGUCACCAAGAUAUCACCCUCUAUCGAAUGGAUAUUAAAAGUGUUUUUCUACAUGGUGAAAUUGAGGAGGAAAUUUAUGUAAAAUAACCUCCUAUCUUUGUUAAUCAAAAGAAACCAAAUCAUGUUUACAAACUUUACAAAGCUCUAUAUGGUCCUAAACAAGCGCCUAGAGCUUGGUAUAAAUGCUUGAAAAAGUUUCUUCUUGAAAAAGGUUUCCAGAUUGGUAAAAUUGAUUCAACCUUAUUCACUAAGAGAGUAAAUGAUGAACUAUUUGUGCGCCAAAUAUAUGUUGCUAAUGUUAUUUUUGGAUCUAUUAACCCUCUCUUUAGUGAAAAGUUUGGAAGGUUGAUGUUGGAAAAAGUAUGGCAUGUCUAUGAUGUGUGAACUAAAAUUCUUCCUUGGUUUGCAAAUCAAACAAACUCGGGAUGGUACCUUUGUUUCACAAACAAAGUAUACAAAGGAUCUAUUCAAAAAGUUCAACAUGCAAGAAAGCGAAGGUAUGAAAACCCCCAUGCCUACAACCGGACAUCUUGACUUGACUAAGGAUGGCAAACCCGUUGAUCCAAAGGUUUAUCUCUAUGGUUGGUUCUUUGCUAUAUCUAUGUGACUCUCGUCCCGACAUUAUGCUAGUGUGUGCGUGUGUGCACGAUAUCAAGAGGCACCCAAAGAGUGUCAUUAAGGCCGUGAAAAGGAUUGUGAGAUACUUGAUACAUACACCAAACUUUGGCAUUUGGUAUCCCAAGGGAUCUUCUUUCAAACUUGUUGGCCGACUCGGACUAUGUCGAAGACAAAGUUGACAAAAAAUCCACUUCGGGUACAUGUCAAUUCCUUGGUAUAUCUCUCGUGUCUUAGUCUUCCAAGAAACAAAAUUAGGUAUCUCUAUCCACCGUCGAAGCAGGAUACAUCGUCACGGGAUCAUGUUGUGCUCAAUUACUAUGGAUGACACAAACUCUCAAAGAUUAUGGGAUACAUGUGAAAUAUGUGCAUUACUUUGUAACAGUGAGAGUGUUAUUAAGAUUGCACACAAUCCCAUGCAACAUUCUCGAACUAAGCAUAUUGAGGUUCAUCACCAUUUCAUUCGAGAUCCUGUUGCUAAAGGUGUACCAACAACGAAUUGAGAAGUGAGUUGAACGUCAUUGAUGCUUCCAAUGUGAACUAGACACUCACUUGGAUGCAUGCAAGGGCAUGAGCUAUUAUGACUAAACCUUGGUAUCACCCUUAUGUUAAUCAUUUUAUAUCUUGGACACUUUGCUCCCUUGUAUUUGCAUAUAACCCUUGUAGGUACUUGAUGAAUCUCUCUCCACAAGAUUGCAAAUCAAUCAUAUCAUAAGCAAUCUUGUCAUGACCAAGUAUCUAUGCCUUGGUUGUCGUGCUCAAGGAACAAUCCUGUUCUCAACAUAUCCUUUGACAAUAUCUUAUGAUGAAAUUCACUCUCGUCAACUUGGAUACGUAAAUGUUGUUCUUUGCAAGACUAACCCAUGUAGGAAGAUGAACUCCAAAUGGUCAAGAAAUGCUCCCAACACAACACUUAUGAGCAUUCAUCACAAGUUCAACUACAUGAUCAAGUUCAACAACAAGUCUAAGGUAUGCCUUUUCAUCUUCGAGAAGCCUUGCUUCAAGACAUGAGCUAAAGCAACUCAACAAGAUGUGACUACAUAAAAAUGCUUAAAUGAAAAAUGGUAACCCAUUUUGAGAUUAACGAUGAGUAUGACCUAUGAUCAAGUGAACUCACUUGACUCCUAAGUCAAUAUACUUUAACAUAGGUGACUUAGUCACCGACCACCCUCUAGAUGAAGUUCCUGAAGUGUUCUCUUCUUUUGCACCUCUUUUGUCUUUUCUUGGCUAGAGUGUUUCCUUCUCGAAAAAAACUUCAUCUAGAUUUCUUCUCUUUCUUUUCUGUGUUCUUUUUCCUUAGUUAGUUUCUUGUCAAUUCAUUGCAAAUCUUAUUCGAAUUCCCUGAAAUUCCUUGUGAGAUCUCUAUUGCAAGUGAGAUGAGUUGACAAAAUUUCCUCUCUAUGUUGAACUCGACCUCUCCGAUCUGAAGCCCAUCGGUCACACCGAAGUGCAAAUAAACCCUGCACAUAGUUCAGUGGUGCCACCGAAAAGGACUAUUUCGGAUCAACCAAUGUGCUCUGUGUGUGAUUUCUCAAUCUCGGAGUCACCGAUCGAAAUCAAUUGCCGAUUCACUGCUGAAAAGAAAUGUUUUUUCAAACCUAUUUAUUCUUUCUUUCCAGCUCCACUCGAUGACCCUUUCUCUCUGUCUGCAUCUAAAACUGCAUAUUGCCUAGCUGUGCUUAUCCAGGACCACACUCACUUGACACAUAACAUUGAAGCCAACCCUUCUUGGAAAUUGAUGUCAAAGGGGGAGAGAGUUGCACAUCAAAGCUUAUUAGAUGCAUUUCCAAAAUAGGAGAGAAUAUGCAUAUCUCUAAGAGGGGGAGAUAUGUUCAUAGUUUAAUAGUUGAUUUCUUCUCAUUUUCUCCAAUUUUGUCUCACCCUACCUACUCCCAUUAUCAAUUGCUAGAUUCAGGGGAAGAGGAAGGUUAAGUUUAAGGGAGAAAAAUCCUUGAAAGUCUAGUGAAAAUCCUAUUAAACCUUUGGGACAUGUCUAUAUCUAAAGAAGUACCCACCAAGUGAUACUCAUCCAAUACAUGUCAUCCCAGUCUUGGUAUUGUUGUGAAUAUUUUCAUAUUGAAUUUUUCUUGUGUCAUCUAACCUUUUUUUCUCAAGAUUACUUCUUCAAGAACUAGUUCAAGAAUCUCAAGGUAAGUAUAUGCAUCUAACUCAUGUGCAUGAUGAUCUCUUGCUUAUUGCACAUAUUAUUUGUAAGAAAGAAUCAAGGACAUGAAGGUUAUUUCUCUCAUCAUGUUGCUCUGAUGCAUAUAGCCGAGAUACAUGUAACUCAUCACUCAUUCAUUCCUGUUGUGCAUUCGCAUCUCUUUAGCCUCCACCAUAAGCAUGAUUGCACACUUAUAGGGGGAGCAUAUGCAUGUUACAUGUUCCUUCAAAGCUUUAAUGUACUACAUACAAUAGUCUCAUUUGAAGCUUUGAUGUAUNNNNNNNNNNNNNNNNNNNNNNNNNNNNNNNNNNNNNNNNNNNNNNNNNNNNNNNNNNNNNNNNNNNNNNNNNNNNNNNNNNNNNNNNNNNNNNNNNNNNNNNNNNNNNNNNNNNNNNNNNNNNNNNNNNNNNNNNNNNNNNNNNNNNNNNNNNNNNNNNNNNNNNNNNNNNNNNNNNNNNNNNNNNNNNNNNNNNNNNNNNNNNNNNNNNNNNNNNNNNNNNNNNNNNNNNNNNNNNNNNNNNNNNNNNNNNNNNNNNNNNNNNNNNNNNNNNNNNNNNNNNNNNNNNNNNNNNNNNNNNNNNNNNNNNNNNNNNNNNNNNNNNNNNNNNNNNNNNNNNNNNNNNNNNNNNNNNNNNNGGUGGGGGGGGGGGGGAUAGAAAGCACACUUGCUCCCCUGGUGGUUUUGGUAAUUAAUGUCGACAUACAUAUUGUUGGACUAAUAAUUUUACUUGGAAUACUUUAGAUUAGUUCAAAAGUGGCAUGGCAAGGACAUGAGGAUGUGGCCCCCCUUCAAAAUGCUAAGGAAAUGGAUUGACAAAAGCUCAAGACUCUACAUUUUUGGUUGAGUGAUCGAAGAUCACAUUGAGUACAUAGGAAAGCCAAUACUAUUAAAAGCGGAUGAGGUUUUGAUGAUGAUCUGGUUGCUCAAGUGCUUAGUGAUAUUGCUGCAAAACCCUCAGCCACUUUCUCUAUCCAAAAUUGUCCAAAACCCUAAAAGCCAACUCGGUCCCACCAAAACCUAUCUAUCCGGACCCACCGAGUUCAUCUGGACAGUGCCACGGCCAAACCCUAACAAAUCAGAUCCACCGAUAUGGAUCUUGGUCCCACCGAGAUGGCCUUGCCAACUCUGUGUCAUCUGUUGCAAUUAUUUUGGUCUAACUGAGUUUUGCACCCUGUGCCACCGAGAUUGCUUGCCAACUUUCUGUUGCCUUAUUGCUUCAUUUCGGUCUUACCGAGAUGAUGCAAUCGGUGCCACUGAAACGAGGUUUGCCCUACCAUUGCACAUCGGUUGCUCCGAGUUAUUUUCCAUUAGGUCCCACUGAAACCUCCAACAUUCACAUCUUUUACACAGGUCGGUCUUACUGAGAAUUCCAAUCAGUGCACCGAUUUUGGUCAAAAGUGUGUAACGGUUGGAUUUCAUGUGGAGGCUAUUUAUACCCCUCCGCCCACUCUUACUCAGUAAGAGAGCCAUCAGAAUGAAGCUACACCUCCACCAUUCUUUUUUUAGAGAACCACCUGCUCAUGUGUGGAGAUCAAAAGAUUCCAAUCCAACCAUUUGAACCUUGAUUUCUAGCCUUCCCCAAGUUGAUUUCCACUCAAAUCCUUCUUCCACCAUAGCCAAAUAUGUGUGUGAGAGAGAGAGAGUUGAGUGUUGGGGGGGACUAUCAUUUGAAGCACAGGAGCAAUGAGUUCAUCAUCUAGACACCAUCUAUUACCUUUUAGAGAGGUGGUGUCUCCUAAAUUGGUUAUGUGUCGCUUGGGAGCCUCCAACGUGAUGUGAAGUGGAACCAAGAAGUUUGUAAGGCCAAGGAGAUCGCCUACUUCGUGAAGAUCUACCCGAGUGAGGUUAGGCCUUCGUGGACGGAAGCCAUGGUGGAAUAAACAAGGUUGCUUCUUUGUGGACCCUUCGUGGGUGGAGCCCUCUGUGGACUCGCGCAACCGUUACCCUCAGUGGGUUGAAGUCUCCGUCAACGUGGACAUACGAUAGCACCACCUAUCGGAACCAUGCCAAAAAUCUCCAUGUCUCCAUUGCGUUUGCACUCUCCAACUACCACCUCGUUUACUUUCUUACACUUGCAUGGUUUACUCAUUCCGCUGCUCAUACUCUUCGUAUGUUUGUGUAAAUUGCCUCUCACGCGCCUUACCUUGUGUUAAAGUCAAGUUGAACUUGGAAAAAAAUUUAAAAACUGCAACUUUCACUUGUGUAGGGUCUAAUCACCCCCCUCUAGACCCCUCUUCUCGAUCCUACAACACUAUUUAUUCUAGGGUUGUGACACAAACGAAAAGCACAACAAGUUUACGAAAGGAUAAAACAUAUAAGGUAUAUCAAGGAUGACGAAAAAUGGAGGCAUACGUACUCCCCAAGGUUGCCUUUUGUCCAAGGCUUGGCAAUCUCACUGUCUUGGACCACCGGAUAGUAGAACAGUGGAGGUGGUUGAUACGCUGCCUGCUGAGCCGCUUGUUGGUCUAGUUCCUCCUCCUCAUAAUACUCUAUCGCGGCCGUGUUAGUCACGUUCCAUCUUCUCUGGUUUGAACAUGAAAGAAAAAUGUGCAAGAAAGUGGCACGGUUUGAGAGCAAUUGUUCCUGUUAGUAACAAAAGUAUAUCCAUAAGGUCCUCUCACAUCUUCAAAUGUUUAAGUAGUGAUGAUUUUUCAAUGCGAGGGCAUCCAAAUAUUUAGAACAAGAUGCUUCGUAAUUAUUUGUGGUGUCAAGCGCACUCAACCGCACACAAAGUGGCAAUAACACCACAACAAACAUUAUAACUUGUGCUACCCGAAAGAGCAUGCACAAAUAACUCGUAAAUUAUCCCUGGUGCUAAACCAAAGAUAAACGUUGCACGUAAGAAUAUGAAGAUCAUGCAUGUUGAUAGCGAGGUGGCAUUUAGGUUGCACGUAAGAAUAUAGUAGGGUCCUAGGUGGCCGUUCAUGGUAAUUGAGAAGGUGGAGAUCGGAGAGUCCAGAUGUGUGAGCUUUAAGAAUGAAUCAUUUGUUACAAUGUUUGCAAUGAUGAGGAAGAUACAAGGCAUAGAGGAUCAUCCUAUCUCAUCACAUCACGUCAAGAUGUCAAAUAGCCCCAGAUGCUAUUCAAAUGCCUAUUAAAGACAAAUCCUAUCACGCCACAAAGAUAGGAGAGCCAAAUUUAACUUUAGCAUUUAGGCAGCUAAUUCGGACGAAUUUCGUGCUAAAAACACGGUACUAUGCAUCACAUAUUGCUUAUCCUUUUUUUUGAGGGGUACAUAUAUUGCUUUUUUAGGGAAAUGUCAUCAUGGCGGUCUAUAUUUCAUGUGAGAAUAAAGAUACAUCGUUUGUUAAAACAUCCACUAAGAAACCCGGGGGCUCCGAUUUCCAAACAAUUGUUCAAGACACCUCCGAGUUCUUAGCUAGCAGUUCUGCCGCCAUAUUGGCUUCUCGAGGGCAAUGGCUAAAAACUACAGAGAUAAAAUUGCUAGAUAAGAAAGUGCAUUCUUCAUAUAUUGCCGCUGCUGGUCCUGGUGAAUUCCCACCACUCAGCAUGAUCUCGAUUACCUCCAAACAGUCCGCUUCAACAUAAAGUUUGUUCCAACCAACUUCAUUCGCUAGUAGGAGGCCAUCUCCUAGUCCUCUAGCAUCUACCAUCGUUGUGUCUUCCACAAAGGGUAUAUAUCACUGCAGGAAGCAGCGACAAAGAAACCGGCCUCAUCACGCAGCACUGCUCCCGUACCCCCUGUACCAGUGUCCUAAUCAAAUGCUGCAUCGACAUUAAGUUUGAGGACGCCCUUAGGCGGUUUGGACCAGCCAUGUCUUUUAAUUUUAGUUUGCUUCAACCUUGCUCGUGAAAAGUUCUGCGCUAAAGUUGAUAUAGCUUGGGCCGACCUGGCCGACUCAUAGAUGUUCUCACCGUGUGUGUAUUUGCGUCGUUCCCACCAUGCAUACCAGAUUGUUGUGGCCACUAGAUCAUUGCGCUGGACAUCAGCCACCAGUGGACAUAUGGUACUUUUGGAUAGUAGGAGAUCGACCAUCUCUCUCUACUGUGCUGAUUUCAUUCACUAGCUCCUGUAGUCCAAGAAUUCGCCAGAUUUCCCGCACCCUCGGGCAUAGAAACAUGGCAUGCCUAAUGCUCUGACAGUCCGAACUACAAAGGGGAAACUGGGAGCUUGUAAUCAUAUGUCUGUUCGCUAAAACACCACAACAAGGAAUAGCUCCAAGCAAAGUCCUCCAACACAUGGAUUUUGAUUUUUGAUGGCACACACAAUUUCCAAACGGUACGCCAGACUGGACUAGUACUUGAGGCUUGUAAUGAGUUUGUCGCCCUCAACUUGUAUAUUGGUUAAGCAAGGAAACAAAUCUUCAAAGAAAUAAAAGGGAAGUUUAUAAAAAGAGGGAAAAAAGAAAAGGCCCAAAAGCAGCCCAUAGAGGCAUUGACACAGCCGUUUGAAACGAAAGAGAAAAGUCGGAAGAAGAAAGAGGAGAAAAGAAAAGGCGAAACCUCCCGCGAGACCGAGAAGAAAAAGCCGGCAGGGCAGGCGGGCUGGUGGUGGUGGUGGUGGUGGGAGGCGCGCGCGGGUGGGGUGGGCGUCGUGGGCGGUGGCAGCACAAACAAGCAAACCUUCCAAUUUACUCCUCCCCACCUUCCCAUCCUCCUCCUCCUCCUCCUCCUUCCCCCCUUCCCCAAAUCUCAAAAUUCCCGAUUCCCGUUCCGAGCCAUACCAAAGCUCACGAGCACACGCCACGUGAUUCCGAUCCUGCUAGAGGAAUCCCGAGGCUCGGCAUGCGGCGGGGCGGCGGCGCUGCGACGGCCGUUGCGGCUGCGGCGGAGGCGGAGGGGGACGCGGGGGCGCGGUUCCGCGGCGUGCGGAAGCGGCCGUGGGGCCGGUACGCGGCGGAGAUCCGCGACCCGGCCAAGAAGGCGCGGGUAUGGCUCGGCACCUUCGACUCCGCCGAGGACGCCGCCCGCGCGUACGACGCCGCCGCGCGCAUGCUGCGCGGGCCCAAGGCCAAGACCAACUUCCCCCUCUCCCUUCCCCAUCACCACCAACUGCCGCCCAGCUACUCGCCCUACCCUGCCGCCGCUGUCCCGACGUCGGUCGCCGCGGCGGCGGCCAGGCCAGCCUGCAGCAGCCUGAGCUCCACCGUCGAGUCCUUCGGCGGGCCGCGGGCGCGGCCGGUGCUCCCGCCGCGGCCUCCGCCGCCGCCGAUCCUCGACGGCGACUGCCAUAGCGACUGCGGGUCCUCGGCCUCGGUGGUGGACGACGAUUGCGCGGACGCCGCCGCCUCGCCGUCCUGCGGUGCCCUGCUCCCGUUCGACCUCAACCUGCCCCCGGAGUUUGGCGGCGUUGCAUGUAACGACGACGACGAGCUGAAGCUGACGGCGCUGCGACUCUGAAGUCAGAACCACCCGGUGGUGGUUAGAGAAAAAGGAUAAGGAGAAAAAUAUUUGGUUCUUCCCUUCUCUCCAUAGCCAGCACGAUCCACCACGCUGUUGUUGCUGCUGCUCUUUACGUGAUCUGAUGAUGAUUAAUGUGGCCUGAUCUACGAAUCGGCCUGCUUGUUGCCGCUGGUAGCGGUGAUUAUUGCCGACUACCGCCGGCAGCUCGCUGUGGUUGUUGUAAUAUAGCAACAUUUUACUUGCUUCCUCUUGUGAGGAAGUAGACACCUAAAGUAACUUAUUUUCUUUUUUAGCCACAUGUGUUACUGUUACUCAUUUAGGCUCAUUUGUUUCGAAUUGAGAACAAAGGAAAACAAAGUUUUGUUUAUGAGAAUGAUACUGGGUGCUUAAAUGCUAGAAAAUUCGAGCUAAAAGUUGUUGUGUUAGAGGGAUGACCUUGAUCUUAAUUUCAACCUUGGUACAACCUUCUACCUGAAUACCCCCAUUAUUCUUCCAGUACUGUAAAUAGACUAACCUUACCAUGGUUCUCAUAAUGCUUAUGUUGCUAACAUGUGAAUUAUUCUUAUAUGUAGUUUUGGUUCUUAAAUCAAGUCUCACACUGAUGUAGAUGUCUGUCAUAGAACAAAGAGAAGUUUACUUUGGCUGCUCAAGAUGAUGGGAUGUUUGUCCUAUUCUAAUUCAUAUAAAGUAAGUUCACAAACUAAUUUGUUGUGGACACCUUCAGCUAUGAUUAAUGCAUCCGGCAUAAUUUAGGCCGAAUCAUUAGCAUGUAUAAUUGGGCAUACUCAUGAGCUGAAAUCAACAGACAAAACAACUGAUCAUGAUGACACAAGAUGCUAACAAGAUUAGUUCUGACAAUUAGCAAAGUUAUGCUAACAGCAAACUGUGAUGGAGUAACAUGAAAGUAAAAGGAUUUUGAAUAUACUCUUGUAUCAGUAGAUUUUUUGUUUCUGUUUGAUGUAUGAUAACGAGAUUAUAUUUGAUUGCUUAUUGGUUGUGAGGCCUACCCAAAAACCUCACAUUUCUUGGCAGUUGCAUAUGGCUGGCACAGCAAUGGUGAUCUACUGAUCCUAUUACGUAUAUCUUGUUACAUUCAUGUGAACAAAUAUCUAUCUACUUACGGCGUUAUUUGUAAUUAAAGGAUAGAAGCAACUUUUAUUAGCUUAAGCCUACCCACAAACCUCACAGUUCUUGCAACUUCCAUAUGGCUGGCGCAGCAAUGGUGAUCCACUGAUCCUAUUAUGUAUAUCUUUGUUACAUUCAUGUGAGCAAACAUCUAUCUACUCAGGGCUUUAUUUAUAAUUAGAGAAUAGAAGGAACUUUUAUUAGCUUAAUAAUCACAUUGUCUUUGUUGUACAGUAAUUUAUUUGUAUGUGGUGACAGAGUUCCACAUGAAUGGUAUUUUGACUGCCGUUUUACAUGAAUAGCACUCUGUGAUAUUACCAUUAGGAUAAGUUGAUUUUGUUACGGAAGACAUCUGGAACUCCACGUUCUUCUGGAUAUUCCAGUUUCCUGUUUUUUUGCAUCCAUCAGGAUAAAUUGGAUGACCAUUCAGAUGGUAAAUUUAUGAUAGCAGGUGCAUUGGGUUUGCCUAUGAAUAUAUGCUUGGAUACAUACAAGAAUGCACUGCAUCCUUCCCCUUAGUAACCGUGUUGAUGUUUUAGUUGACGUGGAAUUUUUUCCGGGUGUCUUCUAGAAAACAUGCUCUGCAAAUUUUAUCGUAACAUAUCUGAUUAUGCAAGCGGUCCAUUGUUAUUCACAUAUAAUUUUCGUGCUAUUCUCCUAGGAGCAGUGACGGACCAUGGCGCACCACAGUCAAGCAAUGUUGCUCAGUGGCUAAGUAUGUGCUUCUGGUCUUUUUCCAGUCAUAUGCUUUCUAGAGUUGAUGCUUAUAAGGUGGAUUGAAAUUCCUUAUUGUGCUAUUAGUUUGGCAAAUUCUAUGGAUCAUGAAAUUUAUAUUAUUACGUGUCGUCAUGCAAUUUGGCCUUGUCACAUGUCGCAUCACGUCUUUAAAGUACUGUAUUUGUGAACAGGCAUUAAGAAAAAUAAGUCAGAAUCAUGUGAGACACCUCCCGGUAUGCGCAACAUUAUAUGGUUAUUACUCCUAUAUCAGAAGCUUUGGGGUUCCAAUGGCAAAAUAUUUACAGUGCACUUUGUUAUUCCUUUCUUCAUGUUUGGUACAUUCAGCAAGGGAUACUACUGUACCUAACCAACCUCAAGUAUUGGAGAAAGGUGAUGUUUUGAAGCCAGCAGCUUCGUGAAUUACUAACAGUGCCAACAACAAAGCAGUGGACAUCCGUUGCAUCUUGGAGCGAUCUGUGCCUGGACAGCAGGGUGUGGAAUCAGCUAAGGUACAUGUGGGAUGUUGCCAAUUUGUGGGUGCUUCUUUUCUAGCUGUCAACAAUUUGCACAGAGGCUAUUUAUUUUUAGUUGUGAACACAGUACUCUAAUAUGUUGAUGCUGUUGAGCGAAGUUUAAUUCUCUAAAAAUGGGCUGUCGUUAGGAAUAUAGUAUCUGGAGAUAUCGUUGGAUUGACUUGCUUAUUUGCUUUCCUGUUAGUUCUUGGCAGCCCAAUCCUCUGUUAGCUGGGCUGCCCCGUUAUACUUUAGGACAUCAGGGCGCAUCCUAAUAUCAUCGACAUUCUAGCAGACACACUGCUAGUUACAACGGUAGCAAGAGCUAUUUUUUACUGCGAUUCAAGUUCAGUUAUAACCAAUUCUAUGAGGACGGCGAAAACCUUCGGACAAUCAGUUUCCUAACUUGCAGUGCUCUUCCUUGAAUCGUCUCUCUUGUGGCAGGAGUAUCUGCCGGGAGGAGGACCGGAUGCAUUACAAGAAAAGAAAGAAUAGUAAUGGUGCCUGCGUGCAAACAAUCUUUAGAACCGGGCUCUUGUGAAUCUGGGCGGUCCUACGCUCAAAGCCCAUAUCUCAGAUGCAUGCCCAUUGGAAUAGCCCAUCACCAGGACGAAAUUAUUCAUUUAGCGCAGUUCCCCUUUCCUCUCUUAUACCAACUUCACAUCCUAAACAACAAAAGGAAGGGCAAGCAAACCCGACCUGGUGAUCUUUUGAUCAUUUUAUUGAUGCGAUUUUCAGUGAAAGCUGAGAUGGGGCAAUUGUGGAGGGUCAACUAUUGUCUUAUUUUUCUUAUUCCUCUAUCCUAAAUUAACACUUGAUGAGGAUUAGUCAUGCAAACUGUACCAUGCCAUUCUCAUGUGCUCAUACGGUCAUACCAGCUUCUAUUUGAUUGUAGAUAUAAGGGGGGAAAAGUGUAUGUAGAAUAUCUGGUAGGCUAUAAUUAAAAGCCAAAAUGUCAUAUUACUGUUGAUGGGAUGAGAAAGAUAUUGUUCUCUUGGGAUUAAGUGUCUUGAGAAAACACUAAAAAUCCAGGUGACCUCCCUAUCUGCCUCAUCUCAAUAUUGUCAUUCAGAAGAUUUGUAAAUUAUGUAAUAAUUGUUAUUUGGAUCAUGCUUUAUAUUUCACAGUAAUCCAGGACAGUGAUUUCACUCAGAGGCUCUGGAUUAUCCAUAUAUUACUUUUCACUCAGUACGGAUUUCUUCGGUGCAUGUGUUCACAUGCUUGCUAUUAUUUUCUCUUGGGGGCAUCUACGUUGCUCUCUCUCCAAUUUAAAUCUCUGGGAGCAAGCCAUGAUUGUUGGUCUCACAUGCAUCUGUUUUGUGUAUAAUUUGAUCUACUACUAUUGUUGAUGGCACUUGUUCCACCAGACUCGACCACUGACUGAGCACCUGUUUUUUUCUGAUAAUGCACACAAGCAGGUUGCGGGGUGUAUUUUCGCACUCUAUAUUUGGUAUUUUCUUUGUAUUUGGUAUCAUGAAGUAUUGAGCGGCAAUGGUCAUGGUUGUGACCAUUUCCUAUUGUGUCUUUCAUGUCUGCAAAAGGUAAAGUUAGCUGGUAGUACAUACUCCCUCCGUCCCAAAAUAAGUGUCUCAACUUUGUACUAGCUCUAGUAUAAAUUUGUACUAAGCUCAAUACACUUAUUUUGAGACGGAGGGAGUACUUGCUAGCCACCAAAGGUGCCCCAAAUUUUGCGCGCACAGCAGCACCAUUUCCCGUGAUAAUAUGUACGCUUGUGCAGGGUUAGCGGGCACUACUAACUAACAUUGACAUCUUAUUGCAGCAUGUGCUCCGACAUUGCUGCCAUUAAUCUACAAAAAUGGUGAUCUUUCGAUUAGAUUCUUCCUUUCUUGACUAAAUUAUUGGUCUGCGCCUUUGUUUCAGCUGCCCCAGAUCCUGCGCGCUCGGUGUCUGCUGAUGAGCAUGCAAGGCAAGCGUCUCCCAUGUGCCGGAUGCCGCGAACAAUUCCGUGUGGUAAUCGGCUGACAGAGACGGUGGCGAUCGUGUUUGUGGAUUGCAGGGCUGGACUUGUUUCUGGGCGCAAUAAAGAUUUGGUCAUGGCUCCGCUUCCAGCCCAUGUUGAGGUUCUCGGUGCCUCCUCGGUGCGUCUUUCUUCCCUCCAUCGCUCGUCUCUCCCUUUCCAAUUGCGUCGCCAUUAAUGCGUCAGCUGUUGAUGAAAUGUGAGCCAGCUAAUAGCGGGCCUCUGCACGCUGUAGUGCUGUGCGAAAGGGGGUACCGCUCUGCUGCCUUGCACAUAAAUUUCUGGGCGGUUCGCUUACGUCUUCCUUUUUUUUUUGGCUUGCUAAUAAUACGCUGCAAGUAUAAUGCGUGCUGUUAAAGCUUAGUCAUGUCCUGAGGAAGUUGUGAUCCAUCUAAUUCUUGUCCUCAUUCGUCCUUUCUCCACAGCAGUGAGCAAGCUACGUUUGGUCCGAGUGAUCAAUUCCAUCUACCACAAACUUGCUGCUGUUAUCUACAGCUCACCCUAAACAAAAGAUAGAGAAGCCAGAACAGAUUCGGUUGAAAACAGAAGGCUGUCAUACGAUGUUGGCUGCCAACCUGAAAAAAAAAAUCUCCGAGGAACAACUCAACAGAGACACGAUUGUACACAUACUAUUACAAUAACAAAGUAUUUUUUUUGACAGAGAUUUCAAUAACAAAGUAAAUGGCGUAUGGCUAGAUGAUUGCGGUUUGUUUUCCUGCCUUGACCAGGUCAACCCGGUUGAGGAUGGAUGAUAAUGGCAACUUGGCGAGAAGGAUUCAUUUAAGAAGCGGCCAUGGCUGCAACAACCACCGUCCUCUCCCCUCCCCUGUGGUUAAGUUAGGUGGGAGAUUAGGUUUUUAAGCUUUGAGCUGUUCCUUUGGCACCAUCCUCCUUGCUUUCCAGUGUCUCCCUCCAUAAAAAGCACGGCACAUUCCAACUGCCACCUUGCUCCGCCGCGUUCCGUCGCCUCACAGCUGUGCGUGCUGUCCCGUGAACUCUUCUCUUCUGUUGCGCGCUUCCCUUUAAUUAGGCCGCUGUCAGUUCCAGCAGGCUUCUGAAACUCCAAUCAUAAGAACCACCCUGCCCUGCGAGCACAUCCAUCGCCUCCCUUCCCACACCCUCUCUCCUCCUCGUUUCCUAUCGUCAAUUGUGAUCGAGUGGGGAGCGAGAGAGAGAGAGAAGAGUGGAGAGGAGAAACAAGGAUCGACCAAGAGGUUCCCUCUCAUCAGUUCAUCGCCAGGCGUCAUCAUCAUUUCUUAAUGGCCGUGAGUACCUAGUAUCUCACUACGUUUGCAUCUCCCCUUUUGUGGUUACCGAUGCUUUACUGCCUAUACUCGGUGCAUGCACGCAUGAUUUCGACACUGUUAUGGCCGCUUGAUCAUGCAUUUGUUUUGUUGUUAUAAUUUUGGCUCAUGAUUGCUGCGUUUGCAUAAUUGUGAUCAAUGGUGAAGUAGUAUGCAUGUACACGUAUGGCCGUAUGGAAUUGACCAUGGUUGGGCAUGGAACGAUGAUGGAUCAUGGGGCGGUGCCGCCGUCCCCAUGUGCGAGCAUCAAGUUGGCAACACACGGUCAUUGUUAGGCAGCAGCAGACAAGGAGUUAGGGCUCACGGAUCUGGGCAUGAUAUGGAGGGCUCGGGCACAUGGCAUGCUCCGUCCUCAGAUCCAUCCAACAUGAUCGGUCUCAUCCUCGAGCAGAAGCAUUCUUCAGAAUGGGGAAAAGGAGACCUGAGCUUAGCUUUGCUUGGGAUGGACGAUUGAUUGUUUAGAAUUGGACGUCCAAGCCACUCCUCUCAUGCCUACUAUCCGGUGCAUUUGGCACUGCCAGGUCUAGUUUGGUGUUUAUUACCCGCUAGCUAGCUGUCGUUGGGUUUGACAUAUCUGUAAUGUGACAGCUGACGACGCGAGCAGCACUAGCCUAGCAUGGUGUUGGUUUUGCUUUCCGACGACGCGUACGUUGGUUGGCCUUAGCUGGGAGCUUGCUGACACAUACAUAAGCUGCCAUGCCUAAUUUUUCCUCCUCAUCUUUAAUCGCCGCUAAUUACAACCUGGAACUUAUUAAGGUUCCACCUGCUCUGAAUUUCUAACCGACGAGGAAAUGUCCAAGUAGAUGAAAAAUGAGGUCAAAAUUAGAUUGAUUUUUAUCUGUAAAAUUAUUACUACUAUCGGGUUAUUAAGAUUUUGGCGUGGUGCGUGUGCAGGGGAAAGGGCCGGUGGUUCCCAAGUUCGGGUCGUGGGACGCCGAGAACAUCGGCUACACCGUCUUCUUCGAGAAGGUGCGCGAGAACAAGGCCGCGCCCGUGCCGGGCACGGCGGCGCCAGCGCCCAGGGGGCACGACGACCAAGAGUUCGACCCCUACGAGUACUACGAGAACCUCAGCCGGAACGUGCCCUCGCGCCCGCCCAGCUCGCACGGCCACGGCCACGCGGCCCCGGCGCAGCACUAUGACCACCUCGGCGGUAACGUGCCCUCGAGGCCGCCGAGCUCGCACGGCCACGGACACCCCUCGCCGGCGCAGCACUACCCCGCGCAGCACGGCCACGGGGGCUACCACCGGCGGAACGGGAGCAAUGGCAGCAGCGCCGCGUCCGAGGUCAGCAGCCGCGCCAGCAAGUUCUCGCCGCCCAGGCCGUACCAGCCGCGCUACGGCAACAGCGGCGGCAGCUACCACCAGCCCCAGCAGCAGCAGCAGGUCGCCGGCGCGUACGCCGCCCCGGUGCCGAGGCACCACCAGCAAGCGGCGCCAGCGCCGAGGGUCACCGCGUCCCCGCCGGCUAACGAGCGGCGCCCGGGCCAGGGCGUGCCACCGCAGGCCCGUGCCGCCAAGGCCCCGUCGGCCGUGCCCAAGUUCGGCGUGUGGGACGAGCAGAACGCGAACGCGGCGGCGCAGGGCUUCACGGUGCAGUUCGAGAAGGUGAAGCGGCACCGGGAGGUCGCCAAGGCCGCCGCGCCGGACGUGCCGCCGGUCGCGAAGCGGCAGCUCUCGCCGGACCGGGUGGUGCCCACGUGGGGCCACCCGCGAAGGAAGCCCAAGAAAUCCUUCCUGUCGAAGGUACGUACGCGUGUACUGUUUGACGCCGACGCUGCUACCACUUCCUGUUCACCGCAUUUUUCGACUCACUGUAAAAUAAAAUCUAUUGUUUUGUGCAGGUCUACGGGUGCCUGUUCCCAGUGGUCAGACAGUGACGGGGCAGCUGGUUGAUAAUAUUAACCCGACCAUAGCGGCUGCUGCUUUUGAUCUCAUAUAUGUUUUUCUGGAAGGAACCCUGUAGUGUACACAGUAUUUCAUUUGUUCAUUCGUUGUUCGUUAUGAGUAAUAUAUAUACUCCUGGUAUUAAUAAAUCAUGGCAAGAUAAAAGCACUUGGCGUAUACGUAUUUUAAGUGCCCGCAAAAAAAAAGUAUACAUAUUUUAAGUGCCAAACUCUGUGUAUCCAGUGUGUAUCGGUGUAUGCAUUUGAGACUUCCAAAUGCGUGGCACGUGCACGUGUGAGUACUAGAACUAAUGUAAUUUGAUGCGUAUGAGUGCGAUAAUGAAUGAACAAAAAGAUGUGAUUGUUCUUUGUUUGGAGCGUUACACAGACCAUACUAAGGCAUCCAUUUUAUUGCCAUUAGUUCUUUCAUUCUUUUCUUAAGUGGUUUUCGUAUAACAAAUAUCGGCUGAAGUGAGUUCUCUCAUGGAUAAAUAUUUUUGAAAUGGGUAUGUUCAUCCAAAAUACUUGCUGAAAUAAGUAUCUUUAUUAUGUGCAAACACUUGCUGAAAUGAGUUCUUUUAUGCCUUAACCAGCGGGUUUCAGAUUUUCUUUUGGAGUAGCUGCCCUUUAGGACUUCGGACUACGAAUUGGCAAACGUGGAGAGGGUGGAAUACACAAACGAAUGAGAACGACCAAAUUGUGAAAUUCGAGCUAACGAGGCAUAGGGGGUGAGAGGGCUGGAAAGAGGCUCAGUUUUACUACUAUUCUAAAAAUAGUCGAUGGAAUUUAUUUGCAUUGCAUAUUAGCUGCUAAAUUAUUUCUUUUGUUUCUAAUAGGCCCACAAAGAUGUUGAACCCUUCCUUACAAGACUAUUAGUCGUUAUAAUCAGAUGAUGAUUAUGGACGAAGGAAGCAUGGCCACAUGGCAAUAUACAAUAGAGUCAAGUAAGCCACUAGCUGCAUAGGUGACUAAUCUUGAAGAAGAAAUAGCCAACGAUGUCGCUACCUCGCAGGAAAAUGAGUCACUGGCUUCCAAAACUAAUUCUUGUGCGGAAGAGGGGCUAUAAGCAACCAUAAUGGCUUAUAAUGAAAGACUUGCUAUUGCCAUACCGAAGAUUUUUAACACCAAUAACAUAUCUAAAGGCCUGUUAGGAGAACAUGAAAUAAAACCUCGGGUUGGUUUGGAUUUUAUUGCUAAUUACUAUUCUACUAAGCAUAUUAAUUUGGUUGACUAUCCUUGUAUUGCAAUGAAGUUCAAAGCUUUGGAGAACCCUCAAAAGAUGUUGUGGGUUGUUAGGUGUUUGAAACAUACAUUUCCCGAAGCCCGAGAUUGAAGAUUGAUUGCAUAUGUGGUGUUUGACUUGUGUUUUUGAUAUCAACCAAAAGAUUGAACUAUGGGUUGUAUGGACUUGUUCUUUUGGUUACAACCAAACAUUAAACUAUGGGUUGUAUGGACCGGUGAUUCAUAUGGAACUAGAAGGGUUGGGUCGCUUUGCUACGCCUUUGGUGUUAUUGUUUUUUUUUUAAAAACCCACUCUGUUUCAAAAUAUAAGGUGUAUUUUUUUUGAAAAGGCAAACCUUUUAACUUUGAUCAAAUUUGUAGAGAAAUAUAUCAAAAUCUAGAAUAUCAAAUCGGUAUUUUUAGAUUCAUCGUGAAAUGAAAUUCCAUACUUUUUUGUUUAAUAUUGUGGAUGUUGACAUUUUUGCUCUAAACUUGGUCAAAGUUAAAGAAAUGUGACUUUUAAAAAACUAAUACCCUUUAUAUUUUGGAAUGGAUGGAAUAUUUAGUUUGGUGGGUGGAGGGAGAUGAUAGUGCUUUUUAUUUUUAUUUAUAAUGCAUUGAUUUCGUGUGCCUUUCGUGGUGUGAUUCUAUGUUAUCGGCCAACCAACCGAUAUUUAUGUGGAGAAAUUUCAGUGUCAGUGGUUGCAUAUACUAUAUUGGUGCUACAAUAUCAAAUGCAACGCUUCUUAUUCUAUGUGGUGGGAGGGUGUGUGGGAUUGAUAUGUUUUUAUAGGCUGGUUGCUGCUAAUUGAUUUAAAAAAUUGUUUGUCCGAUCAAAGUCGUGAACCAAAUCCAAAAUUGGAAACCUCAAUUAAAUGAAAGAGUUUUAAAAUUAGGGAACUUAGCGAAAUUGAAUGAGAGAGCUUGAGAAAUUAUUGACCCGGUCAAAAUCGGACGACACAAUUCUUAAUUGAAUACCUCAAUUAAUUAUGAGGCCUUAAAAAUAAGAAUGCAUAGUGUAUAAUAUAAAAGAAUUGAAUGAGAGUGCUUUGAGAAAUUGUUGACCCGGUCAAAAUCGGAUGACCCAAUUCUAAUUGGAGACCUUAAAAGAAUGUGGGCUCUUUAAAACUAGGGAGCUUAGUGUUAUAGAGGACGUUGAACUCUGACAUGAAAUGAAAUAAAGUUCAAGUUUUGCUCAUUUUAUGGAGUUACUAUUUUAAUAUGUUUUUAUAGUAAUAUGAUGUCGAAGUUUUGUGACAACUACUUUUUUUAGGAUACAUUAAUAAGAUUCAGCUACGGUGGAGUAUGAAGUGUAUAUGGACUUGUGAGAAUACAAGAACAACAUGUCAAGUUGAAGGGAAAGCACUGAAGAUUAAGAGAUCUUCCUCCUCUCACUGUCGACACUAAGGUCACACCUCUCAGGCGCUUCACACUAGGAUCAACUUUAACAUGGAACCAGUCAGACGAAGCCAAUCCGCCAUUGCCCUCUUUGUUCAACCUCGCAUGAGCGUUGUAUCUCCAACCCCCCAUGUUGCCCACAAGAUGGAGUCCACCAUGCAACAUAUUGGGGCGAGGGGGGCCGGCUAGACAAAGGACGAAGAUUCUGGAGGAAGGCGAUGGAACGAGUUGCAGCUGCACCAUGAGCCAGAGGGAGGUGCAUUUUGCACUGCCACACAAUGAACCUCACCGUAGCUUAAACGCCCGAUCGGGCAAUCAGCACCACCGCAUGGUGGUCUAAGCAUAGAUCCGCAUUCACCCCCAACAAAGCCGACCGGAUGGUUCGAGAAACCUAAUCCAACAAGAGGAACAAAGGAUCGAACACCUUGAAGCAAGGCGGCAGAGAUGUACCUCCCAGAACCAGCACCGACCGCAAAAAGAAGAUCAUUCACAUUGAAGAUGGACUUGGAAGGAGGUUUAUUUCCGAGCACCGUCACCACCACAUCCAUGGCUCGAGUACUAGAUGACUCAACUGUUGGGGAACGUAGUAAUUUCAAAAUUUUCCCACGCACACGCAAGAUCAUGGUGAUGGCAUAGCAACGAGAGGGAGAGUGUUCGUCCACGUACCCUCGUAGACCGUAAGCGGAAGCGUUAUGACAACGCGGUUGAUGUAGUCGUACGUCUUCACGAUCCGACCGAUCCAAGCACCGAACGUACGGCACCUCCAAGUUCAGCACACGUUCAGCUCGAUGACGAUCUCCGUGUUCCGAUCCAGCAAAGCUCCGGAGAUGAGUUCCGUCAGCACGACGGCAUGGUGACGAUGAUGAUGCUCUACCGGCACAGGGCUUCGCCUAAACUCCGUGACGAUAUGACCGAGGUGGAAUAUGGUGGAGGGGGGCACCACACAUGGCUAAGGAACGAUCCGUAGAUCAACUUGUGUGUCUAUGGGUGCCCCCCCGCCCCCGUAUAUAAAGGAGCCAGGGGGGAGGAGGCGGUCGGCCAAGGAGGGCGCGCCAAGGGGGGAGUCCUACUCUCACCGGGAGUAGCACUCCCUUCUUUCCAAGUAGGAGUAGGAGAAGGGGGGAAAGAGGAGGAAGAGAGGAAGGAAAGGGGGGGCACCGCCCCCUUCCCUUGUCCUAUUCGGACUAGGAAGGGGAGGGGCGCGCGGCCCUCUCCUGGCUCCUUCCCUCUUCUCCCUCGAGGCCCAUGUAGGCCCAAUAACCCCCCUGUGAUAGAGGCGGGGUGUCCCGAUCUUUCGAUGAGAUGAUAACUAUCGAUUUGGUGGAGACGACUUUGACGAUCCGACUACAAACGUGCAACGACGUUGUGCCUUAGCAAUUGCUAAACCAACUCCGAGAGGUUAUUGACCACGCCGGAGCACGAUCAACCUGACCACGAAGGUCUAUUCCUGCAAGCAAUCGAAGAACAAGCAAGAAUAUGAUAAAAGCAAUCUGAAUAUCGCGAAUAUGUAUGAAGUAUUGAUAAUGGUGGGGAUCCGAAAAGUGGUCUUGGUCUGGUCGUUGGACACAAACGAAGCACACGAAGUUGCAAUGGCUAACUUUUAACUAAACAAAUCCCAAGGAAAAGCUACUAGAUGGAUCUACUUAUAUAGGAGCAAGGGGUGGCGGCCAAGGAGGUGGGAGGACGUCCCAAGGCAGCCUAAACUAAAUCUAGGUCGUACAAGGCCAAUGGUCCCAAGUGGAGGUGAUGUAACACCUUUGGACUUGUAGUUUGACUCGGAUUCUGCUGCAGCAUCAGAUUGUUUCGUCCACAACUCAACGCUCCGGAUGAAUUUGAAGGUGAUUCCAAUUGGGUUGGAAAGUGCACGAAAUCUAGUUUCCAACAAAAAAAGAAUCACCCAAUUCGGAGUCCGUAUGAAAAACUUGUGUGCGUUUUGAGUCAGGUACGUCUGUGCAGUCCGAAUCUGAAUCCAGAACGUGAGAGACUUGGACUCUAUCUUCUCUUGGGCCAAAAGUGACGUGAGAGAACUUUUUGGACAGCAAAUAAACAUCUCUUUCUUCCUUAUCUUCAUAUGUGGAUUGUACAAAUGUCUCAUACACCUGCAAUUAGACAAAACACAAAAGUGUGUGAAGUAUUUUUGUUCUGGAUAACAUAAAUAGAUUAUUGAAUAGUUUGCACUAGAAACCACCUGACAAAUAUGCAUAUAUGCAAUAUUUUUGGUCAUAUCCAAGGUAGUCACGUCCUCAUCACCCGGGGGGUUCCGGUAACCUCCCGGUACUCCGGUAAAAUGCCGAUUUCACCCGCAACGAUUCCGAUGUCCAAAUAUAGGCUUCCAAUAUAUCGAUCUUUAUGUGUCGACCAUUUUGAGACUCCUCGUCAUGUCCGUGAUCACAUCCGGGACUCCGAACAAACUUUGGUACAUCAAAACUUAUAAACUCAUAAUAAAACUGUCAUCGUAACGUUAAGCGUGCGGACCCUACGGGUUCGAAAACUAUGUAGACAUGACCUAGAACUAUUCUUGGUUAAUAACCAAUAGCGGGACCUGAAUGCCCAUAUUGGUUCCUACAUAUUCUACGAAGAUCUUUAUCGGUCAAACCGCAUAACAACAUACGUUGUUCCCUUUGUCAUCGGUAUGUUACUUGCCCGAGAUUUGAUCGUCGGUAUCCAAUACCUAGUUCAAUCUCGUUACUGGCAAGUCUCUUUACUCGUUCUGUAAUGCAUCAUCCCGUAACCAACUCAUUGGUCACAUUGCUUGCAAGGCUUAUAAUGAUGUGCAUUACCGAGAGGGCCCAGAGAUACCUCUCCGACGUUCGGAGUGACAAAACCUAAUCUCGAAAUACGCCAACUCAACAUGUACCUUCGGAGACACCUGUAGUACUCCUUUAUAAUCACCCAGUUACGUUUGGUAGUACCCAAAGUGUUCCUCCGGUAAACGGGAGUUGCAUAAUUCUCAUAGUUACAGGAACAUGUAUAAGUUAUGAAGAAAGCAAUAGCAGUAUACUAAACGAUCAAGUGCUAGGCUAACGGAAUGGGUCAUGUCAAUCACAUCAUUCUUCUAAUGAUGUGAUCCCACUAAUCAAAUGACAACACAUGUCUAUGGUUAGGAAACAUAACCAUCUUUGAUCAAUGAGCUAGUCAAGUAGAGGCAUACUAGUGACUAUAGGUUUGUCUAUGUAUUCACACAUGUAUCAUGUUUCCGGUUAAUACAAUUCUAGCAUGAAUAAUAAACAUUUAUCAUGAUAUGAGGAAAUAAAUAAUAACUUUAUUAUUGCCUCUAGGGCAUAUUUCCUUCAGUCUCCCACUUGCACUAGAGUCAAUAAUCUAGAUUACAUAGUAAUGAUUCUAAAACCCAUGGAGUCUUGGUGCUGAUCAUGUUUUGCUCGUGAGAGAGGCUUAGUCAACGGGUCUGCAACAUUCAGAUCCGUAUGUAUCUUGCAAAUCUCUAUGUCUCCCACUUGGACUUGGUCCCGAAUGGAAUUGAAGCGUCUCUUGAUGUGCUUGGUCCUCUUGUGAAAUCUGGAUUCCUUUGCCAAGGCAAUUGCACCAGUAUUGUCACAGAACAUCUUCAUUGGUCCCGAUGCACUAGGUAUGACACCUAGAUUGGAAAUGAACUCCUUCAUCUAGACUCCUUUAUUUGCUGCUUCAGAAGCAGCUAUGUACUCCACUUCACAUGUAGAUCCCGCCAUGACGCUUUGUUGAGAACUGCACCAACUUACAGCUCCACCGUUUAAUAAAAACACGUAUCCGGUUUGCGAUUUAGAAUCGUCCGGAUCAGUGUCAAAGCUUGCAUCGACGUAACCAUUUACGACUAGCUCUUUGUCACCUCCAUAUACGAGAAACAUAUCCUUAGUCCUUUUCAGGUAUUUCAAGAUGUUCUUGACCGCUGUCCAGUGAUCCACUCCUGGAUUACUUUGGUACCUUCCUGCCAAGCUUAUUGCUAAGCAUACGUCAGGUCUGGUACACAACAUUGCAUACAUGAUAGAGCAUAUGGCUGAAGCAUAGGGAACAUCUUUCAUUUUCUCUCUAUCUUCUGCUGUGGUCGGGCAUUGAGUUUGACUCAACUUCACACCUUGUAGCACAGGCAAGAAUCCUUUCUUUGCCUGAUCCAUUUUGAACUUUUUCAAAAUUUUGUCAAGGUAUGUGCUUUGUGAAAGUCCUAUUAAGCGUCUUGAUCUAUCUCUAUAGAUCUUGAUGCCCAAUAUGUAAGCAGCUUCACCGAGGUCUUCCAUAGAAAAACUUUUAUUCAAGUAUCCCUUUAUGAUAUCCAGAAAUUCUAUAUCAUUUCCAAUUAAUAAUAUGUCAUCUACAUAUAAUAUCAGAAAUGCUACAGAGCUCCCACUCACUUUCUUGUAAAUACAUGCUUCUCCAAAAGUCUGUAUAAAACCAUAUGCUUUGAUCACACUAUCAAAGCGUUUAUUCCAACUCCGAGAUGCUUGCACCAGUCCAUAAAUGGAACGCUGGAGCUUGCACACUUUGUUAGCACCUUUUGGAUCAACAAAACCUUCUGUCUGCAUCAUAUACAACUCUUCUUCCAGAAAUCCAUUCAAGAAUGCAGUUUUGACAUCCAUUUGCCAAAUUUCAUAAUCAUGAAAUGCAGCAAUAGCUAACAUGAUUCGGACAGACUUAAGCAUCGCUACGGGUGAGAAAGUCUCAUCGUAGUCAACUCCUUGAACUUGUCGAAAACCUUUCGCAACAAGUCGAGCUUUAUAGACAGUUAUAUUACCAUCAGCGUCAGUCUUCUUCUUAAAGAUCCAUUUAUUCUGAAUGGCUUGCCGAUCAUCGGGCAAGUCAACCAAAGUCCAUACUUUGUUUUCAUACAUGGAUCCCAUCUCAGAUUUCAUGGCCUCUAGCCAUUUUGCGGAAUCUGGGCUCAUCAUCGCUUCCUCAUAGUUCGUAGGUUCAUCAUGGUCAAGUAACAUGACUUCCAUAAUUGGAUUACCGUACCACUCUUGUUGGGGAUAUUACCACUGGGCGUGAACCGGCCUAUUUGGGCCGGGUUAACUUCAUUAGUAAUGUAAGCAGAUGAAGGCCCAUGGCCUGUAGUCGGUUUAGAAACUGUAGCCGUAAACCGGCAUGAUAUGUAAACUUGUAUUGUAAGUUAGGAAUAGAGGGAUACCAACCGGGAUACGAGUAUGAACCGGUUGGGACUCUAUGGACCGACGGGCGUCACCCGUGUAUAUAAGGGGACGACCCGGCGGCGGUUCAAGACAGACAACUACAACUCGAGCCUAGGCGAAGCUUGUUUGCUCCCUAGCCAUAGAGACCACAUCAAUUCCAUCACAACUAGACGUAGGAUUUUACCUUCAUCGAAGGGGCCGAACUAGUAUAAACCCUCGUGUCUUUGUGUCUGCUUUAACCCCUUCAAGUUAACCCGUAGCGAUGGCUCCACAACUAAGUCCUUUCACUAGGACAUCUGCCGUGACAAAUCCACGACAGUUGGCACCCACCGUGGGGCUAUCGCACGAUGGUUUGAUGAUCUUGGAGGGCAAGCUCAAAGGACUCGAAGGCUAUGCUGUGGGCCGGAUGACCAAGAGUCGUCGUGGCAAGAUCUACAUCGACGAUGCAGGAUGGGGUCCCGAAGCCGAUUCGAUGGAGUACGGGUACCGGGUCCCCUUCGGUGGCAUACACGUUUUCAUCGGCAAGAUUGGUGAGCGUGGGCCUGAGCCGGACAUCUGCACCGACCUCGUCGAGACGGCUCAGUGUGCGAGGUCUACCCAGGUUAAACCGGCCGUGAAGCGUGCCUUCGUGGGAGUCAUCCACGGAGGAGAGCAUGAGGACGAGUCAGAAUUCGGUAGCGAGACCGUCGUCUAUUCCGGCGAUGAGUCUUCAACCGGAGAGACCGAAUCAUUGUACCAGUUGCAAGAUGACCAGAUCAGGGGCUGUUCCGAUGGCGACAGUAUUUCGGACCCCCUAGAUCAGAUCAACCGGGUUGGAAUAUUCAUGGCCGGGACACAGGCGGCGAAUCACUCCUCGACCGCAGCAGCAAUGCACUCCGGAUCAGCAGCGGCAGCGGCAGCAGGGGCAGGAGGCCUUGUGCGCCCGCCGGUUCUUGUUCUGUCGGAUCUGUUUAACGCACUAGCUGCACUUAUGGCAGAGGCCAAUCCGGCGGACCAAGAGGCCCAUGACGCAGAGAUUGCAAAGGUGAGAGAGCAAAUUGUACAUGCCAAGGCCGACCUGGCGGCAGAGAAGGAUAGGAUGGCCGCAGAGCGGGCCGCUUUGGACGCCCAGGCCUACAAGCUCAUGCUUGACCAGAACGCAUCACAGGAGGUCUUGAAGCGGAAGCACAGAUCACGCCUGCCAUUAGGGUUCGACCCUCAGAAUCUCUUUCACACUCCGGGAGCUGGAACCAGUAAUCCGCCGAGGCACCUGGAGGCAAACCGGAUCGAGGCACCAGGGCCAGGAGCGACGAUCCAACCCCACCUGAUGGAACCUCCUCGACAGAACAUUGUGAUUCCUCUGCCGGUCCAGACACCUCCGGGUCAUUAUUCUAAUCCUAUGGACAAUCUUGUCGCAGCUGCUGCGCGAUUAGAAGCUAUCCCGGUGGAAGGAGACACUCCGCAAGCAAUAGAGACACGCCGGGUUAAGGAACUCCUCCGGACCGCUUUGAUUCAACAGGAGGCAUAUUCAUACAGCCGCGAUCGGAUUCACUCCACACCUCGUCCAAGCCGGAGCUAUAGCAGGUGCCUGGAUGAACCGGCCAUAUCGAGCAACGCGCGAGGCCGCGAAGCGGCCCGUGGCAAUAACCCGGCAGGUGGUGUUCGCGAUGCUCAGGAUGUGGUGGACCGGGCCCAGGCACGAAGGGAGGCCGAGUUAGCAGCGCAGAACGAGGCGGGUCAGCUUACACCGGUUCGUCCUACCACCUCUGCCGGGCCAGGGGUCGCAUCCGCUUUGGGAGUGCCUUGUUUAGUCCCCGCUUUACGCAAUGUAUGCCUGCCCAAAGAUUUCAAGGGUCCGCGCAAGGUGCCGAAUUACACCGCUGAUUUAUCUCCGGAAGCGUGGGUAGAGAGUUAUGAGAUGGCCAUGGAGAUGCUAGAUGUGGAUGAGACCGCGUGUGCAAAGUACUUCACCAUGAUGCUUGAAGGCACGACCCGUACUUGGUUGAAGAGCCUGCCGCCUAAUUCUAUCAGCUCAUGGGCCUAGUUGCGGGCCCGGUUUAUCCAGAAUUUCAAAGAUACGUGUAAACAGCCCAAGUCCAUAGUAGACCUGGCGGCUUGUGUUCAGGAGGACGGAGAAUCAACAACCCAUUGGGUACGCCGCGUUUCAGAAGUCUUGCACUCGUGUGACAGGAUCAAUGCUGACUCUGCGAUCUUAACCCUGGAGGGCAACUGCCGGUUUAAGCCUUUAAAAUUGAAAUUGGGGCGCAUGAAGCGGUUUUGUAAUGACAUGGGAACUCUCAUGGCCGCUUUAGUGAAGUAUGCUGAUUCGGAUAGUACCAAGGAUCCCGAGACUGACGAUGAUGAAGCAGGGAAGAGAAAGAAGAAUAGCAACUCCAAGGGGCAUCAAUACAAACCGGCGGGCCAUGGAAACGGAGGCAAGCGCAAGGCGGAUGGCAGCAUGGACUUUGUGGCUAACACUAACGCACAGGACAAGGGUCAGCGGCGCAGAGGUAAAGCGGCAAAUCGUAAUGGGGCUCCAAAUCCUAACGCGGAUCGUUUGAAUUAUUUGUUGAAUCAGCCUUGCCCAAAACAUGGGACGAAGGAGGUGCCGGCUAACCACCUUUGGAAGGAUUGUUACAUUAUGCAGGAGUUUAAAAACUCUAAUGCCUUCCGGUAUGACCGCGGGUCAGGGGGCGGUUCAGGAUCCGGUUUCCAUGGGCCGGGUCACGAUGGAGCUUCCGGUUCAGGUUUCAAUCAGGGCGGUCACAACAACCAGAAUAAUCAGAACGGUCAACAGCAGCAGCAGCAGCAGUCGGGUUAUCAGAGCCAGCCAAAACAGUUGAACAAUGGACAAUAUCAUGUUUUCACAACUAGCUUGGAUAAGCGCGACCAGAAACUCCACAAGCGAGCAGUGAACUCUGUUGAACCGGCCGUACCACGUUACUUACGCUGGUCGGAGUAGCCUAUCGUGUGGAGCAGGGAGGACCACCCACCCCGGUUUGACAAUCCGGGCCAGCUAGCAUUAGUGGUAGACCCUCAGGUGGGAGGUUAUAAAUUCACCAAGGUACUCAUGGAUGGAGGGAGCAGUAUUAACAUCCUAUACUAUGAGACAUUCCGCCGCAUGGGGCUAACAGACAAAGAUCUCAGACCGUCUAAUACGGUGUUCCAUGGUGUGGUGCCUGGCAAAUCAGCGUAUCCUGUUGGUAAGAUAGCCCUGGACGUGGCUUUUGGGGACGAGCAUGAUUCCCGAUCCGAAAAACUAACCUUUGAGGUGGUGAAGAUCCGGAGCCCGUAUCACGCCUUGUUUGGGCGGUCGGCUUAUGCCAAAUUCAUGGCGCGGCCUUGUUAUAUCUACUUGCAGCUCAAGAUGCAGGGUUACAAGGGGACAAUAACGGUUCAUGGGAGCUGUAAGGUUGCUUUGGAAUGUGAGGAAGGUGAUGCGGCUUAUGCAGAGUCGGUUUGUGCCACAGAGGAGUUGAAAUAUUAUAAGGACAAUGUUGAUCCGGCGGACAUGACCCCUUUGAAGAAGCCAACCACAGAGCAUGAUUCGGAUCUGAAGUUCAAAUUGGCAGCUGAGACCAAGCUUGUUGACUUCGUGCCCGGCGAUUCGUCCAAGCAGUUCACUGUCAGUGCCAACUUGGACCCUAAAUAGGAAAGCGCGCUCAUCAAGUUCAUCCGUGAGAAUCGGGACAUUUUUGCAUGGAAACCUUCUGACAUGCGAGGUGUACCGAGGGAACUCGCUGAGCACACUCUUAAUGUGGAUCCUAAGUAUAAACCGGUAAAGCAAUUUCUCCACCGGUUUAACGAAGAAAGGCGCAAAGCCAUUGGAGAGGAAGUGGCCAGGCUUUUAGCAGCUGGUUUUAUCAUUGAGGUGUUCCAUCCAGAGUGGCUUGCUAAUCUGGUGCUGGUUCUUAAGAAAAACGACACUUGGCGUAUGUGUGUGGAUUACACGGAUCUUAAUAGGGCUUGUCCAGCGGAUCCUUUUGCCCUCCCCCGCAUUGACCAAAUCAUUGAUGCCACGGCGGGUUGUGAGCGUUUGAGUUUUUUGGAUGCAUAUUCUGGAUAUCAUCAGAUUGAAAUGGCGGUUAAGGACCAGGAGAAGACAACGUUCAUUACUCCCUUUGGAGCCUUCUGCUAUGUAUCUAUGCCCUUUGGGCUCAAGAGUGCCCAAGCCACUUAUCAACGGUGUGUACAGAAUUGCCUGCAUAAACAGAUCGGCCGCAAUGUGCACGCCUAUGUGGAUGAUAUUGUAGUCAAGUCAAGGCAGAAGGAGACGCUAGUGGAUGAUUUGAAGGAAACCUUUGACAACUUGCGAGUUUACAAGAUGAUGCUUAACCCGGCCAAGUGUGUCUUUGGUAUUCCGGCAGGCAAGUUACUGGGUUUUCUUGUGUCCAACAGAGGAAUUGAGGCUAAUCCGGAGAAGAUUACGGCUAUCACCUCCCUGGCUAAACCGAAGUGUAUCAACGAUGUUCAGCGUUUGGCGGGCCGGAUCGCCGCACUGAGCCGGUUUAUCAGCCGCCUCGGAGAGAAGGCUAUCCCUUUGUACCAGAUGCUGAGAAAACAGAUCAAUUCAUCUGGAGUCCGACUGCUGAUGAAGCAUUGGAGGACUUGAAGCGGCAAUUAGCCAAUCCGCCCGUUCUUGCGGCUCCGGUCGACAAGGAGCUGUUAUUGUUAUACGUAGCGGCCAAUGCUCGUGCAGUUAGCGUGGCUAUUGUGGUGGAACGCAAGGAGGCAGGAAAGGAGUAUCCGGUUCAGCGACCGGUUUAUUAUAUCAGCGAGGUGCUUAUUGAAUCCAAGCAAAGGUAUCCACAUUGGCAGAAGCUGGUAUAUGGAGUUUUCAUGGCAAGCCGGAAGUUGAAGCAGUAUUUUCAAGGGCACCCCAUCACAGUGGUCAGUUCAGCUCCCUUGGGCGAUAUCAUACAGAACUGGGAGGCGACUGGCCGGAUUGCCAAGUGGGCUAUAGAGCUUGGGCCGCACGGAUUGAAGUACGUGCCUCGGACGGCGGUGAAGUCUCAAGCACUUGUUGAUUUCAUCAAUGAUUGGACGGAGUUGCAAGCACCAGAGGAGAAGCCGGAUCACACAUAUUGGACUAUCCAUUUUGAUGGAUCCAGGCAAUUGGAAGGCUCGGGGGCUGGAGUCGUAUUAACUUCCCCACGAGGUGAUAAGUUUUGUUAUGUUCUCCGCUUAAUGUUCCCUUGUACUAAUAAUGCAGCUGAGUACGAAGCCUUGCUCCAUGGUCUCCGGAUGGCUAAAGAGAUGAACUUAAGCCGGGUUAAGUGCUUCGGUGACUCGGACCUCGUGGCUCAACAGGUGUCUGGCACUUGGGAUUAUAAGGACCCGCUCAUGGCCGCAUAUCGUCGUGAGGUGGAUAAUAUUGCGGGUCACUUCAAGGGUUAUCAAGUGGAUCACGUGGACCGUCGAAAGAAUGAAGCGGCGGACGCUUUAAGCCGGUUGGGUUCUCAGCGCAAACCGGUCCCGCCUAAUGUCUUUCUUGAUGUGUUACACAACCCGUCAGUCAAGCUCCCAGGUGAAGCGGAUUUGGCUAUUCCUGAUCCGGAGGCUCAAUUGGUGGCAGCCCUGCAUGUCAUUCCGGAUUGGACAGUUCCUUAUCUUGCGUACAUGAACUGGGGAGAGUUGCUAGAGGAUGAGAUUCUAGCCAGGCAGAUAGUCCGGCGAUCCAAGUCUAUGACAAUUGUCAAUGGCGAAUUGCAUCAUUGCAGUGUAUCAGGGGCGUUUCAAUGUUGUGUUUCUCCUGAGGAAGGCUGUGAAAUCUUACGAGAAAUCCAUGAAGGGGAUUGGGGUCACCACGCCGGUUCAAAGUCUCUGGUGGCAAAGGCGUUUCGUCACGGGUUUUACUGGUUGACAGCGCAUGCUGAUGCGGAGGACUUGGUUAAACGGUGUGAUGGCUGUCAGAAAUUUUCAAGGCGUGCUCAUGUGCCGGCUCAAGAAUUGAGGAUGAUCCCAAUCACUUGGCCGUUUGCAACUUGGGGGCUGGAUAUGGUCGGACCUUUUAAAAGAUUCAAGGAUAAGAAAACCCACCUUUUGGUGGCAGUUGACAAAUUUACCAAGUGGGUUGAAGCGGAGCCUGUCAGCAAGUGUGAUGCAGCGACAGCGGUGCAGUUCAUCAAAAAGGUGAUUUUCCGGUUUGGCUUUCCACACAAUAUCAUUACUGACAAUGGUACCAAUUUAUCCAAGGGUGCUAUGAAGGAGUUCUGUGAACGUGAGCACAUCCGACUUGACGUAUCAUCAGUGGCUCACCCCCAGUCCAAUGGGCAGGCAGAACGGGCUAAUCAAGAGAUCUUGCGAGGCAUCAAACCCCGGCUUAUGGUUCCAUUGUAAAGAACACCAGGAUGUUGGGUUGAAGAACUACCAUCUGUGCUAUGGAGUAUCAAUACUACACCCAACCGAUCCACAUGAUACACGCCGUUUUUUAUGGUCUACGGAGCGGAGGCGGUUCUCCCUAGUGAUAUCCAGCACGAUUCGCCUCGUGUGGCAGCUUAUGUUGAAGCGGACAAUGAGACAACACGACAAGAUGCUUUGGACCUAUUGGACGAGGAGCGCAAUAUAGCGGCUGCCCGUUCGGCGAUUUAUCAACAAGAUCUUCGUCGCUAUCACAGUCGCCGGGUUAGAACCAGAACUUUUCAAGAAGGAGAUUUGGUGCUUCGACUCAUCCAAGACCAGACAGAUAUGCACAAGUUAUCCCCAUCUUGGGAGGAACCUUUCGUGAUCAGCAAGAAUAUGCAAAACGGGUCAUACUAUCUGAUUGAUAUUCGAGAGCAUCAAGACUCACGCACAUCAGAGGAGGAGACCAACAGGCCGUGGAACAUAGCUCAUCUUCGGCCUUACUACACUUGAGCCAUCGGCUCUAUAUAUGUACAUAUCAUGACACUGUAUAUAUUAUCUUUGAUAUAAUAAAACCGGAGCCUCAGCUAAAGCGGGGUCUCUGUCUUUUCUUAUCAUGCGUGGUUACUUGGAGUGGUUCUGUUUUAAAGCGGCCUCCGGUUUACCCCUUGAAAUUUGCUUUUUUAUCACUUGGGGCCUUGGUCGUGUCCGAACCAACGCGACACCUUUUGAUAGGAGAAAGCCACCAGAUCACUUGGGGACAUGGUCAAGUCUGAACCAGUCACGCCUCUUGAUCGGCCUAAGGCCACAAAAUCACUUGGGGGCUUGGUCGAACCCGAACCAUUGCCACGCCUUUUGAUUGGCAUAUAUGCCACGGUUUCAUUUGGGGACCUGGCUGACUUGAACCAUUGUCACUCCUAUUGGGGGCUUGGUCCUGUCCGACCAUGGUAACACCAUCUGAUCAGCUCAGUAUAGCAUGUUUUUUGCAAACGGUUUUUAUCAUUGCCUUUGCUUCCAUAUUUAUUUUAUGGCUGUUUCUUAAUUUUUGUUGUGUUUUCUUUAUACCAACAACACUUUCUUACCGGUUCAGCUGACGGAUUCGGUUCAUUUUUUCAUCCGGAGAAAUAUACCCGGUUUACCUUUCCUGUUAACAUCAUGGAGUAAUAGGGGGGCUCAUAAAGACCUAGUACAGUUUACAUGGGAGUUGCUUUCCCCUUUUUACGGUAAUGGUUUAUACAACCUCCGCUUCAAGCUUGGCUAAGCCAACUUCAUGCCCAGCGAUGGCAGGUACUUUGUAUCGCUUAUUUUGAUUAUAUGUUUUAAAUACAUUUGAUGAUAUAUAUAUCAAGAUCAUAAACCGGCUGACGGUAUAACCGCCACCGAAGUUCAAGAUUUUCUGAUUGCAGGAAAUAUAAAUUGAGGUUUUUCAAGCAAAAGCAUCAGUACUUAUGCACGAAGGCAUAUUCAAGGCAGAGGUAUUAACUAUCCUAUUACAAGGCAACACGGUGCCCAAAUAAGAUCAUUGUUAUUUUGGCGGAUCAUCGUAAGGCAGCUAUUUAAACCGGCUUCCGAUUCAAGCCUGCUCAUCGUCCUGCGCCGCUUCAGCUUCCUCGUCUCUAUCCAUUGGCUGGAAAUCAACAGUGGUCCAGUCGAUUCCCAUUAAAGCUUGAAAGAUAGCCUCUUGAUGGAUCAGAGAAGACAGUUCAAUAUCAGGAGCGUAAGUAUGCUUACGGAUUGGAGGAAUCAGAUUCUCCGCUUCAAGAGUUGGGGCAGGAACUCGCUUGUUCUGAUCAUUGUAUUGAGCUUGAUAAUGCGUCAAGUCUGCCUCUUCAGCUAAUUGACAAGCCAGAGGGCGUACUGCACAGUUUAUUGCCCUCAAAUCAUCUUCAUUGAACUCGGAGCCAUCUUCCUUCAGGCUGGGAUAGCCUUGAGCUGCCUCCACAGGAUCGAAAUCCGGCACCCAUGCUUUUGCCUGGAUCAAGGCAUUAAUGGCUCCGGUUCGAGCAGCAGAUUUUUUCAGCUCUUCAAUUCGGGCAGGAAGCAUUGACAACCUAUUAAGAGUGUCCUGGAUUAAAGAGGGUGUCGGAUUGUUAUGAGAAGCUGUGGUGAUAAUCCGCUGCGCUCCGGUAUACAAUUGUUCAACUAACGUGUAGGAAGCCUUCAGCUUCUUCCGCACAUCUGACCCUAAGUGCCCAAUGCAUGUACCUACAACAAUACAUGGCCAGUCUCAAACCGGAUCUAUUAUAAGCAGGCCAGAAUUGUCAGAGAAGCCAAAAAGAGCUUACCAAAGAUAGCAGCGGUCAUGGAGUGUAUUUGCCGCUUUACGACAGUCAGCUCGUCUACCACCGGUUUAAGGACAGCUUCAGCAUUUUCAGCUCUUUUUGUUAAAGCAGCCUUUUCAGUGGCCCAAUCAGCCCGCUCCUUCUUGAAGCCCUCCUUCAGCAGUUCCGUGAUGCUCAAAGUGCUGGUCAACUCCUCCCUUGCUUUAUCAGUUUCGGUUUGUUGGGUUUUCAGAGUUUCUUGCAGAUCAGUAAUCCGGUCCUCUUUGACCCUCACUUCCGCCUGCAUACAGACAGUGCUUGGCUUUAAACAGAACGGUACAAGAAUUUGAAGUAUCAACCACAUAACAAGUUAUACGCUUGAUACUUGGGGGCUAAUGCACCUUCAAUUUUCAUUUAUUACUAAAUCACAAAGUCCCAAGCUCAAUACAGGUAUUCAACUUGGCACUUGGGGGCUAAUGACUAUUUGCUCAAUUAUGUUCUGAUGUUACAAUCUUUAUUGGAGUCCCGGUUUAACUAUGCUAAGUUGAACCGGCCCUUUGUGGGGACCCCGACUCACAAGCCGUGAUCACUGAAUGCACGUGUACAGUGAUCCCAGAGAUCAAUGCUCAUUGAACACACAGAAGCUGAAUAACAAGAGUCUUACAUCCAUACAUACCGUCUUACACAAAUAGUGACCAACAUGGUCAAGUCUUACAUCGAUAAAGCCUUAAGGGCUGAACAUCAAAUGAAACAUAGCAGCGGAAAUCGUCGUUGAUAAGCAGAACCCGUGCCAUCUGCCUUAACCCUACAGGCAUUCUGACUGGGAAACGUCCUAGUUCGCAUGAUCGUCUCCAAAGAACUCUUCUUCGAACUCCGGUUCUUCCAUGCCUGGUCAAUUAAAUAACUAGUGGCAAGCCAAUGAGUACUUUGAAUGUACUCACAAGCAACCCAUGAUUUGGUUCAAGGUACAGUAAUGCAUGACAUAGGUAAAGUUUUGCAUAAAGCUAGUUUUGAGUGCAAGGACAUGUUCAACAUCCUAUAAGGCAUGCAUCAAGAGAAUUCAAGUAACCAUGAGAACUGGUCACAGAUAUCAACAUAAAUAGAGUGGGCACCAACCCAUUUAAUCAUAAACAGAGUGGGCACCAACCCAUCUCAAUCGUGUCAAGUCCUUGGCUUGACCCAAGUCAUUUCCACCAUCUCACUCACAUGGUUGAAAACCCUGGACAUAGUUUAAGCAGCACCACCCAACCGUCCUUGACCGUGGACACGGCUAUUCGAAUAGUUUUACACUCUGCAGAGGUUGCACACUUUACCCACUAGAUCCGGGGAACUUCCGUGUCAUCCACGACCCGCGGUACCUCAAGUACCCGGGGUAAGCACCCGAUCACCGCCUUUCCCUAGACGACACUAACAUGGAGUCCACUCGAUUGGUAGUAACCCCCCGUGCCAAACAUUUCACAUCAUAAAGUUGUGGAGCCUCGCUCCCAUAUUCAUCACAUACCACAAGCACGGGGUACCAACGGUGUGUCCGGUGCCCUGUGAAAACAGUCAUGGCCGCCCUACCUGGCACGACCCCGUCCCAAGAGAGAGCACCAACUCUCCCCCGUCACUAGUAAUGCGGGCUCCAAGCUAGUAUCGGUCUAGGUACUCAACAAUGCCCUUUCCCAUAUAAGGGUAGAGUGGUCGCGCAUGUAGGGUUGGGACAGUCAUCAAAUCUUAAAUCUAAUCCGUUUUCGAAAACAACACACACUUGCCUCGGUACACCACUUCGUCAUCAAGUGGUUACCUUUCUCAUCAUCUCCCUCGGGCAUAAAUGGCACCCGAUGGGGUUUUCGAAAGUUAUUUGAAAAUAUUUUGUCUCCGUCACCAGGCAUAUCCCCGUCCCUUUUGCAUAGCACUACUUAGCACCCUAUCUACUCCCACCGGCAUAACCCUCAUAAGGAGGUAGGGCCAUGCGCAAUGCAAGUAUCAACGAGAAAAUAACGGAGGCAACCAACCCACGGGGUUCACCAUCUCACCAUGAUUCCGAUGCAACAAUAAUAAAGAGCUAAAAAUGACAUGCAUAUAAAGGGGUAUCAUAGUCAUGGUCAAAGGGCUGCUUGCCUUGGUUGGCUUGAUCUUCAAAGUCUUCAGGCCCUGCUCCUCCUUCUUCCUCAGCUACCUCGUCAAACACGGGAUCUAACGUCGCAAGAAAACAACGGAAAAAUAAGAUAAUAAUAAAACAGAAAAGUCAAAGUGCUCUGAUAAAUGUCAACUUAUUUUUGUAAAAUACUAGGAGGAAGGCUAGGAAGGGGACAACUUUUGUUUUUGGUUCUGGGGCAGCAAAAUAGGAGAUAUGGAUUUUUAAAGGCUUAUUUAAAUGCUAAAAACCACAUUUAAAUAUUUACAGAGAAGAAAAUGUUGUUGGAUUUGAAUGAAAGUUGCACCAUUAAAUAGGUUGCAAUAUUCUAGGAAUUUAGAAAUUGGAAUCAAUGCAUUUGGAUUAAUAUUCUGUCCUGUGGAAUUUUUGGAAAUAAGACAGAAAAGGAAAAAGAGAAACGGCGCUGUGCUACUGGGCCAGAGAGGCCACGGCAGCAGCAGGCCCAGGGGGGAAAACCCAGCCCACGCGGCCGCCACGUCGAAGGCGUAAAGGCUGAAUACGCCUUCAGCCGACGGCGGAUCGGUGCGCGCGCGCGCGCACGUUUUAAACCUGACGGGUGGAUCCCACCCGUCAGGGCGUGAGGCUGACGGGCCGGCCCCACGGCGGCUGUCGUCUACCUCCGGCCAGAGGCGACGGCGAGCUCGCCGGCGGCGAUACAGGGCACGGGAAGAGAUGCGGAGGCUACCGUUGGACUCAAGGUGGAGUCGCGGUUCUGGUGGUGGUGGAGACGGUCGCCGGAGUGGCCUGCUUCGCCGGCGACGAGGUCCCGCGGCGGAGGCGCUUCGGGCGUCGGUGGCUCCGGCCGUUUCCGGCUGCAAAACAAGGGGAAAAGAGAGGGGAAAGAAUUAGUGGCGCCUCGCGGUUCCAGAUCGAAAGAGAGCUGGGGCGGAGAAGGCCUGUACCGCGCGGACGCCGACGAGCCGAGGCGGCGGAGCUCGAGCUCAAUCUCGAGCUCGGGUGGUUCUGGAGAGGAAGGAGUGGUGCGGGAGGCCGAUUGGGUGUGUGGAGGAGCGACAGGGAAGAAGAGAGAGGCUCGGGGGCGCCUUAUAUAGGCUGGCCGCGGUUCACCGUAGGAGAGGGAUGGAGUAGGGCGCUAGGGAGAAGGAGAGAGAGCGGGGGAGGGUUCUGGCGCUCGCGCGUGUGAGGCCGGCCAUUGGCCGAGCCGGGCGGUGUCGGGCACACGCUGUAGGAGGGGAGAGAGAGGGAGAGACAAUGGGGACUGCACGGCGGCGUGUCGCAGACGUCGAGACACAUCGACUGGCGCGAGGGGGAGGCACGAGGUGGUCGGGAGGCGCGGUGUCAACGGUCGGCGCUCUGCCAGGCGCUCCAGAGCGCGACUUUGGCCGGCAUCCGCGGCUUUUCCGCGUCGCGCGCGCGUCCACUUCUGUCUGGGAGCUACAGUGGGAGGGGGCAAAACCAGGAAAGGGCAUUGGAUGCUCUGGGGUGCAGAGGGGAGAGAGAGAGGCUGUGAGAGAGAGAGGAAACUGUUGUCCAGAGAGGACAAACGUGAUUCCCCCCUUCUUCCACAUUGCUUCCUCGGGUAGAAAAGCAUCUAAGUGACAGAGGGGAGUGAGGAGGGGUUGUGGUAAAAAGAUGAACUCAAGGAGAUUAGUGAAAGUGGCCAAAAUAGGCAUUUUAGUAAUCUGCCAGAAGGUGUUUGAUGGAGUUUUGGAAAAGCUAAUGACUUCCACUGGCCAAGAUACUCCAUGGGGUGAAAUGUCACAUAUAUUUAGGGCCUUCCACUCAUUUAGAGCUUAUUUGGACAAAGUUGCCAAUGCAACUCUUGCAAACCCUAGAAAUGGGCAGAAAUGGAUUUGUGUAGAUCCAGUGGAGUAGAUCAUUUCUCCUUGAUGUACCACUUGGUGUGGUGGCCUUAUUUGGUCAUGUGAUCAGGCUCACCAAAGUUGGGGUCUUGGAGAAAAAGUUGGUAGUGCAAAGUAGUUCAAACUUGAUUCUGGUCAGAGAGGGUUUUGAGGCACUUUGACCAAGAUUUCCUCUUCUCCAACCUGUGCAUUUUGGUCUAGAUGCAUCAUUGGACCCAUGAAGCAUGUUCACCAAGUUUGAGCACAUUUGGACACAUUUGGCAAUGUAAAGUUGAUCAAACUUCAGAAUGGACAGAAAUAGUUUUGAGGGGUUUUGAUGAUGUUAUCUUGUUCUCCAAGUCAUGAGACUUGGCAAGAUCAUCUAAUAUGUCAUAUGUGACAUGAUAGAAUUUUCCUGGAAUUUUUGGAGAAUAUCUCCUUUGUAAAUAUUUCAAAAGCUUGAAAUAUCCAGGAGGGGUUUUAGAGGGAUUUGACCAAUAUUUUGAACAUGACCAUGUGUUGAAACUCUUAUGUAUGGACAAUAUAUGUCCUAUGAGUUUCCCUAAAUUUUGUCAAAUAUUUUUAAAACAAAAAAUAAUUUUUCCCUAUUAAAGACCAUUUCUGGCCUUAAGAAAAGGCUUUUAAAUAAAAUAGUAAAACAACUUUUAAAAUUAUAUUUUUGUGGUUUCUGGGUAUCCUAUAUCUAAUAGGAGUCAAAUAUAUUUUUGGAAAGAUUUUUACUGCCCUUAAUCAAGUACUUGCAGUGUAAACCUCAAUUCAGGGGUUUUUGAAAAACUAAUUUUAGAAAAUACUUUCUGGCCAAAUUAUUUUUGUAAGAAAAUUCCAUAUAGCACUAUUCACAUGGCAUGGUCAUUGGUCAGGAGCUUGGGGUAAGGAGAUGGAAUAUAGAGGGUAGAGUAGUUGACUUCAAGAAGCACUUGAACAGAAACACAGAGAGAAAACCAACUCCAAAUAAAAGCCAAAUAAUGCAAAAAGUUUUUGUUGGUCCAAAUUUUCAUGCUUUAAUAAUGAAAAUGAAAUGUUACAAAAUGCAGGGUGUGACACCCUUGUGGGCUAUAUUGACGGAUUUCAAAGUACUGAGGAUUGUAUUCAAGUCCCGGUUUGAACAAGGUUACAAACUUGUCCUUGGGGGCUAGGAGGAUUAAUACAGUGGCAGUAAGUAAAGAAAGAAGAAGCACAAGGUAGUUACCUCAAAUUUGUCUCUCAUCAUCUUUACCAGGCCAGCUUCACAGUCGCGGCUAGUAUAUAGCCGGUUCAAGUAACCAGAAUGCAGAUCUUGGGCACUUAGAGCAGCAUAUGUUUCCAGUUCUACAUCCCAUUUGCCUUUGUUCUUGGCAGAAAAAUCCUCUUUCACCGUAUGCUUGGUUAAAGCGACAGGAUUCCCUAGUUCAAAGCGACCUACGCCGGUAAUUACAACAUCAUCAUCCUUAGACUCACCGGUUUGCGUUAGUGCGGUCGGUUUAUCAGCAGGACUGCGGGAUUUUUCAACCGGACGGAGCUGGCAGGCGGGUCAGCAGAGACUGAAGUAUUGAUAGGCCUUUCCUCAGGAAUAGCAUCAUCUUGCAAAGGAGGAUCAUUGGGAAUAUCCUCAUGAGCAAACGCUUCAAGAUCUGGCGCUUUAUCCUGUUCUGGGGCGACAUCUUCCUCAGCCGCUUUGUCCAGGCGGGCCUUCUUGCUCGGUUUAGGUGUAGCCCUGAAAGAAAAAUAAAGAGUCAAGGAACAGCAUAAGUUAUUACACAGUAUACCGGAAGCAUAUGUUCAGCCUAGCUUACCCAAGAACCGUUUUCAGUGGCGGCAGCUGAGUGGCUGAUGAUUCACCAGAGGAAGAAUGAGAAGUAACCUGAUAAUCGGAGUCGGACGGAUUAAGAGGUUGACGGAUGAAACCCGCUUUAGGAUAUAAAUUAAUAAAAAGGUCGGAGACCUCGGAGCGGCGUUUUCGAACCGGACUGUUUGGUAAACCGGCGGAAGUAACUACCUGGCCACUGUGCCGGAUUGUGCGGCGAGCUUCAUGUUGCUGAGUCUUCAUAAGAAAUUUGGGAUCCAAGUAAGCAAGAGGAUGAGAAAAUUUAACUUUCCGGUUUGCCUGGCGAAAUUUUGGCAAAGGCAAAAUUUCUGAAUCGGAAGAGAGAAUAGUUACCUCAGCGACUUCAGCAUUACUGGCUUCAGCGUCGUCCUAACAAGUAUCAUCAUCAAUAAGGCGUGUAAAAAGUAAGCCUAGUGAAUCAAGUUCUACCUCAAGGUCCGGGUUACCCACAUCAUCAUCAAUAGCUGGAUCAGAUGAAGCGGUGGUUUUCCUUUUGUGAGCUGGCUUCUUGAUAACCUUGGUCUUGGGCCGGGUUGACCGUCCUGCUUUCUCCAUUUUGUCUUGUGGAAGCUUCUUGCUCCAAAAUGGAUUAUCACCCUGGUUAAGCAGUAAUUGAUGUCAGACGGAGAAAGCAGUAACAGGUUCAAUAAAAGAACAAUCAAAAUCAUACAGCUGGCGGUUUGUUGGUGGCGCAGAAAGGGAGCAGACCGGUUUGAGCACAGAGGUGCUCCGAUUCAUUCAACAUUUUCUUCACAGAAUCUGUGACUUCAUCAUCAGAGAGUUGGAUUUUAGUGUGUCGGAGUGGGUCAUCGACACUAUCAGUAUACUUACACAUCAAACCGGAGCGCCGGCUGAGAGGCAGUAUGCUCCAUGAUAUCCAACAGCGUGCAAGGUCUAUUCCCGUUAAACCGUUGGCCAUAAAGGCUCGGAGCUUGGACAGUUGCGAAGCAUAUUUACUUCUCUCCUUGGCACUUGAUCUUUGUGGAAAGGGGUGAGUGUUGCUGAGCCGCUCCGGACGAAAGCCAGGCAAGGGAUUUUCAUUGUCAGGGGAGGUGUCUUUGCAAUAAAACCAGGUUGCAUUCCACUCCUUGGGGUGAGUGUGUAGUUUGACGUGGGGAUAAGUGAUCUAUUUUCUUUUCUGAAUUGCCAUACCGCCCAGUUCGGUAUUGGGGCCGUCAGUAAAUUCAGUGCGGCGGUUUAAGUGGAAGCAGUCUCUAAACAAUUCGACUGAAGGCUCCUCUUGAAGGUAUACCUCAGAGAGCACUUGGAAGUGACAUAGGUUGGUAACGGAAUUGGGGCCAAUAUCUUGCGGACGGAGCUGAAAAUUGGCUAACACAUCCCGGUAAAAUUUAGAACCAGGCGGUUUGAAGCCCCGGGCCAAGUGAUCUGCAAAGACCACAACCUCUCCCUCUUGAGGUGUGGGAGGACAUUCAUUUCCAGGAACCCUCCAGUGGAUCGUAUCUUUGCUGUCUAAAGCGCCGAUCAGGACUAAAUCAUCCAACUGAGUUUCAGUGACGCGCGAAGGAACCCAAUUGCACUCAUAUACUUGUUUGGCCAUGGUGAGAUCUACAAGAAAUAGGUGAUUCCGGUUCAAGAAUAUGUUGGAUAAAAGAAGGUGCUGAUCUGAACAAUGCUAAACCAGAGGCAGUACAUAUAAAUCGGAUUUCUACGAGGUGGCAUCAUAUGGAUUCUGGCGGUUCAACAAGGGGACUAAUGGUGUAUACCGGUUUACUAACUUUUUCUAUAUUAAGUUAAACCGCCUGAUCUAAACAUCGGAAGCGAACGAAGUUGUGGGUGGCUAAGUAUGCAGAAACAGGUUUCACAAGGUCCUAUUGCAGCAGUGGAUCUAAAGCAAGUUUAGAAAAGCAGAAAAUAUUUAAAAGAGUAAAGCAAUACGGAAGUGAAGAAAUGAGCGGAUAUGUAAAUGAGAUCUAUGGACUUAGGCGGGAAAUUACAGGCGGAUGUUAAAAGAUUACAACUAAACAGAGCAGGGGUUCACAGAUUCAUUCAAGAGUCAGGGUACGAGUAUGAACAAGCGACGAACACGGCGCGAACAUGAAACCCUAAGAACGGAUCUAUGUCAAGAAGAGAAGAAGGCUUACCGGAAACGAAGAAGACGCGGAAGGAUACUGUAGUGCUCUGGUGCAUUCAGGUUGAUGCAGCAGCCUAAGACGAUGCAGAGGUCGACGGCGGCGGCGGAGCUCCAAGGCUGGCGAUGCGAGGAAGACGAAGAGAAAGAGACGAAGAGGAGAAAAGGAAAUGACCCUUCGGUCCUAUUUAUAAGGCAACAGACGUGGGUCAGGCGCGCGAAUCCAGGAGCCAAAAUUUUGGAAGUGGAGUUGAUGACUUGGGUAACGCAGAUCUAUUAAUAAAGGAGGGUGUCAUAAAUGUUAACUCCAUGAUGACGUCAUGCCGGUUUACAGCAACCAGAAAUGAUGACGACAUGGCGGUUUACCAAUUACCAGAAGAUGUCCAAGACAAUGAUUUUGUGAAGGAUUGACAUGAACCAGUUCAAAUCAAUCUGGGGCCUAAUGUUGGGGAUAUUACCACUGGGCGUGAACUGGCCUAUUUGGGCCGGGUUAACUUCAUUAGUAAUGUAAGCAGAUGAAGGCCCAUGGCCUAUAGUCGGUUUAGAAACUGUAGCCGUAAACCGGCAUGAUAUGUAAACUUGUAUUGUAAGUUAGGAAUAGAGGGAUACCAACCGGGAUACGAGUAUGAACCGGUUGGGACUCUAUGGACCGACGGGCAUCACCCGUGUAUAUAAGGGGACGACCCGGCGGCGGUUCAAGACAGACAACUACAACUCGAGCCAAGGCGAAGCUUGUUUGCUCCCUAGCCACGAGACCACAUCAAUUCCAUCACAACUAGACGUAGGCUUUUACCUUCAUCGAAGGGGCCGAACUAGUAUAAACCCUCGUGUCUUUGUGUCCGCUUUAACCCCUUCAAGUUAACCCGUAGCGAUGGCUCCACGACUAAGUCCUUUCACUAGGACAUCUGCCGUGACAAAUCCACGACAACUCUGGUGCGGAUCUUACUCUGGUAGACCUACGAGGUUCAGUAGAAACUUGAUCUGAAGUUUCAUGAUCAAUAUUAUUAGCUUCCUCACUGAUUGGUGUAGUUGUCACAGGAACUGGUUCUUGUGAUGAACUACUUUCCAAUAAGGGAGUAGAUACAGUUAUCUCAUCAAGUUCUACUUUCCUCCCACUCACUUCUUUUGAGAGAAACUCCUUCUCUAGAAAGGAUCCGAUUUUAGCAACGAAAAUCUUGCCCUCAGAUCUGUGAUAGAAGGUGUACCCAAUAGUCUCUUUUGGGUAUCCUAUGAAGACACAUUUCUCCGAUUUGGGUUCGAGCUUAUCUAGUUGAAGUUUCUACACAUAAGCAUCGCAGCCCUAAACUUUAAGAAACGACAACUUUGGUUUCUUGCCAAACCACGGUUCAUAAGCGCGUUGUCUUAACGGAUUUUGAUGGUGCCCUAUUUAACGUGAAUGCGGCCGUCUCUAAAGCAUAACCCCAAAACGAUAGCGGUAAAUCAGUAAGAGACAUCAUAGAUCGCACCGUAUCUAGUAAAGUACGAUUACGAUGUUCGGACACACCAUUUCGUUGUGGUGUUCCGGGUGGCGUGAGUUGCGAAACUAUUCCGCAUUGUUUCAAGUGUAGACCAAACUCGUAACUCAAAUAUUCUCCUCCACGAUCAGAUCGUAGAAACUUUAUUUUCUUGUUACGAUGAUUUUCCACUUCACUCUGAAAUUCUUUGAACUUUUCAAAUGUUUCAGACUUGUGUUUCAUUAAGUAGAUAUACCCAUAUCUGCUCAAAUCAUCUGUGAAGGUGAGAAAAUAACGAUACCCGCCGCGAGCCUCAACAUUCAUUGGACCACAAACAUCAGUAUGUAUGAUUUCCAACAAAUCAGUUGCUCGCUCCAUAGUUCCGGAGAACGGCGUUUUAGUCAUCUUGCCCAUGAGGCACGGUUCGCAAGUACCAAGUGAUUCAUAAUCAAGUGAUUCCAAAAUCCCAUCCGUAUGGAGUUUCUUCAUGCGCUUUACACCGAUAUGACCUAAACGGCAGUGCCACAAAUAAGUUGCACUAUCGUUAUCAACUCUGCAUCUUUUGGUUUCAACACUAUGAACAUGUGUAUCACUACUAUCGAGAUUCAAUAAGAAUAGACCACUCUUCAAGGGUGCAUGACCAUAAAAGAUAUUACUCAUAUAAAUAGAACAACAAUUAUUCUCUGAUUUAAAUGAAUAACCGUCUCGCAUCAAACAAGAUCCAGAUAUAAUGUUCAUGCUCAACGCUCGCACCAAAUAACAAUUAUUUAGGUCUAAAACUAAUCCCGAUGGUAGAUGUAGAGGUAGCGUGCCGACCGCGAUCACAUCGACUUUGGAACCAUUUCCCAUGCGCAUCGUCACCUCGUCCUUAGCCAAUCUUCGCUUAUUCCGCAGUCCCUGUUUCGAGUUGCAAAUAUUAGCAACAGAACCAGUAUCAAAUACCCAGGUGCUACUGCGUGCAUUAGUAAGGUACACAUCAAUAACAUGUAUAUCACAUAUACCUUUGUUCACUUUGCCAUCCUUCUUAUCCGCCAAAUACUUGGGGCAGUUCCGCUUCCAGUGUACAGUCUGCUUGCAGUAGAAGCACUCAGUUUCAGGCUUAGGUCCAGACUUGGGUUUCUUCUCUUGAGCAGCAACUUGCUUGCCGUUCUUUUUGAAGUUCCCCUUCUUCUUCCCUUUGCCCUUUUUCUUAAAACUGGUGGUCUUGUUAACCAUCAACACUUGAUGCUCCUUCUUGAUUUCUACCUCCGCAGUUUUUAGCAUUGCGAAGAGCUCGGGAAUAGUCUUGUUCAUCCCUUGCAUAUUAUAGUUCAUCACGAAGCUCUUGUAGCUUGGUGGCAGUGAUUGGAGAAUUCUGUCAAUGACAGUAUCAUCAGGAAGAUUAACUCCCAGUUGAAUCAAGUGAUUAUUAUACCCAGAAAUUUUGAGUAUGUGUUCACAGACAGAACUAUUCUCCUCCAUCUUGCAGCUGUAGAACUUAUUGGAGACUUCAUAUCUCUCAAUCCGGACAUUUGCUUGAAAUAUUAACUUCAACUCCUGGAACAUCUCAUAUGCUCCAUGACGUUCAAAACGUCGUUGAAGACCCGGUUCUAAGCCGUAAAGCAUGGCACACUGAACUAUCGAGUAGUCAUCAGCUUUGCUCUGCCAGACGUUCUUAACGUCGUCAGUUGCAUCAGCAGCAGGCCUGGCACCCAGCGGUGCUUCCAGGACGUAACUUUUCUGUGCAGCAAUGAGGAUAACCCUCAGGUUACGGACCCAGUCCGUGUAAUUGCUACCAUCAUCUUUCAACUUUGCUUUCUCAAGGAACGCAUUAAAAUUCAACGGAACAACAACACGAGCCAUCUAUCUACAAACAAACAUAGACAAGCAAAAUACUAUCAGGUACUAAGUUCAUGAUAAAUUUAAGUUCAAAUAAUCAUAUUACUUAAGAACUCCCACUUAGACAGACAUCUCUCUAGUCAUCUAAGUGAUCACGUGAUCCAAAUCAACUAAACCAUGUCCGAUCAUCACGUAAGAUGGAGUAGUUUCAAUGGUGAACAUCACUAUGUUGAUCAUAUCUACUAUAUGAUUCAUGCUCGACCUUUCGGUCUCCGUGUUCCGAGGCCAUAUCUGUAUAUGCUAGGCUCGUCAAGUAUGACCUGAGUAUUCCGCGUGUGCAACUGUUUUGCACCCGUUGUAUUUGAACGUAGAGCCUAUCACACCCGAUCAUCACGUGGUGUCUCAGCACGAAGAACUUUCACAACGGUGCAUACUCAGGGAGAACACUUCUUGAUUAUUUAGUGAGAGAUCAUCUUAAAAUGCUACCGUCAAUCAAAGCAAGAUAAGAUGCAUAAAGGAUAAACAUCACAUGCAAUCAAUAUAAGUGAUAUGAUAUGGCCAUCAUCAUCUUGUGCUUGUGAUCUCCAUCUUUGAAGCACCAUCGUGAUCACCAUCGUCACCGGCGUGACACCUUGAUCUCCAUCGUAGCAUCGUUGUCGUUACGCCAUCUAUUGCUUCUACGACUAUCGCUACCGCUUAGUGAUAAAGUAAAGCAAUUAUAGGGCGUUUGCAUUUUAUACAAUAAAGCGACAACCAUAUGGCUCCUGCCAGUUGCCGAUAACUUCGGUUACAAAACAUGAUCAUCUCAUACAAUAAAAUAUAGCAUCACGUCUUGGCCAUAUCACAUCACAACAUGCCCUGCAAAAACAAGUUAGACGUCCUCUACUUUGUUGUUGCAAAUUUUACGUGGCUGCUACGGGCUUUAGCAAGAACCGUUCUUACCUACGCAUCAAAACCACAACGAUAGUUCGUCAAGUUGGUGCUGUUUUAACCUUCGCAAGGACCGGGCGUAGCCACACUCGAUUCAGCUAAAGUGAGAGAGACAGACACCCGCCAGCCACCUUUAAGCAUGAGUGCUCGUAACGGUGAAACCAGUCUCGCGUAAGCGUACCCGUAAUGUCGGUCCGGGCCGCUUCAUCUCACAAUACCGCCGAACCGAAGUAUGACAUGCUGGUAAGCAGUAUGACUUGUAUCGCCCACAACUCACUUGUGUUCUACUCGUGCAUAUAACAUCAACGCAUAAAACCUAGGCUCGGAUGCCAUUGUUGGGGAACGUAGUAAUUUCAAAAUUUUCCUACGCACACGCAAGAUCAUGGUGAUGGCAUAGCAACGAGAGGGGAGAGUGUUCGUCCACGUACCCUCGUAGUCCGUAAGCGGAAGCGUUAUGACAAUGCGGUUGAUGUAGUCGUACGUCUUCAUGAUCCGACCGAUCCAAGCACCGAAUGUACGGCACCUCCGAGUUCAGCAAACGUUCAGCUCGAUGACGAUCUCCCUGCUCCGAUCCAGCAAAGCUCCGGAGAUGAGUUCCGUCAGCACGACGGCGUGGUUACGAUGAUGAUGCUCUACCGGCGCAGGGCUUCGCCUAAACUCCACGACGAUAUGACUGAGGUGGAAUAUGGUGGAGGGGGGCACCGCACACGGCUAAGGAACGAUCCAUAGAUCAACUUGUGUGUCUAUGGGUGCCCCCCCCGCCCCCGUAUAUAAAGGAUCCAGGGGGGAGGAGGCGGCCGGCCAAGGAGGGCGCGCCAAAGGGGGGAGUCCUACUCUCACCGGGAGUAGGACUCCCUUCUUUCCAAGUAGGAGUAGGAGAAGGGGGAAAGAGGAGGAGGAGAGGAAGGAAAGGGGGGGGGGGCGCCGCCCCCCUUCCCUUGUCCUAUUCAGACUAGGAAGGGGAGGGGCGCGCGGCCCCCUCCUGGCUCCUUCCCUCUUCUCCCUCGAGGCCCAUGUAGGCCCAAUAACCCCCUGGGGGUUCCGGUAACCUCCCGGUACUCCGGUAAAAUGUCGAUUUCACCCGGAACGAUUCCGAUGUCCAAAUAUAGGCUUCCAAUAUAUCGAUCUUUAUGUCUCGACCAUUUCGAGACUCCUCGUCAUGUCCGUGAUCACAUCCGGGACUCCGAACAAACUUCGGUACAUCAAAACUUAUAAACUCAUAAUAAAACUGUCAUCGUAACGUUAAGCGUGCAGACCCUACGGGUUCGAGAACUAUGUAGACAUGACCUAGAACUAUUCUCAGUCAAUAACCAAUAGCGGGACCUGGAUGCCCAUAUUGGUUCCUACAUAUUCUACGAAGAUCUUUAUCGGUCAAACCGCAUAACAACAUACGUUGUUCCUUUGUCAUCGGUAUGUUACUUUCCCGAGAUUUGAUCGUCGGUAUCCAAUACCUAGUUCAAUCUCGUUACCGGCAGGUCUCUUUACUCGUUCUGUAAUGCAUCAUCCCGUAACCAACUCAUUGGUCACAUUGCUUGCAAGGCUUAUAAUGAUGUGCAUUACCGAGAGGGCCCAGAGAUACCUCUCCGACGAUCGGAGUGACAAAACCUAAUCUCGAAAUACGCCAACUCAACAUGUACCUUCGGAGACACCUGUAGUACUCCUUUAUAAUCACCCAGUUACGUUGUGACAUUUGGUAGUACCCAAAGUGUUCCUCCGGUAAACGGGAGUUGCAUAAUUCUCAUAGUUACAGGAACAUGUAUAAGUCAUGAAGAAAGCAAUAGCAGUAUACUAAAUGAUCAAGUGCUAGGCUAACGGAAUGGGUCAUGCCAAUCACAUCAUUCUUCUAAUGAUGUGAUCCCACUAAUCAAAUGACAACACAUGUCUAUGGUUAGGAAACAUAACCAUCUUUGAUCAAUGAGCUAGUCAAGUAGAGGCAUACUAGUGACUAUAAGUUUGUCUAUGUAUUCACACAUGUAUCAUGUUUCCGGUUAAUACAAUUCUAGCAUGAAUAAUAAAAAUUUAUCAUGAUAUGAGGAAAUAAAUAAUAACUUUAUUAUUGCCUCUAGGGCAUAUUUCCUUCAUCAACAACCCUAGCUGCAAGGAGAACCCCGAAUUACUACUACAACUACACCUACUCCUAGAUCCGCACCACCCCUCCCCUGAAUCCGUCUAGUCCAGGUGGAGGAGAAGGGAGGCUGGCGAUGCAACGAGGGAGGAGGAGAGGGCGAGUAGCCUUUUUUCCUUUUAUUUUCUCAGGAGCAAAACAAGGAAGACCUAGUGGAGUCUAAACAAAUUUUCCACUUGUGACAACUACUUCGGGCAUUACAACUAAAUGCCACACUAGGCCAUCAACACCACCACACGAUGGUCUAAGCAUAGAUCCGCGUCCACCCCCUAACAGAAGUCGCCUGGUUGGUUCGAAAAACCUAAUCUGACAAGGGGAACAAAAGGUCGAACGCUUUAAAGCAAGGCGACAAACAUGUACCUCCCAGAUCAGGCGUCGACCGCAAGAAGAAGAUCAUCCACAUCGAAGAUAGAUUUGCAGGAUGUUUAUUUCAAGCAUCGUCACCACCAUAUUCAUGGCUGGAUCGCCAGAUUACUCAACAACCCUAACUAUUAGCAAAAACCGAACUACCACUACAACUAUGGUCGUGUUUGGUUGCCCGCAUCGAGCCCAACCAGGCCUGCGCGGGAAGGAAGAGGCUUGUUUGGUUGCUUGGUUUCACUGUUGGGCCUACACCGCACGCUUCUCAAAGCAGCCCAGAGCCUGGCUCGUUGGAAGCGCUCGGAUCGGCAGUUUCUUGUGAGCCAGGCUGAGUGCGGCGCGAGGUCGCACGGGCGCGUGCGAGGCGAGGGCGAGGGGGAUGGCGGGAGAUGGAAAUGUGGCGCGCCGUCCCAGCGCCAAAUCUAGCCUCACCCCCUUUCACUCACUCACCCACCAUAGCCACUACCCCCUUUCUUCCCUACUACCUCACCACCGGAGGCAGCUAUGAUUUCAGAUCUGCCGUAGAGGAGGCGGCGGCGACGGUGUUUGCGGCGGAUCUGGUGCUCCCCUUGCUGUUAGCCACCGUCUGGUCGACCUUGUCUGUGCCAUGGCUCCCCCUAAGCCGUCCUCGUCUCCGACGCCGGUGAGCAGCACCCCCUUUCCCCUUUGUUAGGUCGAUGGUUAGGCCGUUAGGCUAGGUGUAGGAUCGAUUAUCCACUGAACGAACCGUCGAUGUCUACUAGGUUAUGGACGCACGGAUGAGGCUGAUAAUUCAGGCAGCAGCACUAAUUAGUGUGAUUAAGGCAUGGGUCUGUUCAUGCACCAGAGAGCUGUUCGUCGUGCUGGGAGACCUUUGAUCCGCUAUGGUCCAUUGUUUAUCCGGGAAUAGGAGAGGAUCCAAAAUCUGAACUACAUCUACAACUACAAUGACGUCGAGGCUCUGUGGAUGCUUCGAAUGAAAAGAGCACCAUUUGCCAGGCUUGUCGAGACCUUCAGGAGCAGGGGGUUGCUAAAAGAUAACAUCAACACCGGUGUGGAAGAGCAGGUGGCCAUGUUUCUCCAUGUUGUUGGCCAUAACCAGAGGUUCAGGGUCAUUCACAACAUGUUCAGGAGAUCAAUGAAGACCAUCUCUAGGUACUUCAAGCAGGUGCUUUUUGCUAUUGGGGAGCUUAGAGGAGAGAUGAUCAGGAGACCAUCUGGCCAGACUCCACCCAAGAUUCCUGGAAGCCCAAGAUGGUAUCCAUACUUCAAGGUGAGCAUUGACAAUAUACACUUUUCAGGGCUUGAUAUGCUUGUAUUGUUCAAGUUGAGCACUAACACAAGCUUGUGAUGCCAUUUUCAGGAUUGCAUUGGGGCAAUAGAUGGUACUCAUGUCACUGCCAGAGUUCCUAGGUCACAGUCUGCAGCAUACAGGGGGAGGAAGCACUACACAAGCCAGAAUGUGCUUGCUGCUGUUGACUUUGAUAUGAAGUUUACAUAUGUGUUGGCUGGCUGCGAGGGGCCAGCGCAUGAUGCUAACAUUCUCAGUGACAACAUGAGUCGACCUGAUGGGAUCAACAUCCCCGGUGACAAGUUCUACCUUGGAGAUGCUGGCUAUACAUGUCGGCCGGGUAUUCUUCCACCCUUCAGGAAAACCAGGUACCAUCUCAAUCAAUGAGUUCUCUGGUAGGAACUAUCCUAGGACUGCACAGGAGUUGUAUAAUCUCAGACACUCCAGCCUUAGAUUAACUGUUGAGAGGGCAUUUGGAGCUCUGAAGAAUAGGUUUAAGAUCCUGGAUCAAAAGCCAUUUCACCCAUACCCCACUCAGGUUAAGCUUGUUCUUGCUUGUUGCAUUCUGCAUAACUGGAUCCUCCAGUGGGGCUUUGAUGAACACGUGCCUGAGGAGAAAGAGGUCGAGCCUGACGAUAUUGUUAGCUCUGGCCAUGGUGUGGAGUCAUUUGACAAUGACGCUAGGAAGAACAAAAUGUUGGAGUGGGCAGAGGCAUGUGGCUUAACAGAGGUCAGUGCAUGAUUUGAAGAAGAGGAGGAAGAAGAAGAAGCAGCAGAAGCAGAAGAGGAAGAGGAAGAUCUCGUAGCAGCAACACCGAUGAACUAUCCCCUAUUUAGCCAAUGACUCUUAAUAAUUUGAACUGUCAUUUGAUAGUAGUUAGGAUGAACUGUCAUUUGUUUAACUAGCUGACACUAUGUUCAGAUUGUGUGUGGUAAGGUCACCACUAGUUAGAAGUGGCGACAACACCUUAUGCAGGUUACAACCAAACACCAUGUCAUAUGUGCCCCUAAUGCAAUGCGGGCAACCAAACGCCGGGUCAAAAAUGAUUGUCUCAUGUAACUAGGUACAUGCAGGCAACCAAACUAUGUGCAUAUGGAGUUUUUUGCCUGCAUCCCCUCAAACCGGCUCACUAGAGCCAGGCUCGAUUGGCAAUGUAACCAAACACGCCCUAUACCUACCCCUCCCCCGACUACGUGUCUCCGCCGAAGCCGGGUGAAGGAGAGAGGAGCCUGGCGAUGCAACGGGGAAGGUGGAAAGGGCGAGUAUAUACAGGAGUGAAGCAAGGAAGACGUGGAGUGUGAACGAAAUUUCCACUUGUGACAACCAGUUGCGCAUUUUACAACUACAAAACGCAUACUCCUACAAAACAACAGUAAAGACAUCACUAGAUCCAACCUUAAAAAUGACAAUUAACGUGCGUAAGUUCAUCGUUUACAUCUCCCAGCUAUGCCGCGCAUAGUACAAUGACGAGCACUGUGAUGUCAAAGCGGCUUAAUUGCUAUUUAUGUCGAUUCUCACACGUUAAUUAUUUUCCUCUCGGUUUAGUUCAUACCAAUCCAAGAGUUGAAGCGGAGUAUACUGCGUACUAGGCGCGCAUGUCCGUCCAGGGGAGGCGCGUCUCCUGCUACGACUGGUGCAGCGACUUCACGUGCGCGCACGCCAUCUUCGCCAGCGGGUUCGUCACCGCGCCGGUCGCCAUCGUGCACUUCGUCAACCGGCCCUACUCCGGCGCCACCAUCUUGUUCGCAGCGUUCGCCGCGUUCUGCACCACCGUCAGCCUCAUCCUCUGCUGCAAGUUCUACGCCGAGCUCAGGCGGCCGCCCUGGCCCCGGUGGCUGUCGUCGGCGUCCGCCGAAGCGCGCCAUCUUGAACAGCAGGACGGCCAAGAGACGGAGGUGUCGUCGCACGAGCAGCUUCGCCACCCUGAGCAGGCCGUGAUGGGGCGCGAGCGCGACCACCUGCGAGCCGCUCUCGUCCCGAGCUACGAGCACCCGGGGGGCGACGCCGAGUGCGCGGUGUGCCUCGGCGACGUGGAGAAGGGGGAGCCAGUGCGGCGGAUGCCGGUGUGCCUGCACGUGUUCCACACCGAGUGCAUCGACCGGUGGCUGCGCUCGCACGCGACGUGCCCGAUUUGCCGGUGCAGCGUGUUCACCCCGCCGGAACGCCCACCGGAAGUAGUGUUGAACGUGGAGUUGUGAUGCGAAUUGGCGCUCGUCUAGCUACAGCUAGCUUCAAAGGGAAUUCCCCUUGCCAAACAUGAACACUGUUUGUGAUAUAACCAAGGAUUUGGUUACCGGGAUUACCGCCCAGUAACCACAUUUCUCGUUACUUCACGUGAAACCCACGUACCACACACACACACAAACAGAUUUUUCGAAACUUUUGAAUUUAAUAAAUGGCCAAUGUUUAGUCAAAUACAGUGGCAACUUUCACAGAACAUAUAAUCAGAGAUGGUAAAUACAUGCUUUCAAUAUCAACAUGUCUUGGACAGGGCCGGGCCGGCAAAAUCCGGGGCCCUGUGCAAAAUUAAAAAAAUGAGGCCCUAUCUCACAGAAAAAUAAAGUAACGAGCAAUUAUAGUAUAUAUAUAUCUCGUAGAAAAAAAUUAUAAUGCAUAUAAUAUAAUGUCUUACAGUAGCAUAUAUCAAUUGGAGUUGGAGAUCAUGCAUCAAUGUUUACCAAUUAGACGAACUGUCUAACUCACUUAAUUUUUGGUCAUGUGAUCUUUAAGCAAGGAGGUAAAAAGUAAGAACCAAAUCUCUAACGAAGUAGCGGCUGCCAAUUGUUAAUUACAAAAUUAGGAGUUAGGAGUAGGAACCGAAGUUAAUCAAAAAGGACUCCCAAGCAGUAAACACCUGGCAGUAGGCUAGAGUCAAUCACCGAUCAAUCCAAAUUUGAGAGAGGACAGAGGAGGCGAGGAUGACAACGACGGCAGCGGCUGGUCGCCCUGAGAUGUUCCUUUCCUUCUUGUAGCCACGAGCCCACGGCCGUCGGCCCACGAUCGAGAGCAGUUCUAACGAUACCGAAUUCCCGAUCCCUUUCGGCUGUAGCGAUCGAGACAUCGAGUACAGGCCUGAUCGAGUAAAGCAGUCGAGGACGAAGAUGAGAUCAGGAGAAGUUUCAACUCGUCGCUGCCGCCGUUUCAGCGCUGGAGACCUGGAGUCGAGGAGAUCACAGAUCAGGUAGAUCCCGUUUCAGCGCUUUUUUUUUGAGGAAUCCGUUUCAGCGUUGGUGGCUGUUCCUUGAUGGAUCCCCUCGUGGCUUCGUGUGGCUCCGACAGUUCGACUCUAGCCAGCCGAGAGCGGUAGAGCCCAGCGCCCAACAGCCCAGUAGUGCAUAUUCUUUUUUUUAAUUCUAUAAGCCUAUGUAAAAAAAUUGGGGCCCCCCAGAAUUUUGGGCCCUGUGCGGGCCGUACUUUCUGCACCACUGUGGGCCCGGCCCUGGUCUUGGAUCGUCGCGGGUUUGAGUAUUAUCGAACUCGUGACUUUAGGGCAUCUCCAGCCGUCCGGCCCUCAAGGAUUUGAAAUAGCGCCGCUGGGGAGGGGAGGGGGCAUAUAAUGGAGCACCUGCACCAGGCCCGCUCUAUCUAGCCAUUCAUUUCCCGCAUCACGAUUUAUGCAAGUACAUUUCUCUUUUUUGUUUCUCUCACAUAGAACAUGUCUUGAAGUUGAAACCUAUGCAGUGUGACAAAGAUUUCUAACUAGAAUCUAGGAUAAAUCUUUCAGAUUUUUUUUGUCAAACAUAAAUAUAUAAAAUAAGUUUUGUUUGACUAAAAAAAAUCAUAUUUUUUGUAUUUACGUCGGACAAAAAUUUAUCCUAGGUUCUAGUUUGAAAGUUUUGCCACACUGCAAAGCUUUGAACUUCAAAGCAUGUUCUAUAUGAGAGAAACAAAAAAGAGAAAAUUUCAUAUAAAAAGUUAGUUAUGUCGCACGGAUCUUAAAGGGACAUUGAAGCCGAUUUCGUCCCAAAUUCGGCGCAAAUUAGGCCUAAAUUUGGCGCAAAUUAGGCCUAAAUUCGGCACAUUUUUGAACAAAUUCAACAACAACUAAUUUUUAUCACAUAGUUCAUCACAGAAAUCAAUACAAAUUAAGUAGUUCAAUGAAGCAAACUCAUAAUUCAAACACAUAUUAAAACACAACAAAAUAGGCGUUGCCCCUGAGCCUUCAUAGGUGCUCCAUCAGAUCGUGCUGCAGUUCUUGAUACACCUGUGGGUCUUGGAUCUCCCGACGCAUAUUGAGGAAGGCAGCCCCUGAUGUCGGUACUUGGUGAUCAAUAGUUGCAAGAGGACCCUGCCUGUAAUAUGGUUCAGUGUCAAAUACUGGCUCUUUCUGCUCGCUCCCAAUGAUUAUGUUGUGCAAGAUGACACAACAAGUCAUCACCUCCCACAUUUGAGAUUUCGACCAGGUCAGAGCGGGGUACCGGACAACAGCAAAUUAAGAUUGGAGCACACCAAAUGCCCGCUCGACAUCCUUCCUGCAAGCCUCCUGACACUUGACAAAGUAGGAGUUCUUCCUCCUGGCACAUGCUUUGAGAUAGUCUUCACAAAUGUGGACCAUCUCGGAUAGAUGUCAUCUGCUAGAUAGUAUCCCUUGUUGUAGUGGCGUCCAUUGACCUUGAAGUUGACCGGAGGAGCAUGACCUUCAACAAGCCUGGCAAAGACAUUUGAGCAAUGCAGUACGUUGAUGUCAUUGUGAGUUCCUGGCAUACCAAAGAAAGAGUGCCAAAUCCAGAGGUCCUAUGUGGCCACUGCCUCAAGUACCACACUACAAACUCCUUUGGCGCCUUUGUACAUCCCCUGCCAAGCAAAUGGAUAGUUUUUCCAUGCCCAAUGCAUGCAGUCUAUGCUUCCAAGCAUCCCAGGAAAUCCUGUUGUCGCAUUCUGUGCUAGGAUCCAAAUAGUGCCUUCAGCAUUGCAUGAUCACAAUGGUCCAAAAACUGCCACCACUGCCCUGCAGAACUUGUACAAACAGUCGAUGGUGGUGUACUCGGCCAUGCGUUCAUAGUCUUCCAGUAUAUCACCGGGAGCUCCGUAUGCAAGCACCCUCAUAGAUGUCGUGCACUUCUAGAGUGGGGAGAACCCAACUGUGCCGGUGCAAUCCUUAUUGCAAAUAAAAUAGCUGUCGAACUCCCGGAUGACACUCACAAUCCUAAGGAAGAGCUUUUGGCUCGUCUGAUAACGGCGCCGAAAUACUUUCUCGCCGUGCAGAGGAGCAUCGAUGAAGUAGUCGGUGUAGAGCAAGCAAUAGCCCUGCAUUCGAUGUCUCUGCUUGCUCUUACGGUGGCCUGGUGUCGAGCCACCUCGUCGCGGCUUUGCAUUGUUCGUGAACAGGCCGGCCACAUCGGCGAGGAUCAAGAGGUGCUCUUUGUCUUGGGUGUCGGCCUCGGUUUCCUCCUUCGUCAGAGCCGUGAACGCCUCCUCCUCGUCGGAGUCCAUUGCCGAAUAGGCAAAAUGCCGAACACCUGGCGGGUGUGGUGGCUGGGCAGUCGCCGGUAUCCCCGCCUGCGUGGUCGAAGCCCUAGAAAGCUAGCCCAGAAAUGGGAUGAAGGCUAUCGCGGAGAAACCCUCUCUUUCCGGCGGGGAAAUGGCCUUUUUAGCAGCGGAGCAACGGCUAUGGGCGGGUGGGCGGCGCCGGGAUCAACAUGGAGGUGAAAGGGAAAAUGGCAUCCUGCAACGCGUGGGUCGAAUCUAGGCAGGAAAAAGUCGUUUCUCGCUUGACAGUGGUGGCCCACGCAUCACUUUUCGUUCCGCCUGAGCCCCCAAGUGCCCCCCAGUGUGCUGGAUUCGACUUGGGAUAGUCGGGCCAAAAAAUGGGCCGAACCGGCAAAAUUCGACGUCUGGGGGGCGACUUGUUUUUUUUCGACGCCGGUGAAAAAAAAUGAUGUCUUGAGGGGCCUGUUGGCGGGCGAGUGGAGAUGCUCUAAAGGACAAAGAAUGGGUACAUAGGAUCUAAGAGCAACAUCAACGCGCUGACCCAAAUGGACAACGAUUUUGUUCGCUUUUUGUCUGUUUGGGUCGGCCGCCCGCUCGGCGUCCGCCCUGUUUAUGAUUUGGAUCGGCAGCGUGCCCAACGCGCUGACCCAUAUUUGCCAGCGUGGCCGGCUGGCCGCUGUUUUUACACAAAUAUGCACACAUUUUGCAUAGUCUCACAAGCAAUUAAAAUUAGCAUAGUUUCACAAACAAAUAAAUUUAGCAUAGUUUUACAAGCAAACAAAAAUAGCAUAGUUUCACAACCAAAUACAUUUAGCAUAGUUUUACAAGUUGAAUAAAAAUUACUGGUUGCCAACAUGAUCCCAUAUAUGCUAAAUCAAAUCAUUUUGCAGCUGCAUGUGAGUUUCCCGAUCACGCAUUUCAUGAUAAAAUUGGAUGAACUGUGCAAUCGUUGCCACUCCUCCUCCAUGCUCAGGCACAACAUUCUCACCCUGAAGCUGAAACCCUUGAUCAUAGAUACGUUUCGGGCGCUCAUCCUCUAUGAUCAUAUUGUACAUGAUUACACAAGUAGUCAUCACCUCUCACAACUUCUUGGUGCUCCAAGUUCUAGCAGGCUACCAAACGAUGCCCCAUCGAGAUUGUAGAACACCAAAGGCACGUUCUGUUGGGUAACGUAGUAAUUUCAAAAUUUUCCUACGCACACGCAAGAUCAUGGUGAUGAUAUAGCAACGAGGGGAGAGUGUUGUCUACGUACCCUCGUAGACCGAAGCGAAAGCGUUGACGCAUCGUAGAGGAAGUAGUCGUACGCCCUCCCGGUUCAACCGAUCCAAGCACCGUUACUCCGGCACCUCCGAGUUCUUGACACGCGUACAGCUCGAUGACGCACCCUCGAUCUCCGAUCCAGCAGAGGCGCCGAGGGGGAGUUCCGUCAGCACGACGGCGUGGUGACGAUCUUGAUGUUCUCCUGUCGCAGGGCUUCGCCUAAGCACCGCUACAAUAUGACCGAGGUGUAAUAUCGUGGAGAAAGGAAAGGGGGGCCCGGCCCCCUUCCCCAAUUCGGAUUGGGCUUGGGGGGUGCGCCCCCUUCCCUUGCUCCUUCUCCCUUCCUCCUACAUGGGCCCAAUAAGGCCCAUAUACCUCCCGGGGGGUUCCGGUAACCUCCCGGAGCUCCAAACUCUUCCGGAACCUUUCCGUGUCCAAAUAUAACCGUCCAAUAUAUCAAACUUUAUGUCUCGACCACUUCGAGACUCCUCGUCAUGUCCGUGAUCACAUCCGGGACUCCGAACAAACUUCGGUACAUCAAAAUACAUAAACUCAUAAUAUAACUGUCAUCGAAACCUUAAGCGUGCGAACCCUACGGUUCGAGAACGAUGUAGACAUGACCGAGACAUGUCUCUGGUCAAUAACCAAUAGCGGGACCUGAAUGCCCAUAUUGGUUCCUACAUAUUCUACGAAGAUCUUUAUCGGUCAAACCGCAUAACAGCAUACGUUGUUCCCUUUGUCAUCGGUAUGUUACUUGUCCGAGAUUUUAUCAUCGGUAUCCAAUACCUAGUUCAAUCUGGUUACCGACAAGUCUCUUUACUCGUUCUAUAAUACUUCAUCUCAUAACUAACUCAUUAGUUAUAUGCUUGCAAGGCUUAUGUGAUGAGCAUUACCGAGAGGGCCCAGAGAUACCUCUCCGACAAUCGGAGUGACAAAACCUAAUCUCGAAUUAUGCUAACUCAACAUGUACCUUCGGAGACACCUAUAGUACUCCUUUAUAAUCACCCAGUUACGUUGUGACGUUUGGUAGUACCCAAAGUGUUCCUCCGGUAAACGGGAGUUACACAAUUCUCAUAGUUACAUGAACAUGUAUAAGUCAUGAAGGAAGCAAUAGCAGAAUACUAAACGAUCAAGUGCUAAGCUAACGGGAUGGGCCAUGUCAAUCACAUCAUUCUCCUAAUGAUGUGAUCCCAUUAAUCAAAUGACAACACAUGUCUAUGGUUAGGAAACAUAACCAUCUUUGACUAAUGAGCUAGUCAAGUAGAGGCAUACUAGUGACUAUAUGUUUGUCUAUGUAUUCACACAUGUAUCAUGUUUCCGGUUAAUACAAUUCUAGCAUGAAUAAUAAACAUUUAUCAUGAUAUGAGGAAAUAAAUAAUAACUUUAUUAUUGCCUCUAGGGCAUAUUUCCUUCAGUCUCCCACUUGCACUAGAGUCAAUAAUCUAGAUUACACAGUAAUGAUUCUAACACCCAUGGAGUCUUGGUGCUGAUCAUGUUUUGCUUGUGAGAGAGGCUUAGUCAACGGGUUUGCAACAUUCAGAUCCGUAUGUAUCUUGCAAAUGUCUAUGUCUCCCACUUGGACUUGGUCCCGAAUGGAAUUGAAGCGUCUCUUGAUGUGCUUGGUCCUCUUGUGAAAUCUGGAUUCCUUUGCCAAGGCAAUUGCACCAGUAUUGUCACAGAAGAUAUUCAUUGGUCCCGAUGCACUAGGUAUGACACCUAGAUCGGAAAUGAACUCCUUCAUCCAGAUUCCUUCAUUCGCUGCUUCAGAAGCAGCUAUGUACUCCGCUUCACAUGUAGAUCCCGCUACGACGCUUUGUUUUGAACUGCACCAACUUAUAGCUCCACCGUUUAAUAUAAACACGUAUCCGGUCUGCGAUUUAGAAUCGUCCGGAUCAGUGUCAAAGCUUGCAUCGACGUAACCAUUUACGACUAGCUCUUUGUCACCUCCAUAUACGAGAAACAUAUCCUUAGUCCUUUUCAGGUAUUUCAGGAUGUUCUUGACCGCUGUCCAGUGAUCCACUCCUGGAUUACUUUGGUACCUACCUGCCAAGCUUAUUGCUAAGCAUACGUCAGGUCUUGUACACAGCAUUGCAUACAUGAUAGAGCCUAUGGCUGAAGCAUAGGGAACAUCUUUCAUUUUCUCUCUAUCUUCUGCUGUGGUCGGGCAUUGAGUUUGACUCAACUUCACACCUUGUAGCACAGGCAAGAAUCCUUUCUUUGCCUGAUCCAUUUUGAACUUUUUCAAAAUUUUGUCAAGGUAUGUGUUUUGUGAAAGUCCUAUUAAGCGUCUUGAUCUAUCUCUAUAGAUCUUGAUGCCCAAUAUGUAAGCAGCUUCACCGAGGUCUUUCAUUGAAAAACUUUUAUUCAAGUAUCCCUUUAUGCUAUCCAGAAAUUCUAUAUCAUUUCCAAUUAAUAAUAUGUCAUCAACAUAUAAAACUAGAAAUGCUACAGAGCUCCCACUCACUUUCUUGUAAAUACAGGCUUCUCCAAAAGUCUGUAUAAAACCAUAUGCUUUGAUCACACUGUCAAAGCGUUUAUUCCAACUCCGAGAUGCUUGCACUAGUCCAUAAAUGGAACGCUGGAGCUUGCACACUUUGUCAGCACCUUUUGGAUCAACAAAACCUUCAGGCUGCAUCAUAUACAACUCUUCUUCUAGAAAUCCAUUCAAGAAUGCAGUUUUGACAUCCAUUUGCCAAAUUUCAUAAUCAUGAAAUGCAGCAAUAGCCAACAUGAUUCGGACAGACUUAAGCAUCGCUACGGGUGAGAAAGUCUCAUCGUAGUCAACCCCUUGAACUUGUCGAAAACCUUUUGCAACAAGUCGAGCUUUGUAGACAGUAACAUUACCAUCAGCGUCAGUCUCCUUCUUAAAGAUCCAUUUAUUCUCAAUGGCUUGCCGAUCAUCGGGUAAGUCAACCAAAGUCCAUACUUUGUUUUCAUACAUGGAUCCUAUCUCAGAUUUCAUGGCCUCUAGCCAUUUUGCGGAAUCUGGGCUCAUCAUCGCUUCCUCAUAGUUCGUAGGUUCAUCAUGGUCAAGUAACAUGACUUCCAGAAUAGGAUUUCCGUACCACUCUGGUGCGGAUCUUACUCUGGUAGACCUACGAGGUUCAGUAGAAACCUGAUCUGAAGUUUCAUGAUCAAUAUCAUUAGCUUCCUCACUAAUUGGUGUAGUCGUCAUAGGAACCUGUUCUUGUGAUGAACUACUUUCCAAUAAGGGAGUAGAUACAGUUAUCUCAUCAAGUUCUACUUUCCUCCCACUCACUUCUUUCGAGAGAAACUCCUUCUCUAGAAAGGAUCCGAAUUUAGCAACGAAAAUCUUGCCCUCAGAUCUGUGAUAGAAGGUGUACCCAAUAGUCUCCUUUGGGUAUCCUAUGAAGACACAUUUCUCCGAUUUGGGUUCGAGCUUAUCUGGUUGAAGUUUCUUCACAUAAGCAUCGCAGCCCCAAACUUUGAGAAACGACAACUUUGGUUUCUUGCCAAACCACAGUUCAUAAGGCGUCGUCUCAACGGAUUUUGAUGGUGCCCUAUUUAACGUGAAUGCGGCCGUCUCUAAAGCAUAACCCCAAAACGAUAGCGGUAAAUCGGUAAGAGACAUCAUAGAUCGCACCAUAUCAAGUAAAGUACGAUUACGACGUUCGGACACACCAUUUCGUUGUGGUGUUCCGGGUGGCGUGAGUUGCGAAACUAUUCCACAUUGUUUCAAAUGCAAACCAAACUCGUAACUCAAAUAUUCUCCUCCACGAUCAGAUCGUAGAAAUUUUAUUUUCUUGUUACGAUGAUUUUCUACUUCACUCUGAAAUUCUUUGAACUUUUCAAAUGUUUCAGACUUGUGCUUCAUCAAGUAGAUAUACCCAUAUCUGCUCAAAUCAUCUGUGAAGGUGAGAAAAUAACGAUAUCCACCACGAGCCUCAACAUUCAUCCGGCCACAUACAUCUGUAUGUAUGAUUUCCAACAAAUCUGUUGCUCUCUCCAUAGAUCCGGAGAACGGUGCUUUGGUCAUCUUGCCCAUGAGGCACAGUUCGCAAGUACCAAGUGAUUCAUAAUCAAGUGAUUCCAGAAGUCCAUCAGUAUGGAGUUUCUUCUUGCAUUUUACACCGAUAUGACCUAAACGGCAGUGCCACAAAUAUGUUGCACUAUCAUUAUCAACUCUGCAUCUUUUGACUUCAACAUUAUGAAUAUGUGUAUCACUACUAUCGAGAUUCAAUAAAAAUAGACCACUCUUAAAGGGUGCAUGACCAUAAAAGAUAUUACUCAUAUAAAUAGAACAACCAUUAUUCUCUGAUUUAAAUGAAUAACCGUCUCGCAUCAAACAAGAUCCAGAUAUAAUGUUCAUGCUCAACGCAGGCACCAAAUAACAAUUAUUCAGGUCUAAUACUAAUCCCGAUGGUAGAUGUAGAGGUAACGUGCCGACCGCGAUCACAUCGACUUUGGAACCAUUUCCCAUGCGCAUCGUCACCUUGUCCUUAGCUAAUCUUCGCUUAAUCCGUAGUCCCUAUUUCGAGUUGCAAAUGUUAGCAACAGAACCAGUAUCAAAUACCCAGGUGCUACUGCGAGCAUUAGUAAGGUACACAUCAAUAACAUGUAUAUCACAUAUACCUUUGUUCACUUUGCCAUCCUUCUUAUCCGCCAAAUACUUGGGGCAGUUCCGCUUCCAGUGUCCAGUCUGCUUGCAGUAGAAGCACUUAGUUUCAGGCUUAGGUCCAGACUUGGGUUUCUUCUCUUGAGCGGCAACUUGCUUGCCGUUCUUUUUGAAGUUCCCCUUCUUCUUCCCUUUGCCCUUUUUCUUAAAACUGGUGGUCUUGUUGACCAUCAACACUUGAUGCUCCUUCUUGAUUUCUACCUCCGCGGCUUUCAGCAUCGCGAAGAGCUCGGGAAUAGUCUUGUUCAUCCCUUGCAUAUUAUAGUUCAUCACAAAGCUCUUGUAGCUUGGUGGCUGUGAUUGGAGAAUUCUGUCAAUGACGCUAUCAUCCGGAAGAUUAACUCCCAGUUGAAUCAAGUGAUUAUUAUACCCAGACAUUUUGAGUAUAUGCUCACUGACAGAACUGUUCUCCUCCAUCUUGCAGCUGUAGAACUUAUUGGAGACUUCAUAUCUCUCAAUCCGGGCAUUUGCUUGAAAUAUUAACUUCAACUCCUGGAACAUCUCAUAUGCUCCAUGACGUUCAAAACGUCGUUGAAGACCCGGUUCUAAGCCGUAAAGCAUGGCACACUGAACUAUAGAGUAGUCAUCAGCUUUGCUCUGCCAGACGUUCUUAACGUCGUCAGUUGCAUCAGCAGCAGGCCUGGCACCUAGCGGUGCUUCCAGGACGUAACUCUUUUGUGCAGCAAUGAGGAUAAUCCUCAGGUUACGGACCCAGUCCGUGUAAUUGCUACCAUCAUCUUUCAACUUUGCUUUCUCAAGGAACGCAUUAAAAUUCAACGGAACAACAGCACGAGCCAUCUAUUUACAAACAAACAUAGACAAGCAAAAUACUAUCAGGUACUAAGUUCAUGAUAAAUUUAAGUUCAAUUAAUCAUAUUACUAAAGAACUCCCACUUCGACAGACAUCUCUCUAGUCAUCUAAGUGAUUACGUGAUCCAAAUCAACUAAACCAUGUCCGAUCAUCACGUGAGAUGGAGUAGUUUCAAUGGUGAACAUCUCUAUGUUGAUCAUAUCUACUAUAUGAUUCACGCUCGACCUUUCGGUCUCUGUGUUCCGAGGCCAUAUCUAUAUAUGCUAGGCUCGUCAAGUAUAACCUGAGUAUUCCGCGUGUGCAACUGUUUUGCACCCGUUGUAUUUGAACGUAGAGCCUAUCACACCAUAUCAUCACGUGGUGCAUACUCAGGGAGAACACUUCUUGAUAAUUAGUGAGAGAUCAUCUUAAAAUGCUACCGUCAAUCAAAGCAAGAUAAGAUGCAUAAAGGAUAAACAUCACAUGCAAUCAAUAUAAGUGAUAUGAUAUGGCCAUCAUCAUCUUGUGCUUGUGAUCUCCAUCUUCGAAGCACCGUCGUGAUCACCAUCGUCACCGGCGCGACACCUUGAUCUCCAUCGUAGCAUCGUUGUCGUUACGCCAUCUAUUGCUUCUACGACUAUCGCUACCGCUUAGUGAUAAAGUAAAGCAAUUACAGGGCGUUUGCAUUUCAUACAAUAAAGCGACAACCAUAUGGCUCCUGCCAGUUGCCGAUAACUUCGGUUACAAAACAUGAUCAUCUCAUACAAUAAAAUAUAGCAUCACAUCUUGGCCAUAUCACAUCACAACAUGCCCUGCAAAAACAAGUUAGACGUCCUCUACUUUGUUGUUGCAAAUUUUACGUGGCUGCUACGGGCUUAAGCAAGAACCAAUCUCACCUACGCAUCAAAACCACAACGAUAGUUUGUCAAAUAGACUCCGUUUUAACCUGCACAAGGACUGGGCGUAGCCACACUCGGUUCAACUAAAGUUGGAGAAACUGACACCCGCUAGUCACCUGUGUGCAAAGCACAGCGGUAAAACCAGUCUCGCGUAAGCGUAUGCGUAAUGUCGGUCCGGGCCGCUUCAUCCAACAAUACCGCUGAACCAAAGUAUGACAUGCUGGUAGGCAGUAUGACUUAUAUCGUCCACAACUCACUUGUGUUCUACUCGUGCAUAUAACAUCAAACCAUAAAAACCUAGGCUCGGAUGCCACUGUUGGGUAACGUAGUAAUUUCAAAAUUUUCCUACGCACACGCAAGAUCAUGGUGAUGAUAUAGCAACGAGGGGAGAGUGUUGUCUACGUACCCUCGUAGACCGAAGCGGAAGCGUUGACGCAGCGUAGAGGAAGUAGUCGUACGUCCUCCCGGUUCAACCGAUCCAAGCACCGUUACUCUGGCACCUCCGAGUUCUUGACACGCGUACAACUCGAUGACGCACCCUCGAUCUCCGAUCCAGCAGAGGCGCCGAGGGGGAGUUCUGUCAGCACGACGGCGUGGUGACGAUCUUGAUGUUCUCCUGUCGCAGGGCUUCGCCUAAGCACCGCUACAAUAUGAUCGAGGUGUAAUAUCGUGGAGGGGGGCACCGCACACGGCUAAGGAACGAUCAAUGAUCAACUUGUGUCUUCUAGGGUGCCCCCCUACCCCCGUAUAUAAAGGAGGGAGGGAGGAGGUGGCCGGCCCAAGGAGGGGGCGCGCCAUGGGAGGAGGAAACCUACUCCAAGUAGGUUUCCCCUCUUUUUCCUUAUCUUAUUUGGAGGAAGAAGGAAGGAGUACUAGUAGUAGGAAGGAGUACUAGUAGUAUGAAAGGAAGAGGGGGAAGGAGAAAGGAAAGGGGGGGCCGGCCCCCUUCCCCAAUUCGGAUUGGGCUUGGGGGGCGCGCCCCCUUCCCUUGCUCCUUCUCCCUUCCUCCUACAUGGGCCCAAUAAGGCCCAUAUACCUCCCGGGGGGUUCCGGUAACCUCCCGGAGCUCCAAACUCUUCCGGAACCUUUCCGUGUCCAAAUAUAACCGUCCAAUAUAUCAAACUUUAUGUCUCGACCAUUUCGAGACUCCUCGUCAUGUCCGUGAUCACAUCCGGGACUCCGAACAAACUUCGGUACAUCAAAAUACAUAAACUCAUAAUAUAACUGUCAUCGAAACCUUAAGCGUGCGGACCCUACGGUUCGAGAACGAUGUAGACAUGACCGAGACAUGUCUCUGGUCAAUAACCAAUAGCGGGACCUGGAUGCCCAUAUUGGUUCCUACAUAUUCUACGAAGAUCUUUAUCGGUCAAACCGCAUAACAGCAUACGUUGUUCCCUUUGUCAUCGGUAUGUUACUUGUCCGAGAUUUGAUCGUCGAUAUCCAAUACCUAGUUCAAUCUCGUUACCGACAAGUCUCUUUACUCGUUCUAUAAUACUUCAUCUCAUAACUAACUCAUUAGUUAUAUGCUUGCAAGGCUUAUGUGAUGAGCAUUACCGAGAGGGCCCAGAGAUACCUCUCCGACAAUCGGAGUGACAAAACCUAAUCUCGAAUUAUGCUAACUCAACAUGUACCUUCGGAGACACCUGUAGUACUCCUUUAUAAUCACCCAGUUACGUUGUGACGUUUGGUAGUACCCAAAGUGUUCCUCCGGUAAACGGGAGUUACACAAUUCUCAUAGUUACAUGAACAUGUAUAAGUCAUGAAGGAAGCAAUAGCAGAAUACUAAACGAUCAAGUGCUAAGCUAACGGGAUGGGCCAUGUCAAUCACAUCAUUCUCCUAAUGAUGUGAUCCCAUUAAUCAAAUGACAACACAUGUCUAUGGUUAGGAAACAUAACCAUCUUUGACUAAUGAGCUAGUCAAGUAGAGGCAUACUAGUGACUAUAUGUUUGUCUAUGUAUUCACACAUGUAUCAUGUUUCCGGUUAAUACAAUUCUAGCAUGAAUAAUAAACAUUUAUCAUGAUAUGAGGAAAUAAAUAAUAACUUUAUUAUUGCCUCUAGGGCAUAUUUCCUUCAGUCUCCCACUUGCACUAGAGUCAAUAAUCUAGAUUACACAGUAAUGAUUCUAACACCCAUGGAGUCUUGGUGCUGAUCAUGUUUUGCUUGUGAGAGAGGCUUAGUCAACGGGUUUGCAACAUUCAGAUCCGUAUGUAUCUUGCAAAUGUCUAUGUCUCCCACUUGGACUUGGUCCCGAAUGGAAUUGAAGCGUCUCUUGAUGUGCUUGGUCCUCUUGUGAAAUCUGGAUUCCUUUGCCAAGGCAAUUGCACCAGUAUUGUCACAAUAGUGGUCCACUGAGGAUAGAUACCGUCACCUAGGUAGUAUCCUUUGUCGUAGUUGUGGCCGUUGAUGGUAACAUUCACUAGCGGGUUGUUGCCUUCGGAAAGCCUUGCAAACACCAAUGAGUGUUGAAGCACGUUGAUAUCAUUGUGUGAUCUAGCCAUGCUGAAGAAAGAGUGCCAGAUCCAGAGAUCUGGUGAGGCCACGGCCUCAAGUAUGAUAGUGCAAGUCCUGACAUGGCCCUUAUACUGCCCUUGCCAAGCAGAAGGGCAGUUUUUCCAAUCCCAGUGCAUGCAGUCUAUGCUACCAAGAACCCCUGUGAAACCCCUGCUGACAUUCAUCGCCAACAAGCGGGCUGUAUCUUGAGCAGUCGGCUCUCUCAAGUACUUAGGGCCAAACACAACAAUCACAGCCUUGCAGAACCUAUACAUAGACUCUAGGCACGUAGACUCGCUCAUACAGACAUACUCAUCAAUGAGAUCACCGGGCACUCCAUAUGCAAGCAUCCGGAUGGCUGUGGUGCAUUUCUGAUAAGAUGAGAAGCCAAUCUUUCCAUACAACCACCCCCACUCUAAUACAGUUGAAAAGAUGCCUAACCAUACGAAAACGCCACCGAAAUUUCUGAUGUAUGAACAGCGGGUUGGUUGUAUCAAAGUAGUCCUUCCAAAGAAGCAAAUGGUUGCUCUCUUGGUUCAGAUUCAACGCCAGAAUGUGCCCUGGGAACAAACCCCGAAACAAUGGCCGCUGUGUAUUAAGGUGGUCAUGGACCUCUUGGGAAACGUUGCAUGGAAAGCAAAAAACAUUCUACACACACACAAUGAUCUAUCCAUGGAGAUGCAUAGCAACGAGGGGUAGAGUGUGUCUAAGUACCCUUGUAGACCAUAAGCGGAAGCGUUUCACAACGCGGUUGAUGUAGUCGAACUUCUUCGCAUUUCAACCGAUCAAGUACCAAACGCACGACACCUCCACGUUCUGAACACGUUCAGCUUGGUGACGUCCCUUGCCUUCUUGAUCUAGCAAGACAUCGAUAUAGUAGAUGAGUUCUGUUGGGGAUAUUACCACUAGGCGUGAACCGGCCUACUUGGGCUGGGUUAACUUCAUUAGUGGUAUAAGCAGAUGAAGGCCCAAGGCCUAUAGUCGGUUUAGAACCUGUAGCCGUAAACCGGCCUGAUGUAUAACUUGUAUUGUAAGUUAGGAAUAGAGAGAUACCAACCGGGAUACGAGUAUGAACCGGUUGGGACUCUAUGGACCGACGGGCGUCACCCGUGUAUAUAAGGGGACGACCCGGCGGCGGUUCAAGACAGACAACCACAACUCGAGCCUAGGCGAAGCUUGUUUGCUCCCUAGCCAUCGAGACUACAUCAAUUCCAUCACAACUAGACAUAGGCUUUUACCUUCAUCGAAGGGGCCGAACUAGUAUAAAACCCUCGUGUCUUUGUGUCCGCUUUAACCCCUUCAAGUAAACCCGUAGCGACGGCUCCAUGACUAAGUCCUUUCACUAGGACAUCUGCCGUGACAAAUCCACGACAGUUGGCGCCCACCGUGGGGCUAUCGCACGAUGGUUUGACGAUCUUGGAGGGCAAGCUCAAGGAACUCGAAGGCUAUGUUGUGGGCCGGAUGACCAAGAGUCGUCGUGGCAGGAUCUACAUCGACGACGCAGGAUGGGGUCCCGAGGCCGAUUCGAUCGAGUACGGGUACCGGGUCCCCUUUGGUGGCAUACACGUUUUCAUCGGCAAGAUCGGUGAGCCUGGGCCUGAGCCGGACAUCUGCACCGACCUCGUCGAGACGGCUCAGCGUGCGAGAUCUACCCAGGCUAAACCGGCCGUGAAGCGUGUCUUCGUUGGAGUCAUCCACGGAGGAGAGCGUAAGGAUGAAUCAGAACACGGUAGCGAGACCAUCGUCUAUUCCGGUGAUGAGUCCUCAACCGGAGAGACCGAAUCGCUAUACCUGUUGCAAGACGAUCAGGUUAGAGGCUGUUCCGAUGGCGACAGUAUUCCGGACCCCCCAGGCCAGGUCAACCGGGUUGGAAUAUUCAUGGCCGGCACACAGGCGGCGAAUCACUCUUCGACCACCGCAGCGAUGCUCUCCGGAUCAGCAGCGGCAGCGGCAGCAGGGGAAGGAGGCCUUGUGCACCCGCCGGUUCAAGUUCUAUCUGAUCUGUUUGAUGCAUUAGCCGCACUUAUGGCAGAGGCCAAUCCGGCGGAUCAGGAGGCCCAUGAUGCAGAGAUUGCAAAGGUGAGAGAGCAGAUCGUGCAAGCCAAAGCAGAUCUGGCAGCAGAAAAAGACAGGAUGGCCGCAGAGCGGGCCGCUUUGGACGCCCAGGCUUAUAAGCUCAUGCUUGACCAGAACGCAUCACAGGAGGUCUUGAAGCGGAAGCACAGAUCACGCCUGCUGUUAGGGUUUGACCCCCGAAAUCUCUUUCACACUCCAGGAGCUGGACCCAGUAAUCCACCGCAGUACCUGGAGGCAAACCGGAUCGAGGCACCAGGGCCAGGAGCGACGGUCCAACCCCGCCUGAUGGAACCUCCUCAACAGAACAUUGUGGUUCCUUCGCCGGUCCAGACACCCCCGGGUCAUUAUUCUAAUCCUAUGGACAACCUUGUUGCAGCCGCCGUGCGAUUAGAGGCUAUCCCAAUCGAAGGGGACUCUCCGCAAGCGAUAGAGACGCGCCGGGUUAAGGAGCUUCUCCGGACCGCACUGAUUCAGCAGGAAGCAUAUUCGUACAGCCGUGAUCGGAUUCACUCCAUGCCCCGUCCAAGCCGGAGCUAUAGCAGGUGCAUGGAUGAACCGGCCAUAUCGAGCAAUGCGCGAGGCCAUGAAGUGGCCCGUGGUAAUAACCCGGCAGGUGGUGUUCGCGAUGCUCAGGAUGUGGUGGACAGGGCCCGGGCACGAAGGGAGGCCGAGUUAGCAGCACAGAAUGAUGCGGGUCAGCUUACACCGGUUCGUCCUACCACCUCCGCCGGACCAGGGGUCGCAUCCGCUUUGGGAGUGCCUUGUUUAAUCCCCGCUUUACGCAAUGUGCGCCUGCCCAAAGAUUUCAAGGGGCCGCGCAAGGUGCCGAAUUACACCGCUGAUUUAUCUCCCGAAGCAUGGGUAGAGAGUUAUGAGAUGGCCAUGGAGAUGCUAGAUGUGGAUGAGACCGCGUGCGCAAAAUACUUCACCAUGAUGCUUGAAGGCACGGCUCGUACUUGGUUGAAGAGCCUACUGCCCAAUUCUAUUAGCUCAUGGGCCCAGUUGCGGGCCCGGUUUAUCCAGAAUUUCAAGGAUACAUGUAAGCAGCCCAAAUCCAUAGUAGAUCUGGCGGCUUGUGUCCAGGAGGACGGAGAAUCAACGACCCAUUGGGUGCGCCGCGUUUCAGAAGUUUUGCACUCGUCUGACAGAAUCAAUGCUGACUCUGUGAUCUUAACACUGGAAGGCAACUGCCGGUUCAAGCCUUUAAAAUUGAAGCUGGGACGCAUGAAGCGGUUCUGUAAUGACAUGGGAACUCUCAUGGCCGCUUUAGUGAAGUAUGCUGAUUCGGACAGUACCAAGGAUCCCGAGACUGAUGAUGAUGAAGCAGGGAAGGGAAAGAAGAAUAGCAACUCCAAGCAGCAGCAGUACAAACCGGCGGGUCAUGGAAACGGAGGCAAGCGCAAGGCGGAUGGCAGCAUGGACUUUGUGGCCAACACCAAUGCACAGGACAGGGGGCAGCGACGCAGAGGUAAAGCGGCAAAUCGUAAUGGGGCUCCCAAUCCUAACGCAAACCGUUUGAAUUAUUUGUUGAAUCAGCCUUGCCCAAAGCACGGGACGAAGGAGGCGCCGGCUAACCACCUUUGGAAGGAUUGUUAUAUUAUGUAGGAGUUUAAAAACUCUAAUGCCUUCCGGUAUGACCACGGGUCAGGUGGCGGUUCAGGAUCCGGUUUCCAUGGGCCGGGUCAUGAUGGAGCUUCCGGUUCAGGUCUCAAUCAGGGCGGUCACAACAACCAGAAUAAUCAGAACGGCCAGCAGCAGCAGCAGCAGUCGGGUUAUCAGAGCUAGCCAAAACAGUUGAACAAUGGGCAGUAUCAUGUUUUCACAACUAGCUUGGAUAAACGCGACCGGAAGCUCCACAAGCGAGCGCUGAAUUCUGUUGAACCGGCCUUACCACGUUACUUGCGCUGGUCGGAGCAACCUAUCGUGUGGAGCAGAGAGGAUCACCCGCCCCGGGUUGAUAAUCCGGGCCAGCUAGCGUUAGUGGUAGACCCUCAAGUGGGGGGUUAUAAGUUCACCAAGGUACUCAUGGAUGGAGGGAGUGAAGGAAAUAUGCCCUAGAGGCAAUAAUAAAGUUAUUAUUUAUUUCCUUAUAAUCAUGAUAAAUGUUUAUUAUUCAUGCUAGAAUUGUAUUAACCGGAAACAUAAUACAUGUGUGAAUACAUAGACAAACAAAGUGUCACUAGUAUGCCUCUACUUGACUAGCUCGUUAAUCAAAGAUGGUUAUGUUUCCUGACCAUGAACAAUGAGUUGUUAUUUGAGUAACGAGGUCACAUCAUUAGUUGAAUGAUCUGAUUGACAUGACCCAUUCCAUUAGCUUAGCACCUGAUCGUUUAGUAUGUUGCUAUUGCUUUCUUCAUGACUUAUACAUGUUCCUAUGACUAUGAGAUUAUGCAACUCCCGUUUGCCUGAGGAACACUUUGGGUGCUACCAAACGUCACAACGUAACUGGGUGAUUAUAAAGGAGCAUUACAGGUGUCUCCAAAGGUAGAUGUUGGGUUGGCGUAUUUCGAGAUUAGGAUUUGUCACUCUGAUUGUCGGAGAGGUAUCUCUGGGCCCUCUCGAUAAUGCACAUCACAUAAGCCUUGCAAGCACUGCAACUAAUAUGUUAGUUGUGAGAUGAUGUAUUACGGAACGAGUAAAGAGACUUGCCAGUAACGAGAUUGAACUAGGUAUUGGAUACCGACGAUCGAAUCUCGGGCAAGUAACAUACCGAUGACAAAGGGAACAACGUAUGUCGUUAUGCGGUCUGACCGAUAAAGAUCUUCGUAGAAUAUGUAGGAUCCAAUAUGGGCAUCCAGGUCCCGCUAUUGGUUAUUGACCGGAGAUGUGUCUCGGUCAUGUCUACAUUGUUCUCGAACCCGUAGGGUCCGCACGCUUAAGGUUACGAUGACAGUUACAUUAUGAGUUUAUGCAUUUUGAUAUACCGAAGGGUGUUCGGAGUCCCGGAUGUGAUCACGGACAUGACGAGGAGUCUCGAAAUGGUCGAGACGUAAAGAUUGAUAUAUUGGAAGCCUAUGUUUGGACAUCGGAAGUGUUCCGGGUGAAAUCGGGAUUUUACCGGGUUACCGGGAGGUUACCGGAACCCCCCGGGAGCCAUAUGGGCCUUCAUGGGCCUUAGUGGAAAGGUGAAAGGGCUGCCCACAAGGGCUGCGCGCCUCCCCCCUUCCCCUAGUCCUAUUAGGACUAGGAGAGGUGGCCGGCCCCCUCCUCCUCUUUUCCCUCUUCGGGGAAUCCUAAUUGGAAUAGGAUUGGAGGGGAGUCCUACUCCCGGUAGGAGUAGGACUCCUCCUGCGCCUCUCUCCUGGCCGGCGCCUCCUGCCCCCCUUGGCUCCUUUAUAUACUGAGGUAGAGGCACCCCAAAAGACACAAGUUGAUCCACGUGAUCUAUUCCUUAGCCGUGUGCGGUGCCCCCUGCCACCAUAUACCUCGAUAAUACUGUAGCGGAGUUUAGGCGAAGCCCUGCUGCUGUAGUUCAUCAAGAUCGUCACCACGCCGUCGUGCUGACGGAACUCUUCCCCGACACUUUGCUGGAUCGGAGUCCGGGGAUCGUCAUCGAGCUGAACGUGUGCUCGAACUCGGAGGUGCCGUAGUUUCGGUGCUUGAUCGGUUGGAUCGUGAAGACGUACGACUACUUCCUCUACGUCGUGUCAUCUCUUCCACAGUCGGUCUGCGUUGGGUACGUAGACAACACUCUCCCCUCGUUGCUAUGCAUCACAUGAUCUUGCGUGUGCGUAGGAAAUUUUUUGAAAUUACUACGAAACCCAACAGUGGCAUCCGAGCCUAGGUUAUUUAUGUUGAUGUUAUAUGCACGAGUAGAACACAAGUGAGUUGUGGACGAUACAAGUCAUACUGCCUACCAGCAUGUCAUACUUUGGUUCGGCGGUAUUGUUGGACGAGACGACCCGGACCAACCUUACGCGUACGCUUACGCGAGACCGGUUCCCUCGACGUGCUUUGCACAUAGAUGGCUUGCGGGCAACUGUCUCUCCAACUUUAGUUGAACUGAGUAUGGCUACGCCCGGUCCUUGAGAAGGUUAAAACGGAGUCUAUUUGACAAACUAUCGUUGUGGUUUUGAUGCGUAGGUGAGAUUGGUUCUUACUUAAGCCCGUAGCAGCCACGUAAAACAUGCAACAACAAAGUAGAGGACGUCUAACUUGUUUUUGCAGGGCAUGUUGUGAUGUGAUAUGGUCAAGGCAUGAUGCUGAAUUUUAUUGUAUGAGAUGAUCAUGUUUUGUAACCGAGUUAUCGGCAACUGGCAGGAGCCAUAUGGUUGUCGCUUUAUUGUAUGCAAUGCAAUCGCGAUGUAAUGCUUUACUUUAUUACUAAACGGUAGUGAUAGUCGUGGAAGCAUAAGAUUGGCGAGACGACAACGAUGCUACGAUGGAGAUCAAGGUGUCGCGCCGGUGACGAUGGUGAUCAUAACGGUGCUUCGGAGAUGGAGAUCACAAGCACAAGAUGAUGAUGGCCAUAUCAUAUCACUUAUAUUGAUUGCAUGUGAUGUUUAUCCUUUUAUGCAUCUUAUCUUGCUUUGAUUGACGGUAGCAUUAUAAGAUGAUCUCUCACUAAAUUAUCAAGAAGUGUUCUCCCUGAGUAUGCACCGUUGCCAAAGUUCGUCGUGCCCAGACACCACGUGAUGAUCGGGUGUGAUAAGCUCUACGUCCAUCUACAACGGGUGCAAGCCAGUUUUGCACACGCAGAAUACUCAGGUUAAAACUUGACGAGCCUAGCAUAUGCAGAUAUGGCCUCGGAACACGGAGACCGAAAGGUCGAGCGUGAAUCAUAUAGUAGAUAUGAUCAACAUAACGAUGUUCACCAUUGAAAACUACUCCAUCUCACGUGAUGAUCGGUCAUGGUUUAGUUGAUUUGGAUCACGUAAUCACUUAGAGUAUUAGAGGGAUGUCUAUCUAAGUGGGAGUUCUUAAAUAAUAUGAUUAAUUGAACUUAAAAUUAUCAUGAACUUAGUACCUGAUAGUAUCUUGCUUGUUUAUGUUAAUUGUAGAUAGAUGGCUCGUGCUGUUGUUCCGUUGAAUUUUAAUGCGUUCCUUGAGAAAGCAAAGUUGAAAGAUGAUGGUAGCAAUUACACGGACUGGGUCCAUAACUUGAGGAUUAUCCUCAUUCUGCACAGAAGAAUUACGUCCUGGAAGCACCGCUGGGUGCCAGGCCUGCUGCUGGAGCAACACCAGAUGUUAUGAACGUCUAGCAGAGCAAAGCUGAUGACUACUCGAUAGUUCAGUGUGCCAUGCUUUACGGCUUAGAAUCGGGACUUCAACGACGUUUUGAACGUCAUGGAGCAUAUGAGAUGUUCCAGGAGUUGAAGUUAAUAUUUCAAGCAAAUGCCCGAAUUGAGAGAUAUGAAGUCUCCAAUAAGUUCUAUAGCUGCAAGAUGGAGGAGAACAGUUCUGUCAGUGAGCAUAUACUCAAAAUGUCUGGGUAUAAUAAUCACUUGAUUCAAUUGGGAGUUAAUCUUCCAGAUGAUUGCGUCAUUGAUAGAAUUCUCCAAUCACUGCCACCAAGCUACAAGAGCUUCGUGAUGAACUAUAAUAUGCAAGGGAUGAACAAGACUAUUCCCGAGCUCUUCGCAAUGCUGAAAGCUACGGAGGUAGAAAUCAAGAAGGAGCAUCAAGUGUUGAUGGUUAACAAGACCACUAGUUUCAAGAAAAAGGGCAAAGGAAAGAAGAAAGGGAACUUCAAGAAGAAUGGCAAGCAAGUUGCUGCUCAAGAGAAGAAACCCAAGUCUGGACCUAAGCCUGAAACUGAGUGCUUCUACUGCAAGCAGACUGGUCACUGGAAGCGGAACUGCCCCAAGUAUUUGGCGGAUAAGAAGGAUGGCAAGGUGAACAAAGGUAUAUGUGAUAUACAUGUUAUUGAUGUGUACCUUACUAGAGCUCGCAGUAGCACCUGGGUAUUUGAUACUGGUUCUGUUGCUAAUAUUUGCAACUCGAAACAGGGACUACGGAAUAAGCGGGCACUGGCAAAGGACGAGGUGACGAUGCGCGUGGGAAAUGGUUCCAAAGUUGAUGUGAUCGCGGUCGGCACGCUACCUCUACAUCUACCUUCGGGAUUAAUAUUAGACCUAAAUAAUUGUUAUUUGGUGCCAGCGUUGAGCAUGAACAUUAUAUCUGGAUCUUGUUUAAUGCGAGACGGUUAUUCAUUUAAAUCAGAGAAUAAUGGUUGUUCUAUUUAUAUGAGUAAUAUCUUUUAUGGUCAUGCACCCUUGAAGAGUGGUCUAUUCUUAUUGAAUCUCGAUAGUAGUAAUACACAUAUUCAUAAUGUUGAAGCCAAAAGAUGCAGAGUUGAUAAUGAAAGUGCAACUUAUUUGUGGCACUGUCGUUUAGGUCAUAUCGGUAUAAAGCGCAUGAAGAAACUCCAUACUGAUGGACUUUUGGAACCACUUGAUUAUGAAUCACUUGGUACUUGCGAACCGUGCCUCAUGGGCAAGAUGACUAAAACACCGUUCUCCGGUACUAUGGAGAGAGCAACAGAUUUGUUGGAAAUCAUACAUACCGAUGUAUGUGGCCCGAUGAAUAUUGAGGCUCGUGGUGGAUAUCGUUAUUUUCUCACCUUCACGGAUGAUUUAAGCAGAUAUGGGUAUAUCUACUUAAUGAAACAUAAGUCUAAAACAUUUGAAAAGUUCAAAGAAUUUCAGAGUGAAGUUGAAAAUCAUCGUAACAAGAAAAUAAAGUUUCUACGAUCUGAUCGUGGAGGAGAAUAUUUGAGUUACGAGUUUGGUGUACAUCUGAAAAACUGUGGAAUAGUUUCGCAACUCACGCCACCCGGAACACCACAGCGUAAUGGUGUGUCCGAACGUCGUAAUCGUACUUUACUAGAUAUGGUGCAAUCUAUGAUGUCUCUUACUGAUUUACCGCUAUCAUUUUGGGGUUAUGCUUUAGAGACGGCCGCAUUCACGUUAAAUAGGGCACCAUCAAAAUCCGUUGAGACGACGCCUUAUGAACUGUGGUUUGGCAAGAAACCAAAGUUGUCGUUUCUUAAAGUUGCUUAUGUGAAAAAGCUUCAACCUGAUAAGCUCGAACCCAAAUCGGAGAAAUGUGUCUUCUUAGGAUACCCAAAGGAGACUAUUGGGUACACCUUCUAUCACAGAUCCGAAGGCAAGACAUUCGUUGCUAAGAAUGGAUCCUUUCUAGAGAAGGAGUUUCUCUCGAAAGAAGUGAGUGGGAGGAAAGUAGAGCUUGACGAGGUAACUGUACCUGCUCCCUUACUGGAAAGUAGUUCAUCACAGAAAACUGUUUCAGUGACACCUACACCAGUUAGUGAGGAAGCCAAUGAUAAUGAUCAUGAAACUUCAGAUCAAGAUACUGCUGAACCUCGUAGAUCAACCAGAGUAAGAUCCGCACCAGAGUGGUACGGUAAUCCUAUUCUGGAAGUCAUGAUACUAGAUCAUGAUGAACCUAUGAACUAUGAAGAAGCGAUGGUGAGCCCAGAUUCCGCAAAAUGGCUUGAAGCCAUGAAAUCUGAGAUGGGAUCCAUGUAUGAGAACAAAGUAUGGACUUUGGUUGACUUGCCCGAUGAUCGGCAAGCAAUUGAGAAUAAAUGGAUCUUUAAGAAGAAGACUGACGCUGAUGGUAAUGUUACUGUCUACAAAGCUUGACUUGUCGCAAAAGGUUUUCGGCACGUUCAAGGGAUUGACUACGAUGAGACCUUCUCACCCGUAGCGAUGCUUAAGUCUGUCCGAAUCAUGUUAGCAAUUGCCGCAUUUUAUGAUUAUGAAAUUUGGCAGAUGGAUGUCAAAACUGCAUUCCUGAAUGGAUUUCUGGAAGAAGAGUUGUAUAUGAUGCAACCGGAAGGUUUUGUCGAUCCAAAGGGAGCUAACAAAGUGUGCAAGCUCCAGCGAUCCAUUUAUGGACUGGUGCAAGCCUCUCGGAGUUGGAAUAAAUGUUUUGAUAGUGUGAUCAAAGCAUUUGGUUUUAUACAGACUUUCGGAGAAGCCUGUAUUUACAAGAAAGUGAGUGGGAGCUCUGUAGCAUUUCUGAUAUUAUAUGUGGAUGACAUAUUGCUGAUUGGAAAUGAUAUAGAAUUUCUGGAUAGCAUAAAGGGAUACUUGAAUAGAAGUUUUUCAAUGAAAGACCUCGGUGAAGCUGCUUACAUAUUAGGCAUUAAGAUCUAUAGAGAUAGAUCAAGACGCUCAAUUGGACUUUCACAAAGCACAUACCUUGACAAGAUUUUGAAGAAAUUCAAAAUGGAUCAAGCAAAGAAAGGAUUCUUGCCUGUAUUACAAGGUGUGAAGUUGAGUAAGACUCAAUGCCCGACCACUGCAGAAGAUAGAGAGAAUAUGAAAGAUGUUCCCUAUGCAUCAGCCAUAGGCUCUACCAUGUAUGCAAUGUUGUGUACCAGACCUGAUGUGUGCCUUGCUAUAAGUUUAGCAGGGAGGUACCAAAGUAAUCCAGGAGUGGAUCACUGGACAGCGGUCAAGAACAUCCUGAAAUACCUGAAAAUGACUAAGGAUAUGUUUCUCGUAUAUGGAGGUGACAAAGAGCUCACCGUAAAAGGUUACGUUGAUGCAAGCUUUGACACUGAUCCGGACGAUUCUAAAUCGCAAACCGGAUACGUGUUUACAUUAAACGGUGCAGCUGUCAGUUGGUGCAGUUCUAAACAAAGCAUUGUAGCGGGAUCUACAUGUGAAGCGGAGUACAUAGCUGCUUCGGAAGCAGCGAACGAAGGAGUCUGGAUGAAGGAGUUCAUAUCUGAUCUAGGUGUCAUACCUAAUGCAUCGGGUCCAACGAAAAUCUUUUGUGACAAUACUGGUGCAAUUGCCUUGGCAAAGGAAUCCAGAUUUCACAAAAGGACCAAACACAUCAAGAGACGCUUCAACUCCAUCCGGGAUCUAGUCCAGGUGGGAGACAUAGAGAUUUGCAAGAUACAUACAGAUCUGAAUGUUGCAGACCCGUUGACUAAGCCUCUUCCACGAGCAAAACAUGAUCAGCACCAAAGCUCCAUGGGUGUUAGAAUCAUUACAGUGUAAUCUAGAUUAUUGACUCUAGUGCAAGUGGGAGACUGAAGGAAAUAUGCCCUAGAGGCAAUAAUAAAGUUAUUAUUUAUUUCCUUAUAAUCAUGAUAAAUGUUCAUUAUUCAUGCUAGAAUUGUAUUAACCGGAAACAUAAUACAUGUGUGAAUACAUAGACAAACAAAGUGUCACUAGUAUGCCUCUACUUGACUAGCUCGUUAAUCAAAGAUGGUUAUGUUUCUUGACCAUGAACAAUGAGUUGUUAUUUGAGUAACGAGGUCACAUCAUUAGUUGAAUGAUCUGAUUGACAUGACCCAUUCCAUUAGCUUAGCACCUGAUCGUUUAGUAUGUUGCUAUUGCUUUCUUCAUGACUUAUACAUGUUCCUAUGACUAUGAGAUUAUGCAACUCCCGUUUGCCUGAGGAACACUUUGGGUGCUACCAAACGUCACAACGUAACUGGGUGAUUAUAAAGGAGCAUUACAGGAGUCUCCAAAGGUAGAUGUUGGGUUGGCGUAUUUCGAGAUUAGGAUUUGUCACUCCGAUUGUCGGAGAGGUAUCUCUGGGCCCUCUCGGUAAUGCACAUCACAUAAGCCUUGCAAGCACUGCAACUAAUAUGUUAGUUGUGAGAUGAUGUAUUACGGAACGAGUAAAGAGACUUGCCUGUAACGAGAUUGAACUAGGUAUUGGAUACCGACGAUCGAAUCUCGGGCAAGUAACAUACCGAUGACAAAGGGAACAACGUAUGUCGUUAUGCGGUCUGACCGAUAAAGAUCUUCGUAGAAUAUGUAGGAGCCAAUAUGGGCAUCCAGGUCCCGCUAUUGGUUAUUGACCGGAGAUGUGUCUCGGUCAUGUCUACAUUGUUCUCGAACCCGUAGGGUCCGCACGCUUAAGGUUACGAUGACAGUUACAUUAUGAGUUUAUGCAUUUUGAUGUACCAAAGGUUGUUCGGAGUCCCGUAUGUGAUCACGGACAUGACGAGGAGUCUCGAAAUGGUCGAGACGUAAUGAUUGAUAUAUUGGAAGCCUAUGUUUGGACAUCGGAAGUGUUCCGGGUGAAAUCGGGAUUUUACCGGGUUACCGGGAGGUUAUCGGAACCCCCCGGGAGCCAUAUGGGCCUUCAUGGGCCUUAGUGGAAAGGUGAAAGGGCUGCCCACAAGGGCUGCGCGCCUCCCCCUUCCCCUAGUCCUAUUAGGACUAGGAGAGGUGGCCGGCCCCCUCCUCCUCUUUUCCCCCUCCGGGGAAUCCUAAUUGGAAUAGGAUUGGAGGGGAGUCCUACUCCCGGUAGGAGUAGGACUCCUCCUGCGCCUCUCUCCUGGCCGGCGCCUCCUCCCCCCUUGGCUCCUUUAUAUACUGAGGUAGAGGCACCCCAAAAGACACAAGUUGAUCCACGUGAUCUAUUCCUUAGCCGUGUGCGGUGCCCCCUGCCACCAUAUACCUCGAUAAUACUGUAGCGGAGUUUAGGCGAAGCCAUGCUGCUGUAGUUCAUCAAGAUCGUCACCACGCCAUCGUGCUGACGGAACUCUUCCCGGACACUUUGCUGGAUCGGAGUCCGGGGAUCGUCAUCGAGCUGAACGUGUGCUCGAACUCGGAGGUGCCGUAGUUUCGGUGCUUGAUCGGUUGGAUCGUGAAGACGUACGACUACUUCCUCUACGUCGUGUCAUCGCUUCCGCAGUCGGUCUGCGUUGGGGACGUAGACAACACUCUCCCCUCGUUGCUAUGCAUCACAUGAUCUUGCGUGUGCGUAGGAAAUUUUUUGAAAUUACUACGAAACCCAACAGGGAGCAGUAUUAACAUACUAUACUAUGAGACAUUCCGCCGCAUGGAUCUAACAGACAAGGAUCUCAGACCAUCUAAUACGGUGUUCCAUGGUGUAGUGCCAGGCAAAUCUGCAUAUCCUGUUGGUAAGAUAGCCUUAGAUGUGGCUUUUGGGGACGAGCACGAUUCCCGGUCGGAAAAACUAACCUUUGAAGUGGUGAAGAUCCGGAGCCCGUAUCAUGCCUUGUUUGGGCGGCCGGCUUAUGCCAAGUUCAUGGCAUAGCCUUGUUAUAUCUACUUGCAGCUCAAGAUGCCGGGUUACAAGGGGACAAUAACGGUUCAUGGGAGCCAUAGGGUCGCUUUGGAAUGUGAGGAAGGUGAUGCGGCUUAUGCAGAGUCGGUCUGUGCCGCCGAGGAGUUGAAGUAUUAUAAGGACAAUGUUGAUCCGGUGGAUAUGACCCCUUUGAAGAAGCCGACUACAGAGCAUGACUCGGAUCUGAAGUUUAAAUCGGCAGCUGAGACCAAGCUUGUUGACUUCGUGCCCGGCGAUUCGUCCAAGCAGUUCACUGUCAGUGCCAACUUGGACCCUAAAUAGGAAAGCGCGCUCAUCAAGUUCAUCCGUGAGAAUCGGGACAUUUUUGCAUGGAAACCUUCUGACAUGCGAGGUGUACCGAGGGAACUCGCUGAGCACACUCUUAAUGUGGAUCCUAAGUAUAAACCGGUAAAGCAAUUUCUCCACCGGUUUAACGAAGAAAGGUGCAAAGCCAUUGGAGAGGAAGUGGCCAGGCUUUUAGCAGCUGGUUUUAUCAUUGAGGUGUUCCAUCCAGAGUGGCUUGCUAAUCCGGUGCUGGUUCUUAAGAAAAACGACACUUGGCGUAUGUGUGUGGAUUACACGGAUCUUAACAGGGCUUGUCCAGCGGAUCCUUUUGCCCUCCCCCGCAUUGACCAGAUCAUUGAUGCCACAGCGGGUUGUGAGCGUUUGAGUUUUUUGGAUGCAUAUUCUGGAUAUCAUCAGAUCGAAAUGGCGGUUAAGGACCAGGAGAAGACAUCAUUUAUUACUCCCUUUGGAGCCUUCUGCUAUGUAUCUAUGCCCUUCGGGCUCAAGAGUGCCCAAGCCACCUAUCAACGAUGUGUACAGAAUUAUCUGCAUAAACAGAUCGGCCGCAAUGUGCACGCCUAUGUGGAUGAUAUUGUAGUAAAGUCAAGGCAAAAGGAGACACUGGUGGAUGAUUUGAAGGAAACCUUUGACAACUUGCGAGUUUACAAAAUGAUGCUUAAUCCGGCCAAGUGUGUCUUUGGUGUUCCGGCAGGCAAAUUACUGGGUUUUCUGGUGUCUAACAGAGGAAUUGAGGCUAAUCCGGAGAAGAUUACGGCUAUCACUUCCCUGGCUAAACCGAAGUGCAUCAAUGAUGUUCAGCGUUUGGCGGGCCGAAUCGCCGCACUGAGCCGGUUUAUCAGCCGCCUAGGAGAGAAGGCCAUCCCUUUGUACCAAAUGCUGAGGAAGACAUACCAUUUCAUCUGGAGUCCGGCUGCUGAUGAAGCGUUUGAGGACUUGAAGCGGCAAUUAGCCAAUCCGCCUGUUCUUGCAGCUCCGGUCGACAAGGAGCCAUUAUUAUUAUACGUGGCAGCCAACGCUCGGGCAGUUAGCGUGGCUAUUGUGGUAGAACGCAAGGAGGUAGGCAAGGAAUAUCCGGUUCAGCGGCCGGUUUAUUAUAUCAGCGAGGUGCUUAUUGAAUCCAAGCAAAGGUAUCCGCAUUGGCAGAAGCUGGUCUAUGGUGUUUUCAUGGCCAGCCAGAAGUUGAAGCAAUAUUUUUAAGGGCACCCCAUCACAGUGGUCAGUUCGGCUCCCUUGGGUGAUAUAAUACAGAACCGGGAGGCGACUGGCCGGAUUGCCAAGUGGGCUAUAGAGCUUGGGCCACACGGACUGAAGUAUGUACCUCGGACGGCGGUGAAGUCUCAAGCACUUGUUGAUUUCAUCAAUGACUGGACGGAGUUACAAGCACCAGAGGAGAAGCUGGAUCACACAUAUUGGACUAUUCAUUUUGAUGGAUCCAGGCAAUUGGAAGGCUCGGGGGCUGGAGUCGUAUUAACUUCCCCACGAGGUGAUAAGUUUUGUUAUGUUCUCCGCUUAAUGUUCCCUUGUACUAAUAAUGCAGCUGAGUACGAAGCUUUACUCCAUGGUCUCCGGGUAGCUAUGGAGAUGAAUUUAAGCCGGGUUAAGUGCUUCAGUGACUCCGACCUCGUGGCUCAACAGGUGUCUGGCACUUGGGAUUCUAAGGACCCGCUCAUGGCUGCAUAUCGUCGGGAAGUGGAUAAUAUUGCGGGUUGCUUCAAGGGUUAUCAAGUGGGUCAUGUGGACCGUCGGAAGAAUGAAGCGGCGGACGCUUUAAGCCGGUUGGGCUCUCAGCGCAAACCGGUCCCGCCUAAUGUCUUUCUGGACGUAUUGCACAACCCGUCAGUCAAGCUCCCAGGUGAAGCGGAUUUGGCUAUUCCUGAUCCGGAGGCUCAAUUGGUGGCAGCCCUGCAUGUUAUUCCGGAUUGGACAGUUCCUUAUCUUGCGUACAUGAACCGGGGGGAGUUACCAGAGGAUGAAAUUCUAGCCAGGCAGAUAGUCCGGCGAUCCAAGUCUAUGACGAUUGUCGAUGGUGAGUUGCAUCAUUGUAGUGUAUCAGGAGCGUUGCAACAUUGUGUUUCUCCUGAGGAAGGCUGUGAAAUCUUAAGGGAAAUCCAUGAAGGGGAUUGUGGACACCACGCCGGUUCAAAGUCCCUGGUGGCAAAAGCGUUUCGUCACGGGUUUUACUGGUUGACAGCGCAUGCUGAUGCGGAGAACUUGGUUAAAUGGUGUGACGGAUGUCAGAAAUUUUCAAGGCGUGCUCAUGUGCCGGCUCAAGAAUUGAGGAUGAUCCCAAUAACGUGGCCGUUUGCAACUUGGGGGUUGGAUAUGGUCGGACCUUUUAAAAGGUCCAAGGAUAAGAAAACCCACCUUCUGGUGGCAGUUGAUAAAUUUACCAAGUGGGUUGAAGCGGAGCCUGUCAGCAAGUGUGAUGCAGCAACAGUGGUGCAGUUCCUCAAAAAGGUGAUUUGCCGGUUUGGCUUUCCACACAGUAUUAUUACUGACAAUGGUACCAAUUUAUCCAAGGGUGCUAUGAAGGAGUUCUGUGAACGUGAGCACAUCCGACUUGACGUGUCGUCAGUGCCACACCCCCAGUCCAAUGGACAGGCAGAAUGAGCUAAUCAAGAGAUCUUACGAGGCAUCAAACCCCGGCUUAUGGUCCCAUUGCAAAGAACACCAGGAUGUUGGGUUGAAGAGCUACCAUCUGUGCUAUGGAGUAUCAAUACUACGCCAAACCGGUCCACAGGAUACACACCAUUUUUUAUGGUCUACGGAGCAGAGGCAGUUCUCCCUAGUGAUAUCCGGCACGAUUCGCCUCGUGUGGCAGCUUAUGUUGAAGCGGACAAUGAGACAGCAUGGCAAGACGCUUUGGACCUAUUGGACGAGGAGCGUGAUAUAGCGGCUGCCCGUUCGGCGAUUUACCAACAAGAUCUUCGUCGCUAUCAUAGUCGCCGGGUUAGAACCAGAACUUUUCAAGAAGGAGAUUUGGUGCUUCGACUCAUCCAAGACCAGACAGAUAUGCACAAGUUAUCCCCGCCUUGGGAGGGACCUUUCGUGGUCAGCAAGAAUCUGCACAACAGGUCGUACUAUCUGAUUGAUAUUCGAGAGCAUCAAGACUCACGCACAUCAGAGGAGGAGACCAACAGGCCGUGGAACAUAGCUCAUCUUCGGCCUUACUACACUUGAGCCAUCGGCUCUAUAUAUGUACAUAUCAUGACAGUGUAUAUAUUAUCUUUGAUAUAAUAAAACCGGAGCCUCAGCUAAAGCGGGGUCUCUGUCUUUUCUUAUCAUGCGUGGUUACAUGGAGUGGCUCUGUUUUUAAAGCGGCCUCCGGUUUACCCCUUGACAUUUGCUUUUUAUAUAUCACUUGGGGCCUGGGUCAUGUCCGAACCAACGCGACACCUCUUGAUAGGCAAUAGCCACCAGAUCACUUGGGGACAUGGUCAAGUCUGAACCAGUCACGCCUCUUGAUCGGCCUAAGGCCACAAAAUCACUUGGGGGCUUGGUCGAACCUGAACCAUUGCCACGCCUCUUGAUUUGGCAUAUAUGCCACGAAUCAUUUGGGGACCUGGCUGACUUGAAUCAUUGUCACUCCUAUUGGGGGCUUGGUCCUGUCCGAUCAUGGUAACACCAUCUGAUCAGCUCAGUAUAGCAUAUUUUUGCAAACGGUUUUUAUCAUUGCCUUUGCUUCCAUGUUAUUUUCAUGGCUUGUUUGUUCUUUGUUUUUGUUGGAUUUCUUUUAUGUCAAUAAACACCUUUUUUCCGGUUCAGCCGAUGGAUUUGAUUCCCCUUUAAUCCGGAGAAGUAUGCCCGGUUUACCUUUUCCUGUUAACAUCAUGGAGCAACAAGGGGGCUUCUAUUGAUUCAGUACGGUUUAUACGGGAGCUGUUUUCUCCCCCCUUAUUGACGGUAAUGGUUUAUAAAACCUCCGCUUCAAGUUUGGCUAAGCCAGCUUCAUGCCCAGACAUGGCAGGUAUUUUGUAUCACCUAUUUGUUACAUUACUGGUACACAUAUCAAGAUCAUAAACCGGCUGACGGUAUAACCGCCACCGAAGUUCAAAUUUUUCUGAUUGCAGGAAAUAUGAAUUGAAGUUUUUCGAACAAAAGCUUCAGUACUUAUGCACGAAGGCAUAUUCCAGGCAGAAGUGUUAACUAUCCUAUUACAAGGCAGCACGGUGCCCAAAUAAGAUCAUUGUUCUUUUGGAAAGAUGCCAAAGACAGCUAUCCAAACCGGCUUCCGGUUCAAGCCUGCUCCUCAUCAUCUGCCGCUUCAGCUUCCUCGUCUCCACCCAUUGGCUGGAAAUCAACAGUGGUCCAGUCGAUUCCCAUUAAAGCUUGGAAAACAGCCUCUUCAUGGAUCAGGGAAGACGGUUCAAUAUCAGGAGCGUAAGUAUGCUUACGGAUUGGAGGAAUCAGAUUCUCCGCUUCAAGAGUUGGGGCAGGCACUCGCUUGUUCUGAUUGUUGUAUUGCGCUUGAUAAUGCGUCAAGUCUGCCUCUUCAGCUAAUUGACAAGCCAGAGGUCGCACUGCAUGGUUUAUUACCCUCAGAUCAUCUUCAUUAAAUUUAGCGCCAUCUUCCUUCAGGCUGGGAUAGCCUUGAGCUGCUUCCACAAGGUCAAAAUCUGGCACCCAUGCCUUUGCCCGGAUCAAGGCGUUAAUAGCUCCGGUUCGAGCAGCGGAUUUUUUCAGCUCCUCAAUCCGGGCUGGAAGCAUCGACAACCUUUUAAGAGUGUCCUAGAUUAAAGAAGGUGUCGGGUUGUUAUGAGAGGCUGUGGUGAUGAUCCGCUGGGCUCCGGUAUAUAAUUGUUCCACUAAGGUGUAGGCAGCCUUCAGUUUCUUCCGCACAUCGUUUCCUAAGUGCCCGAUGCAUGUGCCUACAACAAUAUAGGGACGGUCUCAAACCGGAUUUAUACUACAGCAGGUCCAAAUUAUCACAGAAGUUGAAAGGAGCUUACCAAAGAUCGCAGCGGUCAUGGAGUGUAUUUGCCACUUUACGGCCAUAAGUUCAUCCACCACCGAUUUAAGGGCAGCUUCAGCAUUUUCAACCCUUUUGGUUAAAGCGGCCUUCUCGGUGGCCCAAUCAGCCCGCUCUUUCUUGAAGCCUUCCUUCAACUGUUCAGCGAUGCUCAAGGCGCUGGUUAAUUCAUCUUUGGCCUUGUCUGUUUCAGCCUGUUGGGUUUUUAAGGUCUCCUGCAAAUCGGCAAUCCGGUCCUCCUUGAUUCUCACCUCAGCCUGCAUACAGACAAUAUUUAGCUUUAAACAGGCGGUCCAAGAAAUUGAAGUAUCAACCACAUAACAAAGUUAUACGCCUGAUACUUGGGGGCUAAUGCACCUUCAAUUUUCAUAUAUUACUAGAUUGCAAAGUCCCAAGCUCAAUACAGGUAUUCACCUUGGCACUUGGGGGCUAAUGGCUAUUUGAUCAAAUUAUGUUCUAAGGAUAGUUUUCUAUCGGAGCCCCGGUUUAAUUAUGCUAAGUUAAACCGGCCCUUGGGGGCUAUAUUGAUGGAUUUCAAAGUGUUGAGGAUCGUAUUCAAGUCCCGGUUUGACGAAGGUUACAAACCGACCCUUGGGGGCUAGGAGGAUUGAUACGAUGGCAGUAAGUAAAGAAAUAAGUUACCUCAAAUUUAUCCCUCAUCAUCUUCACUAGACCAGCUUCACAGUCACGGCUAGUAUAAAGCCGGUUUAAAUAGCCGGAAUGAAGAUCUUGGGCGCUCAGAGCAGCAUAUGUCUCCAGUUCGACAUCCCAUUUUCCUUUGUUCAGAGCGGAAAAAUCCUCUUUUACGGUAUGCUUGGUUAAGGUGACAGGAUUCCCGGGUUCAAAGCGGCCAACACCGGUAAUCACAACAUCAUCAUCUUUGGACUCGGCGGUUUGUGUUGGUGCGGCCGGUUUAUCAGCACGACUGUGGGAUUUCUCAACUUGGACGGAGCUGGUAGGUGGGUCAGCAGAAACUGAAGUGUUAAUGGGCCUCUCUUCGGGAAUUGCAUCGUCUUGCAAUGGAGGAUCAUUGGGAAUAUCUUCAGGAGAAAACGCUUCAAGAUCUGGCACUUUGUCAUGUGCUGGGGCUACAUCUUCUCUAGCCGCUUUAUCCAGGCGGGCCUUCUUGCUUAGUUUAGGUUUGGCCCUGAAAGAGAAACAAAGAGUCAAGGAACAACAUAAGCCAUUACACAGUAUACUGGAAGCAUAUGUUUAACUUAACUUACCCAAGAACCAUUUUCAAUGGUGGCAGCUGAGUGGCCGACGAUUCACCAGAAGAUGAAUGAGAAGUAACCUGAUAAUCGGAGUCGGAUGGAUUAAGAGGUUGACGGAAGAAACCCGCUUUAGGAUUUAAAUCAAUAAAAAGGUCGGAGACCUCGGAGCGGCGUUUUCGAACCGGACUGUUUGGUAAACCGGCGGAGGUAACUACCUGGCCACUGUGCCGGGUUGUGCGGCGAGCUUCAUGUUGCUGAGUCUUCAUAAGAAAUUUGGGAUCCAAAUAAGCAAGAGGAUGAGAAAAUUUAACUUUCCGGUUUGCCUGACGAAAUUUUGGCAAAGGCAAGAUUUCUGAAUCGGAAGAGAGAAUAGUUACCUCAGCGACUUCCGCAUUGCUAGUUUCAGCGUCGUCCUGACAAGCAUCAUCAUCAAUAAGGCGUGUAAAAGGUAAGCCAAGUGAAUCAAGUUCUACCUCAAGAUCCGGGUUACCCACAUCAUCAUCAACAGCUGGAUCAGAUGAAGCGGUGGUUUUUGUCUUGUGAGCUGGUUUCUUGAUAACCUUCGUCUUGGGCCGGGUUGACCGCCCUGCCUUCUCCGUUUUGUCUUGUGGAAGCUUCUUGCUCCAAAACGGAUUAUCACCCUGGAUCAGCAAUAAUUAAAUGUCAGACGAAUAAAGCAGUAAAAGGUUCAACAAUAGAGCAAUUAAAAUCUUACCGCUGGCGGUUUGUUGGUCGCGCAGUAAGGAAGCAGACCGGGUUGAGCACAGAGGUGCUCCGGUUCAUUCAACAUCUUCUUUACAGAAUCUGUGACUUCAUCGUCCGAGAGUUGGAUUUUAGUGUGUCGGAGUGGGUCAUCGACGCUACUAGUAUACUUGCACAACAAACCGGACCGCCGGCUCAGAGGCAGUAUACUCCACGAUAUCCAACAGCGUGCAAGGUCUAUUCCUGUCAACCCGUUGGCCAUAAAGGCUCGGAGCUUGGACAGUUGCGGAGCAUAUUUAAUUCUCUCCUUGCCACUUAGUCUUUGCAGAAAAGGGUGAGUGUUCCUGAGCCGUUCCGGACGGAAGCCAGGCAAGGGAUUUUCAUUCUCAGGAGAGGUAUCUUUGCAAUAAAACCAAGUUGCAUUCCACUCCUUGGGGUGAGUAUGGAGUUUGACGUGGGGAUAAGUGAUCUCCUUCCUCUUCUGAAUGGCCACGCCGCCCAAUUCAGUAUUGGGGCCGUCGGUAAAUUCAGUACGAUGGUUUAAAUGGAAGAGGUCUCUGAACAACUCGACUGAAGGCUCCUCUUGAAGGUAUACCUCAGAGAGUACUUGAAAGUGACAUAGAUUGGUGAUGGAAUUGGGGCCAAUAUCCUGUGGACGGAGCUGAAAGUUGGCUAACACAUCUCUGUAAAAUUUAGAACCGGGCGAUUUGAAGCCUCGGGCCAAGUGAUCUGCAAAGACCACAACCUCUCCCUCUUGAGGUGUGGGAGGACAUUCAUUUCCAGGAACCCUCCAGUGGAUCGUGUCUUUGUUAUCUAAAGCACCGAUCAGGACUAGAUCAUCCAACUGAGAUUCAGUGACGCAAGAGGGAACCCAAUUGCACUCGUAUACUUGUUUGGCCAUGGUAAGAUCUACAAGAAAUAGGUGAUCCGGUUCAACAAUAUGUUGGAUAAAAGAAGGUGUUGAUCUAAGCAAUGGUAAACCGGAGGCAAUACCGAUAAACUGGUCUUCUACAAUGCGGCAUCAUAAGGUUUCUGGCGGUUCAACCAGGGGACUAAUGGUAUAUACCGGUUUAGAAAUUUUUCUCUAUGGUAAAGUUAAACCGCCUGACCUAUGCAUCGGAAGCAAUUUAAGUUGUGGACAGCUAAGUAUAUAGAAACAUGUUUCACAAGAUACUAUUACAGCCGCGGAUCUACAACAAGCUCACAAAAACAGAAAUAUUCCAAAGAAUAAGGCAGAACGGAAGUGAAACCAUUGAGCGGGUAUAUGCGUGAGAUCUAUAGACUUAGAUGAGAAAUUACAGGCAGAUGUUUAAAGAUUACUAUUGAACACAGCGGGGGUUCACGGAUUCAUUCAGAAGUCGGAGUACAAGUAUGAGCAAGUGACGAACACAGCACGAACAUGGAACCCUAAGAACAGAUCUAGGUCAAGAAGAGAAGAAAGCUUACUGCAAAUGGAGAAGAUGCGGAAGGAUACCGCAAUGCUCUGGUGCAUUUAGGUUGAUGCAACAGCCCGAUAUGAAGCAGAGGUCGACGGCGGCGGCGGAGCUCCAAAGGCUGGCGAUGCGGGGAAGACGAAGAAGAAGAGACGAGGGGAAAAGAAAGGAGAUGACCCUUCGGUCUUAUUUAUAAGGCAAUAGAGUUAGGUCAAGCGCGCAGAUCCAGGAGCUAUUGUUAAAGGAGGGCGUUAUAAAUGAUAAAUUUCAUGAUGACGUCAUGCCGGUUUACAGCAACCAGAAAUGAUGACGAUAUGGCGGUUUGCCAAUUACCAGAAGAUAUCCAAGACAAAGAUUUUGAGAAGGAUUGACAUGAACCAGUUCAAAUCAAUCUGGGGCCUAAUGUUGGGGAUAUUACCACUAGGCGUGAACCGGCCUACUUGGGCCGGGUUAACUUCAUUAGUGGUAUAAGCAGAUGAAGGCCCAAGGCCUAUAGUCGGUUUAGAACCUGUAGCCGUAAACCGGCCUGAUGUAUAACUUGUAUUGUAAGUUAGGAAUAGAGAGAUACCAACCGGGAUACGAGUAUGAACCGGUUGGGACUCUAUGGACCGACGGGCGUCACCCGUGUAUAUAAGGGGACGACCCGGCGGCGGUUCAAGACAGACAACCACUACUCGAGCCUAGGCGAAGCUUGUUUGCUCCCUAGCCAUCGAGACUACAUCAAUUCCAUCACAACUAGACGUAGGCUUUUACCUUCAUCGAAGGGGCCGAACUAGUAUAAAACCCUCGUGUCUUUGUGUCCGCUUUAACCCCUUCAAGUAAACCCGUAGCGAUGGUUCCACGACUAAGUCCUUUCACUAGGACAUCUGCCGUGACAAAUCCACGACAAGUUCCGUCAGCAUGACGACAUGGUGAUAGUGAUGGUGAAGUGAUCUCCGCAGGGCUUCGCCUAAGCACUACGAAAAUAUGACCGGGGAUGUAAACGGUGGAGGGGGCGCCGCACACGGCUAGGCAAUUGUCUGGUGUGUGCUAGGCUCCCCCUCCCACAUAUAUAUAGGUGGGAGGGAUGGAGGAGCAGCCAUAGGAGGCUCCCAAGUAGGAGGAAUCCUACUAGGAGUCCCUCCCAAGCCGCGCCCCCCUGCCAUAUAUAACCGUGGGGGAAGGAAAGAGGGGGGAGGGAAGGAAGUGGGAAUCCUAAUCUACACUUUCCUUUCCCUUUCCACUUUCCUUCUCCUCCUUAGGCUGGCCUGAUAUGGGGAGCGCACCAGCCCCAUGUGGCUGAUGCGUUUCCUCUCUUGGCCCAUAAGGCCCAUAUCUUUGCCGGGGGUGCCCGAAACUCCAUUUUGGUGACCCAAUAAGUACCCGGUACCCUCCGAAACACUUCCGAUGUCCGAAUACCAUCGUCCUAUAUAUCAAUCUUUACCUCUCGACCAUUUUGAGACUCCUCGUCAUGUCCGUGAUCUCAUCCGGGACUCCGAACAACAUUCAGUCACCAAAUCACAUAACUCAUAUAACAUUAUAUCAUCAACGAAUGUUAAGCAUGCAGACCCUACGGGUUCGAGAACUAUGUAGACAUGACUGAGACACCUCUCUGGUCAAUAACUAAUAGCGGAACCUGGACGCCCAUAUUGGCUCCUACAUAUUCUACGAAGAUAUUUAUUGGUCGAACCGUUAUGACAACAUACGUAAUUUCCUUUGUCCAUCGGUAUGUUACUUGCCCGAGAUUCGAUCAUCGGUAUCUUCAUACCUAGUUUAAUCUCGUUACUAGCAUGUAUCUUUACUCGUUACGUAAUACAUCACCUUGUGACUAACUCCUUAGUCAUUUUCUUGCAAGCUUAUGAUGUGUAUUAUCUAGAGGGCCUAGAGAUACCCCUCCGAUACUCGGAGUGACAAAUCCUAAUCUCAAUCUAUGCCAACUCAACAAACACCUUCGGAGAUACAUGUAGAGCAUCUUUAUGAUCACCCAGUUACAUUGUGAUGUUUGAUAACACACAAGGUAUUCCUCCGGUAUCCGGGAGUUGCAUAAUCUCAUAGUCGAAGGAAUAUGUAUUUGACAUGAAGAAAGCAAUAUCAAUAAACUGAACGAUCAUUAUGCUAAGCUAAUGGAUGGGUCUUGUCCAUCACAUCAUUCUCCUAAUGAUGUGAUCCCGUUAUCAAAUGACAACACAUGUCUAUGGUUAGGAAACAUUAACCAUCUUUGAUCAACAAGCUAGUCUAGUAUAGGCUUACUAGGGACACGAUAUUUGUUUAUGUACUCACACAUGUAUUUAAGUUUCCGAUCAAUACAAUUCUAGCAUGAAUAAUAAACCUUUAUCAUGAAUAAGGAAAUAUAAUAUAAAAUAACAACUUUAUUGUUGCCUCUAGGGCAUAUUUCCUUCAGUCUCCCACUUGCACUAGAGUCAAUAAUGUAGUUCACAUCACCAUGUGAUUUAACACCCAUAGUUCACAUCGUCAUGUGACCAACACCCAAAUAGUUUACUAGAGUCAAUAAUCUAGUUCUCAUCAUAAUGUGAUUUAACACCCAUAGUUCACAUCGCCCAUGUGACCAACACCCAUAGAGUUUACUAGAGUCAAUAAUAUAGUUCACAUUGCCAUGUGAUUAACACCCAAAGAGUAUUGAGGAGUGAUCAUGUUUUGCUUAUGAGAGAAGUUUAGUUAACGGGUCUGUCACAUUCAGAUCCGUAUGUAUUUUUGCAAAUUUCUAUGCCUACAAAGCUCUGUAUGGAGCUACUCUAGCUAAUUGCUCACACUUUCAAUAUGUAUCCAGAUUGAGACUCGGAGUCAUCCGAAUCGGCAUCAAAGCUUGCAUCAACGUAACACUUUACGACGAACUCUUUAUUACCUCCAUAAUCGAGAAAUAUCUCCUUAGUCCUCUUAGGUAACUAAGGAUAAUUUUGAUCGCUGUCCAGUGCUCUACUCCUGGAUCAGUAUUGUAGCCCCUUACCAAACUCAUGGCAAGGUACACAACAAGUUUGGUACACAGCAUUGCAUACUUUAUAGAACCUAUGGCUGAGGCAUAGGGAAUGACUUUCAUUCUCUCUCUAUCUUCUGUCGUGGUCGGGUUUUGAGUCUUACUCAACUUCACACCUUGCAAUACAGGCAAGAACCCUUUCUUUGACUGAUCCAUUUUGAACUUCUUCAAAAUCUUGUCAAGGUAUGUGCUUUGUGAAAGUCCUAUUAAGCGUCUCAAUCUAUCCCUAUAGAUCUUGAUGUAUAGAUCUUGAUGCCCAAUAUAUAAGUAGCUUCACCAAGGUCUUUCAUUGAAAAAUUCUUAUUCAAGUAUGCUUUUUAUGCUAUACAGAAAUUCUAUAUCAUUUUCAAUCAAUAAUAUGUCAUCCACAUAUAAUAUCAGAAAUGCUACAAAGCUCCCACUCACUUUCUUGUAAAUACAGGCUUCACCAUAAGUCUGUAUAAAACCAUAUGCUUUGAUAAACUCUUCAAAGCGUAUAUUCCAACUCCGAGAUGCUUGCACCACUCCAUAGAUGGAUCGCUGGAGCUUGCACACUUUGUCAGCACCUUUAGGAUCGACAAAACCUUCUGGUCGCAUCAUAUACAACUCUUCUUUAAGAUAUCCAUUAAGGAAUGCAGUUUUGACGUCCAUUUGCCAGAUUUCAUAAUCAUAAAAUGUGGCAAUUGCUAACAUGAUUCGCAUAGACUUAAGCAUCGCUACAGAUGAGAAAGUCUCAUCGUAGUCAACUCCUUGAACUCGUCGAAACCCUUUUGUGACAAGUCGAGCUUUAUAGAAAGUGAUAUUACCAUCAGCGCCCGUCUUCCUCUUGAAGAUCCAUUUAUUUUCAAUGGCCUGCCAAUCAUCGGGAAAGUCCACCAAAGUCCACACUUUGUUCUCAUACAUGGAUCCUAUCUCAGAUUUCAUGGCCUCAAGCCAGUUUUCAGAAUUUGGGCUCAUCAUAGCUUCUUCAUAGUUCGUCAGUUCGCCAUGGUCUAAUAGCAGGAUUUCCAGGACAGGAUUGCCAUACCACUCUGGUGCGGAACAUGCUCUGUUCGACUUAAGAAGUCCAGUAAUAACUUGAUCUGAAGUUUCAUGAUCAUCAUCAUUAGCUUCCUCUCUAGUUGGUGUAGGCAUCAUGAGAACGGAUUUCUCUAAUGUGCUACUCUCAAAUUCGAGAGAAGGUACAACUACCUCAUCAAGUUCUACUUUUCUCCCACUCACUUCUUUUUAGAGAAAUUCCUUCUCUAGAAAGAAUACAUUCUUAGCAACAAAGAUCUUGCCUUCGGAUCUCCGGUAGAAGGUGUACCCAAUUGUUUCCUUAGGGUAUCCUAUGAAUAUGCACUUCUCCGAUUAGGGUUCGAGCUUAUUAGGCUGAAGCCUUUGGACAUAAGUGUCGCAACCCCAAACUUUAAGAAACAACAACUUAGGUUUCUUGCCAAACCAUAGUUCAUACGGUGUCGUCUCAACGGAUUUAGAUGGUGUCAUAUUUAACAUGAAUGCAACUGUCUCUAAUGCAUAAUCCCAAAACUAUAGUGGUAAAUCGGUAAGAGACAUCAUAGAACGCACCAUAUCUAAUAAAGUACGGUUAUGACGUUCGGACACACCAUUACGAUGUGGUGUUCUAGGUGGCAUAACUUGUGAAACAAUUCCACAUUGUUUUAAAUGAAUGCCAAACUCGUAAUUCAAAUAUUCGCCUCCGCGAUCAAAUCGUAGAAACUUUAUUUUCUUGUUACGAUGAUUCUCCACGUCACUUUGAAAUUCUUUGAACUUUUCAAAUGUUUCAGACUUGUGUUUCAUUAAGUAGAUAUACCCAUACCUACUCAAAUCAUCUGUGAAUGUCAGAAAAUAACGAUACCUGCCGCAUGCUUCAACACUCGUCGGACCGCAUACAUGGGUAUGUACUCCCUCCGGUCCUUUUUUCUCUGCGCCUAAGGUCGAGCGCGCAUACCAAGGGAAGGCUCAGUCUGUUUUUUCUGGACAAAUUUGCCCUUGCGUUUGCAUGUAUCGCGUCGCUGGGUAGCUAUUAGUUCCAUGCAACCGAUUGGCUCUCCUGGCUGCAUGCCUGCUGUUGCCUCAAAUCCUGCUCCGCAUGCAUGCACUGCUCCCUGUCUCGCUGCAUGCGCGCAUAGUUACGAGGAGAUUGAGUAAAUUCUGCGUGCAAUUAGUUGGAAAGUGGCUCACUUAAUGCGGGGCAUAGUUGGAAACCAUGAAGAUAAAAGAGGAAUGCGCAGACUAUUCAGGGAAAAAACGAAGAAAGUUAUGCGCAGAGAAAUAAGGACCGGAGGGAGUAUUAUUUCCAAUAAGUCAUUACCUCGCUCCGUUGUUCCGGAGAACGAAUUUUUAGUCAUCUUGCCCAAGAGGCAUGGUUCGCAAGUAUUAAAUCAGUCAUAAUCAAGUGAUUCCAAAAGCCCAUCUGCAUGGAGUUUUCUUUACACCAAUAUGACCUAAAUGGCAAUGCCACAAGUAUGUUGCACUAUCAUUAUUAACUUUGAUCUUUUGGUAUCAAUAUUAUGAAUAUGUGUAUCACUACGAUCGAGAUUCAAUAAACCAUUCACAUUGGGUGUAUGACCAUAUGAAAGUGCUAGUUAUCACAUAGAGGGGGGGGGUGAAUAGGCGAUUUUUAUGAAAGUGUUCAAAACACGAGGUCUUUGAAGACAAACUGUUGAAAUGAACAUAUAUGAUAUGCAGUGGAAGAAGAAGUACACUAGACAAGCCAUAGUCAAGUAAGCAGUAUAGUGAAAGCACGAAGACUAACAGCAGCUAGGUAGUAUGGAUCAGAAUUGAAGACAGUAUGAAGCCAAACAGAUUAUAGUCUUCACACAGUGAAGUCAAACAGAUCAGGCAAGCAAGCAAUGACUUCACAAAGACAAACUGAAAUAUAAAGGAAGUAGGGGAUGGAACCAGUUGCUUGGUGAAGACAAGUAUUUGGUAGACCAGUUCCAGUUGCUGUGACAACUGUACGUCUGGUUAGGGAGGAUGAGAUUGAACUCAGAAGACUGUGUCUUCACCUUAUUCCCCUUGAGCUAAGGACACCCAGUCCUUGCCCAAUCAUUCUGGUAAGUCUUCAAGGUAGACUUCCAAGCCUUCACAAACUCCGUUCACUGGAAAUCCACAAUGACUCUUGGAUUCUCAGAACAUGAAGCCUAACCGUCUGGAGGAUGCACAAUCCUCAACUGUGACAAGUCUUCAGGUCACGUGGACAGAAAGACUUCAGUGAUGCCUAACACUCUUUGGCUCUGGGUGUUUUGGGCUUUGUCCUCGCAAGGAUAUCUCUCUCUCUCUCAAAGGCUUCGGAGGUGGGUUGCUCUCAAACGACAAAAGUCGUGCACUAACUCUGAGCAGCCACCAAAUUAUGGUGUAGGGGGUGGGCUAUUUGUAGCCAGGAGGCAACUCGACAUGAUAUGCCCGAAAUGACCCUGGGUCACUGGGAACCGACACGUGUCCAACGGUCGGAUUUCAAACACACGCGGCAGCUUGGCUUGGGCUACAAGCAAAGCUGACUCAUCCAACUCUGGAUAAGAUUUGCUCUCAUUGUCUUUGCUCGAAGACAUAGGGUUUUGGUUGAGCAUCACUUCAGUCAUCUGACUUUGUUCACUUGGACCCCACUUAACAAUAUGGUGGUUCCUAUGACUCAAUAAAGAAGAAAAGGAAACUACAAAGGAAACUAUGGCUUCGCACUCCAUAGUCUUGAAGUGAAUGUCUUCACAAGUCAUUAUCUUUAACGUGAAUGUUUUCGCGAACCACCAUUGUCUUCAAUGUCUUCAUACAUUUUAGGUGUCAUCCCUGGUAGGUAAACUGAAUCAUGAGGGACUACUACCUGUGUUAUCCUGCAAUUCUCACAAACACAUUAGUCCCUCAACCACGUUUGUCGUCAAUACUCCAAAACCAACUAGGGGUGGCACUAGAUGCACUUACACCAUAGACGGUUUAUUCAUGUAAACAGAACAACAAUUAUUCUUUGACUUAAAUGAAUAAUCGUAUUGCAAUAAACAUGAUCAAAUCAUAUUCGUGCUCCACACAAACACCAAAUAACAUUUAUUUAGGUUCAAUACUAAUCCUGGAGGUAGAGGGAGCGUGCGAUGGUGACCGUAUCAACCUUGGAAUCACUUCCAACACACAUCGUCACCUCGCCCUUAACUAGUCUCUAUUUAUUCUGCAACUCCUGUUUCGAGUUACUAUUCUUAGCAACUGAACCGGUAUCAAAUACCCAGGGGCUACGAUGAAUACUAGUAAGGUACACAUCAAUAACAUGUAUAUCAAAUAUACCUUUGUUCACUUUGCCAUCCUUCUUUCCGCCAAGUAUUUGGGGCAGUUCCGCUUCCAGUGACCAUUUCCUUUGCAAUAGAGGCACUCAGUUUCAGGCUUGGGUCCAGCUUUGGGAUUCUUCAUGGGAGCGGCAACUUGCUUGCCAUUCUCCUUGAAGUUCCCUUUCUUUCCCUUGCCCUUUUUAUUAAAACUAGUGGUCUUGUUAACCAUCAACAUUUGAUGAUCUUUCUUGAUUUCUACCAUCGCCGAUUUCAGCAUUGCGAAGAGCUCGGGAAUCAUUUUCGUCAUCCCUUGCAUAUUAUAGUUCAUCAAGAAGUUCUAGUAGCUUGGUGAUAGUGACUAGAGAACUCUGUCAAUCACUAUCUUAUAUAGAAGAUUAACUCCCACUUGAUUCAAGUGAUUGUAGUACCCAGACAUUCUGAGUACAUGCUCACUGGCUGAGCUAUUCUCCUCCAUCUUGUAGGCAAAGUACUUGUGAGAGGUCUCAUACCUCUCAACACAUGCAUAAGUCUGAAAUACCAAUUUCAGCUCUUGGAACAUCUCAUAUGCUCCGUGGCGUUCAAAACGUUUUUGAAGUCUGGGUUAUAUGCCGUAAAGCAUGGCGCACUAAACUAUUAAGUAGUCAUCAUAUUGAGCUUGCCAAACGUUCAUAACGUCUGCAUCUGCUCCUGCAAUAGGUCUGUCACCUAGCGGUGCAUCAAGGACAUAAUUCUUCUGUGCAACAAUGAGGAUAAUCCUCAUAUCACGGACCCAGUCCGCUUUAUUGCUACUAUCAUCUUCCAACUUUAUUUUUCUCUAGGAACAUAUCAAAAACAUAGGGAAGUUAUAUCGUGAGCUAUUGACAUACAACAUAGAUAUGCAAGACUAAGUUCAUGAUAAAUUAAGUUCAAUUUAAUCAAAUUACUAAUGAACUCUCACUUAAAUAAACAUCCCUCAAGUUAUCUAAGUGACACGUGAUCCAAAUCAACUAACCCAUGUCCGAUCAUCACGUGAGAUGGGGUAGUCAUCAAUGGUGAACAUCUCUAUGUUGAUCAUAUCUACUAUAUGACUCACGUUCGACCUUUCGGUAUCCAGUGUUUUGAGACCAUGUCUGUACAUACUAGGCUCGUCAAGUUUAACCCAAGUAUUCUGCAUGUGCAAAACUGUCUUACACCCAUUAUAUGUGAAUGUAGAGUCUAUCACACCCGAUCAUCACGUGGUGUCUCGAAAUGAAGAACUUUCGCAACGGUGCAUACUCGGGAAGAACACUUAUAUCUUUAAAUUUAGUGAAGGGAUCAUCUUAUAAUACUACCGUCGUUCUAAGCAAAAUAAGAUGCAUAAAAGAUAAACAUCACAUGCAAUCGAAAUAUGUAACAUGGUAUGGCCAUCAUCAUCUCGUGCUUUUGAUCUCCAUCACCAAAGCAUCGUCAUGAUCGCCAUCAUCACCGGUUCGACACCUUGAUCUCCAUCAUUGCAUCGUGGCCGUCUCGCCAACUAUUGCUUCUACAACUAUUGCUAACGCAGAGCGAUAAACUAAAGCAAUUACAUGGCAUUUGCAUUUCAUACAACAAAGACACAACCCUAAGGCUCCUACCGGUUGUCGAUAAAUUACAAAACAUGAUCAUCUCAUACAAUAACAUAUAUCAAAUCAUGUCUUGACCAUAUAACAUCACAACUCUUUGUUAGACGUCCUCUACUUUGUUGUUGCAAGUUUUAUGUGGCUGCUACGGGUUUCUAGCAAGAAACGUUCUUACCUACGGCAAAAACCAUGACGGUGAUUUAUCAAGUUUGCUGUUUUAACCUUCUUCAAGGACCGACUGUAGUCAAAUUUGAUUCAACUAAAGUAGGAGAAACAGACACCCGCCAGCCACCUUUAUGCAAAACAAGUUGUAUGUCAGUCGGUGGAACCGGUCUCAUGUGCGUGGACAUGUAAGGUUGGUCCGGGCCGCUUCAUCCCACAAGACCACCAAAUCAAAAUAAGACAUUGGUGGUAAGUAGUAUGACUAUCACCGCCCACAACUCUUUGUGCUGUACUUGUGCAUAUCAUCUACGCAUAUACCUGGCUCGGAUGCCACUGUUGGGAAUCGUUGCAUAGCAAAAAAAUCUACGCACACCCAAUGAUCUAUCCAUGGAGAUGCAUAGCAACGAGGGAGAAAGUGUGUCUACGUACCCUUGUAGACCGUAAGCGGAAGCGUUUCACAACGCGGUUGAUGUAGUCGAACUUCUUCGCGUUUCAACCGAUCAAGUAUCAAACGCACAGCACCUCCGUGUUCUGAACACGUUCAGCUCGGUGACGUCCCUAGCCUUCUUGAUCUAGCAAGACAUUGAGGUAGUAGAUGAGUUCCGUCAGCACGACGGCGUGGUGACGGUGAUGGUGAAGUGAUCUCCACAGGGCUUCGCCUAAGCACUACGAAAAUAUGACCGGGGAUGUAAACGGUGGAGGGGGCACCGCACACGGCUAGGCAAUUGUCUGGUGUGUGCUAGGCGCCUCCCCUCCCACAUAAUAUAGGUGGGAGGGAGGGACGAGCAGCCAUAGGAGGCGCCCAAGUAGGAGGAAUCCUACUUGCAGUCCCUCCCAAGCCACGCCUGUAACGCCCGGAUAAUUAGGCUACAGUAAAACUCUCCCAAUGAUGCCAUGUCAUAUCUGUUACUGUUGCUAAUCAGGUGUUAGCUCAAAACAUUUCAAAUUCAAAAAUGAAUUAGUGACAAACACCCAAAGUUUUCAAAAGUUGAAACAAAAACGUUCGGACAGUGCCAAAUAUGGCAUAGGUAAUUAUGGUGUAGAAGACACAAUUUUAUAAAAUACUUAAAUGUCCUAAAUUAAAUAAAACAGACAAGGAAAACAAAUAAAAAAAGAAAAUACAAAAGCAGAAGAAAAGGAAAAGGAGAAAGGAAACCCACCCAAACCCCCCUGGGCCAACUGGCCCAGCUAACCAACAGCCAAACCGGCCCAGCCGGGUCGGCCCACUCCCCCCGUUCCCCUGGUCGCCUCCUUCCCCGCGCUCUGUUCCCCCGACCGCGCCAUGAACAGGAGGAACAGGGGCGCGUCCCCGUCGCACCACCUCGCCGACCCCGCCGAGGGGUUAAGAUCGCCAGCGACGCGCCUCCUCGGGUCUCCUCCCCACUCCACACCAUGCUCCCUCUAGGCCUGUCCCUCUCCCCUCAGAUCCACCUCGCCACUCCUCCUUUUCCACCGCAUCCGAGCGCCGCCAUAGACUCGCCGCCGUAAAUCACGCAGCCACAGCCAUCGCCUCGCCUCGCCAGCAUGUCCGUCGCCUCCGCCAUCGUCUUCCUCAUCGACCAGUGGCCGCAGCUAGAGCUCGGAGGCGCUGCUACGCGGUUCCCCUUCUUCCUCAUCUUCGGUCGCCGCCGCUCUUCACCAACUCGGGCGACGCCCCUCUGCUGCUACUAAACCACCACGGGCCAUCUUGCAUUGCCGCACGGUGAGCUCCUCCGCCUCCUACUCCUCCUCGUUAAGCCCCUCGCGCAUCGUAGCUACCUCAUCGCCGAUGCCGUGAGCCCAUCACCGCGGAUCGCCUCACCGCCUUGGCCAUGCUCUCCGUCGUGCUCGCCUGAGCACGACAUCGUGUUCCUGGUGCUUCCAGGAAACCAACGCAACCGCGCCUGCGCUUCCCUGUGGCCCCUAGCCCCUAGCUCGAUUGAGCGCCCGAACACGCCGCUGCACGUGCUCGUCGCCGGCAACCAUCCGGUGACCCUUUGGUCCCGGGGUCGGGCUGUUGUGCUCGCGCGCGCACGUAGGCCUCGCCCCGCCCUUCUGUUUGACCAAUAGCGCGCCGCAUCGCCGAUGUUGUUACUCGCCCGAAACACCUUGCCGCCGGCGAGCUCGAAGCACUCGCCCCCCUUCGUUCCAACCCCUCUGGCCACCACCGUUCGACGCGCGACGCUGAGCCGCGUCGAACGCGCCCGGCCACAGCCCAGCAGACCCACUGUGCGCGAAAUCCGUGCCCCUUCCAAGCCGCACCACCGCGUUUGGCUCGCCGGAGUCAGCUCCGGCGCGUCUCCGGCUGGUGUCCGACAUGGCGUCCACGUGGCACCGCCUGGGUCACUGCCUGGUGGCCCCAGGGGCCCGGCUGGCCAGUUGACCGUGGUCAACUUGCUGACUGGGCUGGUCCCAGCAACUGACCAGUGCCCCCCACCCUAGAAGCUAAUUAAAUUAGUUAAAUUAAUUAAUCUAGGCCAAUUAGUCACUGACUAAUGGGGCCCACACUUAGUUAGUUCUAAUUAGUUUAAAACAAAUCCUAUUUCACCUCUGUCUCAGUGACAGGUGGGUCCCACUGGACCCACAAGUUAGUUUUGACUCUAGUCAACCGCACUGUUGACUGCUGACAUCACACAUACAUCAUGCUGACGUCAUCCCAUACUAUUCGGGAUAAUGUUGAUUUAAAUUAAUUAAAUAAAUUCCAGAAAAUGACUAAAACUUUAGAAAACCAUAGAAAAUGAACCGUAGCUCAGAUGAAAAUACUUUCUACAUGAAAGUUGCUCAGAACAACGAGACGAAUCCGGAUACACAGCCCGUUCGUUCACCACACACCCUAACAUACCGAACACGCAACUUUCCCCCUCCGGUUCAUCUGUCCGAAAACGCGAAACACGGGGAAUACUUUCCCGGAUGUUUCCCCCUCUCGCCGGUAUCACCUACUACCGCGUUAGUGCACACCUAGCACCACUCAUUGUCAUGUUUAUGUUUGCAUUGUAUUUACUGUUUCUUCCCCCUCUUCUCUCCGGUAGACUAUGAGACCGACGCUGCUGCUGCCCAGUUCGACUACAGAGUUGAUGACCCCUCCUUCUUGCCAGAGCAACCAGGCAAGCCCCCCUAAUCACCAGAUAUCGCCUAUUCUUCUCUCUACUGUUUGCAUUAGAGUAGUGUAGCAUGUUACUGUUCGGUUACUCAUAUUCUGUUGCAUAGCCUGUCAUUGUUGCUACAGUCGUUGAUACCUUACCCGCAAUCCUAAAUGCUUAGUAUAGGAUGCUAGUUUAUCAUCAUUGGCCCUACAUUCUUGUCAGUCUGCCUUGCUAUACUAUCGGGCCGUGAUCACUCGGGAGGUGAUCACGUGUAUAUACUAUACAUAUAUACAUACUAAAGUCGGGUCGGCUCGUUCAGUACCCGCAAGUGAUUCACGGAUUGGGGGCUGAAAGGACAAUUGUGAAGGAAAUAUGCCCUAGAGGCAAUAAUAAAGUUAUUAUUUAUUUCCUCAUAUCAUGAUAAAUGUUUAUUAUUCAUGCUAGAAUUGUAUUAACCAGAAACAUGAUACAUGUGUGAAUACAUAGACAAACCUAUAGUCACUAGUAUGCCUCUACUUGACUAGCUCAUUAAUCAAAGAUGGUUAUGUUUCCUAACCAUAGACAUGUGUUGUCAUUUGAUUAGUGGGAUCACAUCAUUAGAAGAAUGAUGUGAUUGACAUGACCCAUUCCGUUAGCCUAGCACUUGAUCGUUUAGUAUACUGCUAUUGCUUUCUUCAUGACUUAUACAUGUUCCUAUAACUAUGAAAAUUAUGCAACUCCCGUUUACCGGGGAACACUUUGGGUACUACCAAACGUCACAACGUAACUGGGUGAUUAUAAAGGAGUACUACAGGUGUCUCCAAAGGUACAUGUUGAGUUGGCGUAUUUCGAGAUUAGGUUUUGUCACUCCGAUAGUCGGAGAGGUAUCUCUGGGCCCUCUCGGUAAUGCACAUCAUUAUAAGCCUUGCAAGCAAUGUGACCAAUGAGUUGGUUACGAGAUGAUGCAUUACAGAACGAGUAAAGAGACUUGCCGGUAACAAGAUUGAACUAGGUAUUGGAUACCGACGAUCAAAUCUCGGGCAAGUAACAUACCGAUGACAAAGGGAACAACGUAUGUUGUUAUGCGGUUUGACCGAUAAAGAUCUUCGUAGAAUAUGUAGGAACCAAUAUGGGCAUCCUGGUCCCGCUAUUGGUUAUUGACCGAGAAUAGUUCUAGGUCAUGUCUACAUAGUUCUCAAACCCGUAGGGUCCGCACGCUUAACGUUACGAUGACAGUUUUAUUAUGAGUUUAUUAGUUUUGAUGUACCAAAGUUUGUUCGGAGUCCCGGAUGUGAUCACGGACAUGACGAGGAGUCUCGAAAUGGUCGAUACAUAAAGAUUGAUAUAUUGGACGACUAUAUUCGGACACCGGAAGUGUUCCGGGUGAUUUCGGAGAAAACCGGAGUGCCGGAGGGGUUACCGGAACCCCCCGGGGAAGUAUUGGGCCUUAGUAGGCCUGAGGGGAGAGAGAGGGCAGCAGCCCAGGAGGUGGCGCGCCCCCUCCCAUGGGGAGUCCAAAUUGGACUAGGGGAGGGGGGCGCGGCCCCUCUUUCCCUCUCCCUCUCCCCCUCUUUCCUUCCCCCUUCCUCCUUCCUAGUUGGACCAGGAAAGGGGAGUCCUACUCCCACUAGGAGGAGGACUCCCCCCUCCUUGGCGCGCCCCAAGGGCCGGCCAGCCUCCCCCCUGGCUCCUUUAUAUACGGGGGCGGGGGGCACCCCAUAGACACACAAGUUGAUCUACGGAUCGUUCCUUAGCCGCGUGCGGUGCCCCCUCCACCAUAUUCCACCUCGGUCAUAUCGUCGCGGAGUUUAGGCGAAGCCCUGCGCCGGUAGAGCAUCAUCAUCGUCACCACGCCGUCGUGCUGACGGAACUCAUCUCCGGAGCUUUGCUGGAUCGGAGCACGGAGAUCGUCAUCGAGCUGAACGUGUGCUGAACUCGGAGGCCCUGUACGUUCGGUUCUUGGAUCGGUCGGAUCGUGAAGACGUACGACUACAUCAACCGCGUUGUGCUAACGCUUCUGCUUACGGUCUACGAGGGUACAUGGACGAACACUCUCCCCUCCCGUUGCUAUGCCAUCACCAUGAUCUUGCGUGUGCAUAGGAAUUUUUUUGAAAUUACUACGUUCCCCAACAGUGGCAUCAGAGCCUAGGUUUUAUGUGUUGAUGUUAUAUGCACGAGUAGAACACAAGUGAGUUGUGGGCGAUACAAGUCAUACUGCUUACCAGCAUGUCAUACUUUGGUUCGGCGGUAUUGUGAGAUGAAGCGGCCCGGACCGACAUUACGCGUACGCUUACGCGAGACUGGUUUCAGCGUUACGAGCACUCGUGCUUAAAGGUGGCUGGCGGGUGUCUGUCUCUCUCACUUUAGCUGAAUCGAGUGUGGCUACGCCUGGUCAUUGCGAAGGUUAAAACAGCACCAACUUGACGAACUAUCGUUGUGGUUUUUUGAUGCGUAGGUAAGAACGGUUCUUGCUAAGCCCGUAGCAGCCACGUAAAAUUUGCAACAACAAAGUAGAGGAUGUCUAACUUGUUUUUGCAGGGCAUGUUGUGAUGUGAUAUGGUCAAGACGUGAUGCUAUAUUUUAUUGUAUGAGAUGAUCAUGUUUUGUAACCGAAGUUAUCGGCAACUGGCAGGAGCCAUAUGGUUGUCGCUUUGUUGUAUGAAAUGCAAACGCCCUAUAAUUGCUUUACUUUAUCACUAAGUGGUAGCAAUAGUCAUAGAAUCAAUAGACGGCGUAACGACAACGAUGCUACGAUGGAGAUCAAGGUGUCGCGCCGGUGACGAUGGUGAUCACGAUGGUGCUUCGAAGAUGGAGAUCACAAGCACAAGAUGAUGAUGGCCAUAUCAUAUCACUUAUAUUGAUUGCAUGUGAUGUUUAUCCUUUAUGCAUCUUAUCUUGCUUUGAUUGGCAGUAGCAUUUUAAGAUGAUCUCUCACUUAAUAAUCAAGAAGUGUUCUCCCUGAGUAUGCACCAUUGCGAAAGUUCUUCGUGUUGAGACACCACGUGAUGAUCGGGUGUGAUAGGCUCUACGUUCAAAUACAACGGGUGCAAAACAGUUGCACACGCGGAAUACUCAGGUCAUACUUGACGAGCCUAGCAUAUACAGAUAUGGCCUCGGAACACGGAGACUGAAAGGUCAAGCGUGAAUCAUAUAGUAGAUAUGAUCAACAUAGUAAUGUUCACCAUUGAAACUACUCCAUCUCACGUGAUGAUCGGACAUGGUUUAGUUGAUUUGGAUCACGUGAUCACUUAGAUGACUAGAGAGAUGUCUGUCUAAGUGGGAGUUCUUAAGUAAUAUGAUUAAUUGAACUUAAAUUUAUCAUGAACUUAGUACCUGAUAGUAUUUUGCUUGUCUAUGUUUGUUUGUAGAUAGACGACUCGUGUUGUUAUUCCGUUGAAUUUUAAUGCGUUCCUUGAGAAAGCAAAGUUGAAAGACGAUGGUAGCAAUUACACGGACUGGGUCCGUAACCUGAGGAUUAUCCUCAUUGCUGCACAAAAAAGUUACGUCCUGGAAGCACCGCUGGGUGCCAGGCCUACUGCUGAUGCAACUGACGACGUUAAGAACGUCUGGCAGAGGAAAGCUGAUGACUACUCGAUAGUUCAGUGUGCCAUGCUUUACGGCUUAGAACCGGGUCUUCAACGAUGUUUUGAACGUCAUGGAGCAUAUGAGAUGUUACAGGAGUUGAAGUUAAUAUUUCAAGCAAAUGCCCGGAUUGAGAGAUAUGAAGUCUCCAAUAAGUUCUAUAGCUGCAAGAUGGAGGAGAAUAGUUCUGUCAGUGAACACAUACUCAAAAUGUCUGGGUAUAAUAAUCACUUGAUUCAACUGGGAGUUAAUCUUCCUGAUGAUAGUGUCAUUGACAGAAUUCUCCAAUCACUGCCACCAAGCUACAAGAGCUUCGUGAUGAACUAUAAUAUGCAAGAGAUGAACAAGACUAUUCCCGAGCUCUUCGCAAUGCUAAAAGCUGCGGAGGUAGAAAUCAAGAAGGAGCAUCAAGUGUUGAUGGUUAACAAGACCACCAGUUUCAAGAAAAAAGGCAAAGGGAAGAAGAAGGGGAACUUCAAAAAGAACGGCAAGCAAGUUGCUGCUCAAGAGAAGAAACCCAAGUCUGGACCUAAGCCUGAAACUGAGUGCUUCUACUGCAAGCAGACUGGACACUGGAAGCGGAACUGCCCCAAGUAUUUGGCGGAUAAGAAGGAUGGCAAAGUGAACAAAGGUAUAUGUGAUAUACAUGUUAUUGAUGUGUACCUUACUAAUGCUCACAGUAGCACUUGGGUAUUUGAUACUGGUUCUGUUGCUAAUAUUUGCAACUCGAAACAGGGACUACGGAUUAAGCGAAGAUUGGCUAAGGACGAGGUGACGAUGCGCGUGGGAAAUGGUUCCAAAGUCGAUGUGAUCGCGGUCGGCACGCUACCUCUACAUCUACCAUCGGGAUUAGUUUUAGACCUAAAUAAUUGUUAUUUGGUGCCAGCGUUGAGCAUGAACAUUAUAUCUGGAUCUUGUUUGAUGCGAGGCGGUUAUUCAUUUAAAUCAGAGAAUAAUGGUUGUUCUAUUUAUAUGAGUAAUAUCUUUUAUGGUCAUGCACCCUUGAAGAGUGGUCUAUUCUUAUUGAAUCUCGAUAGUAGUGAUACACAUGUUCAUAGUGUUGAAACCAAAAUAUGCAGAGUUAAUAACGAUAGUGCAACUUAUUUGUGGCACUGCCGUUUAGGUCAUAUCGGUGUAAAGCGCAUGAAGAAACUCCAUACUGAUGGGCUUUUGGAAUCACUUGAUUAUGAAUCACUUGGUACUUGCGAAUCGUGCCUCAUGGGCAAGAUGACUAAAACGCCGUUCUCCGGAACUAUGGAGCGAGCAACUGAUUUGUUGGAAAUCAUACAUACUGAUGUUUGUGGUCCAAUGAAUGUUGAGGCUCGCGGCGGGUAUCGUUAUUUUCUCACCUUCACAGAUGAUUUGAGCAGAUAUGGGUAUAUCUACAUAAUGAAACACAAGUCUGAAACAUUUGAAAAGUUCAAAGAAUUUCAGAGUGAAGUGGAAAAUCAUCGUAACAAGAAAUUAAAGUUUCUACGAUCUGAUCGUGGAGGAGAAUAUUUGAGUUACGAGUUUGGUCUGCACUUGAAACAAUGCGGAAUAAUUUCGCAACCCAUGCCACCCGGAACACCACAACGAAAUGGUGUGUCCGAACAUCGUAAUCGUACUUUACUAGAUAUGGUGAGAUCUAUGAUGUCUCUUACUGAUUUACUGCUAUUGUUUUGGGGUUAUGUUUAGAGACGGCCGCAUUCACGUUAAAUAGGGCACCAUCAAAAUCCGUUAAGACAACGCCUUAUGAACUGUGGUUUGGCAAGAAACCAAAGUUGUCGUUUCUUAAAGUUUGGGGCUGCGAUGCUUAUGUGAAGAAACUUCAACCAGAUAAGCUUGAACCCAAAUCGGACAAAUGUGUCUUCAUAGGAUACCCAAAAUAGACUAUUGGGUACACCUUCUAUCACAGAUCUGAGGGCAAGAUUUUCGUUGCUAAAAUCGGAUCCUUUCUAGAGAAGGAGUUUCUCUCGAAAGAAGUGAGUGGGAGGAAAGUAGAACUUGAUGAGAUAACUGUAUCUACUCCCUUAUUGGAAAGUAGUUCAUCACAAGAACCGGUUCCUGUGACAACUACACCAAUCAGUGAGGAAGCUGAUGAUAUUGAUCAUGAAACUUCAGAUCAAGUUUCUACUGAACCUCGUAGGUCUACCAGAGUAAGAUCCACACCAGAGUGGUACGGUAAUCCAAUUCUGGAAGUCAUGUUACUUGACCAUGAUGAACCUACGAACUAUGAGGAAGCGACGAUGAGCCCAGAUUCCGAAAAAAGGCUAGAGGCCAUGAAAUCUGAGAUGGGAUCCAUGUAUGAAAACAAAGUAUGGACUUUGGUUGACUUGCCCGAUGAUUGGAAAGCCAUUGAGAAUAAAUGGAUCUUUAAGAAGAAGACUGACGCUGAUGGUAAUAUAACUGUCUAUAAAGCCCGACUUGUUGCAAAAGGUUUUCGACAAGUUCAAGGAGUUGACUACGAUGAGACUUUCUCACCCGUAGCGAUGCUUAAGUCUGUCCGAAUCAUGUUAGCUAUUGCUGCAUUUCAUGAUUAUGAAAUUUGGCAAAUGGAUGUCAAAACUGCAUUCUUGAAUGGAUUUCUGGAAGAAGAGUUGAAUAUGAUGCAGCCAGAAGGUUUUGUUGAUCCAAAAGGUGCUAACAAAGUGUGCAAGCUCCAGCGUUCCAUUUAUGGACUGGUGCAAGCAUCUCGGAGUUGGAAUAAAUGCUUUGAUAGUGUGAUCAAAGCAUAUGGUUUUAUACAGACUUUUGGAGAAGCCUGUAUUUACAAGAAAGUGAGUGGGGGCUCUGUAGCAUUUCUGAUAUUAUAUGUAGAUGACAUUAUUAAUUGGAAAUGAUAUAGAAUUUCUGGAUAGCAUAAAGGGAUACUUGAAUAAAAGUUUUUCAAUGAAAGACCUCGGUGAAGCUGCUUACAUAUUGGGCAUCAAGAUCUAUCAAGAUAGAUCAAGACGCUUAAUAGGACUUUCACAAAGCACAUACCUUGACAAAAUUUUGAAAAAGUUCAAAAUGGAUCAGGCAAAGAAAGGUUUCUUGCCUGUGCUACAAGGUGUGAAGUUGAGUCAAACUCAAUGCCUGACCACAGCAGAAGAUAGAGAGAAAAUGAAAGAUGUUCCCUAUGCUUCAGCCAUAGGCUCUAUCAUGUAUGCAAUGCUGUGUAGCAGACCUGACGUAUGCUUAGCAAUAAGCUUGGCAGGAAGGUACCAAAGUAAUCCAGGAGUGGAUCACUGGACAGCGGUCAAGAACAUCCUGAAAUACCUGAAAAGGACUAAGGAUAUGUUUCUCGUAUAUGGAGGUGACAAAGAGCUAGUCGUAAAUGGUUACGUCGAUGCAAGCUUUGACACUGAUCCGGACGAUUCUAAAUCGCAAACCGGAUACGUAUUUUUAUUAAACGGUGGAGCUGUAAGUUGGUGCAGUUCUAAACAAAGCGUCGUGGCGGGAUCUACAUGUGAAGCGGAGUACAUAGCUGCUUCUGAAGCAGCAAAUGAAGGAGUCUGGAUGAAGGAGUUCAUUUCCGAUCUAGGUGUCAUACCUAGUGCAUCGGGACCAAUGAAGAUCUUCUGUGACAAUACUGGUGCAAUUGCCUUGGCAAAAGAAUCCAGAUUUCACAAGAGGACCAAGCACAUCAAGAGACGCUUCAAUUCCAUUCGGGACCAAGUCCAAGUGGGAGACAUAGAGAUUUGCAAGAUACAUACGGAUCUGAAUGUUGCAGACCCGUUGACUAAGCCUCUCUCACGAGCAAAACAUGAUCAGCACCAAGACUCCAUGGGUGUGUCAGGACCCCGACUCGAUGUCACAUCGAUCUAGCUGGUAACACCUCAUAUCACUUUGCGGCCUCACGCACGGUAUCCCCACGGGUGUCGUCUUACCUUUUCCCGGGACCGUUUGCGCCUUUUGGCUCACGUAUAUGAUAGUGUCGCUAGCAUCCAUAUGAUAAGGAGCCCGGGCUGACAUGACUAGUCGUAAACCCAAAGUGGCACAGACUUACAGGGACAGGCAUCCAUGACCCAGCUUUGAACGUGUCGGUCAUCAGCAAGUGGGUCCGGGCUGUAGCACUGGGGUAGCAGGACUCCGGUAAACCGGGCUGUAGCGGGCUAACAGGACUCCGGUACUCAAAGCGUGACAUUUCCCCGAAGGGACAGACACAGGAACGAAGAAGGACACAUGCCGGCCAGCCUAAGUGUUCCAGAGCAGUAGCAAGCUACCAUGGCUCAGCGGUAACACUAGGAGACAUUUCCCGGUAAGAGAGGCUACUAAAGAUAAACAACUAGAUAGUCAGAUCCCACGCAUACCAAGCAUUUCAAUCAUACACACAAUAUGCUCGAUAUGCGCAAAUACAACGAAGCAUCACAACAUGACUCUACGACACAAGUACUUUAUUUAAGGCUCAGGGAGCCAUACAUAUCAUACACAAAGGUACGGGUCUCACGACCCAACAUACAAGUCAUACAGUCAUACAAACCAGCAGCGGAAGUAACUUGUCUGAGUACAGACAACUAGUAAAAUAAAAGAGGCUUGGAAAGCCUAGCUAUACUACGUGGUCCUUCACAAGCUCAGGGUCACCACCUGGGUCUUUAGCCUACUCAUUGAUGUCAACGUCUACAUAGAACCCAUCAGAAGGGGUUGCAGCGUCUUCUGUAAAAAUGUAGAUUAUAGCAACAUGAGUACAAAGGUACUCAGCAAGACUUACAUCAGAUCCUACAUACAUGCAUAGUAUCAAGAAGGGUUGGUGGAGUUAUUGCAGCAAGCCAGCUCUGACUCUUGGCUAGGCUAUCCUACGAUACUCCAACUUGAAAUGGUUUUGCGCACACGAGUCCACUACUCACCACUUCAAUACACUACCGAGGAUCCACCUCCGUCUUCCUACGGAAGAGCCAUCCUCGGCACUCACACUUAUCUCGAGGCUUUUAGUAGUUUCCAUUUACUUGUCUAUGAACUGUAUAGGUAACCAAGUAGUCCUUUACCGCGGACACGGCUAUUCGAAUAGAUCAUGUUAACCCUGCAGGGGUGUACUUCUUCAUACAUGUUUCCACCACUUAGCGUCUGCACACGACAUGUGCUCGGCAGACUUCAAGCGAAAGCCGACGUGGGUGUAGACCACGACCUACCUAAACACUUAAGCCUCUAGUCCAGGUUUAUCGCCUAUUCAGGUUCCAUCCGCAGGGAGUCCGGCCGAGGUUUCCCAUACGGCCCCGAACGAUGUGAACAGGGUUCCUGAGAUACCUAACGGGUAUUCGGUACACCGUGCCACGUACCUACCGCAUCACAGCCCACCCCUACGGUCAGCGCUGUCCACGGCCUCCAGUAGGCUACAAACACCAGAAACUACUUGCAACUCCUGGACAGAGAGCUAGGGUGAAUAAGAAGUCGAGCGGGGUCAUAUUUCAGGGCCCAAUGCAUGGUAGUAGCUGUAUCUUAAAUCACAUAUACAGAUCUCAGUGCUUAAGGUCGGCUUCAAUGAAACAACCCACCAUGUACUCCUACAUGGCCUCUCAUCGAUACCUUUACCAAAUCGUGUUCACCACACCAUUCUCAUUACCGACAUAAUCAUUUCACUCUAGCCCAUCACCCAGAUGAACCAGACCUGACACGACUCUAAGCAUAGCAGGCAUAGCAAGGUAGGAACAUCACAUACAUAGGGCUCAAUCAACUCCUACACAUGCUAGUGGGUUUCAUCUAGUUACUGUGGCAAUGACAGGUCAUGCAGAGGAAAUGGGUUCAACUACCGUAGCACACAGCAGUUUGAAUCGCGUUGUCUUAAUGCAGUAAAAGAGAGCAGGAGCGAGAACAUGGGAUUGUAUCGAUAUGAUCAAAUGGUUGGUUGCUUGCCUGAUGGUUCGAUGCACUGAUAUGGUUCUUCGUUAGGGUAAUCACGGUACUCCUCGGAGGCAGAACCUGUCGCAAAGGACAUCGAUACACAAGCAUCACCAAACAAUGUGCAACAAUAUGAUGCAUGCAUAAAACAUGGCAAUAUGAGUGUGUUGGGCUAAUGCAACUAAAACCAGAAGGGUUUGAACAAAUUUGAAUCAAAGAUUCAAAUUUCAAACUCCAAACAUGGCCUUUUAAAGUGCUUUUCCUUGUUCUGCUUAAAACAUCAAUUUAACUUGUUUGAUCAUGCAUGAAAAUAGUACAGAUGGAUAGAUUGGAUUUUUCUGAUCAUUUUUCAUAUAUAAUUUGUCCAAUUUGGAGUUACAGAAUAAAAGUUAUGAAUUUUUGAAGUUUAAAUAAUAUUCUGGAAUUUCCUGAUUUAAUUUAAAUCCAGAAAAUCAAUUACUGCGUCAGCCUGACGUCAGUGUGACGUCAGUGAUCAACUGAACAGGUCUGGGUCAAACCUGACAGUGGGUCCCGCAUGUCGGGGUGAUUAUUUUAAUUAAGAUUUAAUUAAAACUAAUCCUGUAUAAUUAGCAGGGCUGGGCCCCACCUGUCAUUGACUCAGGGGGGUCAACCAGGGCCCACCCGGGGUCAAAGUCAAAGCCAGCGACGCCGGCGGUUAGCCGCCGGCGAGCCAGACGCGGCGGCGGGAGUGGUUUUGGCCAUUUCGGCCACCAAAGGGGCCGCGGAGACCACCGGAGUGGAGCUGAGGACAAACCGCAGCUCUUGGCGGAGUCCGUUGGGGUCGGGGUGGCCGGAGUCGACGGCGGCGAGCUCGGCUACGGCCGCCGGGGUUCGGUCGUGCACGGGAACAGGGUUGGAGCUCGAAGUCGAGCGAAGCGAAGCGCUAGGGAAGCUCUACGGGGUCUUGCGAACUCGUUGGACUCGCCGGGGUGACCAAAUGGUCACCGGAGUGCGUCGACGGCGAGCUCGGCGACGGCGGAGGUUCGGCCGUGGUGGGGAGGAGGCUACGGUGGGGGAACGAGGGGGAGGAGAGGGGGAAACGGUGGCGUAGCUCACCGCGGUUGCAGUGGGCGUCGAAGCGGGCUUGGGGACGCGCCGGAGACGACGAAUUCGACGGCGACGAUGGUCGGAGCCCGAAGAGGGGAACGGCGACGUGGCGGCGAUGCAGGGCUUCCGGGGAGCUGUGGAGCGGUGGGGAGGAAGAGGGGGUCGUGGCGGAGCUUCUGAGCUAGUCGGGGGAGCGAGGGGUGGCCGGAGAUGGCUGCUACGGCGAACGGCGGUGACGGUGGUGCUCGGCCGUGUGAGAGAGAGAGCGAGGAAGAGGAGGGAAGAGCCGGGGGAGAGUGAGAGAGAGCAGGGGGGAUCGGGACGGCCUGCGGGAGUCGUCCACGCGGCCAGGAGCUCGUCGGCAAGCAGGAGGUGGCCGCGCGGCCGUGCGCGUGCGAGCACGCAGGAGCUUCGGGGCGAGGGGAGGAAGACGACGGAGGGCUGCAGUGGUGGGCUGGGCCGGCUGCUGGCUGGGCCGGCCAGCUGGCUGGGCCGCACAGUGGAGGAGCCCAGGUAAGCUCCUCCUGUUAUAUAUUUUUCUGUUUUCUAAUUUCUGACAUUUGUUUUGAUUUAAAAAAAAAUAUUAAAUCAUUUAUUCAACUUAUGCCAAUUUUUGCAGGAGCUAUAUAUAUUAUUCCAGAGCUCUUUUAUAAAUGGCAUAAUAUUUGGGCAUAUAUUAAUAUAUAUAAUUAAUAUAUUUCCAAUGCAAAUACUUAUGCAUUAAUUCCAAAUACCCAAAAUAAAUGUCCAUGAGCCACUAAAAAUAUUGGUUUGAUUUUUAUCUCUGUCCAAUAUUUUCAGAGAGCAACAUGAGCAUUUUCUUGGAUCCUUUUGGAGAAAUUUUUAUUUGGGUCAUUUUCAAAAUGAUUCUGAGGGUUUCACAGAUCCCCAUUUCAAGUUUCUGAUGAAAGAGUAAACAUGAUGCAACACUCUAAUGCAUGGCUAACUAGGAUGUGACAACUCACCCCCACUCAAAAGAAUCUCGUCCCGAGAUUUGGGUUCCUCCGGGAAGAAGGCGGGAUACUCGAGUCGAAGACGAUCCUCCCUUUCCCAAGUUGCUUCAUCCUCAGAAUGGUGCGACCAUUGAACCUUGAGAAACUUGAUAUUAUGACGUCGCGUGGUACGUUCGGCUUGAUCGAGGAUACGAAUGGGGUACUCUCGAUAUGUAAGAUCAUCUUGGAGAUCAAGCCUUUCGUGGUCCACUUCACGGAUAGGAUCCGAGAAGCAACGCCUGAGUUGAGAAACGUGGAAGACAUCGUGAACUCUGGAGAGGUGCGGAGGUAGUUCCAACUGGUAGGCAACUUCUCCUCGUUUGGCAAGAAUGCGAAAAGGUCCAAUGUAACGAGGAGCCAAUUUGCCUUUGAUACCGAAACGAUGGGUUCCCUUCAGAGGGGUGACCCGAAGAUAAGCCUUCUCGUCAACCUUGAAAGUCAUAGCCUUAUGUUUUCGGUCAUAUUGACUCUUUUGACGAGAUUGGGCUGUUUUCAACUUUUCACGAACGAUACGAACUUGUUCUUCUGCUUCCUGAAUCAUAUCCGGGCCAAAGAAUUGUCUUUCCCCGGUCUCUGACCAGUUAAGGGGUGUUCGACACCAUCGUCCAUAGAGAACUUCAAAAGGGGCUUUACCCAAGCUAGAUUGAUAGCUGUUGUUGUAAGCGAAUUCGGCAAAUGGAAGACACUUCUCCCAGUCCAUUCCGAAAGAGAUAACAGAGGCUCGAAGCAUGUCUUCUAGAAUUUGGUUGACGCGUUCCACUUGACCACUCGACUGAGGGUGGAAAGCGGUGCUAAAAGAGAGACGAGUUCCCAUAGCAUUUUGGAAACUUUCCCAAAAUCGAGAGGUGAAAAGACUUCCUCGAUCCGAGUUAAUUUCCAAAGGAACACCAUGGAGAGACACUAUUCGGGAGAUGUACAAAUCUGCCAGCUGACUAGCGGUUAUACUCUCACGAACAGGUAAGAAAUCAGCUACUUUGGAAAGACGAUCGACCACGACGAAAAUAGCAUUAUUCCCUCUCUUGGUCCUGGGAAACCCGGUAAUGAAAUCCAUACCAAUUUUAUCCCAUUUCCAUUCAGGAAUAGCUAAGGGUUGAAGGGUGCUAGCAGGCCGUUGAUGCUCUGCUUUUACACAACGACAGAUGUCGCAAUUUGCAAUAUACUGAGCGAUUUCUCUCUUCAUCCUAGUCCACCAGAACCUCUGGCGUAGGUCCUGAUACAUCUUAGUACUACCGGGAUGAAUGGUGAGAGGAGAUUCAUGAGCUUCCUUAAGGAUCAACUGCCGCAGAUGCUGGUUCUUGGGAACCACUAGACGGUUCUCAAAGUACACAACACCAUGAUCAUUUGUGGAGAAACAACUAGCACCUCUGCUAGCAAUGUUCUCUUUGAUUUUAGAUAUUCCCUUAUCUCGCUUUUGGGCAGCGAUGAUUUGAUCCGUAAGAGUAGGUUUUGCUACCAAGGUGGAAAGAAAACCUUGAGGUACAAUGUGAAGGUUAAGCUUCCGAAAUUCCUCAUGGAGAAGCGGUUGACUUUGUUGUAACAUCAGGUUGUUACAAUAAGAUUUACGACUUAGCGCAUCAGCCAUGAUGUUGGCUUUCCCUGGGGUGUAGGUUAUUCCUAAGUCGAAGUCUGUGAUCAAUUCAACCCAACGUCUCUGCCUGAGAUUCAAAUCCGGUUGGGUGAAAAUAUACUUCAGACUUUGGUGAUCAGUGAAUAUUUCGCAACGAUUACCGAGGAGGUAAUGUCGCCAGGUCUUAAGUGCAUAGACUACGGCUGCAAGCUCUAGAUCAUGGGUGGGAUAAUUCUCCUCAUGUGGGUGCAAUUGCCGUGAAGCGUAAGCAAUUACGUGUCGAUCUUGCAUAAGAAUGCAACCUAGUCCUUGUCGCGAGGCGUCGCAGUAGAUAACAAAGUCCUUGGAGAAGUCUGGCGGUACCAGCACGGGAGCAGAGGUCAGGCGUCUUUUCAGUUCCUGAAAGCUGUGCUCACAUUGUGGAGUCCACUCGAACUUCUUAUCUUUCUUGAGGAGUUCGGUUAGAGGUUUAGCAACCUUGGAGAAGUUCUCGACAAAGCGACGGCAAUAGCUCGCUAAGCCCAGAAAACUCCGAACUUGCUUGACCGAUUCAGGUGGAGUCCAAUUAAGGACGGCUUGAACUCGCUCAGGGUUAACAGCAAUACCUUUACCAGAUAUUACAUGACCCAGAUAGGUCACUUCUGACAACCAGAACUCACAUUUAGAAAAUUUGGCAUAAAGGCGAUGCUCUCGAAGUUUCUUCAACACUAGCCUUAAAUGUUUGGCAUGUUCUUCCUCGUUCUUGGAGUAGAUGAGUAUAUCAUCGAGAUAAACUACGACGAAUUUAUCCAAAUACUCCAUGAAGAUUGAGUUCAUUAACCGAGAAAAGGUGGCUGGAGCGUUGGUUAAACCGAAGGACAUGACGGUGUACUCGUAUUGGCCAUAACGAGUAACAAAGGCCGUUUUAGGAAUGUCCCCAUUUCUGAUUUUGAUUUGAUGGUAGCCCAACCUCAAAUCCAUCUUGGAGAAGACUGAGGAUCCAGCGAGCUGAUCAUACAGAUCGUUGAUCCUGGGAAGUGGAUAUUUGUUCUUGAUUGUGACCAAAUUGACAGGUCGGUAAUCUACAACCAUCCGGUCCGUACCAUCCUUCUUCUUGACGAAUAGGACGGGGCAAGCCCACGGAGAUGAACUAGGGCGGAUGAAACCCUUUUUCAAAGAUUCAUCGAGUUGUUUCUUAAGCUCGGCUAGUUCUAGUGGUGCCAUCUUAUAGGGUCUUCUAGCAAUCGGAACGGUUCCGGGGAUGAGGUCGAUUACGAACUCAACAUCCCUGUCUGGUGGAACACCUGGCAAUUCCUCUGGAAAGACAUCCGGGAAGUCACAGACUACCGGCACGUCCUCAAGGUCUGGCAAAGGGCUGGCGUUAAGAGAAUAUAAUUGUCGCUUGGCUAUUCGGGUCAAGACAUUGACUAUCUUCCCCGAAGGAUGGGUGAGUUGAACAGUCCUAGAGAAGCAAUCAAUUUUGGCUUGAUGAGCUGACAUCCAGUCCAUACCCAAAAUGAUAUUAAUAUCUGAAGAUUUAAGGGCUAUCAAAGAUGCGAGAAAAACAAGUCUGUCGACUUGGAUUUCAUUUCCAUGGCUUACUCUAGAAGUUUGCCAUUUGGAUCCCGGAGUUUGAAUUACCAUAGAGGUUGGCAUAUCACCGAAUGCGACGUUAUGCAAGCGAGCAUAGUUUUCAGAUAUAAAAGAAUGAGAGGCUCCUGUAUCGAAAAGAACAGAUGCCGGGUGGCAAUUAACAAGAAGCGUACCGAGAACGACGUUGGGAUCCUCUUGAGCUUCUUCGGCAGAGAUACAAUUGACAUGGCCACGUGAAGCGGUGACCGGCUUGGCGUGGAAUAUUUUUCCUGUCGGCUUGCCACGGCCAACAGCUUUAGCAGACUGGUUGGGGUUGGUCUGGGGACACUCACGCAUAUAGUGACCAGAUUCCCCACAUUUGAAACAAGUCACGGAACUGGUACGUGGAGGAGCAUUAUUGGUUGGACCCCCAUAGUGUUUGGUCGGUGCAGACUGUUGAACAGGGCGAGGCGCCUGGAAAGAUGGCCUCGGUGUGAACCUGGGUGGCAGGGCGGUGUUGGGCACCCACACGCGGUGCUUCUGAGGACCAGCACCGGAUGAGGAACCCAUGUCACGGCCAUGCUUGCGUGUUGCAUCAUAAUCAGUCUGACCAGUUUCAGCACUGAUGGCCUUGUUAACAAGUUUCUGAAAGGAUGUGCACUCAUGCAGACGGAGGUCGCGGCGAAGCUCAGGACUAAGGCCCUUACGGAACCUUGCUUGCUUCUUGGCGUCAGUAGACACUUCCUCAGUUGCAUAUCGGGCUAGAUUACCAAACUCCCUGCUAUAGACAUCCACAGAAAGUCGGCCUUGGGUGAAACUGCAAAAUUCUUCACGUUUACGGUCCAUGAGACCCUCCGGAAUGUGAUGUUCACGGAAAGCCUCGCUGAACUCAGCCCAAGUAGUGACAUGGCCCGCUGGGCGCAUAGCUCCAUAAUUCUCCCACCAUAGACUGGCGGGGCCUUCAAGAUGAUAUGCAGCAAAGGUGACCUUGUCAGCCUCCGCUACCAGCGCGGAACGCAGUUUGUGAGAGAUACUGCGAAGCCAGUCAUCAGCGUCGAGAGGCUCGACGGAGUGGUGGAACGUGGGUGGAUGCAAUUUGAUAAAAUCACUGAGUGACACCACGUUAGCCCUCUGAUGGUGUGCUGUAUUCUGUUCAAUACGCUCCAACAAACGGUUGGUCUCCUGCUUGUUUCUCUCAGCUUCCAUCAUAACCUCGGCUAGUGAAGGAGGAUGAGGCAGAUUUGCAUCCCUGACUUCACUGCCUUCGGCCUGCUCUUGAGAAGCAGGGUUAGCGCGCGUGUUGCCCAUCCUAGGUAAACAAGACAAUGAUUUAGCCAGGAUGAUAAAAUUCCAACAUAGGAUACAAAAAGUAAGGAAUAACUCGGAAUGCAAGAUGAUCAUCCGUAUGACAUGGUAGAUACAGAAACUGCUUCUUUUAUUCCAUCGUCAUACACACCAUACAGGGUUUAGUACAAGACCAAACGAAGUACUAUUACGGUGAAAAGAGGAUUACAUCUCAUCGGAGGCAUUCCAAGCUCUUAUACAUUAUUUUUCUACAUCUCCGGAAAGAGUACAAACUAGAUCAUAUCCCACGAGUCACGCAGGACGAUAGACGACACGGCUAGUGCGAACUAGUGAUACUACCACUAACUCAGACCGAUCCGUAGUAGUCCUCGUAGAAGUCGCCUCCAUAGCCUGGAAGUUCAACAUGAUCAUCCGGAAACAGACGGUCUCGCGGAGCUUGUGGACCAUAGGGGCUAGGAUGAGGCCUUGGACCAACAAACGGUGGCCUGCGGGGACCGUGAGGUGGGGUGAUGCCUCCUACAUCACGCCAAACCAUUACGUCCGGCAGAGCAGAUCUCACAGGAUAGAGAUCGCGCAUAUCUGAAUAUCCAGCUUGCACCGCCGGUGCGAACCGAGUCAAAGUGGCCCAGUGGUCAGCACGGGUAUUGAAGAGCUCUAACCUUAAGGCCCGAUUUUCACGGUCCUUAUCCUCGAGCAUCUCAGCAGUGGUGCGAGUCCGUGAAUCCUCCUGAGUGGGGUCAGCAUAGAUAGCCUGGAGAUAUCCUUGUGCUCCCGUAAGUGAUCCUGGCAUAUACCGGAAAUCAGAGUCCCGAAAUAAACCAGAUCUGACUCGCAUAAUGGUCAUCAUAGAGUAGGCGGCGUCCUGCACAGCCAUCUCAAUAGUAACCCCGAGUCCAUAGGAGCAGUGAAGAGGCUCGGUGGAUCCAGGAUAAGAUGGAAAUAUCCUGACAGUGCAGAGAUACUGGCUUUGAUUAAAAUCUCGGAAUUGCUCUUCGACCGUGUACUCGGGAUACCAGCGGUAUCCAGCCUCAGUCAUUACCCUGACCAACUUAGCAGUAUGGCCGGGUACAUCUAGGCAUCGAGUCAGGCGAACCACUUGAUUGAGGUCGCGAGUGGCCAUCUGAAAGCAUAAUCAUAAUGCAAAGGCAUUAGAAUUUCUAGCAAAAUUUCGGCAGCAUAACAGCUGUAAAUGCUCAAAAAGGAUUUUGAGACAUUUGACAAAGGAUUUCGUACACACUCAACAUCACCAUAUCAAAGUUCUGAAACCAUUCUGGCAACAUAAUGUGGUAGUAGAACUGAACUAGGCUUGUAACCAUCAAACUUACAAGGUACUACUGAUUAGUAACACGUGAUCCUGAUAGAGAGAAUAGAUCCUAAUUCCUUAACCCCCGGUGGAAGAAUGGACUGACUCAGAUCAGAAAGUCAUAAGGUAUAAGGAGUAAAAAGAGCCUUACGUUCCAACCCACAAACAAUUCCCCUACAUAUAACUAAAGAAUUUCUAGACUCAACAUCGACCAGUUUGGCUUGGAGAACCUACAGGCAGUCCGGCUCUGAUGCCAACGCUGUCAGGACCCCGACUCGAUGUCACAUCGAUCUAGCUGGUAACACCUCAUAUCACUUUGCGGCCUCACGCACGGUAUCCCCACGGGUGUCGUCUUACCUUUUCCCGGGACCGUUUGCGCCUUUUGGCUCACGUAUAUGAUAGUGUCGCUAGCAUCCAUAUGAUAAGGAGCCCGGGCUGACAUGACUAGUCGUAAACCCAAAGUGGCACAGACUUACAGGGACAGGCAUCCAUGACCCAGCUUCGAACGUGUCGGUCAUCAGCAAGUGGGUCCGGGCUGUAGCACUGGGGUAGCAGGACUCCGGUAAACCGGGCUGUAGCGGGCUAACAGGACUCCGGUACUCAAAGCAUGACAUUUCCCCGAAGGGACAGACACAGGAACGAAGAAGGACACAUGCCGGCCAGCCUAAGUGUUCCAGAGCAGUAGCAAGCUACCAUGGCUCAGCGGUAACACUAGGAGACAUUUCCCGGUAAGAGAGGCUACUAAAGAUAAACAACUAGAUAGUCAGAUCCCACGCAUACCAAGCAUUUCAAUCAUACACACAAUAUGCUCGAUAUGCGCAAAUACAACGAAGCAUCACAACAUGACUCUACGACACAAGUACUUUAUUUAAGGCUCAGGGAGCCAUACAUAUCAUACACAAAGGUACGGGUCUCACGACCCAACAUACAAGUCAUACAGUCAUACAAACCAGCAGCGGAAGUAACUUGUCUGAGUACAGACAACUAGUAAAAUAAAAGAGGCUUGGAAAGCCUAGCUAUACUACGUGGUCCUUCACAAGCUCAGGGUCACCACCUGGGUCUUUAGCCUACUCGUUGAUGUCAACGUCUACAUAGAACCCAUCAGAAGGGGUUGCAGCGUCUUCUGUAAAAAUGUAGAUUAUAGCAACAUGAGUACAAAGGUACUCAGCAAGACUUACAUCAGAUCCUACAUACAUUCAUAGUAUCAAGAAGGGUUGGUGGAGUUAUUGCAGCAAGCCAGCUCUGACUCUUGGCUAGGCUAUCCUACGAUACUCCAACUUGAAAUGGUUUUGCGCACACGAGUCCACUACUCACCACUUCAAUACACUACCGAGGAUCCACCUCCGUCUUCCUACGGAAGAGCCAUCCUCGGCACUCACACUUAUCUCGAGGCUUUUAUUAGUUUCCAUUUACUUGUCUAUGAACUGUAUAUGCAACCAAGUAGUCCUUUACCGCGGACACGGCUAUUCGAAAAGAUCAUGUUAACCCUGCAGGGGUGUACUUCUUCAUACAUGUUUCCACCACUUAGCGUCUGCACAUGACAUGUGCUCGGCAGACUUCAAGCGAAAGCCGACGUGGGUGUAGACCACGACCUACCUAAACACUUAAGCCUCUAGUCCAGGUUUAUCGCCUAUUCAGGUUCCAUCCGCAGGGAGUCCGGCCGAGGUUUCCCAUACGGCCCCGAACGAUGUGAACAGGGUUCCCGAGAUACCUAACGGGUAUUCGGUACACCGUGCCACGUACCUACCGCAUCACAGCCCACCCCUACGGUCAGCGCUGUCCACGGCCUCCAGUAGGCUACAAACACCAGAAACUACUUGCAACUCCUGGACAGAGAGCUAGGGUGAAUAAGAAGUCGAGCGGGGUCAUAUUUCAGGGCCCAAUGCAUGGUAGUAGCUGUAUCUUAAAUCACAUAUACAGAUCUCAGUGCUUAAGGUCGGCUUCAAUGAAACAACCCACCAUGUACUCCUACAUGGCCUCUCAUCGAUACCUUUACCAAAUCGUGUUCACCACACCAUUCUCAUUACCGACAUAAUCAUUUCACUCUAGCCCAUCACCCAGAUGAACCAGACCUGACACGACUCUAAGCAUAGCAGGCAUAGCAAGGUAGGAACAUCACAUACAUAGGGCUCAAUCAACUCCUACACAUGCUAGUGGGUUUCAUCUAGUUACUGUGGCAAUGACAGGUCAUGCAGAGGAAAUGGGUUCAACUACCGUAGCACACAGCAGUUUGAAUCGCGUUGUCUUAAUGCAGUAAAAGAGAGCAGGAGCGAGAACAUGGGAUUGUAUCGAUAUGAUCAAAUGGUUGGUUGCUUGCCUGAUGGUUCGAUGCACUGAUAUGGUUCUUCGUUAGGGUAAUCACGGUACUCCUCGGAGGCAGAACCUGUCGCAAAGGACAUCGAUACACAAGCAUCACCAAACAAUGUGCAACAAUAUGAUGCAUGCAUAAAACAUGGCAAUAUGAGUGUGUUGGGCUAAUGCAACUAAAACCAGAAGGGUUUGAACAAAUUUGAAUCAAAGAUUCAAAUUUCAAACUCCAAACAUGGCCUUUUAAAGUGCUUUUCCUUGUUCUGCUUAAAACAUCAAUUUAACUUGUUUGAUCAUGCAUGAAAAUAGUACAGAUGGAUAGAUUGGAUUUUUCUGAUCAUUUUUCAUAUAUAAUUUGUCCAAUUUGGAGUUACAGAAUAAAAGUUAUGAAUUUUUGAAGUUUAAAUAAUAUUCUGGAAUUUCCUGAUUUAAUUUAAAUCCAGAAAAUCAAUUACUGCGUCAGCCUGACGUCAGUGUGACGUCAGUGAUCAACUGAACAGGUCUGGGUCAAACCUGACAGUGGGUCCCGCAUGUCGGGGUGAUUAUUUUAAUUAAGAUUUAAUUAAAACUAAUCCUGUAUAAUUAGCAGGGCUGGGCCCCACCUGUCAUUGACUUAGGGGGGUCAACCAGGGCCCACCCGGGGUCAAAGUCAAAGCCAGCGACGCCGGCGGUUAGCCGCCGGCGAGCCAGACGCGGCGGCGGGAGUGGUUUUGGCCAUUUCGGCCACCAAAGGGGCCGCGGAGACCACCGGAGUGGAGCUGAGGACAAACCGCAGCUCUUGGCGGAGUCCGUUGGGGUCGGGGUGGCCGGAGUCGACGGCGGCGAGCUCGGCUACGGCCGCCGGGGUUCGGUCGUGCACGGGAACAGGGUUGGAGCUCGAAGUCGAGCGAAGCGAAGCGCUAGGGAAGCUCUACGGGGUCUUGCGAACUCGUUGGACUCGCCGGGGUGACCAAAUGGUCACCGGAGUGCGUCGACGGCGAGCUCGGCGACGGCGGAGGUUCGGCCGUGGUGGGGAGGAGGCUACGGUGGGGGAACGAGGGGGAGGAGAGGGGGAAACGGUGGCGUAGCUCACCGCGGUUGCAGUGGGCGUCGAAGCGGGCUUGGGGACGCGCCGGAGACGACGAAUUCGACGGCGACGAUGGUCGGAGCCCGAAGAGGGGAACGGCGACGUGGCGGCGAUGCAGGGCUUCCGGGGAGCUGUGGAGCGGUGGGGAGGAAGAGGGGGUCGUGGCGGAGCUUCUGAGCUAGUCGGGGGAGCGAGGGGUGGCCGGAGAUGGCUGCUACGGCGAACGGCGGUGACGGUGGUGCUCGGCCGUGUGAGAGAGAGAGCGAGGAAGAGGAGGGAAGAGCCGGGGGAGAGUGAGAGAGAGCAGGGGGGAUCGGGACGGCCUGCGGGAGUCGUCCACGCGGCCAGGAGCUCGUCGGCAAGCAGGAGGUGGCCGCGCGGCCGUGCGCGUGCGAGCACGCAGCAGCUUCGGGGCGAGGGGAGGAAGACGACGGAGGGCUGCAGUGGUGGGCUGGGCCGGCUGCUGGCUGGGCCGGCCAGCUGGCUGGGCCACACAGUGGAGGAGCCCAGGUAAGCUCCUCCUGUUAUAUAUUUUUCUGUUUUCUAAUUUCUGACAUUUGUUUUGAUUUAAAAAAAAUAUAUUAAAUCAUUUAUUCAACUUAUGCCAAUUUUUGCAGGAGCUAUAUAUAUUAUUCCAGAGCUCUUUUAUAAAUGGCAUAAUAUUUGGGCAUAUAUUAAUAUAUAUAAUUAAUAUAUUUCCAAUGCAAAUACUUAUGCAUUAAUUCCAAAUGCCCAAAAUAAAUGUCCAUGAGCCACUAAAAAUAUUGGUUUGAUUUUUAUCUCUGUCCAAUAUUUUCAGAGAGCAACAUGAGCAUUUUCUUGGAUCCUUUUGGAGAAAUUUUUAUUUGGGUCAUUUUCAAAAUGAUUCUGAGGGUUUCACAGAUCCCCAUUUCAAGUUUCUGAUGAAAGAGUAAACAUGAUGCAACACUCUAAUGCAUGGCUAACUAGGAUGUGACAGGGUGUUAGAAUCAUUACUAUGUAAUCUACAUUAUUGACUCUAGUGCAAGUGGGAGACUGAAGGAAAUAUGCCCUAGAGGCAAUAAUAAAGUUAUAAUUUAUUUCCUCAUAUCAUGAUAAAUGUUUAUUAUUCAUGCUAGAAUUGUAUUAACCGGAAACAUGAUACAUGUGUGAAUACAUAGACAAACCUAUAGUCACUAGUAUGCCUCUACUUGACUAGCUCAAUAAUCAAAGAUGGUUAUGUUUCCUAACCAUAGACAAGUGUUGUCAUUUGAUUAGUGGGAUAACAUCAUUAGAAGAAUGAUGUGAUUGACAUGACCCAUUCCGUUAGCCUAGCACUUGAUCGUUUAGUAUACUGCUAUUGCUUUCUUCAUGACUUAUACAUGUUCCUAUAACUAUGAGAAUUAUGCAACUCCAGUUUACCGGAGGAACACUUUGGGUACUACCAAACGUCACAACGUAACUGGGUGAUUAUAAAGGAGUACUACAGGUGUCUCCAAAGGUACAUGUUGAGUUGGCGUAUUUCGAGAUUAGGUUUUGUCACUCCGAUAGUCGGAGAGGUAUCUUUGGGCCCUCUCGGUAAUGCACAUCAUUAUAAGCCUUGCAAGCAAUGUGACCAAUGAGUUGGUUACGAGAUGAUGCAUUACAGAACGAGUAAAGAGACUUGCCGGUAACGAGAUUGAACUAGGUAUUGGAUACCGACGAUCAAAUCUCGGGCAAGUAACAUACCGAUGACAAAGGGAACAACGUAUGUUGUUAUGCGGUUUGACCAAUAAAGAUCUUCGUAGAAUAUGUAGGAACCAAUAUGGGCAUCCAGGUCCCGCUAUUUGUUAUUGACCGAGAAUAGUUCUAGGUCAUGUCUACAUAGUUCUCGAACCCGUAGGGUCCGCACGCUUAACGUUACGAUGACAGUUUUAUUAUGAGUUUAUAAGUUUUGAUGUACCGAAGUUUGUUCGGAGUCCCGGAUGUGAUCACGGACAUGACAAGGAGUCUCGAAAUGGUCGAGACAUAAAGAUUGAUAUAUUGGACGACUAUAUUCAGACACCGGAAGUGUUUUGGGUGAUUUCGGAGAAAACCGGAGUGCCGGAGGGGUUACCGGAACCCCCCGGGGAAGUAUUGGGCCUUAGUGGGUCUGAGGGGAGAGAGAGGGCAGCAGCCCAGGAGGUGGCGCGCCCCCUCCCAUGGGGAGUCCGAAUUGGACUAGGGGAGGGGGGCGCGGCCCCUCUUUCCCUCUCCCUCUCCCCCUCUUUCCUCCCCCCUUCCUCCUUCCUAGUUGGACUAGGAAAGGGGAGUCCUACUCCCACUAGGAGGAGGACUCCCCCCUCCUUGGCGCGCCCCAAGGGCCGGCCAGCCUCCCCCUGGCUCCUUUAUAUACGGGGGCGGGGGGCACCCCAUAGACACACAAGUUGAUCUACGGAUCGUUCCUUAGCCGUGUACGGUGCCCCCUCCACCAUAUUCCACCUCGGUCAUAUCGUCGCGGAGUUUAGGCGAAGCCCUGCGCCGGUAGAGCAUCAUCAUCGUCACCACGCCGUUGUGCUGACGGAACUCAUCUCGGAGCUUUGCUGGAUCGGAGCACGGAGAUCGUCAUCGAGCUGAACGUGUGCUGAACUCGGAGGCCCCGUACGUUCGGUGCUUGGAUCGGUCGGAUCAUGAAGACGUACGACUACAUCAACCGCGUUGUGCUAAUGCUUCCGCUUACGGUCUACGAGGGUACGUGGACGAACACUCUCCCCUCUCGUUGCUAUGCCAUCACCAUGAUCUUGCGUGUGCGUAGGAAAUUUUUUGAAAUUACUAUGUUCCCCAACAAUUUGUCCCGACGACCUUCUGUGUGGAUCUUUGUGGCGGAGCGACAGGGCAGGUUGAGACCACCUAGGCGAGAGGUGGGACUGGCCUUUGUCGGCAUUCGCGGUUACUUCAUAAUAACACGCUUAACGAGAUCUUGGUAUUUGAUCAGAGUCUGGCCACUGGCCUAUACGCACUAACCAACUACGCAGGAACAGUUAUGGGCACUCGGCGUCGUGGUAUCAGCCGAAGCCUUCGUGACAUCAGCAACUGAGCGGCGCACGCCGGAUUGGACCAUAAGCCUGCUCCUGAAUUAAGGGGGCUAGGUCUGCUUCCGGUCGCCCUCGCAACAUGCAGGUGUGCAAUGGGAGAUGGGCCCAGACCUCUGCGCACAUAGGAUUUAGACCGGCGUGCUGACCUCUCUGUUGUGCCUAGGUGGGGCUGCGACAUGUUCAUCUUUCGAGGCCGGGCAUGACCCAGGAAAUUGUGUCCGGCCAAAUGGGAUCGAGCGUGUUGGGUUAUGUGGUGCACCCCCGCAGGGAAGUUUAUCUAUUCGAAUAGCCAUGUCCCUCGGUAAAAGGACGACUCGGAGUUGUACCUUGACCUUAUGACAACUAGAACUGGAUACUUAAUAAAACACACCCAGGCAAGUUCCAUAGACAACCUGGUGAUCGCUUUUCCACAGGGCGACGAGGGGAGGAUCGCCGGGUAGGAUGAUGCUAUGCAAUGCUACUUGGAGGACCUCAAUCUACUCCCUUCUACAUGCUGCAAGACGGAGGCUGCCAGAAGCGUAGUCUUCGAUAGGACUAGCUAUCCCCCUCUUAUGCUGGCAUUCUGCAGUUCAGUCCACCGAUAUUACCUCUUUACACAUAUACCCAUGCAUAUGUAGUGUAGAUCCUUGCUUGUGAGUACUUUGGAUGAGUACUCACGGUUGCUUUGCUCCCUCUUUUCCCCCUCUUUCCUUUUCUUCUUAGAUGCCGCCACCAGACGUUGGAGCCCAAGAGCCAGACGCCACUGUCGACGAUGACUCCUACUACACUGGAGGUGCCUACUACUACGUGCAGGCCGCUGACGACGACCAGGAGUAGUUAGGAGGAUCCCAGGCAGGAGGCCUGCGCCUCUUUCGAUCUGUAUCCCAGUUUGUGCUAGCCUUCUUAAGGCAAACUUGUUUACUUAUGUCUGUACUCGGAUAUUGUUGCUUCCGCUGACUCGUUUAUGUCGAGCACUUGUAUUCGAGCCCUCGAGGCCCCUGCCUUGUAAUAUGAUGCUUGUAUGACUUAUUUUACUUUUAGAGUUGUGUUGUGAUAUCUUCCCAUGAGUCCCUGAUCUUGAUCGUACAUGUUUGCGUGCAUGAUUAGUGUACGAUUGAAUCGGGGGCGUCACAAGUUGGUAUCAGAUCCGACUGCCUGUAGGAAUCCCCCUUCCACACUCCUUGGCUGAAGUCGAGUCUAGUCACUACAUAACUUUUACUAACUUGGCUGUGUGCCUUACGGGCCCACGUUGCCAUUGGGUGGUAUUAGGAUCUUUUACUUCUCGACCUUUACUCUGGGGCUUUGAACUCUCUUCUACUCAAGUUAAACGAAUUUACUAACUCUACCAUUAGGAUCCAGUUACCACAUUCACCCCAAAGUUGGAUAAGCCAUAGUUGUUCUGUAGGAUAGUAUUUUGAAUAAUGCCCACAUUGUCAUUUGACUCCAUUGAAACAUCUUUGUUUUCAGAUGGAACCCACGAGGCAGGUCGUGCGCCACACGGCGGCCAUUGGUGCCUCAAGAUCACCUGCUAUGCUAGCUAAGAUGAUGACCUAUCUGGGUUAUCGCUGGCACCCUGAGUACACCGUCUACGAGGAGUACGAGGACUUUAACCAGGAGCAGUACCGUGCCAUCGUCCACCUCUACUCUCGGGAGUAUGACUUCACUACUGUGCUGCACACCACUCAUGGUAUUGGAGUGACCAUCGAGAUGGCAGUCCACGAUGCUGCUUAUGCUGCUCUGACACAUCUUCGUGGAGAGUAUCGGGCGUUGGACACUUCCCCUUUCAGGCACAUUGCUAUCGCAUCUGACGUUGGUGCGGAGGGAUACUACACUGCUGCCUACUCCACCGUCACCCUAGAGCCCUUCCACCAUCAGAGCCUGGUUCUGCAUGCUGAUGGGCUGGACCGAGCUAACCGAGCUCUUCGCCACGAGUUGUACACCACUCGUCAGCACCUUUACAGGGCUCUGACGCUGUUGCACCCCUUUGUUAUAUCUAGACAGCUGCCGCGUUCUGCGAUCUACCCAGCUAGGACCGUGAUGCCCCACGGUGUCGGUUGGCCAGAGGUGGGAGGCUACUUUCCCGCACCUGGUCCUCUUCUGUCACCUGAGCGUCAGGUUCUACACCAGAGUAUCCGCGGCCCCUAGGCCGCUGACGUGGACUAUCCGUUGCCUCACUACCAGUUGUCAGGCUACGACUACCUACACAGUACCUCCUGGGACUGAUGUAGUCUUGCUCAUUAGUAUUAGAUGCAUUCACCAUGAGCCUGCGUGCCACCUAUGAUGACUUAGUCUAUGUACUGAACUCUAUGUACUGAACUCUAUGUUCGACCCCUUUUGUAAGUUAUGCCGACUACUAUGUAUUAUCUAUCGUGCUCCUUUCAUUAUGCAUGUUUCAUCAUGAAUGAUUCUUGUCUAUGCAAUUUCUCAAUGCUGAACUACCCAUGUUAUAUAUUAGCAGGAUGGUUAGACCAGGUGGUCGUGGUCGUGGCGGCAACGCCCCACCACCGCCUGAGUACAUGGCUGGUAUGGUCCAACAACUUGAGAUGAAUCGCCAGUUCAUGGAGAAUAUGAUGGCUCAGUUCCCUCGCCCCAAUAUGAACCAGUAGCCAACCCAAGUGACUCUGCAGGAUUUCAUGCGCCUCAACCCAACUGUAUACCGCAGCUCAACUCAGCCUCUAGAUGAUGAUGAUUGGCUCUGUGACAUCGCCUAUGAGAUGGAUUCUGCUGAUGUAGCCCCUGCCCGCUAUGUCACCUUUGCUUCCUUCUUCCUGAAGGGACCCGCAGCUCAAUGGUGGGACAGCCACAGGCGUACUCUGCCAGUUGGAACAAUCAUCACCUGGCCAGACUUUCAAGCUGCCUUCCGUGUCCGCUUCAUUCCUCAGGGGAUCAUGGACAGGAAGAAGCGUGAGUUCUGCAACCUCACACAGGGCAACAAAACUGUGGAAGCUUAUCAGCGGAAGUUUCUGGAAUUAUCCUGCUAUGCUGAAGAAGACAUUGCAACUGAUGCACGUAGACAGGAGUAGUUUUGCGAUGGACUACAAGCUGACAUCAAGCUCGCACUGGUAGUGCAUGACUUUGCCGAUUUCGCCACCUUGGUGAACAAGGCCAUCAAUGUCGAGACUGGUCUACAGGAACACCAGAGCUCUCACAGGCGCAACCGUGACACGGGCUCAUCUUCGGGCCCGCCCUCGCAGAAGCGUAAGAUGUGGAUCUCAAACAACAUGUCCGUCCAAAUGCACAUGCCCCAAGGCAGACCUAUGCUGCACCUCGUCUGCCUCCUCCAUCAUCUAGGCAACCAAGGCUUCUAGCUGCACCACCCCAAGCUCCUGUUCCCACUCCCAAUAAUGGUCUGUGCUACAAGUGUGGUCAAACAGGUCAUCGUGCCAGGGACUGCAAUCAAAAUCAGAAUCAACUGGCCCUUCCAGCAGCUGGCCGUGGUAACAAUCAUCCCCGCAACAACAAUGCCAAGUCUUAUGGUCGUGUUCAUGCCAACCACGUUGAUCAGAACGAAGCUCAAGACCAGCCUGCUACUGUGAUGGGUACACUCCUCGUAAAUUCAGUACCAGCAUCCGUUUUAUUUGAUACAGGAGCAUCACAUUCAUUAAUGUCAGAAGAUUUUGCAUUCAUGCAUAGCAUUAAAAGCGAAGACAUGAACGCUUUGCUAUUAGUACACACCCCUGCGGGCCAAUGUCGGACCUCCAUGAUUUGCAACGACAUCCCCGUCGAAAUCGAAGGACUGGAAUCCUUGUCUCUCCCAUCGUACUGAAGUCCUGUAGCAUUGAUCUCAUUCUGGGAAUGAAUUGGUUAAAGGCGCAUACUGCUUCUAUAGUUUGCGCCACUAAGACCAUCCAUCUGCUACACCCUUCUGAUGAAAUAAUUAGCUACAAUGCUCGUCUGGUUCAGAAUGCCGAGGCAAGGCUUUAUGCCUUGAAUGCAUCGAACGCUACACCACUCGAGGGCAUUGAAAAUAUUCCCGUCGUGCACGAAUUCCUCGACGUCUUUCCUGAAGAGCUUCCAUGGAUUCCCCCUGCCAGAGCUAUCGAAUUCAUCAUCGACUUGAAAUCAGGCACCACUCCUAUAGCCAAAUGGCCCUACAAGAUGCCGCCGCAUGAACUCACUGAGCUCAAGGAGGAAAUCGACAAAUCUCUUCGAAGUGGUUUCAUUCGCCCAAGUUGCUCUCCUUGGGGAGCACCUUCUCUCUUUGUCAAGAAGAAGGAUGGGACAAACCGAUUAGUCCAGGACAACCGUCCUAUAAACCAAGCUACCAUUCAAAAUAAAUAUCCUCUUCCUCGAAUCAAUGAUUUGUAUGAUCAACUGGCUGGUUUGUCAGUGUUCUCUAAACUCGACUUGAGGUUGGGUUACCACUAGAUCCGUGUUUGCGAAGAGGAUAUCCCAAAGACCGCAUUUGUGACUCGCUAUGGAUCAUACGAGUACACCGUCAUGUCUUUUGGAUUAACCAAUGCUCCAGCCACCUUCUCUCAUCUGAUGAACUAUAUCUUUAUGGAAUACCUCGACAAGUUUGUCAUGGUUUAUCUGGAUGAUAUCCUUGUAUAUUCCAAGAAUGAAGAAGAACAUGCUGAACAUCUUUAUCUUGUUCUGGAAAAGCUUAGAGAGCAUCAACUCUAUGCCAAGUUCUCCAAGUGUGAAUUCUGGCUUCUCGAAGUAACCUAUGUUGGGCAUGUCAUCUCCAAGAAUGAUGUUGCCGUCAACCCUGAGCGAGUUCAGGCUAUUCUCAAUUAGACUCCUCCGAAGAAUGUCAAGCAAGUCAGAAGUUUUCUCGGACUCGCCAGCUAUUGCCGUCGAUUUGUGGAGAUCUUCUCCAAGAUCGCUAGACCUCUGACUAACCUUCUUCAUAAGGGCGUCAAGUUUGAGUGGACAGAAAAUUGUCAGGAAAGUUUCCAGGCGCUCAAAGACAAGUUGACUUCUGCCCCAGUGCUUGCUCCUCCAGAUACUAAGAAGGAAUUCGUCAUUUAUUGUGAUUCUUCACGUCAAGGCUUAGGCGCUGUCCUAAUGCAAGAGCACAAAGUGAUUGCAUAUGCCUCUCGUCAGUUGUGCCCUCACGAAGAGAACUAUCCAGUUCAUGACCUCGAGCUUGCUGCUGUUAUUCGUGCACUAAAACAGUGGCGACAUUACCUUCUCAGUAAUCGUUGCGAGAUCUUCACCGACCACCAAAGUCUGAAGUAUCUGUUUACUCAACCAGACCUGAACCUCCGUCAGCAGAGAUGGAUGGAGAUUGUUGCAGAUUUUAACUUGGGCAUUUUGUAUACCCCAGGCAAGGCUAAUCUGACGGAUGAUGCCUUGAGCCGCAGGUCAUAUUGCAACCACCUCCAGGUUCACAAAGUUCAGCCCUCGCUUGUUGAAGAAUUCAUGAAGCUGAACCUCCAUAUUGUUCCUCCUGGUGUUCUCACUCCACCUCCUCCUGAGAGCCGCAAAAUGAACCUCCAUGUUGUUUCCCAGGGUUCUCUCAAUACCCUGGUUGCUAUACCAGAUCUCAUGGAAAGCAUCAAGACGCUGCAGAAGUAUGACUCUCAAGCCCACAAGAUUAAGCGCUACCUUGAAGAAGGAAAGCCCUCAUUCUUCACUAUUGAUGAUACUGACACUUUGUUCUUUAAAGGUCGCCUAGUGGUCCCUUCAAAAGAUAACCUGGAUAAGACUCAGGCGGUUAUGAAAGAAGCUCAUGAUACCCCUUUGUCUAUUCAUCCUGGUAGCACCAAGAUGUACCAAGACAUUCGUCAGAGAUUCUGGUGGUCUAAUAUGGAGCAAGACAUUGCUCGUUAUGUUGCUGAGUGUGACGUUUGUCGUCAUAUCAAAGCAGAGCAUCAAAGGCCUACUAGAACUCUGCAACCUAUCUCUAUUCCUGAAUGGAAAUGGGAGCAUGUUGAAAUGGACUUCGUCACUGGAUUCCCCAAAUCGCAGAAAGGUAAUGAUGCUAUUCUUGUUGUCAUUGACCAGCUUUCUAAAGUUGCACAUUUUUUGGCUGUCAAAGAAACGAUCACUGCUAGUCACCUGGCAAAACUCUACAUUUCCAGAAUUGUCUCGCUUCACGGUAUUCCAUUGGUAAUUAGUUCAGACCGUGGCAGUUUAUUCACUUCAAGAUUCUGGGCAAGUUUUCAAGAAGCUAUGGGGACUCAUCUGUCUUUCAACACUGCUUUCCAUUCUCAGUCGCAAGGGCAAGUUGAACAUGUCAACCAAGUUCUCGAAGACAUGCUUCGAGCUUGUGUUAUUUCCUUCGACAAGAAAUGGGAGGAAUCUCUCCCGUAUGCUGAUUUCUCUUAUAAUAAUAGCUAUCAAGCUAGUCUGAAGAUGGCCCCCUUCGAAGUGUUAUAUGGACGAAAGUGUUGAACCCCUCUGAACUGGUCAGAAAUUGGGGAACGUCCACUCUUCGGUCCGGAUAUUAUCCAACAUGCCGAAGAACAAGUCCGCAUUAUUCACGAGAAUCUCAAGACUGCUCAGUCGCUUCAGAAGAGUCAGUAUGACCAUCAUCAUAAGGACCUGAUCUAUCAAGCUGGCGAAAAGGCUUAUCUUCGAGUCACACCAAUGAAGGGUGCUCACCUCUUCGGGAUCAAGGGCGUAGAAGAGUGGCUUACCAACUGGAGCUUCCGCCAAACCUUUCUCAGGUCCACGAUGUGUUCCACGUGUCACAGCUCCGCCGUUGCUUCAAGGACCCAAUCGGAGCAGUGGAUCAUGAAGUGCUCGAAUUGCAACAGGACCUCUCUUAUAAAGAGCAUCCGGUCCGCAUUCUCGACCAAGCUGAACGCCGCACAUGUCAGAAAGCGAUCAAGUUCCUCAAAGUUUAGUGGUCGCACCAUUCUGAAGAUGAAGCCACUUGGGAACGUGAGGAUCGUCUGCGCGAAGAAUACCCCGCACUGUUUCCAUCUACCUCCUAAAUCUCGGGAUGAGAUUUCUUGUAAUGGAGGAGAGUUGUAAUGCCCGGAUAAUUAGGCUACAGUAAAACUCUCCUAAUGAUACCAUGUCAUCUCUGUUACUGUUGCUAAUCAAGUGUCAGUUCAAAACAUUUCAAAUUCAAAAAUGAAUUAGUGACAAACACCCAAAGUUUUGAAAAGUUGAAACAAAAAUGUUCGGACAGUGCCAAAUAUGGCAUAGGUAAUUAUGGUGUAGAAGACACAAUUUUAUAAAAUACUUAAAUGUCCUAAAUUAAAUAAAACAGAAAAGGAAAAGAAAUAAAAAAAAGNNNNNNNNNNNNNNNNNNNNNNNNNNNNNNNNNNNNNNNNNNNNNNNNNNNNNNNNNNNNNNNNNNNNNNNNNNNNNNNNNNNNNNNNNNNNNNNNNNNNNNNNNNNNNNNNNNNNNNNNNNNNNNNNNNNNNNNNNNNNNNNNNNNNNNNNNNNNNNNNNNNNNNNNNNNNNNNNNNNNNNNNNNNNNNNNNNNNNNNNNNNNNNNNNNNNNNNNNNNNNNNNNNNNNNNNNNNNNNNNNNNNNNNNNNNNNNNNNNNNNNNNNNNNNNNNNNNNNNNNNNNNNNNNNNNNNNNNNNNNNNNNNNNNNNNNNNNNNNNNNNNNNNNNNNNACGCCCUGUUCCCCCGAUCGCGCCAUGAACAGGAGGACCAGGGGCGCGUCCCCGUCGCACCACCUCGCCGACCCCACCGAGGGGAUAAGAUCGCCAGCGCCGCGCCUCCUCGGGUCUCCUCCCCACUCUACACCACGCUUCCUCGGCCUCUCCCUCUCCCCUCAGAUCCACCUUGCCACUCCUCCUUUUCCACCGCAUCCGAGCGUCGCCAUGGACUUGCCGCCGUAAAUCGCGCGGCCACAGCCAUCGCUUCGCCUCGCCAGCGUGCCCGUCGCCUCCACCAUCGUCUUCCUCGUCGACCGGUGGCCGCAACUGGAGCUCGGAGGCGCUGCUACGCGGUUCCCCUUCUUCCUCAUCUUUGGUCGCCGCCGCUCUUCACCAACUCCGGCGACGCUCCUCUGCGGCUACUAAACCACCACGGGCCAUCUUGCGUGCCGCACGGUGAGCUCCUCCGCCUCCUACCCCUCCUCGUUAAGCCCCUCGCGCACCGUAGCUACCUCGUCGCCGUUGCCGUGAGCCCAUCGCCGCGGAUCGCCUUGCUGCCGUGGCCAUGCUCUCCGUCGUGCUCGCCUGAGCACGGCAUUGUGUUCCUGGUGCUUCCAGGAACCCAACGCAACCGCGCAUGCGCUUCCCCGUGGCCCCCAGCCCCUAUCUCGAUUGAGUGCCCGAACGUGCCGCCGCACGCGCUCGUCACCGGCAACCGUCCGGUGACCCUUUGGUCCCGGGCUCGGGCCGUUGUGCUCGCGCGCGCACGUAGGCCUCGUCCCGCCCUUCUAUUUGACCAAUAGCGUGCCGCAUCGCCGAUGUUGUUACUCGCCCGAAACACCUCGCCGCUGGCGAGCUCGAAGCACUCGCCCCCGUCCGUUCCAACCCCUCUGGCCACCACCGUUCGACGCGCGACCCUUCCAAGCUGCGCCGCCGCAUUUGGCUCGUCGGAGUCAGCUCCGACGCGUCUCCGGCCGUGUCCAACGUGGCGUCCACGUGGCACCGCCUGGGUCACUGCCUGGUGGCCCCAGGGGCAUGGCUGGCCUAGUUGACCGUGGUCAACUUGCUGACUGGGCUGGUCCCAGCAGCUGACCAGUGGCCCCCCACCCUAUAAGCUAAUUAAAUUAGUUAAAUUAAUUAAUCUAGGCCAAUUAGUCACUGACUAAUGGGGCCCACACUUAGUUAGUUCUAAUUAGUUUAAAACAAAUCCUCUUUCACCUUUGUCUCAGUGACAGGUGGGUCCCACUGGACCCACAAGUUAGUUUUGACUCUAGUCAACCACAUUGUUGACUGCUGACAUCACACAUACGUCAUGCUGACAUCAUCCCAAUACUAUUCUGGAUAAUGUUGACUUAAAUUAAUUAAAUAAAUUCUAGAAAAUGAUUAAAACUUCAGAAACCCAUAGAAAAUAAACUGUAGCUCGGAUGAAAAUACUUUCUACAUGAAAGUUGCUCAGAACAACGAGACGAAUCCAGAUAUGCAGCCCGUUCGUUCACCACACACCCCUAACAUAUCGAACACGCAACUUUCCCCCUCCGAUUCAUUUGUCCAAAAACGCGAAACACCGGGAAUACUUUCCCAGAUGUUUCCCCCUCUCGUCGGUAUCACCUACUACCGCGUUAGGGCACACCUAGCACCACUCAUUGUCAUGCCAUGCAUCGUCAUGCUUAUGUUUGCAUUGUAUUUACUGUUUCUUCCCCCCUCUUCUCUCCGGUAGACUACGAGACCGACGCUGCUGCUGCCCAGUUCGGCUACGGAGUUGACGACCCCUCCUUGCUAGAGCAACCAGGCAAGCCCCCCCCCCUUGAUCACCAGAUAUCGCCUAUUCUUCUCUCUACUGCUUGCAUUAGAGUAGUGUAGCAUGUUAUUGUUCGGUUACUCCUAUUCUGUUGCAUAGCCUGUCAUUGUUGCUACAGUCGUUGAUACCUUACCCGCAAUCCUAAAUGCUUAGUAUAGGAAGCUAGUUUAUCAUCAUUGGCCCUACAUUCUUGUCAGCCUGCCUUGCUAUACUAUCGGGCCGUGAUCACUCGGGAGGUGAUCAUGGGUAUAUACUAUACAUAUAUACAUAGUAUACAGAUGGUGAUUAAAGUCGGGUCUGCUCGUUGAAUGCCCGCGAGUGAUUCACGGAGUGGGGGCUGAAAGGACAUUUGCCCUGACAGCCCUCUGUGUGGAUCUUUGUGGCGGAGCGACAGGGCAGGUUGAGACCACCUAGGCGAGAGGUGGGCCUGGCCUUGGUCGGCGUUCGCGGUUACUUCAUAAUAACACGCUUAACGAGAUCUUGGUAUUUGAUCUGAGUCUGGCCACUGGCCUAUACGCACUAACCAACUACACGGGAACAGUUAUGGGCACUCGGCGUCGUGGUAUCAGCCGAAGCCUUCGUGAUGUCAGCGACUGAGCGGCGCGCGCCUGUAGGACCUCGGAAUAUGUCUAGAGGGGGGGUGAUUAGACUACUUGACCAAUUAAAAACUUAACCUUUUCCCAAUUUUAGAGUUUGGCAGAUUUUAGCUAUCUUAGAACAAGUCAAGCAAUCAUCACACAAAUCAAGCAAGCAUGCAAAGAGUAUAUAGGCAGCGGAAAUUAAAGCAUGCAACUUGCAAGAAAGUAAAGGGAAGGGUUUGGAGGAUUCAAACGCAAUUAGAGACACGGAUGUUUUUGGCGUGGUUCCGAUAGGUGGUGCUAUCGUACAUCCACGUUGAUGGAGACUUCAACCCACGAAGGGUAACGGUUGCGCGAGUCCACGGAGGGCUCCACCCACGAAGGGUCCACGAAGAAGCAACCUUGUCUAUCCCACCAUGGCCGUCGCCCACGAAGGACUUGCCUCACUAGCGGUAGAUCUUCACGAAGUAGGCGAUCUCCUUGCCCUUACAAACUCCUUGGUUCAACUCCACAAUCUUGUCGGAGGCUCCCAAGUGACACCUAGCCAAUCUAGGAGACCCCACUCUCCAAGAAGUAACAAAUGGUGCGUUGAUGAUGAACUCCGUGCUCUUGUGCUUCAAAUGAUAGUCUCCCCAACACUCAACUCUCUCUCAUAGGUUUUGGAUCUGGUGGAAAGAAGAUUUGAGUGGAAAGCAACUUGGGGAAGGCUAGAGAUCAAGAUUCAUAUGGUAGGAAUGGAAUAUCUUGGCCUCAACACAUGAGUAGGUGGUUCUCUCUCAGAAAUGGUAAGUUGGAAGUGUAGGUUUGUUCUGAUGGCUCUCUCCACGAAUGAAGAGGAGGUGGAGGGGUAUAUAUAGUCUCCACACAAAAUCUAACCGUUACACACAAUUUACCAAACUCGGUGGGACCGAUUCAACAGACUCGGUCGGAGCGAUUCAAUAAACCUAGUGACCAUUAGGAUUUUCGGUGGGACCGACAUGCAACUCGAUAAGACCGAUUUGGUUAGGGUUAGGGCAUAACGUAAUCUCAGUAAGACUGAUCACACAAACUCGGUGAGACCGAUUUUGGUAAUAAGCUUUCCAGAGAGUUCGUCAGGUAAACUCGGUGGGACCGGUUUGCUCUUUUCGGUGAGACCGAAAUGUUAUAAAAGGGAAACAGAGAGUUUACAUUGCAAUCUCGGUGGGACCGAUCGCUCACUUCGGUUAGACCAAAACAUUACGAAGGGAAACAGAGAGAUUACAAUCCCAUCUCGGUGAGACCGAGAUCCCUGUCGGUAGGACCGAUUUGCGUAGGGUUUGUGGCAGUGGCUAUGACAUUAGAACUCGGUGGCGCCGGAUAGAAAGAAUCGGUGUGACCAAUUUUGGCCUUAGGUUUAGGUCAUUUGUGGAUGUGAGAAAGUAGUUGAGGGUUUUGGAGCAUAUCACCAAGCACAUGAAGCAAGAGGCUCAUUAAGCAACACCUCAUCCCUCCUUGAUAGUAUUGGCUUUUCCUAUAGACUCAAUGUGAUCUUGGAUCAGUAAAAUGUAAAAUGAAGAGUCUUGAGCUUUUGAGCUUGAGCCAAUCCUUUGUCAUUAGUAUCUUGAGGGAUCCACUUUCAUCAUCCAUGCCAUGCCAUUCAUUGAGCUUUCCUAAAAUAAUAGUCUUGAAAUAGUCAUUAGCUUAAUGAGCUAUAUGUUGUUAUGAAUUACCAAAACCACCUAGGGAUAGUUGCACUUUCAAUCUCCCCCUUUUUGGUAAUUGAUGACAACAUAUAGAUCAAAGCUUCGACAAAUGAUAAUAAGAUUGAAAAACAUCGUCGCUUUGAGAAGUAUGUGAUAAGAAAGAGCUCCCCCUAAAUUUGUGCAUAGUUUAGGAUUUGCUUUGGACUGCAAACGCACAAGGAAUUAGGCUCAUGGGUUACUCUUCCAUGUCACAUACAUCUUGGUGGAGCGCUCAAAAUGAUAAAGAUUGAAUACAUGCACUCAUCACCAAGCAAAGUGAAUGAUCACAUAUGGAUAGGUAAGAUAAUAUCAUCAAACAUGCAUAACUGUAGCUUAUGAUCAAACACAUGAUCAUCAAUGUCUCACAAAAAACAGCAUAGUAUCUCAAGCAAUCAAAAGCAAACAAAGUUUAACCACCAAAGCAAGAGAGAACAAAAGCAACACACUCUCUCUCUCUCGAAGCCUAUGAUCUAUACAUUUUUCUCCCCCUUUGGCAACAAGUUACCAAAAAGUUCAUAGAAAAUGCAUAGUGCUAGAUCGACUCUCAGGCUUGAUCUUCAGGUGGUGGUGUAGAGAUGGCUCCUUGGACGAAGGCUUCAGUUGAAGUGGAUGGAGCUGGAGGAGUUGGUGCUGGAGCUGGUUGCACUGGAGCUAUAGGAGCUGUAGCUGGUGCAGAUGAUGUGGCUCUGGUGUCUGUCACAGGCACUGCAGCUAACCUCUGAGCUCUAGGCACUCUGGCAAAUACAUUAGUGGUAGUCUUGCCCUUCCUCUCCUGCAUGUCAUCCUGUAGCUGCUCCACAACUGACUGAAUCUCAGUUACUUUGACAUCUAGAUCAUAGAAUUUUUGUUCCAUGAUUCUUUCCAAGCUCUCCUGAUUUUGAGUGAGGGUGGCCAAUCCCUUCUCAAUCCUCAGUGUUGAUGCUAUCAAGUAACCAAGCUGCUCCUGCUUGUUCUUCAAAAAGUACUCAGAUGCCUCCUCUUGAGUUGGCAUCUUGGCAACCUUCUCUUUCCUUGCCUUCUCCUUCUUCUCUUGAGCUUGUAUUGAUGAUGGUUCAUUCUCAUUCAUGACAACCUGAUUGUCUUCAAAGUAAGUUCCUGUGCCCAUCUUUGAGUUAAUCAACUUCUGAAUCUGUGGGGCAUAUCCACAACUUCUCUUUUGGUCUGCUGCAGUCCUCUUAAUGGUCUCAACCAUAAGGCUCAUGACCUUGAAUUUCUGUGGCACAUCAAACAAAUGCAGCAAGUUGAUAGCAUGCCCUCUAAUCAUGUUGUGGUCACCUGACUUGGGCAACAGAGUGUGCCUUAGGAUCCAGUUGAUUGUUGGCAGCCCUGACAGAAGAAAGUGGACUGACCCAAACUUGAAAGUCUCAAGAGCUUUGUUUGGGAUCUCCUUGUACAUAUGAGACAUGGUAUUGUGGUCCAUCUUCUUCUUGGCAUAGACAUCCAAGUCAUCUUCACUCUCCUUUGGGGCAUUGAUCAGACUGGCCCAUUCCUCAAUUGUUGACUGGUACCUUGUAGCUUCAGACAUCCAAACUAUCCUGCCAUCUGGAUAGAAGUGUGUUGUGGAGUAGAAUUGCAUAAUGAGCUCAUCAUUUCACUUUGUGAGCUUCUGCCCAACAAAGUCUGCAACUCCACAAGCAACAAAGCUGUCUUGCACUCCAGGAUAGUGUUCUUCAUUUUCUUUCAUGUAGGUCCAGUCGACCCACCUCAUAUCACACACUAUGGGCUUCUUGUCCAACAGUACUGUCUCAUAGAAGUCCUGCUGUUCCUUAUUGUGGAACCUGUAAUCAAUAGUAGUUCUUCUCCUGAUGGCAUAUGGGUCUGUCAGCCUCCACAAUCUGAGUCCUGCAUCCUUUCUUAACUUCAUAUUCUCAGCCACAGGAUGAGCAUCAUUGUGGUCUGGAAUCUUGGGCUUGAGCUUUCUAAGGACUUGUCCUUCUUCAUCUUCCUCAUCAGCAACUUCAGGCACUGGGGCCUUGUUCUUCUCAGCAGCUGGAAUACUCCUAGUAUUCCUCUUUAGUACAAGCUUGGGCUUGGGGGCAGCUUUGGGUGCUUCCUUGGGUUUUGAUGUUGCAGCCCCUGACUUUAUAGCAUCACCCAUAAGCUUUUGUGCCUUGGGUGCUGGUGCAGCAACCUCUUCUUCCUCUUCAGAGUCUCUCCUCAUUGAGGGAUUUCCAAGAACCUGGGCAGUAGUGGUUCUGGCUCUCUUCUUCUUAUCCUGAGCAGCAGCUUCAUCUUCUGAUUCCAUGGUAAACUUCAUAGUUUCUCCAGUGGGAACUUUCUUGGUUUUGGAAGUUGUGACUCUCUUUGCACAUGCCUCUUUGGGUUCAGUCUUUUCAGGCACUUGAGUAGAUCCUCUGACCUUCAUCAUAGGUGUCCUCUUGGCAGGAACCUUCCUAUUGAGUCCAGGUUUAGUGUUCUUUGCUGAGGCAUACUCCUUUUUGAGCACUACCUUCUUGGAGGUAGCCUCAUCCUCUUCUGCUCUAUAAUCCUCAUCCUCAGAAUCUGAGGUUCUCUUCUUCCUUGUCCUGGUGGCAGCUUUAGGCAGAUUGCUUGGGGUGCUCCUGCUGCCUUCAUCUGAAGUGCUAGAGGGACUAGUGCCCUCACUCAUGUGAUUGUGCUCUUCUGACCUGUUCUGACUAUCACUUUGGUCUGACAUGCUGCAAAUCACUGACUGCUGACCCUGUGAAGAGUUAUAGAUAAGAUAGAGUGGAUGAGCAUCACAAAAUGUAGAGAUUUUUGCAAAAGAAUGAUUCAAAAAUUUAGUUUUAGUUUUCCACAGAAAGCAUUUCGGAUCAACCGAUUUUCAAACUCGGUGAUACCGAAGCAGUUUUGGAACCUAAACUGAUGAACUCGGUUGGACCGAGUCAUAGUUCGGUGGCACCGAGGCUGCUAGGGUUUCACAAAGUCCUAAAAUCGGUCUCACCGAUUAGCAAUUCUCGGUCAGACUGAGAGUUACUAGUGCAAUGGCGUUAGCCAAAUCGGUGGGACCGAGUUUUUCAACUCGGUGGGUCCAAGAUGGUUUCGGCGGAAACCUAACCCUAAAUUUUCGAAUCCCAUCUAAUCUAAGGAUUGCUUGACUGGAUAGGAGUGUUUCAAUCGUGGCAAGAAUCAUUAAGAACACAAUGUGCUAGGAAUCGGACGAGGAUAGCAUAGUGAUCGAGUCCAUACCCUAGCUUGGCGAUGAACUCGCUAUGGCGGCAACAGCGGGGGUAAAUUCCAUUGACGGCGGUGGAGACCAGCGACAGGAGGCGGCUGGCGACAAGGAGACGAUCUGGAGACCCUGAUGGCAGAGCGAGCUAUUGCGUGGGCGAAGAGGUUCGGAGAAAUUUCCAAAUUUUUGCCCGUGAGUAUAUAUAGCCCGACCCUGUCGGUGUGACCGAGUGGAACAACUCGGUGGCACCGAGAUGCAUAACUGUGUACAGUUACAGCAACUCGGUGUGACCGAAAAGUUCAAAUCGGUUGCACCGAGAUUGAAAACCUAGAUCGACUUAGUGAUCUCGGUAGGACCAAAAUGGAGGAAUCGGUCAGACCGAGAAUCACAAAGAAGUUUUGGAAGUUUAAGUCUAUGACGAAUCGGGGACUUCGAGUGCUCCUCACACAGAGUGGUUCGUAUCUGACUUGAUCAAAUUUUGUGAUGUAGCAUGAAUAGAGUUUGAGACGAGAAAAGCAUAGAUAGCUAGAGAAGGUUCUUAGGCAUUCUUGUCCAUCCACUUGGCAAAAAGAAAAAGAAGCCAAUCACUCAAAACAACAAGUGGAUGUCCUUGAAUGAGUAAAAUAUGCACCAACAUGCUCACACAAUAAGAUGGCAAAUGAAAUAUGUGGCAAAACAUGCACAACCAAUUCUAGCAUCUAUCAAACAAUUGGCGAUGACUAGGUCAUCUAUAUAUGAGUAUAUUGACUUAGGAGUCAAAUGAAAACAUUUGAUCAUAGGUCAUACUCAUCGUUUAAGCUCAAGUGGGGUUACCACUUUUACAUAAUGCAUUGAUGUGUUCACACCAUUAGAGUUGCUUUGACUCAGUUCUUAGAGUUAAGCUCCCCCUAGAUGUGAGAUCCCCUUUUAGAGGGAUGAACUAACCUUGGGUUUUGUCGAUGAUGACUUCAUGUAGGUGUUGAAGAUGUGGAUGCUCAAUGUUGAUGUAGAUCAUUUGGAGCAAUCCUUUGGAGCGAGUUGCACUUUCAACUUACCUACAUGGGUUAGUCCCACAAGGAACAAAGAAGAAUAUCCAUAGACAUAGAGUGAUGCACACACAAGAUGAUGUCCAUGAAAUCAUUAGGUUACCUUGUCCCUUGCCUUACCAACAUGAGGGUUUGUGACUCCUUGAACUAGUGCAAUAUGUGGAAGUUGAUUGCACUUGUUCUUGCCAUAAUGAUAUGAGUGAAGAAUGUUGGCGGAGUCACCCUCAAGAACUCUCUAGUUCUUCUUCUUUGGGAUCCACAUCAUCUUGAUGGGAAUCCUUGGGGUUGUAGUUGUACUUGAUGAAGUAGAACUUGACGUAGUCUUGGGAACCCACUUGACCGAGGCUUUAGGUGCUUCUUCAAAUGCAUCGAUCUCUUCUCGAAGCUUGUCCUUGCCUUUGUUCUUGUGGUCUUGUGGUGGAAGAUCAUCUUGUGCUUGUGUUCCUUUGAAGGAAGUAGGAUCAUACUUCUCUUGUUGAGGAACAAACUUCGUCUUGGGGUAUUGAUCUUCUUCCCACUCAACUCCAUUGGCAUUGAACUUUCGUUCAAAACCAACACCUUGAUUCUUCCGGUGCCUUCCUUGCUUGCGUACAAUUUCCUCGAAUUGCUUACUCCCGGCAAGGCUCUUGUAAACACCUUUCUCUAUAAUUCCCUUCAAUAAGCUAUUUUCUUGCUCAAGUGUAACUUGGCUAAGAGAAUCAUUAGUGGAAUCAAGAGAACUACUAGAAGCAACAAUAUUGGAUUUGACAUUAUUAUUGUUACUACUAGAGGAAGGAUCUUUCUUGUACUUGUUACUAGACUUGACUUGAGGCAUGUAAGUAGAUAAGAGUAAAUGCUUGGCAAUGUAAGAAGAACUUUUCUUACGGAGAUCAUCAUUGAUUGCUUUUAAGAACUCAUGCUCUUGCUCAAGAUUGAGCUUUUCAAAGCGUAAGUUCUCAUGAGCCCUUAAAAGUUCUCGAUGAUCUUCGAAGAUAGUUUCAUGAGCUAACUUAAGAGUGUUUAGUUCUUUAGUUAGAAGCUCAAUCUUCUCCUUAUCAUUGUCAUUCGUUUUAUCUUGAUUAGCAUGAUUUAUUGACGUUUCAUCAUAGUAUUCAUCACUAGAGUUGUCAACAAGUAAAUCAUCAUCCACAAGUAAGUCAUCUUCAUCACUAUUGAAAUCAACAUACUCAGGAUGUGUUACCUUUGGACCUUUGGCCAUGAAGCAUCUUCCAAUUCCUUCAUUUGGUGAAUCAAAUAUGUCAUAGGAGUUGGUUGACACAAGUGCUAGACCGGAAACACCUUCAUCUUGAGUAUAUUCGAAAUCGGAGUGAUAGCUUCUCUCAGAGUGAUUGUCGGAGUCGGAGCCGGAUACCCAUUCACCAACAUGAGCUUGAUGUCUUCGUUUUGUGUAGCUCCUUGAUGACUUGUCCUUCCUUUCCGAAUCCUUGCUUCUCCGUGAGGGUCUUCAUUCAUAACGAUCAUCUCUACACCUCCUCUCUCUCGGUGGUGAUUCUUCUCUUUUGCUUCUUCUUUUUGGAGAAUCUUCUCUUCUUUUGUAGGGUGCCAUACACUCAUUGGAAUAGUGUCCGGGUCUCCCACAAUUGUAGCAAUUUCGCUCUCGACUAGAAGAUCUUUUGUCAUUGUAAGACCUUGACUUGGAGCUUCUUUCCUUGCUUCUACUCUUGUAGAAUUUGUUGAAGUUCUUCACCGUUAAGCUCAAUUCUUCAUUGAAGGUUUGUUUCUCACUUGAUGAUGUGGGGGAUUCACUUGAGGCUUUGUAAGCACCACUUGACUUGUUGUGAAGUUCCUCCUUAUCCUUAAGUGACAUCUCAUGAGCAACAAUUCUUCCAAUGACUUCGGUUGGCUUGAGAUAUUUGUAAUUUGGCAUCAUUUGGAUCAAUGUGCACACGGUAUCAUACUUUCCAUCCAAUGCUCUUAGGAUCUUCUUGAUGAUGAAUCUGUUGGUCAUCUCUUCACUCCCUAAGCCGACAAUCUCAUUUGUGAUAAGAGCAAGCCUAGAGUACAUUUCAGCGACACCUUCACCAUCCUUCAUUUUGAACUUGUCAAGCUGACUUUGGAGCACAUCCAACUUGGAUUCCUUGACGGAGUCGGUACCUUCAUGCAUAACAAUCAAAGUAUCCCAAAUUUCCUUUGCAUUCUCAAGACGGCUGAUUUUGUUGAUUUCUUCGAGGCACAAUCCGUUGAAGAUGAUAUCACAAGCUUGAGCAUUGUAUUGCAGCAUCUUCAAUUCUUCUGCAUUAGCUUCACGGUUAGGCUCUCUCCCAUAAAAGAAUUCACCUUGCAAGCCAAUACAAAUAAUUUCCCAAACGGCGGGGUUAUGCCCGAGAAUAUGCAUUUUCAUCUUAUGCUUCCAACUAGCAAAAUUAGUACCAUCAAAGUAAGGACCUCUACGGUGAUAAUUUCCCUCACUAGACGCCAUACUCUCCUAGGUUGUGAAACCAAGGCUAUGACCACCAAAAGCUAUGGAAAUCAAAGCAAAUGGAGACCAAAGCUCUGAUACCACUUGUAGGACCUUGAAGUAUGUCUAGAGGGGGGGGGUGAUUGGACUACUUGACCAAUUAAAAACUUAACCUUUUCCCAAUUUUAGAGUUUGGCAGAUUUUAGCUAUCUUAGAACAAGUCAAGCAAUCAUCACACAAAUCAAGCAAGCAUGCAAAGAGUAUAUAGGCAGCGGAAAUUAAAGCAUGCAACUUGCAAGAAAGUAAAGGGAAGGGUUUGAAGGAUUCAAAUGCAAUUGGAGACACGGAUGUUUUUGGCGUGGUUCCGAUAGGUGGUGCUAUCGUACAUCCACGUUGAUGGAGACUUCAACCCACGAAGGGUAACAGUUGCGCGAGUCCACGGAGGGCUCCACCCACGAAGGGUCCACGAAGAAGCAACCUUGUCUAUCCCACCAUGGCCGUCGCCCACGAAGGACUUGCCUCACUAGCGGUAGAUCUUCACAAAGUAGGCGAUCUCCUUGCCCUUACAAACUCCUUGGUUCAACUCCACAAUCUUGUCGGAGGCUCCCAAGUGACACCUAGCCAAUCUAGGAGACACCACUCUCCAAGAAGUAACAAAUGGUGCGUUGAUGAUGAACUCCUUGCUCUUGUGCUUCAAAUGAUAGUCUCCCCAACACUCAACUCCCUCUCAUAGGUUUUGGAUCUGGUGGAAAGAAGAUUUGAGUGGAAAGCAACUUGGGGAAGGCUAGAGAUCAAAAUUCAUAUGGUAGGAAUGGAAUAUCUUGGCCUCAACACAUGAGUAGGUGGUUCUCUCUCAGAAAUGGUAAGUUGGAAGUGUAGGUUUGUUCUGAUGGCUCUCUCCACGAAUGAAGAGGAGGUGGAGGGGUAUAUAUAGUCUCCACACAAAAUCUAACCGUUACACACAAUUUACCAACCUCGGUGGGACCGAUUCAACAGACUCGGUCGGACCGAUUUAGUAAACCUAGUGACCGUUAAGAUUUUCGGUGGGACCGACAUGCAACUCGGUAAGACCGAUUUGGUUAGGGUUAGGGCAUAUCGUAAUCUCGGUAAGACCGAUCACACAAACUCGGUGAGACCGAUUUUGGUAAUAAGCUUUCCAGAGAGUUGGUCUGGUAAACUCGGUGGGACUGAUUUGCUCUUUUCGGUGAGACCGAAAUGUUACAAAAGGGAAACAGAGAGUUUACAUUGCAAUCUCGGUGGUACCGGUUGCUCACUUCGGUUAGAUCGAAACAUUACGAAGGGAAACAGAGAGAUUACAAUCCCAUCUCGGUGAGACCGAGAUCCCUAUCGGUAGGACCGAUUUCCCUAGGGUUUGUGGCAGUGGCUAUGACAUUAGAACUCGGUGGCGCCGGAUAGAAAGAAUUGGUGUGACCGAUUUUUGCUUUAGGUUUAGGUCAUUUGUGGAUGUGAGAAAGUAGUUGAGGGUUUUGGAGCAUAUCACCAAGCACAUGAAGCAAGGGGCUCAUUAAGCAACACCUCAUCCCUCCUUGAUAGUAUUGGCUUUUCCUAUAGACUCAAUAUGAUCUUGGAUCACUAAAAUGUAAAAUGAAGAGUCUUGAGCUUUUGAGCUUGAACCAAUCCUUUGUCAUUAGUAUCUUGAGGGAUCCACUUUCAUCAUCCAUGCCAUGCCAUUCAUUGAGCUUUCCUGAAAUAAUAGUCUUGAAAUAGUCAUUAGCUUAAUGAGCUAUAUGUUGUUAUGAAUUACCAAAACCACCUAGGGAUAGUUGCAUAUCAGCGCCGGAUUGGACCGUAAGCCUACUCUUGUAUUAAGGGGGCUAGGUCUGCUUCUGGCUGCCCUCGCAACGUGGAGGUGUGCAAUGGGCGAUGGGCCCAGACCCCUGCGCGCAUAGGAUUUAGACCGGCGUGCUGACCUCUCUAUUGUGCCUUGGUGGGGCUGCGACGUGUUGAUCUUCCGAAGCCGGGCAUGACCCAGGAAAGUGUGUCCGGCCAAAUGGGAUCGAGCGUGUUGGGUUAUGUGGUGCACCCCUGCAGGGAAGUUUAUCUAUUCGAAUAGCGGUGUCCCUCGGUAAAAGGACGACCCGGAGUUGUACCUUGACCUUAUGACAACUAGAACCGGAUACUUAAUAAAACACACCCAGGCAAGUUCCACAGACAACCCGGUGAUCUCUUUUCCACAGGGCGACGAGGGGAGGAUCACCGGGUAGGAUUAUGCUAUGUGAUGCUACUUGGAGGACCUCAAUCUACUCUCUUCUACAUGCUGCAAGACAGAGGCUGCCAGAAGCGUAGUCUUCGAUAGGACUAGCUAUCCCCUUCUUAUUCUGGCAUUCUGCAGUUCAGUCCACCGAUAUUACCUCUUUACACAUAUACCCAUGCAUAUGUAGUGCAGAUCCUUGCUUGCGAGUACUUUGGAUGAGUACUGACGGUUGCUUUGCUCCCUCUUUCCCCCCUCUUUCCUUUUCUUCUCGGAUGCCGCCACCAGACGUUGGAGCCCAGGAGCCAGACGCCAUCGUCGACGACAACUCCUACUACACUGGAGGUGCCUACUACUACGUGCAGGCCGCUGAUGACGACCAUGAGUAGUUAGGAGGAUCCCAGGCAGGAGGACUGCGCCUCUUUCGAUCUGUAUCCCAGUUUGUGCUAGCCUUCUUAAUGCAAACUUGUUUACUUAUGUCUGUACUCAGAUAUUGUUGCUUCCGCUGACUCGUUUAUGUCGAGCACUUGUAUUCGAGCCCUCGAGGCCCCUGCCUUGUAAUAUGAUGCUUGUAUGACUUAUUUUACUUUUAGAGUUGUGUUGUGAUAUCUUCCCGUGAGUCCCAGAUCUUGAUCGUGCACGUUUGCAUGCAUGAUUAGUGUACGAUUGAAUCGGGGGCAUCACAACGCCCCCCUGCCAUAUAUAACUGAGGGGGAAGGAAAGAGGGGGGGAGAAGGAAGUGGGAAUCCUAAUCCACACUUUCCUUUCCCUUCCCCCUUUCCUUCUCCUCCUUAGGCCGACCUGAUAUGGGGGCGCACCAGCCCCUUGUGGCUGGUGCGUUUCGUCUCUUGGCCCAUAAGGCCCAUAUCUUUGCUGGGGGUGCCCAAAACUCCUUUCCGGUGACCUAAUAAGUACCCGGUAUCCUCCGAAACACUUCCGGUGUCUGAAUACCAUCGUCCUAUAUAUCAAUUGUUACCUCUCGACCAUUUUGAGACUCCUCAUCAUGUCCGUGAUCUCAUCCGGGACUCCGAACAACAUUCGGUCACCAAAUUACAUAACUCAUAUAACAUUAUAUCGUCAACGAACGUUAAGCGUGCGGACCCUACGGGUUCGAGAACUAUGUAGACAUGGAGAUACGUCUCCGAUCAAUAAUCAAUAACGGAACCUGGAUGCCCAUAUUGGCUCCUACAUAUUCUAUGAAGAUCUUUACUGGUCAAACCGUUAUGACAACAUACGUAAUUCUCUUUGUCCAUCUUCAUACCUAGUUUAAUCUCGUUACCGGCAAGUCUCUUUACUCGUUCCGUAAUACAUCACCUUGUGACUAACUCCUCUGUCAUUUGCUUGCAAGCUUAUGAUGUGUAUUACCGAGAGGGCUCAGAGAUACCUCUCCAAUACUCAGAGUGACAAAUCCUAAUCUCGAUCUAUGCCAACUCAACAAACACCUUCGGAGAUACAUGUACAACAUCUUUAUGAUCACCCAGUUACGCUGUGACGUUUGAUAGCACACAAGGUAUUCCUCCUGUAUCCAGGAGUUGCAUAAUCUCAUUGUCGAAGGAAUAUGUAUUUGACAUGAAGAAAGCAAUAGCAAUAAACUGAACAAUGAUUAUGCUAAGCUAAACGGUUGGGUCUUGUCCAUCACAUCAUUCUCCUAAUGAUGUGAUCCCGUUAUAAAAUGACAACACAUGUCUAUGGUUAGGAAACCUUAACCAUCUCUGAACAACGAGCUAGUCUAGUAUAGGCUUACUAGGGACACGGUAUUUGUUUAUGUAUUCACACAUGUAUUUAAGUUUCUGAUCAAUACAAUUCUAGCAUGAAUAAUAAUCUUUAUCAUGAAUAAGGAAAUAUAACAUACAAUAACAACUUUAUUUUUGCCUCUAAGGCAUAUUUCCUUCAGGACCAACACGGCAGCCAACAUCUCCUCAUCAUCGGAUGAGGAAUCGUUGGAGUCGCAUAGGAAAUUGUGGAAAAAGAACUCAUCGGUGGAGUCCAUUUUGUACCUUGGCAAACUGUCGAACAACUUGGGCGUCGACAAAGAAGCUGGCCUACGAAGAGAAGAGAAACAUGCCUCCCUUGGACCAGGUGGCUGGCCUGGCGGUGUCCGACGAGCGUGCCAGCGUCAGGACAACGGGUGGUGUCGGACGAAGAGCUGGCCAGGGUGGGGGAGGCGGCUUCUUGCUUGCGGCGAUGUCGGAGUGUGGGUGGGAAGCUUUCGGUGCCCCGGAAGUGAGGCGGUUGUGCCGGCGACGUGGGCGGUGGCGGCGUUGGGGGGAGGUGUGUCAACACAGGCUGCUGGCAGAGGCANNNNNNNNNNNNNNNNNNNNNNNNNNNNNNNNNNNNNNNNNNNNNNNNNNNNNNNNNNNNNNNNNNNNNNNNNNNNNNNNNNNNNNNNNNNNNNNNNNNNNNNNNNNNNNNNNNNNNNNNNNNNNNNNNNNNNNNNNNNNNNNNNNNNNNNNNNNNNNNNNNNNNNNNNNNNNNNNNNNNNNNNNNNNNNNNNNNNNNNNNNNNNNNNNNNNNNNNNNNNNNNNNNNNNNNNNNNNNNNNNNNNNNNNNNNNNNNNNNNNNNNNNNNNNNNNNNNNNNNNNNNNNNNNNNNNNNNNNNNNNNNNNNNNNNNNNNNNNNNNNNNNNNNNNNNNNNNNNNNNNNNNNNNNNNNNNNNNNNNUAUGGGUGGAAGAGGAUGGCCAAUGUGCCACCGACUAGCGGGCCAAGGGAAGGAGUAGGCGCGCGUCGCGUGCGUCCGCUUUGUGUCCGCGCAGACGCAAUCAGGCACAAAAUUGGGCCGGGAAUGGGUCGGCAGGUGGACGAAAAGCGGACGCGUGUCCGUUGUGGGUCGGCGCAUUGGGCCGACUUUUUUGUCCGCGUCGACCCAAACGGGCGCGCGCGGACGAAAUGGGUCAGCGCGUUGGAGUUGCUCUAACCACCGUGCCAACACGAUGUUGCUAAAUAAAUCUAGUUCAUUACCAAUUUAUCGGGACGUUAAUAUUUCUUUUGCGGGACGUUAACGUUUUGAAUUCAAAAAACUUGGAUAUAACCACAUGGGAUAGUGUUGCAAAUUGGAAAUGUUCUUGAAGGUUUCUUUAUCACCAUUUUGAUUUUAGGCUACAUGUUAUUAAAAUUUACUGGAAAAGUUGAUGAAUUGAGGAUUCAAGGACUAGAAAAAGUGUUCUGUUUUUAGCGACCUUUUUGCGGUUGUGUCUCUUGUGGAACCGCACAGAGAGAUUGAUUGGGAGAGAUCACACAUGAUCAUCUAGGAGAAGGAUCACAUUGUACUUGCAAUCUUGUGUUUGGGGUCCUUGCCAAGUUCUCAGACCUUUCUAUAAUUUUUCCCUUUAGGUAUUUGGGUUAGCUGAACAAUGCUUCCUGAAAUAUUGUAAAGCAACUCUAUAUCCUUGGGGCCUCUCUUACGUCCAAAAGAAAUGGAAAAGAGCAAGGAGCGGAAUUGGGCUGCCUCACGAAGGUGGAUGUGUGGGUGCACUUGCAGAAAUCUGUGACAUUCACGACAUCCGACACUCUGAGGACCCCAAGCAUCUAGUUGCUGCCCGGACGUCCGAAAACCUACCACACCCUGCUUGCCCUGCCUUCACCCCGUUUCGAGGUCGCCACCCCAAAUUUCCCCGCCUAUCAUUCAAGCUCCAAUGCUGCAUGGGCCAGCCAUCCUGCAGCCCACGCUGUACUACAAAAACAUCCACAAUGCAUGAUCAUCAUACCGAAACUCGAGACCGCUGCCCGGCCUCCAUUGUCAACUAACCACUCUUCAGGUCAUUUCAAUCGAUGGUAGCUCAGCAACCGCCGCAAAAGAGUGGCCACUCAACGAUGGAGGGCUAUACUGAAAAUGUUCAUUGUUGAAUGUGAACCUACAAAUUGUAGGCCGUUGGAGGGCUAUACUGAAAAGAGGCAUAACAACUUUGUGGUGAUGCCACGUAUAUCACUAGGGUUAUGGUGAUCUAAUAAAAACUAGGGCUAUGCCUAUCGAAUAAAAACUAGGGUUAUGCAAGUUUAUUUCACUGAAUUUCAGUUCAAGAGAUUGCACACAGAGUCAUAUUAUUUCUGUUUUAUUGACAACGGUGAUAAAUGUGGUCAUGAAAUUAUGCAAAUGGAUAGCUCAUGAUGUUACUGAAAGGACAUCAGCCGCUAAUAAGGGUUUUGGUGUUAAUGACAAUAGUGAUUCGACGACUAACUAUGUUUCGAGCAUAUUUGAGUUUACACAUCUAUGAAAAUGAAACAUAUUGUAGGUUGGCAACCCCCAAGCUUAAAGGACAAGAAGACGACAUGCCAAAUUGCACCGAUGAUUUAUCAUUUUUGAGUCAUAGGUACACCACACUAUAAAGAGGGGAUGCAGAUGCACCUUGGAUCAAGUGUGGGAAUCACUGAAACUUUUAUAGCCAAAUACACCCACAUCCUAUGAGAGAAAAAGCACAAAUGAUUAAAUUUAGUUUGCCUUCGUAUUGACAGUCAGGACCAAGUCGGAGUAUCCGACCUAUGUCGGACUAUCCGACGUGGUGUCAGACUUUGUUCAGUGCUCUGGAUAAGGCACACUGGGUCGAAAACUAGCCGAGACUACCCGACAAGUCAGAAUGUCCAACUUAUGUCUGACUUUUUUAGGUUGUGUGCAUUACGGGCAAAUAUUUGUGGCUACUAUAUAAACCACCCUUCUCCAAGGGGGGAGGGGGGGGGGAGUGGGUGACGAUUUCAUUCCUCUUUCCUCCACUGAUUCAAAGCUUACACCUUUGGUUCCUCCCUCUCUAGCCAAUCAAUCCACACCAUUUUAGGGAGACAAGGAGAACACCUGAUCUACAAAUCUAUCCAAGAAAAACUCAAGUUCGUUCGUUCCUAGUAAAUCUUUGUACUCUUGGUUUUGUGGGAAACCCUAGAUGGUUGUGUUACUCGGGAGCUUCCAAGUCGUGUGAUUGUAGCCCGGGCUCGUUUGUGAGUGUUUGGAGCUCGCGAAGAGCUACUCCUAGUGGAAGGGAACCUAAGCAUUCAUUGUUUGUGGUUCUCGGGGAACAAGGUGAGACAUUUGGUGUCGUGGGAGUAUUCGUUGUUCCCCACUCUCCAAUAAAGAUUAGCACACCCCCAAGUGUGUGAACUUCGAAUUACAUCCUUGUCUCCACCACUUUCAGUUGUCUCUUAACCCUAGCUUAACUUGUUGUUUUACUUUCUUGUGUGUUACCUUGUGUAACUUACUAGCUUGUCGUAACUCAUCAUAUAGGGUUCUAUCACUCUAGUUGCAUUUCUAGAGAACUUAUAUUUCUGCCCUUGACUAUAAAAAGCAACUAAGAAAAUAAUUUAAUUUGGUAGUCGUCUAUUUAACCCCCCCCCCCCCUCUCUCUCUAGUCGACAUUAUCGACAUCUUUGAUCCUUCAAUUACAUCUCCAAAUUCAAUCAUUUAUGUGGGGACAUUUAUUUUGGGUGUUGGGGGUCCGUAAAGAUCUCUAAGUCAAUUACCCCAAACCUCUAUCGGCACACUGAAAAUUCCAAAUUCCAGAUAGAGAUCUGGUCAAAAUCAGAGCAACACAUAGCUUUUGCCAUAUUACGCAAACCUCGUUUAGAGAAGGAAACAUUUCACUAAAAGCCUCGUCUCCUACACUUCAAUGAGAGGUAUAUGUGCAGGAAACUAGAGUAGAAGAGUGUUUUCGUUUGACAUGCCUAAAAAGGCAUAAGGUUGACACACAAGAAUGGUUCCAAAUGAUUUUUGCAAAGACCAACAGGAACACUGCUGCCAGUAUAUUCAUGUAGCUUUUAUGUGACACAUGAAAUUUACAGUAUUUAUGUCUUUGUUCACGUGUAUCCUGCAAGGACUAUAAGGCAGGGGGUUUCAGUAAGGGACAGGGAUACGAACUGAGGGGGGACCAGAUCUCAUGUCCUCAAGAAUAAGGCUGAAAAGUGUUUGAGCAAUUGGGCCUUCUUUACCUGUGAAGGAACAUGGAAAGCAAUUGGCAUUUGGCAGAUGUUGGAGUUUGCAGUAAACCAUGAAAUGUUUUAAAGAAAGUUGACAUGAUUAAAACUAGCUAACUGAAUUUUAAGAAAGAAUUCUUCUUACCGGAGCCAAUCAUCUGAUCAUCCCACUGAACAACAGGUUUGACAAGAAUUCCACUCCCAAUGAGCAUCAUCUCGUCGGCCUCCUUCCCUUCCUGGACACUCACAUUCCUUGAAGAUAUCCCACUGAGCAUUCCAUUCUCCACUAGCUGCUCGGCAAGGGCCAGAACCCGUUUUGCCGUGCACCCACUCAGGAUCUUGUCGAAGCGGGGCAUGAGAAGUUCCUUGUUCGGUGUCACAAAGCCAACAUUCAUGUUUGAACCCUCAGCAACGAAAUCCUCAUCAUCCAACCAGAUGCCGGUAAACCCACCAUUUUCCUCACCUUCCAGCUUGGUGAGUGCAUUCGGCAGGUAGUUUACAUUUUUCAUGACCGCAAACUGUGGAGACUUUACCGGUAUGGAUGAUGUAAUCACUUUGCAGCCCGACGGUUCUGGCAAAGAUGGACUUUCAAUGACAACAGCGUAGAGAGCUGGGUUUCUACAGCCAGAUGAAGAUAAUUGGAAGUCUCCAGGUCCAACAGACAACCAGUACCUGAGUGAUCCUUGAGGACAUUUUGAUGCACACACAGUUUGAAUAAGUACACUUCGAAUUGUUGAACGGUCAAAUGGCAAUGGGAUUUUGGCCAUCUGUGCAGAAUUCAGGAAGCGGUCGAUAUGCUGUUCUAACUCAUAAAGGUGACUGCCAGUAAUAUGGAAAAAAAAGUUAAGUAAUUGGUACUGAUGAAGUUUGGACCAUUACUUAAAAGAAAUUGAGGAAAAACAAUAACCCCUUGUUCACUUGCCAAAUUCACACACAACUGCACACACGCAUGCAAGAAUGAAUGCAUGUGCGUAGACAAGAAGAAACUUAAAAACUGACAAACUUUAAUAUAUAUACUAAGAGUAAAUGACGGGUUAAGUAGAAAAAAGAUAGACAUCUUAGAAAUUCAUGCUAGUUGAUAGAAGCAGAUUUCUUACCCAUCCAUAAUAGCAGCAGUAUCAAAAACACCAUGUCCUCUAUGGACCAUGUGGUCAUCAAGCGGUAUCACCAUUGCUGAGGGAUCUGUGGUAAUUCCACCAAAAAUACUAGAGUACAUGGCCACGUAAUUUUGACUUCUAGCACCAGAUGCUUGGAACGCAUCAAGCCUUUCUGCAAUCUAUAGGAAAUAAAGCUCAGUUUUACUUAAGUUUGUGUUGUGGCACCACGUUUCAAGAGAAGAUCCUACUUUCAUCAAUCGCUUCGUCAACACAUCUUAGACAAAUAUUAAACUGUUGGGAAUAAAAAAAUCUAAUGCAGUUUAGAUGCAUAAUUCACGUUUCCCGUUUUUUCUAUACAAUCUGAUAAAGAAGUUGGAACUUAAGAAAUGCUCCAAGGCAGUCUCUACCUUCAUGUAAGUACUAGGGUAUGCCUUGAAGGAAAACUUCUGAUUGGACACUUGCCAAAUUGAACCCAGUGGCAAUCCCCAAAUGUCUUUCUAUAACUCUGCAGAUUGUUUUGCUAAUCAAGAAAGCUAAGCGAAGAUGAAACAGUGCUUCGAGGUUGCCAAACAUACAGUGGUUGCAACAAACAGUUCUGAAGAACUUCAAUGCAGAAUACAGUGUCCAUCUAGCGUACGCUAACAGUGUAAUGUAUAAUGUAGACAACUGUGCGCUAACCAAAGCAUUAGCUAGUAACUACGACGAGUACAAGAGUAAUGAGAACAAGUAGGACAGUUUGUUUCGAAAAGAUGGAAGCAUCAAACUUCCAUGUUUUGCAAAUGCCAGCAAAAGAUUCCAAUUAAACUAUAGCAGACAAGACAAGAGACAAAGAAGUCCACCUCAGAGAAAGACAAGAGAGGGACAUCAAUUGGAUUGACAAUGGUGCCGGCCGGUGCUGCAGAACAAAGUAGCUGUUUAGUUUAAUAUUAUUGCAAAAGGGACUGCUAAGAGUGGUGUUGGUCUCGGUACACACAACGGAUUUCAUGUAUGUGAGAGCAGAGACCUGAGAAUUAUGAUAUUUCCAAAAGUAUCUAAAUACAACCAGAGAUACCUAAAAGGUAUCAAAGGGCGAAACACGACCAUUUGUGCUCAACUCAGCUGGUGUUAAAUAUAUGCAGUUAUUUCAAACCCAAAUAAUCAAGAUGUAAGGAGUAGGAAAUUAUCACUAAUUUGUAGAAAUACAGUCUUUUUUGGGGAAAUUGUAGAAAUACCAUGUUUGACUAGAGGAACUGGCCUCACACUGCAUCAGCCUAUCAUGAAGGAUCAUCAUGAAACAGAGUCACCAAAACAAACAACACAUAUCCUGAUCAGCAUGAGCUCACGAUACAACAACACUACACAUAAACGCAACACAUAUCCAGUCUUGGUUGAUGGUUGAUGAAAAUUCAGGUGGGCAGUUUUCUCUGCCCCCGGUGACGCUUCAAAAAAAAAAAACCAUAGUAUCUUUGCAGACUUAAACUAGUUCAUCUUACCAGGAGAAACUUACAUUAGACAUAUAUUGUCACUUAAAAUACUCAUAUUAUUGUAGAAAGGUAAGCCCCAUUCACAUCAAUGAUCCAUUCCACAUGAAAAAGAGUUCCAAUUCAGCAACCUUUAUCAACCCGAACAAUAUAUGUUAACUCGUAUACAAAGGAAACAGACUCAAAAUGCAGGGCACUUCAGGCAAACUUGGAACGGAACUAAUGUUCGUAAAUUAUAACCGAUGAAACGCUCUCUAAGUUCGGGCGAACAAAAUGCAUGACUGAACAAAUUCACUAUGGGAAAGCAGGGCUGGAAAAAUGUUUAGUCCUUCUCUGGCACCAACGAAAGGUACGAGACGGCAGCCGCACGAAGCCGAUCACCACGGAGCUGGGCACAGCCCCGACUGUAACGAUGCACCGAGAACGAAAGGACAGAAGCGAGAAACUGCACGCAACAAACCUGCCCGAUUGGAGCUCGCGGCGGCUGUAGCCACCGCAGCCCUCCACGAAGGAAGCCCAGCCGGCGCGACGGCUCGGCCCGAUGACGGCGCGAUUUUCUUCACAGCGAGGAUCGGCCGAUGCGAAGGGGAGACGCGGUGGCCGGCGGCAGCAGGCGGGGCGGAGAGGUGGGCCAUCGGAGGAGAAUUAGGCAGAGGUGGAAAUGGAACCGUACCGUAGGCUAUCAGCGAAUCGGCACUUCGUCAGAGUCCCUUCAUUCUUUUUUCUGCACAAGUUGGGGGCCGUUGGAACCUGGGACCUGGGCGGUCGCACCUCAUAUGAUUAUUUGGAUUAUUCAAUUCACAUGACUAUGCAAUUAUAAGAUGCCACUAAUGAAUUUAUAGGCCCCGUUCUAAUUCUCUAGAUGAGUAUAAACCUCUAAAAUAUCAUAUACUUGUGCUUUUAUCCACGGUUCUUAUUUGUUCUAGUAGAAUGCGAAUAUUUCAUUUGCACUAUCCACUCGUUACUUGCUGAAACUAGCGUAACUAGUGUGACUACAGCCACGCUAGAAGUGUUAGGGAUGCAGGUUGGUUCCAUAAAUGAUAAACCUUGGGUUACCUUCUCAAGGGAAAACCGGCCAAAAACCUUUGCACUCGGAUGUCCAACAACAAAGUUUGCAUAAAUAGUUGCAUAAUACUACGUAUGAAGCAGUGUGCGUCAAACUUUCCGUGAAGUAUGUUUUCUUCAACCAACCGCUACAGGAUGGUAGCCAACUUUUCCAUCUCUAUGCUAAUUUUGUCGACCUCUGCCUACUCGAGGAUGAUGAACCCAAUUUGCCCCUCUUUAUAGGAUAAUUUAUGAAUAACGUGUUGACGCUCAAAAAGGAGGCCUAAAAGACAUAUCCCUUGGUGUAUCUGCGGACAGGCAAUGGUCCGACCUCAGGAUGUAGCUUGAUCAGCGGGCUUGAUUGACUUGGUACCUGCUGAUCUAGAACCAUCCCCAGGUGCAACUCCACAGGUUUGUUGUCCAUUCAGGGGCUGAUAACCGAGAAGAUUCUCCUUGCCCAGGCUCUGAAAGAUAAACUGGUUAUUACCUCCACGCUUGUUCCUCAUGCAAGAUUUUGACAUUUAUAUAUUGUGAUGCUUCUCAUGAAGUACUAGGUUGCAUCCUCAUGCAAGAUCGUCAUGUGAUGGAAUGCACUUCUCAUUAGAUGCACCCACAUGAGCUGGUUAUCCAACUCAUGAUCUGGAACUUGCAGCAGUAGUACAUGCUCGAAAACUUGGCGACAUCACUUGCUCUAAAUUUUUGUGAAAUCUACUCGGGUCAUGAAAGUUUGAAGUAUAUCUUUAUCCAUCCUAAUUUGAAUCUCAAGCAAAGAUAAUAGAUUGAAAUGAUCAAAGACUAUGAUGUAUGAAUCUCCUUCACUCCAGGCAAAGCAAAUGUCAUGACUGAUGCACGAAGUCAAAAAUCUUAUUGCAACAAUAUCAUAAUUAUGCAAGAUCAACCCCUUCUAUGAGUAUUCCUGGAAGCUUGAUCGAGAGCUUGUUCCUCGAGGAUUUUUUGUCUAUCUAUGUCGCUAAACCAACUCUUGAGGAUCGAAUUAGAGCUGGUCAAACCCAAGAUGUUGGUAUAUGUUGUAUGAAAGAGAACAUCACUACAGGGAAAGCUAAAUGUUUCUCUUUAGAUUCUCAAGGGAUGGUGUUCUUUGAAGACCGACUAGUGGUGCCAAGGUAAACAUGGCUGGAGGCGGUUAAUCCUUAAGGAAACUCAUAACAGACCUCCCUCCAUUCAUUAUGCUAGUACCAAAAUGUAUCAGAAACUCCAUCAAAGGUUAUGGGAACUAGUAUGAAAAGGGAAAUCACUAAUUAUGUUUUCUGAAUGUGAAGUUUGUCACUGAGUCAAGGCAGAAAUUCAACAAGUUGUUGGCACUUUUCAACCAUUAGCUAUUCCAGAGUGGAAGUGGGAUAAAGUCGGCAUGGAUUUCAUUAAACCUAGGACUUGGGCCGGGAUUUUCUAGGCUGGCAUGAAACUCGUCUGACAGAGUACGGUUCAAUGCACAACACAACACGAAGUAAAACAGACCAGGAUGGCAUGCCAUGAUAAACUGAGCCGGGAUGGACCUAAGGUUGAGAAAAUGGGUGGCACAAACCGGCAUGGUGAUGAGGGUCGUGUUCGGAUCGAGCCAGCACGGUUGGGUCGGAAAUCUCCAUAAACGCGCAUUGUGAUUAUUAGGAGAACCUAUAUAAUGCAGCUAUGUUCUUGUAAACAAAGAAAACAUGGGUUUGUAAAUAAAUAUGUAUUUAUGUACUUCAUAAGAUGCCUUAAUUAGAGAUUUCACUACUGAAGGUUGCUGCUAACGCGACACUACGAUCAGAGACCCUUCGACGAAACUGUGUGCGAUGCAAUAAUCGCAAAUAGUGGUGUAAAAAACCGUCAAAAAGGUGCAAAACGUUUGCGAUGACGGAUGCAUCAAACACGGUUCAAAUUUUAGUUGCUUGUGUGAAGCAGGGCAUACGGUUGAUCAAGAUGAACUGUUUGCGAUUAGACAGAACAACAGAAACGGGCAGGCAUAUCAAUGUGUGUGCAAUAUACGGCAUACAAUUCGCUCCGAGAACUAUUUGCUAUUAAGGAAAGCAACAGCCAGAUCAAGAUGUGAGUGUGAUAUACGCCAUACGGUUUAGUCGAAUGAAAUGUUUUCGAUUAGGGAAGAGAACAUAAACGGUUCAACUUAACAAGAUGUGUGUGAUACACGACAAAAAGGCCCGGAGGUUAAUUCGAGAACAAGUACAUAGAGGUUAAUUUGAUAUAUAUGACUUAUAAGUUUCACAGAAAUCAUAUCACUGUUUUGAGAAAACAUUUAAUUAUGUUGAAUGUAUAAAGUGUUUCGUCCUAUUAGUUGAAUUAACCUCGAGGUCCAUGUUUUGGAAACAUGUCAUAAAGUAACGGGAUAGACCUUCAUUCAAGCCAAUCAACAUGUGCUCAAAAAAAUAUAUCAAAAAGUAAUGAGAUAGACCUUCUUCAAGCCAAUCAACAUGUGUAGAAAAAACAAAAAAAGUCAAAAAUUACAAAACAAGGACCUCGAGGUUAAUUCAACUAAUAUGAUGGAGCACUAUAUACAUUCAACACAAUUAAAUAUUUACAGUGACCCAUCACAUCAGUUUAUUUAAAAUCGAGGCCACUUCCUGUCCGGUCAUCCAUCUGAUGACUACUCAAGCCUCAGCACAGUUAACUUGGGAGUUCUAUUAGAUGAGCUAUUGGUAGGAAAGCUGGUCCUUGCUGCUGUAGGAUCCCUCUUUGCAUCCUUUAUUGGGCACCCGGAUGACCGACUGUUGCCGCCCAAUGGUUAAUGCCACGUCCCCCGCGAAUGUGCCCAGCACGACCAAUGGUGUACUCGAGGUCAAAGCCGACCACUUGGUACUUGUCCUCGGCAAGGAACUGCUCCAUAGUUUGGAUGGAGCUCUCCACUGAGACCGGAUCGUUCGUGUACACCACCGAGAGGGCCUUCCCCCUCACGUGGAUGUCCACUACGUGAUGCGUGGUGAACUGCCCGCCGUUGUCGUUGUCGGCCGUUGGGAGCACCAUUGGAGCCACGGGGAUCUCCAUUGGAACCACUGGAUGUCCUCUCUAUAUGUGUCGUUGUGGGUGUACUUAUUGUGUCGUGUGCCAGCCCCAAACAUUGGCAACACAACUUAUAAAUUGGCGGAUGGAGUACUAGUUGCAGUAAUGCAUAUAAUUAAGCAGAGGGAUCACACAUGUCUGUAUUGACUGGAACGAGAAUGCAAUAGCACAAUAAGAUUUAAGGCCACGAUGAUGCGAUCGCAGUGGUGGUUAGAGGAGGCAAGAAGAAAGAUGCAUCCAUCAACGUACUAACUCCUCCUCCUCAACUCAGUGCGCCGGGCCACCGACUGGCAGCUAAGGAGCGGCGACUUUUGUGGCGAGGUCAAGGUGCUUCUCAGCAAAGGCAUCCAAGGCUUCCAGCCGGUUGAAGAAGGCCAACAUCGUAGCAUCCUCACUGGCCUUGUAGAUACCUAUGUACACAAUUUGCUCAUACAUAUGGAUGUGUAGGUCGACGAAUUCUUGCAAGGCGAGGCGUCUCACGGCGAGCGUGAUCUCCAUGUGGACAUUCUUUGUGGCAUCGGCGGGCCGUCACAGGGCCACCAGUGCUUGAAAGAGGAUCCGAUCAUGGAGGCUGAGUAGGGUGGCAAGCAAUGAGGAGCCCAGGCGCGCGGGCUAGAGGAGUACGGCGAUGUCAUCCGCGAGCUUCUUGACGAGGUGAACUUGUUGGUGGAGGCAACGAUCAUCUGGUCCAACUAAGAGUCGUAGCUGGCGUCGACGGCGGCCAUCCACCAGCCAGUCUCCAACACCGUCUGGAGACGAUCCUCGGUGCCAUGCCGCAGGCUGGCGUCAUGGACCAUCUGGCACAGUCGCUGGUCGCUCGCGCGCAUUGCCGCCAUGGGUCUGGAGUGAGCACUUUUGCGCUUAGUGUAGGUGCUUAGGCAAAUUCUUAGGUGCGUACGAUGUGGUAGAUGCAUUGCAUUCACAUUGUGCUGCCUCUUUUCCCGCUCCUCCUGCCAUUACUUCCCGCAUGCAUUCAUGAUGCUAAUUGAAGGAGGAUGCAUCAUUGGCCGUUCAACAUUUCAGGAACCGCUACCUUCUCCCUGUCUGCAUUAAAGUCGUACCGGGAACUGCGCCGUCCACUAUCAAAUCGAAUAGUACUACGCCGCCCGCUGCACGCCCGGCUGAACACGGCUCCUCGCCUCCAUCUAUGCUUAAUUACUGAAUUUUAGUUGCAACAAUUAGAUACUGCUAGUGAUUUUUAGCUUCAUAUUUUGACAAAUCGCAGUGUUACAAGGUUGACAAAUGGCAAUGUUACUAGAUCAACAAAUGUCAAUCUUUCUAGUUUGACAAAUGGCAAUAUACCCAAUAUGACAGAUGCAAAUCUUACCAAAUUGUUUAUAAGUGGUUGCACACAGGUCAUCCAAAAGAACCGUUUGCGUUGAAGAGAUGCACAAAUCCUGCUCUCACUUUGCAUACGUGUGUUCUAUCUAAAACGUUUGCAAUCAAGAGCCAUUAAAACCAAGAACGUGGCGUCACGUGAAUGAUUAAAAUUUGAAUUAUGCACAUAAAUGCAUUGAAAACUCAAUUGGUGCAUAAAAAUGUCCAAACGAACCCCGAAAAAUCUCAAAAAUUGACACAACACUCCUGUUGUUCUAUGUUGACCCGAGAAUUUUUUUGAAAGCAAUAAGAGGCAAUGGAUAUCGUUUCAUCCCCAAAGGUGGGACAUUCCCUAGCGAAACCAUCAUGCUUGUUGUGAGAAGCUCUGGUUUGUCGGAAGCAUAUACCCAAACCUGCCCCAAAUGGGAAAAAAAAAUUCUACCACGGCAUGUUGAUGCCGCUCCAUGAUAGCAUACCAAGUUUCAUGAAUUUCAGUCGAGUUUUGGAUUUACUAGAAUUUAAAAACCAGGUAUCUCAAUGUUUGCGGCCGAGUGACGGUGGCAGGGUGUUUGACAUUCAUUUCCAUUUCUUGAUGGGACCUAAGCAUGCAACCAAGGACAUAGAUUUGAAUUUUCAACCAAUUUAUAUGCAUUAGAGCAUAUGCAUGUAGUUCACAUUUGAAUUAUGCACAUGAAUGCAUAGAAAACUCAGUUAAUGUAUAAAAAUGUCCAAAGGAACCCCCAAAAAUCCCAAAAAUUAACACAACACUCCUGUUGUUCUAUGUUGACACUAGAAAAAAAUUGAAAUCGAGAAGAGGCAACGGAUAUCAUCUCGUCCAGAAAGGUGAAACGUUCUCUACUGAAAUCAUCACAUUUGUUGUGAGAAGCUCUGGUUUAUGAUAAGCUUAUACCCAAACCUGCCCCAAUUGGGACAAAAAAAUUAUCAUGGCAUGUUGAUGCUGCUCCAUGAUAGCAUGCCAAGUUUCAUGAAUUUCGGACGACUUUUGGAUCUACUAGAAUUACAAAAGCAAGUACGUCGACGUUUGCUGGAGAGCCACGGUGCCGUGGGGUUCCAAAUUCAUCCCCAUUUCUUGCAUGGGACAUAAGCAUAAACUCAUGGAUACAUAUAUGAUUUUACACCCCAUGUUGGUGUACCGGAGCAUGUGCAUGUAGUUUAAUUUUGAAUUGUGCACCUGAAAUGGCUAGAAAAUCAAUUUAAUGUAUAAAAUGUCCAAACGAACCCUUAAUAAUUCUAAUUCUUUUACGACACACAUAUAGUUGCAUGUUCACCGCAGAUAAAAGAUCUAGCAAUUCAAACAUUGUCUGUUGCCACUGUGACCCCAUUAUGUAAUUCAAAUCAAGAAGAAAAAUCAAAUCAAGUAGAUCCCACACAGUUUAUUAUAACCAACCGUGUGAGAUGCAGCACAAAAUAUCUUCGAGCACCGCUGGAGUAUAGUACACAUACGCCUUACGCGAGUUGGUGCGACGGCUACAGACCACAACCCGCUCUGAAUAAGGGACUGUGUCUGAUGACACUUUGCGCGUUAGUUUUUUCGCUGAAGCGAUUCCAAAUUUUCGGCUUCCGCGGAAAUAUCUACCUCCCCGCCCCCUCCCCCUUACCAAAAGCCGCAUUUCCCCUAUUUCUGCCUUCCUUUCCAAGUUGAAACCUUCACUCCUUGCUUGCAACGCCGCCUCCUCGCUGGCAACCCUCCUUCACGUUGCUCGGCCUCGCCUAGCCAGGCAGGUAAUCUACACCCGACCCCCAUCCUCCUCCUCCUUCCACAUCCCACAUGCCCCGACCGUCGGCACGAGUGCGACACCUUCCACCCAAAUCACCGACCCCUCCACCAAAUAAGCACCGCCCUAAGCCAUGGUGCACGCAGUAUAGCCAUGAUCUCAAGGAGCAUUUGGUAGCGGAGAAGCAAAUCGCGGGCGCACGCAUGGAUGAGGUCGCGAUGGCUGCCAUUUGUGCCGACCCCCAGAUCUUGGAGGAUCACCUCGCCGUCGAGGCCACCGUCGACGCCUUGCGCGCCAACAUCGCGACGCGGUUGGCUACUUUAAACGACAGUUCGUUGCGUUUUCUCGAGGCCACCGUUAGUGCCUUCGACGAAGACUAUGAGGUGUUUUCUCAGCGUGCACGUGCUUACCUCAUCUCGAGAGCCAGCAGGUUGGUGUCCGGAGCGGCUCAGGCAACUCACCACUACGAUGGGGGCACCCACGAUGCGGGGGCCUCUCCCUCUUCCAUGUCCAAGGAGCCAAUCGUCAUCGAUAUCUCCAAAAAUGAGUAGCUUGUCUUAUUAGCUCACUAUAAGGACCCAUGUUCGGUUUGCUAGCUACUGCCUUUUCUUAACAAAUUCUAGUGAAUUGUGCUAUCUACUUUUACCAUGCAAUCUUCUGCUCUAGUGUAUAUGUUCUAUAUAUCGUGGAAUGUGGUGUUCAGUUACCUAUUUGGUUCAAUUCUGCAAAUGUAAUGUCCAAUUCUUUAGGGUGCAAUUUUCCAAGUUGUCAAGCAUGCUUGGUUUGGUUAACUGUCUGAUCUUCUAUUAGGAGUAUGUUAUAUUGUGCAAUGUGGUGCUUGCUAGGUCUUGAGCUUGCGUUGGUUUUCCUUUUGAAGAGGAAAGGGUGAUGCAGCAAUAAUAGCGUAAGUAUUUCCCUCAAUUUUUGAGAACCAAGGUAUCAAUCCAGUAGGAGGCUCCUCAAAAGUCCCACGCACCAACAGAAACAAAUAAAGAACUCGCAACCAACGCAAUAAAGGGGUUGUCAAUCCCUUCACGGCCACUUGCGAAAGUGAGAUCUAAUAAAGAUAGUAUGAUAAGAUAAAUAUAUUUUUGGUAUUUUAUAAUAUAGAUGCAAUAAGUAAAGAUGCAAAUAAAAGUAGACUGGAAGCAAAUAUGAUAAGAGAUAGACCCGGGGGCCAUAGGUUUCACUAGUGGCUUCUCUCAAGAUAGCAUAAGUAUUACGGUGGGUGAACAAAUUACUGUCGAGCAAUUGAUAGAAAAGAGAAUAAUUAUGAGAUUAUCUAGGCAUGAUCAUGUAUAUAGGCAUCACGCCCGCAACAAGUAGACCGACUCCUGCAUGCAUCUACUACUAUUACUCCACACAUCGACCGACUCCUGCCUGCAUCUAGAGUAUUAAGUUCAUAAGAACAGAGUAACGCAUUAAGCAAGAUGACAUGAUGUAGAGGGAUAAACUCAAGCAAUAUGAUAUAAACCCCAUCUUGUUAUCCUCGAUGGCAACAAUACAAUACGUGCCUUGCUGCCCCUGCUGUCACUGGGAAAGGACACCGCAAGAUUGAACCCAAAGCUAAGCACUUCUCCCAUGGCAAGAAAGAUCAAUCUAGUAGGCCAAACCAAACUGAUAAUUCGAAGAGACUUGCAAAGAUAACUCAAUCAUAUAUAAAAGAAUUCAGAGAAGAUUCAGAUAUUAUUCAUAGAUAAACUUGAUCAUAAACCCACAAUUCAUCGGAUCUCGACAAACACACCGCAAAAAGAGUUUACAUCGAAUAGAUCUCCACAAGAAAGGGGGAGAACAUUGUAUUGAGAUCCAAAAAGAGAGAAGAAGCCAUCUAGCUACUAACUAUGGACCCGUAGGUCUGUGGUAAACUACUCACAACUCAUCGGAGGGGCAAGGAUGUUGAUGUAGAAGCCCUCCAUGGUCGAUUCCCCCUCCGGCAGAGCGCCGGCGAAGGCUCCAAGAUGAGAUCUCACGGAUACAGAAGGUUACAGUGGUGGAAAUUGUGUUUCGUUGGCUCCCUGAAUGUUUUCGGGGUACGUAGGCUUAUAUAGGAGGAAGAAGUACGUCGGUGGACGCCCGAGGGGCCCAUGAGACAGGGGGCGCGCCCUAUAGGGGGGCACCCUCCUAUCUCAUGGAGGCCUCGACUCCUUCUUGACUUGCACUCCAACUCCUCUGGAUCAUGUUCGUUCCAAAUAUCACGCUCCCGAAGGUUCCAUUCCAUUUGGACUCCGUUUGAUAUUCCUUUUCUUCGAAAUACUGAAAUAGGCAAAAAAACAGCAAUACGGGUUGGGCCUCUGGUUAGUAGGUUAGUCCCAAAAAUGAUAUAAAUGUGUAAAAUAAAGCCCAUAAACGUCCAAAAGGGGUAAUAUAAUAGCAUGGAACAAUCAAAAAUUAUAGAUACAUUGGAGACAUAUCAAGCAUCCCCAAGCUUAAUUCCUGCUCGUCCUUGAGUAGGUAAAUGAUAAAAAGAGAAUUUUUGAUGUGGAAUGCUACCUAGCAUAAUUCUUAAUGUAAUUUUCUUUAUUGUGGCAUGAAUGUUCAGAUCCAAAUGAUUCAAAAUAAAAGUUCAUAUUGAUAAAAGAAAUAGUAACACUUCAAGCAUACUAAUCAAAGUAAUCAUGUCUUCUCAAAAUAACAUGGCAAAAGAAAGUUCAUCCCUACAAAAUCAUAUAGUUAGGUUAUGCUUCAUUUUCGUCACACAAAGAUGUUCCCAACUUCUAUACCCCCGAUGACAAGCCAAGCAAUUGUUUCAUACUUAAAUAAUCUCAAACUUAUUCAACCUUCACGCAAUACAUGAGCGUGAUCCAUGGAUAUAGUACUAUGGGUGGAAUAGAAUAUGAUGAUGGGGAUUGUGUGGAGAAGACAAAAAGAAAGUCUCACAUUGACGAGGAUAAUCAACGGGCGAUGGAGAUGCCCAUCAAUUGAUGUCAACAUGAGGAGUAGGGAUGGCCAUGCAACGGAUGCACUAGAGCUAUAAAUGAAUGCUCAACAAAAGAAAACUAGUGGGUGUUGUAACACCCCGGAUGUAACUUUCCAUAUUUGUAACUCCAACUCUUGCCAUUUUCGGCUAUGUGCUAUGAUAUUCCCUCCGUGGUUGGGUUUUUGUUUUUGUUUUGCUUUUUGUUCAUGUCAUGCAUCUCAUAUCAUGUCAUCAUGUGCAUCGCAUUUUGCAUACGUGUUCGUCUCAUGAUUCCGAGCAUUUUUCCCGUUGUCCGUUUUUGCAAUCCGGCACUCCCAUGUUCCCCGGUGUCCCCUUUUACAUUUUUCCGUGUGCGGGUGUUGAACAUUCUCGGAAUGGACCGAGCCUUGCCAAGUGGCCUUGGUAUAACACCGGUAGACCACCUGUCAAGUUUCGGGUCAUUUGGAGCUCGUUUGAUACUCCAACGGUUAACCGCACUCUCGCAAAGGCCUCUUUUGAGUUGCAGCCCAACACCCCUCCAAAACAGCCCAAUAACCCAUCUAAGUCACUUCCAUGCUCUCCAUCGUCGGAUCACGAUCGUGUGGGCGAAAACCGCACUCCAUUUGGAGUCUCCUAGCUCUCUCUACCUAUAAAUUCGUGCACCCCUCCUCCAAAUCCGGAUCCCCAAACCCUAGCCCUCUCCUCUGCCGCCGCCGGACACGUCCGGAUNNNNNNNNNNNNNNNNNNNNNNNNNNNNNNNNNNNNNNNNNNNNNNNNNNNNNNNNNNNNNNNNNNNNNNNNNNNNNNNNNNNNNNNNNNNNNNNNNNNNNNNNNNNNNNNNNNNNNNNNNNNNNNNNNNNNNNNNNNNNNNNNNNNNNNNNNNNNNNNNNNNNNNNNNNNNNNNNNNNNNNNNNNNNNNNNNNNNNNNNNNNNNNNNNNNNNNNNNNNNNNNNNNNNNNNNNNNNNNNNNNNNNNNNNNNNNNNNNNNNNNNNNNNNNNNNNNNNNNNNNNNNNNNNNNNNGCCUCCGCCUCGGGUGCCCGGCCCCGCCGCCGGCUGCGCACUCCGGCUGGCCCGCCGCGCCGGCCUCCGCCGGCCCCCAACUCCGUCCCCGACUCCGGCCCCGACCCCUUCUCCGGCGAAGCUCCGGGCCAACUCCGGCGACGACCCCGAUCCGGAUCCGAUCUGAAAACGACGGUUGACUUUUCCCCACCCCCAAAUCUCACCAAGUCAUUUUUCCUGUGAUAAUUUUGUGGCAAUUUCAUCGCAUCACAUCUCCGCACCCGUGGCUCCGUUUUGGGCGUGUAGCAUAUCAAAUUGUUCGCCUCGAAGAGUAGAUCAUUUCAUCUCAUUGCAUCAUUUUCAUUUGAGCUCAUAUUGAUGCCCGAAAUACUUUUGGAAGAGGGCUAUGUGAUGUUAGUUUCUGUUUCUUAACAGAACUUGCACUUUUAUCAUUUUUGCCAUGAUUAAUGUGUGCACCUUAUGAACUUGAGCCCUACAUGUGUGUUGAACUAUGCCAUGCCAUCUUUCCAGGGAUGUAUGCCAUGUAUUUUUGUGAGUUAUGUGGUGACUAGAACAAGCAUGCAAACUAGGGAUGAUAAUGUUGCUGAUUUCAGGAACUUAGUGUUCUCACUAAGUCAUGUCCUGCUGUUAUUUUUAUGUCAUAUGUUCAUGUUAUUACAGAGAGAUCUAUGCCCUUUUUGAGCAUGAUCAGUAAGGGUGUUUUGAACAUAUGGAUGUGCUCUAUCCAUCCAUGCCUUUGUUGGCAUUUAUGGAGUAGUCUAGCAUGUCAUUUUCGUGCUCUACUUUUGCUUCAAAAUGUUUCCUGGCAAAUUGUUUACAUGAGAUUCAAUUUUCACGAGGUUGUUGUAGUUGAUCCGUGUAUGCUAUGAUGUUGUUCUUGCCAUGUAUAGCUUCUAUGCCAUGUCUUCUUGAUGGGUGUAUGCUUAGUUUAUCAUGAGAUGCUCUGUAGUGAGUGCAUUGAGCUCAUGAACAUGCCUACUUGUUAUCUGUUUUUGCCAUGCCCAGUUUUUCUGCUAAGUCUGAGAUCUGUAAUGAAACUUGCUAUGUUUACAUGGGUGCCACCAUUUCUUAUGGCCCUUUUUGGCUUAUGGUCAGUAAGGGACUUUUGAUCUAUGCUUUGAGUAGAUUCAUGUCAUGCCUUGUUUUGCUAUUAUAAGUUCCUGUAGCUUGUUGUUUGCUUGCUCUAAACAUGCCUUCCUGAUGUUAAAUUCUGGCAUACUAGUAUUUCACUAAGUCUGUGAACCUGAUAUUUUUUUGCACUUUCACCAUGCUUGUUUGAACAUGUUAUGGUGUGAUAUAGCCGUAGCUCAGUGUUCCUCUUUUGUUAAGCAUCUCCUGUAGAUCACUGCCAUAUGCUUUGUUUGUAUGUUGGGGUGCUUUAGCAUAGUUUCUUGUUGCAUGCUAAGUAGCAUCGUGCUGUUAAACGCAGAUUCGCGUCAUUCUUGAUUUGCUUGUCAUUUGCAAACCGUGCAUCCGAUUCCGGUGAUCUUUAUAUCGAUUUCAACCGAAAUCAUCUCAUCUUUCCCGCGGCAUACUUGGUUUGCCAAGUUGAUGCCCGGUUCAUCUUUUUCCUUCUGGAGCACACAUAUGCAUUGCAUAUCACUUCUCGCAUAGCAUGUCAUGUAUUGCAUCAUAUUGCUUGUGCAUUGCUCCUUGUUUGAUUGUGGUUCCGUUGCUUGUGUUCUUGCUUUGGGUAGAGCCGGGAGACGAGUACGUGAACGAGGAACCUGUUGAGAACGCCUACGAGGAUCAAGCCUUCGACAACUCUGAGAACCUUGCAGGCAAGAUGACCAUACCUUCGAAAUCACUUCUAUCUUUGCUUGCUAGAUGCUUGCUCUUUUGCUAUGCCUAUACUGCGAUACCUACCACUUGCUAUAUCAUGCCACCCAUAUUGCCAUGUCAAACCUCUAACCAUCCAUGUCCUAGCAAACCAUUGUUUGGCUAUGUUACCGCUUUGCUCAGCCCCUCUUAUAGCGUUGCUAGUUGCAGGUGAAGAUGAAGUUUGUUCCUUGUUGGAACACGGAUAUUUUGGGAUAUCACAAUAUCUAUUGUUUUAAUUAAUGCAUCUAUAUACUUGGUAAAGGGUGGAAGGCUCGGCCUUAUGCCUGGUGUUUUGUUCCACUCUUGCCACCCUAGUUUCCGUCAUACCGGUGUUAUGUUCCUUGAUUUUGCGUUCCUUACGCGGUUGGGUGAUUUAUGGGACCCCCGUGACAGUUCGCUUUGAAUAAAACUCCUCCAGCAAGGCCCAACCUUGGUUUUACCAUUUGCCACCUAAGCCUUUUUCCCUUGGGUUUUCGCGAGCCCGAGGGUCAUAUUUAUUUACCCCCCCGGGCCAGUGUUCCUUCGAAUGCUGGUCCAACCUGGGCGAUGUCCGGCGUCCCCUGGGCAUCCAGGGUCUAUACCAACCCGACGUCUUGCCCAUCCGGUGUGCCCUGAGAACGAGAUAUGUGCAGCUCCUAUCGGGAUUUGUCGGCACAUUAGGGAGGCUUUGCUGGUCUAGUUUUACCAUUGUCAAAAUGUCAUGCGAACCGGGAUGUCUCUAUCCAGAUGGGCGACUAUAGAUUUCUGUCUUCUCCAGUUGUUCUUGGCGACUCUGAUAUUGAUCUAAUUCUUGGGAUGGACUGGCUUUCUAAGCACAAGGCUCAGCUUGAUUGUGCUGCCAGGGAAAUUCAAUUGACACACCCUUCUGAGGAUGUUAUCAUCUAUGCCGCUCGUGAUGAAACCAUUCGGUUGUUUUCUCUCAAUGAGAAGGGCGAGUUGGAUGCUAUUUCUCAAAUUCCAGUCGUUUGUGAGUACCAAGAUGUCUUUCCAGAAGAGCUUCCGGGUAUGCCUCCGCAUCGGCCAGUCGAAUUCGUUAUCGAUCUUGAGCCUGGCACUGAACCCGUUUGCAAGCGGCCUUACAAGCUUGGACCCAAGGAGCUGAAAGAAUUGAAGAAACAGCUCGAUGAACAAGAGCGUCUGGGUUUGAUUAGACCGAGUUCAUCUCCAUGGGGAUGUGGAGUUCUUUUUGUCCAGAAGAAGGAUGGCACGGACCGACUUUGCGUCGAUUACCGUCCAUUGAACAAGAAGACAAUCAAGAACAAGUAUCCACUUCCCAACAUCAAUGAGCUAUUCGAGCAACUCAAAGGUGCUAAAGUAUUCUCCAAGCUUGACCUUCGUAUGGGUUAUCAUCAGAUUCGCAUUCGUGAACAAGAUAUCCCCAAGACAGCAUUCAGAACAAGCUUUGGUUCUUAUGAAUAUACUGUCAUGUCUUUCGGCCUUGUCAAUGCUCCUCCAACUUUCUCUCGCAUGAUGAACUUUAUCUUCAACCCCUACACAAAUGAUUUCGUCUUGGUGUAUCUCGAUGAUAUUUUGGUCUUCUUCAAGAACAAGCAGGAUCAUGCCAAACAUCUGCGAUUGGUGCUCGACAAGCUCAGAGAGCAUCAAUUCUAUGCGAAGUUUUCCAAAUGUGAGUUCUGGCUUGAUGAAGUUCUUUAUCUUGGUCACAUCAUCUCCGCCAAGGGCAUCGCUGUUAAUCCGGCAAAGGUUUCUGCUGUUCUGAAUUGGGAACCUCCUCAGAAUGUCAAGCAGCUCCGCAGUUUUCUUGGGCUUGCAAGCUAUUGUCGAAGAUUCGUUGAGAACUUCUCUAAGAUCGCAAAGCCUCUUUCCAACCUCCUCCAGAAGCAUGUCAAGUAUGUCUGGACGCCUGAGUGUGACGUCGCUUUCAACACCCUCAAAGAAAAGCUAGUCACAGCUCCUGUCUUGACUCCUCCUGAUGAAUCCAAGCCAUUCGAAGUAUUCUGUGAUGCUUCUCUUCAAGGUCUCGGUGCUGUGUUAAUGCAAGAGAAAAAAGUUGUGGCCUAUACCUCUCGUCAGUUGAAGCCCAACGAAAAGAACUACCCCACUCACGAUCUUGAGUUGGCGGCAGUUGUCCAUGCAUUGAUAACAUGGAGACAUCUCUUGUUGGGAAGGAAAGUGGACAUUUUCACCGAUCACAAGAGUCUCAAGUAUAUCUUCACUCAACCAAACCUCAACCUCAGGCAAACUCGAUGGGUCAAAAUGAUUCAAGAGUACAAUCCAAGUAUUGAAUAUACUCCUGGCAAGGCGAAUGUGAUUGCAGAUGCCUUGAGCAGAAAGGCUUAUUGCAACAGCUUAAUUCUCAAGCCCUUUCAACCGGAUCUUUGUGAAGCUUUCCGCAAGCUGAAUCUUCAAGUUGUUCCUCAAGGUUUUCUUGCCAACCUCAUAGUCUCUCCUACUUUGGAAGAUCAAAUUCGUGAGGCACAACUCCUAGAUACCAUGGUGAAGAAGGUGAAACGUGGUAUUGACAAGGGCAUUUCCAAAUACAAGUUCUAUCGCUUGGAUGACAAAGAUACUCUUUUCUUUGAGGAUCGUAUUGUGGUUCCUAAAGGCGAUCUGAGAAAAGUCAUUAUGAAUGAGGCACACAAUUCCCUCCUAUCCAUUCAUCCUGGAAGUACGAAGAUGUACCAUGACCUCAAGCAGUUGUAUUGGUGGACUCGAAUGAAGCGAGAAAUUGCUCAGUUCGUGAAUGAAUGUGAUGUCUGCAGAAGGGUGAAAGCAGAACACCAAAGACCAGCUGGUCUCCUCCAACCUCUUGCUAUUCCGGAAUGGAAGUUUGAUCAUAUCGAGAUGGACUUUGUGACUGGUUUUCCUAAGUCCAAGCGUGGAAAUGAUGCUAUCUUCGUUGUCAUUGACAAGCUUACUAAAGUGGCUCAUUUUCUUCCUAUCGAAGAAUCUAUCACAGCAGCUCAGCUAGCAGAGCUAUACACCUCCAGAAUUGUCUCCUUGCACGGUAUUCCACAAUUGUUCUCUUCAGACCGUGGAAGCAUCUUCACUUCUAAGUUCUGGGACUCCUUUCAGACGGCCAUGGGCACCAACAUUCGUUUCAGCACAGCUUUCCAUCCUCAAACAAGUGGCCAAGUCGAGCGAGUCAAUCAAAUCCUUGAAGACAUGCUCAGGGCUUGUGUCAUUUCCUUUGGCAUGAAGUGGGAAGAGUGUCUUCCAUAUGCCGAGUUCUCCUACAACAACAACUUCCAAGCAAGUUCGGGCAAGGCCCCAUUCGAAAUUCUCUAUGGCAGGAAGUGCCGAACUCCUCUCAAUUGGUCCGAGACAGGUGAACGCCAACUUCUUGGCAACGACUUGAUCACAGAAGCCGAAGAAAUGUGCAAAGUCAUUCGUGAGAAUCUCAAAGCCGCGCAAUCGCGCCAGAAGGGCUAUUACGAUGACAAGCACCGUGAUGUGGCUUUUGAAAUCGGAGACCAUGUCUACCUCCGCGUCUCUCCAAUGAAAGGCACUCGUCGCUUCGGUAUCAAAGGGAAGCUUGCCCCUAGAUACGUGGGUCCUUUCAAGAUCAUUGGCAAAAGAGGCGAUCUCGCCUAUCAACUUGAGCUUCCAUCCAACUUUGCAAACGUGCACGAUGUGUUUCACGUGUCACAGCUCCGCAAGUGCUUCAAGAUUCCUGAGCGCACCAUCAACUUUGAAGAAAUUGACCUCCAAGAAGAUCUCUCUUAUCAUGAGCACCCCGUUGCUAUUCUUGAAGAAACCGAGCGCAAGACUCGCAACAAGUCAAUCAAAUUUCUAAAAGUGAAGUGGUCACACCAUUCUGACCGAGAAGCCACCUGGGAGCGCGAGGAUCACCUCCGUUCCGAAUAUCCAGAGUUCUUUCAGUCCUAGAUCUCGGGACGAGAUCCUCUUGUAGUGGUGGAGUGUUGUAACACCCCGGAUGUAACUUUCCAUAUUUGUAACUCCAACUCUUGCCAUUUUCGGCUAUGUGCUAUGAUAUUCCCUCCGUGGUUGGGUUUUUGCUUUCGUUUUGCUUUUUGUUCAUGUCAUGCAUCUCAUAUCAUGUCAUCAUGUGCAUCGCAUUUUGCAUACGUGUUCGUCUCAUGAUUCCGAGCAUUUUCCCCGUUGUCCGUUUUGCAAUCCGGCACUCCCAUGUUCCCCGGCGUCCCCUUUUACAUUUUUCCGUGUGCGGGUGUUGAACAUUCUCGGAAUGGACCGAGCCUUGCCAAGUGGCCUUGGUAUAACACCGGUAGACCACCUGUCAAGUUUCGGGUCAUUUGGAGCUCGUUUGACACUCCAACGGUUAACCGCACUCUCGCAAAGGCCUCUUUUGAGUUGCAGCCCAACACCCCUUCAAAACCGCCCAAUAACCCAUCUAAGUCACUUCCAUGCUCUCCGUCGUCGGAUCACGAUCGUGUGGGCGAAAACCGCACUCCAUUUGGAGUCUCCUAGCUCCCUCUACCUAUAAAUUCGUGCACCCCUCCUCCAAAUCCGGAUCCCCAAACCCUAGCCCGCUCCUCUGCUGCCGCCGGACACGUCCGGAUCGGGCCGGACGCGUCCGCCGCCGCGCCCGCACCAAUCGGGGGCUGCCACGUGGCCCAGCCGCCGNNNNNNNNNNNNNNNNNNNNNNNNNNNNNNNNNNNNNNNNNNNNNNNNNNNNNNNNNNNNNNNNNNNNNNNNNNNNNNNNNNNNNNNNNNNNNNNNNNNNNNNNNNNNNNNNNNNNNNNNNNNNNNNNNNNNNNNNNNNNNNNNNNNNNNNNNNNNNNNNNNNNNNNNNNNNNNNNNNNNNNNNNNNNNNNNNNNNNNNNNNNNNNNNNNNNNNNNNNNNNNNNNNNNNNNNNNNNNNNNNNNNNNNNNNNNNNNNNNNNNNNNNNNNNNNNNNNNNNNNNNNNNNNNNNNNNNNNNNNNNNNNNNNNNNNNNNNNNNNNNNNNNNNNNNNNNNNNNNNNNNNNNNNNNNNNNNNNNNNNNNNNNNNNNNNNNNNNNNNNNNNNNNNNNNNNNNNNNNNNNNNNNNNNNNNNNNNNNCCGCCGCCGCCGCCCGAUCCCGCGGAGCCCCGCGCCGCGCUCGCCACCCGCCCCCGAUUCGCGUCAUUCUUGAUUUGCUUGUCAUUUGCAAACCGUGCAUCCGAUUCCGGUGAUCUUUAUAUCGAUUUCAACCGAAAUCAUCUCAUCUUUCCAGCGGCAUACUUGGUUUGCCAAGUUGAUGCCCGGUUCAUCUUUUUCCUUCUGGAGCACACAUAUGCAUUGCAUAUCACUUCUCGCAUAGCAUGUCAUGUAUUGCAUCAUAUUGCUUGUGCAUUGCUCCUUGUUUGAUUGUGGUUCCGUUGCUUGUGUUCUUGCUUUGGGUAGAGCCGGGAGACGAGUACGUGAACGAGGAACCUGUUGAGAACGCCUACGAGGAUCAAGCCUUCGACAACUCUGAGAACCUUGCAGGCAAGAUGACCAUACCUUCGAAAUCACUUCUAUCUUUGCUUGCUAGAUGCUCGCUCUUUUGCUAUGCCUAUGCUGCGAUACCUACCACUUGCUAUAUCAUGCCACCCAUAUUGCCAUGUCAAACCUCUAACCAUCCAUGUCCUAGCAAACCGUUGUUUGGCUAUGUUACCGCUUUGCUCAGCCCCUCUUAUAGCGUUGCUAGUUGCAGGUGAAGAUGAAGUUUGUUCCUUGUUGGAACACGGAUAUUUUGGGAUAUCACAAUAUCUAUUGUUUUAAUUAAUGCAUCUAUAUACUUGGUAAAGGGUGGAAGGCUCGGCCUUAUGCCUGGUGUUUUGUUCCACUCUUGCCACCCUAGUUUCCGUCAUACCGGUGUUAUGUUCCUUGAUUUUGCGUUCCUUACGCGGUUGGGUGUAUGGGACCCCCGUGACAGUUCGCUUUGAAUAAAACUCCUCCAGCAAGGCCCAACCUUGGUUUUACCAUUUGCCACCUAAGCCUUUUUCCCUUGGGUUUUCGCGAGCCCGAGGGUCAUCUUUAUUUACCCCCCGGGCCAGUGUUCCUUCGAAUGCUGGUCCAACCUGGGCGAUGUCCGGCGUCCCCUGGGCAACCAGGGUCUAUACCAACCCGGCGUCUUGCCCAUCCGGUGUGCCCUGAGAACGAGAUAUGUGCAACUCCUAUCGGGAUUUGUCGGCACAUUCGGGAGGCUUUGCUGGUCUAGUUUUACCAUUGUCGAAAUGUCAUGCGAACCGGGAUUCGGAGACUGAUCGGGUCUUCCCGGGAGAAGGUUUAUUCCUUCGUUGACCGUGAGAGCUUGUGAUGGGCUAAGUUGGGACACCCCUGCAGGGUAUUAUCUUUCGAAAGCCGUGCCCGCGGUUAUGAGGCAGAUGGGAAUUUGUUAAUGUCCGGUUGUAGAAAACUCGAAGUUGACCUUAAUUAAAAUACAUCAACCGCGUGUGUAACCGUGAUGGUCCCUUCUCGGUGGAGUCCGGGAAGUGAACACGGUGUUGGAGUUAUGUUUGACGUAAGUAGUUUCAGGAUCACUUCUUGAUCGCUACUAGCUUCACGACCGUGCCUUGCUUCUCUUCUCGCUCUCUUUUGCGAAUGUAGCCACCAUACAUGCUAGUCGCUUGCAGCAGCUCCACCUCAUGACACCAACCUUCCCUUAAGCUUAAAUUGUCUUGAUCUCGCGGGUGUGAGAUUGCUGAGUCCCCAUGACUCACAGAUUCUACCAAAACAGAUGCAGGUACCGAUGAUACCAGCGCAGAGGGCGCGACUGAGCUGAAGUGGGAAUUUGAUGAGGCCCUUGGUCGUUACUAUGUUUCAUUUCCAGACGAUCAGUAGUGGAGCCCAGUUGGGGCGAUCGGGGAUCUGUGUUGCAUUUGGGGUAGUCUUCUUUUAUUUCGGUUCCGUAGUCGGACCUUGACUGUAAGCCAACUAUGUAUCUCUUUUCCCUUAUGUAUUACAUGGGUUGUGCGAAGAUUACCUCACUUGCGACAUUGCUUUCAAUGCGGUUAUGUCUCUAAGUCGUGCUUCGACACGUGGGAGAUAUAGCCGCAUCGAGGGCGUUACAGGUGUGCAUCCAACUUGCUUGCUCACGAAGAGCUAGGGCAUUUGAGGAAGCCCAUCGUAGGAAUAUACAAGCCAAGUUCUAUAAUGAAAAAUUCCCACUAGUAUGAAAGAGACAACUUAUGAGACUCACUAUAUGAAAAACAUGGUGCUACUUUGAAGCACAAUAUAUGAGACUCACUACAUGAAGAACAAGGUGCUACUUUGAAGCACAAGUGUGGAAAAAGAGAUAGUAACAUUGCCCUUUUUAUUUUUAUUUUUUAUUUUUUUCCUUCUUUUCCUUUUUUUCGGGCCUUUUUUUCCUUUUUGGGCAAUGCUCUAAUAAUGAUGAUCAUCACACUUCUAUUGAUUACAACAUAUGAAUUACAACUCGAAACUAGAACAAGAUAUGACUCUAUAUGAAUGCCUCCGGCGGUGUACCGGGAUGGUGCAAUGAAUCAAGAGUGACAUGUAUGAAAAAUAAUGCAUGGUGGCUUUGCCACAAAUACGAUGUCAACUACAUGAUCAUGCAAUGGCAAUAUGACAAAAGUAAAGUAUGUCAUGAUGAUGAUGAAUGGAACGGUGGAAAGUUGCAUGGCAAUAUAUCUCGGAAUGGCUAUGGAAAUGCCAUAAUAGGUAGGUAUGGUGGCUGUUUUGAGGAAGAUAUAAGGAGGUUUAUGUGUGAUAGAGCAUAUCGUAUCACGGGGUUUGGAUGCACCGGCGAAGUUUGCACCAACUCUCAAGGUGAGAAAGGGCAAUGCACAGUACUGAAGAGGCUAGCAAUGGCGGAAAGGUAAAAGUGCGUAUAAUCCAUGGACUCAACAUUAGUCAAAAGAACUCAUAUACUUAUUGCAAAAAUUUAGAAGUCAUCAAAAAUCAAGUACUAUGUGCAUGCUCCUAGGGGGAUAGAUUGGUAGGAAAAGACCAUCGCUCGUCCCCAACCGCCACUCAUAAGGAUGCACAAGCCAGGCACACUUCAUGUUUCAAAUUUGUUACACAACUUUAACCAUACGUGCAUGCUACGUGACUUGCUAACUUCAACACAAGCAUUCUUUGAAUUCAUAAUCACCCAACUAGCAUGACUUUAAUAUCACUACCUCCAUAUCUCAAAACAAUUAUCAAGUAUCAAAUUGAUCAUAGCAUCCAAUUCACUUCCUAUGAUAGUUUUUUUAUUAUACCCAACUUGGAUGCCUACCAUUCUAGGACCACAUGCUGUUCUAAGAGACUCUCAAAAUAAUAUAAGUGAAGCAUGAGAGACUAGCAAUUUCUUCAAAAAUAAGCCACCACCGUGCUCUAAAAGAUAUAAGUGAAGCACAAGAGCAAAAACUAUCAACCUCAAAAGAUAUAAGUGAAGCACAUAGAGUAUUAUAGCAAAUUCUAAUCAAAUAGGCUUCUUCCAAAAGGUGUGUGUUGGUGUCAAAACCGGCGGAUCUCGGGUAGGGGGUCCCGAACUGUGCGUCUAGGCGGAUGGUAACAGGAGACAAGGGACAUGAUGUUUUUACCUAGGUUCGGGCCCUCUCGAUGGAGGUAAAACCCUACUCCUGCUUGAUUAAUAUUGAUGAUACGGGUAGUACAAGAGUGGAUCUACCACGAGAUCAAGGAGGCUAAACCCUAGAAGCUAGCCUAUGGUAUGAUUGUUGUAAUGGUUGUUCGUCCUACGGACUAAAACCCUCCGGUUUAUAUAGACACCGGAGAGGGAUAGGGUUACACAGAGUCGGUUACAAUGGUAGGAGAUCUACAUAUCUGUAUCGCCAAGCUUGCCUUCCAUGCCAAGGAAAGUCCCAUCCGGACACGGGACGAAGUCUUCAAUCUUGUAUCUUCAUAGUCUUGGAGUCCGGCCGAUGAUGAUAGUCCGGCUAUCCGGACACCCCCUAGUCCAGGACUCCCUCAGUAGCCCCUGAACCAGGCUUCAAUGACGAUGAGUCCGGCGCGCAUAUGUUCGGCAUUGCAAGGCGGGUUCUUCCUCCGAAUAAUUCAUAGAAGAUUUGUGAACACCAGGAUAGUGUCCGGCUCUGCAAAAUAAAUUCCACAUACCACCGUAGAGGGAAUAAUAUGUACACAAGCUCAAUCUGCUGACGUAUUUUGUGGCAUGACGUCACACCACCACCAAGCCUUUACUUGAAUCAUUUUUAUUAUACCACCUCAGCGCGUUUAGCGAAGUGGUUUCCUUGGCACGUCUUGUCGAAGCAGAGAUCGUGUUCCCCUUAUUCCGAGAUUCCCAUCAAUACGGACGUGGGUAACCCAACCGCGCCAUUGAUUGUGGCGCUUGGGAGAUAACCGAGUUUUACCAGGCCGGUGGGGGCGCAUAGUCUUCGUCCGCCCAUAUAUAAGGGGAUAAGGAUCCGCCUUUUUACCUACGCCUUCUUCCUCCUUUGCUUAUCCAUCUCCGCGCACUCGAGCUCCAGCGCCCAAGUCCGCACAUCUCGCGUCAACCUUCUCCAGCCAUGUCCGGAGCGGGAGGCAAGUGGAUGGCCUCCUCCGUUACGGAGGGGCACAUCGAAAAGUUGCGCGGCGCCGGAUACCUAUCCAGCGACAUCGCGCACCGGCUGCCCGACGAGGGGCAGCUCAUCCCCACCCCCAGGCCCCAUGAGAGGGUCAUAUUCCUUCCCCACUUCCUCCGCGGACUGGGCUUCCCACUUCAUCCCUUCGUCCGGGGGCUCAUGUACUACUACGGCCUGGACUUCCACGAUCUGGCGCCAAACUUCAUCCUCAACAUCUCGGCGUUUAUCGUCGUGUGCGAGGCCUUCCUCUGCAUCCAGCCCCACUUCGGCUUGUGGCUAAAAACCUUCAAUGUCAAGCCGAAGGUGGUGAAGGGUGUCCAAGCAGAGUGCGGAGGCGCCAUGGUGAGCAAAAUGCCCAACGUCAUCUGGCUCGAGGGUGCCUUCAUGGAGUCCGUCAAAGGGUGGCAAUCGGGGUGGUUCUACAUCACAGAGCCGCGUGACCCUAAAUGGGCAGCGGCCCCCGAGUUCAGAUCUGGUAUCCCCAUGCAGCUCACCUCCUGGAAAGAGAAGGGCUUGCUAUGGGGUAGUUCGGAGGAGCUAACAGGACUCUAGUCCUGUCUCCAGACCCUGGUGAACAAGAAGCUUAAGCUUGUCAAUGUGAUCCAGGUCAUGCUCGUCCGCCGGAUUCUCCCCUGCCAGCAGCGGGCCUUCAAUUUGUGGGAGUUCGAUCCGGCACAGCACCGGACCCUGAGCGGGCUCUUCGACACGACGUACGAAGCUGCCUGGAGGGUGCUGUUCAAGGGCGGAGAAGCCCCCGCAUCCGCAACUGAAGAUCGCGGAUUCAGCACCAAGCGCCCGGCCGGCGAGGUAAGCUUUGUUAUCCUUUAUGGGACACUUAUUUCUUUCAUAGUUUGACUCUAUGUGGGAUCUAAAACUCCCAAUGCCUUUAACAGGACUGGCAGAGGACGUCCGGACAGGUUAGCUGUCCGGCUCCCCUUCCUGAAGACCCAGCGGACACCCGUUUGACGGGGCUGCUGGUUCCGGCCCUUUACGUGGUGCCGGAGAAGAAGGCCAAGAAGAAGGCCACAGGAACCCGAAGGAGUUCCCGGCGCCAGGUGGUAUCGGACUCAUCGUCCGAUGACUCCGAGGCGGACUCCUCCCUCGAAGACGAGGAGGAGAAAGAGGACUCUCCCCCGGAGGGGGGGAGAGAAGAAGAGGAAGGCUUCCCCAACGAGGAAGGCCGAAGGGUCCAAGAGGGGAAGGACCCUUCCUCCGGACAGCUCUGCCAACACCGACGACGGCGACGAGGGGUGGCCCUCAAGGUCCAAGCCCCCAGCAAGAUCGUAAGUAUCCGGAUUCCUGAAUGAUUUAUAAUUUCUCUUUUUUGCCACAUAGUGUCCUUCUAAUGCCGCAUACAACCUGUAGUCCGGCCGAGGACGAUUUUCCCGCUUCUUCGAGCGGGUCCUUGGCUCCGUCGGACGUGGAUUCCAUUCCGACCGCCUCCACCCCUCGUGAUGCUGAGGAUGCCGAGGUGGGAUCCCAGGAGGGGACCCGCCAGGAGGGGGAGGCUCCGGAGGUGCCACAGGGCAACCUCCCGGACUUCGCACCGGACUCCGCCCCGGAACCCACAGUGGUUCCAGAGUCUGGCAAGCGGCCCCUUCGUAAGAAGGGCAAGACCAUGACACCGGCAGCCUCCGUCCAACCGGAGGCGCCGGACAACUUGUUGGAGGCGCUCAAUGGCGCUUCCAUCGAGGAAGAACACUGCACUAUAAUGAGUGCGGUGAUUCAGAAGGUUCAGCUCGCGAAGAGCGGGCUGACCGAAGGCUGUAGCAGCCUUCUAACAGGCUUUGAGGUAAGAAAUUUUAAAAUAUGUAAUGUAAUACCGCAUAGACAGUAGCCCCUGAUGCUCGGUUCGGUGUUCGGAAAGAAAAGCCGGACUGAGGAUCUAAAAAGAUAUACACAGGAGUUCUAAAAAUUAUGUCAAUAUGGGUUUGCAGGCUGCGCUGCUAACCUUUGCCACACUGACUGCGUAGGUCGAUGCUUUGAAGCAGAACCUCGAGCGGUCCGAGAACGAGCUCAGCCUUGCCAAAAAGCAGCUCGAGGACAAAGAAGGUGAGUAACACCGUGUUAAAUUUGUACCUUACAGAAAAGGAUUUUGGUUGCAAGAGAAAUAACAAGGAUAACGUGGGCACUGCAGGGGCCACGAACGAGGUGGCGACCCUGAAGGAGGCCGUCUCCGCGGCCGAGCGUAAUGCGGCCGCGGAACGAGCGGAGCGAGAGAAGAAGGAGGCGCGGGUGGCGGAGGUGCAGCAAGAGCUCGAGGCUCUCAUGGAAAAGCAUGAGAGUUUGGAGCGCGACUCGAAGACUCGAGAGUCCGAGCUUGCUUCGGCUCUUGAGAGUGCCAAAGUCGCUAAGGCCGAGGCCCAUAAGGCCCUCCAGGAGAUUGAGGCGGUGAAGAAAAUAGCGGCGGGUAAGGCAUUUUUCAUGCAAAGCAAGCAUGUUAAAGUGAAUUACCUGUAACUUACCCGAAUUCAGAGCUCUCCAGGAGCGUUUGCAGAUCUUCCGCGCAGCGUGUCCGAUGCUGCCGCAUUCUACUGGGCCAAGGAGGGGAUCUCAACGGAGAAGGUAUUUUGGUCUCAGUAUGCUGAGGCCGGACAUCCGGUGCCCCUUAGCGACCAGCUGAAGCAGCUGGUCGAGCUCCACAAGGUAGCCGAGCAGGCCAUGAAGGGCCUCAUAGUCCGGCUGUGGCCUGAAGAGGCCAUGCCUGGGAGGUACUUCGGCAUGGUGCGGCGGUUGGUGGAUGCGUGUCCCUGGGUGGAAGUCAUCAAGCGCUUCGCCUGCAUUGAAGGUGCCCGUCGGGCCCUUGCCCGCGCAAAGGUGCACUGGGGCAGGCUGGAUGCUGAGAAGCUUCUGACGGACGCGCCGCCAGCGGGCAAGGAGUAUCACACGCCCGAAAUGUAUUAUAAGAGUGUCCUGAAGGGUGCCCGCAAGAUUGCGGAUGAGUGCCCCAAAGAUGUAAUAUUUGAGUAGACUCGCAAUGUGUUAUCCUGUGCGCUGAAAACUUUGUUCAUAUGCGCUAAGCAACGCUUAUUAAUUUAAAAUAUUACCUUCUAUGCGGCCGUUUAUCAAAUCUGAGAGAUGGCAAGUCGUCGGCUUCAGCCCCCAUGCCACGAGUGCUGGGGUGUUCGGGAUAAACUUGAGCGCUCUUGUUCCCAUUUUUGGGUCCAUCUAGGGAGGCGUUCAACACGACGAACAAGGCAACCGGACUUAUAAUGCUUGAACACUCUCACUUAGCCAUAGAAUUCUAUAAUUUUAAAUUUCGGCGAAGCCCCUAGUGUUCGGAAGACCGAGUUCGGGGCGCUAUCCACGCCUGGGCCGGACUAAGCUGGUGCCUCGCUCUAAGCGGCAUAAGUCUUUAGGGACUCGAAAAGACCUCUCGAACAGCGACCAGCUCUCGCCUUAUCAUGAUGGUCAGUUUUAGCUUUCUCCACUGAGGCACUCGCCCAACUCAACCGGGGCGCAAUCGCAGUGGUUCUCCCAGUGCUACCUUAGCCGAUAGAAUGGAACGUAAGGUACCAAAACAUGGGAGCCAGGCAAACCCAACUAUUGACCCAAGACAUGAUUCGGAGCCGAUGCAUACAGUGCUAUAAGUUCGGGGUGCCGCACUUGUGAAAGUGUUCGGACUUAUCACACCAUAAUGCGGGGAACAUAAGCCCCUGGUGUAUUCGGCCGUACCAAUGUGUACGGAUGCAAAACGUCAUAAAUGAACAUAUGUGUAAGAAAGGAAUGCAAUUAUAAGAAAAAAGUGAUGCAUUGUUUAUUCAAGGGAUUCUGGCAUGAGUGUAGAACGAUACAAAUAGUGCGGUAAGCAAGGGUUUGGACUAUUAGAAAUGUCUCCCUCCAGGGGUAGGCUGCGGAAUGGUGUAUUAAACAGAUUUAAUGCUCAUAAUGGAGACCACCUGAGUAUUCGUCAUAGCCUUCGUCCUUCCCUGGCUGUUGCAUCGUGAGUUCGGCCGAUCCAGUGCUGGACAGGGCCUCUGUUGAACGGAGUCCUGCGGAUAAUAAAAAAAGAAAAAGAAAGAGCGACAAACUUGGGAGCCCCUGGUGUGGUUGAGCCGCACUCUGGGCCUGUCGUGGUCGUGCCCCUCCCCCUAUGCCCAUGGUAUCUCCAGAGCGUAAUGAUGUACGCGAAGGGCUGGUCUUGCAAUCAUGCAGGGGCUGGGGUUGGGGCCGCAUUGCUACGCAUGCUCGGAACGUGCCAGGUGAUCUUGAUGUAUGUUACUCCGGGCGCUUUUGGCCAUGUCCGGUCGUUUAACGGCCGGACUCGAAAAUUGCCUUAAGAGGCUGCUCUGUACUUCUGCCGCGAGAGCCGCUCUAUGUUCCUCCGUUCGAAGGGAGCGUUCAGUGUUUCCGUUGACCGCGAUGACUCCACGAGGGCCUGGCAUCUUGAGCUUAAGGUAUGCAUAAUGCAGCAUCGCGUUGAACUUUGCAAACGCGGUUCGUCCGAGCAGAGCGUGAUAGCCACUGCGGAACGGGACUAUGUUGAAGAUUAACUCCUCGCUUCAGAAUUAUCCAGGGAUCCGAAGACCACUUCCAGUGUGACUGAGCCUGUACAAUUGGCCUCUACACCUGGUACGACGCCUUUGAAGGUCGUCUUUGUAGGUUUAAUCCUUGAGGGGUCUAUGCCCAUCUUGCGCACUGUAUCCUGAUAAAGCAGGCUCAGGCUGCCGCCGUCCAUCAGGACUCUGGUGAGGUGAAAUCCAUCAAAAAUUGGGUCUAAAACCAAUGCGGCGAAUCCGCCAUGGCGGAUACUGGUGGGGUGGUCCUUUCGAUCGAAAGUGAUCGGGCAAGAAGACCAUGGAUUGAACUUCGGGGCGACUGGCUCCAUCGCAUAUACGUCCCUAAGUGCACGCUUCCGCUCCCUCUUGGGUAUGUGGGUUGCGUAUAUCAUGUUUACCGUCCGCACUUGUGGGGGAAAACCCUUCUGUCCUCUACUGUUCGGCGGCCGGGUCUCUUCCUCGUCAUCGCUAUGCAGCCCCUUGUCAUUGUUUUCGGCAAUUAACUUGCCUGCCUGUUUGAACACCCAACAAUCCCUGUUGGUGUGAUUAGCUGGUUUUUCAGGGGUGCCAUGUAUCUGGCAAGAGCGGUCGAGUAUUCGGUCCAAAUUGGAUGGACCCGGAGUAGUUCGUUUAAAUGGCUUUUUCCGCUGACUGGGUUUAGAGCCUCUGAAUCCGGCGUUGACUGCUGUAUCCUCAGUGUUAUCGCCGUUAACGCGGCGUUUGUUUUUGUUACGACGCGACCUGCCAUUGCGGUCCUUGUUAUCCGGACUGCCAGAAUUUUUGCUGAGGUUGUUACUGCGAGCUAGCCAGCUGUCCUCCCCCGCACAGAAGCGGGUCAUGAGUGAUGUGAGGGCUGCCAUGGAUUUCGGCUUUUCCUGUCCUAGGUGCCGGGCCAGCCACUCAUCGCGGAUGUUAUGUUUGAAGGCUGCGAGGGCCUCUGCAUCCGGACAGUCGACACUUUGAUUUUUCUUUGUUAGGAACCGUGUCCAGAACUGUCUGGCCAAUUCGUCUGGCUGCUGAAUUAUGUGGUUUAGGUCAUCGGCGUCUGGUGGUCGCACAUAUGUGCCCUGGAAGUUAUCGAGGAAUGCGGCUUCCAGGUCCUCCCAACACCCAAUUGACUCUGCUGGCAAGCUGUUAAGCCAAUGCCGAGUUGGUCCUUUAAGCUUGAGUGGGAGAUACUUGAUGGCGUGGAGAUCGUCACCGCGGGACAUAUGGAUAUGAAGAAGAUAAUCUUCGAUCCAAACCGUGGGGUCUGUUGUGCCGUCGUAGGACUCAAUGUUCACGGGUUUAAACCCUUCAGGGAUUUGAUGAUCCAUUACUUCAUCUGUGAAGCAUAGUGGGUGUGCGGCGCCUCUAUACUGGGCAAUAUCACGACGUAGCUCAAGAGAGCUUUGUCUGCUGUCUUCGGCCCGGCCGGAGUUUCUGUAUCCAGCGCGACGGUAGUCAUCGUGGAUCGUGGGGCGCCCACGUGAUCCGUAGAUGGAUCUUGAUUGUUUUGCCUUUUUCUCCAAUAUAUCCCGCAAGUCCGGCGCAUUCCCCCGUGGCUUCGUGCUUUUCGAGCGGUGCUGGGGUACGGUUCUGGCGGAGGGCCUAGAUGCCUCUCUGUCGCAGCCACGAGGUGGUCGGUCUGCCGUAUUGUGCACUGGUGAUGAAGGUUUAUAUGCCUCCUCCUCUAAUCGGGGGAGCAACUUGCGUUUUGGGUAGCUUUUGGAGGGACGUUCGAGUUCAUGCUCUUCGGCCGCGAGGACCUCGGUCCAUCUGUCAGCCAGCAGGUCUUGAUCAGCUCGAAGCUGUUGCUACUUUUUAUUUAGGCUGUUUGCCGUGGCCAUUAGCCUGCGUUUAAAACACUCUUGUUCGACGGGAUCCUCGGGCACGACGAAUUCGUCGUCGUUGAGGCUUGCCUCGUCUCCGGAGGGAUGCAUGUAAUUGUCAUCCUCUAUCUCCUCGUCUACCGCUCUCUCUUGAGGGUUGGCUUCUCCGUCCUCCUAUGCUGAAUCUUGCUGGAGGGGGUUGUCUUCGGCACUCUCUGGAGUGUUAUUAUCUCUGGUGCCGGAAUCUCCAUUCUUGCUGUGGCGGGAUUUAAAGCGGCGCCGCUGACGUCGGCGCUUGGGCUGUUUCUUAGAGGAAUCUGCCUCCGCUGCUUCUUCGCCGUUGCCACCCUUUGGGAUGUCCGCCAUGUAUAUGUCGUAUGACGAGGUGGUCUUCUAGUGCCCUGUAGGCGCUGGUUCUUGGUCGUCUCCGGCAUCGUCGUCCAUACCGUCGAUGUCUUCGGAGUCGUAGUCUAGCAUGUCGGUUAGAUCGUCGACAGUGGCUACAAAGUGGGUGGUGGGUGGGCUUUGAAUUUCUUCGUCGUCCGCAUCCCAACCAUCCUGGCCACAGUCUAGCCAGGGCUCUCCUGAUAACGAGAGAUACUUUAGCGAAUUCAGGAUGUCGCCAAAGGGUGAGUGCUGAAAGAUGUCCGCAGCGGUGAACUCCAUGAUCGGCGCCCAAUCGGAUUCGAUUGGCAGGGGCGCAGGAGGUUCAGAGUCCGGCAAGGAGUCCGGCACCUCAGAGUCACGAGCUUUGCAAAGGGCAAGGUCAGUAUUCGGCUCCAUCGCCGUAGAAGUUGCAGCCCCCGAGGCGGUGUCCACCCACCUGUCCUCGAUCUGCAUGGUCGGCUCUGAACUAUGGGUCAGAGCGGACUCCAGGGUACUGUCCGGUGGCAGAGCUAAAUCGUGCCCAUCGUGACAGUGCGGCGUGCUCGGCUAUGGCUCGAAUCCAUCGAAGAUCAAGUCUCCGCGGAUGUCAGCCGUGAAGUUUAGGCUUCCAAACCUGACCUGAUGGCCAGGGGCGUAGCUUUCGAUCUGCUCCAGAUGGCCAAGCGAAUUGGCCCGCAGUGCGAAGCCACCGAACACGAAGAUCUGUCCGGGGAGAAAAGUCUCACCUUGGACCGCGUUGUUGUUGAUUGAAGAAGCCAUCAAGCCUAUCGGUGACGACACAGAGGAACUCUCAAUGAAAGCACCAAUGUCGGUGUCAAAACCGGCGGAUCUCGGGUAGGGGGUCCCGAACUGUGCGUCUAGGCGGAUGGUAACAGGAGACAAGGGACACGAUGUUUUUACCCAGGUUCGGGCCCUCUCGAUGGAGGUAAAACCCUACUCCUACUUGAUUAAUAUUGAUGAGUACAAGAGUGGAUCUACCACGAGAUCAAGGAGGCUAAACCCUAGAAGCUAGCCUAUGGUAUGAUUGUUGUAAUGGUUGUUCGUCCUACGGACUAAAACCCUCCGGUUUAUAUAGACAUCAGAGAGGGCUAGGGUUACACAUAGUCGGUUACAAUGGUAGGAGAUCUACAUAUCCGUAUCGCCAAGCUUGCCUUCCACGCCAAGGAAAUUCCCAUCCGGACACGGGACGAAGUCUUCAAUCUUAUAUCUUCAUAGUCUUGGAGUCCGGCCGAUGAUGAUAGUCCGGCUAUCCGGACACCCCCUAGUCCAGGACUCCCUCAGUGUGUAUAGCAAGGAUGAUUGUGGUAAACUAAAAAGCAAAGACUAAUAUAAUACACGACGCUCCAAGCAAAACACAUAUUAUGUGGCGAAUAAAAAUAUAGCUCCAAGUAAAGUUACCAAUGAACGAAGACGAAAGAGGGUAUGCCUUCCCGGAGCAUCCCCAAGCUUAGGCUUUUGGCUAUUCUUGAAUAUCUUGGGGUGCCUUGGGCAUCCCCAAGCUUAGGCUCUUGCCACUCCUUAUUUCAUAGUCCAUAAAAGUUUUACCCAAAACAUGGAAACUUCACAACACAAAACUCAAUAAGAAAUCUUAUAAGCUCCGUUAGUGAAAGAAAACAAAACCACCACAUAAGGUAUUGUAAUGAACUCAUUCUUUAUUUAUUUUGGUGUUAAACCUACUAUAAUCCAACUUCUCUAUGGUUUAUAGACUAUUUUACAAGCCAUAGAUGCAUCGUAUAAGCAAACAACACACGAAAAACAGAAUCUGUCAAAAACAGAACAGUCUGUAGCAAUCUGUAACUAACGCAAACUUCUGGAACUCUAAAAAUCCUACCAAAAUAGGAAGUCCUGGACAAUUUGUUUAUUGAUCGUCAGCAAAAAGAAUCAAUGCAAAAUCACGUUUAUUUGAUUAAACAAAACUAAAUUCGUGCGCACAAAGUUUCUAUUUUUCAGCAGAAUCAAAUCAACUAUCAUCAUAGGUUAUCCUAUAGGUUCUACUUGGCACAAACACUAAUUAAAAGAUAAAAACACAUCUAAACAGAAGGUAGAUAUAAGAUUUAUUACUAAACAGGAACAAAAACAAAAAACACAAAGAAAAUUGGAUUGCCUCCCAACUAGCGCUAUCGUUUAACGCCCCUAGCUAGGCAUAAAACCGAAGAUAGAUCUAAGUAGUGCCAUCUUUAAUUUUCAGUUUCUUAGCGGAGUCAUGCUCGAAUCCGGGAGGUUCUUUCCGCCUCCCUUCAUACUCAGAAAUUUUUAUAUCUAAAGAAUCCAACUGCUUAUUGCAAAGAGUAAUCAACAUAUUCAUGCGGUGAAGAUUUCCGCUAACACUUUUAAGAGGCUCAAGAGACUUUUGUAAAAAAAUUGUUACUUCGCAAAUCUUUCCAAACACUUGGGUUUCUUCUUGGGUAGGAUGUGGUCCUUCCUUUUGAGGUAGUGUUCCCACUAUUCCCUCUAUAAUUUCAUGCGCAAUACUGGGAUCAAUUUCAAUGAAAUUUCCCUUGGCAAUGCAGUCCAAGAGUUGUCUAUGCGUCAUAUUUAACCCAACAUAAAAACUGCGAAAAAGAAUUCUAAAGUUCACCUCUAGGGUGCACUUGCGGUAAGACUCCAUCAUCCUAUACCAAGCAUCUUUUAAGUUUUCUCCUUGCCUUUACUUGAAGUGAAGAACUUCAAACUCGGGAGACAUAGGAGCGGAUAAGGAACUAGACAUAACUAUAAGGUAAACGAUCCAGCACACGGGCAAACGGAAAAAGGCAAGCAAAAAGAGAGGAGGAGAUUGGGUAAGAGAGGGCGAAUAAAACGGCAAAGGUGAAGUGGGGGAGAGGAAAACGAGAGAUAAAUGGCGAAUAAUGUAAAUGCGAGGGAGAUGGGUUUGUGAUGGGUACUUGGUAUGUCUUGACUUGAGCGAAGGCCUCCCCGGCAACGGCGCCAGAAAUCCUUCUUGCUACGUCUUGAGCUUGCGUUGGUUUUCCUUGAAGAGGAAAGGUGAUGUAGCAAUAGAAGCAUAAGUAUUUCCCUCAGUUUUUGAGAACCAAGGUAUCAAUCCAGUAGGAGGCUCCUCAAAAGUCUCACGCACCUACACAAACAAACAAAGAACUCGCAACCAACGCAAUAAAGGGGUUGUCAAUCCCUUCACGACCACUUGCGAAAAUGAGAUCUAAUAAAGAUAGUAUGAUAAGAUAAAUAUAUUUUCGGUAUUUUAUAAUAUAGAUGCAAAAAGUAAAGAUGGAAAUAAAAGUAGAUUGGAAGCAAAUAUGAUAAGAGAUAGACCCGGGGGCCAUAGGUUUCACUAGUGGCUUCUCUCAAGAUAGCAUAAGUAUUACGGUGGGUGAACAAAUUACUGUCAAGCAAUUGAUAGAAAAGCGAAUAAUUAUGAGAUUAUCUAGGCAUGAUCAUGUAUAUAAGCAUCACGUCCGCAACAAGUAGACCGACUCCUGCCUGCAUCUACUACUAUUACUCCACACAUCGACCGACUCCUGCCUGCAACUAGAGUAUUAAGUUCAUAAGAACAGAGUAACACAUUAAGCAAGAUGACAUGAUGUAGAGGGAUAAACUCAAGCAAUAUGAUAUAAACCCCAUCUUGUUAUCCUCGAUGGCAACAAUACAAUACGUGCCUUGCUGCCCCUGCUGUCACUGGGAAAGGACACCGCAAGAUUGAACCCAAAGCUAAGCACUUCUCCCAUGGCAAGAAAUAUCAAUCUAGUAGGCCAAACCAAACUGAUAAUUCGAAGAGACUUGCAAAGAUAACUCGAUCAUACAUAAAAGAAUUUAGAGAAGAUUCAAAUAUUAUUCAUAGAUAAACUUGAUCAUAAACCCACAAUUCAUUGGAUCUCGACAAACACACCGCAAAAAGAGUUUACAUCAAAUAGAUCUCCACAAGAGAGGGGGAGAACAUUGUAUUGAGAUCCAAAAAGAGAGAAGAAGCCAUCUAGCUAAUAACUAUGGACCCAUAGGUCUGUGGUAAACUACUCACAACUCAUCGGAGGGGCAAGAAUGUUGAUGUAGAAACCCUCCAUGGUCGAUUCCCCCUCCGGCAGAGUGCCGACGAAGGCUCCAAGACGAGAUCUCGCGGAUACAGAAGGUUACGGCGGUGGGAAUUGUGUUUCGUUGGCUCCCUGGAUGUUUUCGGGGUACGUAGGCUUAUAUAGGAGGAAGAAGUACGUCGGUGGACGCCCGAGGGGCCCAUGAGACAGGGGGCGCGCCCUCCUAUCUCGUGGAGGCCUCGGCUGCUUCUUGACUUGCACUCCAAGUCCUCUGGAUCACGUUCGUUCCAAAAAUCACGCUCCCGAAGGUUUCAUUCCGUUUGGACUCCGUUUGAUAUUCCUUUUCUGCGAAACACUGAAAUAGGCAAAAAAACAGCAAUACGGGCUGGGCCUCCGGUUAGUAGGUUAGUCCCAAAAAUGAUAUAAAUGUGUACAAUAAAGCCCAUAAACAUCCAAAAGGGGUAAUAUAAUAGCAUGGAACAAUCAAAAAUUAUAGAUACGUUGGAGACGUAUCAAGCAUCCCCAAGCUUAAUUUCUGCUCGUCGUCGAGUAGGUAAAUGAUAAAAAGAGAAUUUUUGAUGUGGAAUGCUACCUAGCAUAUUUCUCAAUGUAAUUUUCUUUAUCGUGGCAUGAAUGUUCAGAUCCAAAUGAUUCAAAAUAAAAGUUCAUGUUGACAUAAAAAUAGUAAUACUUCAAGCAUACUAACAAAGUAAUCAUGUCUUAUCAAAAUAGCAUAUCCAAACAAAGCUUGUCCCUACAAAAUCAUAUAGUUAGGCUAUGCUUCAUUUUCGUCACACAAAAUACUCCCAUCAUGCACAACCCCGGUUUUAGCCAAGCAAUUGGUUCAUACUUUUUAACGCGCUUCAACUUUUUUAACUCUCACGCAAUACAUGAGCGUGAGCCAUGGAUAUAGCACUAUGGGUGGAAUAGAAUAUGAUGAUGGAGGUUGUGUGGAGAAGUCAAAAAAGGAGAAAGUCUCACAUUGACGAGGCUAAUCAACGGGCUAUGGAGAUGCCCAUCAAUUGAUGUCAACAUGAGGAGUAGGGAUUGCCAUGCAACGGAUGCACUAGAGCUAUAAAUGUAUGAAAGCUCAACAAAAGAAACUAAGUGGGUGUGCAUCCAACUUGCUUGCUCACGAAGACCUAGGGCAUUUUGAGGAGGCCCAUCACUGGAAUAUAGAAGCCAAGUUCUAUAAUGAAAAAUUCCCACUAGUAUAUGAAAGUGACAACAUAAGAGACUCCCUAUCAUGAAGAUCAUGGUGCUACUUUGAAGCACAAGUGUGGAAAAAGGAUAGUAACAUUGUCCUUUCUCUCUUUUUCUCUUUUUUUUGGUGGGCUUCUUUGGCCUCUCUUUUUUUAUUUGGGAUUCUUUGCCCUCUUUUAUUUUUCAUAAAGUCUGAAGUCUCAUCCUGACUGGUGGGGGAAUCAUAGUAUCCAUCAUCAUUUCCUCACUUGGGACAAUGCUCUAAUAAUGGAAUAUCAUCACACUUUUAUUUAUUUACAACUCAAGGAUUACAACUCAAUACUUAGAACAAAAUAUGACUCUAUGUGAAUGCCUCUGGCGGUGUACCGGGAUAUGCAAUGAACCAAGAGCGACAUGUAUGAAAGAACUAUGAAGGUGGCUUUGCCACAAAUAGGAUGUCAACUACAUGAUCAUGCAAAAGCAAUAUGACAAUGAUGGAGCGUGUCAUGAUAAACGGAACGGUGGAAAGUUGCAUGGCAAUAUAUCUCGGAAUGGUUAUGGAAAUGCCAUAAUAGGUAAGUAUGGUGGCUGUUUUGAGAAAUAUAUAAUGAGUUUUAUGUGUGAUAGAGUGUAUCAUAUCUCGGAGUUUGGAUGCACUGGCGAAGUUUGCACCAACUCUCAAGGUGAGAAAGGGCAAUGCACGGUACCGUAGAGGCUAGCAAUGAUGGAAGGAUAAGAGUGCGUAUAAUCCAUGGACUCACAUUAGUCAUAAAGAACUCAUAUACUUAUUGCAAAAGUUUAUUAGCCCUCGAAGCAAAGUACUACUACGCAUGCUCCUAGGGGAAGGGUUGGUAGGAGUUAACCAUCGCACGAUCCCGACCUCCACACAUAAGGAAGGCAAUCAAAGAGCACCUCAUGCUACAAAUUUGUCACACAACUUUUACCAUACGUGCAUGCUGCGGGACUUGCCAACUUUAACACAAGUAUUUCUCAAUUUCAUAAUUACCCAACUAGCAUGACUCUAACAUUACCACCUUUAUAUCUCAAAACAAUUAUCAAUUAUCAAAUUGUUCAUAGUAUUCAAUGCACUCUAUAUGAUAGUUUUUAUUAUACCCAACUUGGAUGCCCAUCAUAUUAGGACAAAUUUUAUAACCAAAGAAAAUACCAUACUGUUCUAAAAGACUCUCAAAAUAAUAUAAGUGAAGCAUGAGAGAUCAAUAAUUUUAGCAUCAAGAUCUAAAAACUCCGAAUCAUUGGGACGCCUUUUAACUAAAGUUAACUCAUCUCCUGUACCAUCAUUACCAAGAUUCAUAUUGCAAAACAAAGAUUUAAUAGGGGACACAUCAAUCACUUUUAGAUCUUUGUCAUUAUUUCCUUCUAACCCUUCUGAUUUGGCGGCCAUCUUAUUAACUAAAGUGGCCUGCUUAUCAAAAAAUUGGGCUAUUGAUUUUUCAAGACGAGCAAACUGAGAAUUCAAACCAUAAAAUUCCUUAGACAUAUCAUCAAGCUCUUUAUUCAUGUAUUCCAUAAAGCUUUUUGUUAUUUAAGCUCGUUUCUAAAGAAAUUAUUGUGCUCAAAUUGUAAAGCCAUAAAGCUUCUAAUGUUGCUUUCGAUCUGUUCCAUCCUUCUAAGGUGAGGAUCAAUGUUUUUAGGCAAGGCCAUCAGGGCAAGCAGGCACACAAGAGGCAAGCGAAAAAGAGGCGAACGGAAAAGAGAGGGCGAAUAAAACGGCAAGGGUGAAGUGGGGGAGAGGAAAACGAUAGGAAAAUGGCAAAUAAUGUAAUGCGAGGGAGAAGAGUUUGUGAUGGGUACUUGGUAUGUCUUGACUUGAGCGAAGACCUCCCCGGCAACGGCGCCAGAAAUCCUUCUUGCUACUUCUUGAGCACUGCGUUGGUUUUCCCUUGAAGAGGAAAGCGUGAUGCAGCAAAGUAGCGUAAGUAUUUCCCCCAGUUUUGAGAACCAAGGUAUCAAUCCAGUAGAAGGCUACACGAAAGUCCCUCGUACCUACACAAACAAACAAGAACCUCGCAACCAACGCGAUUAAGGGGUUGUCAAUCCCUUCAUGGCCACUUGCAAAAGUGAGAUCUAAUAGAGAUAAUAAGAUAAGAUAAUUUUUUUUGGUAUUUUUAUGAUAUAGAUUGGAAAGUAAAGAUUGCAAAAAAAUAGAUCGGAAAUUUAUAUGAUGGAAAAUAGACCCGGGGGCCAUAGGUUUCACUAGUGGCUUCUCUGAAGAUAGCAUAAGUAUUACGGUGGGUGAACAAAUUACUGUCAAGCAAUUGAUAGAAAAGUGCAUAGUUAUGAGAAUAUCUAGGCAUGAUCAUGUAUAUAGGCAUCACGGCCGCGACAAGUAGAUCGAAACGAUUCUGCAUCUACUACUAUUACUCCACACAUCGACCGCUACCCAGCAUGCAUCUAGAGUAUUAAGUUCAUAAGAACAGAGUAACGCAUUAGGCAAGAUGACAUGAUGUAGAGGUAUAAACUCAAGCAAUAUGAUAUAAACCCCAUCUUUUUAUCCUUGAUGGCAACAAUACAAUACGUGCCUUGCUGCCCCUGCUGUCACUGGGAAAGGACACCGCAAGAUUGAACCCAAAUCUAAGCACUUCUCCCAUUGCAAGAAAGAUCAAUCUAGUAGGCCAAACCAAACUGAUAAUUCGAAGAGACUUGCAAAGAUAACCAAUCAUACAUAAAAUAAUUCAGAGGAGAUUCAAAUAUUUCUCAUAGAUAAACUUGAUCAUAAACCCACAAUUCAUCGGAUCCCGACAAACACACCGCAAAAAGAGUUACAUCGAAUAGAUCUCCAAGAAGAUCGAGGAGAACUUCGUAUUGAGAUUCAAAUAGAUCUCCAUCUAGCUAAUAACUAUGGACCCAAAGGUCUAUGGUAAACUACUCACAACUCAUCGGAGAGGCUAUGGUGUUGAUGUAUAAGGCCUCCGUGAUCGAUUCCCCCUCCGGCGGAGCACCGGUAAAGGCUGCAAGAUGGGAUCUCACGGGUACAGAAGGUUGCGGUGGUGGAAAUAGGGUUUCGUGGUGCUCCUGGAUGUUUUCGGGGUAUGCAAGUAUAUAUAGGCGAAGGAAGUCGGUCAGGGGAGCCACGAGGGGCCCACGAGGGUGGGGGGCGCGCCCUCCUGCCUCAUGGCUUCCUCGUUUGCUUCUUGACGUCCACUCCAAGUCUCCUGGAUUGCGUUUGUUCCAAAAAUAACUAUUCCGAAGGUUUCAUUCCGUUUGGACUCCGUUUGAUACUCCUUCUCUGUGAAACACUGAAAUAGGCAAAAAAAACAGCAAUUUGGGCUGGGCCUCCGGUUAAUAGGUUAGUCCCAAAAAUGAUAUAAAAGUGUAUAGUAAAGCCCAUAAACAUCCAAAACGGGUAAUAUAAUAGCAUGGAACAAUAAAAAAUUAUAGAUACGUUCGAGACGUAUCAACCUACAACAACCUUUUUACCAUUCCCGAGCAACCUUCUUAACUGAAGUAUUUCCAAACUCUGGUUCGGUCCGAGCGUGGUUGUGUUAGUGCUAACAGAGCGACGAGGAUUGUGGUGCCAUCCUAUUUGCUCCCUGUGGAUCGACAAACCUUACUUAUCAUGAAAUUUCUACAUAGCCCUAUGCACUUGCAGGCCAUCAGCUGACGUCUGUCUCGAGUGUCGGUGAGGAAGGAGAGGACGGGAGAGGUGGCGGCGGAGGGGGAAACCCUAGUCGCCCCUGAAUCACCUAUCGGAUCAACACAGACAAAUGUUUGAGAUGAAAUGCAACCCACUACACCAUAGUUUUGACAUGGGACCCUAAAUCCUCUUUUGUUGCUUGUUGAGUUUCUCUUUCACUAGUCAUCUGAUCUCUUAUAAUACUUGUCAAACUCAGCAAGGGCCCUGUCAGAAUCAAUUAUUGAUCUAGUGGCUUUCAGAAUCCAAGUGUAUAGAUGCUUCAAAAUAUUGAUAGGUUGAGGCAUGCCUAUCUUUGGGCAAGACCGACAAGGUGACCGGUGGCAAGUGCGAAGUCAAUUGGAACAAGUUUCCAAACCAAAGGAAUAUGGAGGUCUUGGCAUUUUAAAUCUUGGGAGGUUUGCCUCUUCUCUCUGUCUGCGAUGGCUUUGUCUCAACUGAGAUGAACCACCAAGGGCGUGUUGUGGUUUGGGGACGCCAUGCGCCAAUGAGGAUUGUGACCUCUUCGUGACAAACACUAAGGUGAUGGUCGAUGAUGGAACUAAGUCAAAAAAUUUGGAGUCCUCUUGGUUUGAGGGUCUCGGACCCAAAGACAUUGUACCUAAGAUUUUUGAGAUAUCCCACAAGAAAGGAGGGUCUCCUUCCAUGACUUUGAGGGAUGGACAUUGGAUAACUCAGCUUGAAACCCAAAGAGGCCUCACGCUUGAGCACAUCCAAAAGUUCACGGCUCUUUGGAGAAGCUUGUGAACGUCAUUGUCCAUCUGGGCGUCAAUGAUACCAUCAUGUGGAAGCUCACCAAGAAUGGAAACUAUUCCGCUAAGUUUGCCUACAUGGCCCCGUUUACUAGGCUAACCUGAUCCAACUUACAAGCCAUGUUAUGGAUAGUCACUCCUCGAAGUGAAAUUCUAUGUUUGGCUAGUCACUCAAAACAUGAUAUAGACGGACGAUAGACUCCAGCGCCGAGGAUGGCCAAAUUACGACUAGUGCCCACUCUGCAACCAAGUAUAAGAAUCUGCAGUUCACCUUCUCUUCAAGUGCCGGUGCACUAUGCAUGUUUGGGACGAGUUGUUCUCCUGACUUGAUCUUCAUAUUUCAACAGUUCUUUGGCACCGGUUUGACAUAGUCAAAUCUUGGUGGGAUGAGAUCCUCACUAAAAAUGCUCAGCCCACGAAAGCAUCGUCUUCUUUGCUACUUCUUGUUGAAUAAGAAUUUUGGAAGGACGUGUAUUUAGGAACAAGAUGGCGCCCGUGGCGAUCGCUAUGUGGAGUAUCAAAGACGAAGUGUCUCUUUGGGUCUUUGCGGGGCUAAGCAUUUGAGUAAUGUAGUGACUUGAGAGUAAUUCGUUUAGGCUCCUCUCCUUAGUUACUGAAAUUUUCAAAUCUUUAUCUUUGUUUCAAAAAAAAAACUGCUGGAGAUGCAACCAUGCAAAAGAGGACUGUAAGAGCAAUUCCAACGUGGCCACCCAUUUCGUCCGCCACUAUCUGUUUGGGUCACCGCGGACAAAAGUGCUGGCCCAACGCGCCGACCCAAAACACGCCCGCUUCGCGUCCGCGCGGACCCAUUUCCUGCCCAAAUUUGUGCGUGAAAUGCGUAAGCACAGACGCUCCGCGCGUCCUCACAUGGCGACCGGUCAACUACCUCCCGCAUCUUUAUUAAUGACGACCGCAGACCGUGGGGCCAAGCGUCAGCGACAGCGGGCGGCCUUUUUAAUCUGAUCCCGCGGGGCAUCCUCAUCCUCUUCCAGCCUCCCGUCCUCAUCUAGCCACCCUUCUGCUUUCCCGUUGGCAACAACCCUAGCCAGCAUGGGCUUCUUCACUGGCAAGAAGAAAAGCAAAGCCCCCGCCAGCCCUUCGCCCCCCCCCCCGCGCCUCCGCCAGCGUCUACCCGCCCGACGAGGCAGCGGAUAAGUGUCCUAGUGCGUCAGACGAGGUGGCACUGGGAGCGUCGCAUCCCCCUCCCGUACCCCGAUGUCACGCUGCCACGUGACUGGCAUUUGGAUCCGGAGCAGAUCCUAGUGCCGGCGGUGCCGCAGAUGGCCCGGGCGCACGCGGGGAGGUGCGGCGCCGGCGGCAGCAGCUGACGCCGAAGCAGUGCCUCAACCCCAUCUACGCAGCAGACUCUCCCGAUUGGGAGGUAUGGUUCACCCUCGAGCACGAGCAGCAGCGCCGGCUCGGCGUCCAGCACGUGCGGGCUGGCACCCUGCCUCCCCUCACCGUGCACGACGAGGACCAGGAGAAGGAGGCCACCUACCAAGCGGCGCUGGCAGCUGCCCUCCAUGAAACCGAGGAGGAAGAGCGGCGCAAGGAAGAGGAGGCAACGUACCAGGCGCGCCUGUCGGAGGCCAUCACGCUCUUCGCUUCCGAUGAUUGUGGCGUGGCGCCGCUGAUGCCGCCGUCCCCCGUCCAUCCCGAGCCGGCGCCGACCCCCGUCAAGACCGAGUCGUACACAUGGGACGGGAUGGUGCGCAAGUGGGUCAGCGCGCCACCCGUCUGGUACGGGGCGACGCCGGCGCAGGAGGAGAUGUACCUCGACCACUGGCGGUGGCGCUGGCUGACGGAGGAGCGCCGCGAGGGCAAGCGGCUCGAGCAGUGCGAGCGUGACGAGGAGCGACGCGUGGUGGAGGAAAAGGAGCGCCUUGCCCAGGCUGCCCAGCCAGCGUUGCGCCGGCACCGAAGGACGUCACCACAGCCUGGGAGACGUUGUUCCCCUGGGCUGGCCCGGCGCCGACGCUCAUCGACCUCGGCGACAAGGACGCCUAGGGCAACGCGCCUCUUUCUAGCUUUUAGUUUUAUUAAAUGUUUUUAUUUAAUGUAAUAUGGACUCAUGGACUCUAGCCUGCCUUUGUGGCUGGCAUUUAUGUUCAAUUAAUGUUUUUAAAUUUUAAAAUAUUUGCGGUUUUUUUUGCGCGACCUCAAAAAUAGGUCGGGCAAGCGUUGGACGCUAGCGCUGACCCAAACGCGAAAACGGAUAUGUGUGUCCGCUGAACCAAUCCAAACGGACAAAAAAAGACAAAAUCGCCGUCAGUUUGGUUCGGCCGGCUGGAGUUGCUCUAAGCACGUGUGCACUGAGAAGAAAAGCGAAAAAGCAAAAGAGUGCAUGAACACUCCUACUUGGAAGAAAUGACGCAUUUGGUGAGCUAAUAUGAACGGGUCAGUUUCUACCAACUUUCCUUAAAACCGGCUAAGCGAGGGCAUUUAUCUCGCGAUCAGUGUUGAUUUAAAACAGCAUUCUGGUUGAACAAAGUUUGAAACAAAAUUGUGUAAAAAUAGUCAUGGUUAGUAAGAAAAUAUUACAGCCUCUGUUUAUUAAUGUAAGACGUUUUUUAGACACCACAUGGCAUGUGUGGUCAGCUAUCUAAGUUAAGUUAUGAAGAAGAAGGAAAAAGAAGGGGGAUAAGACGUUUUUUAGACUUACGGUCGUCUAAUUAGAUUGAAUUACAUUAAUGCCUAUCUUAUCUGUCUGAUUGGAUUCUUGUUAGGAGUAUUUCACAGUUGGCAUGGCGAAUAUUUUACUAAUAUAUUUUUGCCGCUAAAACUUUCAUCACUUGUAAAAUAAGCUAUAAUCACAACAAAAUCCAACCAAACUUCUCCGGAAAAGAAAAUCCAACCUAACUUCUCACGAAAUCUUGCAGUCCUUGGUUACCAAAAAAAAAAAAACUCCAUCUCAAGCUUUCCUCCUGAUGAAACUUUAACCUGUGAUGGAUGUCCUUGCUAAUGAGUACCGGAAGCAAGUUGAUUCGUUUGAAGGCGAGCAUCGCUGGGCAGACUUAACUUCCUGGAUCCAUCAGCUAGAUUCAUCACGAGACAUCCUUGAAUCGCCCCCUCUUUUCUUUUAUCGUGACCGCAUCGAUCUCCGUCGCCGCGAAAGCGACGACUAAAUCUCCCGAAUAAUCCACCGUCUUGUCCAUGCAUCCAUGUCGCCAUGAACAACCCAUGACUCCCUGGGCAGAGCACAAAUCAAGAUCACGAAACAGUAAUCAGGAGCCAUGCGUACAUCUCCUCCUCAGCUAGAGUACGUCCCACGAGGACGAGGCGAAGCAUGCGUGCGUGCAAUGGCACAUCGGCGGAAGCAAGUUGAUUUGUUUUGGCGGGUCGUGUCUCCAUAAAUCGUCGCCUCACGCGCCCGCGGUGGCCAGCCAUAUGCACCGGCUCUCCUUGCUUGCUUGGAUCGUCAGCUCUUGGUCGCUCCACUAAUCAAUGGCUUCCUGCUUCCGGGCGCGUCGGCAACCGGCAGCGCCAGCGCCGCCGCCGCUGAUUCCGUACGAGUCGUCGUACUCGGAGAUGGAGGGAGCGAUGGAGAACAAGAGGUGGGACAGCCUCGACUCGUGGUCGAUGCUGCUUGACGCGGGAGGCGGCGCGGAGCAGCAGCAGGCGAGCUCGUCGGCGGCGGAGGAGUGGAUGGCGGACCUGUCGCAGCUCUUCAUCGGGAACAAGUUCGCGUCGGGGUCCAACAGCCGCAUCUAUCGCGGCAUCUACCGACAGCGCGCGGUGGCCGUCAAGAUGGUGCGCCUCCCGGAGCGCGACGAGGACCGGCGGCGCGCGCUGGAGGACCAGUUCAACUCGGAGGUGACCUUCCUCUCGCGGCUCCGCCACCCCAACGUGGUGCAGUUCGUCGCCGCGUGCAAGCGCCCGCCCGUGUACUGCAUCAUCACCGAGUACAUGUCGCAGGGCACGCUCCGCAUGUACCUCCACAAGAAGGACCCCUACUCGCUCUCGCCGGAGACCGUGCUCCGCCUCGCGCUCGACGUCGCCCGCGGCAUGGAGUACCUCCACGCGCAGGGCGUCAUCCACCGCGACCUCAAGUCGCACAACCUGCUUCUCAACGACGAGAUGCGUGUCAAGGUCGCCGACUUCGGCACCUCAUGCCUAGAGGCGCACAGCUCACGCGCCGGCACCGGAGCGGGAGCGGGAGCGGGAGCGGGAGCGGGAGCGGGAGCCGGAGCCGGUGGCGGCGGCGGCGGCGAAGGGAAGGGUACCAACAUGGGCACGUACAGGUGGAUGGCGCCCGAGAUGGUCCGUGACAAGCCGUGCACCCGCAAGGUGGAUGUGUACAGCUUCGGCAUCGUGCUGUGGGAGCUCACCACCUGUCUGGUGCCGUUCCAGGGCAUGACCCCCGUCCAGGCCGCCUACGCCGCCUGCGAGAAGAACGCUCGGCCGCCGUUGUCGCCGACGUGCCCGCCGGCGCUCAACAACCUCAUCAAGAUGUGCUGGGCCGCCAACCCGGCCAGGCGGCCUGAGUUCAGCUACGUCGUGUCCGUGCUGGAGAACUACGAUCACUGCCUCCGGGAAGGGCUCCCACUGGUUACGCCGCCGUCGCCAGUGUCCUCGUUUCUCAGCAUCUUCAAGCUCGGCUCCUGCAUAAGCACCACCAACCUCCCCUCCAUGCCCGUCCACGUCUAAUCAUAUCCAUUCAAAUUUAUUGGUUCCUGCGGAACUAAUUAGCAAUCUGAUUCUUAGAACGAUCACCUGCGCCGGCCUAACUGACACCGCCUCGCUGCUCCGGUCAGUCGGUCACACCUCUGAGCUGCGCCCGUCGCAUCAGCGACACCCCACCCGUAUCAUCGACCGCCCGUCCUAUGCCGUAUGCCGACAGCACCGCGGCGAGCCACGUCCUCGUCUCCGUCUAUCUCUGUGCGAAGCAAAUCAACUGACACGCAAAUUUAUUUCUGUUGCCUGUGAAUUACGGCUAUCUCUUGCAUAAUUAUCUCUCUUGAAAUAGAUUCACCCGGCUUUAUAUAUAAAGCGAUAGCUGAACAAAGUACACGGUCACACGAUACGAGAUGAUGAAGUUACCCUCAACAUAGUCGAUCCAAGAUAAUCGGUUCACACAGAACGCACGCGCUACUGUACCAAUGGAGAACAUAGGAAGAUCCGAGAACAACGCCAUGUUAUGCCCUAAUACACCUAAGGUGCACGACAACACCCAUAGGAGAGAGAACGACGCUAAACGUCGUCGUUGCCAAGGUUUUCACCCGAAACCCAUACCCCAAAAGGAUCAUCACCACAACGUCUUCAAGAAGAAGCGGCACCGCCAUCGGCAACAAAGCGCAGAGCUUUUGAUCGGCAGCUCCCUCGUGCCAGCACAAGGUCUCCAAGGCAAGCACGACGAGAUUAGAACUCCAGAUCCGGAUCAAGGUGUCGCCACUGCUAGAGAGAGAGAGCGCGCCCGAGCCACCCGCGCUCCACCACUUACCACCCACGCGACUAAGGGGAAAGACAUCGUCGCCGCCAUGACGCCUGCCAGAGAGCCAACCAUGCAGACCGCCUUCCGGAGCCGCCGUCCCGGCAUUCAAGGUCCGAAACACCGCCAACCGCCCACUUCAUAGCGCACAAACCAUGGUAGGAGGAGCAGAGGUAAUCAUCCAUUCCUAGCCGGACAUCAGGCACUGAGAUUGGGUCAGUGCCCCCAUGGUAGGAAGCGGCGAGGCCUGUGUCCCCAGCCAGUCCCGAUGGACGAGGAGGGACACGAUCUAGUGACUACCGAUGGAUGCCGCGAAGAAUGCUGGGUUCUGGGGUAGGGUGCGUCGACUACAAAUUAAAAUUUUCUACGUGCAGAACAACCAGGAACAUGCUACGGGAGAUGGGUCACAGAUCGUUACCACUAGACGCGUAGUGCCGUGCAGCGGAAGUAGAUUUGAGGCAGCGUGUUCCCGGAGUCGCCUCGCGUUCCCGGAGUCGUCUCCUCCUUGCCGGUCUCCCACGUAGCCGAUCGGAUCCCACGAACAGGUUCGCUGGAGCGGCGCAAGUGCACCGCCUCUAAUGGUAUCCGCUCGUGCAGGAGGAACGUCGUGCGGCGGAUUGCUAGGUCCGAUCACACAACCGGCGGUGAGUAGAGGUGGCUAGUUGCAACACAUGCAAAGCCCUAACGACGGCGUCGAAGCGAUCAACCCAAUAAGUGUGCCGCACCUCCACUGUUUAUAGGCAUCCGUUGCGGGCUCAACACUUGGGCCUUGCACGGAUCCUAAAGCCCAAAGUCUACUCGGUCGCGUUCCAAGUCCAGCUCGGAUCACAUCCGCCCAGUGUCCUCCGAACCGACAUCAUAGGUUCCUUCCCUUAAGCGCGCGACCCCUUAGGUUCAAGUCGGCUUGGUCAUAGUUCGGAUCACCUCCGACCUGCAUGGUUGGUAGCGGCCUCUAGCAAGGCGUGCUGACCACCAGGCAGACUAUGAAGCUGGUUAGGCGAACCUGUACAACAUGUCACACUUUUGUUCCCUUUGCCUCAUGAUAUAUGUUGUCGGGCUCAAGGAGAGACUGUCAUCCUUAUGCUAGCCCGACCUAUUUCUCGUUCCAGUGAUACCGUCCACAAAUUGGAUUAUCUCGUAAUCCUUGUGGCAUGGCCAUGCUUAUCCUGGUCAGAUCACACGAGGGGCCCAGAGUAUAUCUCUCCUGAUCGGAGGGGCAAAUCCCAUCUUGCUCGACCAUGUCUUGCAGCAUGGGACUGGACAAGCUUGAAACCUACCUUUGUAACUACCCAGUCACGGAGUAGCAUUUGGUCGGCCCAAAGCUGGUCUGUCACCAUCCUGAGUACAUGGGCCAGCUCAGGUCGUAGGACAUAGAACGUAUGUUGUACUAGAGACUCACAGAUGACAUAUCGCUGCGUCUCAUCGUUGGGUCUGUCCGACUCGGACCUUAUCUCGACUCGGAUUCGACCAGAUCCUUUCUGAGUCCAUAUUAUCUGGUUAGCAUCCAAUGCUCCAUUGCUAGUGAGACCGAGCCAUCCAUCAUGUCAUAUGCUAGUCUAGUUUGACGUGUGCCCACACGUUACUUGCGACUAGGGACCAUUUAGGAUGUAUCAUACAACACAAGAUCUCACAGACAAGUCACGUACUUGCCAACAAGUAUCAUUGAUUACAUCCAAGGACUAUCUUUAUUCAUAAACACACAGGAAAUAUUAUCAUACAUGAUUGCUUCUAGGGCAUAUCUCCAACAAAGAAACCCCCGUCCAUAGCCCGGUGACCUUGGCCGAGGGCCGAGGCGCAGCUCCCACAACACCACGACUGUGGCUAUCAGCGUCGAUCUACCCGGCGGUGCAAUGAUGUCACGACCACCACCACCACCUCUAACCAUGUCCAUGAGGAGGACAACCUCACUGCACGCCGGCACCACCCAGACCAAUUGUCGGUGUUAAAACCAUUGGAUCUUGGGUAGGGGAUCCCGAGCUAGUGUCUCGGCUACAUGGUAACAGGAAGUAAAGAAGACUACCCAGGUUCGGGCCCUCUCCAAGAAGUAAAACCCUACGUCCUGCUUGUAUUGUAUUGAUUGUCGAUGGGAUAUAAAGUACAUGAUGAUCUACCUCAAGAUCGUAUGAAUGAGUUCUAAUGAAUAUGUGAUGAUCUAUUGACUAGUCUAGCCUCGGUUUAUCUAAUGUACUAGAGGCCUAGGAUUACAAGAGUUCUCUUCUUGUUUUUUAGCACAUGAAAGUUCUCGUCUUUUGCACAAAGUCUCGUGGAAUCUACCUUGUAUGCGUUAUGGGCCUCUCCAAGCGGCUCAUUAAUGAACCACCACGGGAUCCUCGGCCCGACGCUCCUGGUCGGGAGACGACAUGGUGAGUACCCCCUAAUCCAGGACCGCGAGUAGCACCUGAACCGGUCUUCAAGUUGGCGACGCUCCUCGGUUCUUUCGAAUUGUUUUUCGUCUUCGUUCGUCGAUCUUUAAAGUUGGUUCAACAAAUCUUCUUAUCUCCAAUCUCGAGGAUCGACGAGGUGUAUCCGAAGAUUUCACAUGUCGGACAUCUGAGGAGCCCCUUUAAGUUCUCGGCCUUUACAGAUGCCUUGUUAUUUUUGUGCCACACCUCGGGUUUGAAGUUUUUUCCCGAGCGAUGGUGUCCUCUUGCAGCCGAGCUCCAACAGCAAACUACAUCCAAGGUGUCUUCUUGCAGCUGAGCUCCAACACCAGACAUCAUCCGAGGUGUCAUAGAUCACCUUGGUUUUGAAAAAGUUGGAGGACUUUACUCGAGCUUCAUGCUGGAAAAUUCUCAUGUGUAGUCAACCGCUCGCACCCGAGCUCCAACGCUAGAUAGCUUCCAAGUGGUGCACCGCCUCAGCCUUGGGCUGAUUUUUUUGCGAAUUUGUCUUGAUUUGUGUAAUUUAUUCUCUGCUGAGAUGUAUAGCCAAUAGCCUUCAAGGUGUGUGCCGGCCUAAAAUCCGAUAUGCACCUGAAGGAUAACAUAAAACCGCUGAUCCCAGUAACCACUGAGACUCAGGUUGAUUCGCGAAAAUUGGCCUAAGGAUUAAUUCCUUGCUUGGUAGAAUACUUUUAGGAACAGAAACGCGGUGCGCAAUAGCAUCCGAGAUUUAGGUUGGGUGCCGCCGACCAACCCAAGGAUCGUAAUCUCCUCGAAAACCGUUCUACACUUUGAAUUUUCUGCAUUGAAUCGUCAAUGCAGUAGCCCCCGAGACUUGCGUUGGGCCACAUGGCCAACCCUAGGAUCGUAUCUCCUCGGGAACUAGUUCAACCACCGUGUGUGUUUUGCCAAUGCCGAAGUGCAGCUCGGCAGGAAAGAUGCCGAACCGCGGGUCGGAAAGAUUUCCCGAGCAGAAUUACCAUGCAGGACACCUCGAGCAAAAGGAUGUCCUGCCUCCUGAAAAAACUUACAAAUAGGUUAAAAUGUUAUAAGCUCAGAAAACCAGAAAACUUAUGUAAAACUUUAAGUCUAAGUUUUUUGGUGUCAAUCCAAAAUUGACCUUAAAAUUAAUUAGUGCUUCCAUUGUGCUUUAACAUAACACAUCCAAUCUCUAGGCUUCAAGUGGGUCAGCCUUAGGCUUCAACCUCCCUUUACCCGAAGGCAGAGUGCUUCUCAGACCAGUUUAGCAAACUAAACUCGAGCGGCUUUAGAGAGAAACUAGGGUAUCCGGCUAUUCGACCAUACACUGAGUCGAAAAAGGAGUGGUAGAAAUAGACUUUGCAUGAACUUAGAAGAAAAUGCUUAAAAACAACACAUGUAAGUUUAUGAGCCCCCAGUUAACCUGGUUAAAGGAAGUUGUUAUUAACAAACAUUGUUUUUAACGAAAAACUUCUAAAAAAAUAUAAUGCUUGGUUGAAUCGAACAAAAACUGAAAAAUUGAAAAAAAAUGAGCAUGAAAGCGACUUAGCUAGUUAAUGUGCUCGGUGUUGAUGAUGCGGUCUGGGCUUGCAGCGGGAUGAAGACGUCCAUAGAACUUUGACAGAUUCGACAUGGUGCGUAGUGAAGGAAAUAUGCCCUAGAGGCAAUAAUAAAGUUGUUAUUUAUAUUUCCUUAUAUCAUGAUAAAUGUUUAUUAUUCAUGCUAUAAUUUUAUUAACCGGAAGUAUAUGUGUGAAUGCAUAGACAAAAUAGAGUGUCCCUAGUAUGCCUCUACUUGACUAGCUCGUUAAUCAAAGAUGGUUAUGUUUCCUGACCAUAGACAUGUUGUCAUUUGAUGAAUAGGAUCACAUCAUUAGAGAAUGAUGUGAUGGACAAGACCCAUCUGUUAGCUUAGCACAAUGAUCGUUAAGUUUUAUUGCUAUUGCUUUCUUCAUGACUUAUACAUGUUCAUCUGACUAUGAGAUUGUGCAACUCCCGAAUAAUGGAGGAACACCUUGUGUGCUAUCAAAUGCCACAACGUAACUAGGUGAUUAUAAAGAUGCUCAACAGGUGUCUCCGAAGGUGUUUGUUGGGUUUGCAUAGAUCGAGAUUAGGAUUUGUCACUCCGUGUAUCGAAGAGGUAUCUCUGGGCCCUCUCGGUAAUGCACAUCACUAUAAGCCUUGCAAGCAAUAUGACUAAUGGGUUAGUUAUGGUAUGAUGCAUUACGGAACGAGUAAAGAGACUUGCCGGUAACGAGAUUGAACUAGGUAUGAAGAUACCGACGAUCGAAUCUCGGACAAGUAACAUACCGAUGACAAAGGGAACAAUGUAUAUUGUUAUGCGGUUUGACCGAUAAAGAUCUUCGUAGAAUAUGUAGGAACCAAUAUGAGCAUCUAGGUUCCGCUAUUGGUUAUUGAUCGGAGAUGUGUCUCGAUCAUGUCUACAUAGUUCUCGAACCCGUAGGGUCCGCACGCUUAAUGUUCGAUGACGAUUUGUAUUAUGAGUUAUGUGUUUUGGUGACCGAAGUUUCUUCGGAGUCCUGGAUGAGAUCACGGACAUGACGAGGAGUCUCGAAAUGGUCGAGAGGUAAAUAUUCAUAUAUUGGAAGGUUACAUUCGGACACCGGAAUGGUUUCGGGAAGUUUCGGAGUACCAGGAGAUUACCGGAACCCCUCCGGGAAAGUAAUGGGCCAACAUGGGCCUUAGUGGAGGAGAGAGGGCCGUCCAUAGGAGGUGGCGCGCGCCCCCCUUGCCAAUCUGCAUUGGACAAGGGGUGGGUGUGGUGCCCCCCUUUCCCUCUCCUACUCCCUAUCUCUUUCCCCCUUUGCUACUCCGAACAAAGGGGUAGGGGCACCCCAAAGGCACAACAUUGUCUUAGUCGUGUGCGGUGGCCCCUCCACCGUUUACUCCUCUGAUAGUGUCAUCGUAGUGCUUAGGCGAAGCCCUGCGCGGAUCACAUCACCAACACCGUCAUCACAUCAUCGUGCUGACAAAACUCUCCCUCGACCCUCUGCUGGAUCAGGAGUUCGAGGGACGUCAUCGAGUUGAACGUGUGUUGAACUCGGAGAUGUCGUACGUUCGGUACUAGAUCGGUUGGAUCGUGAAGACAUUCGACUACUUCAACCGUGUUAACCUAACGCUCUGCUUUCGGUCUAUGAGGAUACGUGGACACACUCUCCCCCUCUCGUUGAUAUGCAUCUCCUAGAUAGAUCUUGCGUGAUCGUAGGAAAUAUUUUGAAAUUGCAUGCUACAUUCCCCAAUAGUGGUAUCAGAGCUAGGUCUAUGCAUAGAUGAUAUGCACAAGUAGAACACAAAGAGUUGUGGGCGAUAAUAGUCAUACUGCUGACCACCAAUGUCUUACUUUGAUUCGGCGAUAUUGUUGGAUGAAGCGGACCGGACCAACAUUAUAUGACCACGUUCAUGAGACCAGUUCUACCGACGUGCUUUGCACACAGGUGGCUGGCAGGUGUUUGUUUAUCCAACUUUAGUUGAAUCGAGUUUGACUACGACCGGUCCUUGUUUAAAGUUAAAAUAGCACACUUGAUGAAACGUUGUGGUUUUGAUGCGUAGGUAAGAACGGUUCUUGCUAGAAGCCCGUAGCAGCCACGUAAAACUUGCAACAACAAAGUAGAGGACGUCUAACUUGUUUUUGCAGGGCAUGUGGUGAUGUGAUAUGGUCAAUAAAUGAUAUGAUAUAAAUUGUUGUAUGAGAUGAUCAUGUUUUGUAACAGAGUUAUCGGCAACUGGCAGGAGCCAUAUGGUUGUCGCUUUAUUGUAUGAAAUGCAAUCGCCAUGUAAUUGCUUUACUUUAUCACUAAGCGGUAGCGAUAGUCGUAGAAGCAAUAGUUGGCGAGACUACAACGAUGCUAUGAUGGAGAUCAAGGUAUCAAGCCGGUGACAAUGGAGAUCAUGACGAUGCUUUGGAGAUGGAGAUCAAAGGCACAAGAUGAUGAUGGCCAUAUCAUGUCACAUAUUUUGAUUGCAUGUGAUGUUUAUCUUUUAUGCAUCUUAUUUUGCAUAGUACGGCGGUAUCAUUAUAAGAUGAUCCCUCACUAAAUUUCAAGGUAUAAGUGUUCUCCCUGAGUAUGCACCAUUGCUACAGUUCUUCGUGCCGAGACACCACGUGAUGAUCGGGUGUGAUAAGCUCUACGUUCACAUACAACGGGUGCAAGCCAGUUUUGCAUGUGCAGAAUACUCGGGUUAAACUUGCCGAGCCUAGCAUAUGCAGAUAUGUCCUCGGAACACUCAGACCGAAAGGUCGAACGUGAAUCAUAUAGUAGAUAUGAUCAACAUAGAGAUGUUCACCAUUGAAAACUACUCCAUCUCACGUGAUGAUCGGACAUGGUUUAGUUGAUAUGGAUCACGUGAUCAUUUAGAUGACUAGAGGGAUGUCUAUCUAAGUGGGAGUUCUUUAGUAAUAUGAUUAAUUCAACUUUAAUUUAUCAUGAUCUUUGUCUUGAUAGUUUUUUUUUCAUAUCUAUAUUAUUGUAGAUCAAUGGCUCGUGUUACCGUUCCCUUGAAUUUUAAUCCGUUCCUAGAGAAAGCUAAGUUGAAAGAUGAUGGUAGCAACUACACAGAUUGGGUCUAUAACUUGAGGAUUAUCCUCAUUGCUGCACAGAAGAAUUAUGUCCUUGAAGCACCGCUAGGUGCAAUACCUGCUGCAGGAGCAGAUGCUGAUGUUAUGAAUGUCUGGCAAGCUCGAUCUGAUGAGUACUCGAUAGUUCAGCGUGCCAUGUUUUACGGCUUAGAAUCGGGACUUCAAAGACGUUUUGAACAUCAUGGAGCAUAUGAGAUGUUCCAAGAGUUGAAGUUAAUAUUUCAAGCAAAUGCCCUAGUUGAGAGAUAUGAAGUCUCCAACAAGUUCUAUAGCUGCAAGAUGGAGGAGAAUAGUUUUGUCAGUGAACACAUACUCAAAAUGUCUGGGUACCAUAACCACUUGACUCAGCUGGGAGUUAAUCUUCCUGAUGAUAGUGUCAUUGAUAGAGUUCUUCAAUCACUGCCACCAAGCUAUAAAGGCUUCGUGAUGAACUAUAAUAUGCAAGGGAUGGAAAAUACAAUUCCCGAGCUCUUCGCAAUGCUUAAGGCUGCAGAGGUAGAAAUCAAGAAGGAGCAUCAAGUGUUGAUGGUUAACAAGACCACUAGUUUCAAGAAAAAGGGCAAAGGAAAGAAGGGGAACUUCAAGAUUAGCAAGCAAGUUGCUACUCCCGGGAAGAAACCCAAGUCUGGACCUAUGCCUGAAACUGAGUGCUUCUACUGCAAAGGGACUGGUCACUGGAAGCGGAACUGCCCCAAGUAUUUGGCGGAUAAGAAGGAUGGCAAAGUGAAAGGUAUAUUUGAUAUACAUGUUAUUGAUGUGUACCUUACUAAUGCUCAUAGUAGCGCAUGGGUAUUUGAUACUGGUUAUGUUGCUCAUAUUUGCAACUCGAAACAGGGGCUACGGAUUAAGAGAAGAUUGACUAAGGAUGAGGCAAGGAUGCGCGCUAGAAAUGGUUCCAAGGUCGAUGUGAUCGCCGUUGGCACGCUACCUCUACAUCUACCUUCGGGAUUAGUUUUAGACCUGAAUAAUUGUUAUUGGUGCCAGCGUUGAGCAUGAACAUUAUAUUUGGAUCUUGUUUGAUCCGAGACGGUUAUUCAUUUAAAUCAGAGAAUAAUUGUUGUUCUAUUUAUAUGAGUAAUAUCUGUUAUGGUCAUGCACCCUUGAUGAGUGGUCUACUUUUGUUGAAUCUCGAUCGUAGUGAUACACAUGUUCAUAAUAUUGAAGCCAAAAGAUGCAACGCUAGUAAUGAUAGUUGUGAUACUGCCGUUUAGGUCAUAUUGGUGUAAAGCGCAUGAAGAAACUCCAUGCUGAUGGGCUUUUGGAAUCACUUGAUUAUGAAUCACUUGAUGCUUGCGAACCAUGCCUCAUGGGCAAGAUGACUAAGACUCCAUUCUCCGGAACAAUGGAGCGAGCCACUAACUUAUUGGAAAUAAUACAUACCGAUGUAUGCGGUCCAAUGAGUGUUGAGGCUCGCGGCGGGUAUCGUUAUUUUCUGACCUUCACAGAUGAUUUGAGCAGAUAUGGGUAUAUCUACUUAAUGAAACAUAAGUCUGAAACAUUUGAAAAGUUCAAAGAAUUUCAGAGUGAAGUGGAAAAUCAUUGUAACAAGAAAAUAAAGUUUCCAUGAUCUGAUUGCGGAGGCGAAUAUUUGAGUUACGAGUUUGGCAUUCUUUUGAAACAAUGUGGAAUAGUUUUGCAACUCACGCCACGUGGAACACCACAGCGUAAUGGUGUGUCCGAACAUCAUAACCGUACUUUAUUAGCUAUGGUACGAUCUAUGAUGUCUCUUGUUGAUCUACCGCUAUCGUUUUGGGGUUAUGCUUUAGAGACGGCUGCAUUCACGUUAAACAGGGCACCAUCUAAAUCCGCUGAGACGACACCAUAUGAACUGUGGUUUGGCAAGAAACCUAAGCCGUCGUUUCUUAAAGUUUGGGGCUGCGAUGCUUAUGUGAAAAAGCUUCAACCUGAUAAGCUUGAACCCAAAUCGGAGAAAUGCGUGUUCAUAGGGUACCCAAAGGAAACUUUUGGGUACACCUUCUAUCACAGAUCUUAAGGCAAGAUAUUCAUUGCUAAGAAUGGAUCCUUUCUAGAGAAGGAGUUUCUCUCGAAAGAAGUGAGUGGGACGAAAGUAGAAAUUGAUGAGGUAAUUGUACCUUCUCCCGAAUUGGAAAGUAGUUCAUCACAGAAAUCAGUUCUAGUGAUUCAUACACCAAUUAGUGAAGAAGCUAAUGAUGAUGAUCAUGAAACUUCAGAUCAAGUAACUACAAAACCUCGUAGGUCAACCAGAGUACGGUCCGCACCAGAGUGGUACAGUAAUCCUAUUCUAAAAGUCAUGUUACUAGACCAUGAUGAACCUAUGAACUAUGAGGAAGUGACGAUGAGCCCAGAUUCCGCGAAAUGGCUUGAGGCCAUGAAAUCUGAGAUGGGAUCCAUGUAUGAUAACAAAGUGUGGACUUUGGUGUACUUGCCCGAUGAUCGGCAAGCCAUAGAAAAUAAUUGGAUCUUCAAGAAGAAGACUAACACUGACGGUAAUGUUACUGUCUACAAAGCUCGACUUGUUGCGAAAGGUUUUCGAUAAGUUCAAGGAGUUGACUACGAUGAGACCUUCUCACCCGUAGCAAUGCUUAAGUCUGUCUGAAUCAUGUUAGCAAUUGCCGCAUUUUACGAUUAUGAAAUUUGGCAAAUGGAUGUCAAAACUGCAUUCCUUAAUGGAUUUCUUAAAGAAGAGUUGUAUAUGAUACAACCAAAAGGUUUUGUCGAUCCAAAAGGUGCUAACAAAGUGUGCAAGCUCCAACGAUCCAUUUAUGGACUGGUGCAAGCCUCUUGGAGUUGGAAUAUACGCUUUGAUAAUAUGAUCAAAGCAUAUGGUUUUAUACAGACUUUUGGAGAAGCCUGUAUUUACAAGAAAGUGAGUGGGAGCUCUGUAGCAUUUCUAAUAUUAUAUGUGGAUGACAUAUUAUUGAUUGGAAAUAAUACAGAAUUUCUAGAUAGCAUAAAAGGAUACUUGAAUAAGAAUUUUUCAAUGAAAGACCUCGGUGAAGCUACUUAUAUAUUAGGCAUCAAGAUCUAUAGAGAUAGAUUAAGAUGCUUAAUUGGACUUUCACAAAGCACAUACCUUGAUAAAGUUUUGUAGAAGUUCAAAAUGGAUUAGUCAAAGAAAGGGUUCUUUCCUGUGUUACAAGGUGUGAAGUUGAGUCAGACUCAAUGCCCGACCACUUCAGAAGAUAGAGAGAAAAUGAAAGUCAUUCCCUAUGCCUCAGCCAUAGGUUCUAUCAUGUAUGCAAUGCUGUGUACUAGACCUGAUGUGUGCCUUGCUAUAAGCUUAGCAGGGAGGUACCAAAGUAAUCUAGGAGUGGAUCACUGGACAGCGGUCAAGAACAUCCUGAAAUACCUGAAAAGGACUAAGGAUAUGUUUCUCUUUUAUGGUGGUGACAAAGAGCUUGUCGUAAAUGGGUAUGACGAUGCAAGCUUUGACACUAAUCUAGAUGACUCUAAGUCGCAAACCGGAUACGUAUUUAUAUUGGAUGGUGGAGCUGUCAGUUGGUGCAGUUCCAAGUAGAGCAUCGUGGCGGGAUCUACAUGUAAAGAGGAGUACAUAGCUGCUUUGGAAGUAGCAAAUGAAGGAGUCUAGAUGAAGGAGUUCAUAUUCAAUCUAGGUGUAAUACCUAGUGCAUCGGGUUCAAUGAAAAUCUUUUGUGACAACACUGGAGCAAUUGCCUUGGAAAAGGAAUCCAGAUUUCACAAGAGAACCAAACACAUCAAGAUACGCUUCAAACUCCAUCCGCGAUCAAGUCAAGUAGGGACACAUAGAGAUUUGCAAUAUACAUAUGGAUUUGAAUGUUACAGACCCAUUGACUAAGCCUCUUCCACGAGCAAAACAUGAUUAGCACCAAGACUCCUUGGUUGUUAGAAUCAUUACUAUGUAAUCUAGAUUAUUGACUCUAGUGCAAGUGGGAGACUGAAGGAAAUAUGCCCUAGAGGAAAUAAUAAAGUUUUUAUUUAUAUUUCCUUAUAUCAUGAUAAAUUUUUAUUAUUCAUGCUAGAAUUGUAUUAAUCGGAAACUUAGUCCAUGUGUGAAUACAUAGACAAAAUAGAGUGUCCCUAGUAUGCCUCUACUUGACUAGCUCGUUAAUCAAAGAUGGUUAUGUUUCCUGACCAUAGACAUGUGUUGUCAUUUGAUGAACGGGAUCACAUCAUUAGAGAAUGAUGUGAUGGACAAGACCCAUCCGUUAGCUUAGCAUAAUGAUCGUUAAGUUUUAUUGCUAUUGCUUUCUUCAUGACUUACACAUGUUUCUCUGACUAUGAGAUUAUGCAACUCCCGAAUACCAGAGGAACACCUUGUGUGCUAUCAAACGUCACAACGCAACUGGGUGAUUAUAAAGAUGCUCUACAGGUGUUUGUUGGGUUGGCAUGGAUCAAGAUUAGGAUUUGUCACUCCGUGUAUCGGAGAGGUAUCUCUGGGCCCUCUCGGUAAUGCACAUCACUAUAAGACUUGCAAGCAAUGUGACUAAUGGGUUAGUUACGGGAUAAUGCAUUACGGAACGAGUAAAUAGACUUUCCGGUAACGAGAUUGAACUAGGUAUGAAGAUACCGACGAUCGAAUCUCAGACAAGUAACAUACCGAUGACAAAGGGAACAACGUAUAUUGUUAUGCGGUUUGACCGAUAAAGAUCUUCGUAGAAUAUGUAGGAACCAAUAUGAGCAUCUAGGUUCCGCUAUUGGUUAUUGAUCGGAGAUGUGUCUCGAUCAUGUCUACAUAGUUCUCGAACCCGUAGGGUCCGCACGCUUAACGUUCGAUGACGAUUUGUAUUAUGAGUUAUGUGUUUUGGUGACCGAAGUUUUGUUUGGAGUACCGGAUGAGAUCAAUGACAUGAAGAGGAGUCUCGAAAUGGUCGAGAGGUAAAUAUUCAUAUAUUGGAAGGUUACAUUCGGACACGGGAAUGGUUUCGGGAAGUUUCAGAUAAGUUUUGGAGUACCGGGAGGUUACCGGAACCCCUCCGGGAAAGUAAUGGGCCAACAUGGGCCUUAGUGGAGGAGAGAGGGCCGGCCAUAGGAGGUGGCGCACACCCCCCUUGCCAAUCCACAUUGGACAAGGGGUGGGGGUGGCGCCCCCCUUUCCCUCUCCUACUCCCUCUCUCUUUCCCCCUUUGCCCUUUGCCACACCAAAAAAAGGAAAAAGUGGGGGGGGGGGGGCGAAUCUUACUUGGAGUGGAGUCCUAGUAGGACUCCCCCAUGGAGCGCCCCUCCUGGUCACCGGCUUCCUCCCCCCACCUUUAUAUACGGGGGUAGGGGCACCCCAAAGGCACAACAUUGUCUUAGUCGUGUGCGGCGCCCCCCUCCACCAUUUACUCCUUGAUAGUAUCAUUGUAGUACUUAGGCGAAGCCCUGCACGGAUCACAUCACCAACACCCUCAUCACGCCGUCGUGCUGACGAAACUCUCCCUCGACCCUCUGCUGGAUCAGGAGUUCGAGGGACGUCAUCGAGCUGAAUGUGUGCUGAACUCAGAGAUGUCGUACGUUAAGUACUAGAUUGGUUGGAUCGUGAAGACGUUCGACUACAUCAACCGUGUUAACCUAACGCUUCUUCUUUCGGUCUAUGAGGGUACGUGGACACACUCUCCCCCUCUUGUUGCUAUGCAUCUCCUAGAUAGAUCUUGUGUGAUCAUAGAAUUUUUUUUGUAAUUGCAUGCUAUGUUCCCCAACACAUAGUCCUUGGUCUGGCCAAGGUCCCAGCCCCACGCCCAUCCCAAUGAGGAGCUCGAUUUGAUGAAGUGGCAGAGCAAAGAGCUUGGAUCAACGAUGUGGCGACGUGUAAUGGUCGAUGUGGCAAGGAGAGUCCCCCAGUCUAGACGAGGUGGCGGAGGAUGUCAGCUAAAUGAUGUUGAACUCCCUGAAGUAGGUUGAUGAAGAAAUGGUGAAGCCCCUGGUCCAGCCGAGGUGACGGAGCAGGUCAGCGGGGAGACUCCAAAGCCCCCAUGUUAGCCUGCUUAUCGAAGCAGGUUAGCGUGCUGGACGUUGGUUUGAUGAAGAGACGACGUGACGAUGAUGACACAGGUCAAAAUUUGGGAUGUCGUCGAUGCUGGUUUGAUGAAGUGACCGAGCGGUGAUGUCGGCAUGCCCGCCCUGUGUAAUCUGUGGGGCUUUGGUGAUGAUUUAGCCCCCUCGAGAAGACUGCGGCUAUAAAUAUCCACCCCUUCCAACGUGCACCAUUGGCUGGUCUGUUUGAUUAUGCGAAGGUUGUGUGAGCAACCCCUCUCCCAAGUGAUUUGAGUUUAAAAUCCACUGAGAGAAAACCCUAGAGCCGAAAAAUAUAUAGUGGUUUUGCAUCACUAGAAUCUUAAGUCAAGUACGCUCUGCCUAUAACUCUUGAGAGUUGCGAACUUUGUAGACGGUUAGGUGUCAAAUUCUUCAAUGACCAAGAGUAAUUGUGGUUCAUAAAGAAGAAGUAUGUGAAGUUUUGAGAUCGCCUCAAGCAUCUACCAUGAGUAACUGGUUGACAAAUCAGUUGUCGAGGAGAAUAGGAUGAUGAGAGUUCAUCUUGUAUGUUCAAUCACAAGUCCCUCCAACCAGAUGUAGCUCUUGUGCAGAAGAGUGAACUGGUCGAUCAAAUACCAUGUCAUCAUCGAGCAUCACUGAUUAACUCUAUACCUUGUAUACUUUCAAUUCUUCAUUGUGAGUUAUUUAUCGACUUUGUAGUUUUCCUUCGAUGCAUGCUCUAGUUCUACUUCAAUAGUUUCCAUUCAUAUUUACAUUAUGUGCAGUUUCCGUUGUUGUGUCUGAGAGAUUUGAAGUUUCCCGAAGAAAUUUUAAAUCUCCCAUUCACCCCAACUCUGGUAGACAUACUUCGUUCCUGCAUGGGGCGUUACAUUCUAGGUGCAUGGUGGCAGGGCCCCUCUGGAGCCGCCAUGAGAGGGACUUGGGAUGUAUGGUAUGAUGCGUUAUAUUGCAACCUAGCAGCUUGGUCUAUGACAGAGUUCUCUGUUCGCGAUGAAUGAUAACAAUAAUAUGGAGCACAUGCUAGAAGGAGGGACAUGGCUUAGCUACAACCAAUCUAGUGUGUGAAAUUUUGUGAAAACACCAGAUUCCCAAUAAGAUAAAAAAAUCCUUAGUGUGAUGCAGAAAGAAUUACGAGCCUUCCCCUCAAUAUAAACAUGACAAAUGACUUUGUAGCAUUAUAUCACACAAAAUCCUAUUGUUUUCGAUUCAUUUUAUUUAUUAUGACGAAUGACAACACCAAUGUGGAGUACAAACUAGAAGGGGAUAUGGACAAGUCUCAUCUAGAACUAACCUAGUGUUGGAUAUUUGUGGAAACUUCGGAUUCCCACUGUCGUGGUUUUGUCACGGCAGAUGUCCUUAGUGUGAGGACUUAGUCGUGAGGCCAACGCAUCUAUGCGGUAGCUUGAAGGGGUUGAGCGGAAUCGAGAGACGCACCACGCAAGACAAAGAUUUAGACAGCUUCGGGCCUCGGGAAACAUCAUCCGGUAAUAACUCUACAUGAUGUUUGUGGCUAGGUCUCAUUAUGAUCAUGAGGGGGUCGCCGUAAACCGGCUCUUUGUGUCUAGACCUAGAGAUUGUUGUUUGCUUGUCGCUUGUCCCUCUUUGGGGUGCCCUGCCCCUCCUCAUAUAUGUUGAAGGGGCGGGUUAUAUGUGGAGUGCUAUUAGGAUUAGGACUAGUCUAUCUCUAAUACAAACUGGAUACAAGUCCUGGUCUUAAUUCCUUGUAAGGUAAAUAUUCGUCAUGCCUUUCCUCUUGAACCGGCCCACCAUAGUAUGAACCGGCCUUCAUGAACCGCCAGUUGGGCCACCGGGUCUUGUCGCUCCUCUGACCCGCCUGCCGGAUUACCAAUGAACCGUAAACCGCCAGGUCCAAACGGGUCGCCAGUGAAUCGUCAAGUGUUAGCCGGGUCUCAAGUAAACCGCCAAGUCCUGCCAGGUUAUACUUCCGGUCGGUUUACGCCGCGGGGUAUAUCCCCGACAUUAGCCCCCAGUUUAAUUUGGAUUUAUCCAUGUUAAACUGAUCCUGUAAAAUAAACACAAGAACAAACUUGAUAGAUUAUGCUCCGGGUUAAGAAUUCUUGUAAACUGGCAUCUGAUCAUCCUUAAGUCCUUGUCAUUUCCUCCUUCUAGAAAAUCCGGUUUAAUAGGCCAGCUUCAUAAUCACCUUGCUGAUAUUGGUUUCUCAUAGAAAAUAUAUUGUGAAGAAUAACUCCUUUGAUUCAGCUCCCAAUGCUUAAAAACAAUAUUGGCCCUUGAAAUACUCAUCUGACCUUCAGCCGGUUUAAAGAUGUAGAACUGGCUGGUUUAAGGAUGUAGAACUUGCCGGUUUAACAUUGCCAAGAUUGCUGGUUUAUAAAAAUUGAUAAUUCCAUGUCAUGAUUGUUGCAGACACCGGGCCAUCAUGAUUGGUGACGCCAGGUCAACAAUUGUUGGUGACGCCGGGUCAACCUGGUUAGCUCAAAACUGAAAAUUGGAAGAUAUUUCUCUCUUAUAUCCAUAUUACCUGUAGCCCCCAAGUGUCAGGUUGUCAUGCUUGCAGCAACCUGGGACUUCAAAUUGCUUUAUGCUCAUAAAAACUUCAACCAGUGUAGCACCCAAGGGCCGGGUCAUUAUGCGAUAAUGAGCAGGGACUUUGUAAAUAUAAUCAUGUAGAUUUGAGCAAUGAUGUGUAGCCCCCAAGGGCCGGUUCAAUAAGAUAAUAUUGAGCUGGGACUUGAUAUAUUCUUUAAUGAAAUCAUCAUAUGAUGUAACCCCCAUCAUGGGGCUUGAAUCCACGUCCACAAGGUUAAGAGCCUUGUGCUUUACCAACUGAGCAGUGGACCCUUCAAUAUAAUGAAUAAAAAGCUUUGUACCUUGAAUUGUUGACAUGAUCAAUUGGUAGCCCCCAAGGGCCGGCUCAUUACAAUGUAAUGAGUCGGGUCUUCAAUAAGGUGAGCAAACAAUGACUUUGCAUUAACCCCCAAGUGUCAUGGUGCAUGUUCGCAGCGACAUGAGACUUGCAUAUUUGAUAUAAUCUCAAUUUAAAUAAUGUAACCCCCAAGUGUCGGGUCGUAAGCCUGCAACGACUCGGGACUAUUCCUUCCAUUGUAGAAUAAAUCAUAUCCUUUGAUAAAAUAAUAUCCAGUGCGCUAAAGCGACUUUGAAAACCUCAAUAAUACCGGUUAUUAAUAACCAUAAAAAUCCAGAUAUGUUGACUAUUCAAGAUAAUAUAAUCCGGUAUGCAAACCUUAUUCAUUUAAUAUCAUAAUGAAAAUUCAGCCAAGUUUGGCUAUUUGAAUAAUAUAACCCAAUGAUUUAUAAAUGCAUGAUUCGAAAGGUGCAAUCCAAAUAUAUACUGGCGACUUAUAGUCAAAAGCCAGGCCGGUUUAACAAACACCGGAUAAUUUCUUCAUCAUAUACUGGCGACUUAUUGUCUUAAAGCCAGGCCGGUUUAACAAACACCGGAUAAUUUCUUCAUCAUAUACUGGCGACUUAUUGUCUUAAAGCCAGGACGGCUUAAUAAACACCGGAUAAUUUACCAUCAUACUGGCGACUUAUAGUAAAAAACCAGGUCGGGUUAAUAAACACCGGUGAUUUACAAUCAUGCUUUAUUCAACCUGUUUCUGCAUACAACAAGUUUAAAGUAUCCUGGCGGUUUACCGCCGGACGGGUCAUAAUGCCCAACAUAUAACCUGGGUUUAUAACCAAGGCUGCACUUAAGAAUAAUCAAAUAUGAAAUAUAUCAUACCUAUGAAAUUGAAUCACAUCGUUGGUUUACCAACUUUUUGUAGUAAGGGUGAUAACCCCAAUCUUGAGUAAUGGUAACUCCUUCCAUAAUAUGCCGGUUUAUGAUAAAACUGUACCGGGUUGUGAUAAACAACGGAUUAUCCAUAUAUAACAGUGGUGACUGAUAAUCGAAACCAGACCGGGCUGAUAGUCUUCGGAUUAUAACUUGAUCGUGUACUGACAACUUGUAGUUGAAAGCCAAGCCGGGUUGUUAACGCCGGUUUAUCAUAAGAUACAUGCUAUGAUAAUGUAAUGAUGAUGCAAUAUAUGAUGAUGUAUGUGUAUGAUCAAGAGGGUUUAAGCUAUGGUUCAUAUAUGACCAGACCCCCCAAGUAAUCAUAAUUGUGGCAUUGCGCCGAUCAAGAGGUGUAGCUAUGGUUCAGAUAUGACCAGAGCUCCCAAGUGAUUUCCCUAGUGGGCUUAUGCCUAUCAAGAGGUGUAGCUAUGGUUCGGAUAGGACCAUGCCCCCAAGUGAUUUCCCUGGUGGCCCUUAUUCCUAUCAAGAGGUGUAACUAUGGUUCGAACCCAUAGCCCCCAAGUGAUUUUCCUGGUGGCCUUAUGCCCAUCAAGACGUGUAGCUAUGGUUCGGAUACGACCAAGCCCCCAAAUGAUUUCCCUGGUGGCCCUUAUGCCUAUCAAGAGGUGUAACUAUGGUUCGAACAUAGCCCCCAAGUGAUAUUGUGAGCUGUGCUCAAGGGAUACCCAUGUUUGAGCUAUGCUAUGCAGCAGACUCUCUUUGGCCCCUUAUGAUAAUAUUGGCUUGAUAGCCGGAUUACUGAAGUAACCAGAGCUGUGCUCUUAUGAUAAUAUUGGCUUGAUAGCCGGAAUCAAGAGGGUAGUAAUUCUAUGUUCUCUUUGGUGAAUACACCUAUGUUUGAACAGGAAGCCCCCAAAUGAUAUUGUGAGCUGUGCUCCAGGGGCACUUAUGUUUGAGCUGUGCUCUUGCAACAGACUCUCUUUGGCCCCUUUUGACUUUCCUGAGAACUCAAACUUUGCGAGAGAUAUUUCUUCUUGAACCAGAUGUUAAACCAGAUACUGAGAGCUUCAACGCUUUAUGGGAGACAUCCUUCCCUUGAACCGGAUCUUAAACCGGAAUCUUCAUUUUCAGCCGGAAAUUUUCUGACGGCUUUUAAACUCGAACUUGCGAGAAGUUAAUUCCUUUUUGAACCGGAAAUUCUUAAACUGGAUUUGAGAGCUUCAGAGCUUCGUGAGAGACAAAUUUCCCUUGAACCGGAUUGUAAACCGGAUAUUUGAGAGCUUCAGUGAGACUGACUUCCCUUGAGCCAGAUUUUAAACCGGCAUCCUUUCUAAUGACCCGGAACUUCUUCAUUGAGCCGGGAUUUUGUAACUGUCAUAUACUUUGUAAGCUGGAAAUUUUCUGACGGCUUUUAAAUUUUCAUCAAUACAACAAUAGCCUCCGGGACCGGGUUAUUCUCCCUCCAUCGUCCUGGGGUUCUUUAAAUUUGCUAAAACUGGCAAGAUUUGCUGAGUCAUGUCAUCGUAGCCCCCGAGUCUCGAAGGCGACUCGAGGAGUUGGCUUGAAACUCUCAUAUUUGACUGUGAUAUAAACCGGCAUAACUUGUAUGUCAUUGGUGUUGAUAGCACGAUGUGAAUCCACAAAAGGUUGAGGUGACUAUGACGGGUUAUAAAUGAUCCCGUAUGAGCCGUGUCAGCAACUCGGCCAAUGGUUCCUUCCAACUGGCUGUUUGAAGCUAACCAAACUGUAGUGGCGGCGACUUGUGCACAUGUCCACUGAGCCCUCCAGCGCAGAUGGCGGUUGAUGAUAAUUUGCCUCCAUUUUGUUGGAAGAAAACCGGCUACCCAAGCAGUGACUUGCUCAUACUCAAUAAACAGCUCAUGCAGACUGGUACGGCCCGGUAUGUUGAUGUAGACCAGGCCGCGAGAGACGGACAGCAAAGACAACCGCAACAUUAGAGGCGACUCGGAUAGAUGAGUCGACCAUGACAUUGUAAACCGGUGGGAAUGGGGAAAAUCGGCACCGGUGUCAUAAACUAGCACGGACGGGCGAGUUAAUCGCGGGCGUGGUGCUGGCAAAUUGAUGUAAACCAGGCCACAAGGACGGCAACUUGCUCACGUUCAUUCAUCAAGUGGCAUGAUACGGACAAAACGCCAGUGCAGAACGUUGCUGGCACGUGCUCUGUGCCCGUAAUAUAAUACCUCAUUUGUAAUGAACAAUUGUCCUGCGUCAAAAAUAUCACAUGCCAAAGUAAUUGUUCCUUGACAAUAAUAAUAUGUGCUAAUAAAAAUAGUCCUUAGAUGGAUAUCACCUGAUAUGUUAGGUCGGUAUUAUCCACCACGGAGUUGAUGAUCACCGCGGUGAAGCUGAAAUCAAUCAUGGACAAGUUGUCCAGACGAGCAGACGGAUGAUCCGGCGGCGGUGUUGUAAACCUGUGCGGACGAGCAAGUUGUCCUCCAUGUUUGUAAACCGGUGCGGAUGCGUGAACCAGCGGCGAAGGCAGACGGGCGAGUCGUCCGUGGCAUUGUAAGGUGGUGCGGACGGGCGAAUCGGCUGGCGCGAUGAUGUAAACCGGACCGCAGGGGCGACGGCUGUAUAUAACAACACUAUAGGGGAGAGUGGUUGUUUUCAAAAAAUUAAUAAAUACUGAUAAAAGUAAAUUGGAUGGAUAUCACCUGGGUUUUUUUUUGUGGGAUGAACGUGGAUACUAGGGAUCAAAAACAUAUUCUGAUGUGGCCCUACCACUGUAUCCCAUGCUCCUGUGUAUGAUGACAAACCGGUUGCAACACCUGUAACAGUUGAUUUUGUGAACCACGGCGAUGGGAUUCCACAGUGGCUCGUGCAGGGCCGAGGUGGCUUAACGGCAACUCGAUCGGGGCAGCUCAUAACUCUUGGAGGCUGGCGGUUUGGGAGGCCUGGUGGCCGGCGGCUCGAAGCAGUGGCGGCGGCACCCGCGGGUGGACGAUGGUGGCAGAAGAUGACCCAGCAUAGCGGCGGUGCAGCAGCGGUGAUGGCAGGGCCCAGGCCAACUGUAGUAGCUCAGAGGAGUGGCGAUAUCUUGAUGCGGUGCGUGAAGACGAGGCCAACCCCGUGCGACCGAGAUCUCCUCCGGGUCGUGCUUGGUUUGACCCAUCAGUUUGAUUAAUGCCUUCCUACGUCGUAGUGGACGAUGGAGCAGUACUUGAUGACUAGAUUUUGGUCUUUACGCACAAAGAAGCAGCGGCAGAUCGUACUGGUAGCUCCGCUAGAGUUAGCGAUUGAAAAAACAGAAUUCUGAACCACAAGAAGCCUCCACAUGGGAAGUACUAAACUAGUACUCGAAUUAAUGAUGUGGCUUGGGUCUUCACGUGGAGGUGCAGCAGCAACGUAGCCUAGUGCCUCGGGACUUGAAGCUAGCAAAAUAAUCCAUGGCAGGGGAAAUUGAUUGUCUCGGGCCCUCAGCGACUUGACGGGUUAACGUGUUUGCUGCCGCCCCUCAAGUCCAGCAGCGGAAAUCGCCGGAUCAGACAAUAACAUUGGAGGCGUGCGCGUAGGAAACUCCAGUCGGUCUCGGCUGCAACAGAAAUCGAUCCGUCCUCGGAUUGAUGGAUCGCCAGACUCAUGCCGCGGCGCCCACGGAACCGGACAAUAGAGCCAUCAAAUCCUGUCAGUUUCGGUAGUUUGAUCUUUGCGCCGAUCUGAUCUGACAUGUACCAGUAGUAGUAGUAAUUCAGGUCCUGGGUGCUUGUCUGCAGAUGGUAAAACGUGGUUGUGUUUCCUUGACUGGCCACCCGCGGCUGCAGUGAAUUUUUGCCUCCGAUCGGUCUUCACAUCUGGAAUGACAAACUUGACGCUGAUGCAAAGCCUUUCAAAACCAGCUUUUCCUCAUCACAAAAAAUUUCAAGCUCCUCAUCAAUCCCUAGGAGAGAUCCCUCCAAGAACUCAACACCAUCGUGCGCAGGCCCCGCGGUGGGCGCCAACUGUUGUGGUUUUGUCAUGGCAGAUGUCCUUAGUGUGAGGACUUAGUCGUGAGGCCAACGCAUCUAUGCGGUAGCUUGAAGGGGUUGAGCGGAAUCGAGAGACGCAACACGCGAGACAAAGAUUUAGAUAGCUUCGGGCCCCGGGAAACAUCAUCCGGUAAUAACCCUACAUGUUGUUUGUGGCAAGGUCUCAUUAUGAUCAUGAGGGGGUCGCCGUAAACCGGCUCUUUGUGUCUAGCCCUAGAGAUUGUUGUUUGCUUGUCGCUUGUCCCUCUUUUGGGGUGCCCUGCCCCUCCUUUUAUAUGUUGAAGGGGCGGGUUACAUGUGGAGUCCUAUUAGGAUUAGGACUAGUCUAUCUCUAAUAUAAACUGGAUACAAGUACUGGUCUUAAUUCCUUGUAAGGUAAAUAUUCGUCAUGCCUUUCCUCUUAAACAGGCCCACCAUAGUAUGAACCGGCCUUCAUGAACCGCCAGUUGGGCCACCGGGUCUUGUCGCUCCUCUGACCCACCUGCCGAAUUACCAAUGAAUCGUAAACCGCCAGGUCCAAACGGGUCGCCAGUGAAUCGUCAAGUGUUAGCCGGGUCUCAAGUAAACCGCCAAGUCCGGCUGGGUUAUACUUCCGGCCGGUUUACGCCGCGGGGUAUAUCCCCGACACCUACCAAGAAAAAAAUCUUCACGUGUCGCGCUCUCCAUGCUGUUGGUCCUGGUAUGACAGUUUUAGCAAAUAGAUUUAUUUGUGUCUCUUUGCAAUGUAAUGUUUGCCAUCAGGGAGGGGAUGAUCUACGCCAUCUUAUGUCUAGUUGUAACAGAACUAAGGAAGUUUGGAGCGAGUUGAGUUAGCUAAUGUGUCAGGGGAUGAACCCCGGGCAGGCAACGGAACCCGGAUCCUCUUCAAAAAUAACGGGGCUGGUACCACCCCUCAAACCGGCACGCGCUUGGUUGGGUCACUCGACCCGGCCAAUCCCCGCAAUCCAGCCAAACUCUCUGACCCGGCAAAGACGCGUCGACUCGGCCUCAACAACUAGCGCAAGACAGCCGAACCCGGCACAACCAAAGCUUCCUCGACAAGGCAGCUCCACCCGUGGCGUGCUCCGUAAUCCAGCCAUGGGUCAGCUCUCAUCCCAUCCAGACCGUACGAUGGGACGAGUCUUCAAUCAAUGAUGACCAAGGCAAUAGUGCCCCCCCCCAUGCCUCUGGUCAGCCGGAGCAUGGCAAUAGUGCCCCUCACCUACCCGCUGACCAGGGCCGGCAUGGCUACAGUGCCCCCAUCCUCAUCGCUGAUGACAGCAAGCGGCAACCUGACGGAGAGCCAUUGUAUGCGACUCGACUCGGCCACGCCCUGACGAUCGACAAGACGGCCACCAUGGCCACGCUCAUGGUGACGGCGGACAAAUACACCAACGUCGACUCCGCCAUGAAGAUCCAGGUGGCGCUGGAUGAAGCCGGCAAGGCAAAGCCGGUUCCUCCUCUGAAGCCGGCCGGCGAAAGCAGCCGACAGCAGCAUCACCAGAACAACAAGCGCAAGGCUGACCAGCCGGCGCAGCGCCACGACAACCGACUUGUCGCGGCCAGUAAGCCCGCGGCGGAUCCAGCGGCGAAGUGUCGGCAGACCGGCAAGACAGCAUGGCAGCCCGCCAUGAGUUUCGAAGAGAUACUCGACGCCCCCUGCAAGCACCACAGCAACGUAAGACCCUCCAUGCACACGCUUCGGCAGUGCGCCAUCACCAAGAGCAUCAUGAGGGGCGAUGUCCCGCCUCCUCCGGCUCCGGCUCUAGGCGCUGGGCAGCCGUCUCCACCUCCACCGCCGCCUCCAGUUGGCGGCGCGAUGCGCGACGACGCCUACCCGGACCAGAACGCGGCCUACGUCGUCUUCACCAGCCUCGGCGAUGACAAGCGCAGUGAGCACCUCCUUCGGCAGGAGGUGAACACCGUCGUCCUGGCCAAGCCGGAGUUCAUGCACUGGUCGGAUCGCUCGAUCACCUGGACCCGGGAGGAUCACCCGACGGUCAUGCAGAGUCCGGGUGAUUACGCCCUCGUCCUCAACCCCACCAUCGUCGCGCGGCGCACAUGCAAGUUCUCCCGAGUCCUCAUCGACGGCGGCAGCAGCAUCAACAUCCUCUACCGCGACACGAUGACCAAGCUCGGCCUCAAGGCAGAGGACCUGGAGCUGACCUGGACAAUCUUCCAAGGGAUCGUGCCCGACCUCUCCUGCUCUCCCAUUGGCCGGGUCCGGCUCGAUGUCCUGUUCGGUGACAGUAGCCACUUCUGACGCGAACCAAUCUGGUUCGAGGUGGUGGACCUUUCCAGCGCAUACCACGCAUUGCUGGGCCGACCCGUGCUCGCCAACUUCAUGUACGCAUGGACGCCAAGCCUGUUCGUCAACCCCUACAAUGAUUUUCCGUAGAGAAGAGAAGAACCAUUGGUGAAGAGGUCGCCAAGCUUUUGGCGGCCGGCUUCAUAAUGGAAGUGCUUCACCCUGGGUGGCUGGCCAAUACAGUUCUCGUCCUAAAGAAGAACAAGACCUGGUGCAUGUGUAUCGACUACACCAGCAUCAAUAAGGCAUGUCUCAAGGAUCUGUUCGCUCUCCCACGGAUCGACCAAGUCAUCGACUCGACCGCCGGGUGCGAGCUCCUGUCCUUCCUGGACGCUUACUCCGGCUACCACCAGAUCAAGCUGGACCCGGCCGAUGCCCUGAAGGCGUCCUUCAUCAUGCCCUUUGGGGCGUAUUGCUACAUCACCAUGUCGUUCGGCUUGAAGAACGCUGGCGCCACCUUACAGCGCUGCAUGUAGAAAUGCCUGCUGCCGCAACUCGCCCGCAAUAUCCAUGUUUACGUGGACGACAUCGUGGUGAAGACCAAGCAGCACCUCAUGCUCAUCGACGAUUUGAAGGAAACAUUCACCAACCUCCGCGAAUACAAGGUCAAGAUUAACCCGGAAAAGUGCGUCUUCGGCGUCCCAGCCGGAAAGCUACUCGGCUUCCUCGUCUCGGAACGCGGCAUUGAGGCGAACCCGAAGAAGAUCAAGGCCAUCGAGCACAUGCGCAAGCCGGCUCGACUGCGCGAUGUCCAGAAGUUCACCGGAUGCUUGGCCUCGGUCAGCUGGUUUCUAAGCCGGCUGGGCGAGAUGGCACUACCCCUGUACCAGUUGAUGAAGAAGACGAGCCCGUUCAAAUGGAACGACAAGGCAGACGAGGCCUUCCAAGACCUCAAGCGCAUGCUCUCCACUGCACCAGUCCUGGCCGCGCCGACCGACAAGGAGCCGCUGUUGCUCUACAUAGCCGCGACCUCGCGGGCGAUCAGCACGAUGCUGGUGGUCGAGCGACUAGAGAAGGGCAAGAUCCAAGCCGUCUAACGCCUAGUCUACUACCUAAGCGAGGUGCUCUCAAUCUCCAAGCAGAACUACCCGCACUACCAGAAGAUGUGUUAUAGCGUGUACUUUACCGCCAAGAAGCUGAAGCAGUAUUUCCAAGAGCAUGUCAUCACCGUGGACAGCACGGCGCCUAUCGGAGAAAUCAUCGGGUGCCGGGAUGCCUCUGGCCGGGUCACCAAGUGGGUGAUCCAGCUAGCCGGCCACACCAUCCUCUAUGAGCCCCGCACCAUCAUCAAGUCUCAAGCCCUGGCCGACUUCCUCGUCGACUGGACCGAGACCCAGUACUUGUCGCCGCCACGUGACUCGACGCAUUGGCACAUGCAUUUCGACGGAUCCAAGAUGUGACUCGGCCUGGGGGCCGGCAUUGUACUGUCAUCCCCGAAGGGCGACUGGCUCCGCUACGCGCUCCAGAUCCACUUUGCCGCCUCCAACAAUGUCGCCGAGUACGAAGCCCUUGUGCACGGCCUCCGGCUUGCCAAGGAACUCGGCAUCCGGCGCAUCCUGUGCUACGGCGACUCGGACCUGGUGGUCCAGCAGUGCUCCGGAGAAUGGGACGCCCGCGACUCCAACAUGGCAAGCUACCGCUUCCUCGUCCAGAAGCUGUCCGGAUCCUUCGAGGGCAACGAGUUCCUCCAUGUCUCGCACGCGGAGAACGAAGCAGCCGACACGCUCACCAAGAUUGCCUCGUCCCGACAAGCCAUCCCGUCUAGCGUCUCCCUCGAGCACCUGCGCAAGCCGUCCGUCAAGCCAUCGCCAGACUCCGAGUCCACCCACGUUCCAGACGACCCGAUGACAUGUCUUCAACGUAUCUAUAAUUUUUUAUUGUUCCAUGCAAUUAUAUUACCCCUUUUGGAUGUUUAUGGGCUUUAUUUUACACAUUUAUAUCAUUUUUUGGGACUAACCUACUAACCGGAGGCCCAGCCCAUAUUGCUGUUUUUUUGCCUAUUUCAGUAUUUCGAAGAAAAGGAAUAUCAAACGGAGUCCAAUCGGAAUGAAACCUUCGGGAGCGUGAUUUUUGGAACUAACGUGAUCCAGAGGACUUGGAGUGUAAGUCAAGAAGCAGCCGAGGCUCCCACGAUAUAGGAGGCCCCCCUGUAGGGCGCGCCCCCCUGUCUCGUGGGCCCCUCGGGUGGCCACCGACGUACUUCUUCCUCCUAUGUAUACCUACAUACCCCGAAAACAUCCAGGGGCACCACAAGACACAAUUUCCACCACCGUAACCUUCUGUAUCCGCGAGAUCCCAUCUUGGAGCCUUUGCCGACACUCUGUCGGAGGGGGAAUCGACCAUGGAGGGCUUCUCCAUCAACAUCCUUGCCCCUCCGAUGAGUUGUGAGUAGUUUACCACAGACCUACGGGUCCAUAGUUAUUAUCUAGAUGGCUUCAUCUCUCUUUUUGGAUAUCAAUACAAUGUUCUCCCCCUCUCUUGUGGAGAUCUAUUCGAUGUAAACACUUUUUGCGGUGUGUUUGUCGAGAUCCGAGGAAUUGUGGGUUUAUGAUCAAGUUUAUCUAUGAAUAAUAUUUGAAUCUUCUCUGAAUUCUUUUAUGUAUGAUUUAGUUAUCUUUGCAAGUCUCUUCGAAUUAUUAGUUUGGUUUGGCCUACUAGAUUGAUCUUUCUUGCCAUGGAAGAAGUGCUUAGCUUUGGGUUCAAUCUUGCGGUGUCCUUACCCAGUGACAGAAAGGGUUGCAAGGCACGUAUUGUAUUGUUGCCAUCGAGGAUAACAAGAUGGGGUUUAUAUCAUAUUGCUUGAGUUUAUCCCUCUACAUCAUGUCAUCUUGCUUAAUGCGUUACUCUGCUCUUAUGAACUUAAUACUAUAGAUGCAGGCAGGAGUUGGUCGAUGUGUGGAGUAAUAGUAGUAGAUGCAGGCAGGAGUCGGUCUACUUGUUAUGGACGUGAUGCCUAUAUACAUGAUCAUGCCUAGAUAAUCUCAUAACUAUGCGCUUUUCUAUCAAUUGCUCGACAGUAAUUUGUUCACCCACCGUAAUACUUAUGCUAUCUUGAGAGAAGCCACUAGUGAAACCUAUGGCCCCCGGGUCUAUCUCUUAUCAUAUGUGCUUUCAAUCUACUUUUAUUUGCAUCUUUACUUUUUGCAUCUAUCUUAUAAAAUACCAAAAAAAUAUUUAUCUUAUCUUACUAUCUUUAUUAGAUCUCACUUUUGCAAGUGGUCGUGAAGGGAUUGACAACCCCUUUAUCGCGUUGGUUGUGAGCUCUCAGUUUGUUUGUGUAGGUGCGUGGGCCUUUUGAGGAGCCUCCUAUUGGAUUGAUAACUUGGUUCUCAAAAACUGAGGGAAAUACUUACGCUGCUAUUGCUGCAUCACCCUCUCCUCUUCGAGGAAAACCAACGCAAGCUCAAGAUGUAGCAAGAAGGAAUUCUGGAGCCAUUGCCGGGGAGGUCUUCGCUCAAGUCAAGACAUACCAAGUACCCAUCACAAACCCAUAUCCCUCGCAUUUACAUUAUUUGCCAUUUGCCUCUCGUUUUCCUCUCCCCCACUUCACCCUUGCCAUUUUAUUCGCCCUCUCUUUCCCAAUCUCCUCCUCUUCGCUUGCCUUUUUCUGUUUGCUUGUGUGAUUGGAUUACUUGUUGCCAUGGCACAAGAUAAUACCAAAUUGUGUGAUUUCUCGAAUACCAAUAAUAAUGAUUUCCUUAGUACUCCGAUUGCUCCUCUUAAUGAUGUUGUGUCUUGUGAAAUCAAUACCGCUUUGCUGAAUCUUGUUAUGAAAGAUCAAUUCGCCGGCCUUCCUAGUGAAGAUGCCGCUACUCAUCUAAACAACUUUGUUGAUUUGUGCGAUAUGCAAAAGAAGAAGGAUACGGAUAACAAUAUAGUCAAAUUGAAGUUAUUCCUGUUUUCACUUAGAGAUCGUGCUAAAGUUUGGUUUUCGUCUUUGCCUUUAAAUAGUAUUGAUUCUUGGAACAAGUGCAAAGAUGCUUUUAUAUCUAAGUAUUUUCCUCCCGCUAAGAUCAUCACUCUUAGGAACAAUAUUAUGAAUUUUAAACAACUUGAUCAUGAGCAUGUUGCCCAAUCUUGGGAAAGAAUGAAAUUGAUGAUUUGCAAUUGCCCUACUCAUGGUUUGAAUUUAUGGAUGAUCAUACAAAAAAUUUAUGCCGGUUUGAACUUUGCUUCUACAAAUCUCUUAGAUUCGGCCGCGGGAGGCACGUUUAUGGAAAUCACGUUAGGAGAUGCUACAAAACUUCUUGAUAAUAUUAUGGCUAAUUAUUCUCAAUGGCACACCGAAAGAUCUUCUAGUAAAAAAGUGCAUGCUAUAGAAGAAAUCAAUGUUUUGAGUGGAAAGAUGGAUGAACUUAUGAAGAUGUUUGCUACUAAAAAUACUCCUCUUGAUCCCAAUGAUAUGCCUUUGUCUUCUUUGAUUGAGAAUAAUAAUGAAUCUAUGGAUGUGAAUUUUGUUGGUAGGAAUAGUUUUGGAAACAAUGCUUAUAGAGGAAACUUUAAUGCUAGGCCGUUCCCUAAUAAUUCCUCUAAUAAUUAUGGAAAUUCCUACAAUAAUUCUUAUGGUAAUUUUAAUAAGAUGCCCUCUGAUUUUGAGAAUAGUGUGAAAGAAUUUAUGAUUUCUCAAAAGAAUUUUAAUGCUUUGCUUGAAGAAAAAUUGCUCAAAGUUGAUGAUUUGGCUAGGAACGUUGAUAGACUUUCGCUUGCUGUUGAUUCUCUUAAACUUAGAUCUUCUCCUCCUAAGCAUGAUAUCAAUGAGUCUGUCAAAGUAAUGAGAAUUUCCAUUGAUGAGUGUAAGGAAAGAACCGCUAGAUUGCGUGCUAAGAAAGAUAGCUUUAUAAAAGCGUGUUCUUCUAGUUUCCAUGAAAAUAAUGAUGAGGAUCUUAAAGUUAUUGAUGCGUCUCUGAUUAGAUCUAUGUUUUGCAAUAUUAAUUUUGAUGAUUAUGGGAUUGAUGAUGAAUCAACUUUGCCUAGAAGGCGUCCCAAGAAUUCGGAGUCUUUAGAUCUUGAUGCUAAAUUUGGUCAAAGUGAGAUUGGAGAAUCCUCAACUUCUAAUAACAUUGAACCUACUAUCUCGGAUUUCAAUGAAUUUGAUUAUGGUAAUUGCUCUUUAGAAGGUUGUAUUUCCUUGUUGCAAUCCGUUGUUAAUUCUCCUCAUGCUUAUAGUCAAAACAAAGCUUUUACCAAACAUAUUGUUGAUGUGUUGAUGCAAUCUUAUGAUGAAAAACUUAAUUUGGAAGUUUCUAUACCUAGAAAACUUAAUGACGAGUGGGAACCUACUAUAAAGAUUAGAAUUAAAGAUUAUGAGUGUUUUGCUUUGUGUGAUUUGGGUGCUAGUGUUUCCACGAUUCCGAAAACUUUAUGUGAUAUUCUAGGUUUCCAUGAUUUUGAUGAUUGCUCUUUAAACUUGCACCUUGCGGAUUCCACCAUUAAAAAUCCAAUGGGAAGGAUCAAUGAUGUUGUUAUUGUUGCAAAUAGAAAUUUGGUGCCCGUAGAUUUUAUCGUUCUUGAUAUAGAUUGCAAUCUUUCUUGCCCUAUUAUUCUUGGUAGACCUUUCCUUAGAACGAUUGGUGCGAUUAUUGAUAUGAAGGAAGGGAAUAUUAGAUUCCAAUUUCCAUUAAAUAAAGGCAUGGAGCACUUUCCAAGAAAUAAAGUCAAAUUACUUUAUGAAUCUAUCAUGCGUGCUACUUAUGAAUUUAGUGCCAAAGAUGGCACCCGUUAGAUCUAUCUUCGCUUUUAUGCCUAGCUAGGGGCGUUAAACGAUAGCGCUAGUUGGGAGGUGUCAGGACCCCGACUCAAUGCCACAUCGAUCUAGCAUGUAACACCUCAUAUCACUUUGCGGCCUCACGCACGGUACUCCCACGGGUGUUGCCUUACCUUUGCCCGGGACCGUUUGCGUCUUUUGGCACACGUAUAUGAUAGUGUCGCUAGCAUCCAUAUGAUAAGGAGCCCGGGCUGACAUGGCUAGUCGUAAACCCAAAGUGGCACAAACUUACAGGGACAAGCAUCCAUGACCCAACAUCGAACGUGUCGGUCAUCAGCGGGUGAAUCCAGGCUGUAGCACUGGGCUAGCAGGACUCCGGUGAACCGGGCUGUAGCGGGCUAACAGGACUCUGGUAUUCAUCGCGUGACAUUUCCCCGAAGGGACAGACACAGGAACGAAGAAGGACACAUGCCGGCCAGCCUAAGUGUUCCGGAGCAGUAGCAAGCUACCAUGGCUCGGUGGAAACACUAGGAGACAUUUCCCGGUAAGAGAGGCUACUAAAGAUAAACAACUAGAUAGUCAGAUCCCACACAUACCGAGCAUUUCAAUAACAUACACACAAUAUGCUCGAUAUGUGCAAUACAACAUGGCAUCACAAAAUGACUCUACGACUCAAGUAGUUAUUCAAUAGGCUCCGAGGAGCGAGAUAUUACAAACAUGGGUCUCAUGACCCGACAUUCAGAGCAUACAAGGAAAAGCACAUGCGGAAGCUAUGAUGUCUGAGUAUAGACAACUAUAAAUGAAAAAGGCUGAGAAGCCUGACUAUCUACCAGAUCCUGCCGAGGGCAAAAGAUCGUAGCUGAGGUAACAAGCUAAACGUCGAAGUCCACGUGGAACUACUAGUGAGACUGAAGUCUCUCUGCAAAAACAUAAAUUAAGCAACGUGAGUACAAAUGUACCCAGCAAGACUUACAUCAGAUCUAUCUACAUAUGCAUCAUUAUCAACAAGGGGGUGGUGGAGUUUAACUGCAGCAAGCCAGCUUUGACUCGGUGGCUAACCUGAACUACGACUGCAAGUAACUAUUUUGAGGUGGCGCACACGAGUCCACAUAUUCACCAUAUCAAUACACCACCAUGGAUCCGCUCCCGUCUCCCUAUGAGAACGCCAUCCAUAGCACUCACGCUUAUCUUGCGUAUUUUAGAGUGUCCACUUUCACUUGUCUAUGAACUAUGCAAGGGGUCCAAGUUUCCAUAUCCCAGGAAUCCGGCUAUUCGAAUAGAUAAUGAUAACCCUGCAGGGGUGUACUUCUUCACACACGCUCUCGCCACUUACCGCCCUGUACACGUCAUGUACCUCGGCAACCUUCAAGCGGAAGCCGGGCGAGGGAGUCGGCCACGACCUGACUAACCAAACAAGUCUCUAGUCCAGGUUUAUCGCCUAUUCGGGUUCCAUCCGCCAGGAGAUCCGGCCGGGGUGUCGCUUACGGCCCCAAACGAUGUGUGCAGGGUUCCCAAGCCCACCAACCGGGUGCCACUUGGUACACCGGGCCACUGUGCCUAGUCUGUCCCAAGCCCACCUGUACCGGGUGCCACUUGGUAGACUACUAACACUACCUACAAACACCAGAAACUAGUUGCAACUCCUAGACAGAGAUCAUGUUGAUUAAUAAGUCGAGAGGGGUCGAGUUACCGGAACCCAAUGUGUGGUAGUAACUGGUCAUGGAUCACAGACACAGAACUCAGUUCCUAAGGACGGCUGCAAUGAGACAACCCACCAUGUACUCCUACAUGGCCUCUCACCGCUACCUUUACCAAAUCGUGUUCACACACUUAGCUCACACACAGUAGGACAUGUUCACACGCCUCUGAUUCAUCCCCGAUGAAUCAGACCUGACUCAACUCUAAGCAGUAGCAGGCAUGACAAACAAGCAUGAAUGAGUAGGCACAUCAGGGCUCAAACAACUCCUACUCAUGCUAGUGGGUUUCAUCUAUUUACUGUGGCAAUGACAGGUCAUGCAAAGGAUAAAGGGGUUCAGCUACCGCAGCAUGUAACAGAUGAAUCGGUGUUGUCCUAAUAAAGUAAAAGAGAGCAGGAGCGAGAGAGUAGGAUUGUAUCGGAAUGAACAAGGGGUUUUUGCUUGCCUGGCACUUCUGAAGAUAACAUUGAGUCUUCAUCAGUGUCAACGAUCACAUCCUCGGUAUCACGUCUAUCGAGAGGGGACAAAUACCGGAAACACAGAAGGGAACACAAUCAAUGCAAUGCACAAUAUGAUGCAUGAUCAUGACAUGGCAAAAUGAAUGUGUUUUGGGCUAAUGCAACUAGCAACAGAUUAAAUGAAGUUGGUUUGAAUACAAGAUUCAAAUUCAAACUCCAUAUGUGAUUAUUUAAAUGCCAUUCACUUCAUUUGUCCUAAACAGUAGUGAUAAGUUGUUCUAACAUGCAUGAAAAUGGUACAGAUGGAUUCCUUGAAUUUUUCUGAUAAUUUUUCAUAUAUAAAUUAUUUAAUUUGGAGUUACGGUUAAUUUUCUAUGAUUUAUUGAAGUUUAUACAAUUUUCUGGAAUUUUCUGAAUAUUUAUAAAAUAAACUAAAUUCCAGAAAAGGAAUAUUGCGUCAGCAUGACGCCGGGGUGACGUCAGCAGGUCAAAGGCGUCGACCAGGUCAAACCUGACCAGUGGGGUCCACUGGUCAGUGACCCAGUCAACUAACCAAGUUAGUUAGCCCUAACUAACUUAGUUAGCCGGGCAGGGCCCGCAUGUCAGUGGCCUAUCUAAUUAGCUGAGUUAAUUAACACUAACUAAUCUAACACUAAUCAAGCAGGCGCCUGGGCCCACAUGUCAGGGGGUCAAACCCCGGGUCAACUCGCCGGAGUUGACCCGCGGCUCGUCGCCGGCGGAGCCAGAGACGGCGGAGGGGGUUGGAAAUCCUCCUCCGGUGACUAAAACAGCGGCAGCGAUCAUCUACGCGUAGCUGGCGCUCAGCCGCAUCCAUCUAGGCAAGCGAGAGGGGCUGAGGUCGAACGGGCUCGCCGGAAUCGAGCUCGCGGCGGCGGCCGGAGCUCGGGGUUGGUGCGGGUUGGCGCUAGGGGGCACGGCAGGUCGCACGGGUGGGCGCGCUCGGCUCCUGGAAGGGUGCUGAGCACGUUGCCGUGCUCGGGAGGUAGCUACGGUGGCUCUAGCACCGUCUGCGUCAUCGCCGGCGGCGAGGAACUGUCGGCUCCGACAGUCGGGGUGGUUAGAAGGCACGGACGGGCACGGGGAGAGAGGGGAAAUGGACAGGGGCUCACGAGGGGUCGGGAGAGAAGCUCGGUGGGCUCGGGGAAGCCUCUGCAACGGCGAAUUGACGAUGGCGAUCUCCAGGCACCGGAGAUGAAGACGACGACGCUCCGGUCGACUGCGGCCUCCUCUGGUCGCGUGCGUCGCGUGUGUAGCUCCACGGGGUCAGGGCGGAGCUCAGGGAUGCAUAGUGGGAGCGAGGGGGUGGCUGUGGCCCCGGUAAACGGCGUCGGCGGCGAUGGGCUCCGCUCGGGCGCGUGAGGGAGAGAGAGCAGAGGAGGGGGAGGAGCGAGGGAGAGCGCGAGGGGUUCCAGGGAGAGUGAGAGAGAGGCCAGGGUGUCGUGGCGUCUCCAGGCGCAUCGAGGAGGGAGGCAACCAGGCAGGAGGUGGCGCACGGCGGCGCACGUGGCCGACAGGCAGCUGCCUGCCUGCUCUGGCGGGAGGAAGCAGGUGGCUGGCACGGGCCAGCACAGUGCUGGGCCGGCCAGCGGGCUGCCAGGUAAGGUCAGGUAACUCUUCUGCUUUGUUUUAUUUUUUUUCUAUUUCUGUUCUGUUUUAUUUAAUUGGCACUGAAUUUUAAUUCAAACAGAAUUUGAAAAUAGUGCCAAAACUCCCCUGGAUAUUUUUAAGUCACUUAAUGGACUUCUCCACAUAUACAAAAAAUAUCUCAGGUCAUUUGAAAAUAUAUUCAUUAUAUAUUAUGAAUAUAACUCCAAAUUCAAAUAAAAUAUUGAUUUAAAAUCAGAGCCCAAUAAUUCCUUAGAAAUGUCCCAAAAUUUUGGUUUGAUUUAUAACUCUUGCCAAAAUUGUCAGAGCUAUUUCUAGGGCAUUUUGGAUUUACUGAUUGCAAUUUUAGGGUUUCUUGCCCCUCUUUUAUUUAGGGUUUUGAGGCUUCUGAAUUCCUCAGUUCAAGUUUUAAAAAUUUAAACAUGAUGCACACACUAGGCAGCACCAGAAGUUAGGGAUGUGACAACUCACCCCCACUAAACAAGAAUCUCGUCUCGAGAUUCAAGCGUAGAGUAAGAUGAAGGGGAAACGCAAACUAGUAUAAUCUUCACGAUCCAGGUUGCACUUCAAAUGAACGUUGAUUUAAACACCAUCUUUGUCUUGUCGUCUUGCUCUGAGAAUUCCAGCUAAUCAUGGCACGAAGAGGAAAGGAAAACUCUGGAAGGAUCGGUCUUCUCGAAGGUCGAACAACUCAGGAUUAACUCCCGGAAUGUGACAUAGCAACAUCUCUCGAGCUGAGAGACGAAGCAUACCUCUAGAGGGAUGGAGUGGAGCAGGUGACGAGGUUCACUAGGUAGACAACAAUUCCACACCUAAGAAGGUGGUAAACGAUUGUCAACGUAGCGAGGAGUUGAGUUGCCAUGAUAUCACGACGAAACAUCCUGGAGGAGGGUGAUUCAUAGAUUAUUACCUUAAGUGGCAAAAAGAAUUACUUUUGAUUCAAAGAUCAUUGAAACUCUUUAUACCAGCCUAAGGCAAUCACAAGCGAUCAUUUUAGAGGGGUUCGGUAGAAUGGCAUACUCGAACUUGGAUGAUGUGGAUUACCUUGUUGAAGACAACGUAAUGGAUGAAUUUCCUUAUCACCGGAGAUGAAAGAGACCCAUGGUAGAAUGGCACAUUGGCGGUGCAAGCUAGGAACAAAAUGCAAAUGUUGGGAAUGAUUCUGGUAACUGGGGAAGAACCCAACAACAGAGAGUGAAUUCACUGUUUGAAAAGAUCAUAGCAUUGCCGAGGAAACUGAGGGCAAACCCAGUUAGUGCCGAUGAUAACACGUAGCGCUUGUGCGUGCUCUCAAGAACUUGGGCAUUUCCAUAAUCAUCAAGGUUUUACCAACAUCCGUGUCAAGGAUCCUGGCAACACAACAUACCACCAUGAUGAACAACGAUGGACGAUGCAGAUGCAUAGGAAGAUAACAUCAACUCAGGUUUCACCCUAGCGAGGCCAAGGAAACAAAAUCUGGACGAUCGACCGAGAGACAUUUAGCACUCCGCUCCUAAUGUUCUCCUUGAUGUGCUAGCGUAAUCCAUAGAUAAUUAUGGUUGGAUAUCUAGAACAUCAAGUAAAGGUCGGACUUCGGGAGCACAAGAAUCAUAAGGAACAACUAGGGAGUAAAUCCUACGAAGUCCUUGUGGGAAGGUGGCCAACUUCCUCAAUCAAGUUACUACAAUAAUAGGUCUUCCGGCUGGGUGUGUUGGCCACGACAUCCACUUUACCGGUUAUCGAGGGACCAAUAUUAUAGUUCUUGGGAAAUAUUCCAACCAUCAUAUCUGCCUGAGACUCAGAUCUGGUUGGUGUCAGGAUAGUCCAGACUCAUCGAGUCUAGGAAGAAAAAUGAAAGUUUGCAACACAAAUCGACGAGAUGACGUUGCGAGAUUCUCGGGGAAUGAACUACGAUAGUAAGCCCCAAAAACACGAGCCGGUUCUGCUACAACAUGUGAACAUGUUGUCCAAGACAAGCAUGACCACAACAUAGUCUUAUAAUAAAACACUACCGAGUUCAGGAGGGGAAACCAUCAUUAAUGACAUCGAAGUCUCCACGCGUGGAAAUCCAAAGAGUUUACCUUGGACAGACUCCUUUAUCUUUGAACAACUCAAUCAGUGGCUUGGUGUGCUAGGAUAUACAUAUGGAAUGAAGAUGAUCAGUCUAACAGACCACAGAAUUCUUCGCACGUGCAUGACUGACUUGGGAUGAUUCCAGAAGAGGUAAAACAAGCCUUCUCAAAUUCAUGGCGGCAACUUGCAUCAAGUGCACAUGAAUUAGAGGGACUCACUUCUUUUGUCUAAACAUAUGCUUCACGAACGAGUCAUGAAGAUAAUGCUUACACAAGUUUCCAACAGUAGCUUAAUGUUCAACAAAAUCAUGGAGGAGAUAAAGAUGUUGUCAAUGGGCUCAACAACAAUUCAUCCAGGUUUCCAUAUUAGUGGAAUUCCACAAUUAUGUGAACAAGGUGAUAGCAUUGGUCAGGCCCGAAAGAUAUAAUGGUGUAUGCUCGAGGAACAACCAUGAGUAAGACAGCAUUACGAAUAUCGCUGGUUCUGAUUUGAUUUGACGAUAGCCCAUACUCAAAUCAAAGGUUUGGGUAAGAUAAUAGAUCCAUCAAUUGAUCACGAGGAUCAACCAAUAAAGAUAUCAUCUUUCUUCAACACACACCACACAAGAAUAUCCCUUUGGAAUGGACUAAGUCAGGCAAGCUUUUAUCUUCCAACUCUCCAAGUUGUUGUCUAGCUUAACCAACUAGCUCAGGGGUAUCCAACACGGAUUCUUGGAGAAAUAGGGGUUUACAGGAAUAAACCAACUUGAUCACGAGAUCAACAUAGUGGUCAGGCGACAACCUGGUGAUACUUCCGAGAAGAAAUUCGGAAUAUCAUGAACCACCGGUAUGUUACUAAGCUCGAGAACAAUCUCGCUUUUGAGGGCAAGAUGAUAUGAUCAAAUGAGUGAGGACUUGACAAGAUCCUAACUCAUCAAUCGAAGGGUGUACCGAAAUAAGGACUAGGUAGCACGAUCAGUCUUAGAAGGAUGAUUCAAAAACCAACACGCUAAGAAUGAAAUUAUUAUCCUUUAACUACCAAGCAACGAGGUUGCUGGGAGUAUUGAUUUCACACAUCACAAUUCAUUUGUCGGUAUUCCGGUUGCAUCAACACGAGGGCCGAGGAAUGGCUAAUGAUGGUGAGAAGUAUCACUACGUCAAAAUUCAUGAGAGUUGGUGCAGUUCUCAUGACAAUUCUGACAUAGAGGGGGUAAUACUCCAAGGUAGAACAGAACCAAAAGCUGGAUUGGCAUUUGAUCUGCGGAAUACAACUACUUUGACCCAAUCCUAGAUAUGGAUGAGGUACUGGAGUUUGUUUCUCCAAGUCAUUCAGGACAGAAUGGCUUGACGGACCACAAGAGUAAUAGGCAUCGAUAAACGAACGCACGCAUACUCUUGACUAUCAAUUGAUAGACGAGGGCCAGAAAACAACUAAAGAGGGACAACUCAAAGGAACAUAUGAUUUUCCAAGUUGUGGAUGCAUGGACUAGCAUGUCGAACGAAUUCAACAUAUUUCUUCCGGAUAACCCAUGCAGAAAGGUAGAACUGGCAGAGUCACAAUAUAUAAUGGAGAACUCAUCAAGAGCACUCUGGUUGUGAUCGUUCAGUUCAACGAGGAACUUCUGCCAUAAGUAGUUCAUGGUAUUUGGAAGAGGAAGAUACCACGGACUUCGAGGACUAUCGCAAAGUUACUAAUAUCCUGAAGGAACUAGCAAACACUAUCAACAUGAAGUAAGUAGAGUGGAUCUCGGGUUCAGAACCCAGGAAUAGAAUACCUACUAACUAAAUGGCAUCACGGGAUGCUUUUGAUAAUGACGGCCAGAAUCAUCACACUGGAACACAAUCAUGGCUAAAUUACUAGAUGACUCCCUAAACACCUAGGGCCAUAAUAGUAACUCCAACAUAAUGUCAAGGCAAUAGGAUACCUCAACUCAACAAUUAGUGUGAUUGAGCUGGCAUAAAGGAGCAUCGAAACCAGAGGAAAAGGAUUUUGCAAAUGCAUCAGACUAUUUAGAAACCUGGAAUGACUCGGACAGCAUAACGGCUGUAAAUGUUCAGAAAAGAUUUGAGACAUUCACAAAAAUGGUGGCAUAACCACUCAGAAGCACAAUAUCAGGGUUUCGAGAUCAUCAGAGACAUACCGAAAUAGUAGGAACUGGACUGAGGCUUAAAUCCAACAAUCUUACAAGUCUACGGAUUACUAACACGUGAUCCUGAUAGAAAGAAGAGAUAGCCUAGUUCCUUAACCCCGUAGGAAAGAUAAGAUGACUCAGAUCAGAAGGCAUAAGGUAUAAGGAGUAAAAGAGCCUUAUGUUCCCAUCCCACAAUCAAUUCCCUUACAUAUAACUAAAGCAUUUCUAGACUCAACUUCGACCAGUUUGGCUUGGUAAUCCUACAGGCAGUCAAGCUCUGAUACCAACGCUGUCAGGACCCCGACUCAAUGCCACAUCGAUCUAGCAUGUAACACCUCAUAUCACUUUGCGGCCUCACGCACGGUACUCCCACGGGUGUCGCCUUACCUUUGCCCGGGACCGUUUGCGUCUUUUGGCACACGUAUAUGAUAGUGUCGCUAGCAUCCAUAUGAUAAGGAGCCCGGGCUGACAUGGCUAGUCGUAAACCCAAAGUGGCACAAACUUACAGGGACAGGCAUCCAUGACCCAACAUCGAACGUGUCGGUCAUCAGCGGGUGAAUCCAGGCUGUAGCACUGGGCUAGCAGGACUCCGGUGAACCGGGCUGUAGCGGGCUAACAGGACUCUGGUAUUCAUCGCGUGAUAUUUCCCCGAAGGGACAGACACAGGAACGAAGAAGGACACAUGCCGGCCAGCCUAAGUGUUCCGGAGCAGUAGCAAGCUACCAUGGCUCGGUGGAAACACUAGGAGACAUUUCCCGGUAAGAGAGGCUACUAAAGAUAAACAACUAGAUAGUCAGAUCCCACACAUACCGAGCAUUUCAAUAACAUACACACAAUAUGCUCGAUAUGUGCAAUACAACAUGGCAUCACAAAAUGACUCUACGACUCAAGUAGUUAUUCAAUAGGCUCCGAAGAGCGAGAUAUUACAAACAUGGGUCUCAUGACCCGACAUUCAUAGCAUACAAGGCAAAGCACAUGCGGAAGCUAUGAUGUCUGAGUACAGACAACUAUAAGUGAAAAAGGCUGAGAAGCCUGACUAUCUACCCGAUCCUGCCGAGGGCACAAGAUCGUAGCUGAGGUAACAAGCUAAACGUCGAAGUCCACGUGGAACUACUAGUGAGACUGAAGUCUCUCUGCAAAAACAUAAAUUAAGCAACGUGAGUACAAAUGUACCCAGCAAGACUUACAUCAGAUCUAUCUACAUAUGCAUCAUUAUCAACAAGGGGGUGGUGGAGUUUAACUGCAGCAAGCCAGCUUUGACUCAGUGGCUAACCUGAACUACGACUGCAAGUAACUCUUUUGAGGUGGCGCACACGAGUCCACAUAUUCACCAUAUCAAUACACCACCAUGGAUCCGCUCCCGUCUCCCUACGAGAACGCCAUCCAUAGCACUCACGCUUAUCUUGCAUAUUUUAGAGUGUCCACUUUCACUUGUCUAUGAACUAUGCAAGGGGUCCAAGUUUCCAUAUCCGAGGAAUCCGGCUAUUCGAAUAGAUAAUGAUAACCCUGCAGGGGUGUACUUCUUCACACACGCUCUCGCCACUUACCGCCCUGUACACGUCAUGUACCUCGGCAACCUUCAAGCGGAAGCCGGGCGAGGGAGUCGGCCACGACCUGAUUAACCAAACAAGUCUCUAGUCCAGGUUUAUCGCCUAUUCGGGUUCCAUCUGCAAGGAGAUCCGGCCGGGGUGUCGCUUACGGCCCCAAACGAUGUGUGCAGGGUUCCCAAGCCCACCAACCGGGUGCCACUUGGUACACCGGGCCACUGUGCCUAGUCUGUCCCAAGCCCACCUGUACCGGGUGCCACUUGGUAGACUACUAACACUACCUACAAACACCAGAAACUAGUUGCAACUCCUGGACAGAGAUCAUGUUGAUUAAUAAGUCGAGAGGGGUCGAGUUACCGGAACCCAAUGUGUGGUAGUAACUGGUCAUGGAUCACAGACACAGAACUCAGUUCCUAAGGACGGCUGCAAUGAGACAACCCACCAUGUACUCCUACAUGGCCUCUCACCGCUACCUUUACCAAAUCGUGUUCACACACUUAGCUCACACACAGUAGGACAUGUUCACACGCCUCUGAUUCAUCCCCGAUGAAUCAGACCUGACUCAACUCUAAGCAGUAGCAGGCAUGACAAACAAGCAUGAAUGAGUAGGCACAUCAGGGCUCAAACAACUCCUACUCAUGCUAGUGGGUUUCAUCUAUUUACUGUGGCAAUGACAGGUCAUGCAAAGGAUAAAGGGGUUCAGCUACCGCAGCAUGUAACAGAUGAAUCGGUGUUGUCCUAAUAAAGUAAAAGAGAGCAGGAGCGAGAGAGUAGGAUUGUAUCGGAAUGAACAAGGGGUUUUUGCUUGCCUGGCACUUCUGAAGAUAACAUUGAGUCUUCAUCAGUGUCAACGAUCACAUCCUCGGUAUCACGUCUAUCGAGAGGGGACAAAUACCGGAAACACAGAAGGGAACACAAUCAAUGCAAUGCACAAUAUGAUGCAUGAUCAUGACAUGGCAAAAUGAAUGUGUUUUGGGCUAAUGCAACUAGCAACAGAUUAAAUGAAGUUGGUUUGAAUACAAGAUUCAAAUUCAAACUCCAUAUGUGAUUAUUUAAAUGCCAUUCACUUCAUUUGUCCUAAACAGUAGUGAUAAGUUGUUCUAACAUGCAUGAAAAUGGUACAGAUGGAUUCCUUGAAUUUUUCUGAUAAUUUUUCAUAUAUAAAUUAUUUAAUUUGGAGUUACGGUUAAUUUUCUAUGAUUUAUUGAAGUUUAUACAAUUUUCUGGAAUUUUCUGAAUAUUUAUAAAAUAAACUAAAUUCCAGAAAAGGAAUAUUGCGUCAGCAUGACGCCGGGGUGACGUCAGCAGGUCAAAGGCGUCGACCAGGUCAAACCUGACCAGUGGGGUCCACUGGUCAGUGACCCAGUCAACUAACCAAGUUAGUUAGCCCUAACUAACUUAGUUAGCCGGGCAGGGCCCGCAUGUCAGUGGCCUAUCUAAUUAGCUGAGUUAAUUAACGCUAACUAAUCUAACACUAAUCAAGCAGGCGCCUGGGCCCACACGUCAGGGGGUCAAACCCCGGGUCAACUCGCCGGAGUUGACCCGCGGCUCGUCGCCGGCGGAGCCAGAGACGGCGGAGGGGGUCGGAAAUCCUCCUCCGGCGACCAAAACAGCGGCAGCGAUCAUCUACGCGUAGCUGGCGCUCAGCCGCAUCCAUCUAGGCAAGCGGGAGGGGCUGAGGUCGAACGGGCUCGCCGGAAUCGAUCUCGCGGCGGCGGCCGGAGCUCGGGGUUGGUGCGGGUUGGCGCUAGGGGGCACGGCAGGUCGCACGGGUGGGCGCGCUCGGCUCCUGGAAGGGUGCUGAGCACGUUGCCGUGCUCGGGAGGUAGCUACGGUGGCUCUAGCACCGUCUGCGUCAUUGCCGGCGGCAAGGAACUGUCGGCUCCGACAGUCGGGGUGGUUAGAAGGCACGGACGGGCACGGGGAGAGAGGGGAAAUGGACAGGGGCUCACGAGGGGUCAGGAGAGAAGCUCGGUGGGCUCGGGGAAGCCUCUGCAACGGCGAAUUGACGACGGCGAUCUCCGGGCACCGGAGAUGAAGACGACGACGCUCCGGUCGACUGCGGCCUCCUCUGGUCGCGUGCGUCGCGUGUGUAGCUCCACGGGGUCAGGGCGGAGCUCAGGGAUGCAUAGUGGGAGCGAGGGGGUGGCUGUGGCCCCGGUAAACGGCGUCGGCGGCGAUGGGCUCCGCUCGGGCGCGUGAGGGAGAGAGAGCAGAGGAGGGGGAGGAGCGAGGGAGAGCGCGAGGGGUUCCAGGGAGAGUGAGAGAGAGGCCAGGGUGUCGUGGCGUCUCCAGGCGCAUCGAGGAGGGAGGCAACCAAGCAGGAGGUGGCGCACGGCGGCGCGCGCGGCCGACAGGCAGCUGCCUGCCUGCUCUGGCAGGAGGAAGCAGGUGGCUGGCACGGGCCAGCACAGUGCUGGGCCGGCCAGCGGGCUGCCAGGUAAGGUCAGGUAACUCUUCUGCUUUGUUUUAUUUUUUUCUAUUUCUGUUCUGUUUUAUUUAAUUGGCACUGAAUUUUAAUUCAAACAGAAUUUGAAAACAGUGCCAAAACUCCCCUGGAUAUUUUUAAGUCACUUAAUGGACUUCUCCACAUAUACAAAAAAUAUCUCAGGUCAUUUGAAAAUAUAUUCAUUAUAUAUUAUGAAUAUAACUCCAAAUUCAAAUAAAAUAUUGAUUUAAAAUCAGAGCCCAAUAAUUCCUUAGAAAUGUCCCAAAAUUUUGGUUUGAUUUAUAACUCUUGCCAAAAUUGUCAGAGCUAUUUCUAGGGCAUUUUGGAUUUACUGAUUGCAAUUUUAGGGUUUCUUGCCCCUCUUUUAUUUAGGGUUUUGAGGCUUCUGAAUUCCUCAGUUCAAGUUUUAAAAAUUUAAACAUGAUGCACACACUAGGCAGCACCAGAAGCUAGGGAUGUGACAGGAGGCAACCCAAUUUUCUUUAUGUUUUUUGUUUUUGAUACUGUUUACUAAUAAAUAUUGCAUAUACCUUCUGUUUAUAUGUGUUUUUAUCUUUUAAUUAGUGUUUGUGGCAAGUAGAACCUAUAGGAUAACCUACGAUGAUAGUUGAUUUGAUUCUGCUGAAAAACAGAAACUUUGCACACACGAAUAUAAUUUUGUUAAAUCACAGGAACGUGAUUUUGCGUUGAUUCUUUUUGAUUCUGUUCAAUAAACAAAUUGUACAGGACUUCCUAUUUUGGUAGGAUUUUUAGAGUUCCAUAAGUUUGCGUUAGUUACAGAUUGCUACAGACUGUUCUGUUUUUGACAGAUUCUGUUUUCAUGUGUUGUUUGCUUAUUUCAAUGCAUCUAUGGCUAGUAAAUUAGUUCAUAAACCGUAAAGAAGUUGGAAUACAGUAGGUUUAACACCAAAAUAAAUAAAGAAUGAGUUCAUUACAUUACCUUAUGUGGUGGUUUUCUUUCACUAACGGAGCUUAUAAGAUUUCCUGUUGAGUUUUGUGUUGUGAAGUUUUCAAGUUUUGGGUAAAGCUUUUAUGGACUAUGGAAUAAAGGGUGGCAAGAGCCUAAGCUUGGGGAUUCCCAAGGCACCCCAAGAUAUUCAAUAAUAGCCAAAAUCCUAAGCUUGGGGAUGCCCCGGGAAGGCAUCCCGUCUUUAGUCUUCGUUCAUUGGUAACUUUACUUGGAGCUAUAUUUUUAUUCGCCACAUGAUAUGUGUUUUGCUUGGAGCGUCGAGUAUUAUAUUAGUCUUUGCUUUUUAGUAUACCACAAUCAUCCUUGCUGUACACACCUUUUUGGAAAAGCCUAUUUGAUUAGAAUUUGCUAGAAUACUCUAUGUGCUUCACUUAUAUCUUUUGAGCUUGAUAGUUUUUGCUCUAGUGCUUCACUUAUAUCUUUUAGAGCACGGUGGUGUCUUAAUUUUGAAGAAAUUACUAGUCUCUCGUGCCUCACUUAUAUCUUUUUGAGAGUCUUUUAGAACAGCAUGGUAUUUUCUAUGGUCACAAAGUUGCUCCUAGAAUGAUGAGCAUCCAAGUUGGGUAUAAUAAAACUAUCAUAGAAAAAGAAUUGGAUGCUAUGAUCAAUUUGAUGCUUGAUAAUUGUUUUGAGAUAUAAAGUUAGUAAUGUUAGGGUCAUGCUAGUGGGUAAUUAUGAAAUUGAGAAAUACUUUUGUUGAAGUUGGCAAGUCCCGUAGCAUGCACGUAUGGUAAAAGUUGUGUGACAAAUUUGUUGCAUGAGGUGCUCUUUUGAUUGUCUUCCUUAUGAGUGGCAGUCAGGGACGAGCGAUGGUCUUUUCCUACCAAUCUAUCCCUCUUGGGGCAUGCGUAGUAGUACUUUGCUUCGAGGGCUAAGUAGACUAUUGCAAUAAGUAUAUGAGUUCUUUUUGACUAAUGUGAGUCCAUGGAUGUAUGCACACUCAUCACUACAAAAAAAGACACAUCCGUGACAUUUUGGGCCGAACGAAAUUUUUUUCUGCCAUACAUAUGACACUUCUAUGAUGAUAAUUGUGACAAAACCUGGUAUCAUCAUAGAUGUGGUGGGCUCCUACUUCUAUGACAAAAAAUCAUGACAGAAAAUGGGCUUUUCGUCCGGGGCGGGCCGGAGACGCAGCUGCAUGACAUUCUUUGGGCCGUCCAUGACGGAAAAAACCAUGGUAGAAGCGAGGGAGAGGAAAAUUUUGGGGAGUUGCCAGUUAUGGUGGGAGGUCGGGGGCCGAGCGAUGCGUGUUUCUCUCAUAUAGGUACGCGCGUGUGUGUGAGGUGUUGGCUCUAAUUGAACCCGAGCGAGGCGUUAAGCUCUAACUGAACCCGAGUGAUUGCACUGCAGGCUACGCGUUACUGAACCCGAGCGAUCGAUCGAUGGCUGUUAACUGAACCCGAUGGAGCGAUUCCUUCGCUACUGCUGCUAACUGAAGCCGAUCGAUUGGAUGAACAGUGAGUGUUGCGGGGGGUUUGGAUGAACUGUGAGCGGUGGUAUCGGUGUCAAAACCGGCGGAUCUCGGGUAGGGGGUCCCGAACUGUGCGUCUAGGCGGAUGGUAACAGGAGACGAAGGACACGGUGUUUUUACCCAGGUUCAGGCCCUCUCGAUGGAGGUAAAACCCUACGUCCUUCUUGAUUAAUACUGAUGAUAUGGGUAGUACAAGAGUAGAUCUACCACGAGAUCAAGGAGGCUAAACCCUAGAAGCUAGCCUAUGGUAUGAUUGUUGUAAUGUAUGUUGUCCUACGGACUAAAGCCCUCCGGUUUAUAUAGACACCGGAGAUGGCUAGGGUUACACAGAGUCGGUUACAGUGGUAGGAGAUCCACAUAUCCGUAUUGCCAAGCUUGCCUUCCACGCCAAGGAAAGUACCAUACGGACACGAGCCGGAGUCUUCAAUCUUAUAUCUUCGUAUUCUUGGAGUCCGACGGAUAAUGAUAGUCCGGCUGUCCGGACACCCCCUAGUCCAGGACUCCCUCAGUAGCCCCUGAACCAGUCUUCAAUGACGAUAAGUCCGGCGCGCAUAUUGUUCGGCAUUGCAAGGCGGGUUCCUCCCUUGAAUAAUCCAGAGAAGAUCAUGAACACCAGGAUAGUGUCCGGCUCUGCAAAAUAAAUUCCACAUUCCACCGUAGAGAGAAUAAAAUGCACACUUAGCUCAAUCUGUUGACGUAUUAUGCGGCGUGACAUCACACCGCAACCAAGCCUUUGUUUGAAUCGUUUUUUACUAUACCACCUCAGCACGUUUAGCGAAGCGGUUUCCUUGGCACGUCUUGUCGAAGCAGAGAUCGUGUUCCCCUUAUUCCGGGAUUCUCAUCAAUACGUGCGUGGGUAACCCAACCGCGCCAUUGAUGGUGGCGCUUGGGAGAUAAGCGAGUUUUACUAGGCUGGUGGGGGACGCAUAGUUUUGUCCACCUAUAUAUAAGGGAUAAGGAUUCACCUUCUCACCUACGCCUUCUUCCUCCUUUGCUUAUCCAUCCCAGCGAACUCAAGCUCCAAUGCCCGAGCUCGCGCAUCUCGCCUCGACCUUCUCCAAAUAUGUCCGGAGCGGGAGGUAAAUGGUUGGCCUCCACCGCUAAGGAGGUGGACAUCACCAAGCUGCGCAGCGCCGGAUACCUUUCCGGCGAUAUCGCGCAUCGGCUGCCCGACGAGGGGCAGCUCAUCCCUACCCCUGGGCCUCAUGAGAGGGUCGUCUUCCUCCCCCACUUCCUCCGCGGACUGGGCUUUCCGCUCCAUCCAUUUUUCCGGGGGCUCAUGUUUUACUACGGCCUGGAUUUCCACGAUCUGGCGCCGAACUUCAUCCUCAACAUCUCGGCGUUUAUCGUCGUGUGCGAGGCCUUCCUCUGCAUCCAGCCCCACUUCGGCCUGUGGCUCAAGACCUUCAACGUCAAGCCGAAGGUUGUGAAGGGCACGCAAGCGGAAUGCUGAGGCGCCAUGUUGGGCAAAUUGCCCAACGUCCCUUGGCUCGAAGGGACCUUCGUGGACUCCAUCAGGGGGUGGCAAUCGGGGUGGUUCUACAUCACCGAGCCGCGCAAACCCACAUGGGCGGCGGCCCCCGAGUUCAGAUCUGGCAUCCCCACACAGCUCACCUCCUGGAAAGAAAAGGGCUUGCAGUGGGGCAAUCAGGUGGAGGUGACGGGACUCCGAGCCUGCAUCAAGAAGAUGGUGAGCAAUAGGCUCAGGCUCGUCGACGUGGUCCAAGUCAUGCUCAUCCGGCGUAUCCUCCCAUGCCAAGAACGGGCAUUCAAUUUGUGGGAGUUCAAUCCGGAACAGCACCAGGCGCUAAGCGGGCUCUUUGAUACAACAUACGAAGGCGCCUGGAGGGUGCUGUUCAAGGGCGCCGAAGCCCCCGCAUCCGCGACGGAAGAUCGCGGAUUCAGCUCGCAGUGUCCAACUGACGAGGUAAGUGAUUCAACCCCAUUACGGGACACUUGUGAUAAUUAAAUUAACUUUUAGUGGGGUUUCAUUCUGCCUCUUCCUUUGACAGGAAUGGAUGGAGAAGGCCAAGCUGCUUAUCAGCCCGGCUCCCAUGCCAGAAGACCCAGUGGACGCCCGCUUAACAGGGCUGCUGGUUCCGGCACCGCACGUGGUGCCGGAGAAGAAGGCCAAGAAGGUGGCCGCGGGGACUCGAAAGAGUUCCCGCAAUCAGGCGUCUGAUGACGACGAGGACUCCUCCCCCGAAGACGAGGAGGAGGAGUACUCUCUCUCGGAGGAGGGAGAGAAGAAAAGGAAGGCUUCCCCCAUCGGGGAGGCCGAAGGGUCCAAGAGGGGGAGAACUAUCCCCCCGGACAGUUUCGCCAACAUCGGCGUUGGCGAGGAUGAGUGGCCUCCAAGGGCCAGGCGUCCGGCAAGAUCGUAAGUAUCCGGAUCCUUGAUGUGUAAUUUCUUUUAUGUCGCGUAGUAUCCUUCUAACGCCGCAUCCUGCCCGUAGUCCGGCCAAUGAUGAUCUCCCCGACUCAUCGAGCGGGUCAUUGGCUUCGUCGGAUGUGAAUUCCAUCCCGACUGCCUCCACCCCACGCGCCGACGAGGACGUCGAGGUGGGAUCCCAGGGAGGGACCCAUCAGGAGGAGGCUCCGGAGGCGCCGUCAGGCAGCCUCCCGGACUUCAUGCCGGACUCUACAUCGGAACCCGCAGUGGUUCCAGAGUCCGGCAAGCGGCCCCUUCGAAAGAAGGGCAGGACCGUGACGCCGGCGGCCUCCGUCCAACCGGAGGCGCCGGAUAACCUGUUGGAGGCGCUUAAAGGCGCUUCCAUCGAGGAAGAACACCGCACUAUCAUGAGUGCAGUGAUUGAGAAGGUUCAGCUCGCUAAGAGCGGGCUGACCGAAGCCUGCAGCAGCCUUCUAACAGGCUUUGAGGUAAGAAGUUAAAAUUAUGUAAUGUAAUACCGCAUAGACAGUAGCCCCUGAUGCUUAGUUCGGUGUUCGGAAAGAAAAGCCGGACUAAGGAUCUAACAAGAUAUACGCAGGGUUGCCUAAAAUAUGUCAAUAUGGGUUUGCAGGCUGCGCUGCUGACCUCUGCCGCACUAACGGUGGAGGUUGACAUGCUGAAGAAGGAUCUCGAGCGGUCCGAGCAAGAGCUCGGUCAUGCAAAGAAGCAGCUCGAGGAAAAAGAAGGUGAGUAACACCUCUUUGAAUAAGUACCUUACAGAAAAGGAUUUUGGUUGCAAAUAAAAUUAACAAGGAUAAUAUGUGUAUUGCAGGGGCCACUAACGAGGUGGCAUCCCUGAAGGAUGCUGUGUCUGCGGCCGAACGCAGUGCGGCCGCGGAACGGGUUGAGCGAGAAAAGCAAGAGGCACGGGUGGCGGAAGUUCGGCAAGAGCUCCAGGCUCUCAUGGAAAAGCAUGAGAGUUUGGAGCGCGACUCCAAGACUCGAGAGUCCGAGCUUGCCUCGGCUCUCGAAAGUGCCAAGUCCGCCAAGGCCGAGGCCCGUAAGGCCCUUCAGGAAGUUGAGGACAUAAAGAAGAUAGCGGCGGGUAAGGCAUUUUUCAUGCAAAGCAGGCAUGUUAGUGUGAACUACCUGACACUUACCCGAAUUCGGAGCUCUCCAGGGGCGUUUGCAGAUCUGCCGCAUAGUGCGUCUGAUGCCGCCGCAUUCUAUCGUGGCGAGGAGGGGAGCUCGACGGAGAAGGUCUUCUGGUCUCAGUACUCUGAGGCCGGCCAUCCGGUGCCCCCAAGCGACCAGCUGAAGCAGCUGGUCGAACUCCACAAGGUAGCUGAGGAGGCCAUGAAGGGUCUCAUAGUCCGGCUAUGGCCUGGACAGGCCAUGCCUGGGAGCUACUUUGGCCUCGUGCGGCGGCUGGUGGAUGCAUGCCCCAGGCUGGAUGUAGUCAAGCGCUCCGCCUGUAUUGAAGGCGCUCGUCGGGCCCUUGCCCGCAUAAAGGUGCAAUGGGGCAAAUUGGAUGCGGAGAAGCUUCUCACGGACCCACCGCCGCCAGGCAAGGAGUAUCGCACACCGGAGAAGUAUUAUCAAAUUGUCCUGAAGGGAGUCUGCGAUAUUGCAGAUGAGUGCUCCCGAAAUGUAAUUUUUGAGUGAACUCGCUGUAUAUUUAUCCUGUGCGCUGAAAACUUCGUUCAUAUGCGCCAUGAGCAACGCUUGUUUAAUUUAAAAUAUUACCUUCUGUGCGGCCGUUUAUAAAAUCUGAGAGAUGGCAAGUCGUUGGCUUCAGCCCCCAAGCCACAAGUGCUGGGGUGUUCGGGAUAAACUUGAGCACUCUUGUUCCCAUUUUUGGGUCCAUCUAGGGAGGCGCUCAACACGACGAACAAGGCAACCGGACUUAUAAUGCUUGAACACUCUCACUUAGCCAUAGAAUUCUAUAAUUUUAAAUUUCGGCGAAGCCCCUGGUAUUCGGAAGACCGAAUCCGGGGCGCUAUCCACGCCUUCGUCGGACAUUAUCCGGAACAUCGCUCAAAGCGGCGUGAGUCUUUAAGGACCCGAAAAAACCUCUCGAACAGCGACCAGUCUCUCACCUUAUCAUGCCAGUCAGUUUUAGCUUUCUCCACUGAGGCGUUAGCCCGGCUCAACCGGGGCGCAAUCGCAGUGGUUCUCCCAGUGUCACCUUAGCCGACAGAACGGAACGUAAGGCACCAAAACGUGGGAGCCGGGCAAACCCAACUAUUGACCCAAGACAUGAUUCGGAGCCGAUUCAUCUAAUGCUAUAAGUUCGGGGUGCCGCACUUAUGAAAGUGUUCGGACUUUAUCACACCAUAAUUUGGGGAACAGAAGCCCCUGGCGUAUUCGGCCGUACCAAAAUAUACGGGUGCAAGAUGUCAUGUAAUGAACAUAUAUAAAAAAGAUAAUGCAAUUGCAAUAAAGAGGUGCUGCAUUAUUUAUGAAAGAAAGUCUGCUAGUAGAGCGGACUGAUACAAAUAGUGCGGUAAGCAAGGGAUUUGGACUAAAUAAACAUGUCCCCCUCCAGGGAUUAGCUGCAGACUUGGUGUAUAUAAUCGAAUUUAAUGCUCGUAAUUGAGACCACCUGAAUGUUCGUCGCGGCCUUCUUUAGUCCCUGACUGUUGCAUCAUGAGUUCGGCAGGUUCGCCACCGGACAGGGCUUCUGGUUAACAGAGUCCUGUGUACAUAAAAGAAGAAGAAAAAAAUAGAAUAAAAAGGAAGUAAGGCGCACUUGUGAGGCCCUGGUGUGGUCGAGCCGUACUCUGGGUCCAUUGUGAUCGUGCCCCUUUCCCUGCGCCCAUGGUAUCUCCAAAGCGUAAUGAUGUACGCGGAAUGUUA